GGGGCUUGAGCUUAGUGAACACAGGCCCAAUGGGCUCUGCUGGCUUUGAUGGUGUGCCUGCCCUGAUGGUGAGGUUACAAUGUUAGAGUUAUAAUAUAAGUCAUGUACCCCUUUGUAUUUAUCCCGUUGUAUAAACGGUUUCCUGCAUAUGUUCCACACCUGUACAUGUAUAUAUAUCGGCCUAUGGCCUCAUGGGAAUACAAGUUGCAUAUUUCCUAACAUGGUAUUAGAGCUAGGUCAAUUUUUUGCACGCUGCAACUCGUGCGAUUGAUCCAUCUGAUCGAUUUCCACCUGAUCGAUCUCCAACCGAACCGGGCCGCUCGAAGCUCAUCCUUCUCGAUCGAAACAGGGCCCCGCCCCGCAGGUCUUCGGCCCCGAUCUCCUCCCGCUUCCGUCCGGCCCGGAUCUCCUGCUGCUCUCGUCCGGCUGCCCCUCCCGUCCGGCCCCGGUCCCGUUCGUCCCCGGGUGCUGUCGAUCCGGCUGGAUCGCACCUCCAGCCAGUACUGCCUCCAGCCCGAUCGUCCUACUUCCGCUUGCCGUUGGUGUCCCAGCCGGCCCCAAGCAAUGAAGGUCCUCCCUCCAGCCGGCCCCAAGCAACGCAGGUCCUCCCUCCAGCCGGCCCCGCCUGCCCAGGACUCCCGCAGCCCUGCUCCAGCCGGCCCCGCCUGCUCUCUCUCGUCAGAUUCCACAAAAAAUGUCUGCUGCAUCGGGCUAUGUUGCUGUCCCUCGCUAUCCGGUGAUCUUUCAUGGUACUAACUACACCGAGUUCACUGGCUUUAUGCGCAUUCACAUGCGUGGCAUCCGUCUCUGGGGUGUUCUUUCUGGCGAGGUCUGCUGUCCGCCGCGUCCGGUUCCUCCAGUUGCCCCUACUCCGCCGACUCCACUGGUUCUUUCUACGGAUGCUAAUCAGGCCGCCAAGGAUGCGGCUAAGCUUGCUGAUGAGGCUGCUGAUCGUGCUUAUGAUGAGAGGGUUUUGGCUUAUGAGGAGGCUCUUCAGACGUAUCAUGGUGCUUUGUCUGUUUACAUCCAGUGGCUUGAUGAUGAUGCUCGUGCUGCAGCUGUUCUCACUGCUAGUGUUCUGCCUCAGUUUGCUUCUGAGAUUCUGGGUCUUCCUACUGUCUUUUAGAUGUGACCUGUCUUCGUCAGCGCUAUGAGCCCUCUGGUGAUGUCUUAUACCUUUCUGUGGUUCGUCAGGAGCAUGCUCUUCAGCAGGGUGACUCUACUGUUGAUGAUUUCUAUCGACAGAGUUCUGCUAUCUGGCACCAACUUGAUUCUCUCCACAGUGCUGGUUGUCGUACUUGCCCCUGUUGCCAGGCUGUCCAGGCUAAUUUGAAGUUUCAUCGCGUCUAUGAGUUCCUGUCUCGGCUCCCUAAGGAGUUUGAGCCCCGGCGUGCUCAGUUGUUUGCUCGUGGCCGUAUUUCUCUCAUGGAGGCGCUUUCAGAGAUACGUGCUGAGGAGACUCGCUUACGUGGUGCUGGUUUGCUGGAGGUUCCCUCUGUGCUCGCUACUCGGGCUUCUUCCACUCCACCUGCUGCACCAACCCCUUCUCGCUCGAGUGCUCCGCCGCUCUUGCCCACUCCUUCUGGAGGCUCAGGUGGCCCCCGUCCACAUUGUGACUACUGCAACAAUGAUGGUCAUAUUGAGUCCUAGUGCUACACGAAGCGGAAACACCUGCGCAAGGCACGAUCAUCAUCUUCAGGGACUUCGGCAUCUCCCUCGGCAGCUUCAGCCAUUGCUUUGACAGAGCAGGAUAUUCUAAGACUUAAGCGUCUGCUCGCGGCUUCAGGUUCUUCCUCGAUGGGUACUGCUGGUUCUGUGACUGAUGCUUUCCGCACUGAGCAACCAACCUCUACACAGUCAGGUACAUCCCCAUGGGUUCUGGACUAUGGAGCUUCUUUUCAUAUGUCUUCUCAUUCUUCCACUAUGACGCCCGGGUAGUCAAGCUACAGUAACCCUAUGGUAAUGAUGCCAUGUCACCACGAUUACCGUUGAUAAUCUUGUAUUAGUUCAGAACCGAUCCAUAUUCAAAUUUGAAUUAAAGUCAAACAAUAAAAGUUUUCAAUUGUCAAAUCUAAAAUGUUCAAAUUGCAGAAAAUAAAUCAUAGAUGAUUAUGGUGGAGAAACCGCACCUAUAUAUAAUGUUUAAGUACUACAAGAUGAAUAAAACAGUAGCAAAAACAAUUAUUUAAAUUCCUUUUGUAAUUAAUAAAAUUUCAAACUAAUUUAUCUGAGGACUAGACCUUUUGUGACUAUGGACUAAGCUGAAAUACUAAUUUAGAUAAUAAGUGUAUAUUUUACCAAAACUAAGAAAAAAUAGGAAACAAAACUAAAUCAAAAAAAGGUGAAAUAAAUAAAAAAAAGGGUGAAACCAAAACAAAACANNNNNNNNNNNNNNNNNNNNNNNNNNNNNNNNNNNNNNNNNNNNNNNNNNNNNNNNNNNNNNNNNNNNNNNNNNNNNNNNNNNNNNNNNNNNNNNNNNNNNNNNNNNNNNNNNNNNNNNNNNNNNNNNNNNNNNNNNNNNNNNNNNNNNNNNNNNNNNNNNNNNNNNNNNNNNNNNNNNNNNNNNNNNNNNNNNNNNNNNNNNNNNNNNNNNNNNNNNNNNNNNNNNNNNNNNNNNNNNNNNNNNNNNNNNNNNNNNNNNNNNNNNNNNNNNNNNNNNNNNNNNNNNNNNNNNNNNNNNNNNNNNNNNNNNNNNNNNNNNNNNNNNNNNNNNNNNNNNNNNNNNNNNNNNNNNNNNNNNNNNNNNNNNNNNNNNNNNNNNNNNNNNNNNNNNNNNNNNNNNNNNNNNNNNNNNNNNNNNNNNNNNNNNNNNNNNNNNNNNNNNNNNNNNNNNNNNNNNNNNNNNNNNNNNNNNNNNNNNNNNNNNNNNNNNNNNNNNNNNNNNNNNNNNNNNNNNNNNNNNNNNNNNNNNNNNNNNNNNNNNNNNNNNNNNNNNNNNNNNNNNNNNNNNNNNNNNNGAUCCACCUCGUCUCCCCACCUCGCCCCGAGUGAAUCUGGAUCGGGGCAACCGACGCCCCCGACCCCGCCCGUCGCACGCCCUGUCGCGCCUCCAUCCUCCUCCACGGCGUCACCUCACCGGCGCCGCUUCGCCACCGGAUCGCCACGUCUCCCCCACCUCUGCUUCGCCAGGACCGCCACUGCGCUCCCCCGUCCUCCUCUAGACCCCGCCGCCCCGAUGCCGUGCCGUCGUCCAUCGCCCUCGACGCGCCACCUCGCCGCAUUCGACCUCGUCUUUGCCCACGGCCACCGCAUGACCUCACGGUCGAUCUACUUCGCCGGAGCCUCCCCACCGGUCCGCCUCCUCGCCGCACGUCGUCCCUGACGACCUCCUCGACCCUCGCUGCCCGAAUCCCUACCGCCCCUGUGAGCUCCCCCUCUCCCUCUCCUCGUCGAACCUCGCGCUCGUCGCGCUCCCACUCGCCCCGUGCCCCGCUUCCACCUCUAGCCCUGUGGGCUACCGCCGUUUCGGCGGCCAGCUCCAGCGCCCGCCGCGCACUCUCUCCUCCUCGCUGCCGUCCUGUUCGUCCACCACGCCAGCCACAGCCCCCUGCUCUGCUCGGCCGCGACCGUUGCGCCCGCUGCACCCGCCACCACCUUCGGCGUCCAGCGCCGGCGUCACACCGGCUCCCUNNNNNNNNNNNNNNNNNNNNNNNNNNNNNNNNNNNNNNNNNNNNNNNNNNNNNNNNNNNNNNNNNNNNNNNNNNNNNNNNNNNNNNNNNNNNNNNNNNNNNNNNNNNNNNNNNNNNNNNNNNNNNNNNNNNNNNNNNNNNNNNNNNNNNNNNNNNNNNNNNNNNNNNNNNNNNNNNNNNNNNNNNNNNNNNNNNNNNNNNNNNNNNNNNNNNNNNNNNNNNNNNNNNNNNNNNNNNNNNNNNNNNNNNNNNNNNNNNNNNNNNNNNNNCGCCCCGAUUCGCCCGUCGCCCGCUAAGCCACUGGGCCCAUGACAUGAGGGCCCCACGCCCCCUGAACGUUUUAAAAAAAGAAGAAUUAAAAAUAAAUAGAUAAAUAAGUAAAUACAAAUAUUAAUUAAUUAAUUAAUUAACUUAAUGAAAUCCUGAUUAGUUAACUAGUUAAAUUUACUUAACCUGCUAAUUAAACUAAGUAAUUGUUAAUUAGUUAUUAGUCUAUGGCAGAAUGGACUCGCGCGUCAGUUUGACCAGUCAACACCUCGGUUGACUGCUGACGUCAUGAUGACGUCAGCAUACACUAUUCUGGAUGGAAAAACUUAGUACAUGAAAGUUGCUCAGAACAACGAGACGAAUCCAGAUACGCAGCCCGUUCAUCCGCCACACAUCCUAGCAUAGCAAACACGCAACUUUCUUCCUCCGGUUCAUCUGUCCGAAAACGCGGAACACCGGGGAUACUUUCCUGGAUGUUUCCCCCUUCGCCAGUAUUACCUCCUACUGCCUUAGGUCACCUCUAGCACCGCGUAUUGCCGCGUCUCGCUUUGUGAUGCUUUGAUUGCUCUGUUAUUUAUUGUGUUCCCCCUCCGUUACUUCUUUCUGGUAGACCCCGAGACUACCGGCGACCCCAGUUCGACUACGGAGUUGAUGACCCUACUUGCUAGAGCAACCAGGCAAGCCUCCCCCCUGAUCACCAGAUAUCGCCUAUUCUUCUCUAUACUGCUUGCAUUAGAGUAGUGUAGCAUGUUACUGUACGGUUACUCCUAUUCUGUUGCAUAGCCUGUCAUUGUUGCUACAGUCGUUGAUACAUUACCCGCAAUCCUAAAUGCUUAGUAUAGGAUGCUAGUUAUCAUCAUUGGCCCUACAUUCUUGUCAGUCUGCCUUGCUAUACUCUCGGGCCGUGAUCACUUGGGAGGUGAUCACGGGUAAAUACUAUACAUAUAUACAUACUAUACAGAUGGUGACUAAAGUCGGGUCAGCUCAUUGAGUACUUGCAAGUGAUUCCGAUGUGGGGGCUGGAAGGACAGGUGGCUCCAUCCCGGUAGAGGUGGGCCUAGGUUCCCGACGGCCCCCAAUUGUUACCGCGUAUUGCGACAGGGCGGGUUGAGACCACCUAGGCAAGAGGUGGGCCUGGCCUUGGUCGGUGUUCGCGGUUACUUCAUAAUAACAGGCUUAACGAGAUCUUGGUAUUUGAUCUGAGUCUGGCCAUUGGCCUAUACACAGUAACCAACUACGCGGGGAAGAUAUGGGCACUCGACGUCGUGGUAUCAGCCGAAGCCUUCGUGACGUCAGCGACUGAGCGGCGCGCGCCGGGUUGGACUGCGUUAACGCAACAUCCUUUGUAAUGGAGGUUGCUAGGUCGGCUUCCGGCCGCCCACGCAACGUGCAGGUGUGCAAUGUGCGAUGGUCCCAGACCCCUGCGCGCAUAGGAUUUAGACCAGCGUGCUGACCACUCUGUUGUGCCUAGGUGGGGCUGUGACGUGUUGAUCUUCCGAGGCCGGGCAUGACCCAGGAAAGUGUGUCCGGCCAAAUGGGAUCGAGCGUGUUGGGUUAUGUGGUGCACCCCUGCAGGGAAGUUUAUCUAUUCGAAUAGCCGUGUCCCUCGGUAAAAGGACGACCCGGAGUUGUACCUUGACCUUAUGACAACUAGAACCGGAUACUUAAUAAAACACACCCAGACAAGUUCCACAGACAAUCUGGUGAUCACUUUUCCACAGGGUGACGAGGGGAGGAUCGCCGGGUAGGAUUAUGCUAUGCGAUGCUACUUGGAGGACUUCAGUCUACUCUCUUCUACAUACUGCAAGACGGAGGCUGCCAGAAGCGUAGUCUUCGAUAAGACUAGCUAUCCCCCCUUAUUCUGGCAUUCUGCAGUUCAGUCCACCGAUAUUGCCACUACACAUAUACCCAUGCAUAUGUAGUGUAGCUCCUUGCUUGCGAGUACUUUGGAUGAGUACUCACGGUUGCUUUUCUCCCUCUUAUCCCCCCUCCCUUCUACCUGGUUGUUGCAACCAGAUGUCGGAGCCCAGGAGCCAGACGCCACCGUCGAUGACGACUCCUACUACACCGGAGGUGCCUACUACUACGUGCAGCCCGCUGACGAUGACCAGGAGUAGUUUAGGAGGAUCACAGGCAGGAGGCCUGCGCCUCUUUCGAUCUGUAUCCCAGUUUGUGCUAGCCAUCUUAUGGCACUUGUUUAACUUAUGUCUGUACUCAGAUAUUGUUGCUUCCUUUGACUCGUCUAUGAUCGAGCACUUGUAUUUGAGCCCUCGAGGCCCCUGGCUUGUAUUAUGAUGCUUGUAUGACUUAUUUUACUUUUAGAGUUGUGUUGUGAUAUCUUCCCGUGAAUCCCUGAUCUUGAUCGUACACAUUUGCGUGCAUGAUUAGUGUAUGAUUAAAUCGGGGGCGUCACAUCCACUUUGUCCUCUCUUCGAUCGCUGGAUUCUCCUGUUCAUGUUUUCACUACUUAUGGUACUCCACUUUCUGUUGCUAGUAGAGGCAAUCUUUCCACUCCUUAUUAUGUUCCUGAUGUUGCUCAUGUUCCUCGACUUACCAUGAAUCUGUUUUCUGCUGGUCAACUUACUGAUUCUGGUUGUCGCGUCAUCCUUGACGUUGACUCUUGUUCUGUCCAGAACCGUCGCACGCACAGUUUGGUUGGGGCUGGCCCUCGCCGUCGUAAUUCUCAGGGUCUUUGGGACUUGGACUGGCUUCAUGUUACUUCCGCUACCACCACCAUCGCCAGUUCCUCCGCUUCUGUCGCCUCCAUUACUGGUUCCUUCAAGCAGUGGCAUCAUCGACUUGGUCAUCUCUGUGGUUCUCGGUUGUCGUCUUUAGUUCAUCGAGGUCUUCUAGGGUCUGUCUCAGGAGAUUUCUCUUUAGAGUGUCAGGGUUGUCGUCUUGGCAAGCAGAUUCAGUUACCAUAUUCACAUAGUGAGGCAGUGUCUAAGCGUCCCUUCGAUUUAGUCCAUUCUGAUGUAUGGGGUCCGGCUCCUUUCGCUUCGAAAGGUGGUCAUAAAUACUAUAUUAUUUUCAUAGAUGAUUUUCUCUCGUUACACAUGGCUUUAUUUCAUGACUUCUCGUAGUGAGGUGUUGUCUAUUUAUAAGCAUUUUGCUGCCAUGGUUCAUACUCAGUUCUCUUCACCUAUUCGUGUCUUUCGUGCUGACUCCGCUGGCGAGUAUAUCUCUAAGAUGUUGCUUUGUGUUCUUGCUGAGCAAGGAACUCUCUCUCAAUUCUCUUGUCCUGGUGCUCAUGCUCAAAAUGGUGUGGCUGAGCAAAAGCAUCGACAUCUUCUUGAGACGGCUCGUGCAUUGAUGAUUGUUGCCUCUCUCCCGCCUCAUUUUUGGGCUGAGGCUGUCUCCACCUCCACCUAUUUUAUCAAUAUACAGCCUUCUGCUGCUCUAUAGGGUGGUGUUCCUUUCGAGCAUCUUUUUGAUCGUUCUCCCAAUUAUUCGAUGCUUCGUUUGUUUGGUUGUGUUUGCUAUGUUUUUCUUGCCCCUCGCGAAUGCACCAAACUGACCGCUCAGUCUGUUGAGUGUGUCUUCUUAGACUACAGUGAUGAGCAUAAGGGCUAUCGUUGUUGGGAUCCUAUCGGUCGUCGGAUGCAUAUCUCUUGAGACGUGACUUUUGAUGAGUCUCGUCGCUUCUACCCACGCCCAUCUUCAUCGACUCUUUCAGUGGAGGAUAUUUCUUUCCUCACUUUUCCUGACUCACCUAUCACCCCCGUCGAGCCUGUGCCUAUUCGUUCCACUCCUUCUGCUUUCUCCACCUCUAGUUGAUUUGCAGCCACCAUCUUCCCCGGUCUCCUCGCCUAGCAUGUCACCGGAUUCUACACCUUCAUCUCCGGUGACUUCUUCGUCGCCACCCCUCGAUUCUCCCUUGGCGAUUCCUCCUUCUAUUGUUCCCUCUUUUCCUCAGCAAUACACUCGUCGUUCCCGACCUGUGGAUGCCUCUAUGGAUGAGUUGUCAUCUUCCUCUCAGCCUACUUAUGGCUUGCGUUCUCGUCCUCGUCCUCCUGUUGAUCGCUUUGGAUUUCCCACCGCUGGUGCUGCUGUUCUUGAGCCGACUUCUUAUCGUCAGGCUGUUGUUCAUCCUGAAUGGCAGUUUGCGAUGGCAGAGAAGAUUGCUGCUCUUGAACGCACUGGUACCUGGGAUCUUGUUUCUCUUCCUCCCGGAGUCCGUCCCAUCACUUGUAAGUGGGUCUACAAGGUUACGACUCGCUUCGAUGGUUCUCUUGAGCGUCACAAAGCUCGUCUUGUGGCUCGUGGUUUUUAGCAAGAGCAUGGUCAUGAUUAUGACGAGACUUUUGCUCCUGUGGCCCAUAUGACCACUGUUCAUACACUUCUUGUUGUUGCUUCUGCACACCACUGGUCUAUAUCUCAGCUUGAUGUUAAGAAUGCCUUUCUUAAUGGUGAGCUGCGUGAGGAGGUGUACAUGCAGCCACCACCUGUGUAUUCUGUUCCUGAUGGCAUGGUAUGUCGUCUUCGUCGCUCUCUCUAUGGCCUUAAGCAAGCCCCCCGCGCCUGGUUUGAGCGUUUUGCCUCUGUGGUCACUGACGCUGGUUUUUCAGCAAGUGCUCAUGAUCCAACAUUGUUUAUUCACCUUUCUCCUCGUGGUCGGACUCUUCUUCUUCUCUAUGUUGAUGACAUGAUCAUCACUAGGGAUGACCCCGAGUAUAUUGCCUUUGUAAAGGCCCGUCUUAGUGAGCAGUUUCUUAUGUCUGUUCUUGGACCUCUUCGCUACUCUCUUGGGAUGGAAGUCUCUUCUUCCUCUGAUGGCUUUUUUAUAUCCCAGGAAAAGUAUAUCUAGGAUCUUCUUGCUCGUGUUGUUCUUACUGACGAGCGCAUUGUUGAGACUCCUAUGGAGCUCAAUGUUCACCUCCGUGCUACUGAUGGUGAUCCUCUCCCUGACCGGACGCGUUAUCGUCAUCUUGUUGGCAGUCUUGUCUAUCUAGCUGUCACUCGUCCGGACCUCUCUUAUCCGGUUCAUAUUCUGAGUCAGUUUGUCUCUGCUCCCACAUCGGUUCACUAUAGUCAUCUCCUUCGUGUUCUCCAAUAUCUUCGGGGCACGAUCUCUCACCGUCUAUUCUUUCCUUGCUCCAGUUCUUUACAGCUUCAGACCUAUUCGGAUGCUACGUGGGCUAGUGAUCCUUCAGAACCGUUCACUUUGUGCUUACUGUGUUUUUCUUGGUGGUUCUCUCAUUGCCUGGAAGACAAAGAAACAGAUUGCAGUUUCCCGUUCGAGUGCCGAGGCUGAGUUGCGAGCAAUGGCUCUUUUGACGACAGAGGUGACUUGGUUACGGUGGUUACUUUAGGAUUUGGGUGUUUCUGUCACUACACCAACUCUGCUCUUAUCUGACAGUACAGGUGCUAUUAGCAUUGCGCGGGAUCCUGUGAAGCAUGAGCUCACCAAGCAUAUUGGUGUUGAUGCUUUUUAUGUGCGCGCUGGUGUGCAGUAUCAGGUUAUUGCUCUUCAGUAUGUGCCUUCCGAGUUACAGUUGGCGGAUUUCCUGACGAAGGCCCAGACUAGAGCACAACAUGGUUUUUAUCUCUCCAAACUCAAUGUUGUUCAUCCACCAUAAGUUUGAGGGGGGUGUUAGAGUUAUAAUAUAAGUCAUAUACCCCUUUGUAUUUAUCCCGUUGUAUAAGGGGUUUCCUGCAUAUGUUCUACACAUGUACAUGUAUAUAUAUCGGCCUAUGGCCUCAUGGGAAUACAAGUUGCAUAUUUCCUAACAACAGAACCUUCCCUUGCUCUUCUGUGACGAAGCAGCAGACCGGAGCCAUAGGUUCUCACUGUUGUGUCCUGCACGGGGCUAAGGUGGGUGGUGGGAUUCAGGGUAGCAGCAGUAAGUAGAGCCAUCUCUUGCUAGCAGCUGCCUGAAAGUGUUGUGGGCAGCUUGAGGAGUGAGUUCCCUUGCAGGCUUAUGCAUCUAUUUAUAGAUGAGGAUGGAGAAUCUGUCAAGUGGGGCUGGUGGUGGGAUGAGAAUGAAGCUACGGCUAGAACCCUAAGACACAAGGCAGGGACGCCACUGAGUUGGCUAACCUGGUGGGAGCUCUUUGUAACUUACCACCAUGCAUUCCUGUAGCCCACAAAAAAAUUGGCAGAGGAGCUUAUCUCCAUGGGUCAAAUGCAACAAAAAAAAAGGUAGCGCUUUGUACAUAAAUUAAAGAGAACAGUGAAAAGUUGUACCUAUAGACAUUCGAAUGGCACACAUAUAAAUUUGAACACACUAAGUUAAAGAGAAAUGGCCAAACUCGGCUCUUUAAAUAUCAAUCUCUCUACCCGAAUCUGACAUGCUGAAAUUCUUCUUAUCUUAAGCUAAUUAACAGUAGUUUCAAAAUCUUAAGCAUGUAAUAUGUUCGGCAAUUGGUUUCGGGGUAUUGACAAACAAUUUUUUACACACAUUCUUGUGGGGCCGGGCGGCUACCUUAUGUUAGGCAGUGUGCCCUAUCAGGAAUGACCUGGUUUUUAAUAAUAAAUUUAUUUCAUAUCCUUUGCAGGUUAUUCAUGCAUGUAAGCGAUAGCUACGUACAUGGUCUAUCCUGCAGAGGCCAGAGGAUAGAAAUAUUUUUAUGGUGGCGCCUACCUGGCUAGAGCAUACGGCCAGGGAGGUUUCUCCAUUCAUGGAUGGUGGAGUAAUCUCCGGAUAGGAUCUACCCCACCUUAGGUUGGACUUUUUAUUAUUGUUGUAGAACAAUAUUUUAUUUUUGGUUGUGUUGGACGUGUUAGUUGUGUGCAUCGUGCUACGCUUAAGAUGAGCUUUCUUUUUAAUGUGGUUGUAUCACCUCGAUAAGUCAAUUGAAUGAAAUGUCCUUUAUUGAAAAAAAUGCUAAUUAAUGAUAGACAAAAGGCUUGACUUGACUCUACCUCCUAUAGAAAGUAAAUAAAGCAAAGUUGAUGGGUAUUGGGCCAUCUCUCGCUGAGCGUAUAUGGGCGGUGCAGGCGGAUCUGCAUAUUUGGGAUCGCGAUAUUCUUAAGGGACCGAAAAAAGAAUUUACAAACUAAAAAAAGAACUAGAAAGGCUGCGGAGGGGACCUAUGUGUGCGAAGUCUCAAGCGUGACAAAAGGAGAUUCUUGUCGUCAUUGAAACUCUGUCGGAACAAGAGGAGAUUUACUAGCUACAACGUGGUCGCGCAAACUGGCUAUUGCAUGGGGAUCGUAGCACCUCCUUUUUUCAUAAUGCGGCAACGGCCAGAAAGAAAAGAAAUCAGAUUAAAAAAUUGCUUGAUGAUAAUGGGCUAUGGGUGCAAGGUACAGAGAUGAAGAAUCACAUUACGUCAGAAGUUUCCCAUCCUAACUCGGAGGUUCUAUCUCUUGUCCAAUGAAAAGUGACCGAUGAAAUGAAUGAUGCUCUUCUAGCCCCCUAUACGGUCGAGGAGGUUCGAAAGGCCCUAUUUGAUAUUGGUGAUUUAAAAGCGCCAGGUCCCGUCGGCCUCCAUGCUAUUUUUUACAAAGUAUUUUGGUCUAUGUCGGGAGAUGACUUGACUGAAGAGGUUCUUCAAGCGGUAAAUACUUGUUCUAUACCAAAUGGGUGGAUGAUACUGCAAUUGUAAUGAUCCCAAAGAUUAACUCUCCUGAAAAGGUAACCCAAUUUAGACCAAUCAGCUUGUGCAAUGUGGUGUAUAAGGUUAUUUCAAAAAUUAUUGCUGCUCGUCUAAAGAUAAUCCUAUCAGAUAUUAUUAGCCCAACUCAGAGUGUCUUUGUGCCUGGAAGAUUGAUUACAGACAAUAUAUUGGUGGCAUAUGAAUGUUUCCAUACAAUAAAAAACAAAAGGGCGGGUAAAGAGGGUUUGUGUGCCAUCAAAUUAGAUAUGCACAAAGCAUAUAACCGAGUGGAGUGGUGUUUCUUAAAGGAAAUUAUGCGGAAGUUGGGUUUCAAAGAGAUUUGGGUGAACUUAAUUAUGAAAUGUGUAUCCUCUGUGGAGUACCGGGUCCAUAUUAAUGAUGAUGAGACGGAGAGUUUUAAACUAACUAGAGGAUUGAGGUAGGGAGAUCCCCUUUCUCCCUACUUAUUCUUGUUAUGUAAAAAGGGUUUGACCGCCCUUUUAGCUAAUGCGGAGGAGAAUGGAAACAUUUCCGGUAUAAAGGUAUGGGUCGUACCAAUGUUAAUCCUAUUUUGGGUAAGAUUUGGAAAUUAUCGUGUCCUGCAAAGGUAAAAAUAUUUAUCUGGCGAACGUUGCAUGGAACUCUACCGUGUCGUGUUACACUUGCCAAUAGACAUAUGAAAGUUUCGCCUCUUUGUCCAUCAUGCUCAAAUGGGCAAGAAGAUACAAAACACAUCUUGUUUUUGUGUCAGAAGGCAAAAGAGGUUUGGGGUAAGCUGGGGAUGUACGAGGUAAUUAAGAAAGCUUGUGUUAUUGAUCGUGCGGGUGAGCCGGUUAUUGAAUUCUUACUUCUUAUGACGCACCAAGAACUAUCUAUACGAGGUUGCCAGAAUGCAAGUGAAUUAAUCGCGAUAACCACUUGGUAUUUAUGCUGGGAGAGACGCAUGUUGGUUCAUGAAGGAAAGUCUCAAGAUUGGAACCAGAUUUUGAUGGGGGUUCGUGCUAUAACAACAAACUAUGUGAAUGCCCACUUCCCUAGUGCGACUAGUAGAAAAGAAGGAUGGAGCCGAUCUCCUAUGGGUUUUGUUAAACUAAAUGUUGAUGCUUCUUUUGACCAUGAUCUACUCAGGGGCACGACAGGUGCUGUAGUCAGAGAUGACAAAGAAAAAUUCAUUGUUGGCGGAAAUUAGAAGAUCGAUUGUUGUGCUGAUGUACUAACAGCAGAAGCGAUGGCUCUGAGGCUUGAUUUAAUUCUUGCACAAAAGGCGGGAUGCAAUCGUCUUAUUAUUAACUCUGAUAAUAUGGAAGUCAUUGACACAAUGAAAAAUGGAGGACAAUCGGCAGGAGUUGCGGCGGCGGUCUUCGAGGAUUGCUACUUCAUGGCAUGUGAUUUUCCGUUGACUAGAUUUGAACAUUGUAAUAGGAUAGCUAAUAAGGUUGCUCAUGAACAUGAUAGGCUAGCGAAAGUUUCUGUAACUAGAGAUUGGUUUGAGGAGCCUAUGGAGAAUAUUGCACCUCUUCUUAUAGACGACGUAACCAUUAGUUCCAAUUAAUAAAGUGCAUGUUUUCUUUAAAAAAAGAGUAAAAAGUAUAUAUGUUUAGCUUGGAAUCCAUCUCUACAUGCAAGUAUUAAGAUUUCAUAAACUUGUUUUUCAUAACUUUUAGUGCAUCAAUCCAUUAGCUUAACUUAGCAAUGUAACCAAUGCUAGCUCCGCCCCCGAUGAGAUCUAUUGUGUUUGCUAGAGAAAUACACACAUUUUGCAGUUCGAAAUUAUCUAAAGUAAGUAACCCUUAAUUGUAUAUAUCCCAUCAUACUACCCUAUAGAAGAAAGAAAAGACCCUAAAUCCACAUCAUUCAUUUAUCUGACAAGUAUUUCCAAACAGAGGGAGUACAUUAUCAGAAUAGUCUAGCCCCCUAAAUUUGCAUCUAAAUCAUGUGCCUAUCUCCACGUCCCCAUCUCUGUCAGAAAUAUGCCGACGAUUCCCUUCAAAAAAAAAAAGAAAUACGCCGACGAUGCUAAAAAAAACAGAGGCAUUUCCGGUGGCCUGUGGUGGUGACAUGCAUGAAUCCGAACAGUGGGCCUUUUCACCUUGUUGUUACUCACCGUCGUGGUCCGAACGCGUGGCUCGUGUAACGCGUGGCUCUUCCAUUUGUUAGUGCGGUCCAUACAUUCUGUGUGUGGUUGUGAGUUAAUUGUACAGAAGUAUCAAUUGAAGCAUCACAUAUAGAUUGGUAUCAAGAUUGCUAAUUUUUGCAUAUCAGUAUUAAGAUUGUGCCAGGCUGUUGCAAAUAGGUCUAAACUGCGUAUAAACGCGUAUUGACAGUGUAUCUGACUGUUGGGGCCCAUCUGUCAGGUGCCGAUGUGGCAUAUUUUUUGCAGAAAACCCCUUGCUUUAUACGUAAUCACAUAAAUACCAUUUUUUUGCGGAAAAAGUUAACGUGAGAGACUUGUAUUUUCGUUCGGACUUGUUUGGAAGUCGGCCCAACAAAUGUUACCGUCCAAUUCGACAAAUCUUUAUCUUUAUCUUUACCUAAUAUUAAAGGGAGGAUCGUUUCUCCACAUUUUUUGUCAUACCUAAUAUUAAAGGGAGGAGCGUUUCUCCACUUUUUUCGUCACUAGUAUAAAUGCCCGUGCGUUGCACCGGGCAAAAAAUGAAAUGUAACCUGCUUCACGUGCCAUUAUGCAACAUUUUUAUAAUCUAAUUUUCGCAAACAUCAGAAAUGAGGUUACACUGAGUAUUUUUUUUGUAUGAUGAAAUUUUGAAUAAGAAAUAAGGCUACAUGUGCACGGAUCUUCUAAGACUGCUCUGCGGCAAUGAACUGCACUUGUUGAAAGUCAGAGAAGAAACCAACGCCAGUCACCACAAAACUAUGGGGGUGAUAAUGGAAGCCACCCCCCCAACCAAAUCUUUGGAAUGUCAUCCAGCCUAACAGCAUCAUCAUGAAAGUUGCAAGUCCAGUUGCGGUAGAGAAAUCACCCAUGAAAGAUGAGUGCUCGUUUGGACUGGGGAACUGCCAAAAUGAAUAAGGAACCAUGAAAAGGUUAAAGGAGUACAAGGAAAGAAGAAAAACAAAAGCCGGAAAAAAUUACAUGUGCCUUGAGCUUCGAUUUCCAUGUGACUUACACAAAAUUGAUUAUAAUGCCAUAUGCAACAACUAAGGUAGCAAGGCCCCUCACAUAUUUUGAAGAGAUCAGAACUUUCAUACUCUCUUUCAUGCUAAGCUUAGGUUUGUUCUGUUGAAACAAUGGCUAUAUUCACAACUGUGGUGAUCUGAAAAUGAUUUAAUCAAAUCAACUUGAGCAAAAAGGGCUAUCAUUUGAUAAGAAAGCUGACCAAAGAUAAACUCAAAAUUCCAUAUGGCAGGCACAAUAAUGACAUGGACAAAUAAAGGCAUCACAAAGGUACCUCAAGGAAUUAGAACUGAAAGGUAAGGCUUGCGGCCAGUGACCGGAAGUAGAAUAUGCUUAACUUGGGACAGAGCAUUAAUCACUAAAGCACUUCCAGAUUCGUUCACUUCAGCCCUCACUGGUUACAAAGCAAAGGCAAACAAAUAUCAAACAGUGGUCUCAGCUCAACCAUCCAUCGUACCUCUUCAAACAUAAUCAGAAGUAAGGAUGUUCUUUGCAAGUUUGAUUAUGAAUCACCACAAAUUUCCCUGCUAAGAACAAAGUCAAGCAUGGUGAACAAUUCACUAACUUCGGUGCAGCAAAGGAAGGCCAAUACAUUGUCAGAAGCGCAACUACGCUUGGUCAGACACACAAUCAUUCAAACAUCACAUGAAAAUAUUAGCAUCAGCAACCUGAAACCACUGCACCUCGCUCCAAGUCAAAGCGAAGUAACUAAUCUUCAGUACACGUAGUGACAGCACAAAGAGACGACCAAGCAAUCGACGUACAAAUCUCAAGAAGACUUCAAGUCAGAGGCCGCCACCCACACGCCUCCGCAGGGAGCCCGGCCGGGGCCAGUGGACCAUGGCCAUAGGCACCACCGUCUGGGAGGAGCAGCGCUGGUGGCCGGUAGCACUGCCCCCGCGGUGUGUUCCGAAGGCCACGGCUGCGCCGUGGGCGCCGCCUCAAUUGCGGGCUGGUGCGCUUAAGAACGAGCCUUGCCGGCCAUGUGCCAUCGCCUCGCGGAGCGUCUUGGCCAAAAAUAUGAAACCUAAUGCUAUGCCCUGUUUAAAACUUUUUAUAAAGUAAAAAUAUUUCAAAAAAAAUAGACAUCACAAUUUUCCAUAUGUAUCACACACUAACGUUUAGACUUUGUAGUUUCUCUACAAAGAUUGACCACAUAUUCAAUACCAGUUGGUGAAAUAGGAACAUAUAGUUCUGCAUUUCCACUCUACACAAUGUUAUUUCUCCAAAAACGAAUCCAUUUUUAGAUCUUUGUCAUAUUUCUGAACUUCAAAUUGCUCAUUGUUUGAAGUAUUCAACAGUCUAUACACAGUCAGGGCAAGAUUGGACAGAUGAUGCUAAAAUUGCAAGGGUAAGAAGAUGGACCAGACACCAGAUUAGUGGACAACCAUGGGAUGACCUCAUAAUUCAGAAGGGAGUCAGACUAAUACAUGAUCAGUCAGCCUUAAAUUCAGCAUUCAAGGUAGUAACAAUACCCUGAUACUACAGAUACGCUGAUAGCAGAGCAUGGUGUCCGUACCAAGUGGAACCAAACUUGUAGGCAAGUAAACCUAACACCAUAUCAUAAUAUGAGCACGGUGUCUUUUACACUGUUAUAUUGUUCUGUCUACUUGGGCUGGCCCAACAGAUGCUUACAAAGAUGUUGGAUAAAAUAAAUAAAAAAUGCUGGAUGAAAGCUAGAUGCAAAUGAGGUUAUACAUCAUCAACAAUUCACUGCUAUAGUUUAUUUAGAUUCACGGACAUGCUGUUUUUAUAUGUUCACUGGCAGAAUCUACGGGACUGUAUAUGCCAAUAUCUGUGCAACUGUCUCUUCGAGCCUUGGCGCAGUGGUAAAGCUGCUGUCUUGUGACCAUGAGGUCAUGGGUUCAAGUCCUGGAAACAGCCUCUUACAGAAAUGUAGGGAAAGGCUGCGUACUAUAGACCCAAAGUGGUCGGACCCUUCCCUGGACCCUGCGCAAGCGGGAGCUACAUGCACCAGGUUGCCCUUUUUUUUUGUCUCUUCAAAUUGCUAGCCUGCAGGUUGACAUGAUCAGCAAAACAUUCCUAGAGGUACGGAUCAGCAAUGUAGUAGCAAUCUAAUCAAGUUUGUGUCUAGCCCGUGGCGCCAACGACACCUCCCGUGCCACUGCCGGCCUUAGAAAUACCAAAGAAUUAUCACCCAACAACUAUUGUAUGCUUGAUUUUUAUUGCUUAUAGCAAAAUAAGGCCAAAUUUAAAUAACACUAAUUUUACUAUUUUCUAUGUUCUUUGACGACUCUUGGUGAUGAUCUAGAUUGUGUCUAACAAAUCAAAGUAAUUUACUUCACUCUGUUUUGCAAGUUUCAGUUUCUAUAGCAUGGCUUGCAUGCGUCAAGGCAACAUAGAGUAGUCAUGAAUGUAUUACCAAUCAUAUCAUUAUUAGUAAUGAUCUUUGUAUGAAUUAAUAUAGGCAUCUACCUUACUGAUACACUCAACAUAAGCAACUUGGUCCAAUGUUAUUUGGUUGAUCAUCCCAUUUUACAUAAUCCAAUCGAAGAACUGAAUUUUAUGGGCACAACUGUACUACGUGCGAAGAAUUGUACAUAAGCAGAUUUGGUAAAUGAAUACAGAGGCAUGCUCUCCAUGAAAAGUAGGAUCAAAAUAAUGCCCCCCCCCCCGCAAUCAAUAUAUAUUGUUGUACUUAGUAUAGUGAAUUUUGGGGACAUCAAUGGCUGGUUUCGACAUAGAUAUGUGCAAGAUUUUCACCUGCAAAUAACAAUGGGUUUCUAUAUCUGUCCAUCAGAGUGCAUCAUCUCCAAUAAUUAUCCAACAGACUGCUAAAAAGAUUAUUUGUCCAUAUGAUGGCUCUAGUCAGAUAUAUAUUCAGAUGUCAUACCAGUCGAUGCAAUAUAUGUACUCCGAAACUAAGCCUGGUGUUUGUACUGUUUAUUAGCCUACAGAUGUUCUCACGUACUCACAAGUAUCUAUGCAAGAUUGUGGUAGUGGGCAGUAGCAGCGGGCUAUGGGAAAGUUGUUUCAUCAAUGCGAAUGCGCACUCCUUAUUCCAGCUCUGAGGUUGGUGUUGACACAACUCCUGACAGAAAAAAAUCAUGAAAAUGUGUUAGACACACAACUGUUCAUGUCCUACCGAGCACGUCAACAUAUUGCCAAUUGGUGGGUGAAUACAAAGGUACAAACUGCAUGCAUAUUAAGAAUGACGUACAUUAUGGAAACUAUGGUAACAGCCAAUACUUUGUCGCCUCCCACUACAGGCUCCCUUGCAACGUUGGGCAUGACUCCAUAUAUUCUGUAACCGUAUAACUGAGGACACCGGUGCCCCCUUUAACGAUUUCCACUGCAACCACCACUUCACCAUCCCAGACCAAGCAGCAAAGGCCCAUGUUGUUUCCGCACAGAUCUUAGUAAAACAUGAAAGCGAUACUGAAAAGAUAUAAGGACAAAAGAGUUUUGAAUAUAAACGCUAGCCAGAUAGAUAAAACGCCAUGUGCAUCUACAAAUUUGUAUGGAGACUUGGAUAGGCAAUGCGUCGUCUUUACCUCUAAUAAAAAGCAUGUAGAGAUCAGUACAUGUUCACUUAGUAAAAUUAUAGGCCCUCUAAGCAUGUCUUCUCCGUAAUAAUUACACUAAAAGCUGUAAAUCUGCAAGGGCUCUCUUGCUGGCAGGAAGACUUUUAUGAGAAGCCAUUGAUCAGGACUGAAUUAUUCAACAUCCUCACUCAAAGAUUUUUCAUCAUUCCCAUGGGAUAAAUCAUGUAGUUCAAUCCAUCUCCUUUUAUUACUCAAUGGCCGUUAGGUAGUAUACAUCAUCUUCAUCCCCUAUCUAACCAGCCUGAAAGUUUACUACUGGAACACCACGAUACAACCAUAGAGCCUCGUAAUCUUAGCAUGGAGCCGACGACUGCGACAUGUAAGUUGCGACGGCAUCUCCGACCACUACACGCUGACAGCCUGCUCAUACUUGACCUUGCUUCUCGAUCACACAUGUAAGGAGCGGCCGUUUGCAAAUUCAGCAUGAUGUGGUGAAGCAAUUUGAAGAAGGAAGUAGUGUGCGUACGCAUCUGAAGAUGGUGGUGGCGUCGGGGCUGAUCUCAAGGUGGGCAAUGAUGGAGCGACAGAAGAUGUGGCUUGGGCUGGGCCUUGGCUUGAUGCCGGGACGACUGGGGCGGCGGCACAUGCGAUUGCUGCAAGCGAGCGGGACGAGCGUCGUCCUCGUGCAGACGCGGGCAAGGAUAGACAGCGCCGACGCUGUUGGUCGAGCGGGGCGGUGCUCCAGUGACGAGGAUGGCGGGGCCCGGUCGGAUCCGGCCGGAUCUGGACGGGACGGAUCCAUUUUCGGCGGAUUUGGCGUGCAGGCGGCCGGAUCCGGCGAGAUUAAGGGCUGGUGGCGCCAUGGCCCUUCUGGAGGUCCCUGUUCAGCGAGAAAGAGAGAAAGAGGUGAGAGGAGAUCGAGAGGAAGGAGGAGAGGGGCGAGGCGGCGGAGCGGACGGAGCUCCGGCGGUGAGGCGCGGCGGAGGUGUGGGGUCGCCGGCGAGGCGGCUUGCGGGGGCGAGGGGAGCUCGGGCAAGAUGGAGCUGCGGGAGGCAGAGCGGUCUGGUUCGGGCUGGGUUUCCAGCGUUAUUUUUGUAAAAGUGAAAUGUUAUAUAGAGACCCAGUAAAACAGGGACUGCGGAUUAAUUUCUUACAAACUGAGGGACUUUUAUGCAAAAUUGCUAACGGCGACGGACGAGAGAAACCCAAUUUUCGAAAGUAUGACGCCCCACAUAUUCUUAUUCCUUUGUCUCAAAAAAAACAUAUUCUUAUUCUUUUGUUUGUACCUUUUAUUUUUAUUUUUUUUCUCUUAUUUUUUUUAGUUUCCUUUUUCCUAUUUAGGUUUGUAAACUAUUCAUCGCACUUUAAAAAAAAUUAAAUCAUGUAUUUAAAAAAUGUUAAACAUGUAUAAAAAAAUAUUUUUGAUGUAUAGGAAAAAUGUACAGUGUGUAUGAAAAAAUAGUGAUCAAAACAUGUAUUUGAAGAAAAUGUUAAUCAUCUAUUAAAAUAAUAUUAAACACAAAUAAAUAGGUUUCACAUGUAUAUGAAAAUUGUACAAUAUGUAUGAAAAAAAAGGUCAUCAAAAUAUAUAUUUCACGCAAUUUUAACCAUGUAUUUAAAACAAACCUGUGUAAUCAAUAUUUCAUAUGUAUGCAAAAGAUAUACAAUAUGUAGAAAAAACUAGACAUCAAAACGUAUAUAUGAAAAGAUGUUAAUCAUAUAUUAUAAAAAUGUUAAACAUGUAUAAAAGUAUGUACAAUGUGUAUCACAAAAUGUAGACAUGUGUUGAAAGAAAGUAGGCAUGAAAGAUUUAUUUCAAAAUAAUGUAAUUAUUUAUUUGAAAAAUGUUAAACAUGUAUAAAGAAAUGUUCCUAAUAUAUACAAACAAAUGUAUAAUGUGUAAGAAAAAACAUAGACAGUAAAACCUAUAUUAAAAUAAUGUUAACCAUGUAUUUAAAAAAGGAUAAACAUAUGCAAUAAAAAUGUCCCUUAUGUAUAAGAGAAAUGUACAUUAUGCGUAAAAAAAGUAGACAAGUGUUGAAAAAAAAAUGAAAAAAAUGGGGAAAACCAACUCUACCCCAAGGGUUCAUGGAGCACAUGUUGAACCUCAAUCAUCCAUCUCUGAUCUGUCCUUGCCCCCAUGAAUCGCAUCGUCGCGGACAUCUUAUAUGCGUGCAGUGUGAUCAGACACCACCCUUACCGAAUUGAUUGCUAAUUGGUACAGGCAAUCACAACAUCUCGGCCUACCAUCAAUAUUGAUACUACUGUGUACCUCAUGCUAGAUGUCCAAAUACAAGCAGAUACGCUAAUUAUCGUGACAAUUUUCAUUUUUCAAUGAAAGUUCUCAUUGAUAAACUAGACAUAUGAAAUCGUUCACGAGUCAUGUCCAAGGCGGUAGCAUUAGAUAGGCAGGUGUGAACAUGUACAAAGUUAGGUCCAUUUAGAUGCCACCUCUUUUCACCCAUGCCUUAUUUCUCUCUGCUUCCCCCCAUUCUCGAGAUCCAGCGCCCAAGUUCUCAUCUUUUCCGCCCCCAAAAAACAAUUCAGCCAUAUCCAGAUCCGGAGCGCAUGGCAAGUGGAUGGUCUCCUCCGUUAAGGACAAGGACAUUACAAAGCUCUGGGAGGCCGGGUAUCUGGCCAAGGAAAUCGCCCACCGACUUCUGGCCGAGGGACAGAUCGUCCCCACUCCGGAACCCCAGGAGAGGGUCGUAUUCCUCUCUCACUUCAUUCGCGGGCUGGUAUUUCCUCUCCACCCCUUCAUCCACGGACUCAUGUACUACUACGGGUUAGAUUUCCAUGAUCUAUCCCCAAAUUCAUUCCUCAACAUAUCGGCAUUCAUCAUCGUGUGUGAGGCUUUCCUCCACAUCCCACCACACUUCGGAUUGUGGCUAAAGACCUUCAUGUGAAGCCGAAGGUGGUGGGCGGCCAACACGCAGAGUACGGAAGCUCCAUGGUGAGCAAGAUGCCUAACGUUACAUGGCCAUCAGGUACAUUUAUUGAGACCGUCAAAGGGUGGCAACAAUAGUGGUUCUAUGUCACUGAGCCGCGCGACACCACCUGGGUCGCAGCCCCCGAAUUCCAAUCUGGAGCUCCGAUGCGGCUCACCUCCUGGCCCGAGAAGGGUCUGGACGGGUCUUCGUCAGACGAGCUGACAGUGCUUCAGGAGCGCAUCAAGAGCAUGGUGGACAAGAACAUCAAGCUUGUCAACAUGAUCCAGGUGAUGCUAGCUUGCCGAAUACUUCCAUGCCAAAGUCGGACUUGCCAUCCAUGGGAGUUCGAUCCGGCCAAGCACCAGACACUACUGGAGUUCUUUGGCACUAUGCACGAAGACAUCUGGAAGGUGCUAUUCAAGUCAAGCAAGACAUGGCCGGACACGGCCGAGGAUCAUGGGCACAACUUGGCCCGUCCCGCUAGUCCGGUAAGCCUUUACAUGUUUUCAAGGUGUAUCCUUUACUUGCAUACUUGAGGAAAAUGCCUAAACUUCCCUACCGAUUCUCUCGGGGAUAGACAAAGAUGGCGGAGUAGAUUUACUGUCCGGCCCCGCUGCCGAAGACCCAGCAAUUCUACUUCUGACAAAGAUGCUGAUUCUGGCGCCCUAUAAAGCGCCGGAGAAGAAGGCCAAGAAGAAGGCCAAGGAGACCGAGGAGACCAGAAGCGGUCUCCGUCACAAGAGUGCUUCGGACAUGACGUCCGAAGACGCCGAGACUCACUCCUCCGCCUCCGAGGACGACAAGGAAGAGGAGGAAGAAGAAAGCCAUUCCCCUCCUGGGGGGGAGGAAGAAGAUGGCGGCCUCCACGCGUCUGGAGGCCGAAGCGUCCAAGAAGGGAAAAACUUCCUUCCUGGACAACUCCACAAUGGCCACCGACAGCAGCUUGGAAUGGUGCCCGAGGGUCAACCCCCUGGCCAAAUCGUGAGUACUCAAAAACCCAAACACAUUCAUAUAUCUGGCCUCUCUACUUUAUAGUCUUAACAUGUUAAGUUAUUCAUCUGCAGUCUGGCUCGGUCCGACCUUGAGCGGUCCUCGUCUUUGGGAGAUUCGCUGGACCUGGAGGCAAUGGACAGUGGGCCCUCCCGGCGGCCUCCUCUCCCAAGGCCAUGGAUGGUGCCGAGGCGCUGUCCUGAAGGAUCCCAGGCCAAGAAGAGACUCGGGAGGCCGUCAAGGCGGUGCCGGAGGGUGAAACCUCGGCCGCCAGACACAUGGAGGAGUAGAUCCCCAGGGAGACUGGCAAUGAGGGCCAUAUCCAAUUCGGUCCCCAGCCGAAUACGAUUCCGGAGAUCUAUACGGCUCCGGAAUCAGGCAAGCAGCCUCUUUCAAAAGAAGGAGGUGUGCCUAUUCCAUCGGUAUCCUCUGUCCAUCCGGAGGCACCGAAUCAUUUGCUGGAAGCGCUGCGAGGCGCUUCCAUUGUUGAGGAACACCGUAAACUUAUGGGUACGGUGGUUGAGAAGGUCCAGUCUACCAAGAGCGGACUGACCGAAGCCUGCACAAGCCUUCUAACAGGCUUUGAGGUAAGCAAAGAAAUUAUGUAAAAAGAAUGUCACAGUUUAGACAGUAGCCCCUUAGACGAUGUCCGGUGUUCGGAAAGAAAAGCCAAACAGAGGAUCAAAUAACUAUCGCAGGAGAACAAACUAACAUGUCUAUAUGUAUAAGCAGGCAUCAUUGCUGGUUGCAACCUGUCAUGCUACUAAGGUCUCCGGACUGAAGCAAAGUAUGGAGCGGACCGAGGGAGAGGUCGGCCAUGUGAAGAAACAGCUGGAGGAUAAUCAAGGUAUGCAAUAAUGCGAUAACCUUGUCCAUAUUUCAGGAAGGAUGAAUGUUUUGUACUGACUAAAGUGCCAUGACAUUUAUUAGGCGCGGCGACCAAGGUGGAGACCCUUAAGAAGGCGCUGGACGAGGCCGAGGAGAGAGCGGUGAAGGAAAAAGCCUCCCGUGAAAGGCAUGAGGCCAGGGUCGUUGAGGUCCAGCAGGAGAUCCAGGACGCCGUGAAGAGAUGUGAGUCCUUGGAGCGCGACAUUACAAAUCAAGAGACCGAACUGACCAAGGCUCGCCAAAGCGCACACGAUACCCGGGUUGAAGCCCAGGGCGCCCUCCAGGAAGUCCAGGAGGCAAGAAAAAUCACGGCGGGUAAGGCAUUCAUAAUGCAGAGCAAAUAUGUAAGAAAAGGUUCCUCUUAUUGACCCGAAUUUGGAGUUCUCCAGGGGCAUUCGCGGAUCUUCCGCGCAGCAUUUUAGAUGCUGCGGAGUUCUUCCGAGCCGAAGAGGGGAGCUCUACGGAGAAGUUGUUUUGGUCGCAAUAUCUUGCGCCAGAACAUCUGGUGCCCUUUAGCGACCAGUUAAAACAGUUGGUCGAACUGCAUAGGGUGGCCGAACUAGCCAUGAAGGAUUUAAUAAUCUGGCUAUGGCCUGCCGAAGUCAUACCCAGCAGCUACUUCGGGCUCAUGAAGCGGCUGGUCAAAGCCUGCCCUUGGCUUAAUGACAUCAAGCGGUCGGUCUGCAUCGAAGGCGCGCGAAUGGCCUUUGCACGAAUCAAGAUGCAUUGGGUCAAGAUGGACGCCGUGAAGCUUGUAACCGAGGGACCACCCGUGGGCAAGGAGCAACGCACGCCCGAGCUGUAUUUUGACAAUGUCCUGGAGGGGUCCCGCAUUGUAGCAGAGAAAUGUACGAAGGAUAUUAUCUUGGAGUGACUACAUUCAUGUUAUCCUGUCCUGUACAAUGAAACAGAAUCGCUAUGUAAUAUAAUGCCUGUUACUUUAAAAUUUUACCUCAUGUGUGGCCCUUUUGUUAAAUCUGAGAGUUGGCCAGUCAUCGGCUUCAGCCCCCACGUAGAAAGUACGGGGGUGUUCAGGAUGAAUCUAAACAUUCUUUACUCCAGAGUUUGGUCCUUCAAGGAGGUGUUUAGCGCGACGAACCAGGCAAUCAUACUAUAUGGCUUUAUCACUCUCACUUAGCCAUAGGAGUUUGACAAUAAAAAUUUAGGCACAACCCCUAGUAUUCGGACUUGGGGUACUGUAAAUACCUCAUCGGGUAAAAACCGAUUCGUCGUAUAAUGCGAAAAAAAUCGCAAAAGAUUUGUGACCUCUCAAACAACUGACCGGCUCAUGCCGCAUCAUGACAGUCAGUUUUCGGCUUUCUCUACUGAGGUGCUCAUCCGGAAUAAUCAGGACACAAUCGCAGUAGUUCUCCCUUUACUACCUUAGCCGAUAUAGCGGAAUGUAAGGUAGCAAGCACAGGAGCAGGGAAACCCAACUAUUGAGCAAAGACAUGAUUCGGAGCCAAUGCAUAUAAUACUAUAAGUUCGGGGUGCCGAACUAUACUUAAAAAAGCAUUCAGACUUUGUUGCCGUAUUGUGGGGCGUAAUGAAGCCCCUGGCGAAUUUAAAGUGUACCAAAGUGUACGGGUGCAUUCAAUAAGAAUAACGAAAUAAAAUGAAAAAGCAAGUUAAUGCCACAUAAGUUGGGCCGCGGACUAUUUUUAUCGUAAUUUCAUUGAUACGUCGAAGCAUAUUUGCAUAGAUAGUGUGUUAAACAAUAUAGCCGAUUAACCUGCCCAGACCAGGGGGAGCUGCAUGCGGUUCCCAAAGACAGGUUGAAUGAUCAUAGAAGAGAACAUCUAUAGAUUCCCUCGCGCGUCCAUACUACUUCCCGCCUUGGUAUGUGUAUAUCAUUCGAAAGGAUCGACAAUCAGGACACCAGGAAAACCUGGAAAAAAGAAACCUGAAAAGAAAAAAAAAGUAAAAGUAUGUGGGUCCACGGGAGGUUGAGCCGUAUUAGGGACCACAAUAAUGUUACGCUCCGUCUAUGCCCAUGGUAUUUUGUGUGCCUAGUUAUGUACGCCCGGUACGUAUGCCGCCAUUUGAUCGGGAUUGCGGCGGUGGCCAAAUUGCUUAUCGAGCUCUUGAUGAGCUGGGUUGUCCUUCUGCAGAGUAGUCCGGACUCGUUUGACGGUGUCCGGGAGCCUGGCCGCCGAAUUGAAGUUCUACUUGUUAAGGCUGCUCUGUAUCUCUGCUGCCAGCGCGGCGGUGUGCUCCUCAGUAUGAAGGGAGAGUUCUGUGUUUCCAUUGACUGUUAUAACACCGCGUGGUCUAGGCAUCUUAAGUUUGAGAUAAGCAUAGUGUGGCACCGCAUUGAAUCGGGCAAAUGCUGUUCGUCCGAGCAAUGCGUGAUAGCCACUGCGGAAGGGGAAGAUAUCGAAGAGCAACUCUUCGCUUCGGAAGUUAUUCGGGGAUCCAAAGACCACUUCCAGUGUGAUUGAGCCCGUACAGCGGGCCUCUACACCUGGUAUGACUCCUUUAAAGGUGGUUUUCGUGGGCUUGAUUCUUGAGGGAUCGAUGCCCAUUUUGCACACUGUAUCCGGAUAGAGCAGGUUCAGGCUGCUGCCACCGUCCAUGAGGACAUGUGUGAGAUGGAAUCCAACAAUGAUUGGACCAAGGAACAAUGUGGUUGAACCGCCAUGAUGGAUACUGUUCAGAUGGUCCCUGCGAUCGAAAGUGAUCGGGUAGAAUGACCGUGGGUUGAAUUUUGGGGCGACUGGCUCCAUCGCAUAGACAUCCCUGAGCGCGUGCAUGUGCUCCCCCUUGGGGAUAUGGGUAGCGUAUAUCAUGUUAACCGUUUUAACAUGGGGGGGGGGGACUUCUUCUGUCCCCCUGUGUUCGGUGGCCGGGGCUCCUCAUCAUCUUCCUCGCUUUGUGACCCCUUCUCCUUAUUCUCGGCAUUUAACUUGCUAACCUGUUUAAAAACCCAACACACUCUGUUGGUAUGAUUGUCUAGUUUAUCAGGAGUGUCGUGGAUUUGACAUGGACGAUCGAGUAUGCGCACCAAGUUGGACGGGCCCAGAUUGUUUAUUUUUUAUGGCUUCUUCCGCUGACCGGACUUACAGCCGCUGAAUUGGUGUUCACCGCCGUGUAUUCGGUGUUGUCACCGUUGCUUCGACGCUUGUGUCUGUUGCGUCGGGGCUUGCCAUUGCUAUUUCUGGCUUCAGAAAUGCCAGGUUCGCUUAUAUUGUUGUUGCUACGGACCAGCCAGCUAUCCUCACCCGCACAGAAGCGGGUCAUAAGCGUCGUGAGGGCUGCCAUAGACUUCGGCUUUUCUUGGCCGAGGUGUCGGGUGAGCCAUUUGCCGUGGAUGGUGUGUUUAAAGGCCGCUAGGGCUUUGGCAUCCGGACAGUCGAUGAUCUGGUUCUUUUUAGUUAAGAAUCUAGUCCAAAAUUUCAUGGCGGACUCUCCGGGUUGAUGAACUAUGGGACUCAAGACAUCGUCGUUUCGAGGUCGGACGUAUGUGCCUGGAAGUUAUCGAGGAAGGCAUCCUCCAGGUCGUCCCAGCUGCCAAUUGAGUUCUUUGGCAAACUGUUCAACCAGUGCCGAGCAGGUCCCUUGAGUUUUAGCGGGAGGUAUUUGCUGGCGUGAAGGUCAUCACAGCGGGCCAUAUAUAUGAAUAUGUAGGAGAAAAUCCUCGAUCCAUACCGCGGGGUCUAUUGUCCCAUCAUAUGAUUUGAUGUUCAUGGGUUUAAAUCAUUCUGGGAAUUCAUGUCCCAUUACUUCAUCAGUGAAGUAGAGGGGGUGUGCGGCACCUCUAUGUCGGGCCACGUCGCGAUGUAGCUCGGAUGGAGUUAGUCUGCGGUAUUCGGCCCGUACAGGGUUAUAUUUGUCACGUCCGGCCUGAUGGCCAUCGUCAUGCAUCGAGGCACGCCCCCGCGAUGCAUAGAUUGAUCUGGUCUGACAUGCUCUGUUUUCCAGGAAAUGCCGCAGGUCAUAUGUGUAUCCUCGAGCUGUUGUGUCUUUGUUUUUUCGGAAAAGUAAUGCGAGAUGGUGUUCGGCUUGAGUUGCCGCUUUGUCCCGUCCACGCAGUGGCCGGUCAGCCGCAUUGUGCGCUCGUAGGACGGGCUCCAGCCCCUCGUCAUUGAAUUGGGGCAGCAAUUCGCACUUCGGGUAACUUUUGGUUGGCGCUCGAGAUCUUAUUCCAUGGCUGCCAGGACAUUAGUCCAUCUGUCAUUGAGUAGAUCUUGAUUAGCUUGAAGCUUCUGCUGCUUCUUUUUCAGGCUCAUUGCAGUGGCUAUUAGCUGGCGCUGAAAGCGCUCCUGGUCGAUGGGCUCCUCAGGCACGAUGAAGUUUUCGUCGCCGAGGCUCGACUCAUACUUGAAGGGUGGAAGAUAAGUGCUGUCCUCCGAGUCUUCGUUAGUGGCCUGUUCGUUAGGGCUGACUCGCCCAUCCUCCCGUUCAUCCUAUUCGGAAGUUGGCUCAACGGGGUCUUCGUUGUCUUCGGCAUCGUCCGGAGUAUUUUCUCCUGUGCCGAUGUUGCUGUUUUUUCCAUGGCAUGGUCUAGAGCGGCGCCGCUGACGUCGGCGCUUUGGCUGCUUCUCAAGAGGCUUAUCCUCAACUGGAUCCUUUCUGUUGUCCUUGUUAUCUUUGGGUGUAUCCACCAUGUAUACGUCAUACGAGGAGGUGGCUGUCCAGCGCCCUGUACGCGGUGGUUCUUGAGCCUGCUCCUCUCCGGCAUCAUCGUCCAUACCGUUAAUGUCUUGAUACGUCCAUUUUGCAUCAUGCUUUUAGAUCAAUAUUUAUUGCAUUAUGGGCUGUCAUUACACAUUAUAUCUCAAUACUUAUGGCUAUUCUCUCUUAUUUUAAAAGGUUUACCAUGAAGAGGGGGAAUGUCGGCUGCUGGAAUUCUGGCUGGAAAAGGAGCAAACAUUGCAAACCUAUUAUGCACAACUCCAAAAGUCCUGAAACUCCAUGAAACAAAUUUUUGGAUUUAUUAAGAAUUUAUGAGCGAAAGAAAUAGGCCACGGGCCCACACCCUGUCCAGGAGACAGGGGGCGCCCCCCUGUAGGGCGCGACCCCCUAUCUCCUAGCCCCCCUGGUGGGCCUCCGGUGUCCAUCUUCUGCUAUAUCAUCACUUUUACCCUGGAAAAAAAUUGGGGGCAAGCUUACGGGAUGAAACUCCACCGCCACGAGGCAGAACCUUGGCGAAAUCAAUCUAGGGCUUUGGCGGAGCUGUUCUGCCGGGGACACUUCCCUCUGGGAGAGGGAAAUCAUCACAAACAUCAUCACCAACGAUCCUCUCAUCGAGAGGGGGUCAAUCUCCAUCAACAUCUUCACCAGCACCAUCUCCUCUCAAAACCCUAGUUCAUCUCGUGUAUCCAAUCUUGUAUCAAAACCACAAAUUUGUACAUGUGGGUUGCUAGUAGUGUUGAUUACUCCUUGUAGUUGAUGCUAAUUGGUUUACUUGGUGGAAGAUCAUAUGUCCAGAUCCUUUAUGCAUAUUAUUACUCCUCUGAUUAUGAACAUGAAUAUGCUUUGUGAGUAGUUACGUUUGUUCCUGAGGACAUGGGUGAAGUCUUGCUAUUAGUAGUCAGGUGAAUUUGGUAUUCGUUCGAUAUUUUGAUGAGAUGUAUGUUGUCUUUCCUCUAGUGGUGUUCUGUGAACGUCGACUACAUGACACUUCACCAUUAUUUGGGCCUAGAGGAAGGCAUAGGGAAUUAACAAGUAGAUGAUGGGUUGCUAGAGUGACAGAAGCUUAAACCCUAGUUUAUGCGUUGCUUCGUUAGGGGUUGAUAUGCACCCAUAUGUUUAAUGUUGUGGUUAGGUUUACCUUAAUACUCUUUUUUGUAGUUGUGGAUGCUUGCAAUAGGGGUUAAUCAUAAGUGGGAUGCUUGUCCAAGUUAGGGCAGUACCCAAGUGCCGGUCCACCCACAUAUCAAAUUAUCAAAGUACCGAACGUGAAUCUUACGAACGUGAUGAAAACUAGCUUGACGAUAAUUCCCAAUGUGUCCUCGGGAGCUCCUUCCUCAUUAUUAGAAUUUGUCCAGUCUUUGAUACAUAAAGGAUUGGGCCACCUUGCUGCACUUUAUUUACUUUAUUUACUUUUUGCUCGUUACUAUUUAUCUUAUCACAAAACUAUCUAUCACCUAUUAGUUCAGUGCUUGCAGAGAAAACCUUACUGAAAACCGCUUAUCAUUUCCUUCUGCUCCUCGUUGGGUUCGACACUCUUACUUAUCUAAAGGACUAUGAUAGAUCCCCUACACUUGUGGGUCAUCAAGACUCUUUUCUGGCGCCGUUUCCGGGGAGUGUAGCGCUUUUGGUGAGUGGAACUUGGUAAGGAAACAUUUAUAUAGUGCGCUGAAAUUUUCUAUUACUUGUCACUAUGGAAACUAAUCCUUUGAGGGGCUUGUUUGGGGUAUAUUCACCCCAAACAGAAGAGAAAAGAGAUGCUCCUCAACCUACUGAACCUUAUGAAAAUAUUCAUUUUGAGAUUCCUUCGGGUAUGAUAGAAAAACUGCUAGCUAAUCCUUUUGCAGGAGACGGAACAUUGCAUCCCAACUUACACCUUAUCUUUGUGGAUGAAGUUUGUGGAUUAUUUAAUCUUGCAGGUAUUCCCGAUGAUGUUUUCAAAAGGAAGGUCUUCCCUUUAUCUUUGAAGGGAGAUGCAAUGACAUGGUAUAGGCUAUGUGAUGAUACGAGAUUUUGGAAUUAUAAGCGACUAAAGUUGGAAUUUCACCAAAAGUUAUAUCCUAUGCAUCUUGUACAUCGUGAUCGUAAUUACAUAUACAAUUUCUGGCCUCGCGAAGGAGAAAGCAUUGCUCAAUCUUGGGGGAGGCUUAAUUCAAUGUUAUAUUCAUGCCCCCAAUCAUGAGCUCUCUCGGGAAAUGAUUGUUCAGAAUUUUUAUGCUCGGCUUUCUCUUGAUAGUCGCAACCUGCUCGAUACUUCCUGUGCUGGUUCCUAUAUGCUGAAGACUAUUGAUUUCAAAUGGGACUUAUUGGAAAGAAUUAAACGCAACUCUAAAGAUUGGGGUUCCGACGAUGGUAAGGAGUCAGGUAUGACACCUAAGUUCGAUUGUGUUAAAUCUUUUAUGGAUACCGAUGCUUUCCAUGGAUUUAGCUCUAAGUAUGGACUUGACUCUGAGAUAGUAGCUCCUUUUUGUGAAACUUUUGCUACUCACGUUGAUCUCCAUAAAGAGAAGUGGUUUAAAUAUAAUCCUCCUGUUGAAGUGAAGGUAGUUGAACCUAUUACAGUCGAAGAAAAGACUAUUACAUAUAGUGAUCCUAUUAUUCCUACUGCUUAAGUCAAAAAACCUCCUUUUCAUGUUAGGAUAAAAGAUCAUGUUAAAGCUUCGACUGUUGUUCUUAAGAGUAAUACUAGGACUUAUACACCUCCUGAGGAAAUUAAUGUUGAACCUGGUAUUGCUAUGAUUAAAGAUCUCUUGGAUGAGGACUUAGAUGGGCAUUUUAUCUCUUUCUUGGGUGAAACUGCUAAUAUUGCUAGGCCCGAUACUAAGACACGUCGGCCUGUUGUAGGCACGCCUGUUAUUUUUGUUAAAAUAGGAGAUCAUUGUUAUCAUGGCUUAUGUGAUAUGGGUGCUAGUGCUAAUGCGAUACCUUAUGAUCUUUAUAAAGAAAUUAUGCACGAUAUUGCACGUGUUGAAUUAGAAGACAUUGAUGUUACUAUUAAGCUUGCUAAUAGGGACACCAUUAAACCUAUUGGGAUUGUUAGAGAUGUUGAAGUCUUGUGUGGGAAGAUUAAAUACCCUGCUGAUUUUCUUGUUCUUGGUUCCCCACAAGAUGAUUUUUGUCCCAUUAUUUUUGGUAGACCCUUCUUGAAUACUGCUACUGCUAAGAUUAAUUGUGAAAAGAAUAUUGUCACUGUUGGCAUAGAUGGUAUGUCUCAUGAUUUUAAUUUCGCUAAGUUUGGUAGACAACCUCGUGAAAGGGAACCACCUAGUAAGGAUGAAAUUAUUGGUCUUGCUUCCAUUGUUGUUCCUCCAAUUGAUCCAUUAGAACAAUAUUUGUUAGACCAUGAAAACGAUAUGUUUAUGAAGGAAAGGGAAGAAAUAGAUGAUGUGUUCCUUAAACAGGAACCUAUGCUGAAACAUAACCUUCCGUUGAAAUUCUUGGGGAUCCCCCUCCACCCAAGGGUGAUCCCGUGUUUGAACUCAAACCAUUACCUGAUAAUCUUAAGUAUGCUUAUCUUGAUGAAAAAGAAAUAUAUCCUGUUAUUAUUAGUGCUAACCUUUCAGAGAAAGAAGAAGAAAGAUUAUUGAAAACUCUGAAGAAGCACUGAGCAGCUAUUGGAUAUACUCUGGAUGAUCUUAAGGGCGUUAGUCCCACGUCAUGUCAACACAAAAUUACAUUGGAGGACGAUGUCAAACCAGUUAGAGAUCCCCAAAGACGAUUAAAUCCCAAGAUGAAGGAAGUGGUAAGAAAGGAGAUACUAAAGCUCCUUGAGACAGGUAUUUUUUAUCCCGUUGCUGAUAGUGAAUGGGUAAGCCCUGUCCAUUGUGUCCCUAAAAAGGGAGGUAUUACCGUUGUUCCUAAUGAUAAACAUGAAUUGAUCCCGCAAAGAAUUAUUACAAGCUAUAGGAUGGUAAUUGAUUUCUGUAAGUUAAAUAAAGCUACUAAGAAAGAUCAUUACCCUUUACUUCUUAUUGAUCAAAUGCUAGAAAGGCUAUCCAAACACACACAUUUUUGCUUUCUAGAUGGUUAUUCUGGCUGCUCUCAAAUACCUGUGUCCGCGAAGGAUCAAUCUAAAAUUACUUUUACUUGCCCUUUUGGUACUUUUGCUUAUAGACGUAUGCCUUUUGGUUUAUGUAAUGCACCUGCUACCUUUCAAAGAUGCAUGAUGGCUAUAUUUUCUGAUUUUUGUGAAAAGAUUUGUGAGGUAUUCAUGGAUGACUUCUCCGUCUAUGGAUCCUCUAUUGAUGAUUGUUUGAGCAACCUUGAUCGAGUUUUGCAGAGAUGCGAAGACACUAGUCUCGUCCUGAAUUGGGAAAAGUGUCACUUUAUGGUUAAUGAAGGCAUUGUCUUGGGGCACAAGAUCUCCGAGAGAUGUAUUGAAGUUGAUAAAGCCAAAGUUGAUGCUAUUGAAAAGAUGCCAUGUCCCAAGGACAUAAAAGGUAUAAGAAGUUUCCUCGGUCAUGUCAGCUUUUAUAGGAGGUUCAUUAAGGACUUUUCUAAAAUCCCUAGGCCUCUGACUAAUUUAUUGCAAAAAGAUAUUCCGUUUUUCUUUGAUGAUGAUUGUGUAGAAGCAUUUGAAACACUUAAGAAAGCCUUGAUCACUGCACCUAUUGUUUAGCCACCUAAUUGGAAUUUACCUUUUUAAAUUAUGUGCGAUGCUAGUGAUUAUGCUGUAGGUGCUGUUUUAGGACAAAGGGUCGAUAAGAAAUUGAAUGUUAUCCAGUAUGCUAGUAAGACUCUUGAUACUGCCCAGAGAAAUUAUGCUACUACUGAAAAAGAGUUAUUAGCAGUUGUGUUUGCAUGUGAUAAGUUUAGACCUUAUAUUGUUGAUUCCAAAGUUACUAUUCACACUGAUCAUGCUGCUAUUAAAUAUCUUAUGGAAAAUAAAGAUGCUAAGCCUAGACUCAUUAGAUGGGUUCUCUUGCUCCAAGAAUUUGACUUGCAUACUAUUGAUAGAAAGGGAGCUGAGAACCCCAUUGCAGACAACUUGUCUAGGUUAGAGAAUGUUCUUGAUGACCCAUUGCCUAUUAAUGAUAGUUUUCCUGAUGAACAAUUAGCGGUUGUCAAUGCUUCUCGUACUGCUCCUUAGUAUGAUGAUUAUGCUAAUUACAUUGUUGCUAAAUAUAUACCGCCUAGUUUCACAUACCAGCAAAAGAAAAAUUCUUUUAUGAUUUAAGACGUAACUUCUGGGAUGAUCCACACCUUUAUAAAGAAGGAGUAGAUGGUAUUAUUAGACGUUGUGUGCCUGAGCAUGAACAGGAACAAAUCCUACGCAUGUGUCACUAUGAAUCUUAUGGAGGACACCACGCUGGAGAUAGAACUGCACACAAGGUACUACAAUCUGGUUUUUAUUGGCCUACUCUUUUCAAAGAUGCUCGUAAGUUUGUCUUAUCUUGUGAUGAAUGUCAAAGAAUUGGUAACAUUAGUAGACGUCAAGAAAUGCCUAUGAAUUAUUCUCUUGUUAUUGAACCGUUUGAUGUUUGGGGCUUUGAUUAUAUGGGACCUUUUGCUGCCUCCAAUGGUUAUACAAAUAUUUUAGUUGCUAUUGAUUACGUUACUAAGUGGGUAGAAGCUAUUGCAACUAGUAGUGUUGAUCAUAACACUUCUAUUAAAAUGCUUAAACAAGUUAUUCUUCCGAGGUUUGGAGUCCCUAGAUAUCUUAUGACUGAUGGUGGUUCACACUUUAUUCAUGGUGCUUUCCGUAAGAUGCUUGCUAAAUAUGAUGUCAAUCAUAGAGCCGCAUCUCCUUAUCACCUGCAGUCUAGUGGUCAAGUAGAGUUGAGCAAUAAUAGAGAGCUCAAAUUAAUUUUGCAAAAGACUGUGAAUAGAUCUAGAAAGAAUUGGUCCAAAAAAUUUGAUGAUGCAUUAUGGGCCUAUAGAACUGCAUACAAAAGUCCUAUGGGUAUGUCUCCAUAUAAGAUGGUUUAAGGAAAAGCAUGUAAUUUACCUCUUGAACUUGAACAUAAAGCAUAUUAGGCUAUUAAAGAGCUCAAUUAUGACUUCAAACUUGCCGGUGAGAAGAGGUUGUUUGAUAUUAGCUCACUUGAUGAAUGGAGAACCCAAGCAUAUGAAAAUGCCAAGCUUUUCAAAGAAAAAGUCAAACGCUGGCAUGAUAAGAGGAUACAAAAGCGUGACUUUAACGUAGGAGAUUAUGUGUUAUUAUUUAACUCUCGUUUAAGAUUUUUUGCAGGAAAACUUCUCUCAAAAUGGGAAGGUCCCUACGUUAUCGAGGAGGUCUAUCGUCCUGGUGCUAUAAAAAUCAACAACUUCGAAGGCACAAAUCCGAGGGUGGUUAACGGUCAAAGAAUUAAACAUUAUAUUUCGGGUAAUCCUAUCAAUGUUGAAACUAAUAUUAUUGAAACCAUAACCCCCGAGGAAUACAUAAGAGACACUUUCCAGAACGUUCCAGACCCCGAAAAGGCAUGGGUACGUGGUACGGUAAGUAAACCGACUCCAAAACAACUCUAAUGGCAAUUUUUAUCAGUUUUGGAUUAUUUAAGAAUUUUAGGAAGAAAGAAGUAGUCCGAAAGGGACACGAGGCUCCCACGAGAGUGGAGGCUGCGCGCCACUUUGUAGGGCGCGCCCCCUGUCUCAUGGGCACCUCGUGUGCCUCCCGGACUCCAUUUUCUUGUAUGUUACGUAUUUUGGUCGGUAAAAAUUCAUUAUAUAUACUCCCGAAGGUUUUGACCACCGUAUCGCGCAAAUAUCCUCUGUUUUCAUUUCGAGCUGUUUCCGUUGCAGAUCUAGAGCACCAUGACUUCUCCAUCCUCCAACAACGAAGACAAGGAUGCUUGGCUAUUGAAGAUAGAGUUGAAAAGAGAGGAACCAGAAGAGAUCAACAAGGAUGAAGGUAACAAUAAGGCCAUGGCGGUUCAAGCUCCGGUGGUAAAAAAGAAGACAUCCCUCAACCUUUACCUAACCUUUUCACUCCAACAGAGAUUGAAGCUUUCAAGAUGAUUGAGUUAGCCCGCAUACAGAACAAGUAUCUCACACAGGAGAAUAUUUUGUUGAAGGAUGAUAUUGUUGGGCUCAAGGGCAUUAUCCGCAAGUUGGAGGAGCUUUUACGCUCGAUGUGCGAUUAUCCACCGUCAUCAUCACCACCUCCAUCUCCUCCGAGGAAAUAAUCACAUGGGUAUGGGCACUCCCCUUGGCAACUGCCAAGCUUGGGGAGGUGCCCAGAUAUCGUAUCACCAUCACACUCCUAUCUUUACCGCUUUAUUUAGUUUGAUCCUUUUAGUAGUAUCUUGAUCUAGUAGAUUGAAGUUUUGAUAUCAAGUAGUUUUGAGUUUUGCAUUGUGAUCUCUUUAUGUAAGCGAGUCUGUGUGCUAUCUAUAAUAAAGGUUAGUGUUGAGUCAAGGGCUUUGCUAUCUUGCUAUGAUCUUAAGAAAGUAGAAAGAACAAAAGAGUUCAUAUUGAUCUUAUGGAUAGUGAUAACUUCACACAUAGAAAGUAUGAGGCAUAAAAAUUGUUGAGAGUUGACGAACGUAGCCUUGAUCAUCGUUGCAAUUAAUAGGAAGUGAUAAGGAAAGAGGGGUUCACAUAUAGAUAUAUUAUCUUGGACAUCUUUUAUGAUUGUGAAUCACUCAUUAAGUAUGACAUGCUAAAAGAGUUGAUGUUGGACAAGGAAGACAACGUAAUGGUUUAUGUUUUCCGACAUCUCAGUUAAAGUAUAUUGUCAUUAACCUUCCAAACAUGUUGAGCUUGCCUUCCCCCCUCUUGCUGGCCAAAUUCCUUGCACCAAGUAGACAUACUACUUGUGCUUCCAAAUAUCCUCAAACCCAGUUCUGCCAUGAGAGUCCACCAUACCUACCUAUGGAUUGAGUAAGAUCCUUCAAGUAAGUUGUCAUCGGUGCAAGCAAUAAAAAUUGCUCUCUAAAUAUGUAUGACUUAUUAGUGCAGAGAAAAUAAGCUUUGUAUAAACUUGUUGUGGAAGUAAUAAAAGCGACGGAUUGCAUAAUAAAGGUCCACAUACAAGGGGAAAUAUAAAGUGACGUUCUUUUGCAUUAAGAUUUCAUGCAUCAACCCUAAACGCGCAUGACAACCUCUGCUUCCCUCUCCGAAGGCCCUAUCUUCUACUUUAUGUUUUCACUUUAUGUUUGAGUCAAGGUGAUCCUCACCUUUCCCCUUUUUCAUCUUAUCCUUUGGCAAGCUCCUCGUCUUUGAAAGAUCAUGAUACAUAUAUCCAAUUGGAUGUAAGUUGGCAUAGGCUAUUAUUGUUGACAUCACCUAAAGGUGAAUACGUUGGGAGGCAACACAAUAAGCCCCUAUCGUUCUUAGUGUCCGGCUGAAACUCUAUAACCACGAGUAUUGAGUGAGUGUUAGCAAUUAUGGGAGACUACGAGAUAGUUGAGUAUGUGAGCUUGUUGAAAAGCUCUAUUAUUGACUCUUUCUGAUGUUAUGAUAAAUUGCAAUUGCUUCAAUGACUGAGAUUAUAAUUUGUUAGUUCCCAAUGAAGUUUAUGAACCAUACUUGACAUUGUGAAUUGCUUAUUACUUUAGCAUAGGAGAUCAUAUGACAAAAUCUAUUUAUGUUACUGUUAUUAGAAUGAUCAUGAUGCCCUCAUGUCCGUAUUUUAUUUUUAUCGACACCUCUAUCUCUAAGCAUGUGGACAUAUUUUUCGAUUUCGGCUUCCGCUUGAGGACAAGCGAGGUCUAAGCUUAGGGGAGUUCAUACAUCCAUUUUGCAUCAUGCUUUUAUAUCAAUAUUUAUUGCAUUAUGGGCUGUCAUUACACAUUAUAUCUCAAUACUUAUGGCUAUUCUCUCUUAUUUUACAAGGUUUACCAUGAAGAGGGGGAAUGCCGGCAGCUGGAAUUCUGGCUAGAAAAGGAGCAAACGUUGGAAACCAAUUCUGCACAACUCCAAAAGUCCUGAAACUCCACAAAACAACUUUUCAGAUUUAUUAAGAAUUUAUGAGCGAAAGAAAUAGGCCAGGGGGGUGCCCCCCCUGUAGGGCGCGGCCCCCUAUCUCCUGGGCCCCCUAGUGGGCCUCCGGCGUCCAUCUUCUGUUAUAUCAUCAAUUUUACCCUGGAAAAAACCGGGGGCAAGCUACGGGACUAAACUCCGCCGCCAUGAGGCGGAACCUUGGCGGAAUCAAUCCAGGGCUCUGGCGGAGCUGUUCUGCCGGGGACACUUCCCUUCGGGAGGGGAAAAUCAUCACCAACGUCAUCACCAACGAUCCUCUCAUAGAGAGGGGGUCAGUCUCCAUCAACAUUUUCACCGGCACCAUCUCCUCUCAAAACCCUAGUUCAUCUCUUGUAUCCAAUCUUGCAUCAAAACCACAAAUUGCUACUUGUGGGUUGCUAGUAGUGUUGAUUACUCCUUGUAGUUGAUGCUAAUUGGUUUACUUGGUGGAAGAUCAUAUGUUCAGAUCCUUUAUGCAUAUUAUUACUCCUCUGAUUAUGAACAUGAAUAUGCUUUGUGAGUAGUUAUGUUUGUUCCUGAGGACAUGGGUGAAAUCUUGCUAUUAGUAGUCAUGUGAAUUUGGCAUUCAUUCGAUAUUUUGAUGAGAUGUAUGUUGUCUUUCCUCUAGUGGUGUUAUGUGAACGUCGACUACAUGACACUUCACCAUUAUUUGGGCCUAGAGGAAGGCAUAGGGAAGUAAUAAGUAGAUGAUGGAUUGCUAGAGUGACAGAAGCUUAAACCCUAGUUUAUGCGUUGCUUCAUUAGGGGUUGAUAUGGACCCAUAUGUUUAAUGUUGUGGUUAGGUUUACCUUAAUACUCUUUUUUGUAGUUGUGGAUGCUUGCAAUUGGGGUUAAUCAUAAGUGGGAUGCUUGUCCAUAUUAGGGCAGUACCCAAGUGCCGGUCCACCCACAUAUCAAAUUAUCAAAGUACCGAACGCGAAUCUUACGAACGUGAUGAAAACUAGCUUGACAAUAAUUCCCAAUGUGUCCUCGGGAGCUCCUUCCUCAUUAUUAGAAUUUGUCCAGGCUUAUCCUUUGCUACAUAAAGGAUUGGGCCACCUUGAUGCACUUUAUUUACUUUAUUUACUUUUUGCUCGUUACUAUUUAUCUUAUCACAAAACUAUCUAUCACCUAUUAUUUCAGUGCUUGCAGAGAAAACCUUACUGAAAACCGCUUAUCAUUUCCUUCUGCUCCUCGUUGGGUUCGACACUCUUACUUAUCGAAAGGACUACGAUAGAUCCCCUACACUUGUGGGUCAUCAUGUCUUCGGUGCCGUAAUCGAGCAUGUCGGUUAAGUCUUCGAAAGUGGCUAUGAAGUGGGCGGUGGGUGGGAAGCGGAAUUAUCCGCCCUCAGCUUCCAAUUCGAAAUGGAUAUAUUUCGGCUGAGAGUUCCCCAACAAGGAGAGGGCUCUUAUUGAGUUUAGCACAUCGUGGAAUGGUGAGUGCCGGACGAUGUCCACGGAGCUAAACUCAAAGAUCGGCGCCUGAUCAGGUUCGAUGGGCGCGGAUCUACGCAGUUGGGAACUUAUGACCGGAGACGAUUCUGAAAUUCCGGUAACACAGGUUCCGCUCGAGGUCGGAUCUGUGUGCGGCUCUAACGCCGAUGAGUCAGGGGCUUCCGUGGCGGGGUUGAGCUUCCCGUCCUCGGACGAUGCAGUCUGCUCCAGACCUGGGAGCAGAGCAGUUACAGGAGCUAUCUCCUGGGCACGAUCCGAUGACAGAUUUAGGUCAUGUUCAUCGUUGAGGUGGGGAGCGGCUGUCAUGGGCUCGAAUCCGUCGAAGAUCAAGUCUCCGAGGAUAUCGGUGACAUAAUUCAAGCUUCCGAACCUAGCCUGAUGGCCAGGGGCGUAGCUAUCGAUCUGCUCUAGAUGGCCAAGCAAGUUGGCCCGUAGUGCGAAACCGCCGAAUACGAAGAUCUGUCUGGGGAGGAAAACCUCACCCUGGACUGCAUUGUUGUAGAUGAUUGAUGGAGCCAUCAAGACCUUCUCGUGACGACGCAGCGGAACUCUCAAUGAAAGCACCAAUGUCGGUGUCAAAACCGGCGGGUCUUGGGUAGGGGGUCCCGAACUGUGCGUUUAAGGUUGAUGGUAACAGGAGGUGGGGACACCAUGUUUGCCCAGGCUUGGACCAUCUCUAUGGAGAUAAUACCCUACUUCCUGCUUGAUUGAUCUUGAUAAAUAUGAGUAUUACAAGAGUAGAUCUACCACGAGAUCGUAAUGACUAAACCCUAGAAGUCUAGCCUGUAUGAUUAUGAUUGUGUAUAUGCCUCUACGAACUAAGCCCUCCUGUUUAUAUAGACACUGGAGGGGACUAGGGUUGUACCACUACAAGAAAUCUCCUAAUACAUGACGGACCUUGUCCGUCACAAAUCAAUGGAAAACUGUCAUGGGUAACCUUUCAUGACGAACUUGCAACCCGUCAUGUAUAUCGCGUCAUAAUUUGACAUCGCACCUUACAUGACGGUACUUGUCCGUCAUGGAUCUGCCCCAAGCCCGCCCUGGCACAAUUCAUUGUGACAGAACAAACCGUCACCGAUUAACGCCACGUAGGAUUUUUUAUUGACCAAUUUGAAUGACAUGGCUGCCUACGUGGAUACAUUUUCCGCCACAAAAUUCGUCAUGGUUGAGCACAUUAACCCAUAUCAUUUGGCCCACUUUUUACAUGAUACAUUUUUAGCAUAAUGCGUUACACAAAUUCCAGUGCCAAUUUUGGCCGAAGAAGAAGUAUUUGCAAAUUGUAUAACAUUACACUGAUCAACCAAUAUGCACCCAUCUAUAUAUAUGUAAAACGUAGCAGUUAACAAAAUCAUCUACAAAAAUGAUAACUUACAAUAUAGAUUGAAAACAAAAUCACACAUCAGGGUUAUGAAUGAGUACAAUUCAUUUUAUAUCAAUGUAACAUACAAACUAUAGAGGUCAUUAUUUAGGUUCUUGCUAUCGGCCCUCCUGAUGGCAACCAUCAUAUCGUGGCUGAUUGUGAUGUGCAGAAACAAGUAGCCAGCUUCCCAAUCUUACCUGCAUGUUUAUAAGAACCUUAGAUUUUUUUUAGGGAUAUGACUAGAUACUAGAAAUAAUAUAAUUGCAAAAAUAUAAAAAUGAAUUACAUGUCCAACAUUCUUAAAUCUUAUAGUUCCUACAAAUGAGAACAACAUUGUAUCCACUAUAAAACAAGAGUAAACAUGAGGUUUCUUAAAAUUAAUCCAAAGAAAAGUGUGGCGAAGUAACAAAACACACAUCACAUCUAUCUAUAUCUAUCUAUCUAUCUAUCUAUCUAUCUAUACCUAUACUAAUUUGUGACUCCCUAGAAAUUACCAUGUUAAUCAGUAAUUAGGAGCCGUUAAUCUGGUGGGACCAAAUUAUUAUGGUGUAGAUCUCUCUUCAAUCUCUCCCAAAAAGAAAAAAAAUCUCAUGGUUAUCUCCCCCACGAUUGAAAUCUCUUAGGUGUAAAAAAACUCACGUACCUAUCUCUCUCCCACAACCAAAUCUAUCUAUCUAUUCUAUACCUAGGCUAACAAAAAAAAGAAUGCUAACUAACCACGUAAUAGUCUUGCGAGACCGUCUCUCCUGAUUAUGUGCUCGACCUAUACGCGGCGACGUACCACAAAGCCCGCCGCCGCCGCCGCCGCCGCCGCCAGUGCCAUCCAUCGUCCGCAGGCACAACCCCAUUGCCGGCAGCAUAAGAUGCGUUGCAGCCAAGAAGUAGAUUCCAUCGCACAGGAGAAGGUCAGAUUCAUAUCCAUAGCAUAAACAUCAUCACGUUAUGGAUGCACAUGCAUAUGUGAAUAGUGGCGUCAAUUGGGCGUAUUUUGUACAUGUACAUGUCCAAGUAGUAGUCUAAGUCUGUAAUCAAUGCAGUGAUUCUGCGUGCGUGUAUUGUGUGUGCAUCUUGCUAGAAUCAAGCACUCUAUGUUAGCUAACUAGCAACCUUUACGUUGAUGCAUCCUUCUUCGAUUAAUACAGAUUUUAUCACAGAGGAACUGUCGCCGUCGACGUCGUCAUCGGGCCUUGCCGGGAGUAUCAACAGGUUUACGCUGCGUCCAUGUCUCUGGGCAUCAGGAGCUUCACAUAAGUGCUAAUUCCGUGACUGGGAUUUUCAAUAACUUUUAUACAUUAUCUGUAGUUGCACUAUGAUAAAAUUUAGAUUGCUUUACUAAUGUUCAAGCAUGCAAAAUAAUGCUUAGUUUAAUACACCGGCAUGUGGUUGUCAUUAUUUCUGAACUUAUUCCCUGCAGAGACUGUAGCAACAGAUCAAUAGCCUGCAUGUUACUACUUCGAUUCUGUUGUUUCCUAGAGACAAUAGCUAUGUAACCUAGCCGUCCUCUCUAACCUCAUCUAGGAAUUUGGUUUAUUAGAGUUCAACCAUGUCUUUCAAAAAUCAUACUUAAACAUAUUCCAUUUAUUUAUCACACUGUUUAUAGGUAAUAUGGUCAUCCCUUUGUAGUUCAAUUUGGAAGACAGUCACAGAACAUUAUUAGCUGGCAAUAGCAGCACUGUUUUAUGUCCGGCCAGGACAUCAAUAUGGCUGCUGCGAGCAGGCCGGUAGAGACCCAGAACAACAGUUUCGGGACUCCACCUCCAAUCAUCGUCAUGUGGUAUCUUGAGGUGCCCAAGUGUUAGGCCGUGGUGCAGCAGCUGGCGACGGCGUGUCUGGACGCCAUGGGCAGACAGUAUAGAUGUAUGUUUUUCUCACUUUAGCUGGUUUAUGAUGAAAUUGGGGAUCAUGUAUCCUAUGCAUGCAUGAUAACUACGUACAGUUUUUAUGUACAGAUGGUGUGUUGCACUGCUAUUUUGUUGAAAAGACAUUAUCCAUCAGUCCUUUUAUUUCUUAGUUUCUUUCCCUUCUAAUAAUUGAUUUGGUUGGUUUCUAGACUAAAGUAUUUGAAGGCAUGAAUAAUUGGUUAGAAGUAUAGUAUGUCUUGCGAUCUAAGUUUCCAAUUGUAUGUCAGAUCAACAUUCUGUAGGUGGCCGAUUGCUAUGUCUGCACGUAAACAUGCUAAAUUAUACAUGUUAUCUUCCAGUGAAGAGACGAUAAAAAUAGAGGAAUUUAAAUCUACGGACACUAGCAAUUUCCAGUUUUAUAUAUGAGCACAUGGAGCUCUUUCAGAUCAAUCUGCAAUAUUUAUUGUUCUGCUAUGUCUAAAAGUAUAUCGAAAUUUUGUCCCCCUCUGUUCUUUAAAGAGCAUAUUGUGCUAGGCAUUAAUUUGAACAAGCCUGUGAUUGGGAAUUUUACGUUACUCAUAUUUUCUAAAUGCCUACAGUUUUGUCCUAUAAUUUGUACUGCAUAUAAUUAACUUAGGCUUGAGCAGCAGUUUUUCCAUAUUUACAAUUUAAUUAGGUGUAUGCAAAAAUAUGACAUGAUGUUAUUAAGGCAUAGGAAACACAUGGAGGACAUAUUUGUGAUAAGAAAAAUCAAACUUAUCUACCUAUACAUUUAUUAUUUUGUUUUCAUUAUCUUCCUUAAAAAUAUACUAAUAAGACCAUAUCAAGUGCAAACAUUUUUCUCACAGCCUUCUUUUAGACAAAAAAUUCAACAAAAUAAUACCAAUCAAAUCCCUCCUUAAAUAUGAGAAAUCCUGACUUUUUUCCUCACAUGUAAAUGUUUAUGCUAUCAUUUAAAUAUGGAAUACACUUAUUUGCACGUUACACAAACAAUACUAAUGUGUGGGUCAUAAUUAUGAGACAAUAAAUGAAAUACGCACUCAUUUGUAUUUUUGUUAACAUACACACAGAAAUAUUAACUAUAAAGUUUUAUUAUUUCAGCCAACUACAUUAAUAUAUUUUUCUGAAACUUAGCAUGUAAACAUCUACAUUUGCAGUUUACAUGCAAUAUCAUGACAUUUGUUGCCAUUUAUGUUUAUACAGUGAAUUUUGCAAGCACGCGAGAUUUUGACUCACCUUUUUAUGAGAGGAAACGAUAGUAACUUUUCGUAAUGAAAACUUAUUUUCCCUUUUUCAGAGUAUAAGGUAUGUUACAAAGAAUAAGUUUGAGUUCUAGGAAAGGGAGAGAAAUAUUGUUUUUGCCACUUUCGUAGUAACAUGCAUUCAUGUAUACGAUAUUUCCUUUCAUUAAAAUUGUCACGAGGAAUAAAAGCAGAGAUGAGUCAUGUACUAUACUCUACAUGUGUGUAUUCCUUCCACAUAUAUUAAUUUAAAUAUUUAAUGAAGCUUCACACUUUACUGCAGCAUCAACAACUUACAUCACAAAAUAUUUUUAUGCUUGCUAUAGGUUUGGUAGUUGGCACUGGAUCAUUGAUCAUGACUUCAUUGCACCAAGGCGUAAUUCUUCACCUCAUAUUUAUAUAUUAAAUUAUAUACUCUAUGAAUUACGUGAGCUAUAAUUUAUUUUGGAGAGUAAUUUUGAAAGUUAUAUUUACAUUCCUCUUUUAUCCCCCCUUCAUGUACAAGUACCUAACUUCUAAAAAAUAUUGCAUGCAGCAAAAUGUUAAUAGAAGUACAAUGUAUAUACGUCUACCUAAAAUAGGCUAGCCCGCGCGCAUGCACGGGUUGACGACUAGUAACUAAUAAUAUAGCAGGAGUAGUUGAGGCCAUAUAAACAUGUCAACAAAAUUUGGUAUAAUCAUUUCGUACCAGAAGUGCAAACAUAACGCCUACUAAUGAUGCCUACACUCAAGAUACCUAUGCUCAUUAUUAAACGAACAAAUGAAAAUGAACAAUUUUAUCUUACAGUCAAUGCACUAACGCUCACUGAAUGAUAAAAGCUACGAAGAAGACCAUUUACCUGGUAUAGUUAAGAGUUAGCUUUUGUCAGGUUUAUAAGAUUACCAAAUGUUGGGCACCGUAUAUAAUUAGGAGGAAGAAUCUUCAAGCACUACACAUAUCUAACUCUGCACCAGUUUCUACUGUAAAUAAAUAAAACAGAGUAAAGGGUGGGAAAAGUUUAUGUCUACAACUUGUCUAGAUGGAGGCAUUUAGUACGUAACAUCCUCAACAUGGUGACAUGUACUAGGAACAAGAAAUUCAUCAUUGUGAUAUAUAUUAAAUUGAGCAAAAAUCUGGAGCUACUUGUACGCAUCAAUUAUAUAAGCUGAUAAAGUAAAAGGACAACAGCUACUUGUAGUUAUGCAUAUAAAAAAUAAUACCAACGAUUUGUAUAAGCAGCUUGGCAUUAACCCAGGAACAAUCAAGAGUGAGUUGUACCAGAUUUUGAUGUUAACAAUAACCAAGAAAUCAGGGGGCGGCUGUUUGGUUUGUGCCCCAACUUGCCCUGCCUAAAUUUUGGCAUAACCAAAGCAAGGGCAAAAAAUUUGUGUGCUAGUGUUGUUUGGAUUAUAGCCAUAGCAUCUAUCAAUUUUUGGGCAAAAUGGCUGGGUCUCUGUUUUGUUUCUACCAAAUAGAAAAAAGGGCAGAAAAAGGUUCGAUGAAGCAGCAUGCACACGUGUUUGCCGAGUGAAACACACACAUAAUAGCUGGCUGACCGAUACGAUCGAUGGAGGCAUAAGCGUAUGGGCUAGCUAAUUGAUUUUCUGGCUCAUGUAACAGCCAAGCAUAAAAUAGCUUUGGCUCAAAACCAAACACACCCCAGAAUACAUAGUCAUCAGCUAUUUUGGCUUCCCCCUUUUCUUCAAGUAGUGUUUUUCUUGCAAAGGGACAUGUCUUUCAUAACAAAACAUACAAAAAAAACACGUAUAUUUGCAGAUAACAAAUGUGAUCAACCAAGCAUUCCACCAUCAUCUCGGUACAAUAGCAUGAAAAUUCAUGUGGUGUAAAUUUAUCAACUUAGAUUGUGUGGAAACUGAUAUGAUGGCUAUUUUCACCACAUAACACAUAGAAAGUUUGCACAUAAUAUAUAACAGAGAAGCAGUGUAAUAGCAGGCCUAGUUAACAAACAAUCUACUCUUGGUCAAUGGAUUCAGUGAGAUAGAUGAAUUGCUUUCCCUCCAUAAACAAGAAAAUUCGAAGGAACCAACAGGAGCAUCUCAUGGGCAUUUACUUAUAAACUAGUACUCCCUCUGUAAACUAAUAUAAGAGCGUUUAGAUCACUACUUUAGUAUUCUAAACGCUCUUAUAUUAGUUUACGGAGGGAGUAGUUGCUUAACUAACUAGCAGAUCUCACAAAUUUUACAUUGCUAGACUCGCACCGUGAGAGACGAAAAAUAAAAUAGCCAGCAGUGAUAAUCUAUCGCUGGCUGUAAUAUGCGAGUAUCAGGAAAGGAAGUGGCCACGUUUUCCGCAUCAGGUUCAGUCCAAGCAAAUUUGAGAGCCCCCGGAGAAUUAUGCUAGAGCAGAGCAGCCAUCAUUUGGAAAGAAAAGAAAAAAAACAGAGCGAGAGGAUCGACCUUCUUGUUCUGUGGGGAAUCAUAGUGGGCAGGGCGGACGACCUUGCCGUCGAGCUCGCCCAGCUCGUCGGGCUUGAGCGUGGGGUCCCAGUCAUCGCAAUCCAUGGAACUGGAGAGGCGGAGAGCUCCUGUUCAUCUAAAUCAAAGCAAAAAAAUUGAUUGGGGAUGGAGAGAGAAUGAAAGAAAGAUGAGACGAGGGGGCAAGUAGGGAGGGACCUUGUGCAGGGUAUCAUCAAGCUCGGGCCUCCGGCAGGUCACGGUCGUCAUCCUCUGCUAGUCCGACCCUUGCUGCUCCGAAUCUGCAUAUGGCGAGCCAAAUGCGGGGCCUGGGAGUCAGAGGAGGGAGGCCCGUGGUGAGAUCCAUGGCCCUGGCAGUUGGUUUUGAGCAGCAGAGGCACGCUGCGGCGGCUAGUGUUGGCCCCCGCUCCCAUGGGGUUGCUGCAACCGCAGCCACAAUGGAUCUCGGGCCACCAUCAUCGGUUGGAGUCGGGGAAGUGGAAGCGGGGAGGUGGAGGCGGAGGACGGGGAUGAGGAGACGAGAGGUGUGGUGGCGGAGGACGGGGAUGAGGAGACGAGAGGCGUGGCGGUGAGGACAGGGACGAGCAGAGGCAACGUGUGGCGGCGGCGGAUGGAGAAAUAGACUGGGGACGGGAAAGUGUGUUAGGGUUAGGUUUUAUAUGGGGCAAAGUUUAGGGCUUUAGGCGGGCUUUUUGCGGGUUUGCGGAGCUGUACUGGGCCGUUCAUGACGGUUUUAGAACUGUCAGCGAAAAUUUGUCAUGCAUUAACAGGUUUCUUGUAGUGUACGAAGUCGGUUACAGAGGAAGGAAUCUUCAUAUCCGGUCACCAAGCUUGGUUUCCACGUCAAGAAGAGUCUCAUCCGGACAUAGGACGAAGUCUUCUGUCUUGUAUCUUCAUAGCCCAUCAGUCCGGCCCACAUCAAGAGUCCGGCUGUCCGAGGACCCCUUAAUCCGGGACUCCCUCAGUCAUGAUCUCCGACAAGGAGUAGGUUGGAUCAACGUAGUGCAUAGGUUUAUUUUAGUUUGCAUGUCUUUGUAUGGAUUUAAGAAUCGGAUAGAAGAUAUCCGGAUGUAACAAGUGAAGUUUGGGGUGUGUCUGGUCAGAAUGACGCGUCCGCCGGCAUUUAAGGUGCUGGAUUUGCCAUAUGUGUCUCUAGAUGCUCUGAUCAAAUGUUGAUUUAAAAUACGAGGGGCACAAUAAACCAAGAUGGAGGAAGUAUGUGUCAGUGUGGAGUAGCAUACAGGCAUAUAUGUUUACGGAUGUGAAACACUAGCUGGACGACACUAGUAGAAAAAGGACCUUAUAUGAGACACAUUAGUGCCGGUUUGAUUUUGAGCCGGCACUAAUGUGUCCAAUAGUGUCGGUUCCAACGGCUAGCCGGCCGUUCUCAUUAGUACCGGUUCGUGGCGAACCUUUAGUACUGGUUCGUGCCACGAACCGGUACUAAAGAGAGUGGUGGCAGGGUGUUGUCAGUCUGGGGCCCCUCCAGCACCUUUAAUACCGGUUCGUGGCACGAACCGGUACUAAAGGUCGACCUACAUAAACCCUUCGUCCACCCGAGCCACUCUGUUCUUCCCCUUUCCCCUCACUUCCUCUGUUCUUCCCCUCUCUUCCUCGAGCUCCUCACAAAUUUUGCCCAAAAUUUUUCAAGAUUUGAAGGCCCCCAUCCAUUCAAAUGAUCACAAAGGUUAGCAACUUUGUCCUUUCAACUCUCAUUGCUAGAUUAGCUCUUGCAAUGCUUUGUAUAGUGAUUAAUUUUGGGAGGAAUUAUAUUAGCUAGUAUUUGAUUUAUAUGCAAUUUGAGGUCAAAAAUAACACUUAGUUUGCAUAUGUAGGUGUGGUUUACUUAGUGCCUUCUAAAUCUCCGUCGUAACACCGUCGAUCGCCGGCACCGUCCCGUCGCCGGCACCACCUUGUGGUGAGGCUCUUGUUCAUGAAUGUUUUACAUUACCAAAUUGAUAUUUGUGUGAUUUGGAUAUAUAGUUACUCGUAUAAUUAUCUUAUCCAUACGUUGUUUGUUAUACAUAGUGCCAUGGUUUUGAUAUCCGUCCCCGUCGGCCCUCGUCCUUGUUAUGAUUUAGAUGUGGUAUAUUCUGAUUUAAAACUAGUUGUUGCAUUUCGUGUUUAUGACAAAUUAUGCCCAUCAAGUUGACAUAGAUAUAUUUAUCUAGGAGGUAUGUGAACCGGAAAUUCCAACCGAGCCUAUUGUCGAGAGGUUAAAUUUAGUUGAAAGAGAAAACGAGUAUUUGAAAGAAAAAUUGAAAAGAAUUGAGGGGGAGAAGAUGAAAUUGGAGUUGCAUGUUGCCGAUGUCGUCGAUGAUCACAAGAUCAAGAUGGAGAAAAUGAGGUUGAAUAUUAGAAAGAUUAGAAAAUAUGCCAUUGAUAGUGUGGCUUGGUAUCAUUAUGCUGUUGGAUCAAUUGUUACCUUACUUGCGAUCUUCAUCGCAUUUGUUGUUGCAUUUAAAUUCUUUAGCUAGAGAGUUAUUUGUAUGUUGCAUUUAAUUAAGUGUUGUAUAUGAACUUUAUGUAUGAACUUGUAUUAAUUUGGUCUAUUCGGUGUUGUGUAAUGAAGAUGAGCCGACAAUGGAUGUAUGAUGACAGAUGCUCUCCCGAGUUCAUUAAUGGCGUGCAUACUUUUCUGCUUGCCGCUGAGGCAAACAAGCGGGCGGAUGGUUUUAUGCCUUGUCCAUGUGCUGGCUGUAAGAAUGGUCACAGUUACUCUACAUCAAGAACCAUUCACAUCCACCUAUAUGAGUACGGUUUCAUGCCCCACUAUAAUGUUUGGACCAAGCAUGGAGAAAUAGGGGUUAUGAUGGAAGACAAUGAAGCAGAAGAGGACGACGACGGCUAUCCUGGCCAUGGGUUCCCUGAAUACGAUGAUACAACAAUGGGGGAAGAAGCUGAGCCGACAAUGCAGAAAGAAGCUGAAGAAGAGGCAUCAGAUGAGCCCGCUGAUGAUCUAGGUCGGGCCAUUGCCGAUGCAAAGAGAAACUGCGCAAGUGAUCUGGAGAGGACGAAGUUGUAGCGCAUGUUAGAGGAUCACAAGAAGUUAUUGUACCCGAAUUGCGAAGCUGACAAAAAAAGUUGGGCACCACACUUGAAUUGCUGCAAUGGAAGGCAGAGAAUGGUGUAUCUGACAAGGGAUUUGGAAAGUUGCUGGUAAUGAUAAAGAAUAUGCUUCCAAAGGACAACAAAUUGCCUGAGAGUACGUAUGAAGCAAAGAAGGCUGUCUGCCCUCUAGGGUUAGAGGUGCAAAAGAUACAUGCAUGCCCUAAUGUCCUCUACCCCGGUGAGUAUGAGGAUUUGAAUGCUUGCCCAGUAUGCGGUGCAUUGCAUUAUAAGAUCAGUCGCGAUGACCCUGGUGAUGUCGAGGGUGAGCGCCCCAGGAAGAAGAUUCCUACCAAGGUGAUGUGGUAUGCUCCUAUAAUACCAUGGUUGAAACGUUUGUUCCAAAACAAAGAGCAUGCGAAGGCGAUGCGGUGGCACGCACAAGACCGUAAGAAAGACGGAAAGUUGAGUGUACCCGCUGAUGGUUUGCAGUGGAGAAAAAUCGAGACAAAGUACUGGGAGGAGUUUGCAGGUGACCCAAGGAACGUAUGGUAAGUCUAAGCGCAGAUGGCAUUAAUCCUUUUGGCGAGCGGAGCAGCAACCAUAGCAUGUGGCCUGUGACUCUAUGUUUGUAUAACCUUCCUCCUUGGUUGUGCAUGAAGCGGAAGUUCAUUAUGAUGCCAGUGCUCAUCCAAGGCCCUAAGCAACCCGGCAACGACAUUGAUGUGUACCUAAGGCCAUUAGUUGAAGAACUCUUACAACUGUGGAAUGGAACAGGUGUACGUGCGUGGGAUGAGCACAUGAGGGCAGAAUUUGACCUAAAGGCGUUGCUGUUCGUGACCAUCAAUGAUUGGCCUGCUCUUAGUAACCUUUCAGGACAGACAAACAAGGGAUACCGCGGAUGCACGCACUGUUUGGAUGAUACCGACAGUAUAUAUUUGAAUAGUUGUAAGAAGAAUGUGUACUUGGGACAUCGUCGAUUUCUUUCGAGUAGGCAUCCCGUAAGAAAGAAAGGCAAGCAUUUCAAAGGUGAGGCGGAUCACCGGACGAAGCCUCGCCACCGUACUGGUGCUGAUGUACAUGAUAUGGUCAAGGAUUUGAAGGUAAUCUUUGGAAAGGGUCCUGGCGGACAACCAGUUCCGAAGGACGCUGACGGACGCGCACCCAUGUGGAAGAAGAAAUCUAUAUUUUGGGACCUGCCAUAUUGGAAAGACCUAGAGGUCCGCUCCGCAAUCGACGUGAUGCACGUGACGAAGAAUCUUUGCGUGACCCUGCUUGGCUUUUUGGGCGUGUAUGGGAAGACAAAAGAUACACCAGAGGCACGGGAGGACCAGCAACGUAUGCACGGAAAAGACGACAUACAUCAGGGUCAGGCCAGCUACGCUCUUACCAAAGAAGAGAAGGAAAUCUUCUUCCAAUGCCUGCUCAGCAUGAAGGUACCGUCUGGCUUCUCGUCGAAUAUAAAGGGAAUAAUAAAUAUGGCAAAGAAAAAGUUCCAGAACCUAAAGUCUCAUGACUGCCACGUGAUUAUGACGCAACUCCUUCCGAUUGCAUUGAGGGGGCUUCUACCGGAAAACGUUCGAUUAGCCAUUAUGAAGCUAUGUGCAUUCCUCAAUGCAAUCUCUCAGAAGGUAAUCGAUCCAGAAAUCAUACCAAGGUUACAGAAUGAUUUGGUGCAAUGUCUUGUCAGUUUCAAGUUGGUGUUCCCACCAUCCUUCUUCAGCAUCAUGACACACGUCCUAGUUCACCUUUGCGAAGAGAUUAACAUUUUGGGUCCUGUAUUUCUACACAAUAUGCUCCCCUUUGAAAGGUUCAUGGGAGUCUUGAAGAAAUAUGUUCAUAACCGUGCUAGGCCAGAAGGAAGCAUCUCGAAGGGCCAUCAAAAUGAGGAGGUCAUUGAGUUUUUUAUUGACUUUAUUCCUGACCUUAAGUCGAUUGGUGUUCCUGAAUCGCGGCAUAAGGGCAGACUGGAAGGAAAAGGCACGCUAGGAGGGCAUCAAAUAAUAUGUAUGGGCGGGCAUUCUCUCACUGAAGCACACUACACAGUUCUACAGAAUUCCGCCUCUGUGGCUCCGUAUAUGGAGGAACACAAGAAUUUUCUACAGUCCAAACACCCGGAGAAGUCUGACGACUAGAUUACACACGAACAAACUAGGACUUUCGCCUCUUGGUUGCAGAAACGUGCCCUGAAUGAUGGCGAUAUUCAAAAUGACCUGUACUCGAUGUCCCAGUUACCAUCUUCGAAUAUAAUGACUUUCAAAGGGUACCAGAUAAAUGGGAAUACAUUUUACACGAUCGCCCAAGAUAAGAAGAGCACCAACCAAAACAGUGGUGUCCGCUUUGAUGCAACAACCAACACGGGAAAGGAAACAUAUUAUGGUUACAUAGAGGACAUAUGGGAACUUAACUAUGGAUCAGGUGAUUUGAAGGUCCCUUUGUUUCGGUGCAAAUGGGUCAAUAUGACACGAGGCGGGGUAACGGAAGACCCGCAGUACGGAAUGACAACAGUGGAUCUCAACAAUCUUGCGUAUGCAGACGAACCAUUCUUCCUAGCCAAUGAUGUGGCGCAGGUUUUUUAUGUGAAAGACAUGUCUACCAGGCCGAGAAAAAGAAAAGAUAAGGAAGCGAAUGGAUCAUACGACGACCAAAGUGCCACAUAGUUCUUUCAGGUAAAAGGAACAUCGUGGGAGUGGAUGACAAGACAGACAUGUCAGAAGAUUAUGAAAAGUUUGAUGAAAUUGCUCCAUUCACAGUGAAUAUUGACUCGAGCAUCCAGUUAAAUGAUGAAAAUUUUCCAUGGCUACGGCGCAAAGGGACACACCAGAAGAAAAAGUUUCACACCCAAAGAUCUGGGAUGUGAUCGGCUUCACUAUCAUCACUUUCUUGUGUGUUUCACACCCAGGAGGGAAUGUCUGUAGUAGUUAGGGUAGUUAAUUAUGUGUUUUGGCAUUUGAAACGCGAAGAAAUUUUAUGUGCAAACAAAUCCUUUUCAUGCAUUACUGAUUUUUUUUCCAGCUAAAUGACCAUGAAAUUGAAAAGCAUUUGAAAUGAACUCAGAAAAGUAGAGAGGGUUACGACAAAAACUGGAUACACUUCGUGUGCAAAAUGGACAAUCUUUUUCGAAGUAUCAGGGUUUCCGACGAAAACUGAAAUGUUACAAAGGCAUUUCAUUUUUUAAAUAACCUAAGCAUUACCAAACUGAAUAUACUGAUAAAACACACUAAUAUUAAACAUAAGGAAAAAGAAUCACUGAAAAAACUUUUUUCAAAGUUAAGUUAUUCACAAACUAGUGAUUCACACAAAUUUCAAAUAAUUCAAAAUUUAAACUAUUCAAAAUUAAAAACUACCGGCACUAAUAGAAAGUUUGUAAUUUUUUGUACCUAAAGCAAAAAUAUUCACAAAGAAACUCUAAAUACAGCAAAAACAACUCAAAAAUAAAUAAAACAAAAAUAAAUAAAGCGGAAAAAAUUAAGAAAAUAAAAAAGCCCACCUACUGGGUCAAAGCGGCCUGCAUACGACUAGGAACACAACCUUUAGUUGGGCCAGGAUGCAGGCCCGCAAAGGCCUAGUAGGCCCACAUGGCAGAAGAGGACAGGUAGGCCCAGUAGGCCUGCUUAAGAGAGGAGCUCGAGAGAGCUACCGCACUGGGGCUUAUAAACCAGUGCGGUAGCCCCUCGGGUAGCGAGGUGGGACUAAACUUGCGCACCGCUUGGAGCCAGCGCACCCCUUUAGUACCGGCUCGUGGCUUCAACCUGUACUAAAGACUCCCCUCCCCCUUUAGUACCGGUUGGAGCCACCACCCGGUACUAAAGUGGGUGCGCUUCCCGCCGCUUGGCCAGGCCAAAACAGACCUUUAGUACCAGUUGGUGACUCCAACCGGUACUAAAGGUCCAUCCUAUAUAUACAACACUUAAAAAAAUUCAGUUUCCCUCUGUUUCUUCCCUCUGUUUCCUCCCUUCGUCGCGCCUCCCUACCCCGAUCGACGCUGUCCCCGUCGACGUCGCCGCCCCCGCCCCUCGUCACCGACCCCGGCCGUCCCCGCCCCUCGUCGCCGCCCCCGUGGACGUCGCCGCCCCGGCCGUCCCCGUCCCCGUCGUCNNNNNNNNNNNNNNNNNNNNNNNNNNNNNNNNNNNNNNNNNNNNNNNNNNNNNNNNNNNNNNNNNNNNNNNNNNNNNNNNNNNNNNNNNNNNNNNNNNNNNNNNNNNNNNNNNNNNNNNNNNNNNNNNNNNNNNNNNNNNNNNNNNNNNNNNNNNNNNNNNNNNNNNNNNNNNNNNNNNNNNNNNNNNNNNNNNNNNNNNNNNNNNNNNNNNNNNNNNNNNNNNNNNNNNNNNNNNNNNNNNNNNNNNNNNNNNNNNNNNNNNNNNNNNNNNNNNNNNNNNNNNNNNNNNNNNNNNNNNNNNNNNNNNNNNNNNNNNNNNNNNNNNNNNNNNNNNNNNNNNNNNNNNNNNNNNNNNNNNNNNNNNNNNNNNNNNNNNNNNNNNNNNNNNNNNNNNNNNNNNNNNNNNNNNNNNNNNNNNNNNNNNNNNNNNNNNNNNNNNNNNNNNNNNNNNNNNNNNNNNNNNNNNNNNNNNNNNNNNNNNNNNNNNNNNNNNNNNNNNNNNNNNNNNNNNNNNNNNNNNNNNNNNNNNNNNNNNNNNNNNNNNNNNNNNNNNNNNNNNNNNNNNNNNNNNNNNNNNNNNNNNNNNNNNNNNNNNNNNNNNCAAACACACACACACACACACACACACACUACACACACACACUACACACACACAAACAUUAUUAGUUUAUUUGUUAAUUUUUUUUCUGUUUUUUAGUUAUAGAAAUGUUAGGAAAUUAUUCUGUUUUUUAGUUAUAUAAAUAUUAGAAAUGUUAGUUAUAUAGAAAUGUUAUAAAUGUUUUCUGUUUUUAGUUAUAGAAAUAUUUAUAGAAAUGUUAGCAAUUUUUUUGUUUUUUAGUUAUAUAAAUAUUAGAAUUGUUAUAGAAAUGUUAGUUAUAUAAUCAGGAAAUUUUAGAAUUAGUUUUAGUUAGAUAAAUUAGAUUAAUGUCAAAUUGUUAGAAUUUGCAUAUAUAAAUAUAGAAUUUUAGUUAUCACAAUCCAAUCAUUUAAAAAAUGUUACUUUUUGCGGGCAUAUAGUAUGUGUUCUCGACGAUAUGCCCGGCCCGCAUCCUCGCCGUCGACCCAUUCGCGACGACGUCAUGCUUCAGAGGACCCAUGUCCGGGACUGGAAUCCGCCGGGCUGGCACUGGGAGGUGCUACCUGGAGGGGCGCGCCGCUUGGUGAGGAACCCGACCUCCGGUCCCGUCGUCGACCCUGAUCUUCUUAUGUGGCGUUCACGUGGGCCACAUUCGGUGCAGAGGCAGCCGGCCCCGCCGGAGGUAGUGCGUCGCCGUGUCAGGGAGGAAGAUGAGCACGUCCAUCGCUACAUGGCUGCUAUGGACGACGUCAGGUUCUCCACUACUUGGCGGGUUCUUUGGGCAGAUGACCGGAGAUAUGAUCCUGUGAUGGUUCCUUCUCUUUGGGUGUGCACCGCCCGCGCCCCAGGAAUUGCGAGUGGCGCCCUAGAUUCUUCUGUAGUACUCGAUCUUUAUUAGGUACCUAGCCAGUGAUGUAUUCGAUAUAUAAUAUUCGAGAUGAUGUAUUCGAGAUUAUAUAUAUUAAGACGAUGAUGUAUUCGAGAUUAUAUAUUCGAGACGAUGUAUUCGAGAUUCAGUUUUUCCUUAUUGAUUAAUUGCAUCCAUGCAUUGUAAUUUGAAUACUAAAUUGUUUUAUAUUUCUUCUGUAUUAAUUAGUAAAGUAAAAGCUAUGGCGGACAAUACCGGCAGAGAGAGAGAGAAGAGGAAUUGUUCGACAUCAUAUGGAGCCCUCAUAGGCUAGAUGAUCUGAAUGAUGACGGCUCCCAAUAUCUGAACAAUACCGGAGAGGGUGAUGAAAAGAUAUUCGAUCUCGACGACCGAGCUGAUGAAGUCAUGAACUAUGAUUAUGAUGACACAGACAAUGUUAGUGAUGACACAGACAAUGCUGAUCUUCAAAUAACAAAGACUUCCGGCGAGGUAUAUAUUUAUAUAAGCAUGCAUCCUGGUGAUCAUCACAUGUUUUUUUAUUGAAGAUAUAUUAACGAAUCGAUCUUUCUUCUUUCAGCCCUCCGGAUCGAGCAAAUCUGCUUCUACAGACAGCAAGACAAAGCAAGGCCCGAGCAGAUUGUUGAAGGAUGGUGUAAAGUACCACAUCGAAUCCACCAAACUUAGUGGCGAACCCCUCACGCCUAAGAACAUUGCAGACAAGUGGACUCAUCAGUGCGGAGUUCUUGUGAAGGACAAACUCCCGAUCUCCAUUCAAGAAUGGAAAGAGCCAAAGACUAAACGUCCAGGUGUUACUUGGGUUGAUGCCAGAGACAAAGAAGACCUGGUGAAAUCUCUGAUGGAACAUUUCACCCUACCAGAUUAUUUCACUAAAGCAGAUGUGGAGAAAGUCAAGGCCGCUGCUCUUAAGAAGAUGGCAAUUGCAUUCAACACCCACAAGAAAACUGUAUGGGCUAACUACCUCGCUAAUGAAAGGAAGACUCCAGAUUUCCAGGGAACAUUGGAGAAGCAAAGAGAACACUGGGACGAUUUCGUGACCUUCAAGGAUUCAGAAUUAUCUAAGGAACGGUCGAUGAAAAACAAGGCAAAUGCUGCAAGAAAUAUGCAGUUCCAUAGGCUGGGUCCAGGUGGCUACACGGUGGGAUUGCCAAAGUGGGAUAAGUCUGAGCAAGAGAUGGAGGGUGCAGGGGUCACUCCGAUUACUAGGAGCUGGCCCCCCAGGUGUAGAACUUGGUUCUAUGCGCAUGGGGGGCGUUGGACCCGAAGACAGGCCUGGUUUAGAAGAAGACAAGUCUAAAAGGAGCCGAACAAAACAUACUUGACGCAAUAGAAGAAGCUCGAGCGGGGGUGUUCACGCCCAACAGAGAGAACGACGAGCUUACGCGUGCCCUGGGAAAUCCUGAACACCCGGGAAGAACAUGAGGCAUGGGUGUUAUUCCCUGGUAUGAGGGCUUUUCGGACUGGAAUGACGACUACAGGUCCCGUGCAAGAAAGAAGAUGGAGGAGGACAAGAAGAGGAAGCUGGAGGAGGAGCAGAGGAAGCAGGACGCAGAACGUCUUCAAGGCCUAGAAGAAAGGCACGUGGACCUGGCACUCAAAUUCCAGUAGCAGCAGCAGCAGAUCGACUCACUUAGCCAGGAAAGGGGGUCUCAGCAGCGACAACAGCAAGCGGAUGAUCGUCCAUCAUUGGAUAGCACCGUCCCAUCCAUGCCGAGAAGCAGCGUUGGUUCUGCCUCGGGCGACACACUGCUGGAUACAUACCCUGUGGAUGACAUCAUAGAGAAAACUAACUGUGAGCUACACUCCAAAAUGAAGAACAUAUCCAUGAAGGUGGCGGAUGGCGUUGCUUUUCCAGUGACCCCUGAAGCAACCUACCAUUGCAUCCCGAUUGCAGAGGGCUAUGCUCGUGCCAUGGUUGAUGAAGUGGUGGACCCAUAUUCGGGGCUAACGCUUGACAUUCCUGGAGGUGAAGACGUGCGCACACUGGGACAGGCCAUACAUCGUAUCAUCCUAUGGAGAAAGGAUUGCAUCAUCUUUCAAAGUCCACCGACACCGCGUCGUCUGCCGACUCCUCGAAGUCCGCCACCGAGUCAGCAGACUCCCGCUCCUCCAAGUCCACGAAUGCACGAGACGACUCCUCCUCGAAGUCCGCCACCUCCUCCAAGUCCCCAAACGCAUGAGCUGACUCCUCCGGUUUCAAGUCCGGCACAGCGUCAUGCCACUUCUCCGGUUUCAAGUCCGGCAUCGUGUCAGGCCACACGUCCUGCUUCAAGUCUGGCACAUCAUCAGGCCACUUCUCCUGGUCCAACUCCACGUCAGCCGUCUCCGCCGUCUCAGCAAUCGCACAAGAGACAUGCCGCAGAUUUGGUGCGUAGCGGUAUGAGUCGAGGUAGUUCAGGAAGUACAGGCGGAGACAAGCGAUAUAAAUAUGGUCCAAGCCUCGCUCCUCUUCCUCAGAGGCCUUACGACAUGACCGAGGAGCAAAACACAGCCAUAGUGCAGGCCCAAGUGGACGCCCAUUUUGGACCGAAACCGGCACCGCCGCCAAAGGAGAAAGUGCAUGAGAAAACGAUUGACCACUUCAUUCAUAUGGCUAGAGCACCAGCUCCCAAGCCUGUUGACUCGGACUAUGAGCAUCAAAUCAGGAAGCUACAUCGAGCACGGCUACGGAAGGAAGCGAGCUCGAGCUCGAGCGAACAAGCAGCUGGCAAAAAAUGCGGGAAAACCGUUCCCCAGCUGGGAGAACAGGCGGCGCAAGAGAUUCCCCCACUUGUUGUGCCAACAACACAUGAGAGGAGUACGCGCGCCAAAUAUUAUUGUGGGUAAACCGUUAGCGUUCCCCAGCAGGGCGAUGUGGUAAUAGUGGAGGAGCAUAUAAUGCAGGCUGAAAUGCUCAAGAUCUCUGCUGGACAACUCUUAGAAAUCGAGCACAUGUCUCCGCUUAAAGAAUCGGAAAUAAAAUGGAAAUAUGUCUGUGGCCAACCUUUGGUCCAUCCAGACAAGGUCAAGGACCUCCCAAUAAGAAUGUAUGAAUUGCAUCAAUGGUACAUGAACAUGACCAAGAUUUCCAAUCGAGUGUCCCUCAUGGUGAAUGUCAAGAAGGAUCAUUAUUACCAUGAGAAAGCUCUGUCCAUUGAGUAUUCAGAACUAUAUCAGUUAUUCAAUCAAGAUGCACUCGACAAGUCUAUCGUCAGUUGCUAUUGUCUGUAAGUGAUUUCUUUUUGUAAUUUAAGUCUCAAGCUAAUUAUGUAGUGAUAAUUUUGAUCAAUCAUUACAUGUAAUUAUCCUCACUAUAUUCUUUUCUAUGGUAUUAUAUGCAGGAUGAAGAUGUAUGAAAUGAAAAAAUCUGGACGCUAUGGCAUUGGGUUCAUAGACCCAAAUACCAUUAAUGAGGACAUAUGGAAGUAUCCAUUUUAUCAAGCAGGUGUAGAGGAAAGCAUGGUAGAGUUCUUGAAGCGCCUCAAUAGCAAUGAAGAUAUACUACUUCCUUACAACUUCCCGUGAGUUACACUGUCUUGUACUACAAAUUCUGUCUUUUACUUACUAGCUAGCUAGAUGUUAAUAAUUAAGUGUAUACGGUUUACGGUAGUUGAUUAAUUUUAUGCACAUGCCCGCUUAUUUAAGACAUGCAAACGUGUGCGCAUGCAGUUGGCACUGGGUCUUGAUAGACAUUAAAGUUGAGGAAGGAAAAGUUGAAUUACUGGACUCGCUAACUAAAAAAGAAAGUGACUUCACCAUCGUGAAGGGGAUAGUCAGCAGGUAAUUUCAAUCAUUAUUNNNNNNNNNNNNNNNNNNNNNNNNNNNNNNNNNNNNNNNNNNNNNNNNNNNNNNNNNNNNNNNNNNNNNNNNNNNNNNNNNNNNNNNNNNNNNNNNNNNNNNNNNNNNNNNNNNNNNNNNNNNNNNNNNNNNNNNNNNNNNNNNNNNNNNNNNNNNNNNNNNNNNNNNNNNNNNNNNNNNNNNNNNNNNNNNNNNNNNNNNNNNNNNNNNNNNNNNNNNNNNNNNNNNNNNNNNNNNNNNNNNNNNNNNNNNNNNNNNNNNNNNNNNNNNNNNNNNNNNNNNNNNNNNNNNAACCCCUUUAUUAAUUUUCUUUGCUGGCGGGCAGGGCAUGGGCAAAAUUCAUCGCGAUGACUCCAGGCGAAUCGAAACAAAAGUUGUUUUGGCAUCGACCAAAGGUAAGUAAUUAAGUAGUACUAGCUAGCUACCAUCUCUUUAAUUCUUGUUUCAAUAUCAUUAAUUAAGUAUCAUGCUUGAUUAAUCAUUAUCUGAUUCAAUUUCAUUCUCGUAAAUGCACCGAAGCAGGCGUCGGGGAAUAAUCUGUGUGCAUUCUACGUUUGCGAGAACAUUCGCAUGAUGACGUCCGAAAGGAGCAGAUCUGAUAGAUAAGACUGGGUACGUUUGUCAGAACACUAUUCACACCAUUAUCGAUAUCUAGUCACACAACUAACACACAUGCAUAUUGAUCUCCUUCUUAACAGUUCAGAGAGGUGCGGGAUAAGCUCCUACCAUCGGACCGCAUACUAGCACUUCAAGAGGAAAUAGCCGGAUUUUUGCUCGACCAGGUCAUAAAUCCCGAAGGAGAAUACUAUUACCCGCUACCGCCCCCAUGAACCACUUGUCAUUGUGCUCCGGAGGCACCAAGGCAACAUAUGUAGGAGAAAUUGUAUAUGUAUACAUGUGUAUGUGUGAAUAAUGGUGUUGAUUGUGAGACAUUCGAUGNNNNNNNNNNNNNNNNNNNNNNNNNNNNNNNNNNNNNNNNNNNNNNNNNNNNNNNNNNNNNNNNNNNNNNNNNNNNNNNNNNNNNNNNNNNNNNNNNNNNNNNNNNNNNNNNNNNNNNNNNNNNNNNNNNNNNNNNNNNNNNNNNNNNNNNNNNNNNNNNNNNNNNNNNNNNNNNNNNNNNNNNNNNNNNNNNNNNNNNNNNNNNNNNNNCAAUUUGUAGUAUCGUGAAAUACCAGCAAACAAAAAAAAUGUAAUGGAAAAUAAAAAAAACACCCAAACAUUUAGUACCGGUUGAUGUUACCAACCGGUACUAAAGCCCUACGCGCACCCGGGCCUGGCUCGUGCCACGUGUUCGCACUUUAGCGCCGAUUCGUGACGAACCGGUACUAAAGGGGAGGGGGACCUUUAGUCCCCACUCUUUAGUGCCGGUUGUAGAACCGGCACUAAAGGCUGUUACGAACCGGCACUAAAGGCCGAUUCUGCACUAGUGCGACUACAUGCCGGUGUCAUCAAUGCAUGUGACUCACAACCACUCACUCAGUGCCAUCAUUCACUUUGGAACUGUUAUCGACAUGGUCAUGCCAGCCCCGGUAUAGGAGUGGCGACCGCGGCACAUCGCAUGACUCGUUCGCACAUAGUUAAAAAAAAUUACCAUGUUUCAAGUGCUUUGUAUUCUUUGGUGAACUUUUGGAAUUUAUUUGAUUCUUUUUCAGAAGAACAAAUAAAAGGAACACGCAGUUUGAAUCCAUUGGGCACGGAUGGAACGUGGCAUGUCUCCUGGCCAAGAUACAAGCGCGGUGGGCACGCUGCAAGGGCGACGUGGCAGUUUGGACGCCGAUGUGGCGCAUUCUCGCCACCAAUACGGACGGCCUGGUGUGUGUCACGCACCAAUAUAUAAAACAUCCAGAUCCAGGGCAGCUACGUCGAGCGAUGCGAUUGGCCAGCUCGACGAUAUGCCGGCGCAAGGAAAUAUGCCGAUCCAGACAAGAAACACGACGGCGAGAAUCGCGCGUACGCCCCACAUGCAUGCGACGUCGGACACCGCUCACCGAGUACCACUAUUAUUGGGGUCCAUGCACGCACGGCACCACAGGCCACACGUAAAUGCCAUGUGAUGCCUGGCACCACAGCAGGCCACAGACCAUCCAUGGACCGCGAUCACUGAGUACGUUUACUCUCUUUGGCAUUAUGCUUAAUAUGGCCAUGUGAUGUGUACGUGUUUAGCCUUUAUUAGGAGGGCAGAUCCUUCAUGCUCCCCCGUAUGCAGAUCCAGAUCGAGAGCCCACCGCCCAAUCAGUAGCCACGGCUGACCGCCAUAUCCUCAGCAGCUGGUUCUCUCUAGGAUUUAGUCGACUUAGACAUGGCCAAGUCUAAGUCGGCUGAUGUCACCUGUUUAUUUUUUCGUUUAUGUUCAAACUAUAUCCCAACGUUGCAUCUUGUGGCUUUUUGGCUGGCUCCUUUUUUUGUCUUUAGUCUGUGCGUUCAUCAAGUUGUGUUGAGCCAGAUAUUUUGGGCAGUUAUUUUUUGUUUGGUGCUGCUGCUCGUUGAUUAUGUAAUCUUUAGCUAUUGUUUGAGCAUUUUUUCUGAAACCUUUAGAUAUUGUUCGAGUAUAUUAGCUUUGUGGUACACCGGCCAGCUAUAUUAGCUGUUGUUCCUACAGUUUUCUUAACAUGCUAUUUAUUUCGUUUUGUUUGGAUUUCUUUUUCAUUUUUAUUUACAUUUUCACAUUUUGUUUCUAAAAAUUGUAAACAUUAGUUAACGCUCGUUUCUUCUUCAUUUUGUUUCACUAGAAAAUGUUUAAUAUUAUUUAAAAAUAUCCUUCAUGCCAUUACAAAAAUAUUCAAUGUUAGUUAACGCUCGUUUUUAGCUUACAUUUUCUUUAUUUGAUUGGGUUGAGUCGGGCAUUGUUUUACUUGUCUGUUUGUAAUUUCUCUAUCAUCCACAAAUUGAAAAAUGGUACUAACAAAAAUAAAGAGAGCUCAUCAUAUGUUGUUUCACAUGCGAUGCGGGCGUGCGACUAGGUUUGUGUGGCAUGCUUAAAAAAAAUUCCAAACAUCUCUUUUUAGAUAAAAAACAAAAUAUAAUAUAAUAUAAAAUAUAAAAUUAAUUUAAUAAUAGGGUGUGGAUACGACUCGGUCGAUUGAGACUUAGAAAGAAGUCUCAGUCAGCUGGCAUCAUGGCGGCAUGCAGUAGUAGCCCGAGGCGGCAGUUUCAGAUGCAGGUCUAGUGGCAUGCAUGCAAUUCUCCAUCUUCCGACAAAAACACCAGGAGUUGCAGUCGUGGGCGACACAUGCAGUUGCAUGCCAAGUGUCGGACAUGCAACUUCUCCCUCCCAGACAAAAUACCACAGAGUUGCAGUCUGGUUUUAGACAUGCAGUUGCAGUCUGGGGCAACACUUGCAGUUGCAUGCGUAGUGUCGGGCAUGCAACUACCCCCUCCUCUCCCCGUUGCUCUUCGACAAUAACACAAAGGACAUUUGCAGUUGGGAGGGAGGCGUGCAAUUGCAGACGAGGGCAGCACAUGGAGUUGCAAGCCUAGUGUCGGGCAUAGAACUACCCCCCUCUCACGGUGCCCACCGACCAAACAAAAGGUUGGGUGCGGUUGGGUGUGUUGACAUGCAGUUGUAGUUGACGGCGACACUUGAGUUACAAGCUUAGUGUCUGGCAUGCAACUGCCCCUCUCCCUCCGCCCUCAAACAAAAACACAUGGCCAAUUGCAGUCAGGGCGGAGGUGUGCAAUUGCAUUUGAGGGUGGCACUUGUAGUUGCAGCCAUUUUGGGAGAUAUGAAGUUGCAGCCAGGGUGACACUUGCAGUUGCAUGCCUAGUGUUGGACAUGCAAUUGCCCACCUCUCUCGCUGCUUACUUGAAAAAAGGUCAGUUGCAGUCAAGUGCGUAGGCAUGCAAUUCAGUCAAGGGCGACACUUGCAGUUGCAAGCCUAGUGUCAGACAUCUAACUACCACCCCCUCUCUCGCUGCCCACCAUAAAAAAGGUCAGUUGCGGUCGGAUGUAUGUACAUGACAUUGCACUCGAGGGCGACACUUGCAGUUGCAAGCCUAUUGUCGGACAUGCAACUUCCCCCUUCUCCCACCGCCCUCCGACAAAAACAUAAGGCUAGUUGCAGUCGAGAGGGAGGCAUUCAGUCGGGGGGUGACACUUGUAGUUAUAUGGCUAGUAUUGUACAUGCAACCCCGCCCCCACCCCCGCCUACUCCUGUAGCCCACUUACAAAACAAAGGUCAAUUGCAUUCGGGUGUGUGAGCAUGCAGUUUCAGUCGGGGGCAACACUUGCAGCUGCAUGCCUAGUGUUACCCCCGCCCUCCCUACUGCCCACUAACAAUUGCAGUUGCAAGCCUAGUGUUGGAGCUGCAACUGCCCCCUUCUCCCGAUAAGAAAAGGAGGAAAUAUACACAAAAUCCAGUCCUUCAUCAAUUGCAUGUGGAGUAAGAUGUGUGUAGUUAUGCAUGUGUAAGCGAACUUGCUACACACAAUUAAUAUUUCCUUUGAGGCUAAAAAGUAAAGAAUAAGUAACAACAUAGUUACACGCCGAUACGAUGUGUGCAGUCACGUGUGGAUGGAUGUACAUGUAGCUGAUAGUAUGAUUUGAAAAAUGACAAAAAUAAAUGUGAACAAUUAAGAAUUAAUAAAAUAUAAAAAUUAAAAUGAAAAAAAUCACACAAACAUACUUCAAAGAAAUAAUUAUGAGAGAAAAGAGAACAAGAAAAGAAUGAGAAGAAUGGAAAUAAGUAAUAAUUUCAAAAGAAGCAACAAAAAUAAAAUUAGAAAGGAAAACUAUCCUUGAAAUCCAAAAUGAAUUGGCUCAAGCCAUUCUGAAAAAUAUUAUAAACAAUGUUGCGAUCGGAAAAAGGAAAUGCAACACAAAUUUGCACCAAUCUUGGCGCAUAGAGAUUGAACGGUUUACCGUAUAACCAAAUCUUAUAUGAGCAAACCUUGACGUACAACAUGGAGGAAAAUAAAAAAAACGUGGAGAAAAAUUAAGAGUGUGCAUUGACCAUGACAUGCUAAAAGAUAUAGGGGAAGACACUGAGCGUGGAGGACACACAUGCUGGUCUAGUAGAAAAAAUGAGAAAAAACAAGACAACACACUUCCUCUUUGCGGUUUGAACGGUCUAUUUCUAACCACAACCCAUCAAACAAACAAAAAGAAACAAGCUGGACGCAUCAUCCUAACAGGCCGAUUUAAACCAGACAAGCAGUUAGCAUAAAAAAUAUUCAAUGGAGGCGUCGACUGAGACUUGGAUAGAAAUCAGUCGACUGAUUUUUAGUCCCUCCGUUCCGUUAAAUCGCAGCUCCACCGCUCCCAUCAACCCUCGAACCUCGAUAAAAAUGUUGUUUUUCUUUCCCGAAAAGAAGGUGAAAACACCGCAGCUUCUGCAUGGAUCCAUGUAGGAUCUUUCAUUCUCUUAUUGUAAUAUAAGGUUUAUUUAAGAUCCAACAUCUCGCACUAGGAGUACAAAAGGCCACCAAGGCCAUAAGAGCAUCUACGCACGCUCAUCACUCGAAUAUGUGUUAUAACCGCACAUCUAACAUAGAGUGUUCAUCGGGGCAUACUCAUAGAAAUUUGCUGAUCGAUUCUUCUUACCUAACCCCCUAUGUGUCUAGUACUCUACAUGAUAUGUUAGGGCAUCUCCAACACCGACCUGUAAAUAUGCUCCCGCAUCCGUCCAUGAACAAGGGGACCAGUCCGCGGACAUGAAUGCGGGAGGCGGCCAUCCAACACUGCCAAUAUACAUUUCAACAACUUUUUAAAUCAGUCGAAUGAGAUUUUUGCAAACACGAUGGAAUUCAUUGUUCGGUUAUCUAUACAUAAUAUUAAAGGACGGAUUGUUUCUUCACUAUUUUUGGUCCAUCGAUGUUUUUUGUAUGUUUUUCGGUUUUCGUCCGUCGCUGUUUUAUGUUAAAAAAGAAUUUAGUCUCAAACGGACUCGAACCGCUGCCCACUUAUGUCAAGGUGCAAUUCAACAACUGUUGGGGAACGUAGCAGAAAUUCAAAAUUUUCUACGCAACACCAAGAUCAAUCUACGGAGAGACUAGCAACGAGAAAGAGGGGAGUGCAUCUUCAUACCCUUGAAGAUCGCGAUGCGGAAGCGUUACAAGAACGCGGUCGGUGGAGUCGUUCACGAAGCGAUUCAGAUCGCGACCGAAUCCGAUUUAAGCACCGAAGAACGGUGCCUCCGCGUUCAACACACGAGCAGCCCGGUGACGUCUCCCAUGCCUUGAUCCAGCAAGGGAAGAGGGAGAGGUUGGGGAAGAUUCCGUCCAGCAGCAGCACGACGGCGUGGUGGUGGUGGAGGAGCGCGGCACUCCAGCAGGGCUUCGCCAAGCACUACGAGAGACGAGGAGGGAGAGAGGUAGGGCUGCGCCUUGGGAGAGAGAGACUCAUGUGUUGGGCAGCCCCAAAACCUCCACUAUAUAUAUGGGGAAGGGAGAGGGGGAGGCGCCCUAGGGUUUCCCCUAGGGGGGGCGUCGGCCAGGGCAGAUGGGAUCUCCCCUUUGGGUGACUUGGCCCCAAAGCCAGGAGGUGGGAACCCUAGAUGGGGCGCCCCAAACCCCCCGGUCACGUGGGAAUAGGUGAGGGGGCGCACAACCCCUUAGUGGGCUGGUUUGCCCCCUCCCCUUGGCCCAUGAAGCCCCCCCAACACUUGUUGGGGCUCCCGAAACACCUUUCGGUCAUGCUGGUCAUCACCCGGUACCUCCGGAACACUUCCGGACUCCAAAACCCUUCGUCCAAUAUAUCAAUCUUCACCUCCGGACCAUUCCGGGACUCCUAGUGACGUCCGGGAUCUCAUCCAGGACUCUAAACAACAUUCGUUAAUCACGUACAUACCUUCCCUAUAACCCUAGCGUCAUCGAACCUUAAGUGUGUAGACCCUACGGGUUCGGGAACCAUGCAGAAAUGACCGAGACAACUCUCCGUCCAAUAACCAACAGCGGGAUCUGGAUACCCAGUUGGCUCACACAUGUUCCACGAUGAUCUCAUCGGAUGAACCAUGAUGUCAAGGAUUCAAUCAAUCCCGUAUGCAAUUCCCUUUGUCUACCGGUAUAGUACUUGCCCGAGAUUCGUUCAUCGGUAUGCCGAUACCUUGUUCAAUCUCGUUACCGGCAAGUCUUUUUACUCGUUCCGUAACACAUCAUCCCGUGAUCAACUCCUUGAUCACAUUGUGCACAUUAUGAUGAUGUCCUACCGAGUGGGCUCAGAGAUACCUCUCCGUCACACGGAGUGACAAAUCCCAGUCUCGAUUCGUGCCAACCCAACAGACACUAUCGGAGAUACCCUUAGUGCACCUUUAUAGCCACCCAGUUACGUUGUGACGUUUGGUACACCCAAAGCUUUCCUACGGUAUCCGGGAGUUGCACAAUCUCAUUGUGUAAGGAAAAGAUACUUGACAUUUAGAAAAGCUUUAGUAUACGAACUACACGAUCUUGUGCUAGGCUUAGGAUUGGGUCUUGUCCAUCACAUCAUUCUCCUAAUGAUGUGAUCCCGUUAUCAAUGACAUCCAAUGUCCAUGGUCAGGAAACCAUGACCAUCUGUUGAUCAACGAGCUAGUCAACUAGAGGCUCACUAGGGACAUGUUGUGGUCUUUGUAUUCACACAUGUAUUGCGGUUUCCGGUCAAUACAAUUAUAGCAUCAAUAAUAGACAAUUAUCCUGAACAAGGAAAUACAAUAAUAACCAUUUUAUUAUUGCCUCUAGGGCAUAUUUCCAACCGUCUCCCACUUGCACUAGAGUCAAUAAUCUAGUUCACAUCACUAUGUGAUUGUAAUGAAUCGACACCCAUGGGGUUUGAUCAUAUCUCGCUUAUGAGAGAGGUUAUUAGUCAACGGAUCUGAACCUUUUAGAUCCGUGUGUGCUUUGAAAAUCUCUAUGUAAUCUCCUAGAUGCAGCUACCACGCUCUAUUUGGAGCUAUUCCAAAUAACUGUUCUACUAUACGAAUCCGGUUUACUACUCAGAAUAAUCCGGAUUAGUGUCAAAGUUUGCAUCGGCGUAACCCUUUACGACGAACUCUUUUACCACCUCCAUAAUCGAGAAAAUUCCUUAGUCCACUAGUUACUAAGGAUAAGUUUGACCGCUGUCCUGUGAUCCAUUCCUGGAUUACUCUUGUACCAUUUGACUGACUCAUGGCAAGGCACACUUCCGGUGCGGUACAUAGCAUAGCAUACUAUAGAGCCUACGUCUGAAGCAUAGGGGAUGACCUUCGCCCUUACUAUCUCUUCUGCCGUCGUCAUGUCUUGAGUCUUACUCAAUACUCACACCAUAUAACACAGCCAAGAACUCCUUCUUUGCUGAUCUAUUUUGAACUCCUUCAAAAUCUUGUCACGGUAUGUAUUCAUUUGAAAGUACUAUUAAGCAUUUUGAUCUAUCCUUAUAGAUCUUGAUGCUCAAUGUUCAAGUAGCUUAAUCCAGGUUUUCCAUUGAAAAACACUUUUCAAAUAACCCUAUAUGCUUUCCAGAAAUUCUACAUCAUUUCCGAUCAACAAUAUGUCAACAACAUAUACUCAUCAAAAAUGCUAUAGUGCUCCCACUAACUUCUUUGGAAAUACAAGUUUCUCAUAAACUUUGUAUAAACCAAAAAAUCUUUGAUCUUCUCAUCAAAGCGUAUAUUCCAAGUCUGAGAUGCUUACUCCAGUCCCUAGAAGGAUUGCUGGAGCUUUGCACACUUGUUAGCAUCUUUCAGGAUUGACAAAACCUUCUGGUUGUAUCACAUACAACCUUUCCUCAAGAAUAUCGUCGAGGAAACAAUGUUUUGACAUCCUAUCUGCAAGAUUUCAUAAAUCAUGCAGUAAUUGCUAAUAUAAUUCCAACAAACUCUUAGCAUCACUACGAAUGAGAAAGUCUCAUCGCAGUCAACUCCUUGAACUUGUCGGAAAACAUCUUAACGACAAGUCGAGCUUUCUUAAUGGUGAUACUUACCAUCAUUGUCCGUCUUUCUUUUAAAAUCCAUCUGUACCCAACAGCCUUACGACCAUCAAGUAGUUCUUCCAAAGUCCACACUUUCUUUUCAUACAUGGAUCCUCUCUCGGAUUUUAUGGCCUCUCGCCAUUUGUUGGAAUCCGGGACCACCAUCACUUCUCCAUAGCUCGUAGGUUCAUUGUUGUCUAGCAACAUGACUUCCAAGACAGGAUUACCGUACCACUCUGAAGUACUACGCAUCCUUGUCGACUUACAAGGUUUGGUAGUGACUUGAUCCGAAGUUUCAUGAUCACUAUCAUCAGCUUCCACUUCAAUUGGUGUAGGUGCCACAGGAACAACUUCCUGUGCCCUGCUACACAUUGGUUGAAGUGAUGGUUCAAUAACCUCAUCAAGUCUCCACCAUCCUCCCACUCAAUUCUUUCAAGAGAAACCUUUUUCUCUAGAAAGGACCCGUUUCUAGAAACAAUCACUUUUGCUUCCGGGUCUGAAUUAGGAGGUAUACCCAACUGUUUUGAGUGUCCUAUGAAGAUGUAUUUAUCCGCUUUGGGUUCGAGCUUAUCAGGAUGAAACUUUUUCACAUAAGCGUCGCAGCCCCAAAUUUUCAAGAAACGACAGCUUAGGUUUCUCUAAACCAUAGUUCAUACGGUGUCAUCUCAACGGAAUUACUGGUGCCCUAUUUAAAGUGAAUGUGGUUGUCUCUAAUGCCUAACCCAUGAAUGAUAUUGGUAAUUCGAUAAGAGACAUCAUGGUAUGCACCAUAUCCAAUAGGGUGCAGCUAUGAUGUUCGGACACACCAUCACACUAUGGUGUUCCAGGCGGUAUUAGUUGUGAAACAAUUUCCACAAGGUCUUAAUUGUGUACCAAACUCGCAACUCAGAUAUUCAUCUUUAUGAUCAUAUCAUAGACAUUUUAUCCUCUUGUCACGAAGAUCUUCAACUUCACUCUGAAAUUACUUGAACCUUUCAAUAAUUCAAACUUGUGUUUCAUCAAGUAAAUAUACUCAGCAUCUACUCAAAUCAUCUAUGAAGUAAGAACAUAAUGAUAUCCACUGCGUGCCUCAGCACUCAUUGGACUGCACACAUCAAAAUGUAUUACUUCCAACAAGUUGAUUUCUUGUUCCAUCUUACUGAAAACGAGGCUUUUCAGUCAUCUUGCCCAUGUGGUAUGAUUUGCAUGUCUCAAGUGAUUCAAAAUCAAGUGAGUCCAAACGAUCCAUCUGCAUGGAGUUUCUCCAUGCGUACAUACCAAUAGACAUGGUUCGCAUGUCUCAAACUUUUCAAAAAAUGAGUGAGUCCAAAGUUCCAUCAACAUGGAGCUUCUUCAUGCGUUUUAUACCAAUAUGACUUACAUGGCAGUGCCACAAGCAGGUCGUACUAUCAUUACUAUCUUAUAUCUUUUGGCAUGAACAUGUGUAUCACUACGAUCGAGAUUCAAUAAACCAUUCUUUAUGGUGCAAGACCAUUAAAGGUAUUAUUCAAAUAAAUAGAGUAACCAUUAUUCUCCUUAAAUGAAUAACCGUAUUGCGAUAGACAUAAUCCAAUCAUGUCUAUGCUCAAUGCAAACACCAAAUAACAAUUAUUUAGGUUUAACACCAAUCUCGAUGGUAGAUGGAGCAGGCGAUGCUUGAUCACAUCAACCUUGGAAACACUUCCAACAUGCAUCGUCAUCUCACCUUUAGCUAGUCUUCGUUUAUUCUGUAGCUCUUUUAUUUCGAGUUACUAACACUUAGCAACCGAACCAGUAUCUUAAUACCCUGGUGCUACUAGGAGUACUAGUAAAGUACAAAUUUAAUUCAAUGUAUAUCCAAUAUACUCAUGUCAACCUUCCAGCCUUCUCAUCUACCAAGUAUCUAGGGUAGUUCUGCUUCAGUGACCGUUCCCUCAUUACAGAAGCACUUAGUCUCGGGUUUGGGUUCAACCCUGGGUUCUUCACUGGAGCAGCAACUGAUUUGCCGUUUCAUGAAGUACCCCUUCUUGCCCUUGCCCUUCUUGAAACUAGUGGUUUCACUAACCAUCAACAAUUGAUGCUCCUUCUUGAUUUCUACUUUUGCGGUGUCAAACAUCAUGAAUAUUUCAAGGAUCAUCAUAUCUAUCCCUGAUAUGUUAUAGUUCAUCACGAAGCUCUAGUAGCUUGGUGGCAAUGUCUUUGGAGAAACAUCACUAUCUCAUUUGGAAGAUUAACUCCCACUCGAUUCAAGUGAUUGUUGUACCCAGACAAUCUGAGUACAAGCUCAACGAUUGAGCUUUUCUCCCUUAGUUUGUAGGCCAAGAAGCUCGUCGGAGGUCUUAUACCUCUGACGUGGGCACGAGCCUGAAAUCCCAUUUUCAGCUCUUGGAACAUCCCCUAUGUUCCGCGACGUUUCAAAAUCGUCUUCGGUGCCUCAAUUCUAAACCGUUUAACAUUACUGAACUAUCACGUAGUCAUCAAAACAUGUAUGUCAGAUGUUCGCAACAUCCACAGACGACGUUCGAGGUUCAACACACCGAGCAGUGCAUUAAGGACAUAAGCCUUCUACGCAGCAAUGAGGACAAUCCUCAGUUUACGGACCCAAUUCGCAUAAUUGCUACUAUCAACUUUCAACUAAAUUUUCUCUAGGAACAUAUCUAAAACAGUAGAACUAAAGCGCGAGCUAUGACAUAAUUUGGAAAAACCUUUUGACUAUGUUCAGGAUAAUUAAGUUCAUCUAAUGAACUCCCACUCAGAUAGACAUCCCUCUAGUCAUCUAAGUGAUACAUGAUCCGAGUCAACUAGGCCAUGUCCGAUCAUCACGCGAGACGGACUAGUCAUCAUCGGUGAACAUCUUCAUGUUGAUCGUAUCCACUAUACGACUCAUGUUCGACCUUUCAGUCUCUUAUGUUCCGAGGCCAUGUCUGUACAUGCUAGGCUCGUCAAGUCAAACUAAGUGUUUCGCGUGUGUAAAUCUGGCUUACACCCAUUGUAUGUGAAUGUUAGAAUCUAUCACACCCGAUCAUCACGUGGUGCUUUGAAACAACGAACUUGCGCAACGGUGCACAGUUAGGGGGAACACUUUCUUGAAAUUAUUAUGAGGGAUCAUCUUAUUUACUACCGUCGUUCUAAGCAAAUAAGAUGCAUAAACAUGAUAAACAUCACAUGCAAUCAAAAAGUGACAUGAUAUGGCCAAUAUCAUUUUGCUCCUUCUGAUCUCCAUCUUCGGGGCUCCAUGAUCAUCAUCAUCACCGGCAUGACACCAUGAUCUCCAUCAUCAUGAUCUCCAUCAUCGUGUAUCCAUGAAGUUAUCUCGCCAACUAUUACUUCUACUACUAUGGCUAACGGUUUAGCAAUGAAGUAAAGUAAUUACAUGGCGUUAUUAAGUGACACGUAGGUCAUACAAUAAAUAAAGACAACUCCUAUGGCUCCUGCCGGUUGUCAUACUCAUCGACAUGCAAGUCGUUAUUCCUAUUACAAGAACAUGAUUAAUCUCAUACAUCACAUAUCAUUCAUCACAUUCUUUUUGGCCAUAUCACAUCACAUAACAUACCCUGCAAAAACAAGUUAGACGUCCUCUAAUUGUUGUUUGCAUGUUUUAUGUGGCUGCUAUGGGUUUCUAGCAAGAACGUUUCUUACCUACGCAAAAGCCACAACGUGAUAUGCCAAUUGCUAUUUACCCUUCAUAAGGACCCUUUUCAUCGAAUCCGGUCCGACUAAAGUGGGAGAGACUGGCACCCACUAGCCACAUUUUUUUAUGCAACAAGUGCAUGUCAGUCGGUGGAACCUGUCUCACGUAAGUGUGUAAGGUCGGUCCGGGCCGCUUCAUCCCACAAUACCGUCGAAACAAGAUAGGACUAGUAACGGUAAGCAUAUUGAACAAAAUCAAUGCCCAUAACAACUUGUGUUCUACUCGUGCAUAGAAACUACGCAUAGACCUAGCUCAUGAUGCCACUGUUGGGGAACGUAGCAGAAAUUCAAAAUUUUCUAUGCAACACCAAGAUCAAUGUAUGGAGACACUAGCAACGAGAGAGAGGGGAGUGCAUCUUCAUACCCUUGAAGAUCGCGAUGCGGAAGCGUUACAAGAACGCGGUCGGUGGAGUCGUUCACGAAGCGAUUCAGAUCGCGGCUGAAUCCGAUCUAAGAACCGAAGUACGGUGCCUCCGUGUUCAACACACGUGCAACCCGGUGACGUCUCCCAUGCCUUGAUCCAGCAAGGAGAGAGGGAGAGGUUGGGUAAGACUCCGUCCAGCAGCAGCACGAUGGCGUGGUGGUGGUGGAGGAGCGUGGUACUCCAGCAGGGCUUCGCCAAGCACUACGAGAGACGAGGAGGGAGAGAGGUAGGGCUGCGCCUUUGGAGAUAGAGACUCGUGUGUUGGGCAGCCCCAAAACCUCCACUAUAUAUAUGGGAAGGGAGAGGGGGAGGCGCCCUAGGGUUUCCCCUAGGGGGGCGGCGGCCAGGGCAGAUGGGAACCCUAGAUGGGGCGCCCCAAACCCCCCGGUCACGUGGGAAUAGGUGAGGGGGGCGCACAACCCCUUAGUGGGCUGGUUUGCCCCCUCCCCUUGGCCCAUGAAGCCCCCCCAACACUUGUCGGGGCUCCAGAAACACCUUUCGGUCAUGCUGGUCAUCACCCAGUACCUCCGGAACACUUCCGGACUCCAAAACCCUUCCUCCAAUAUAUCAAUCUUCACCUCCGGACCAUUCCGGGACUCCUCGUGAUGUCCGGGAUCUCAUCCGGGACUAUGAGCAACAUUCGGUAACCGCGUACAUACCUUCCCUCACUACUAGGGAAAAUCCUAGUAGUAGCGCGGGUUUUGAGGCUAUCAGCAGCGCGGGCACCCGCGCUACCAAUAAGGUGCUACAGCUAACUGUUAGUAGUAGCGCUGUAUGUACCCGCGCUACUACUAUUGACUAUAUCAGCAGCGCAUUUUUGAAACACGCUAUUAUUAGUUAGCUGUAGCGAUUUCCUGAGCCCGCGCUACUCUUAUAUCUUUCACCAUUUCCCCAUUCCAGCUUCAAUAAAUUGCAAUUUCCAGAUACUAGGUACUACUAGAUAUCAAUUUCAUAAAGCAUUAUAGGUACUAGGUAGUACUCCCACGGUUCCAAAUUACUCGUUGUGGUUUUAGUUCAAAUUUGAACUAAAACCACGAUGAGUAAUUUGGAACCGAGGGAGUACUAGAUAACAAUUUCUUAUAUACUCAACAUGCAUCCUCAAGUAGUACAAGGUGACAUCGACGACGAUCAUCAUAUUUAGUUCUAGAUGAUAUCGACGACGAUCAUCAUAUGUAGUUCUACAUGAUAUCGACGACGAUCAUCAUAUGUAGUUCUAGAUGAUAUAGCCAUACACACAUAUGUAGUUCUAGAUGAUAUCGAUGAUGAUCAUCAUCCUCAAGCCUGGGCGGUGGGUGUUCCUGAUAGUAAUUAGGAUGGCCUGUCCAACACGAAGAUUCUUGCCAAUAAGGAAUCUCUAACACCCAACCGAGUUUAAGUGUGUGCGACUGUCUGUGUCCAUGCGGUAUGUACAUAUGGUAACGGAGCCCCUUGCGGUAAGGCGUAGUCCAGCCGAGCCUUCUUCAUCAGGCUCGAUACCAUAACUCACAGAUAGGUUCUUUGGCAAUUUCUGAAUAAGAAAAACAUAUCAAUUAAUAAAUAGCCUCACACAUACUCUUGCAAAUAUAUUUCUAUAAAGUCUAGAUUUCUACGCUAUCAAAAGACACAGUACUAUGCAUUUGUACUAAUUAAUCAUGAAUUCUACUAAUAAGUAUAUAUGGAUUAUCUACACUAUUAAUAGUUCCUUGGAUUCUACACAAAUAAGCAUGUGAUCAGACUCUACACUAAAGCAUAUCAAUGACUAGAUUCCACAGAACAUAUCAUUGGACUCUACACUAAGCAUAUCAUCGGAUAAUUUGCAUUUGCAAGUAUAACAUACCAUAUCAUGUCGAUCGACCAUGGUACUUGUCAGGCGGGUCACGAAUGGCACCCCGACAAAGUCAGCACGUGGUGGAAUUAUGUCCCAUAGGUUGCACACCUCCUCCUCGCUCGGCCUCAUUCAUUGAGCUACGAUGGCUUCAUGAAGUGGGUUCUCAUCACCUUCAUCGAGUGGGUCCUCAUUAUCUUCAUCAUCUUCUUCAUCUGCAUCAUCUUUGUCAUCUUCAUCAUCUUCGUUAUCUUCAUCAUCUUCCACCAGGUUGAGAUAAAUGACAGCUGAUGAACUCACCACCAGUAAGACGCAUGCGGGCGAGGAAACGGGCCCAUCCAUCUCCUCCAAUUUGCGACAUAUUGCGUCCUUUCUCGACAUCCAUAGUGUACGGCCCCCAGGAGCCUCAAAUGUCAUAGUGUCUCCUGUGAGCUUGUUGAAUGUCAACCUCACAUUGCAUGGGACGGUCUGUGUAAGAAAAUAAAAAUGACACAAUGCAGUAAUGCCAACACUAAAAAUAAAAUAGUUGUUACAUUUCAUCUAAUUUCUUACCGCCACAUGACAAAAACUCGGCUGGAAGUAGAUGCCAAACAGCUUGCCAGUUGCAAGGCUGCUGGCGCACCUUGACUUGCACAGUCGACAUAGUGGUGGUGGUGGUAGCGCCAUUUUCCUAAAGCAAUAUGAGCAAAGGAUUAAUGAUUCACUUCACAGGAAAGAAAAACAGUAGCAUGUGAUAUUUUCCUAAAGCAAUAUGAGCAAAUGAUUAAUGAUUCACUUCACAGGACAGAAAAACAGUAGCAUAGUGGUGGUGGCGCCAUUUUAUGGACAAUUAUAAUCCUAAGAUCUAAUAACAUAUUAGAUGACAAAGUACCAUGUACCAAAGCAUUUCGGUGGCACCUAUUGCCGAAAAAAUAACAAUAAAAAUGGUGCAUACUAAAUCAACUAAAUCAACUAGCAUACUAAAUCCACUAGCAUACUAAAUCAACUAAAUCAAAAUGUUCUAAAUCAACUAAAUCAACUAGCCUACUAAAUCAACUAAAUAAACUAGCCUACUAAAUCAACUAAACCAACUAGCCUACUAAAUCAACUAAAUCAAAAUGUUCUAAAUCAACUAAAUCAACUAGCCUACUAAAUCAACUGAAUCAUAUCAACUAAAUCAGAAUGUUGCAUAUGAACUAGCCUACUAAAUCAAAAUGUAGCAGGGAGGAGGGAGAAGGAUGGGCGACUCGAGGAGGGAGAAGAGAGUAGGACGGAGGAGGAAGGCGGAGCGAGGAGGGGCUGGCCGGCGGCGAAUGGAGGGAGAAUGGAGGAGGGAGGCGGAGCGAGGAGGGGUCGGCCAGCGGCGAGUGGAGGGAGGACGGAAGAGGAGGCCGGUACCGAGUCCAGCGAGGAGGAUGAGAUGACGGCAGCGCAGAUCGGAGUAGGGGCGACAGGGGAGGACUGGCAGCACGGGGGUUGAGGGGGAGAUCGAGUGUGUGUGUGAGUGUGAUCUGGAUUGGAUAGGUAGGGGGAGAUGGAAUGGCUUAGCAGUAGCGCGCUAUAGCAACAUGCGCUACUGCUAAAUGACCUAUCAGUAGUGCCUUUCACUGAUAACGUGCUACUGCUAUGUUAGACAUAGACAUAAAAAAUACAUUGAUCAUCAAUUGUCUUUUUGUGUACAAUCUGAUUUGUCAAUAGGAAUCCUCGACGGUUGGUUUAAGAACAAGCGAGGAUUCUUAUUGCGGCCACAGAUCCUACACAUAGAGUUCAAUGAAGACCAAGUGCUUUUGAAAGUUGUGGAAGUAACAUAUUUAAGUUGGUAGAAACUCCCUUCACGGAGCGUGGUGGGACUAAAUUUUUGUAGUAACCUUAGUAGUAGCGAUUAUUGCAUAAAUGUGUUGCUGCUACGAUCCGUAGCAGUAGCGCUCUUUGUAUUAACGUGCGGCUGCUAUAACUGGCCUCGCAGCGGCCUCGUGGGAAUUUCAGCAGUAGCGCGUCCUAGAGUGUGCGCGCUACUGAUAAACUUGUUUCAACAGCGAGUUUUGAAAGCGCGCGCUACUGCUACAUAGCAGCAGCGCCUGCUUUUAAAGCGCGCUGCUGGUAAGAUUCUGUGUAUAGGCUUUUCCCUAGUAGUGCCGAUAACCCUAGCGUCAUCGAACCUUAAGUGUGUAGACCCUACGGGUUCGGGAACCAUGCAGACAUGACCGAGACAACUCUCUGGCCAAUAACCAACAACAGGAUCUGGAUACCCAUGUUGGCUCCCACAUGUUCCACGAUGAUCUCAUUGGAUGAACCACGAUGUCAAGGAUUCAAUCAAUCCCGUAUACAAUUCCCUUUGUCUACCGGUAUAGUACUUGCCCGAGAUUCGAUCGUCGGUAUGCCGAUACCUUGUUCAAUCUCGUUACCGGCAAGUCUCUUUACUCGUUCCGCAACACAUCAUCCCGUGAUCAACUCCUUGAUCACAUUGUGCACAUUAUGAUGAUGUCCUACCGAGUGGGCCCAGAGAUACCUCGCCGUCACACGAAGUGACAAAUCCCAGUCUCGAUUCAUGCCAACCCAAAAGAUACUUUCGGAGAUACCCAUAGUGCACCUUUAUAGACACCCAGUUACGUUGUGACGUUUGGUACACCCAAACCAUUCCUACGGUAUCUGGGAGUUGCACAAUCUCAUGGUUUAAGGAAAAGAUACUUGACAUUUAGAAAAGCUUUAGCAUACGAACUACACGAUCUUGUGCUAGGCUUAGGAUUGGGUCUUGUCCAUCACAUCAUUCUCCUAAUGAUGUGAUCCCGUUAUCAAUGACAUCCAAUGUCCAUGGUCAGGAAACCAUGACCAUCUGUUGAUCAACGAGCUAGUCAACUAGAGGCUCACUAGGGACAUGUUGUGGUCUAUGUAUUCACACAUGUAUUGUGGUUUCCGGUCAAUACAAUUCUAGCAUGAAUAAUCGACAAUUAUAAUGAACAAGGAAAUACAAUAAUAACCAUUUUAUUAUUGCCUCUAGGGCAUAUUUCCAACAACAACAACCAGUACACCCAAACACAAUGUUUCUUGAAAAACUGAGGAAUACUACCCCAUAUAUGGUACUCUCCUGCGCGCCCAAUUGAGCCGGCCCAUUAGCGGGGAGGGACUCCCCUUUUUUAUUUCGUUUUAUUUCUAUUUUCCUUAUUUAAAAUAAUUUGGGAUUUCAGAAAGUUCCAAAUUUCAAAAGAAAAUGAGAGUAUUGAAAAUGUUNNNNNNNNNNNNNNNNNNNNNNNNNNNNNNNNNNNNNNNNNNNNNNNNNNNNNNNNNNNNNNNNNNNNNNNNNNNNNNNNNNNNNNNNNNNNNNNNNNNNNNNNNNNNNNNNNNNNNNNNNNNNNNNNNNNNNNNNNNNNNNNNNNNNNNNNNNNNNNNNNNNNNNNNNNNNNNNNNNNNNNNNNNNNNNNNNNNNNNNNNNNNNNNNNNNNNNNNNNNNNNNNNNNNNNNNNNNNNNNNNNNNNNNNNNNNNNNNNNNNNNNNNNNNNNNNNNNNNGUAGUAAAAUGUUUAUGAAUUAAAAAAUCUGCGAUUUCAAAACAUGUUCAUCAUUUUUAAACAAUGUUCAUGAAAAUAAAAAAUUAUCAUGAAUUUCAAAAAAAGUUCACUCAUUGCAGAAAUAUUUGCUGAGUCAAAAUCUUCAUGCAUUAAAAAAAUGUUCAUCAAACAAAAAAUGUUCACUAAUUUAAAAAAAUUUCACCCAUUCCAAAAAUGUGUGCCUAUUGAAAACAAUGAUCACAAGUUAUAAAAAAUGUUCAUCCAUUAAAAAAAUAAUCAUCUUGCUCUGUAAGAAAAUUUCCAAUUACUCACAACAAUAUUCAUCGAGAUGCGGUCAACCUCCUAGAUUUUGUUGAUGGUUUGAUUGUUGUCGUUAGCUGCAUGCAACAUGAUCCGUGCAAUCCAUGGGCAUGAACCAGAUGUUGCAGACUCUGUCAUUGCCUCGAUGAGGUCACUGAAAUUUUGCCCUGAUGUAAAAUUCAUGUCACUUUGUUGCCCUAAUCCCUUUUUUAUAUGUACUAAUUAUUCUAUUAGUAUUAAAGGAAGGAAGGAUUCUUCCCUUCAAUUAUAGUUUCGGUCGUCAUCUAUCUACCAAUGUACCACACACCUUUUAUGUUUCUCCGACGUGUGGGCCGAGCUAGGCUGCUCCACACUUUUUUCUUUGUUUGAUUCAAUUGUGGAGCAUCGAAAAAUAAUUCGUUUCUAUUUCUCUCCUACGUUGGCCAAGAUGGGCCUAUUCCGAUACAUUUUAUUCUUCUUCUCAUUUGAUUGUGGCAUGUAGGUGAGAAUGAAACUAUGAAGCCGCAAACUGAACUGUGAUCAUUUUGCAAAGACGGUAUGAUUGAAAGCAUAAUUCUUUUUCAUCUCAACAAUAAUUGUCGUCGAUCAUAAAUUAAAUUUUUUUUAUAUUUUAGUAUAUGCUAGGGAAGUUAAAUUUUCUCCUGUUGCAACGCACGGGCAUUUUUGCUAGUAAUAUACAUAAAAAGAUCGAUAUUUCAACUGUUUAACAAAAAAACUAGGAAAAAAAACCUAAACCCUAUACUGGACAACCACCACGUAUGUGUGGCCGCGCUGCACUGCCGCACGGCGUCGCCGUCUGUGCCACCGAUGUCGUCGUCGUUGUCGUCCCUCCAGCGGCGGAACAACGCAGGAUGACCAUGACAGUCUUGUCCAACGGUUACCUGCCGCUCAUGGAGGAGCCGCUCCGCCUCUUGUUGCGCGGUGCGGAGGGCCUCCGCGGCCACUGUCAUGACCGGCAUUGGCAGAGUAGUCGCUAAGAUACCCCUCCUCACUGUCAAGGCGGCGGCGGCGCCUGGCGACGGUCUCUGUGGUGGUGUUGGAGCGGUUGAGCACCCACUCGGCAGAAAGGUCAGGGUCAUUACCGGCCCAUUCCGGCGUCCGACUUGGCGAACGCGGAUCGGUGACCGACAUUGCAUAGGUCGUAUCUCGCCCGCUACCUCGCCGCGAGCUCCGCCUCGAAAACAGUUGGCUCGUCGGUCGUUUUGCCCAGUUUUACAAAUUCACUAACUUUUUUUAAUACUUUCUAAACAAUUGUAUUGAGCCAGCAAACAUUUUUCGAAAUUUGGGAACAAUAUUUGAAAUUUAGGUACAUUUUUAGUUUCUGACGAAUAUUUUUUUGAGUUCAUGAAUACUUUUUGAAUCAGCAAACAUUUCUAAAUCUUUUGCACAUUAUUGGAAACACAAGAAUAGUUAUCAAAAUUCCUCAUUUUUUCAAUAUUGUGACAUUUUUCUAAAUUCCUAAAAAAACUCAGAAAUUCAUGAACAGUUUAUGAAUAUUGAACAUUUACUACUUCACGACCAAUUUUUACCAAUUCGUGAACAUUUAUUUCAAAUUGCGCUAUUUGUUUUUGAAUAUUUGAACACUUCCUAAAAGUCCUCAAAUUUUUAAGAAAAUUUAUGAACAUUUGUUUAAUACACGAACAUAUUUUGGAAAUCAUGAACCUUUUCUGAAUCUGUGAGCAUCUAUCAUUUCCUGAACAUUUUUUCAAUCAUGAAAUUUCUUUGAAUCUACAAACAAUUUUUUACAGUCUGCAACUUUUUGGAAAUCAGGAAUUAGUUUUUGAAAGGAAAAUACUGAUAACAGAAAAAAGAACAAACAAAGGGGCAACCCACCGCCACAUGGGUCCGCCCAUGAGGGUUUGCUGGGGAGACGGGUGGGGUAUAAGCACGGACGCGGGGAGCUCCAAUUGCGUGCGUCAGAAAAAAAGGAAAAGAAAGGUAAAAGAAAGAAAAAGUGGAAAGUUACCAGAUCAUGCUGGUGGCGGGUUGGUUACGCCCGUGGUACACGAUUAGGGUGGUUGCUCAACAUGACAAUGAGUACCCGCGAAUCCGACGGGUCAAAACACUAGUGGGUAAGGGUUUGAGAAAGUUAAAUACCCAUGGGUUUUUAAAUGGCACAAAAAUGUAACCUUCGGGUAAGCCUGGUAUAGGUACGGGAAGGCAAUACCCAUACCCGUAUACCCGCGUACCCGCUGCAUAGUAGUACAUCUCAUACGUAGGUCCCCUAUGUCAUUCACUUAAAAAGAGAAAAACCCUAGCCUAACCCAGCCGCAGCCUGCACACAAAAUGCCCUCCCGUUACCCACCCAUCGCUCCUCACUCAUAGAACACAAACACCGUAUACCCAUCUCACCUCGGCUGAAAUGCUAAAUAAACAGACUGAAAUGUUGUGUUUUAUCUACUGAAAUAUUGAAAUUAUACAUUGUACAAUUUGAAUUGAAAGGUGACCGAGAUGGGUAUUACCCGCACACGGUCAAGAUUGGCGAUUUGAAUUGAAAGGUGACCGAGAUGGCUGUGAAAAAAGUUGAUCAUGUAUUUAAAAUAUGUUAAACAACUAUUAGAAAAAUGUUAAUCAAGCUUUAGAACAAUGUUGAAUGUGUAUAGGAAUAAUGUUGACCAUAUAUUAAACAAAUGGUAAAAUAUUUUGAUCAUGUCUAUGAAAAUAUGAAUCAAGCAUUUAAGAAAAUGUUGAACAAGUAUUUCAAAAAAAGUUAAUCAAGCAUUCGGAAAAUGUUAAAUGUGUAUAAAAAUUGUUUACCAUGCAUUCAAAUAAAUGUUAAUCUUGAAUUUGGAAAAUGUUGGUAAAGCAUUUAAAAAAUGUUAAUUAUUCAUUAAAAAAUUGUUGACCCUGUAUAAGAAAAAUGUUGACCAUGUAUUAGGAAAUUCUUGACCAUGUAUUUGAAAAAAUGUUAAUCAAUCAUUUGAAAAAAAAUUAAAGUGUGUAUAGGAAAAAUGUUGAUCACGGACACAAAAAAUGUUAAUCUUGUAUUUAACAUAUGCUAACCAAGCAUGGUGGUGAUGGUGGUGGUGGAGUCGGAAUACCGGCAGGGCUUCACUAAGCGAAAAAACCGUGGACGAGAACUAUGCCGGGAGAGAGAGAGACGGGGCAGUAGUUAAGGCCAAUGUAUUGGGUACCUUUGCUGCGCCCCUCCCCCAUAUUUAUAUGCAUCGGGGGGGCUUGGAGUCCAGCCCUACUCCUAAUUAAUACGUGUUGGGGCCAAAGGGGUAGAGGACUUGGACUCCAAGCCCAAUUCUAUUCCUACUAGGACUCCCCCUUUUCCCUUCCCCGGCCAUAUGGGCUUUUGAGGACUUGGUGCGCCUAGCCCAAUAAAGCCAGGGCGCCUCCCCUUAGCCCAUGUCAGUCCUUGGGACGUGGUGAACCCACUUGUGGACUUCCGGACCCCUCCGGAUCCUUUUGAAAGCUUCCCAAUACAAUGCCAAAAAAACUUCACCUUUUCCGAAACCCAACAUAUGACUUCCCAUAUAUAAAUCUUUACCUCUCGACCAUUUCCGAGACUCCUCGUGACGUCCGAGAUCUCAUCCGGGACUCCGAACAACAUUUGGUUACCAACAUACAUAUCCCAAUAUUACUCUAGCGUCACCAAACGUUAAGCGUGCGGACCCUACGGGUUCGAGAAUGAUGUAGACAUGACUAAGACACUUCUCCGGUCAAUAACCAAUAGCAGAACCUGGAUGCCCAUAUUGGUUCCUACAUAUUCUAUGAAGAUCUUUAUCGGUCGAACCUUUUAUGACAAUGAUACGUCUCCAAUGUAUCUAUACGUUUUGAUUGUCCAAUGCUAUUAUAUUAUCUAUUUUGGAUGUUUUUUAUGCAUUAAUAUGCUAUUUUAUAUUAUUUUUGGGACUAACCUAUUAACCUAGAGCCCAGUUGUCAGUUUCUGUUUUUUCUUUGUUUUUGAGCCUAGCAAAAAAGGAAUACCAAACAGAGUCCAAACGGAAUAAAACCUUCACAAUGAUUUUUGUUGUACCAAAAGACACCCGUUGGAUCUGGACUCCAAGUCAGAAGACCUUAGAGUACACGACAAGCCACAGGGGCGCGCCCUCUGCCUUGUGGCCUACUCCAACACCCCCUGACCUAAUUCUUCAUCCUAUAUAUUAACAAAUAUUCCCAAACCACCAAAGGCAUCCACAAAAACACUUUUCCACUGCCGCAACCUUCUGUUCCCGUGAUAUCCCAUCUAGGGGCCUUUCCGGCAUCCUGCCAGAGGGGGAUUUGAUCACAGAGGGCUUCUACAUGAACUCUAUUGCCCUUCCGAUGAAGCGUGAGUAGUGUACCACAAACCUACGUGUCCAUCUCUAGUAGCUAGAUGGCUUCCUCUCUCUCUUUGAUUCUCAAUACCAUGUUCUCCUCGAUGUUCUUGGAGAUCUAUUCGAUGUAAUCUUCUUUUGUGGUGUAUUCGUCAAGAUCCGAUGAAUUGUGGAUUUAUGGUCAGCUUAACUAUGAAUAUUAUUUGAAUCUUCUCUGAAUUCUUAUAUGCAUGAUUUGAUAUCUUUGUAAUUCUCUUCGAACUAUCGUUUUAGUUUGGCCAACUAGAUUGGUUUUUCUUGCAAUGGGAGAAGUGCUUAGCUUUGGGUUCAAUCUUGCAGUGUCCUUUCCCUGUGACAGUAGGGGCAUCAAGGCACGUAUUGUAUUGUUGCCAUCGAGGAUAAAAAGAUGGGGUUUACAUCAUAUUUCUUGAGUUUAUUCCUCUACAUCAUGUCAUCUUACUUAAUGCGUUACUCUGUUCUUUAUGAACUUAAUACUCUAGAUGCAGGCAGGAGUCGGUCAAUGUGUGGAGUAAUAGUAGUAAAUGCAGGCAGGAGUUGGUCUACUUGACACAGACGUGAUGCCUAUAUUUCAUAAUCAUGGCCUUGGAUAUCAUCAUAACUUUGCGCUUUUCUAUCAAUACUCGACAGUAAUUUGUUCACCCACCGUAAUAUUUGCCUUCAUGAGAUAAGCCUCUAGUGAAAUCUAUCUCCCCUUGGUCUAACUUCCAUCAUAUUAGUUUCUGAUCUAUUAUUUUGCAAUCUUUUACUUUCAGAUCUAUAAACCAAAAAAAUCCAAAAAUAUUUUGUCUUUUGUUUAUCAAUCUCUAUCAGAUCUCACUUUUGCAAGUGACCGUGAAGGGAUUGACUACCCCUUUAUCAUGUUGGGUGCAAGUUGUUUGAUUGUUUGUGCAGGUAUUGGUGGCUUGUGCGUUGUCUCCUACUGGAUUGAUACCUUGGUUCUCUAACUGGGGGGAAAUACUUAUCUCUACUUCACCGCAUCACCCUUUCCUCUUCAAGGGAAAAACCAACGCAAUCUCAAGAAGUAGCAGGAAGAAUUUCUGGCACCGUUGCCAGGGAGAUCUGCGCAAAGUCAAGACAUACCAAGUGCCCAUCAUAAAACUCUGAUCUCUUGCAUUACAUUAUUCAUGAUUUGCCUCUCGUUUUCCUCUCCCCCACUUCUAAAACAAUUUUCGAAAAGAUUAGCCUUUUUAUUCGCCUUCUUUCCGUUUGACUUUUUGCUCAUUGGCUAUCUUUGCUUGUGUUCCCAUGUGCCCUCUAUUUUGUUGCAUCUUUGCUUGCUAAAAAUCUUUUGAUAUGGAACCACUUAAAGUUUUCUACUUGGAUCAUCUUUGAUCCAUAUGUGCUCGUGUUGAAACCCCAACUAGUUUAGUUGAGGGAAAAUCUUUAGAUGAGUAUGCUCAUUUUGUGUGUCAUUGUUUCUCUGAAAAAGGGAGACUCUUAUGGAAUCAAAUAAAUUGUUUGCUAUGUUAUGCUUGGAAUCUUUGUGAACUUUGUGAUUUUACUUGUUGCUCUAAGAACCCUAAAAAACACCUUCCCUACCUAUGUGAGUUUAAUGAUAAUGAAAUCUUAUCUUCUUAUGAAAAGGGUGUUUACAAUUACUAUGAUAUCGAACAAACUGAAGAAUUUGUUGCUUUUAAGUGUGCUUAUGAAGUUGCUUCUUUGAUUAAAAAGUAUGAUAUUACUCUCUACAAAUCUGAAAAUUUUGACAUACUUAAAUAUUGCUAUGAGAACUAUGCUCAUAAUGCCUAUGUUAAGGAAUUUAUUGAGAGAAUGACCGUUGAUUUGGAAAAAUAAUAAUGAUAUGCAUGAAUCCAUAGAUAAUUAUGAUUCUGAUGAUUUGAUUGAAAUAUCCCUUGAUGAACAUGAUGCUUGCUAUUCUUAUGGCCAUGAUGCCAAUAUUAAUUAUGCUUAUGGAGAUGAACUUGCUAUAGUUCCUUAUGUUAAACAAUGAAUUAUUUCUUUUGCAACCACACUUGAUAGUUCCUUCGAUGAAAAGGAUGAUCGUAAUGAUGUUAUUAUAAAUUCUAUUAAGGUCAAUUGUGUUAAUGAUAUGCAAAACACUAAGCUUGGAGAUGCUAGUUUUCUUAUGUCCACUACUUGUUGCAAUGAUCAUGAUUGGGGUGAUUCUUCUCAUGAUCUUGAAAAUAUAUUUAAACCUCAUGAUGAAUAUGUUUGCUAUAAUAUUGAAAGUGGGUUUGGAAGAGUGUCAACUUUAGAUCCCACAUAUUUGGAUAAUUUUCAAUCUUAUGAAGUUUUGAUAAAAGUGGGUUUGGAGAGGUCAUGACUUUAGUUAAUGUUAAUCCCACUAUUUUGGAAGAGUGUCAACUUCGCAUGCAUGUGGAUCUUGCUGAGAAUAUGUUAUGUGAUAGCUAUAUUGUUGAAUUGGAAUAUGAUCCCAUGUGCAAUAACUAUAAGAGAGGAAAAUAUGGUUUUAGAAAUUUUCAUGCUACUAAAUUACCUCUCUUCAUGUUGAGAUUGUCUAUGUUUUAUUCUUUCUUUGCAUAUGCUAGUUUUUGCUUGCCUUGAUAAUUCGUUUGCUUAUAAAAUGUCUAUGCAUAGGAAAUAUGUUAGACUUAGAUGUGUUUGUAACGUGUUUUAUGAUGCUCUCUUUGUGCUUCAAUUCUUCUCUUUUAUGUGAGCAUCAUUGAAAUUAUCAAUGCCUAGCUAAAAGGCUUUAAAGAAAAGCGCUUGUUGGGAGACAACCCAAUAUUUUUCAUUCGAGUUUUUCAAUAAAUAAUUCAUCUAGCCUCUGUUAGAUGUGUUUUUGUGUUUUAGUUAGUGUUUGUGCCAGGUAAGACCUUUGGAAUGGCUUACGGUGAUAGUUGUUUUGAUCUUGCUGAAAACCAAAAACUUUUGCGCCCAGGAAAAUAAUUUUCACUUUUUAUAGAAGCAUGCUUUUGAUCUAAUUAUUUUUGCACAAGAUUGGUUCACAAAUUUCCCAGGGUGUCCUAAUAUGUCAGAAUAUUUGUAGUUACAGAAGUAUUUGAAGAUUCCAGAUUCCUAUAGACUAUUCUGUUUUUGAUAGAUUUUGUUUUCUAUUGGCUGUUUGCUUAUUUUGAUGAAUAUAUGGGUAGUAUCGGGGGUAUGAACCAUGGAAAAGUUGGAAUACAGUAGAUAUUACCACUAGUAGAAAACAGGGCUACCGUUCGGCCCUGGCCAGCCCAUUAGUCCCGGUUCUUCAAGAACCGGGACCGAUGGGGGGUAUUACACCCGGUUCGUGAGCCCAGGGGGGCGACCGGGGCCUCGUGGGCAUUGGUCCCGGUUCGUGUGGAACCAUUUGUCCCGGUUCAAGCCACAAACCGGGACCAAUGGUCCUCGCUGCUGGCCCACAACCAUUGGUCCCAGUUCGUGGCUUGAACCGGGAUAGAAGGGUUGGCUUUAGUCCCUGUUCAUGCCACGAACCAGGACAAAUAACUUUCCUACAUAUACCCACCGCUGGGCAGAGCACUCCACAGUGCUCUCUUUUUGUCAAGCCGGUGAGGGGAGGGCAUUUGGGUGCUGUAGUUCACCUCCUAUGCACAUGAGGUGUUCGACGAAAUGCCCGAGCCACACUAGUUAAGCUUUCUCCUCUCGAAACUCGACCUCCAAGCUCCAUUUUCAACGAGAUUUGUCUAGAUUUAGCGGUCCGUCACACCCCGUCCCCGCCCCGUCUUCACCGCCGUCGACCGCCCGCGCCGAUCUCGUCGCCGGCACCACCAUGGUGAGUCUCUUGUUCUUAUCUUCUUUCUGAAAGAAAAAAAUUCUGACUUCAGAUAGAUACUUGUCUAAUUUUCUUACUUUUAUUAUUCCUUUUUAUUAUAUAGUGCGAUGGUUUUGGUAUCCGCCCCCGUCGGCCCUCGUCCUGUCUAUGAUUCAGAUGCGGUAUAUAUUAUCUUUUCAUAACUAUUUGGUUCAUUUAUUGUUUAUGACAAAUAUGCCGACCAAUGUGACAUAGAUUUUAUUUAUCUUGGAGGUUGUUGAACCGGAAAUUCCAACCGACCCUAUUGUCGAGAGAUUAAAUUUAGUUGAAGAAGAAAACAAUUACUUGAAGGAAAAAAUAAGAAAAAUUGAGGAGGAGAAGAUGAUAUUGGAGUUGCAUGUUGCGGAUGUCGUCGAUGAUCACAAGAUCAAGAUGGAUGCAAUGCGGUUGAAGAUUAAAAAGAUUAGAAAAUAUGCCAUGCAUACUGAGGCUUGGAAUCAUUAUGCAGUUGGAUCAGCUGCUACCUUGGUUGCGGUUAUGAUCGCAUUUGUUUUUGCAUUACAUAAUUUCAAUGUAUGGUUUAAUUAGAUGCUCUAGAGAGCUAUAUGUUGUUCAAUGAGAACUACGUAUGUACUUUGGUUUUAAUGCCAUGGAUAACUAUGUAUGUACUUUGGUUUCAGAGUUCAUUUCAAAUGCUUUUCAACUUCAUGGUCUUACAAGGAGAUUCCGUAUGAAACCCUGAUACUUCGAAGGAGAUUGUCUGUUUUGUACACGAAGUGCAUCAAGUUUUUGCCGUAAGCCUCUCUACUUUCUUGCACAUGCUAUGUGGGUGAAAUGAUGACACCAUGCCAACUUGGAACCUUCUCAGAGUUCAUUUCAAAUGCUUUUCAAUUUCAUGGUCUUAUAGCUCAAAAUAAUCAGUAAAUGCAUGAAAAAUAACAAAUGAAGUCAGAAAAGGUUGUAAAUUGAUGAUGUGGCUUUGAAUGGUGGAUUUUGAACACAGAAAAACAAGGGGGUUCAAAUAAGAUCAAAAAAUGAAAUCCCUUUGUAACAGACGAGUUUUCGUAUGAAACCCUGAUACUUCGAAGGAGAUUGUCUGUUUUGUACACGAAGUACAUCCAGUUGUUGCCGUAAGCCUCUCUACUUUCUUGCACAUCCUAUGUGGGUGAAAUGAUGAUACCAUGCCAACUUGGAACCGUUUCAGAGUUUAUUUCAAAUGCUUUUCAAUUUCAUGGUCUUAUAGCUCAAAAUAAUCAGCAAAUGCAUGCAAAAUAACAAAUGAAGUCAGAAAGGGUUGUAAAUUGAUGAUGUGGCUUUGAAUGGUGCAUUUUGAACACAGAAAAACAAGGGGGUGAAAUGAAAUCCCUUUGAAACAGACGAGUUUCCGUAUGAAACCCUGAUACUUCGAAGGAGAUUGUCUGUUUUGUACACGAAGUGCAUCCAGUUUUUGCCGUAAGCCUGUCUACUUUAUUGCACAUGCUAUGUGGGUGAAAUGAUGAUAGCGUGCCAACUUGGAACCUUUUCAGAGUUCAUUUCAAAUGCUUUUCAAUUUCAUGGUCUUAUAGAUCAAAAUAAUCAGUAAACGCAUGAAAAAUAACAAAUGAAGUCAGAAAGGGUUGUAAAUUGAUGAUGUGGCUUUGAAUGAUGCAUUUUUAACAUAGAAAAACAAGGGGGCUAAAAUAAGUUCAAAAAACUUGAAAUCCCUUUGUAACAAACGAGUUUCCGUAUGAAACUCGUAUACUUCGAAGGAGAUUGUCUGUUUUGUACAUGAAGUGCAUCCAGUUUUUGCCGUAAGCCUCUCUACUUUCUUGCACAUGCUAUGUGGGUGAAAUGAUGAUACCAUGACAACUUGGAACCUUUUCAGAGUUCAUUUCAAACGCUUUUCAAUUUCAUGGUCUUAUAGCUCAAAAUAAUUAGUAAAUGCAUGAAAAAUAACAAAUGAAGUCAGAAAGGGUUGUAAAUUGAUGAUGUGGCUUUGAAUGGUGCAUUUUGAACACAGAAAAACAAGGGGGUCCAAAUAAGUUCAAAAAAAUUGAAAUCCCUUUGUAACAGACGAGUUUCCACAUGNNNNNNNNNNNNNNNNNNNNNNNNNNNNNNNNNNNNNNNNNNNNNNNNNNNNNNNNNNNNNNNNNNNNNNNNNNNNNNNNNNNNNNNNNNNNNNNNNNNNNNNNNNNNNNNNNNNNNNNNNNNNNNNNNNNNNNNNNNNNNNNNNNNNNNNNNNNNNNNNNNNNNNNNNNNNNNNNNNNNNNNNNNNNNNNNNNNNNNNNNNNNNNNNNNNNNNNNNNNNNNNNNNNNNNNNNNNNNNNNNNNNNNNNNNNNNNNNNNNNNNNNNNNNNNNNNNNNNNNNNNNNNNNNNNNNNNNNNNNNNNNNNNNNNNNNNNNNNNNNNNNNNNNNNNNNNNNNNNNNNNNNNNNNNNNNNNNNNNNNNNNNNNNNNNNNNNNNNNNNNNNNNNNNNNNNNNNNNNNNNNNNNNNNNNNNNNNNNNNNNNNNNNNNNNNNNNNNNNNNNNNNNNNNNNNNNNNNNNNNNNNNNNNNNNNNNNNNNNNNNNNNNNNNNNNNNNNNNNNNNNNNNNNNNNNNNNNNNNNNNNNNNNNNNNNNNNNNNNNNNNNNNNNNNNNNNNNNNNNNNNNNNNNNNNNNNNNNNNNNNNNNNNNNNNNNNNNNNNNNNNNNNNNNNNNNNNNNNNNNNNNNNNNNNNNNNNNNNNNNNNNNNNNNNNNNNNNNNNNNNNNNNNNNNNNNNNNNNNNNNNNNNNNNNNNNNNNNNNNNNNNNNNNNNNNNNNNNNNNNNNNNNNNNNNNNNNNNNNNNNNNNNNNNNNNNNNNGAAAAACAAGGGGGUGAAAUGAAAUCCCUUUGAAACAGACGAGUUUCCGUAUGAAACCCUGAUACUUCGAAGGAGAUUGUCUGUUUUGUACACGAAGUGCAUCCAGGUUUUGCCGUAAGCCUGUCUACUUUAUUGCACAUGCUAUGUGGGUGAAAUGAUGAUAGCAUGCCAACUUGGAACCUUUUCAGAGUUCAUUUCAAAUGCUUUUCAAUUUCAUGGUCUUAUAGCUCAAAAUAAUCAGUAAAUGCAUGAAAAAUAACAAAUGAAGUCAGAAAGGGUUGUAAAUUGAUGAUGUGGCUUUGAAUGAUGCAUUUUUAACAUAGAAAAACAAGGGGGCUAAAAUAAGUUCAAAAAACUUGAAAUCCCUUUGUCACAGACGAGUUUCCGUAUGAAACUCGUAUACUUCGAAGGAGAUUGUCUGUUUUGUACACGAAGUGCAUCCAGUUUUUGCCGUAAGCCUCUCUACUUUCUUGCACAUGCUAUGUGGGUGAAAUGAUGAUACCAUGACAACUUGGAACCUUUUCAGAGUUCAUUUCAAAUGCUUUUCAAUUUCAUGGUCUUAUAGCUCAAAAUAAUCAGUAAAUGCAUGAAAAAUAACAAAUGAAGUCAGAAAGGGUUGUAAAUUGAUGAUGUGGCUUUGAAUGGUACAUUUUGAACACAGAAAAACAAGGGGGUUCAAAUAAGUUCAAAAAAAUUGAAAUCCCUUUGUAACAGAAGAGUUUCCAUAUGAAACCGUGAUACUUCGAAGGAGAUUGNNNNNNNNNNNNNNNNNNNNNNNNNNNNNNNNNNNNNNNNNNNNNNNNNNNNNNNNNNNNNNNNNNNNNNNNNNNNNNNNNNNNNNNNNNNNNNNNNNNNNNNNNNNNNNNNNNNNNNNNNNNNNNNNNNNNNNNNNNNNNNNNNNNNNNNNNNNNNNNNNNNNNNNNNNNNNNNNNNNNNNNNNNNNNNNNNNNNNNNNNNNNNNNNNNNNNNNNNNNNNNNNNNNNNNNNNNNNNNNNNNNNNNNNNNNNNNNNNNNNNNNNNNNNNNNNNNNNNNNNNNNNNNNNNNNNNNNNNNNNNNNNNNNNNNNNNNNNNNNNNNNNNNNNNNNNNNNNNNNNNNNNNNNNNNNNNNNNNNNNNNNNNNNNNNNNNNNNNNNNNNNNNNNNNNNNNNNNNNNNNNNNNNNNNNNNNNNNNNNNNNNNNNNNNNNNNNNNNNNNNNNNNNNNNNNNNNNNNNNNNNNNNNNNNNNNNNNNNNNNNNNNNNNNNNNNNNNNNNNNNNNNNNNNNNNNNNNNNNNNNNNNNNNNNNNNNNNNNNNNNNNNNNNNNNNNNNNNNNNNNNNNNNNNNNNNNNNNNNNNNNNNNNNNNNNNNNNNNNNNNNNNNNNNNNNNNNNNNNNNNNNNNNNNNNNNNNNNNNNNNNNNNNNNNNNNNNNNNNNNNNNNNNNNNNNNNNNNNNNNNNNNNNNNNNNNNNNNNNNNNNNNNNNNNNNNNNNNNNNNNNNNNNNNNNNNNNNNNNNNNNNNNNNNNNNNNNNNNNNNNNNNNNNNNNNNNNNNNNNNNNNNNNNNNNNNNNNNNNNNNNNNNNNNNNNNNNNNNNNNNNNNNNNNNNNNNNNNNNNNNNNNNNNNNNNNNNNNNNNNNNNNNNNNNNNNNNNNNNNNNNNNNNNNNNNNNNNNNNNNNNNNNNNNNNNNNNNNNNNNNNNNNNNNNNNNNNNNNNNNNNNNNNNNNNNNNNNNNNNNNNNNNNNNNNNNNNNNNNNNNNNNNNNNNNNNNNNNNNNNNNNNNNNNNNNNNNNNNNNNNNNNNNNNNNNNNNNNNNNNNNNNNNNNNNNNNNNNNNNNNNNNNNNNNNNNNUGGUGCAUUUUGAACACAGAAAAACAAGGGGGUUCCAAUAAGUUCAAAAAAAUGAAAUCCCUUUGAAACAGACGAGUCUCUGUAUGAAACCCUGAUACUUCGAAGGAGAUUGUCUGUUUUGUACACGAAGUGCAUCCAGUUUUUGCCGUAAGCCUCUCUACUUUCUUGCACAUGCUAUGUGGGUGAAAUGAUGAUACCAUGCCAACUUGGAAUCUUUUCAGAGUUCAUUUCAAAUGCUUUUCAAUUUCAUUGUCUUGUAGCUCAAAAUAAUCAGUAAAUGCAUGAAAAAGAAUGAAUGAAGUCAGAAAUGGUUGAAAAUUGAUGAUGUGGCUUUGAAUGGUGCAUUUUUAACACAGAAAAACAAGGGGGUUAAAAUAAGUUCAAAAGAAUUGAAAUCCCUUUGUAACAGACGAAUUUUCGUAUGAAACCCUCAUACUUCGACGGAGAUUGUCUGUUUUGUACAUGAAGUGCAUCCAGUUUUUGCUGUAAGCCUCUCUACUUUCUUGCAUAUGCUAUGUGGGUAAAUGAUGAUACCAUGCCAACUUGGAACCUUUUCAAGGUUCAUUUCAAAUGCUUUUCAAUUUCAUGGUCUUAUAGUUCAAAAUAAUUAGUAAAUGCAUGAAAAAUAAUGAAUGAAGUCAGAAAGGGUUGUAAAUUGAUGAUGUGGCUUUGAAUGGUGGAUUUUGAACACAGAAAAACAAGGGGGUUGAAAUAAGUUCAAAAAAAUUGAAAUCCCUUAGUAACAGACGAGUUUUCGUAUGAAACCCUGAUACUUCGAAGGAGAUUGCCUGUUUUGUACACGAAGUGCAUUCAGUUUUUGCCGUAAGCCUCUCUACUUUCUUGCACAUCCUAUGUGGGUGAAAUGAUGAUACCAUGCCAACUUGGAACCUUUUCAGAGUUCAUUUCAAAUGCUUUUCAAUUUCAUGGUCUUAUAGCUCAAAAUAAUCAGUAAAUGCAUGCAAAAUAACAAAUGAAGUCAGAAAGGGUUGUAAAAUGUUGAUGUGGCUUUGAAUGGUGCAUUUUGAACACAAAAAAACAUGGGGGUUCAAAUAGGUUCAAAAAAGUUGAAAUCCCUUUGUAGCAGACGAGUUUCCGUAUGAAACCCUGAUACUUCGAAGGAGAUUGUCUGUUUUGUACACGAAGUGCAUCCUGUUUUUGCCGUAAGCCUGUCUACUUUAUUGCACAUGCUAUGUGGGUGAAAUGAUGAUACCAUGCCAACUUGGAACCUUUUCAGAGUUCAUUUCAAAUGCUUUUCAAUUUCAUGGUCUUAUAGCUCAAAAUAAUCAGUAAAUGCAUGAAAAAUAACAAAUGAAGUCAGAAAGGGUUGUAAAUUGAUGAUGUGGCUUUGAAUGAUGUAUUUUGAACACAGAAAAACAAGGGGGUUGAAAUAAUUUCAAAAAAAUUGAAAUCCCUUAGUAACAAACGAGUUUUCGUAUGAAACCCUGAUACUUCGAAGGAGAUUGCCUGUUUUGUACACGAAGUGCAUCCAGUUUUUGCCGUAAGCCUCUCUACUUUCUUGCACAUCCUAUGUGGGUGAAAUGAUGAUACCAUGCCAACUUGGAACCUUUUCAGAGUUCAUUUCAAAUGCUUUUCAAUUUCAUGGUCUUAUAGCUCAAAAUAAUCAGUAAAUGCAUGCAAAAUAAGAAAUGAAGUCAGAAAGGGUUGUAAAUUGUUGAUGUGGCUUUGAAUGGUGCAUUUUGAACACAAAAAACCAUGGGGGUUCAAAUAGGUUCAAAAAAGUUGAAAUCCCUUUGUAGCAGACGAGUUUCCGUAUGAAACCCUGAUACUUCGAAGGAGAUUGUCUGUUUUGUACAUGAAGUGCAUCCUGUUUUUGCCGUAAGCCUGUCUACUUUAUUGCACAUGCUAUGUGGGUGAAAUGAUGAUACCAUGCCAACUUGGAACCUUUUCAGAGUUCAUUUCAAAUGCUUUUCAAUUUCAUGGUCUUAUAGCUCAAAAUAAUCAGUAAAUGCAUGAACAAUAACAAAUGAAGUCAGAAAGGGUUGUAAAUUGAUGAUGUGGCUUUGAAUGAUGCAUUUUGAACACAGAAAAACAAGGGGGUUGAAAUAAUUUCAAAAAAAAUUGAAAUCCCUUAGUAACAGACGAGUUUUCGUAUGAAACCCUGAUACUUCGAAGGAGAUUGCCUGUNNNNNNNNNNCCUGUUUUGUACACGAAGUGCAUCCAGUUUUUGCCGUAAGCCUCUCUACUUUCUUGCACAUCCUAUGUGGGUGAAAUGAUGAUACCAUGCCAACUUGGAACCUUUUCAGAGUUCAUUUCAAAUGCUUUUCAAUUUCAUGGUCUUAUAGCUCAAAAUAAUCAGUAAAUGCAUGCAAAAUAACAAAUGAAGUCAGAAAGGGUUGUAAAUUGUUGAUGUGGCUUUGAAUGGUGCAUUUUGAACACAAAAAAACAUGGGGGUUCAAAUAGGUUCAAAAAAGUUGAAAUCCCUUUGUAGCAGACGAGUUUCCGUAUGAAACCCUGAUACUUCGAAGGAGAUUGUCUGUUUUGUACACGAAGUGCAUCCUGUUUUUGCCGUAAGCCUGUCUACUUUAUUGCACAUGCUAUGUGGGUGAAAUGAUGAUACCAUGCCAACUUGGAACCUUUUNNNNNNNNNNGGCUUUGAAUGAUGCAUUUUGAACACAGAAAAACAAGGGGGUUGAAAUAAUUUCAAAAAAAAUUGAAAUCCCUUAGUAACAGACGAGUUUUCGUAUGAAACCCUGAUACUUCGAAGGAGAUUGCCUGUUUUGUACAUGAAGUGCAUCCAGUUUUUGCCGUAAGCCUCUCUACUUUCUUGCACAUCCUAUGUGGGUGAAAUGAUGAUACCAUGCCAACUUGGAACCUUUUCAGAGUUCAUUUCAAAUGCUUUUCAAUUUCAUGGUCUUAUAGCUCAAAAUAAUCAGUAAAUGCAUGCAAAAUAACAAAUGAAGUCAGAAAGGGUUGUAAAUUGUUGAUGUGGCUUUGAAUGGUGCAUUUUGAACACAAAAAAACAUGGGGGUUCAAAUAGGUUCAAAAAAGUUGAAAUCCAUUUGUAGCAGACGAGUUUCCGUAUGAAACCCUGAUACUUCGAAGGAGAUUGUCUGUUUUGUACACGAAGUGCAUCCUGUUUUUGCCGUAAGCCUGUCUACUUUAUUGCACAUGCUAUGUGGGUGAAAUGAUGAUACCAUGCCAACUUGGAACCUUUUUAGACUUCAUUUCAAAUGCUUUUCAAUUUCAUGGUCUUAUAGCUCAAAAUAAUCAGUAAAUGCAUGAAAAAUAACAAAUGAAGUCAGAAAGGGUUGUAAAUUGAUGAUGUGGCUUUGAAUGAUGCAUUUUGAACACAGAAAAACAAGGGGGUUGAAAUAAGUUCAAAAAAAUUGAAAUCCCUUAGUAACAGACGAGUUUUCGUAUGAAACCCUGAUACUUCGAAGGAGAUUGCCUGUUUUGUACACGAAGUGCAUCCAGUUUUUGCCGUAAGCCUCUCUACUUUCUUGCACAUCCUAUGUGGGUGAAAUGAUGAUACCAUGCCAACUUGGAACCUUUUCAGAGUUCAUUUCAAAUGCUUUUCAAUUUCAUGGUCUUAUAGCUCAAAAUAAUCAGUAAAUGCAUGCAAAAUAACAAAUGAAGUCAGAAAGGGUUGUAAAUUGUUGAUGUGGCUUUGAAUGGUGCAUUUUGAACACAAAAAAACAUGGGGGUUCAAAUAGGUUCAAAAAAGUUGAAAUCCCUUUGUAGCAGACGAGUUUCCGUAUGAAACCCUGAUACUUCGAAGGAGAUUGUCUGUUUUGUACACGAAGUGCAUCCUGUUUUUGCCGUAAGCCUGUCUACUUUAUUGCACAUGCUAUGUGGGUGAAAUGAUGAUACCAUGCCAACUUGGAACCUUUUUAGAGUUCAUUUCAAAUGCUUUUCAAUUUCAUGGUCUUAUAGCUCGAAACAAUCAGUAAAUGCAUGAAAAAUAACAAAUCAAGUCAAAAGGGUUGUCAAUUGAUGAUGUGGCUUUGAAUGGUGCAUUUUGAACACAGAAAAACAAGGGGGUUCAAGUAAGUUCAAAAUAAUUGAAAUCCCUUUGUAACAGACGAGUUUCCGUAUGAAACCCGUAUACUUCGAAGGAGAUUGUCUGUUUUGUACACGAAGUGCAUCCAGUUUUUGCCGUAAGCCUCUCUACUUUCUUGCACAUGCUAUGUGGGUGAAAUAAUAAUACCAUGCCAACUUGGAACCUUUUCAGAGUUCUUUUCAAAUGCUUUUUAAUUUCAUGGUCUUAUAGCUCAAAAUAAUCAGUAAAUGCAUGAAAAAUAACAAAUGAAGUCAUAAAGGGUUGUAAAUUGAUGAUGUGGCUUUGAAUGGUGCAUUUUGAACACAUAAAAACAAGGGGGUUCAAAUAAGUUCAAAAAAAUGAAAUCCCUUUGUAACAGACGAGUUUCCGUAUGAAACCCUGAUACUUCGAAGGAGAUUGUCUGUUUUGUACACGAAGUGCAUCCAAUUUUUGCCGNNNNNNNNNNNNNNNNNNNNNNNNNNNNNNNNNNNNNNNNNNNNNNNNNNNNNNNNNNNNNNNNNNNNNNNNNNNNNNNNNNNNNNNNNNNNNNNNNNNNNNNNNNNNNNNNNNNNNNNNNNNNNNNNNNNNNNNNNNNNNNNNNNNNNNAAAAAUAACAAAUGAAGUCAUAAAGGGUUGUAAAUUGAAGGUGGCUCUGAAUGGUGCAUUUUGAACACAGAAAAACAUGGGGGUUCAAAUAGGUUCAAAAAAGUUGAAAUCCCUUUGUAGCAGACGAGUUUCCGUAUGAAACCCUGAUACUUCGAAGGAGAUUGUCUGUUUUGUACGCGAAGUGCAUCUAGUUUUUGCCGUAAGCCUCUCUACUUUCUUGCACAUGCUAUGUGGGUGAAAUGAUGAUACCAUGCUAACUUGGAACCUUUUCAGAGUUCAUUUCAAAUGAUUUUCAAUUUCAUGGUCUUAUAGCUCAAAAUAAUCAGUAAAUGCAUGAAAAAUAACAAAUGAAGUCAGAAGGGUUGUAAAUUGAUGAUGUGGCUUUGAAUGGUCCAUUUUGAACACAGAAAAACAAGGGGGUUCAAGUAAGUUAAAAAUAAUUGAAAUCCCUUUGUAACAGACGAGUUUCCGUAUGAAACCCGUACACUACGAAGGAGAUUGUCUGUUUUGUACACGAAGUGCAUCCAGUUUUUGUCGUAAGCCUCUCUACUUUCUUGCACUUGCUAUGUGGGUGAAAUAAUGAUACCAUGCCAACUUGGAACCUUUUCAGAGUUCUUUUCAAAUGCUUUUUAAUUUCAUGGUCUUAUAGCUCAAAAUAAUAAGUAAAUGCAUGAAAAAUAAUAAAUGAAGUCAGAAAGGGUUGUAAAUUGAUGAUGUGGCUUUGAAUGGUGCAUUUUGAACAUAGAAAAUCAAGGGGGUUCAAAUAAGUUAAAAAAACGAAAUCCCUUUGUAAGAGAUGAGUUUCCGUAUGAAACCCUGAUACUUUGAAGGAGAUUGUCCGUUUUGUACACGAAGUGCAUCCAAUUUUUGCCGCAAGCCUCUCUACUUUCUUGCACAUGCUAUGUGGGUGAAAUAAAGAUACCAUGCCAACUUGGAACCUUUUCAAAGUCCAUUUCAAAUGCUUUUCGAUUUCAUGGUCUUAUAGCUCAAAAUAAUCAGUAAAUGCAUGAAAAAAACAAAUGAAGUCAGAAAGGGUUGUAAAUUGAUGAUGUGGCUUUGAAUGGUUCAUUUUGAACACAGAAAAACAAGGCGUUUCAAAUAAGUUCAAAAAAAUGAAAUCCCUUUGUAACAGACGCGUUUCCGUAUGAAACCCUGAUACUUCGAAGGAGAUUGUCUGUUUUGUACACGAAGUGCAUCCAGUUUUUGCUGUAAGCCUCUCUAAUUUCUUGCACAUGCUAUGUUGGUGAAAUUAUGAUUCCAUGCCAACUUGGAACCUUUUCAGAGUUCAUUCCAAAUGCUUUUCAAUUUCAUGGUCUUAUAGCUGAAAAUAAUCAGUAAAUGCGUGAAAAAUAACAAAUGAAGUCUGAAAGGGUUGUAAAUUGAUGAUGUGGAUUUGAAUGGUGCAUUUUGAACACAUAAAAACAAGGGGGUUAAAAUAAGUUCAAAAAAUUGAAAUCCCUUUGUAACAGAUGAGUUUCCGUAUGAAACCGUGAUACUUCGAAGCAGAUUGUCUGUUUUGUACACGAAGUGCAUCCAGUUUUUGCCGUAAGCCUCUCUACUUUCUUGAAAAUGUUAUGUGGGUGAAAUGAUAAUACCAUGCCAACUUGGAACCUUUCCAGAGUUCAUUUCAAAUGCUUUUCAAUUUCAUGGUCUUAUAGCUCAAAAUAAUCAGUAAAUGCAUGAAAAAUAACAAAUGAAGUCAGAAAGGGUUGUUAAUUGAUGAUGUGGCUUUGAAUGGUGCAUUUUUAACACAGCAAAACAAGGGGGUUCAAAUAAAUUUCAAAUCCCUUUGUAACAGACGAGUUUCCGUAUGAAACCCUGAUACUUCGAAGGAGAUUGUCUGUUUUGUACACGAAGUGCAUCCAGUUUUUGCCAUAAGCCUCUCUACUUUCUUGCACCUUCUAUGUGGGUGAAAUUAUGAUACCAUGCCAACUUGGAACCUUUUCUUAGUUCAUUUCAAAUGAUUUUCAAUUUUGUGGUCUUAUAGCUCAAAAUAAUCAGUAAAUGCAUGGAAAAUAAGAAAUGAAGUCAGAAAGGGUUGUAAAUUGAUGAUGUGGCUUUGAAUGGUGCAUUUUGAACAUAGAAAAACAAUGGGGUUCAACAAGUUCAAAAAAAUGAAAUCCCUUUGUAACAGACGAGUUUCCGUAUGAAACCCUCAUACUUCAAAGGAGAUUGUCUGUUUUGUACACGAAGUUCAUCCAGUUUUUGCCGUAAGCCUCUCUAUUUUCUUGCACAUGCUAUGUGGGUGAAAUGAUGAUACCAUGCCAACUUGGAACCUUUUCAAAGUUCAUUUCAAAUGUUUUUCAAUUUCAUGGUCAAAAACAAAAUGAAGUCAGAAACAAAAUAAAAUAAAAUAAAUAUGUAAUUUGAAACAAAAUAAUAUAAACUUUAAUAAAAUAGAUAAUAGAAACAAAAAAAACUUUAAUAACAUAAAUAAAAAGUAUUUUCUAUUCAAAACAUUAUAAGCAACUUNNNNNNNNNNNNNNNNNNNNNNNNNNNNNNNNNNNNNNNNNNNNNNNNNNNNNNNNNNNNNNNNNNNNNNNNNNNNNNNNNNNNNNNNNNNNNNNNNNNNNNNNNNNNNNNNNNNNNNNNNNNNNNNNNNNNNNNNNNNNNNNNNAGCAAAAAGAAAUUUCAUAAAGAACUUUUUUUGUUAGAAACUUUAAUAGCAAAAAGAAUUAUCAUAAAAUAAAAUUAAUAAGUAAUUAUAAACAAAACAAAAUAAAAUAAAUAAGUAUUUUGUUGUAAGUAGAAACAAAAAAAAUAAAGAAAAAAGAAAACAAAAAAAGUGGGAAAAAAUAAAAAAUUUGCCACCAACUGGGCCACCACGGCCUGAAUACGACUAGAAACCCAUCCAUGGGCCAGGAUUCAGGCCCACGGUAGGCCCAGAAGGCCCAGAAGGCAAAGCAGUAGCAAGUAGGCCCAUAAGCCUGCAGUGGAAGGAGCUCGAGAGGGGUGCGGCAGUGGGGCUUAUAAACCACUACACGCCCCUCUCAGCUAGUGAGGUGGGACUAAACUUUCGUGCCGCACCGCACCAGCACACGACCUUUGGUCCCGGUUGGUGCCACCAACCGGGACGAAAGGCCGCCGCUUCCCGCCCUUUGGGCUGCUGAAAAGAGACCUUUGGUCCCGGUUGGUGGCACCAACCGGGACUAAAGGCUUUGCUAUAUAAGCAAAACUUAGCGGUUUCUGCAAAAAUCACUCUUCUUCUCCGCCCCGACGCCCCCACGCUGCUCCUUGUCGCCGUCGCUGCCGAGCCCUUCCCUGACGCCGUCGCCCGCACCCUCGCUCGACACUGUCGCCGGUCGCCGCCCUACCCCGACACCGUCGCCCGUGCCCUAGCCCGACGACGUCGCCGCUCGUCGCCCUGCCCCGACGCCGUCGCCGUCACGCCNNNNNNNNNNNNNNNNNNNNNNNNNNNNNNNNNNNNNNNNNNNNNNNNNNNNNNNNNNNNNNNNNNNNNNNNNNNNNNNNNNNNNNNNNNNNNNNNNNNNNNNNNNNNNNNNNNNNNNNNNNNNNNNNNNNNNNNNNNNNNNNNNNNNNNNNNNNNNNNNNNNNNNNNNNNNNNNNNNNNNNNNNNNNNNNNNNNNNNNNNNNNNNNNNNNNNNNNNNNNNNNNNNNNNNNNNNNNNNNNNNNNNNNNNNNNNNNNNNNNNNNNNNNNNNNNNNNNNNNNNNNNNNNNNNNNNNNNNNNNNNNNNNNNNNNNNNNNNNNNNNNNNNNNNNNNNNNNNNNNNNNNNNNNNNNNNNNNNNNNNNNNNNNNNNNNNNNNNNNNNNNNNNNNNNNNNNNNNNNNNNNNNNNNNNNNNNNNNNNNNNNNNNNNNNNNNNNNNNNNNNNNNNNNNNNNNNNNNNNNNNNNNNNNNNNNNNNNNNNNNNNNNNNNNNNNNNNNNNNNACGCCGCCCCAGAACUGCCCCGACGCCGUCGCCGUCGCCGCUUGCCGCCCUGCCCCGACCCCGCGCCCCUGCCCCUCCUCACCUUGGUCCGGCGGCGCCCUCCCCUAUUUUUUAAUAUAUGUGAUAAUUGUUUUUGUUCAUAUAUAUGAUGAUUUUUUUUAUGGAAUAUGAUGUUUUUUCAGAUUAUAUGUAUAUGAUUUUUUUAUAGAAUAUGAUGUUUUUGCUUUUUUAUAAAAAUGUAUAUAUGUUUGUAUGUUCUUUGUGUAUAUAUGUUCACAUAUGCAAAAGUUAGCUUUAGUACAUUUUAGCUUAGUUUAAUUUUUAGAAAAAAUUUAAAUAUCUAGCUAGGAAAGGAAGAAGAAGAAAAAUAAUGAGAGGAGAAAAAGGAAAAUAAGAAGAGGAAGAAAGGAGAAGAAGAGGAGAGGAAGAAGAGGAGAAAUAAAUAAGAAGAGGAAAAAAGAAGAAAAAAAGAGGAGAAGAAGAAAGGAAUAGAGGAGAAAGAAGAAAAAAUAGAAAUUUUCUAUUUUUUUUCUUCUUUCUCCUCUAUUCCUUUCUUCUUCUCCUUUUUUUCUUAUUUUUUUUCUUCAAUUGCUUCUCUUCUAUUCCUUUCUUCUUCUCCUCUUUUUAUUUCUUCUUUUAUCUUCUUAUUUUUUAUCGGGUAUGUCGUUGUCGAUAUACCCCCUCCCGAGAGUUUCAACACGAGGGGGGGUACCGAUAUACCCUCUCCCUGAUAACAUUAUUUUCCCACGUAUAUGUAUGUCGCGUCGUUGUCGAUAUAACCCCCUCCCGGAUAACUUCGACAUGAGGGGCGGUUGAUAUAUAUAUACCCACUCUCGACUGUGAUAACUUAUACCACGAGAGCACCCCCCUCGGCACUCUCGCUCGACCAAAACUCUCGAGGACACCCAAACCCUAGAGAAAAAAUGAUGUUGGUCUCCUACCCCCUCCCGCCGCGCCCCUACCCGACAAACUCUCUCGAGGCCACCCAAAUUUACCAAGUUAAAAGAGCGUUGUCGUGGAGGCCACCCCAAACCCUUGAAGCAUUGUGUCGAGUCCACCCCAAACCCUUGAAGCAUUGUCUAGGCCACCCCAAACCCUAGAGAAGUAGCAUCGAGGCCACUAACAUGAUUCCUUAUUGUGAUUAGCUAGCUAGUUCUACGUUUGCCACUAAAAUAUAUCCAUCUGUACCAUGUUUGAAUAAUAAUUGGCAUGUUGUAAAUAUUUGCAGAAACUAUGGAUCACUCCCGAGACGAAGCAACAGAAGCGAUGUUGGGGGAUAUGAUCGCACAAGGAAGUGAUGUCGUUGCGUCGUUUCUCUACGACACCGAUGGUCAGGAAGGACAAGGUGAAGAAGAGGGCUAUGUUCAUUAUGGCUCCGGUGACCCAUUAAUGCCGGUACAAGAAGAGCGAUAUGUUCAUGAUGGCUCCGGUGACCCAAUGGAGGUACAAGAAGGAGACCGUGUUGACUGCUCCGGUGACCGAACCGAGUCCGACCAGGUAUAUAUAUAUAUAGUUAAGCCCGUGCUGACUAGUUAAUUAAUGCAUUCAUUGUUUUCAUAUGUACACAUAUUAAUUAACUCUCGUCUUUCUUCUUUUUUCUCUAGCCCUCCGGAUCGAGCUCAACUUCGGUAAAGAAACGAGGCCCGAAGAAAAAGUUGCGCUCGGAUAAAAGGUUUGAGAUCACAGCAACCGCACGCGAUGGUAAGCCGAUUGAACCCAUCCAGAAAAGGGAUGCAUUUCAUGCUCAGUGCGGGGUUCUUGUUAGGGACAAGAUCCCGAUCAGUAUCCAGCAAUGGUUAAAGCCAAAGAAGAAGACCCUGAGGUGUCUUAUGUCUCCAAUAUGCAGAAAGAAGAUCUUUGGACAAUGCUUAAGGCAAAUUUCACCCUACCGCUAGAGGAGGAUCCAGAGAAGCCAGUUAAAGAGGAAUUGAUCAAGUCUCAUGCUCUUAAGAAGAUGGCAGAACUAUUCAGGAGGUGGAAGAAUGACCUGAAAAUGUUUGUCGACAAAGAAGAGACACCAGAAUUCACCGGCCGACUUGAGAAGAUCAGAGAUCAAUGGCCCGCAUUUGUGGCCCACAAGACAUCAGAAAAGAGUAAGAAGAUGUCAGCGACAAACAAGAUUAAUGCUGCGAAGAAGAAGCAUCACCGUCGCACGGGGUUAGGUGCUUACCUCAAAGCCCCACCUUUGUGGGACAAGGCUGAGAAUGACCUAAUUACUAAAGGGGUCGAACUAGAGACAUUGAGAUGGCCAGACCGUUGCCAGAUUUGGUUCUUCGGGGUUGGCGGAACCUUGGACCCUGUAUCAGGGAAGUGCGUUUGGACGGAUGAGCAACUGCGAAUACCCGUCAGGAAGCUUCGGCACUAUAUCGCCGCAGCACAGGAAGGGACGUUCGUUCCAGACAGAGAGAAGGACGAGCUCACAAUGGCCCUCGGGAAUCCUAAGCACCCUGGACAGACACGAGGCACACCAGGCUCCCUUUCAUGGAAGGCUGGGUUUCCGGACACAGGGGGUUACAAAAACUAGGAGAGGAGGAAGAAAGUGGAGCACAGCCAACUGCAGGUGCUGCAUGAAAGGGUACAAGGGCUAGAGGAAUGAGAAGCAGAUCACAGCGAACGACCUGUCGAAGCUUCCCCUGAAGCUACCCCGCCAUCUCAGCGGAGAAGUAAUGUGGCUUCCACCGAGCAGACUCAGCAGCUGGAGCCUGUCUUCAUGGGCUACCCCGUGGAUGCUAUCACAGAGUCUCAACAUUGUCACCUUAUGACGCGAUGGAUGACAUUGAAAGUCAAGGCGGUUGUUGGCUCUGUUAUACCUAAUGAACCUGGCUCAACCUACCACGGCCAGCCGAUUCCAGAAGGAUAUGCUAGGGUGAUGGUGGAUCAAAUAACGGACGGAUUUGAGGACCUUGAGCUUGACCACCCUACGGGUGAAGGGGAGAUUCGGCUGGGUUCCUCUCUGAAGACUCCAUGCCUAUGGCGGAAGGAGCUCAUCAACCUUCCGAACUGGACGCCUCUGCCUCCUCCUCCUCAUCCGGCGAGUCAGGGCACUCCGCCUCCUCCUUUGCCUUCUCCAGCGAGUGAUCAGGGCACUCAGCCUCCUUCUUCGGUGCGUGGCGGCACUCCGCCUCCUUCUCCGCCUGCGCCGGCGCGCCCGAGCAGCCAGCUGCCUCCUCCUUCUCCACCUCACCAGCAAGGGCAGAAGAGACCCGCCGCCGCCCCGGCUGCUCCGGCGCGUCGUAGUCCUUCUCCUCCACCUCGUAAGCAAGCACAAAAGAAGACAGUCGCAGCCGCUCCGUCUGCUCCGGCGUCUAGCAGUACAGCCAGAGGUGGGAGGCAAUACAGAUACGGUCCAUCUCUCAAGCCUCUAAAGAAGUUACCGUACGAGAGGACCGAGGAGGAAAACGCGAAGAUCAUGCAGACCGAAGUGAAGGACUUCUUUGAAGGGUUGAAAGCAAAGAGACAUCCACCUCCGGAGGAGAAGGUAGAUCCGGUGAAAGCAAAGCGCACUAUCGAUGCCCUGAGCAAACUACCAAAGUCUCCGCCGAAAACCAACUAUGAGCGCAUUACUAAAAAGACAUAUCUCGAAGCUAACUGGCCGGGAAGUACUGUGAGUGAUCAAAGGUUAAAAGAACGAGCAGCUGGGAAAAAAAUUGCCCAGCUCGGCGAACAAGCAAAGCAAUCGUGCCCCCCGCUCAAUGUGUCUAGCGACAUCGUCGCUAAUGCUCCGGGGAUGGUGCCCGGUUAUAACAAUCUUGGAGAUUAGCUGCAUGAUGAUGUACAUUUUGAUUUCUUGGAGGUGGACAAACACAGAUACGAGUACGGGAAGCCUCUCGUUAAAGAUGAAAAAUCUCUAACAACGAUGAUGCAAAGAUUCCAUAAUUGGUACAUGAAAACCUGCAGAGAGUCUGGGGGGACGAAUACUUUGUAUCUGAGAAUUAAAGAGGAGCACGACCUCGUUGGAACUGAUCUGUUGCCUAUUCCAUUUGAGGAGUUCUUCGAGUUCUUCAAUCAAAAGGCCCUCGAUAAAUUAACGGUCUUCUGCUACUGUCUGUAAGUACUAUUUCUGUCAUUAAGUCUCUAUAUAUCGCUCGGCUCUUUCAUUGCAUGUAUUUAUAAUUAAUUAUCCUCACUAUAUUAUGCAGAUUGAAGAUCGUCGAGUGCAAAAGACAAGAAAUGUAUGAUAUUGGGUUCACUAACACAAAUAUCAUAGAUGAAUUUCAGGUUAAAAAGAACGCCGCAGAGGCCGAGGCCAACUUGCUACAAUCAUUGAUCAAAAAUCAAAACAAAGAUUUAAUACUCUUUCCUUACAACUUCAAGUGAGUGUUACUGUCGUGUGCAUAUUCGGUUUCCCUUAUUACUCGAGCGAGUUUAUAGUAAUGUAAUUGAUGAGUUAUGCAUGCGUCCGCAGCUUCCACUAUGUUCUUCUGGAUAUUAAGCUUGAGCGGGGACUAGUAACCGUCUUAGACUCGAGACGAAAAGAUCCCAAAACCUAUGUGGACAUGACUAAAUUGCUCAACAAGUAAUUUCAAUCGAUCAUUAUCGCACCAUAUCGGCAACUUUUUGUUCAUUUCCUGAUAUCUCAAGUAAUAAUAAUAAUUUUCUUUGUCUUGCAGGGUUUGGAAACAGUUCACCGCAGAAGCUCCGGGACUGCCGAAGGAGCUGCGAUAUACAUACCCAAAAGUAAGUACUACUAGCUAGCUAGUUGCGCGCAUCUCCCGUUGAUUCUAUAGCUAUACUUUCAUCAAUGCCAUUUAUAAUGCUUCAUUAUCAGUUUGAUUGACCUCUAUUUCUCGUAAAGUGCUUGUGGCAGGAAGAAGGGAAUAAUUUCUGUGGAUACUACGUGUGUGAGUUCAUCUACAACGCGACUUUCAAAAAUAAGCGGGGCUACUCUAAAAGACAAUAUGAAGUGCGUAAGCAAUAAUAUUCACAAUUUCAUUUUAUUACACCAUCAUUUCUGUUGAGUUUCAUUCAUAUACGUAUUAACCCCCUUCUUCAAAUUAGACGUGGCAGAUGCGGAAUGAACUCCUACCACAAGAUCGCAUGAAAGCAAUUCAAGAGGAAUUGGCAGGAUUCUUUCUUGACCACGUCAUCAAUAAAGCCGGAGAAUACCAUGUGGAAGUUGAUUUCAAAUGCUAGGGGAUUGUAAGAGAUCCUACAUAUUGUAUAUGUAUGUAGCCAGUAGCAUCGGAUAGAUAAUACAAAAAGUUGUUGUUCGACCAAUCUCUCAGAGAAAGAGAGGUCGAUCGAUCACUUCUCUCGGUAUGCAUGACGAACUUCUGUACUUGAUGGUUUCCUUCAUUUUCUUACUAGCUAGCAUGUCAAGGGCCUCUCUAUGUACAGUACGUAGCGUCGACCAAGCACGGACAUAAGAGAGGACACUUCUCUCUAUUAAUUAGCUAGCUAACACAAUAUAUGAAACACCUAAAUUAACCCCCCAAAAACCCCAACCCCCCCCUCCCCUUUCAAAAAAACAAAAACCCCAACCCUGAAAUGCUCACGCGUGGAUGCCUUUGUUAGGGAACGUUGCAGAAAAUAAAAAAUUUCCGACGGUUUCACCAAGAUCAAUCUAUGAGUUCAUCUAGCAACGAGAGAGAGGAGUGCAUCUACAUACCAUUGUAGAUCCAGCGGAAGCGUUCAAGAGAACGGGGUUGAGGGAGUCGUACUCGUCGUGAUCCAAAUCAUCGGAGAUCCUAGCGCCAAAUGGACGACACCUCCGCAUUCAACACACGUACGGUCAGGGAGACGUCUCCUCCUUCUUGAUCCAGCAAGGGGGAAGGAGAGGUUGAUGAAGAUCCAGCAGCCCGACGGCGUGGUAGUGGAUGCAGUAGCGAUCUCGGCAGGGCUUCGCCAAGCGUCUGCGAGAGGGAGACGUGUAGCAAGGGGAGAAGGAGGCGCCAAGAGCAUGGGUGCGGCUGCCCUCCCUCCCUCCUCUUUAUAUAGGGCCCCUAGGGGGGCGCCAGCCCUAGGAGAUGGGAUCUCCUAGGGGGGCGCCGGCCAAGGGGGUGGCUUUCCCCCCAAGGCAAGUGGAGGCGCCCCCCACCCCUAUGGUUUCCAACCCUAGGAGCAGGGGGGCCCAAGGGGGGCGCACCAGCCCACCAGGGGCUGGUUCCCCUCCCACUUCAGCCCAUGUGGCCCUCCGGGAUAGGUGGCCCCACCCGGUGGACCCCCGGGACCCUACCGAUGGUCCCGGUACAAUACUGGUAACCCCCGAAACUUUCCCGAUGGCCGAAACUUCACUUCCUAUAUAUAAUUCUUUACCUCCGGACCAUUCCGGAACUCCUCGUGACGUCCGAGAUCUCAUUCGGGACUCUGAACAACUUUCACUUUACUGCAUACUCAUAUCUCUACAACCCUAGUGUCACCGAACCUUAAGUGUGUAGACCCUAUGGGUUUGGGAGACAUGCAGUCAUGACCGAGACGCCUCUCCGGUCAAUAACCAACAGCGGGAUCUUGAUACCCAUGUUGGCUCCCACAUGCUCCUUGAUGAUCUCAUCGGAUGAACCACGAUGUCGAGGACUCAAGCAAUCCCGUAUACAAUUCCCUUUGUCAAUCGGUACGUUACAUGCCCGAGAUUCGAUCGCCGGUAUCCCCAUACCUUGUUUAAUAUUGUUACCGGCAAGUCACUUUACUCGUACCAUAAUGCAUGAUCUCGUGAUCAGACACUUGGUCACAUUGAGAUCAUUAUGAUGAUGCAUUACUGAGUGGGCCCAGAGAUACCUCUCUGUCAUACGGAGUGACAAAUCCCAGUCUCGAUUCGUGCCAACCCAACAGACACUUUGAGAGAUACCCGUAGUGGACCUUUAUAGUCACCCAGUUACGUUGUGACGUUUGGCACACCCAAAGCACUCCUACGGUAUCUGGGAGUUGCACAAUCUCAUGGUCUAAGGAAAUGAUACUUGACACUUGGAAAAGCUCUAGCUAAACGAACUACACGAUCUUUGAGCUAUGCUUAGGAUUGGGUCUUGUCCAUCACAUCAUUCUCCUAAUGAUGUGAUCCUGUUAUCAAUGACAUCCAAUGCCCAUAGUCAGGAAACCAUGACUAUCUGUUGAUCAACGAGCUAGUCAACUAGAGGCUCACUAGGGACACAUUGUGGUCUAUGUAUUCACAUGUGUAUUAUGAUUUUCGGAUAACACAAUUAUAGCAUGAAUCAUAGACUAUUACCAUGAACAAAGAAAUAUAAUAAUAAUCAUUUUAUUAUUGCCUCUAGGGCAUAUUUCCAACAGUCUCCCACUUGCACUAGAGUCAAUCAUCUAGUUACAUUGUGAUGAAUCGAACACCCAUGUAAUUUUGGUGUUGAUCAUGUUUUGCCCUAGGGAGAGGUUUAGUCAACGGAUCUGCUACAUUCAGGUCCGUGUGUACUUUACAAAUAUCUAUGUCUCCAUCUUGAACAUUUUCACGAAUGGAGUUGAAGCGACGCUUGAUGUGCCUGGUCUUCUUGUGAAACCUGGGCUCCUUGGCAAGUGCAAUAGCUCCAGUGCUGUCACAGAAGAGUUUGAUCGGCCCCGACGCAUUGGGUAUGACUCCUAGGUCGGUGAUGAACUCCUUCACCCAGAUUGCUUCAUGCGCUGCCUCCAAGGCUGCCAUGUACUCUGCUUCACAUGUAGAUCCCGCCACGACACUUUGCUUGCAACUGCACCAGCUUACUGCCCCACCAUUCAAAAUAUACACGUAUCCGGUUUGUGACUUAGAGUCAUCCAGAUCUGUGUCGAAGCUAGCGUCGACGUAACCCUUUACGACGACCUCUUCGUCACCUCCAUACACGAGAAACAUGUCCUUAGUCCUUUUUAGGUACUUCAGGAUAUUCUUGACCGAUGUCCAGUGUUCCUUGCCGGGAUUACUUUGGUACCUUCCUACCAAACUUACGGUAAGGUUUACAUCAGGUCUGGUACAUAGCAUGGCAUACAUAAUAGACCCUAUGGCUGAGGCAUAGGGGAUGACACUCAUCUCUUCUAUAUCGUCUGCCGUGGUCGGACAUUGAGCCGAGCUCAAUUUCACACCUUGCAACACAGGCAAGAACCCCUUCUUAGACUGAUCCAUAUUGAACUUCUUCAAUAUCUUAUCAAGGUAUGUGCUUUGUGAAAGACCUAUGAGGCAUCUCGAUCUAUCUCUAUAGAUCUUGAUGCCUAAUAUAUAAGCAGCUUCUCCAAGGUCCUUCAUUGAAAAACACUUAUUCAAGUAGGCCUUAAUGUUGUCCAAGAGUUCUAUAUCAUUUCCCAUCAAAAGUAUGUCAUCUACAUAUAAUAUGAGAAAUGCUACAGCGCUCCCACUCACUUUCUUGUAAACGCAGGCUUCUCCAUAAGUCUGCAUAAACCCAAACGCUUUAAUCAUCUCAUCAAAGCAAAUGUUCCAACUCCGAGAUGCUUGCACCAGCCCAUAAAUGGAUCGCUGGAGCUUGCAUACCUUGUUAGAAUUCUCAGGGUCGACAAAACCUUCCGGCUGCAUCAUAUACAGUUCUUCCUUAAGAUGACCAUUAAGGAAUGUCGUUUUGACGUCCAUUUGCCAUAUCUCAUAAUCAUAGUAUGCGGCAAUUGCUAACAUGAUUCAGAUGGACUUUAGCUUCGCUACGGAAGAGAAUGUCUCAUCGUAGUCAACCCCUUGAACUUGCCGAUAACCCUUAGCGACAAGUCGAGCUUUAUAGAUGGUAACAUUACCAUCCGCGGCCGUCUUCUUCUUAAAGAUCCAUUUGUUUUCUAUUGCUCGCCGAUCAUCGGGCAAGUCUGUCAAAGUCCAUACUUCGUUUUCAUACAUGGAUCCUAUCUGGGAUUGCAUGGCUUCAAGCCAUUUUUUUGAAUUUGGGCCCUCCAUCGCUUCUUCAUAGUUUGAAGGUUCACCGUUGUCUAACAACAUGAUUUCCAAGAUAGGGUUGCCAUACCACUCUGGUGUGGAACGUGUCCUCGUGGACCUACGAAGUUUAGUAGUAACUUGAUCCGAAGUACCUUGAUCAUCAUCAUUAACUUCCUCUUUAGUUGGUGCUGGCACCACAGGAACAUCUUCCUGAGUUGCGCUACUCACUGAUUCAAGAGGUAGUACUUCAUCAAGUUCCACUUUCCUCCCACUUACUUCUCUCGAGAGAAAUUCUUUCUCCAGAAAGGACCCGUUCUUGGCAACAAAGAUGUUGCCUUCGGAUCUGAGGUAGAAGGUAUACCCAAUGGUUUCCUUAGGGUAUCCUAUGAAGACACAUUUUUCCGACUUGGGUUCGAGCUUUUCAGGUUGAAGUUUCUUGACAUAACCAUCGCAUCCCCAAACUUUUAGAAACGACAGCUUAGGUUUCUUCUCAAACCAUAAUUCAUAUGGUGUCGUCUCAACGGAUUUAGACGGUGCCCUAUUUAAAGUGAAUGUAGCUGUCUCUAGAGCGUAUCCCCAAAAAGAUAGCGGUAAAUCGUUAAGAGACAUCAUAGAUCGCACCAUAUCCAAUAAAGUGCGAUUAUGACAUUCGGACACACCGUUACACUGAGGUGUUCCAGGCGGCGUGAGUUGUGAAAUGAUUCCACAUUUCCUUAAGUGCGUACCAAAUUCGUGACUUCAAUAUUCUCCUCCACGAUCUGAUCGUAGGAACUUUAUCUUUCGGUCAUGUUGAUUCUCUACCUCAUUCUGAAAUUCCUUGAACUUUUCAAAGGUCUCAGACUUGUGUUUCAUCAAGUAGACAUACCCAUAUCUACUCAAGUCGUCAGUGAGAGUGAGAACAUAACGAUAUCCUCCGCAAGCCUCAACGCUCAUUGGACCGCACACAUCAGUAUGUAUGAUUUCCAAUAAGUUGGUUGCUCGCUCCAUUGUUCCGGAGAGCGCAGUCUUGGUCAUUUUGCCCAUGAGGCAUGGAUCGCAUGUGUCAAAUGAUUCAUAAUCGAGAGACUCUAAAAGUCCAUCAGCAUGGAGCUUCUUCAUGCACUUGACACCAAUGUGACCAAGGCGGCAGUGCCACAAGUAUGUGGGACUAUCGUUAUCAACUUUACAUCUUUUGGUAUUCACACUAUGAAUAUGUGUAACAUCACGUUCGAGAUUCAUUAAGAAUAAAGCAUUGACCAUCGGGGCAUGACCAUAAAACAUAUCUCUCAUAUAAAUAGAGCAACCAUUAUUCUCCGACUUAAAUGAGUAGCCAUCUCGUAUUAAAUGAGAUCUAGAUACAAUGUUCAUGCUCAAACUUGGCACUAGAUAACAAUUAUUGAGGUUUAAAACUAAUCCCGUAGGUAAAUGUAGAGGUAGCGUGCCAACGGCGAUCACAUCGACCUUGGAACCAUUCCCGACGCGCUUCGUCACCUCGUCCUUCGCCAGUCUCCGUUUAUUCCGCAGUUCUUGCUUUGAGUUACAAAUAUGAGCAACCGCACCGGUAUCAAAUACCCAGGAGCUACUACGAGUACUGGUGAGGUACACAUCAAUUACAUGUAUAUCACAUAUACCUUUAGUGUUGCCGGCCUUCUUGUCCGCCAAGUACUUGGGGCAGUUCUGCUUCCAGUGACCACUUCCCUUGCAAUAAAAGCACUCAGUUUCAGGCUUGGGUCCAUUCUUUGACUUCUUCCCGGCAACUGGCUUACCGGGCGCGGUAACUCCCUUGCCGUCCUUCUUGAAAUUCUUCUUACCCUUGCCUUUCUUGAACUUAGUGGUUUUAUUCACCAUCAACACUUGAUGUUCUUUCUUGAUCUCUUCCUCCGCUGAUUUCAGCGUUGAAUAUACCUCAGGAAUGGUCUUUUCCAUCCCCUGCAUAUUGAAGUUCAUGACAAAGCUCUUGUAGCUUGGUGGAAGCGACUGGAAGAUUCUAUCAAUAACCGCGUCAUCCGGGAGAUUAACUCCCAGCUGAGUCAAGAGGUUGUGCAACCCAGACAUCUUGAGUAUGUGCUCACUGACAGAACUAUUCUCCUCCAUCUUACAGCUGAAGAACUUGCCGGAGACUUCAUAUCUCUCGACCCGGGCAUGAGCUUGGAAAACCAUUUUCAGCUCUUCGAACAUCUCAUAUGCUCUGUGUUGCUCAAAACGCUUUUGGAGCCCCGGUUCUAAGCUGUAAAGCAUGCCGCACUGAAUGAGGGAGUAAUCAUCAGCACGAGACCGCCAAGCGUUCAUAACGUCUUGGUUCUCUGGGAUGGGUGCUUCACCUAGCAGUGCUUCUAGGACAUAAUCUUUCUUGGCAGCUAUGAGGAUGAUCCUCAGAUUCCGGACCCAGUCUGUAUAGUUGCUGCCAUCAUCUUUCAGCUUGGUUUUCUCUAGGUACGCGUUGAAGUUGAGGGUAAUGUGGGCCAUUUGAUCUACAAGACAUAUUGUAAAGAUUUUAGACAAAGUUCAUGAUAAUUAAGUUCAUCUAAUCAAAUUAUUUAAUGAACUCCCACUCAGAUUAGACAUCCCUCUAGUAAUCUAAGUGAUACAUGAUCCGAGUCGACUAGGCCAUGUCUGAUCAUCACGUGAGACGGACUAAUCAUCAUCGGUGAACAUCUCCAUGUUGAUCGUAUCUUCCAUACGACUCAUGUUCGACCUUUCGGUCUCUUGUGUUCCGAGGCCAUGUAUGUACAUGCUAGGCUCGUCAAGUUAACCUAAGUGUUUAUGCAUGUGUAAAUCUUUCUUACACCCAUUGUAUGUGAAUGUUAGAAUCUAUCACACCCGAUCAUCACGUGGUGCUUUGAAACAACGAACUUUCACAAUGGCACACAGUUAGGGGGAACACUUUCUUGAAAUUAUUAUGAGGGAUCAUCUUAUUUACUACCAUCGUUCUAAGUAAACAAGAUGGAAAAACAUGAUAAACAUCAUAUGCAAUCAAAUAGUGACAUGAUAUGGCCAAUGUCAUAUUGCUCCUUUGAUCUCCAUCUUUGGGGCUCCAUGAUCAUCUUCGUCACCGGCAAGACACCAUGAUCUCCAUCAUCAUGAUCUCCAUCAUCGUGUCUCCAUGAAGUUGCUCGCCAACUAUUACUUCUACUACUAUGGCUAAUGGUUUAGCAAUAAAGUAAAGUAAUUACAUGGCGUUGAAUCAAUGACGCGCAUGUCAUACAACAAUUAAGACAACUCCUAUGGCUCCUGCCGGUUGUCAUACUCAUCGACAUGCAAGUCGUGAUUCCUGUUACAAGAACAUGAUCUCAUACAUCACAUAUAUAUCAUCCAUCAUUCAUCACAACUUUUGGCCAUAUCACAUCACAAUCACAUGCUGCAAAAACAAGUUAGACGUCCUCUAAUUGUUGUUGCAUGUUUUAUGUGGCUGCAAUAGGGUUCUAGCAAGAACGUUUUCUUACAUACGUAAAAGCCACAAUGUGAUUUGUCAACUUCUAUUUACCCUUCAUAAGGACCCUUUUUAUCGAAUCCGCUCCAACUAAAGUGGGAGAGACAGACACUCACUAGCCACCUUAUGCAACUAGUGCAUGUCAGUCGGUGGAACCUGUCUCACGUAAGCGUACGUGUAAGGUCGGUCCGGGCCGCUUCAUCCCACAAUACCGCUGAAGCAAAAUAAGACUAGUAGUGGCAAGAAAGUUGACAAUAUCUACGCCCACAACAAAUUUGUGUUCUACUCGUGCAAAGAGAACUAUGCAUAGACCUAGCUCUGAUACCACUAUUGGGGAACGUUGCAGAAAAUAAAAUAUUUCCUACGGUUUCACCAAGAUCAAUAUAUGAGUUCAUCUAGAAACGAGAGAGAGGAGUGCAUCUACAUACCCUUGUAGAUCGAGCGGAAGCGUUCAAGAGAACGGGGUUGAGGGAGUCGUACUCGUCGUGAUCCAAAUCACCGGAGAUCCUAGCGCCGAACGGACGGCACCUCCGCGUUCAACACACGUACGGUCAGGGAGAAGUCUCCUCCUUCUUGAUCCAGCAAGGGGGAAGGAGAGGUUGAUGAAGAUCCAGCAUCACGACGGCAUGGUGGUGGAUGCAGCAGCGAUCUCGGCAGGGCUUCGCCAAGCGUCUGCGAGAGGGAGAGGUGUAGCAAGGGGAGAGGGAGGCGCCAAGAGCAUGGGUGCGGCUGUCCUCCCUCCCCCCUCUUUAUAUAGGGCCCCUGGGGGGGGCCUAGGAGAUGAGAUCUCCUAGAGGGGGCGGCGGCCAAGGGGGUGGCUUGCCCCUCAAGGCAAGUGGAGGCGCCCCCCACCCCUAGGGUUUCCAACCCUAGGCGCAGGGGGGACCAAGGGGGGGCGCACCAGCCCACCAGGGGCUGGUUCCCCUCCCACUUCAUCCCAUGUGGCCCUCCGGGAUAGGUGGCCCCACCCGGUGGACCCCCGGGACCCUUCCGGUGGUCCCGGUACAAUAUCGGUAACCCCCGAAACUUUCCCGAUGGCCAAAACUUCACUUCAUAUAUAUAAUUAUUUACCUACGGACCAUUUCGGAACUCCUUGUGAUGUCCGGGAUCUCAUCCGGGACUCCGAACAACUUUCGGUUUACUGCAUACUCAUAUCUCUACAACCCUAGCAUCACCGAACCUUAAGUGUGUAGACCCUACGGGUUCGGGAGACAUGCAGACAUGACCGAGACACCUCUCCGGUCAAUAACCAAUAGCGGGAUCUGGAUACCCAUGUUGGCUCCCACAUGCUCCUCGAUGAUCUGAUCGGAUGAACCACGAUGUCGAGGACUCAAGCAAUCCCAUAUACAAUUCCCUUUUUCAAUCGGUACGUUACAUGCCCGAGAUUCGAUCGCCGGUAUCCCAAUACCUCGUUUAAUCUCGUUACCAGCAAGUCACUUUACUCGUACCAUAAUGCAUGAUCCCGUGACCAGACAAUUGGUCACAUUGAGCUCAUUAUGAUGAUGCAUUACCGAGUGGGCCCAGAGAUACCUCUCUGUCAUACGGAGUGACAAAUCCUAGUCUCUAUUCGUGCCAACCCAACAGACACUUUCGGAGAUACCCGUAGUGGACCUUUAUAGUCAUCUAGUUACGUUGUGAUGUUUGGCACACCCAAAGCACUCCUACGGUAUCCGGGAGUUGCACAAUCUCAUGGUCUAAGGAAAUGAUACUUGACACUUGGAAAAGCUCUAGCUAAACGAACUACACGAUCUUUGAGCUAUGCUUAGGAUUGGGUCUUGUCCAUCACAUCAUUCUCCUAAUGAUGUGAUCCCAUUAUCAAUGACAUCCAAUGCCCAUAGUCAGGAAACCAUGACUAUCUGUUGAUCAACGAGCUAGUCAACUAGAGGCUCACUAGGGACACGUUGUGGUCUAUGUAUUCACACGUGUAUUACGUUUUCCAGAUAACACAAUUAUAGCUUGAAUAAUAGACUAUUACCAUGAACAAAUAAAUAUAAUAAUAAUCAUUUUAUUAUUGCCUCUAGAGCAUAUUUCCAACAGCCUUUUGGUCCCGGUUGGUGCCACCAACCGGGACCAAAGGCCCUCCUACCUAGGCUCAGUGCACCGGCCACGUGGAGGCCCGUCUGUCCCGGUUUAUGCAAGAACCGGGACUAAAGGUUUAGGGCAUUAGUACCGACACUUUAGUCCCGGUUCAAAAACCAGGACAAAUGGCCCUCACGAACCGCGACUAUAGGUCCUUUUUCUACUAGUGUACACAAAUACAAAUAAAGAAUGACUUCGGAAUAGUACCAAAAGUGGUGAUUUAUUUUCUUAUACUAACAAAUCUCAUAAGAUUUUCUGUUGAGUUUUGUGUUGUGAAGUUUUCAAGUUUGAGUAAGGAUUUGAUGGACUAUGGAAUAAGGAGUGGCAAGAGCCUAAGCUUCGGGAUGCCCAAGGCACCCCAAGGUAAUAUUCAAGGACAACCAAGAGCCUAAGCUUGGGGAUGCCCCGGAAGGUAUCCCCUCUUUCAUCUUCGUCUAUCGGUAACUUUACUUGAAGCUAUAUUUUUGUUCACCUCAUGAUAUGUGUUUUGCUUGGAGCGUCUUGUAUGAUAUGAGUCUUUACUUUUUAGUUUUCCAUAAUCAUACUUUUUGUACACACCUUUUGAUAGGGACACGCAUGAAUCGUGAUUUAUUAGAAUACUCUAUGUGCUUCACUUAUAUCUUUUGAGCUAGGCAAUUUUAUUCUAGUGCUUCACUUAUAUAUUUUUAGAGCACGGUGGUGGCCUUAUUUUGUAGAAAUUGUUGUACUCUCAUGCUUCACUUAUAUUAUUUUGAGAGUUUCUCUAUACAGCGUGGUAAUUUGCUUUGGUUAUAAAUUUAUUCCUAAUAUGAUAGGCAUGCAAGAGGGAUAUAAUAGAAAUUUUUCAUAUAAAGUGCAUUGAAUACUAUGAGAAGUUUGAUUCCUUAUGAUUGUUUUGAGAUAUGAGGAUGGUGAUAUUAGAGUCAUGCAAGUGGAUUAAUUGUGUAUUGUAGAAAUACUUGUGUGGAGGUUUGUGAUUCCCGUAGCAUGCACGUAUGGUGAACCGUUCUGUAACGAAGUUGGAGCAUGAUUUAUUUAUUGAUUGUCUUCCUUAUGAGUGGCGGUCGGGGACGAGCGAUGGUCUUUUCCUACCAAUCUAUCCCCCUAGGAGCAUGCGUGUAGUACUUUGUUUCGAUGACUAAUAGAUAUUUGCAAUAAGUAUGUGAGUUCUUUAUGACUAAUGUUGAGCCCAUGGAUUAUACGCACUCUCACCCUUCCACCAUUGCUAGCCUCUCUAGUACCGGACAACUUUCGCUGGUACCAUAAACCCACCAUAUACCUUCCUCAAAACAGCCACCAUACCUACCUAUUAUGGCAUUUCCAUAGCCAUUCCGAGAUAUAUUGCCAUGCAACUUUCCACCGUUCCGUUUAUGAUGACACGCUUCAUCAUUGUCAUAUUGCUUUGCAUGAUCAUGCAGUUGACAUAGUAUUUGUGGCAAAGCCACCAUUCAUAAUUUUCAUACAUGUCACUCUUGACUCAUUGCACAUCCGGGUACACCACCGGAGGCAUUCAUAUAGAGUCAUAUUUUUCUCUAAGUAUCGAGUUGUGAUUCUUGAGUUGUAAGUAAAUAAACGUGUGAUGAUCAUCAUUAUUAGAACAUUGUCCCACGUGAGGUAAUUAAAAAAAAGAGGAGGCCAAGGAAGCCAUUGGAAAAAAUGAGAUAAAAAGAGAGAAUGGGCUAUGUUACUAUCCCUUUUCCACACUUGUGCUUCAAAGUAGCACCAUGGUCUUCAUGAUAGAGAAUCUCCUAUUUUGUCACUUUCAUAUACUAGUGGGAAUUUUUCAUUAUAGAACUUUGGCUUGUAUAUUCCAAAAAUGGGAUUGCUCAAAUUUCCCUAGGUCUUCAUGAGAAAGCAAGUUGGAUGCACAACCACUUAGUUUCUUUUUGAGCUUUCAUAAACUUAUAGCUCUAGUGCAUCUGUUGCAUGGCAAUCCCUACUCACUCACAUUGAUAUCUAUUGAUGGGCAUCUCCAUAGCCCGUUUAUACACCUAGUUGAUGUGAUACUAUCUCCUUCUUUUUUGUCUUCUCCACAACCACCAUAUUCAUUCCACCUAUAGUGCUAUGUCCAUGGCUCACGCUCAUGUAUUGCGUGAAAGUUGAAAAUGUUUGAGAACAUCAAAGUAUGAAACAAUUGAUUGGCUUGCCAUCGGGGUGUGCAUGAUUUGAAUAUUUUGUGUGAUGAAGAUGGAGCAUAACCAGACUAUAUGAUUUUCUAGCGAUAGAUUUCUUUGGCCAUGUUAUUUUGAGAAGACAUGAUUGCUUUAUUAGUAUGCUUGAAGUGUUAUCGUUUUUAUGUCAAUAUUAAUCUUUUGUUUUGAAUCUUAUGGAUCUGAACAUUCAUGCCACAAUGAAGAAAAUUACAUUGACAAAUAUGUUAGGUAUUAUUCCACAUCAAAAAUUAUGUUUUUAUCAUUUACCUACUCAAGGACGAGCAGGAAUUAAGCUUGGGAAUGCUUGAUACGUCUCCAAUGUAUCUAUAAUUUUUUUUAUUGUUCCAUUCUAUUAUAUUAUCUGUUUUGGAUGUUUUAUAUGCAUUAAUAUGCUAUUUUACUUUAUUUUUGGGACUAACCUAUUAACCUAGAGCCAGUGCCAGUUUCGUUUUAACUUGUUUUUGAGCCUCGCGGAAAAGGAAUACCAAAUGGAGUCCAAGCAGAAUAAAACCUUCACGAUGAUUUUUCUUGGACCAGAAGACACCUAUUGGACGUGGACUCCAAGUCAGAAGACCUUGGAGUAGACGAAAAGCCACAGGGGCACGCCCUAGGGGGUGGUGCGCCCCCUGCCUUGUGGCCUACUCCAACACCCCCUGACCUAAUGCUUCGUCCUAUAUAUUCUCAAAUAUUCCAAAACCACCAGAGGUAUCCACGAAAACACUUGUCCACCUCCGCAACCUUCUGUUCCCGUGAGAUUGCAUCUAGGGGCCUUUUCCGGCAUCCUGCCGGAGGGGGAUUAGAUCAUGGAGGGCUUCUACAUGAACUAUAUUUCCCUUUCGAUGAAGCGUGGGUAGUUUACCACAGACCUACGGGUCCAUAGCUAGUAGCUAGAUGGCUUAUUCUCUCUCUUAGAUUCUCAAUACCAUAUUCUCCUUGAUGUUCUUGGAGAUCUAUCCGAUGUAAUCUCCUUUGGCGGUGUGUUUGUCGAGAUUCAAUGAAUUGUGGAUUUAUGAUCAGCUUAUCUAUGAAUAUUAUUUGAAUCUUCUCUAAAUUCUUAUAUGCAUGAUUUGAUAUCUUUGUAAUUCUGUUCAAACUAUUGGUUUAGUUUGGCCAACUAGAUUGUUUUUUCUUGCAAUGGGAGAAGUGCUUAGCUUUGGGUUCAAUCUUGUGUGUCCUUUCCUAGUGACAGUAGGGGCAACAAGGCACGUAUUGUAUUAUUGCCAUCGAGGAUAAAAAGAUGGGGUUUUCAUCAUAUUUCUUGAGUUUAUUCCUCUACAUAAUGUCAUCUGAAUGUGUUACUCUGUUCUUAUUGAACUUAAUACUCUAGAUGCAGGCACGAGUCAGUUGAUGUGUGGAGUAAUAGUAGUAGAUGUAGGCAGGAGUCGGUCUACUUGACACGAACGUGAUGCCUAUAUUUCAUCAUCAUUGCCUUGGAUAUCGUCAUAACUUUGUACUUUUCUAUCAAUUGCUCGCCAGUAAUUUGUUCACCCACCGUAUUACACUAGUAGAAAACAGGGCAUACGUUCGGGCCAGAUAAGCCCAUUAGUCCUGGUUCAGUCACGAACCGGGACCCAUGGGGGCAUUACUCCCGGUUCGUGUCUCAAACCGGGACUAAAGUCCCAGUUCAAAUGAGCCCUUUGGUCCCAAUUUGAGACACGAACCGAGACUAAAGGUUAUGCUCAAAUUCUAAAAGGAAAAAAGUUAUGCUCAAAUUUCUUUUUUUUGAAUUUUUGUUAAAUCUAGUCAAACUAUGGUCAAACUACUUAUUCAAGAAGUAUUAGUGUUACUAAAUAAUUAUUCAAUAAUAUUAGUGUUAAUAAAUAAUUAUUUCAGUUUUUUUUCAAUUUUGGUCAAAUCUGGUCAAACUGUGGUCAAACAUAGUCAAACUAUGGUCAAACUUAUUAUUCAAGAAAUAUUAGUGUUACUAAAUAAUUAUUGUUUUUUAGAAUAAUAGUUUCAAACUCAAAUAGUGAAACAUGUGACUUCAUGCUCAAGCUAAACUCCGGAGGGUAAUAGGAUUGACAUCUUACUAUUGUCAGGAAAACAACAAAUGCGGACUUGGAAACAAGGAGGAAUAGAACCCGGAGGUUAAGCGUGCUCAGGCUUGAGUAGUGAGAGGAUGGGUGACCGGCAGGGAAGUUAGAUGAUUUGGAAUGAUCAGGGGUGAUCAGAGAUUAGAGGAUAAAUUGAGCAGUGAUGAGGGGGAUGAGGGGUGAUUAGAGAUUAUAUUGUAAAAUAAUUCGGAAAUUUGAAAAUCCUGUAAAAAAAUUAAUUUAAAAAAAUCAAAAAAAUCGUAAAAAUACCUUUAGUCCCGGUUGGUGUUACCAACUGGGACUAAAGCUGGAGCUCCAGACAGCGACCACGUGGAGGGGCUUUAGUCCGGGUUCAUAAAAGAACCGGGACUAAACGGGUGCCUUUAGUGACGACCCUUUAGUCCCGGUUCAAGAACCGGGACUAAAGGCCCUCACGAACCGACGCGAAUGGGGCUUUUUCUACUAGUGUUAUUUGCCUUCAUGAGAGAAGCCUCUAGUGAAACAUGUGGCCCCCGGGUCUAAUUUCCAUCAUAUUAGUUUCCGAUCUACUAUUUUGCAGUCUUUUAAUUUAAGAUCUAUAAACCAAAAAAACCCAAAAAUAUUUUAUCUUUUGUUUACCUAUCUCUAUCAGAUGUCACUUUUGCAAGUGACCGUGAAGGGAUUGACAACCCCUUUAUCGUGUUGGGUGCAAGUUGUUUGAUUGUUUGUGCAGGUAUUGGUGGCUUGUGUGUUGUCUCCUACUGGAUUGAUACCUUGGUUCUCUAACUGAGGAAAUACUUAUCUCUACUUUGUUGCAUCACCCUUUCCUCUUCAAGGGAAAAACCAACGCAAGCUCAAGAAGUAGCAGACAACAUACGUAGUUCCAUUUCUCUGUCGGUAUGUUACUUGCCCGAUAUUUGAUCGUCGGUAUCUCCAUACCUAGUUCAAUCUCGUUUUCGGCAAGUCUCUUUACUCGUUCCGUAAUACAUUAUCCCGUAACUAACUCCUUAGUCACUUUGCUUGAAAGCUUCUUAUGAUGUUGUACUACCGAGAGGGCCCAGAGAUACCUAUCCAUCAUACAGAGUGACAAAUCCCAGUCUCGAUCCAUGCCAACUCAAUAGACACCUUCGGAGAUACCUGUAGAUCACCUUUAUGAUCACCUAGUUAUGUUGUGACGUUUGAUAGCACACAAGGCAUUCCUCUGGAGUCCGGAGUUGCAUUAUCUUAUGGUCGAAGAAACAUGUAUUUGGCAUUAAGAAAGCAGUAGCAAUAAACUGAAUGAUCAUAUGUUAUGCUAACGGUUGGGUCUUGUCCAUCACAUCAUUGUCCUAACACUACUAGGAAAAAGCCUAGUAGUAGCGCGGGUUAAAAGCUAGUAGUAGCGCGGGUGCCUGUGAUGCUACUACGGCGCUACAGCUAACUAGUAGUAGUAGUGCGGUGCAUCCCGCGCUACUAGUACAUGUGUUAGUAGUAACCCGUGUUCGACACGCACUACUACUAACUAUCUGUAACGCGUGUCUGUGACCCGCGCUACUACUAUUAAUUUGAAAAACCAAAAAAAAAUCUCGACCCCGUGUGUGCUGUCAAUCAUGCAAGGAGAUCUCGACCAUGACGCGCGCCUCGUGGAAGCCAUUGAGGACGGCCGCGGAGGCCAGCCCGGCGUGGGCCAGGAGCUGGAGGACUUGGAUCUUGGCAUCGUGCAUGGAGAGCAGCACCUCGCAGCGGCCGUCGCCGUUGAGGUCGGCGGCGGGAGGCGGUCCACGUCAUGCUCGAUUGGGAACCCGUCGUUUGACAGGUGGUACCAUGCCUCCUGGAAUGAGAAGUCGCCCUCGUGCUGCCGAAGGAGGAGGGGGAUGGUUCAGCUAGGGUUCCGGGUCGAAUCGGAGAGGGGGGAAGGAGGAGGAGGGCUGACCUGGAGCGAGAAGAAGACGGUGAAGGCGGCGAGGAGGAGGAUGCCGAGGUCGCACUUUCGCAUCUUGGCGGCGGCGAGGAGCUCAGGUGACCGCCCACCAGAGGGAUCUCAGAGAGGGAGGGGGAAGAAAGCAGAGUGUACCAGUGGCGGCAACCGCUGGAGUACGAGGGAGAGAGGAGGAAAGCGAGAGCGGGGGAAAGUGAGGGAGAGAGGAGGGAUUCGGCCGAGGAUAUGGGGAUUUCACCUACCUCGUACUUAGUAUUGGCGAGGGGUAUAAAACCGCGCUACUACUAUCAACUUAGUAGUAGCACGGGUUUGUACUCCUCGCUACUACUAUGGCAUGUCCAGGGAGGGCACGAUAGAGACCGCUUAGUAGUAGCGCGGGUUAAAAACCUGCGCUACUAGUAUCAACUUAGUAGUAGCGAGGGGUAAAAACCCGCGCUACUAGUAAGUAGCAGUAGCGAGGGUUAUAAACCCUCGCUACUAGUAAGCGUCUGCCUAUAAGCUUUUCCCUAGUAGUGUAAUGAUGUGGUCCCGUUAUCAAAUGACAACUCAUGUCUAUGGUUAGGAAACCUUAACCAUCUUUGAUCAACGAGUUAGUCUAGUAGAGGCUCACUAGGGACAUGCUAUCUGUUUAUGUAUCCACACAUGUAUUUAAGUUUCCGGUCAAUACAAUUCUAGCAUGAAUAAUAAACCUUUAUCGUGAAUAUGGAAAUAUGAUAAUAACAACUUUAUUAUUGCCUCUAGGGCAUAUUUCCAUCAUUUGAAUUGAUUAAGUUUGAUCUCCACCAGAAAGAGCCAACCUUAUGAUCUCCUGGGAGUUGUCCAUUACUAUAGUGUGUCUCCCAAAUUAAAUUAACCCAGGGUAUGUCAUGCCUAUUGAAGAACUUAUGGAGGUUUUUCAUGAGCAGAGUCUUGUUUUGUGUGUAGAUAUCCAUGACUCCCAAGCCUCCUUGACGUUUGGGUCUACAAACUGUGUGCCAUGCAAGUAAAGUUGGUCUGUGAUCUUCCAAAUCAAGGCUUCUCCAUAGACAGUGUAUAAAGUACUUAUGAUCUGUUUCUUGAUGGUAAUAGGUAUGUCUAGGCAACACAUGAAGAAAAUUGGUAAUGAUGCAAGCACUAAUUUUGACUAGGAGGAACCUUCCUGCCUGAGUCAUAUAAGUAGAAAUACCUGCUAAUCUCUUAGCAAUUCUGUUGACUAGGGGCAAACAUUGUUCCACAGUUGGUUUAUAGAUUCCUGAAGGUAGACCCAGGUAAGUAAAAGGGGAUUGUCCUCUUGCACAUUGCAGUGUGUGAUUGAAAAUAUGUAUUCUGUCUUCUGCAAUGUUUAUGGGCACCAUGAUUGAUUUCCCAUAAUUGACUUUCAGUCCAGUGGCUGAGGCUAAUGUGAUUAACAAGGCUUUGAGACAUAUCAACUUCUUUGCAUUUGCUUGUAUAAGAAACAGUGUAUCAUCUGCAUACUAUACUACUGGAAAAUCAGGACGGGAGUUGACUUGCAGUGGUGGAGUAAUUAUACCCAGUCUCAUGGCCUUAUUAAGUAUUGAUUGUAGGAGAUCAGCAGCCAACACAAAAAUCAAUGGGGAAAGGGGAUCACCCUGCCUCACUCCUCGUCUACAGUAGAUUUUUUUGCUAGGGACUCCAUUCAACAUCACAGCAGAUGUGGCAGAUGUGAAAAUUAAGUGCAUCCAGGAAAUCCAUUUCUUUGCAAAUCCCUUUGCUCUGAGUAUAUCAAUAAUUGCCUGAUGUUCAAUAGUGUCAAAAGCUUUCUCAAAAUCCAGUUUAAUCAUUAGCAUCUCUUCUUUUGAUUUAUGACAUUGAUGGAUAUAUUCAUAUGCCCAACCAAGGCAGUACUGGAUCAUUCUAGCUUUGAGGAACCCAUGUUGAUUGAUAUGUACCAUCUAGAGAAUAAUUCUUUGUAAUCUAUUGGCCAGUAGUUUGGUAAUUAUCUUAAGUACUGCAUUGAGCAGUGAGAUUGGUCUGAAAUCAUUGGGUGAGACUGGCACUUCCUUUUUGGAAUCAAUGUAAUGAAUGAUGUAUUGAUGCUUUCAAGAUUUAUAUUACCAGCAUGAAAAGCCAUGAUAAGCUCAGUGAUAUCCACUUUAAUGAUGUCCCAACAAGCUUUGAUGAACUCAUUAUUAAAUCCAUCAAGAACUGGAGAUUUAUCUGUACGAAGGUUUUUUACCACUUCAUCAAUUUCCUCCUAUGUAAAUUGCUUCUCAAGAUCUUGGAAGAUCUUAGGCUCAACUCUAUGUUCAUAUAGAUCAUUCAAAUCAAAGUGCAUUGUGUGACCAUUAGAUUGUCCCAAUCUUUUUUAAGGCCUCCCAAAGAAUAGUUGUUUUUCCUUCAUGGUCAGUAAUUUCCACUUGAUCAUCAUUCAGAAGCAUACAAUUUUAUUAUGUCUAUGAUUAAAAGAGGAUUUGGUAUGAAAGAAUUUGGUGUUCUCCUCACCAAACUAAACACCUUUUAUUUUCCCUCUUUGCUUCCAAUAAAUCUUCUAAUUAUUAAGUACUAUCAAUAGGAAUUCCUUCAGCAUAGACCUACAAUUCCCUUCAAAUACUGAGAGAUAUCUAUAUUCCUCAAUCAAGUCCCAGUGGAAAAUACAAGCAUUUAAAUCCUCAUACUGCUUUAUAAGACAGGACAAACUCUUGGCCGACAAUUUUAAAGAUCUUCUCAAAUUCUUAAACUUUGCAUUGAUUUUUUUUGGCUGGAUCAGUGUAACCCACAGGAAUAUUCCAGGCUGCUUGAACAAUGUCUUUGAAAGAGCUGUGUUUCAGCCAAUAAUUUUCAAACUUGAAUACCUUGGACUUGGGAAUGUAGUCCAAACCAAUAUUCCACAUUAAACAAUGUUUAUUUGCGGACCAAUUUCAGAAGUGUCGCUUCUAUUCAUUUCCGUUCUCUAAUCUACUAGUCAAUUAAGUCUGAACCGAGAACCGAACCUAAAUCUCGGUCGACUGAAUCUUUGGUUAGGAAUUUUCCCGGUGACCAAUCGGUCAUCCUAUUUUGAAAACCAAAUUUCUUCAAAAGCUGAAGAACCGAACCGAACGGUUCGGUUACACAGAAUGCCAAGCUCUCCAAACACCUCCACUUUCUCCCAGUUGAACAUGUGAUAUUUCUUACACCGAGUCUUCUUGCCAAAGCAAUCUUCUCCCAAAACAAUCAAAUAUUUUAUUUACUCCCUUUGGCAAGCCAUAAAAGUAAAGCAUGCACAACGGUUUAUAUUUUCUAGACUACUUACUCUGGAGCAAAGCCCCGGUCCUUUAUUCAAAACCAAAUAGUAUGUACAGGGGUCAAGUAGUCAGCUACUAAGGGAGGCUGGCAAUCUAAGCCAGAAGAUUCGGCCUACCACAAGCCUUCACUCUAAAAGAAAGAAGGGUUAUAUCUUGUACAAAUUUACAACACCAUGAGCCAAAGGGGCAUAGCUCUAAAUGUCCUUCCAUUUAUAACAAUCCAGAUAUUCCAAUUCCAAGCAGAGUCGGCAUAACCUCGAAGAAAGGAAGAUCAAACCUCAUGUUUGCCCCGGCAAUGCAUGGUCUGAUCUCAGACCCAUGUGGUUGAACUAGCGGGAGAGAAGAGAUGAAGUCUGUAACACAUUACACAUUGGUUAAUUGCUCAAAGAAGCAGUGAGCAAAGAGAACAUGCCUCCAAUGGAUACUAAUUUUCCUUGCGAAUAUUCUAAUCUCACAAAUACACGCCAUCAUUAUUGUAGAUUUAUGGAUGGUUGAGCCUUUGAAGGCAGAAUCCAACAACAAAUAACAUAAGUUUUUCCUCGACAUUUGCUUUUGCCCCUCAAUUUUAUUUUAUUUUAUUGAAAAAGGAGGAUUACCCCCGGCCUCUGCAUCAGAAUGAUGUACAUCAUCUAUACUAAUUCAACAUUAGAAAACAAGCACAAGGCCUCACUUUAUAUAGAUAAAUCGACGAGCUCCACAAGAACACGAUUAUUGAAUACAAAGGUUCAGCAAGCAAAAGGGAAAUAGUUCGGGCUGGGCAACAGCUCGCACAGGUAAUCUCGACAUAAAGAGAAAGAAAACAGGCUACGGAGCCGGGAGCUGCUGGCGAGCCACACCCUCGGCAGGCCAAGAAGGAGCCCAUCCAAUCCGCCGUGAUCCCGACGCCAAGCCAAGCGAGCAUCCGCCAUUACAGAAUCGAUCGAGGCUACUAAUUCAACAUCCUCGACAGUGAACUGAAACUGCCACAUCAUCCCUUCAUUUUAUUGCACCCAUCCGAUUAUUAAUUUCUUCAAACUAACUGCAUGCCAUGCAUCCAGCAUUGGAUUAUUUGUUCGAACAUAGCACCACUUCUCCAUCAUACGGAAACGGAGGCAGUCACGGUUGCGUUGUUAUUGGUAGUCUUAAGCAAGGGUUUUGGGACGGAGUUGAACUUGGCGAACCACUUGGCCGACUUCUUGAGCUUGCGCUUGUUGCCGUCCUUCUUGUCGAUGUAGACCAGGCCGAAUCGUGAGCUGUAGCCCAGGCUCCAUUCGAAGUUGUCGAUCAGACCCCACGUGAAGUGGCCCCGCACGUCCGCGCCCUGGCUGAAAGCACAGAUACAUACAUGAAAGCGCGCUUAGCAAGAAUUCAACAAUGUGUCUGUGUGUAUGUAUACACAUUUGAGUAAUCAGUGUGCCAUUAGGGUAUGUAUGUAUGUAUGUGGGUAAGAGUACAAAAUAAGUGAAAAAAAGAGGCAGGGUUUUAGCGUCUGUAGUUACUCUAUUGCGUCCUUGACGGCUGAGAUGUGACGCUGGAGGUAGUCUAGCCUCUUCCAGUCAUCCAAAGGAUCUCUCAUGGUUGGGUCGCUGUCCACAUCAGCGAUUCCUGCACACACACAAGUUAAGAAGUAAUCCAUCACACUUUCUUCAAAAAAAACCUCCCAUGAACCAUUACAUCAUAUCCAUGGAUUAGGUUCUUGUCUGAUUUAAGGGAACUAGUACCAGUUGAGCACAAAGAUUGCUUACACAUUAGUGUGUGUCAAUCUUCAUCAGGAUUAGUGUAAUGACGUCAGAUUUUCAACUAGUUACUUUUGAUGUCACUUUUGAUGUAAUUAGGGGAUCAUGGAAAUUUAACUAGUUACUUUUGAUGUCAGAUUUUCAACCUUUUUAUUAACUAAAAACUAGUACCUAAGCAACCCCUUGACAGAAGGUUUACAGAUUUGCUGUAGGUCAACUAAAGUUUGAUAUGAACCGAUGAUUGAUCAUUGGAUUACUACAAAAUCCAAUGCUACACACACACANNNNNNNNNNNNNNNNNNNNNNNNNNNNNNNNNNNNNNNNNNNNNNNNNNNNNNNNNNNNNNNNNNNNNNNNNNNNNNNNNNNNNNNNNNNNNNNNNNNNNNNNNNNNNNNNNUCACUACUUACCGUUCUCAGUGAUGAAGACGGGUGGGUUUCCGUAUUUCUCCUUCAUGAUCAGAAGGAGGUCUGUUAGGCCUUUUUGGUACAUGUAAAUCCAAUAAGUCCCUGUCUGCAAAUGGGUGUCCAAACUUUUAAUUAAUAACGAGAAAAAACUUCAGAUUUGUUUAAGCUUUACUUCAGAAACAAAGCAUUAUCAUGUCUAUGCCACUUAACCUUUUUGUUCAAAAGUUUAACUAGAGUCCUGGCUGACUAGUUCUACCGUAAGAAUUUGGUGAAAAUAAUCUACAUUAUCACUAUCAUCAUAUAUGUCGUAUGCAAAAUUAACCAGGUAGUAGGAAGAUACAUACUAUAGGACCGAUGUCAUUCCCAUCACUCCCUUUAGCUGCUCGAAGAGAAGAAAAAGGUGCAGGAUUAGCAUGAGGACAUGAAAUUUCUCAAAGGAUCUGUAAAGUACUAAGGUUUGCCUCAACCAUAUUUUCUUACUUUCUGAACUGGCGUAAGCGUCGUCGGUGUUCAGCUUUGGCGUAAAGUCUGAUGAAAUGUCAACAUGCUUGGAGAACCUGGAGGUGUAAUAGUUGAGCCCCAUGAUGUCACAUGAGGACGCUAGCUUCUCCUGCUCCUCCUUAGUGAACAUGGGUAGACGAUGUCCAAUCAGUGAUCUCAUGGAGAAGGGGUAGUCACCACGAACAACUGGCUCCAGGAACCAUCCGAGGUUGUAGUCGAUGGAUCUUUCCCGGGCCUGGUCGUCGAGGAAGGAGUCUUGGAAUGGCUCGUAACCCAUUACAUCAAAGGCCAUCCCUAUCUUGGAAUCCCCAUGCUGCAGUUGGUCCAUCAAUAUAACUAAAUUAAAUACACAAAUACAUACGACUAGUUGUUGCUUGUUUAUUAGAUAAUGUAGAUGUCUCUCUUUGUGUAUGUACCUUGUUGUAACAAGCUUUGAACAGCUCAACAGCCUCAGCAUGAGCUAAGAGGAUGUGGUGACCAGCAGUGUAUGGCUCUCUGAGCGAGUCUCCUUUUGGGACGGCACAAUCCAUCCCUGGCGAGCACCUCCCAGGAGCAUGAAUCCCCUCACCAUAGGAGAAACAACAAUAUGUAUGUGGCUCGUUAAAGGUGAACCAGUUCUUCACCCUGUCGCCGAAGUUCUUAAAGCACACCUCGGCGAAUUGUUUGUAAUCAUCUCUCGAAAAAAAACCAAACCCGAGCGAUGUUCAACAAAAUUGUUUCUUAGCUUAACAAUAAGUACUCCCUCCGUUCGGAAAUACUUGUCAUUAAAAUGAAUAAAAGGGGAUGUAUCUAGAUGUAUAUUAGUUUUAGAUACAUCCCUUUUUAUCCAUUUUGAUGACAAGUAUUUCCGGACGGAAGGAGUAGUUAUGUUAGUUUACUGAUGCAUCAUUGAAUGACAGUACAACAUUGUUUGUGUUCUGAAAAGAAACGUUUUUCUACUCAUGGUCCAAUAAUGGCCUUCCUCCAAUCGAAUUUAACAAUAUUAUAGUUCGUAGUUUUUAUACAUAUUGUAAUUGCAAUUACUGAUCUUUCUUUAGACCAUUUUCUUACAAAUCAAUUUUCUUUUGUUUGCUGCAUACUUACACAAUCUGCCUAUUUAAGAAGCUGCCGUACUUGUCCUCCAGUGCUUGAGGAGUGUCCCAGUGCCAAAUUGUAACAUAUGGCACUAUGUCUGAGUUUCAAAAAACAAAUAAUUAUUUGUGCAAGCCCUUGCGAGUCUGACUCAUUAAGCACUAAUCAAACAAAGAAGAAAAUGGUUUUCACCGUUAUCUAUCAGCGAGUUGAUCAGCUUAUUGUAGUAGUCGAUGCCUGCCUGGUUUACUUUUCCCGUCCCAUCUGAAAGCCAUAGUAAACAUGUGCUGAAAUUAGGACCCAAAUAUUAUAACAAGUCUUAUCGGCUGCGUCUAAUUUGUAGAGGACAUCUUUAUUGUUCCUAACUUAUUCACCAUACAAAAUAUACAUGGUUAUUUUGUAUUUACCUGGCAGUAUUCUGGACCAAGCGAUGGAGAACCUAUACACUUUCAUGCCCAUGUCCUUCAGCGCUUUGACAUCCUCCUGUCAGCCAUAAAUGAUGACAUGAAUAAUGAUGACAACGUAUUGUCAUGCAUAUCUUUAUUUUUAUUAGAAGUGCAUAUUCCAAAUGGUUUUUCCAAAAAAAAAAAUGCAACGACAUAACAUCAAUGCUGUCAUAAGAUUUGUUAGAUUUUUGUUUGGAAAAACCAUUGGUCCCGUCGGAGUACUUACUUCAUAUAGAUGGUAGGAGUUUGCUGCAACGUCCCCAUUGGUCUUGUCGGAUAUGCGCUCUGUUCGUAUAUAUACACAUAAAAUUAAGGAGAAGGACGCACGAAAGAAUAAUAUGAUAUAUAUGUUUAUUACACUCAAAAGGUAUAUGUUACCAGGAUAUGUGUGGCAGAAGUGGUCCCAAGUGCUUGGCCCCUUGCCAUCUUCAUUCCAAGCACCUUCAAUCUAAACGGAUGACGACAUAUAUAACAUUUUGUGCAAUCGAACAACCCACUAAACAUGCAUUUUGACAUCAUGUUUUCCCUUAGGUAUUCGUUAUCAUUGAAACAGUUGACACCAUUAUUUUCUUUUAAAUUAACAGAUAUACGGUUGUGCAAGAAAAUAAUUAGUACCUGGUACGCUGAAGUGGAGGCACCAAAGAGGAAGUCCUUGUUGAACCAGUCCCUUUUAGGGAUUUGCCGGGGCUUGAGCUUAGUGAACACAGGCCCAAUGGGCUCUGCUGGCUUUGACGGUGUGCCUGCCCUGAUGGUGAGGUUACAGUGUUAGAGUUAUAAUAUAAGUCAUGCAUGUACCCCUUUGUAUUUAUCCCGUUGUAUAAACGGUUUCCUGCAUAUGUUCCACACCUGUACAUGUAUAUAUAUCGGCCUAUGGCCUCAUGGGAAUACAAGUUGCAUAUUUCCUAACAUGGUAUUAGAGCUAGGUCAAUUUUUUGCACGCUGCAACUCGUGCGAUUGAUCCAUCUGAUCGAUUUCCACCUGAUCGAUCUCCAACCGAACCGGGCCGCUCGAAGCUCAUCCUUCUCGAUCGAAACAGGGCCCCGCCCCGCAGGUCUUCGGCCCCGAUCUCCUCCCGCUUCCGUCCGGCCCGGAUCUCCUGCUGCUCUCGUCCGGCUGCCCCUCCCGUCCGGCCCCGGUCCCGUUCGUCCCCGGGUGCUGUCGAUCCGGCUGGAUCGCACCUCCAGCCAGUACUGCCUCCAGCCCGAUCGUCCUACUCCCGCUUGCCGUUGGUGUCCCAGCCGGCCCCAAGCAAUGAAGGUCCUCCCUCCAGCCGGCCCCAAGCAACACAGGUCCUCCCUCCAGCCGGCCCCGCCUGCCCAGGACUCCCGCAGCCCUGCUCCAGCCGGCCCCGCCUGCUCUCUCUCGUCAGAUUCCACAAAAAAUGUCUGCUGCAUCGGGCUAUGUUGCUGUCCCUCGCUAUCCGGUGAUCUUUCAUGGUACUAACUACACCGAGUUCACUGGCUUUAUGCGCAUUCACAUGCGUGGCAUCCGUCUCUGGGGUGUUCUUUCUGGCGAGGUCUGCUGUCCGCCGCGUCCGGUUCCUCCAGUUGCCCCUACUCCGCCGACUCCACUGGUUCUUUCUACGGAUGCUAAUCAGGCCGCCAAGGAUGCGGCUAAGCUUGCUGAUGAGGCUGCUGAUCGUGCUUAUGAUGAGAGGGUUUUGGCUUAUGAGGAGGCUCUUCAGACGUAUCAUGGUGCUUUGUCUGUUUACAUCCAGUGGCUUGAUGAUGAUGCUCGUGCUGCAGCUGUUCUCACUGCUAGUGUUCUGCCUCAGUUUGCUUCUGAGAUUCUGGGUCUUCCUACUGUCUUUUAGAUGUGACCUGUCUUCGUCAGCGCUAUGAGCCCUCUGGUGAUGCCUUAUACCUUUCUGUGGUUCGUCAGGAGCAUGCUCUUCAGCAGGGUGACUCUACUGUUGAUGAUUUCUAUCCACAGAGUUCUGCUAUCUGGCACCAACUUGAUUCUCUCCGCAGUGCUGGUUGUCAUACUUGCCCCUGUUGCCAGGCUGUCCAGGCUAAUUUGAAGUUUUAUCGCGUCUAUGAGUUCCUGUCUCGGCUCCCUAAGGAGUUUGAGCCCCGGCGUGCUCAGUUGUUUGCUCGUGGCCGUAUUUCUCUCAUGGAGGCGCUUUCAGAGAUACGUGCUGAGGAGACUCGCUUACGUGGUGCUGGUUUGAUGUUCCCUCUGUGCUCGCUACUCGGGCUUCUUCCACUCCACCUGCUGCACCAACCCCUUCUCGCUCGAGUGCUCCGCCGCUCUUGCCCACUCCUUCUGGAGCCUCAGGUGGCCCCCGUCCACAUUGUGACUACUGCAACAAUGAUGGUCAUAUUGAGUCCUAGUGCUACACGAAGCGGAAACACCUGCGCAAGGCACGAUCAUCAUCUUCAGGGACUUCGGCAUCUCCCUCGGCAGCUUCAGCCAUUGCUUUGACAGAGCAGGAUAUUCUAAGACUUAAGCGUCUGCUCGCGGCUUCAGGUUCUUCCUCGAUGGGUACUGCUGGUUCUGUGACUGAUGUUUCCCGCACUGAGCAACCAACCUCUACACAGUCAGGUACAUCCCCAUGGGUUCUGGACUAUGGAGCUUCUUUUCAUAUGUCUUCUCAUUCUUCCACUAUGACGCCCGGGUAGUCAAGCUACAGUAACCCUAUGGUAAUGAUGCCAUGUCACCACGAUUACCGUUGAUAAUCUUGUGUUAGUUCAGAACCGAUCCAAAUUCAAAUUUGAAUUAAAGUCAAACAAUAAAAGUUUUCAAUUGUCAAAUCUAAAAUGUUCAAAUUGCAGAAAAUAAAUCAUAGAUGAUUAUGGUGGAGAAACCGCACCUAUAUAUAAUGUUUAAGUACUACAAGAUGAAUAAAACAGUAGCAAAAACAAUUAUUUAAAUUCCUUUUGUAAUUAAUAAAAUUUCAAACUAAUUUAUCUGAGGACUAGACCUUUUGUGACUAUGGACUAAGCUGAAAUACUAAUUUAGAUAAUAAGUGUAUAUUUUACCAAAACUAAGAAAAAAUAGGAAACAAAACUAAAUCAAAAAAAGGUGAAAUAAAUAAAAAAAAGGGUGAAACCAAAACAAAACANNNNNNNNNNNNNNNNNNNNNNNNNNNNNNNNNNNNNNNNNNNNNNNNNNNNNNNNNNNNNNNNNNNNNNNNNNNNNNNNNNNNNNNNNNNNNNNNNNNNNNNNNNNNNNAGUGAAUCUGGAUCGGGGCAACCGACGCCCCCGACCCCGCCCGUCGCACGCCCUGUCGCGCCUCCAUCCUCCUCCACGGCGUCACCUCACCGGCGCCGCUUCGCCACCGGAUCGCCACGUCUCCCCCACCUCUGCUUCGCCAGGACCGCCACUGCUCUCCCCCGUCCUCCUCUGGACCCCGCCGCCCCGAUGCCGUGCCGUCGUCCAUCGCCCUCGACGCGCCACCUCGCCGCAUUCGACCUCGUCUUUGCCCACGGCCACCGCAUGACCUCACGGUCGAUCUACUUCGCCGGAGCCUCCCCACCGGUCCGCCUCCUCGCCGCACGUCGUCCCUGACGACCUCCUCGACCCUCGCUGCCUGAAUCCCUACCGCCCCUGUGAGCUCCCCCUCUCCCUCUCCUCGUCGAACCUCGCGCUCGUCGCGCUCCCGCUCGCCCCGUGCCCCGCUUCCACCUCUAGCCCUGUGGGCUACCGCCGUUUCGGUGGCCAGCUCCAGCGCCCGCCGCGCACUCUCUCCUCCUCGCUGCCGUCCUGUUCGUCCACCACGCCAGCCACAGCCCCCUGCUCUGCUCGGCCGCGACCGUUGCGCCCGCUGCACCCGCCACCANNNNNNNNNNNNNNNNNNNNNNNNNNNNNNNNNNNNNNNNNNNNNNNNNNNNNNNNNNNNNNNNNNNNNNNNNNNNNNNNNNNNNNNNNNNNNNNNNNNNNNNNNNNNNNNNNNNNNNNNNNNNNNNNNNNNNNNNNNNNNNNNCGCCCCGAUUCGCCCGUCGCCCGCUAAGCCACUGGGCCCAUGACAUGAGGGCCCCACGCCCCCUGAACGUUUUAAAAAAAGAAGAAUUAAAAAUAAAUAGAUAAAUAAGUAAAUACAAAUAUUAAUUAAUUAAUUAAUUAACUUAAUGAAAUCCUGAUUAGUUAACUAGUUAAAUUUACUUAACCUGCUAAUUAAACUAAGUAAUUGUUAAUUAGUUAUUAGUCUAUGGCAGAACGGACUCAGUUUGACCAGUCAACACCUCGGUUGACUGCUGACAUCAUGAUGACGUCAGCAUAAACUAUUCUGGAUGGAAAAACUUAGUACAUGAAAGUUGCUCAGAACAACGAGACGAAUCCAGAUACGCAGCCCGUUCAUCCGCCACACAUCCCUAGCCUAGCAAACACGCAACUUUCUUCCUCCGGUUCAUCUGUCCGAAAACGCGGAACAUCGGGGAUACUUUCCUGGAUGUUUCCCCCUUCGCCAGUAUUACCUCCUACUGCCUUAGGUCACCUCUAGCACCGCGUAUUGCCGCGUCUCGCUUUGUGAUGCUUUGAUUGCUCUGUUAUUUAUUGUGUUCCCCCUCCGUUACUUCUUUCUGGUAGACCCCAAGACUACCGGCAACCCCAGUUCGAUACGGAGUUGAUGACCCUACUUGCCAGAGCAACCAGGCAAGCCUCCCCCCUGAUCACCAGAUAUCGCCUAUUCUUCUCUAUACUGCUUGCAUUAGAGUAGUGUAGCAUGUUACUGUUCGGUUACUCCUAUUCUGUUGCAUAGCCUGUCAUUGUUGCUACAGUUGUUGAUACAUUACCCGCAAUCCUAAAUGCUUAGUAUAGGAUUCUAGUUAUCAUCAUUGGCCCUACAUUCUUGUCAGUCUGCCUUGCUAUACUCUCGGGCCGUGAUCACUUGGGAGGUGAUCACGGGUAAAUACUAUACAUAUAUACAUACUAUACAGAUGGUGACUAAAGUCGGGUCAGCUCAUUGAGUACUCGCAAGUGAUUCCGAUGUGGGGGCUGGAAGGACAGGUGGAUCCAUCCCGGUAGAGGUGGGCCUAGGUUCCCGACGGCCCCCAAUUGUUACCGCGUAUUGCGACAGGGCGGGUUGAGACCACCUAGGCAAGAGGUGGGCCUGGCAUUGGUCGGUGUUCGCGGUUACUUCAUAAUAACAGGCUUAACGAGAUCUUGGUAUUUGAUCUGAGUCUGGCCAUUGGCCUAUACGCACUAACCAACUACGCGGGGAAGAUAUGGGCACUCGACGUCGUGGUAUCAGCCGAAGCCUUCGUGACGUCAGCGACUGAGCGGCGCGCGCCGGGUUGGACUGCGUUAACGCAACUUCCUUUGUAAUGGAGGUUGCUAGGUCGGCUUCCGGCCGCCCACGCAACGUGCAGGUGUGCAAUGUGCGAUGGGCCCAGACCCCUGCGCGCAUAGGAUUUAGACCAGCGUGCUGACCACUCUGUUGUGCCUAGGUGGGGCUGUGACGUGUUGAUCUUCCGAGGCCGGGCAUGACCCAGGAAUGUGUGUCCGGCCAAAUGGGAUCGAGCGUGUUGGGUUAUGUGGUGCACCCCUGCAGGGAAGUUUAUCUAUUCGAAUAGCCGUGUCCCUCGGUAAAAGGACGACCCGGAGUUGUACCUUGACCUUAUGACAACUAGAACCGGAUACUUAAUAAAACACACCCAGACAAGUUCCACAGACAAUCUGGUGAUCACUUUUCCACAGGGUGACGAGGGGAGGAUCGCCUGGUAGGAUUAUGCUAUGCGAUGCUACUUGGAGGACUUUAGUCUACUCUCUUCUACAUACUGCAAGACGGAGGCUGCCAGAAGCGUAGUCUUCGAUAAGACUAGCUAUCCCCCCUUAUUCUGGCAUUCUGCAGUUCAGUCCACCGAUAUUGCCACUUUACACAUAUACCCAUGCAUAUGUAGUGUAGCUCCUUGCUUGCGAGUACUUUGGAUGAGUACUCACGGUUGCUUUUCUCCCUCUUAUCCCCCCUCCCUUCUACCUGGUUGUUGCAACCAGAUGUCGGAGCCCAGGAGCCAGACGCCACCGUCGAUGACGACUCCUACUACACCGGAGGUGCCUACUACUACGUGCAGCCCACUGACGAUGACCAGGAGUAGUUUAGGAGGAUCACAGGCAGGAGGCCUGCGCCUCUUUCGAUCUGUAUCCCAGUUUGUGCUAGCCAUCUUAUGGCACUUGUUUAACUUAUGUCUGUACUCAGAUAUUGUUGCUUCCUUUGACUCGUCUAUGAUCGAGCACUUGUAUUUGAGCCCUCGAGGCCCCUGGCUUGUAUUAUGAUGCUUGUAUGACUUAUUUUACUUUUAGAGUUGUGUUGUGAUAUCUUCCCGUGAGUCCCUGAUCUUGAUCGUACACAUUUGCGUGCAUGAUUAGUGUAUGAUUAAAUCGGGGGCGUCACAUCCACUUUGUCCUCUCUUCGAUCGCUGGAUUCUCCUGUUCAUGUUUUCACUGCUUAUGGUACUCCACUUUAUGUUGCUAGUAGAGGCAAUCUUUCCACUCCUUCUUAUUCUGUUCCUGAUGUUGCUCAUGUUCCUCGACUUACCAUGAAUCUGUUUUCUGCUGGUCAACUUACUGAUUCUGGUUGUCGCGUCAUCCUUGACGUUGACUCUUGUUCUGUCCAGAACCGUCGCACGCACAGUUUGGUUGGGGCUGGCCCUCGCCGUCGUAAUUCUCAGGGUCUUUGGGAGUUGGACUGGCUUCAUGUUACUUCCGCUACCACCACCAUCGCCAGUUCCUCCGCUUCUGUCGCCUCCAUUACUGGUUCCUUCAAGCAGUGGCAUCAUCGACUUGGUCAUCUCUGUGGUUCUCGGUUGUCGUCUUUAGUUCAUCGAGGUCUUCUAGGGUCUGUCUCAGGAGAUUUCUCUUUAGAGUGUCAGGGUUGUUGUCUUGGCAAGCAGAUUCAGUUACCAUAUUCACAUAGUGAGGCAGUGUCUAAGCGUCCCUUCGAUUUAGUCCAUUCUGAUGUAUGGGGUCCGGCUCCUUUCGCUUCGAAAGGUGGUCAUAAAUACUAUAUUAUUUUCAUAGAUGAUUUUCUCUCGUUACACAUGGCUUUAUUUCAUGACUUCUCGUAGUGAGGUGUUGUCUAUUUAUAAGCAUUUUGCUGCCAUGGUUCAUACUCAGUUCUCUUCACCUAUUCGUGUCUUUCGUGCUGACUCCGCUGGCGAGUAUAUCUCUAAGAUGUUGCGUGGUGUUCUUGCUGAGCAAGGAACUCUCUCUCAAUUCUCUUGUCCUGGUGCUCAUGCUCAAAAUGGUGUGGCUGAGCAAAAGCAUCGACAUCUUCUUGAGACGGCUCGUGCAUUGAUGAUUGUUGCCUCUCUCCCGCCUCAUUUUUGGGCUGAGGCUGUCUCCACCUCCACCUAUUUUAUCAAUAUACAGCCUUCUGCUGCUCUAUAGGGUGGUGUUCCUUUCGAGCAUCUUUUUGAUCGUUCUCCCAAUUAUUCGAUGCUUCGUUUGUUUGGUUGUGUUUGCUAUGUUUUUCUUGCCCCUCGCGAAUGCACCAAACUGAACGCUCAGUCUGUUGAGUGUGUCUUCUUAGACUACAGUGAUGAGCAUAAGGGCUAUCGUUGUUGGGAUCCUAUCGGUCGUCGGAUGCAUAUCUCUUGAGACGUGACUUUUGAUGAGUCUCGUCGCUUCUACCCACGCCCAUCUUCAUCGACUCUUUCAAUGGAGGAUAUUUCUUUCCUCACUUUUCCUGACUCACCUAUCACCCCCGUCGAGCCUGUGCCUAUUCGUUCCACUCCUUCUGAUUUCUCCACCUCUAGUUGAUUUGCAGCCACCAUCUUCCCCGGUCUCCUCGCCUAGCAUGUCACCGGAUUCUACACCUUCAUCUCCGGUGACUUCUUCGUCGCCACCCCUCGAUUCUCCCUUGGUGAUUCCUCCUUCUAUUGUUCCCUCUUUUCCUCAGCAAUACACUCGUCGUUCCCGACCUGUGGAUGCCUCUGUGGAUGAGUUGUCAUCUUCCUCUCAGCCUACUUAUGGCUUGCGUUCUCGUCCUCGUCCUCCUGUUGAUCGCUUUGGAUUUCCCACCGCUGGUGCUGCUGUUCUUGAGCCGACUUCUUAUCGUCAGGCUGUUGUUCAUCCUGAAUGGCAGUUUGCGAUGGCAGAGAAGAUUGCUGCUCUUGAACGCACUGGUACCUGGGAUCUUGUUUCUCUUCCUCCCGGAGUCCGUCCCAUCACUUGUAAGUGGGUCUACAAGGUUACGACUCGCUUCGAUGGUUCUCUUGAGCGUCACAAAGCUCGUCUUGUGGCUCGUGGUUUUUAGCAAGAGCAUGGUCAUGAUUAUGACGAGACUUUUGCUCCUGUGGCCCAUAUGACCAUUGUUCAUACACUUCUUGUUGUUGCUUCUGCACACCACUGGUCUAUAUCUCAGCUUGAUGUUAAGAAUGCCUUUCUUAAUGGUGAGCUGCGUGAGGAGGUGUACAUGCAGCCACCACCUGUGUAUUCUGUUCCUGAUGGCAUGGUAUGUCGUCUUCGUCACUCUCUCUAUGGCCUUAAGCAAGCCCCCCGCGCCUGGUUUGAGCGUUUUGCCUCUGUGGUCACUGACGCUGGUUUUUCAGCAAGUGCUCAUGAUCCAACAUUGUUUAUUCACCUUUCUCCUCGUGGUCGGACUCUUCUUCUUCUCUAUGUUGAUGACAUGAUCAUCACUGGGGAUGACCCCGAGUAUAUUGCCUUUGUAAAGGCCCGUCUUAGUGAGCAGUUUCUUAUGUCUGAUCUUGGACCUCUUCGCUACUUUCUUGGGAUUGAAGUCUCUUCUUCCUCUGAUGGCUUUUUUAUAUCCCAGGAAAAGUAUAUCUAGGAUCUUCUUGCUCGUGUUGUUCUUACUGAUGAGCGCAUUGUUGAGACUCCUAUGGAGCUCAAUGUUCACCUCCGUGCUACUGAUGGUGAUCCUCUCCCUGACCGGACGCGUUAUCAUCAUCUUGUUGGCAGUCUUGUCUAUCUAGCUGUCACUCGUCCGGACCUCUCUUAUCCGGUUCAUAUUCUGAGUCAGUUUGUCUCUGCUCCCACAUCGGUUCACUAUAGUCAUCUCCUUCGUGUUCUCCGAUAUCUUCGGGGCACGAUCUCUCACCGUCUAUUCUUUCCUUGCUCCAGUUCUUUACAGCUUCAGACCUAUUCGGAUGCUACGUGGGCUAGUGAUCCUUCAGAACCGUUCACUUUCUGCUUACUGUGUUUUUCUUGGUGGUUCUCUCAUUGCCUGGAAGACAAAGAAACAGAUUGCAGUUUCCCGUUCGAGUGCCGAGGCUGAGUUGCGAGCAAUGGCUCUUUUGACGAUAGAGGUGACUUGGUUACGGUGGUUACUUCAGGAUUUUGGUGUUUCUGUCACUACACCAACUCUGCUCUUAUCUGACAGUACAGAUGCUAUUAGCAUUGCGCGGGAUCCUGUGAAGCAUGAGCUCACCAAGCAUAUUGGUGUUGAUGCUUUUUAUGUGCGCGCUGGUGUGCAGUAUCAGGUUAUUGCUCUUCAGUAUGUGCCUUCCGAGUUACAGUUGGCGGAUUUCCUGACGAAGGCCCAGACUAGAGAACAACAUGGUUUUUAUCUCUCCAAACUCAAUGUUGUUCAUCCACCAUAAGUUUGAGGGGGGUGUUAGAGUUAUAAUAUAAGUCAUAUACCCCUUUGUAUUUAUCCCAUUGUAUAAGGGGUUUCCUGCAUAUGUUCUACACCUGUACAUGUAUAUAUAUCGGCCUAUGGCCUCAUGGGAAUACAAGUUGCAUAUUUCCUAACAACAGAACCUUCCCUUGCUCUUCUGUGAUGAAGCAGCAGACCGGAGCCAUAGGUUCUCACUGUUGUGUCCUGCACGGGGCUAAGGUCGGUGGUGGGAUUCAGGGUAGCAGCAGUAAGUAGAGCCAUCUCUUGCUAGCAGCUGCCUGAAAGUGUUGUGGGCAGCUUGAGGAGUGAGUUCCCUUGCAGGCUUAUGCAUCUAUUUAUAGAUGAGGAUGGAGAAUCUGUCAAGUGGGGCUGGUGGUGGGAUGAGAAUGAAGCUACGGCUAGAACCCUAAGACACAAGGCAGGGACGCCACUGAGUUGGCUAACCUGGUGGGAGCUCUUUGUAACUUACCACCAUGCAUUCCUGUAGCCCACAAAAAAAUUGGCAGAGGAGCUUAUCUCCAUGGGUCAAAUGCAACAAAAAAAAAAGGUAGCGCUUUGUACAUAAAUUAAAGAGAACAGUGAAAAGUUGUACCUAUAGACAUUCGAAUGGCACACAUAUAAAUUUGAACACACUAAGUUAAAGAGAAAUGGCCAAACUCGGCUCUUUAAAUAUCAAUCUCUCUACCCGAAUCUGACAUGCUGAAAUUCUUCUUAUCUUAAGCUAAUUAACAGUAGUUUCAAAAUCUUAAGCAUGUAAUAUGUUCGGCAAUUGGUUUCGAGGUAUUGACAAACAAUUUUUUACACACAUUCUUGUGGGGCCGGGCGGCUACCUUAUGUUAGGCAGUGUGCCCUAUCAGGAAUGACCUGGUUUUUAAUAAUAAAUUUAUUUCAUAUCCUUUGCAGGUUAUUCAUGCAUGUAAGCGAUAGCUACGUACAUGGUCUAUCCUGCAGAGGCCAGAGGACAGAAAUAUUUUUAUGGUGGCGCCUACCUGGCUAGAGCAUACGGCCAGGGAGGUUUCCCCAUUCAUGGAUGGUGGAGUAAUCUCCGGAUAGGAUCUACCCCACCUUAGGUUGGACUUUUUAUUAUUGUUGUAGAACAAUAUUUUAUUUUUGGUUGUGUUGGACGUGUUAGUUGUGUGCAUCGUGCUACGCUUAAGAUGAGCUUUCUUUUUAAUGUGGUUGUAUCACCUCGAUAAGUCAAUUGAAUGAAAUGUCCUUUAUUGAAAAAAAUGCUAAUUAAUGAUAGACAAAAGGCUUGACUUGACUCUACCUCCUAUAGAAAGUAAAUAAAGCAAAGUUGAUGGGUAUUGGGCCAUCUCUCGCUGAGCGUAUAUGGGCGGUGCAGGCGGAUCUACAUAUUUGGGAUCGCGAUAUUCUUAAGGGACCGAAAAAAGAAUUUACAAACUAAAAAAAGAACUAGAAAGGCUGCGGAGGGGACCUAUGUGUGCGGAGUCUCAAGCGUGACAAAAGGAGAUUCUUGUCCUCAUUGAAACUCUGUCGGAACAAGAGGAGAUUUACUAGCUACAACGUGGUCGCGCAAACUGGCUAUUGCAUGGGGAUCGUAGCACCUCCUUUUUUCAUAAUGCGGCAACGGCCAGAAAGAAAAGAAAUCAGAUUAAAAAAUUGCUUGAUGAUAAUGGGCUAUGGGUGCAAGGUACAGAGAUGAAGAAUCACAUUAUGGCAUAUUUCUCAAACCUCUUUACGUCAGAAGUUUCCCAUCCUAACUCGGAGGUUCUAUCUCUUGUCCAAUGAAAAGUGACCGAUGAAAUGAAUGAUGCUCUUCUAGCCCCCUAUACGGUCGAGGAGGUUCGAAAGGCCCUAUUUGAUAUUGGUGAUUUAAAAGCGCCAGGUCCCGUCGGCCUCCAUGCUAUUUUUUACAAAAUAUUUUGGUCUAUGUCGGGAGAUGACUUGACUGAAGAGGUUCUUCAAGCGGUAAAUACUUGUUCUAUACCAAAUGGGUGGAUGAUACUACAAUUGUAAUGAUCCCAAAGAUUAACUCUCCUGAAAAGGUAACCCAAUUUAGACCAAUCAGCUUGUGCAAUGUGGUGUAUAAGGUUAUUUCAAAAAUGAUUGCCGCUCGUCUAAAGAUAAUCCUAUCAGAUAUUAUUAGCCCAACUCAGAGUGUCUUUGUGCCUGGAAGAUUGAUUACAGACAAUAUAUUGGUGGCAUAUGAAUGUUUCCAUACAAUAAAAAACAAAAGGGCGGGUAAAGAGGGUUUGUGUGCCAUCAAAUUAGAUAUGCACAAAGCAUAUAACCGAGUGGAGUGGUGUUUCUUAAAGGAAAUUAUGCGGAAAUUGGGUUUCAAAGAGAUUUGGGUGAACUUAAUUAUGAAAUGUGUAUCCUCUGUGGAGUACCGGGUCCAUAUUAAUGAUGAUGAGACGGAGAGUUUUAAACUAACUAGAGGAUUGAGGUAGGGAGAUCCCCUUUCUCCCUACUUAUUCUUGUUAUGUAAAAAGGGUUUGACCGCCCUUUUAGCUAAUGCGGAGGAGAAUGGAAACAUUUCCGGUAUAAAGGUAUGGGUCGUACCAAUGUCAAUCCUAUUUUGGGUAAGAUUUGGAAAUUAUCGUGUCCUGCAAAGGUAAAAAUAUUUAUCUGGCGAACGUUGCAUGGAACUCUACCAUGUCGUGUUACACUUGCCAAUAGACAUAUGAAAGUUUCGCCUCUUUGUCCAUCAUGCUCAAAUGGGCAAGAAGAUACAAAACACAUCUUGUUUUUGUGUCACAAGGCAAAAGAGGUUUGGGGUAAGCUGGGGAUGUACGAGGUAAUUAAGAAAGCUUGUGUUAUUGAUCGUGCGGGUGAGCCAGUUAUUGAAUUCUUACUUCUUAUGACGCACCAAGAACUAUCUAUAUGAGGUUGCCAGAAUGCAAGUGAAUUAAUCGCGAUAACCACUUGGUAUUUAUGCUGGGAGAGACGCAUGUUGGUUCAUGAAGGAAAGUCUCAAGAUUGGAACCAGAUUUUGAUGGGGGUUCGUGCUAUAACAACAAACUAUGUGAAUGCCCACUUCCCUAGUGCGACUAGUAGAAAAGAAGGAUGGAGCCGAUCUCCUAUGGGUUUUGUUAAACUAAAUGUUGAUGCUUCUUUUGACCAUGAUCUACUCAGGGGCACGACAGGUGCUGUAGUCAGAGAUGACAAAGAAAAAUUCAUUGUUGGCGGAAAUUAGAAGAUCGAUUGUUGUGCUGAUGUACUAACAGAAGAAGCGAUGGCUCUGAGGCUUGAUUUAAUUCUUGCACAAAAGGCGGGAUGCAAUCGUCUUAUUAUUAACUCUGAUAAUAUGAAAGUCAUUGACACAAUGAAAAAUGGAGGACAAUCGGCAGGAGUUGCGGCGGCGGUCUUCGAGGAUUGCUACUUCAUGGCAUGUGAUUUUCCGUUGACUAGAUUUGAACAUUGUAAUAGGAUAGCUAAUAAGGUUGCUCAUGAACAUGAUAGGCUAGGGAAAGUUUCUGUAACUAGAGAUUGGUUUGAGGAGCCUAUGGAGAAUAUUGCACCUCUUCUUAUAGACGACGUAACCAUUAGUUCCAAUUAAUAAAGUGCAUGUUUUCUUUAAAAAAAGAGUAAAAAGUAUAUAUGUUUAGCUUGGAAUCCAUCUCUACAUGCAAGUAUUAAGAUUUCAUAAACUUGUUUUUCAUAACUUUUAGUGCAUCAAUCCAUUAGCUUAACUUAGCAAUGUAACCAAUGCUAGCUCCGCCCCCGAUGAGAUCUAUUGUGUUUGCUAGAGAAAUACACACAUUUUGCAGUUCGAAAUUAUCUAAAGUAAGUAACCCUUAAUUGUAUAUAUCCCAUCAUACUACCCUAUAGAAGAAAGAAAAGACCCUAAAUCCACAUCAUUCAUUUAUCUGACAAGUAUUUCCAAACAGAGGGAGUACAUUAUCAGAAUAGUCUAGCCCCCUAAAUUUGCAUCUAAAUCAUGUGCCUAUCUCCACGUCCCCAUCUCUGUCAGAAAUAUGCCGACGAUUCCCUUCAAAAAAAAAGAAAUACGCCGACGAUGCUAAAAAAAACAGAGGCAUUUCCGGUGGCCUGUGGUGGUGACAUGCAUGAAUCCGAACAGUGGGCCUUUUCACCUUGUUGUCACUCACCGUCGUGGUCCGAACGCGUGGCUCGUGUAACGCGUGGCUCUUCCAUUUGUUAGUGCGGUCCAUACAUUCUGUGUGUGGUUGUGAGUUAAUUGUACAGAAGUAUCAAUUGAAGCAUCACAUAUAGAUUGGAAUCAAGAUUGCUAAUUAUUGCAUAUCAGUAUUAAGAUUGUGCCAGGCUGUUGCAAAUAGGUCUAAACUGCAUAUAAACGCGUAUUGACAGUGUAUCUGACUGUUGGGGCCCGUCUGUCAGGUGCCGAUGUGGCAUAUUUUUUGCAGAAAACCCCUUGCUUUAUACGUAAUCACAUAAAUACCAUUUUUUUGCGGAAAAAGUUACCGUGAGAGACUUGUAUUUUCGUUCGGACUUGUUUGGAAGUCGGCCCAACAAAUGUUACCGUCCAAUUCGACAAAUCUUUAUCUUUAUCUUUACCUAAUAUUAAAGGGAGGAUCGUUUCUCCACUUUUUUUGUCAUACCUAAUAUUAAAGGGAGGAGCGUUUCUUCACUUUUUUCGUCACUAGUACAAAUGCCCGUGCGUUGCACCGGGCAAAAAAUGAAAUGUAACCUGCUUCACGUGCCAUUAUGCAACAUUUUUAUAAUCUAAUUUUCGCAAACAUCAGAAAUGAGGUUACACUGAGUAUUUUUUUUUGUAUGAUGAAAUUUGGAAUAAGAAAUAAGGCUACAUGUGCACGGAUCUUCUAAGACUGCUCUGCGGCAAUGAACUGCACUUGUUGAAAGUCAGAGAAGAAACCAACGCCAGUCACCACAAAACUAUGGGGGUGAUAAUGGAAGCCACCCCCCAACCAAAUCUUUGGAAUGUAAUCCAGCCUAACAGCAUCAUCAUGAAAGUUGCAAGUCCAGUUGCGGUAGAGAAAUCACCCAUGAAAGAUGAGUGCUCGUUUGGACUGGGGAACUGCCAAAAUGAAUAAGGAACCAUGAAAAGGUUAAAGGAGUACAAGGAAAGAAGAAAAACAAAAGCCGGAAAAAAUUACCUGUGCCUUGAGCUUCGAUUUCCAUGUGACUUACACAAAAUUGAUUAUAAUGCCAUAUGCAACAACUAAGGUAGCAAGGCCCCUCACAUAUUUUGAAGAGAUCAGAACUUUCAUACUCUCUUUCAUGCUAAGCUUAGGUUUGUUCUGUUGAAACAAUGGCUAUAUUCACAACUGUGGUGAUCUGAAAAUGAUUUAAUCAAAUCAACUUGAGCAAAAAGGGCUAUCAUUUGAUAAGAAAGCUGACCAAAGAUAAACUCAAAAUUCCAUAUGGCAGGCACAAUAAUGACAUGGACAAAUAAAGGCAUCACAAAGGUACCUCAAGGAAUUAGAACUGAAAGGUAAGGCUUGCGGCCAGUGACCGGAAGUAGAAUAUGCUUAACUUGGGACAGAGCAUUAAUCACUAAAGCACUUCCAGAUUCAUUCACUUCAGCCCUCACUGGUUACAAAGCAAAGGCAAACAAAUAUCAAACAGUGGUCUCAGCUCAACCAUCCAUCGUACCUCUUCAGACAUAAUCAGAAGUAAGGAUGUUCUUUGCAAGUUUGAUUAUGAAUCACCACAAAUUUCCCUGCUAAGAACAAAGUCAAGCAUGGUGAACAAUUCACUAACUUCGGUGCAGCAAAGGAAGGCCAAUACAUUGUCAGAAGCGCAACUACGCUUGGUCAGACACACAAUCAUUCAAACAUCACAUGAAAAUAUCAGCAUCAGCAACCUGAAACCACUGCACCUCGCUCCAAGUCAAAGCGAAGUAACUAAUCUUCAGUACACGUAGUGACAGCACAAAGAGACGACCAAGCAAUCGACGUACAAAUCUCAAGAAGACUUCAAGUCAGAGGCCGCCACCCACGCGCCUCCGCAGGGAGCCCGGCCGGGGCCAGUGGACCAUGGCCAUAGGCACCAUCGUCUGGGAGGAGCAGCGCUGGUGGCCGGUAGCACUGCCCCCGCGGUGCGUUCCGAAGGCCACGGCUGCGCCGUGGGCGCCGCCUCAAUUGCGGGCUGGUGCGCUUAAGAACGAGCCUUGCCGGCCAUGUGCCAUCGCCUCGCGGAGCGUCUUGGCCAAAAAUAUGAAACCUAAUGCUAUGCCCUGUUUAAAACUUUUUAUAAAGUAAAAAUAUUUCAAAAAAAAAUAGACAUCACAAUUUUCCAUAUGUAUCACACACUAACGUUUAGACUUUGUAGUUUCUCUACAAAGAUUGACCACAUAUUCAAUACCAGUUGGUGAAAUAGGAACAUAUAGUUCUGCAUUUCCACUCUACACAAUGUUAUUUCUCCAAAAACGAAUCCAUUUUUAGAUAUUUGUCAUAUUUCUGAACUUCAAAUUGCUCAUUGUUUGAAGUAUUCAACAGUCUAUACACAGUCAGGGCAAGAUUGGACAGAUGAUGCUAAAAUUGCAAGGGUAAGAAGAUGGACCAGACACCAGAUUAGUGGACAACCAUGGGAUGACCUCAUAAUUCAGAAGGGAGUCAGACUAAUACAUGAUCAGUCAGCCUUAAAUUCAGCAUUCAAGGUAGUAACAAUACCCUGAUACUACAGAUACGCUGAUAGCAGAGCAUGGUGUCCGUACCAAGUGGAACCAAACUUGUAGGCAAGUAAACCUAACACCAUAUCAUAAUAUGAGCACGGUGUCUUUUACACUGUUAUAUUGUUCUGUCUACUUGGGCUGGCCCAACAGAUGCUUACAAAGAUGUUGGAUAAAAUAAAUAAAAAAUGGUGGAUGAAAGCUAGAUGCAAAAGAGGUUAUACAUCAUCAACAAUUCACUGCUAUAGUUUAUUUAGAUUCACGGACAUGCUGUUUUUAUAUGUUCACUGGCAGAAUCUACGGGACUGUAUAUGCCAAUAUCUGUGCAACUGUCUCUUCGAGCCUUGGCGCAGUGGUAAAGCUGCUGCCUUGUGACCAUGAGGUCAUGGGUUCAAGUCCUGGAAACAGCCUCUUACAGAAAUGUAGGGAAAGGCUGCGUACUAUAGACCCAAAGUGGUCGGACCCUUCCCUGGACCCUGCGCAAGCGGGAGCUACAUGCACCAGGUUGCCCUUUUUUUGUCUCUUCAAAUUGCUAGCCUGCAGGUUGACAUGAUCAGCAAAACAUUCCUAGAGGUACGGAUCAGCAAUGUAGUAGCAAUCUAAUCAAGUUUGUGUCUAGCCCGUGGCGCCAACGACACCUCCCGUGCCACUGCCGGCCUUAGAAAUACCAAAGAAUUAUCACCCAACAACUAUUGUAUGCUUGAUUUUUAUUGCUUAUAGAAAAAUAAGGCCAAAUUUAAAUAACACUAAUUUUACUAUUUUCUAUGUUCUUUGACGACUCUUGGUGAUGAUCUAGAUUGUGUCUAACAAAUCAAAGUAAUUUACUUCACUCUGUUUUGCAAGUUUCAGUUUCUAUAGCAUGGCUUGCAUGCGUCAAGGCAACAUAGAGUAGUCAUGAAUGUAUUACCAAUCAUAUCAUUAUUAGUAAUGAUCUUUGUAUGAAUUAAUAUAGGCAUCUACCUUACUGAUACACUCAACAUAAGCAACUUGGUCCAAUGUUAUUUGGUUGAUCAUCCCAUUUUACAUAAUCCAAUCGAAGAACUGAAUUUUAUGGGCANNNNNNNNNNNNNNNNNNNNNNNNNNNNNNNNNNNNNNNNNNNNNNNNNNNNNNNNNNNNNNNNNNNNNNNNNNNNNNNNNNNNNNNNNNNNNNNNNNNNNNNNNNNNNNNNNNNNNNNNNNNNNNNNNNNNNNNNNNNNNNNNNNNNNNNNNNNNNNNNNNNNNNNNNNNNNNNNNNNNNNNNNNNNNNNNNNNNNNNNNNNNNNNNNNNNNNNNNNNNNNNNNNNNNNNNNNNNNNNNNNNNNNNNNNNNNNNNNNNNNNNNNNNNNNNNNNNNNNNNNNNNNNNNNNNNNNNNNNNNNNNNNNNNNNNNNNNNNNNNNNNNNNNNNNNNNNNNNNNNNNNNNNNNNNNNNNNNNNNNNNNNNNNNNNNNNNNCAAUCAAUAUAUAUAUUGUUGUACUUAGUAUAGUGAAUUUUGGGGACAUCAAUGGCUGGUUUCAACAUAGAUAUGUGCAAGAUUUUCACCUGAAAAUAACAAUGGGUUUCUAUAUCUGUCCAUCAGAGUGCAUCAUCUCCAAUAAUUAUCCAACAGACUGCUACAAAGAUUAUUUGUCCAUAUAAUGGCUCUAGUCAGAUAUAUAUUCAGAUGUCAUACCAGUCGAUGCAAUAUAUGUACUCCGAAACUAAGCCUGGUGUUUGUACUGUUUAUUAGCCUACAGAUGUUCUCACGUACUCACAAGUAUCUAUGCAAGAUUGUGGUAGUGGGCAGUAGCAGCGGGCUAUGGGAAAGUUGUUUCAUCAAUGCGAAUGCGCACUCCUUAUUCCAGCUCUGAGGUUGGUGUUGACACAACUCCUGACAGAAAAAAAUCAUGAAAAUGUGUUAGUCACACAACUGUUCAUGUCCUACCGAGCACGUCAACAUAUUGCCAAUUGGUGGGUGAAUACAAAGGUACAAACUGCAUGCAUAUUAAGAAUGACGUACAUUAUGGAUACUAUGGUAACAGCCAAUACUUUGUCGCCUCCCACUACAGGCUCCCUUGCAACGUUGGGCAUGACUACAUAUAUUCUGUAACCGUAUAACUGAGGACACCGGUGCCCCCUUUAACGAUUUCCACUGCAACCACCACUUCACCAUCCCAGACCAAGCAGCAAAGGCUCAUGUUGUUUCCGCACAGAUCUUAGUAAAACAUGAAAGCGAUACUAAAAAGAUAUAAGGACAAAAGAGUUUUGAAUAUAAACGCUAGCCAGAUAGAUAAAACGCCAUGUGCAUCUACAAAUUUGUAUGGAGACUUGGAUAGGCAAUGCAUCAUCUUUACCUCUAAUAAAAAGCAUGUAGAGAUCAGUACAUGUUCACUUAGUAAAAUUAUAGGCCCUCUAAGCAUGUCUUCUAUGUAAUAAUUACACUAAAAGCUGUAAAUCUGCAAGGGCUCUCUUGCUGGCAGGAAGACUUUUAUGAGAAGCCAUUGAUCAGGACUGAAUUAUUCAACAUCCUCACUCAAAGAUUUUUCAUCAUUCCCAUGGCAUAAAUCAUGUAGUUCAAUCCAUCUCCUUUUAUUACUCAAUGGCCGUUAGGUAGUAUACAUCAUCUUCAUCCCCUAUCUAACCAGCCUGAAAGUUUACUACUGGAACACCACGAUACAACCAUAGAGCCUCGUAAUCUUAGCAUGGAGCCGACGACUGCGACAUGUAAGUUGCGACGGCAUCUCCGACCACUACACGCUGACAGCCUGCUCAUACUUGACCUUGCUUCUCGAUCACACAUGUAAGGAGCGGCCGUUUGCAAAUUCAGCAUGAUGUGGUGAAGCAAUUUGAAGAAGGAAGUAGUGUGCGUACGCAUCUGAAGAUGGUGGUGGCGUCGGGGCUGAUCUCAAGGUGGGCAAUGAUGGAGCGGCAGAAGAUGUGGCUUGGGCUGGGCCUUGGCUUGAUGCCGGGACGGCUGGGGCGGCGGCCCAUGCGAUUGCUGCAAGCGAGCGGGACGAGCGUCGUCCUCGUGCAGACGCGGGCAGGGACAGACAGCGCCGACGCUGUUGGUCGAGCGGGGCGGUGCUCCAGUGACGAGGAUGGCGGGGCCCGGUCGGAUCCGGCCGGAUCUGGACGGGACGGAUCCAUUUCCGGCGGAUUUGGCGUGCAGGCGGCCGGAUCCGGCGAGAUUAAGGGCUGGUGGCGCCAUGGCCCUUCUGGAGGUCCCUGUUCAGCGAGAAAGAGAGAAAGAGGUGAGAGGAGAUCGAGAGGAAGGAGGAGAGGGGCGAGGCGGCGGAGCGGACGGAGCUCCGGCGGUGAGGCGCGGCGGAGGUGUGGGGUCGCCGGCGAGGCGGCUUGCGGGGGCGAGGGGAGCUCGGGCAGGAUGGAGCUGCGGGAGGCAGAGCGGUCUGGUUCGGGCUGGGUUUCCAGCGUUAUUUUUGUAAAAGUGAAAUGUUAUAUAGAGACCCAGUAAAACAGGGACUGCGGAUUAAUUUCUUACAAACUGAGGGACUUUUAUGCAAAAUUGCUAACGACGACGGACGAGAGAAACCCAAUUUUCGAAAGUAUGACGCCCCACAUAUUCUUAUUCUUUUGUCUCAAAAAAAACAUAUUCUUAUUCUUUUGUUUGUACCUUUUAUUUUUAUUUAUUUUCUCUUAUGUUUUUUUUAGUUUCCUUUUUCCUAUUUAGGUUUGUAAAGUAUUCAUCGCACUUUAAAAAAAAUAAAUCAUGUAUUUAAAAAAUGUUAAACAUGUAUAAAAAAAUAUUUUUGAUGUAUAAGAAAAAUGUACAGUGUGUAUGAAAAAAUAGUGAUCAAAACAUGUAUUUGAAGAAAAUGUUAAUCAUCUAUUAAAAUAAUAUUAAACACAAAUAAAUAGGUUUCACAUGUAUAUGAAAAUUGUACAAUAUGUAUGAAAAAAAAGGUCAUCAAAAUAUAUAUUUCACGAAAUUUUAACCAUGUAUUUAAAACAAACCUGUGUAAUCAAUAUUUCAUAUGUAUGCAAAAGAUAUACAAUAUGUAGAAAAAACUAGACAUCAAAACGUAUAUAUGAAAAGAUGUUAAUCAUAUAUUAUAAAAAUGUUAAACAUGUAUAAAAGUAUGUACAAUGUGUAUCACAAAAUGUAGACAUGUGUUGAAAGAAAGUAGGCAUGAAAGAUUUAUUUCAAAAUAAUGUAAUUAUUUAUUUGAAAAAUGUUAAACAUGUAUAAAGAAAUGUUCCUAAUAUAUACAAACAAAUGUAUAAUGUGUAAGAAAAAACAUAGACAGUAAAACCUAUAUUAAAAUAAUGUUAACCAUGUAUUUAAAAAAGGAUAAACAUAUGCAAUAAAAAUGUCCCUUAUGUAUAAGAGAAAUGUACAUUAUGCGUAAAAAAAGUAGACAAGUGUUGAAAAAAAAUUGAAAAAAUGGGGAAAACCAACUCUACCCCAAGGGUUCAUGGAGCACAUGUUGAACCUCAAUCAUCCAUCUCUGAUCUGUCCUUGCCCCCAUGAAUCGCAUCGUCGCGGACAUCUUAUAUGCGUGCAGUGUGAUCAGACACCACCCUUACCGAAUUGAUUGCUAAUUGGUACAGGCAAUCACAACAUCUCGGCCUACCAUCAAUAUUGAUACUACUGUGUACCUCAUGCUAGAUGUCCAAAUACAAGCAGAUACGCUAAUUAUCGUGACAAUUUUCAUUUUUCAAUGAAAGUUCUCAUUGAUAACCUAGACAUAUGAAAUCGUUCACGAGUCAUGUCCAAGGCGGUAGCAUUAGAUAGGCAGGUGUGAACAUGUACAAAGUUAGGUCCAUUUAGAUGCUACCUCCAAGUUAAUAUGCCAUAGCGUCACACCUUGUGAAAGGAACAUUGCGUUAAACCGUGAGCCACAAACAGUCUAGUUUAUUGACAUAAUGAAAGUAAUUAAUUAUUUUAUUUGUUCCAGAACCUAUGCAAGGUAGCCAACCGUUGCAGACCUCUCUUCCCUAUAAAUAAUUCAAAGUAGACAGAAUUUUUGAGCAAAAAGUCUAGUUUAUUAACAUAAUUAGAGUAAAUUAACUAUUUACUUGAUCCAGAACCUAUGCAAGGUAGCCAUUCAUCGCAAACCGUUCCUAUAAAUAAUCCGAAGAAGACAAAUUACCAAGUUUUGGGAAAGCAAAUUACCCUUGAAACGGUGCUAUUAUAAAUAAUUCUCGAGUGGUUGCUUGUUUAUUUUUGAUGAAAUGCAACAGGCACCGCUUUUCAUUCGUUAAGAGGGAAACAGACAAGUUACAGAGUAUAUAGGCCAUUGUAAAGUGACCGAAACAGAAGAGAAAAGGCAAACACUAUUAGUUACAAGCUAGAAGGUUCACUGCAGACCAUAAGACGACUACCCCAUCCAUUUCACUCCUUUCAUUCCCUACAUGAAGGAAGGCUCAGAGCUCUUCCGAGAUUGAGGUGAAUCAUUAACCCACAUGCCACUGCUAUCUAAAAUAAAGAUCAAUGGAACCAAUGUUUUGUUGGGUUUGACACUAAUUAUAAAAAUUAUUAACGUGCAUGAUGAUAGCAUAUUUAGAAUCUACACAUUUUUCUGAUGGAUUUUCAUAUAUGACAUGUUAGAUUUGGAGUUAGGAUUUAAAAGGUAUGAAUAUUUUUAAAAGUAUUUGAUCUUUUAAAAAAAGAAAAGAAAAAGGUUUGAAGGGGGUUCGAACCCGCGAUCUCCAGUGUGGUAGCCAAAGGCCCCAACCACUGGGCUACAUGCAUAACUGUUCUACUAGAUGGGAUUCCAACCUAUUGACCUAAGCUGACCGCGGCAAAAUAAAUAUAAGAAACAAAACGUAUUUUUCUACUUACCGGUGGCAUGGUGGGUAAUUAUUCACAACUUCAGGGGUAAUUUAGAUGACGGACGACUAGAAACACUAUUUGCUUUAUUAUUAAAAAAUAGAGAUCUGUGCAGUUCGAGGAAAACUUUCAAAUGAGUCCGAACGAAAAAAAAUCUCUCAUUGAAACCUUUUUCCCACAAAAAUAAUGGGUUUUUAUGUGAUUACGUAUAAAGCAAGGAGUUUUCUGCAAAAAAUAUGCCACCUCGGCACCUGACAGACGGCCCCAACUGUCAGAUACAAUGUUAAUACACGUUUAUACGCAGUUUAGACCUAUUUACAACGGCCUGGCACAAUGUUUUUUUUUGAUAGAAACACUGUAAGGGAACCCCUACAGUAUAAUUGGUGCAACAAACCCAAAUUGCAAGUACCAUGCCUUGAACCUGGGUGGGUGGGAAGGCAUCAACCCCUUUCCACCACUAGGCUAUGCCUUAGUCUGCGGCCUGGCACAAUGUUGGGACUGACAUGUAAAAAUUAGCAAAUUUUGGUACAAUCUGCAUGUGAUGCCCCAAUUAUGAUACUUUUAUGCAAUUAACUUUGUGGUUGUCCGUCACAGCAUGCAUGUGGGGGAUGUAGGAUUCUCACCUCGUUUCUCGUCGCCGUGAGAGCAACUCCAGUGGGGUGACCCAAACGGACACAGAUUUUGUCUAGUUGGGUCGCCCGUCCGCCUAGCGGACAUGGGACGGACACGCACGGUUCGUGGAUGUAACCAACGCGCCGCUAGUGGAUGACCCAAAGCGGACAAGCGAGAUGCACUGGGAUCGUAGGAUAUUGAGAUGGGCCGGCAGAGUCGACGGCCAGCUCGGCGCCGCGGAAAGGGCAGGCGCAACGCGAUAGGCCCGAGCACGCUGAGGAGCUCGCCGCACGGCAACCUCGCCCCGCCCGCGUCCGCUGCGCCGCGCAGAAGGGGCAGCGCCCUUCGCCGGGGGGAGCGACUGCAGCGUGGCGUGGUCGGGACAGACGCGAGCGUGGCGAGCUCGCCCCGCCGGCGUGGCGAAGUAGGCGACCUCCCACCCCUGCUUCCACGCGCCGCCGUCCACGUCGUCGAACUAGAUCCGGUAGAGGUCGUGGCCGGUCCUAGCNNNNNNNNNNNNNNNNNNNNNNNNNNNNNNNNNNNNNNNNNNNNNNNNNNNNNNNNNNNNNNNNNNNNNNNNNNNNNNNNNNNNNNNNNNNNNNNNNNNNNNNNNNNNNNNNNNNNNNNNNNNNNNNNNNNNNNNNNNNNNNNNNNNNNNNNNNNNNNNNNNNNNNNNNNNNNNNNNNNNNNNNNNNNNNNNNNNNNNNNNNNNNNNNNNNNNNNNNNNNNNNNNNNNNNNNNNNNNNNNNNNNNNNNNNNNNNNNNNNNNNNNNNNNNNNNNNNNNNNNNNNNNNNNNNNNNNNNNNNNNNNNNNNNNNNNNNNNNNNNNNNNNNNNNNNNNNNNNNNNNNNNNNNNNNNNNNNNNNNNNNNNNNNNNNNNNNNNNNNNNNNNNNNNNNNNNNNNNNNNNNNNNNNNNNNNNNNNNNNNNNNNNNNNNNNNNNNNNNNNNNNNNNNNNNNNNNNNNNNNNNNNNNNNNNNNNNNNNNNNNNNNNNNNNNNNNNNNNNNNNUCUGUGAGACAAGUGACCGUGGGUUGUUUCGCCCCCCUGUCCCUGUGUCGUUUGUUAACGUGAAGCCAUACAGGUACAUGGCCCAAAACAGUGAGUAGCAUUGCAGCCCAUCACAAAAGAUAAAGGGCUAGUAGCAGGCUAGCAGCAGUCGUUCUCUCAAAAAUAAAAAGUGACCUGUGUACACAUAAAUGAGGCACGUACACACAGGCCGCUAUAAUCGCUAGUUUCCAAACUGCCUCCUUCAAUCUAGCGUCACACAUGUACCUUGCCUUGCCUGCUAUCGAUCUUUUCGUGAUUCCGUCGCAUCGCCGUCAAGAGAAGCGAAGAAGGGAAGGGGACGACCGCGGGUGAGCACCGAUCCGGUCCGGAUGAGCCAUGAGUGGCAACAAUCCGAAGGAAAAAGGUUAUUGUUUAAUACCCUACGAGAAUUAGAUCAGUUCUUGUUUUGUCCUUUCCAAACUGUAAUCUUUCUCCGAGUGCCACUAUUCUUUGAUUGCUUCCAUAAAUUGCUUGAUUUUUGGUGUUCUGGCUUUGUAAUUAGGUCGAAUCAGUGAGGCGAUCCCAUCAAUUACAGGGAAAUUAAUGAGAUUUUGUAAUGUGUUAUCUAUCACAUUGUAUUAUUGGUAAUUAUUAGUUUGUAAGAUUAUCUUGUGUUUCUAGAGUUGUGAAUUUGUUUUUGCCAUUAAAAAAGAAUUUCUAAUGUCUUUGUAGAAUUUUUUUUGUCAUGUGAAUGGAAUUAAGAAAUAAAAUUGGGCAUGGUUGCACACGGCGUUUCCUUUAGACCAGACCCUAAAAUUUUCUACCAAAACAUAGUAGUUGCCCAUGAACUUAGUGUGAAACCUCCUCCCCCCCCAUGCCGAAAUCUGGCUCCGUCCCUGGGGGAAGCCUAGGCGGAGGAAGACGAGGAGGGAGAGAAAGAAGAAGAAGGCGGCGGCGAGAUGGAGGACGCGGCGGGAGGAGGAGGAGGAGGCGGAGGCGGGGUGGGGCCCGGUGAUAUUCCUGGGCGCGUAUCCUCGCUCACUGAUAUGUGGGUUCGGGGCCGGACACGAGAAGGCAGCAAUGGACGAGAGCGGACGACCACACGCCGUCUUUUGUCCGCCACAGACCCAUUUGUGGCCCAAUUUUGGGUUUAGUUUGGGUCGGGAUGGAUGACAAACGGACAACAGGUGGACAUGCGUGUUCGAUUGGGUCGUCCCGUUGGGCCAAGUAUUGUGCCCGGAUGACCUAAAUGGACAAAAUGGGUCGCCCUUUCUGAGUUGGGCCAUCUUACACUAUCCCCCAUAAGAAAGGUUUUUUAUUUUUUUUCGAUUGAUUAGAAGGAGGGCAAAGAAGCCGGUUACAGGUUGCAAGCUAGCGCAAAAGCCAGCGAGCAGGGCCAAACAACACGAACGAAAAAACAAAACGAGCCAAGACGGCUAGAGAGCCAGACACCAAAUCCUAUUCUUGCAGCAACAAGUGCCGGCUAACCUGGUGGGAGCUCUUUGUAACUUACCACCAUGCAUUCCUGUAGCCCACAAAAAAAUUGGCAGAGGAGCUUAUCUCCAUGGGUCAAAUGCAACAAAAAAAAAGGUAGCGCUUUGUACAUAAAUUAAAGAGAACAGUGAAAAGUUGUACCUAUAGACAUUCGAAUGGCACACAUAUAAAUUUGAACACACUAAGUUAAAGAGAAAUGGCCAAACUCGGCUCUUUAAAUAUCAAUCUCUCUACCCGAAUCUGACAUGCUGAAAUUCUUCUUAUCUUAAGCUAAUUAACAGUAGUUUCAAAAUCUUAAGCAUGUAAUAUGUUCGGCAAUUGGUUUCGGGGUAUUGACAAACAAUUUUUUACACACAUUCUUGUGGGGCCGGGCGGCUACCUUAUGUUAGGCAGUGUGCCCUAUCAGGAAUGACCUGGUUUUUAAUAAUAAAUUUAUUUCAUAUCCUUUGCAGGUUAUUCAUGCAUGUAAGCGAUAGCUACGUACAUGGUCUAUCCUGCAGAGGCCAGAGGACAGAAAUAUUUUUAUGGUGGCGCCUACCUGGCUAGAGCAUACGGCCAGGGAGGUUUCUCCAUUCAUGGAUGGUGGAGUAAUCUCCGGAUAGGAUCUACCCCACCUUAGGUUGGACUUUUUAUUAUUGUUGUAGAACAAUAUUUUAUUUUUGGUUGUGUUGGACGUGUUAGUUGUGUGCAUCGUGCUACGCUUAAGAUGAGCUUUCUUUUUAAUGUGGUUGUAUCACCUCGAUAAGUCAAUUGAAUGAAAUGUCCUUUAUUGAAAAAAAUGCUAAUUAAUGAUAGACAAAAGGCUUGACUUGACUCUACCUCCUAUAGAAAGUAAAUAAAGCAAAGUUGAUGGGUAUUGGGCCAUCUCUCGCUGAGCGUAUAUGGGCGGUGCAGGCGGAUCUACAUAUUUGGGAUCGCGAUAUUCUUAAGGGACCGAAAAAAGAAUUUACAAACUAAAAAAAGAACUAGAAAGGCUGCGGAGGGGACCUAUGUGUGCGGAGUCUCAAGCGUGACAAAAGGAGAUUCUUGUCCUCAUUGAAACUCUGUCGGAACAAGAGGAGAUUUACUAGCUACAACGUGGUCGCGCAAACUGGCUAUUGCAUGGGGAUCGUAGCACCUCCUUUUUUCAUAAUGCGGCAACGGCCAGAAAGAAAAGAAAUCAGAUUAAAAAAUUGCUUGAUGAUAAUGGGCUAUGGGUGCAAGGUACAGAGAUGAAGAAUCACAUUAUGGCAUAUUUCUCAAACCUCUUUACGUCAGAAGUUUCCCAUCCUAACUCGGAGGUUCUAUCUCUUGUCCAAUGAAAAGUGACCGAUGAAAUGAAUGAUGCUCUUCUAGCCCCCUAUACGGCCGAGGAGGUUCGAAAGGCCCUAUUUGAUAUUGGUGAUUUAAAAGCGCCAGGUCCCGUCGGCCUCCAUGCUAUUUUUUACAAAAUAUUUUGGUCUAUGUCGGGAGAUGACUUGACUGAAGAGGUUCUUCAAGCGGUAAAUACUUGUUCUAUACCAAAUGGGUGGAUGAUACUGCAAUUGUAAUGAUCCCAAAGAUUAACUCUCCUGAAAAGGUAACCCAAUUUAGACCAAUCAGCUUGUGCAAUGUGGUGUAUAAGGUUAUUUCAAAAAUGAUUGCUGCUCGUCUAAAGAUAAUCCUAUCAGAUAUUAUUAGCCCAGCUCAGAGUGUCUUUGUGCCUGGAAGAUUGAUUACAGACAAUAUAUUGGUGGCAUAUGAAUGUUUCCAUACAAUAAAAAACAAAAGGGCGGGUAAAGAGGGUUUGUGUGCCAUCAAAUUAGAUAUGCACAAAGCAUAUAACCGAGUGGAGUGGUGUUUCUUAAAGGAAAUUAUGCGGAAAUUGGGUUUCAAAGAGAUUUGGGUGAACUUAAUUAUGAAAUGUGUAUCCUCUGUGGAGUACCGGGUCCAUAUUAAUGAUGAUGAGACGGAGAGUUUUAAACUAACUAGAGGAUUGAGGUAGGGAGAUCCCCUUUCUCCCUACUUAUUCUUGUUAUGUAAAAAGGGUUUGACCGCCCUUUUAGCUAAUGCGGAGGAGAAUGGAAACAUUUCCGGUAUAAAGGUAUGGGUCGUACCAAUGUCAAUCCUAUUUUGGGUAAGAUUUGGAAAUUAUCGUGUCCUGCAAAGGUAAAAAUAUUUAUCUGGCGAACGUUGCAUGGAACUCUACCAUGUCGUGUUACACUUGCCAAUAGACAUAUGAAAGUUUCGCCUCUUUGUCCAUCAUGCUCAAAUGGGCAAGAAGAUACAAAACACAUCUUGUUUUUGUGUCAGAAGGCAAAAGAGGUUUGGGGUAAGCUGGGGAUGUACGAGGUAAUUAAGAAAGCUUGUGUUAUUGAUCGUGCGGGUGAGCCGGUUAUUGAAUUCUUACUUCUUAUGACGCACCAAGAACUAUCUAUAUGAGGUUGCCAGAAUGCAAGUGAAUUAAUCGCGAUAACCACUUGGUAUUUAUGCUGGGAGAGACGCAUGUUGGUUCAUGAAGGAAAGUCUCAAGAUUGGAACCAGAUUUUGAUGGGGGUUCGUGCUAUAACAACAAACUAUGUGAAUGCCCACUUCCCUAGUGCGACUAGUAGAAAAGAAGGAUGGAGCCGAUCUCCUAUGGGUUUUGUUAAACUAAAUGUUGAUGCUUCUUUUGACCAUGAUCUACUCAGGGGCACGACAGGUGCUGUAGUCAGAGAUGACAAAGAAAAAUUCAUUGUUGGCGGAAAUUAGAAGAUCGAUUGUUGUGCUGAUGUACUAACAGCAGAAGCGAUGGCUCUGAGGCUUGAUUUAAUUCUUGCACAAAAGGCGGGAUGCAAUCGUCUUAUUAUUAACUCUGAUAAUAUGAAAGUCAUUGACACAAUGAAAAAUGGAGGACAAUCAGCAGGAGUUGCGGCGGCGGUCUUCGAGGAUUGCUACUUCAUGGCAUGUGAUUUUCCGUUGACUAGAUUUAAACAUUGUAAUAGGAUAGCUAAUAAGGUUGCUCAUGAACAUGAUAGGCUAGCGAAAGUUUCUGUAACUAGAGAUUGGUUUGAGGAGCCUAUGGAGAAUAUUGCACCUCUUCUUAUAGACGACGUAACCAUUAGUUCCAAUUAAUAAAGUGCAUGUUUUCUUUAAAAAAAGAGUAAAAAGUAUAUAUGUUUAGCUUGGAAUCCAUCUCUACAUGCAAGUAUUAAGAUUUCAUAAACUUGUUUUUCAUAACUUUUAGUGCAUCAAUCCAUUAGCUUAACUUAGCAAUGUAACCAAUGCUAGCUCCGCCCCCGAUGAGAUCUAUUGUGUUUGCUAGAGAAAUACACACAUUUUGCAGUUCGAAAUUAUCUAAAGUAAGUAACCCUUAAUUGUAUAUAUCCCAUCAUACUACCCUAUAGAAGAAAGAAAAGACCCUAAAUCCACAUCAUUCAUUUAUCUGACAAGUAUUUCCAAACAGAGGGAGUACAUUAUCAGAAUAGUCUAGCCCCCUAAAUUUGCAUCUAAAUCAUGUGCCUAUCUCCACGUCCCCAUCUCUGUCAGAAAUAUGCCGACGAUUCCCUUCAAAAAAAAAAGAAAUACGCCGACGAUGCUAAAAAAACAGAGGCAUUUCCAGUGGCCUGUGGUGGUGACAUGCAUGAAUCCGAACAGUGGGCCUUUUCACCUUGUUGUUACUCACCGUCGUGGUCCGAACGCGUGGCUCGUGUAACGCGUGGCUCUUCCAUUUGUUAGUGCGGUCCAUACAUUCUGUGUGUGGUUGUGAGUUAAUUGUACAGAAGUAUCAAUUGACGCAUGACAUAUAGAUUGGUAUCAAGAUUGCUAAUUUUUGCAUAUCAGUAUUAAGAUUGUGCCAGGCUGUUGCAAAUAGGUCUAAACUGCAUAUAAACGCGUAUUAACAGUGUAUCUGACUGUUGGGGCCCGUCUGUCAGGUGCCGAUGUGGCAUAUUUUUUGCAGAAAACCCCUUGCUUUAUACGUAAUCACAUAAAUACCAUUUUUUUGCGGAAAAAGUUACCGUGAGAGACUUGUAUUUUCGUUCGGACUUGUUUGGAAGUCGGCCCAACAAAUGUUACCGUCCAAUUCGACAAAUCUUUAUCUUUAUCUUUACCUAAUAUUAAAGGGAGGAUCGUUUCUCCACUUUUUUUGUCAUACCUAAUAUUAAAGGGAGGAGCGUUUCUUCACUUUUUUCGUCACUAGUACAAAUGCCCGUGCGUUGCACCGGGCAAAAAAUGAAAUGUAACCUGCUUCACGUGCCAUUAUGCAACAUUUUUAUAAUCUAAUUUUCGCAAACAUCAGAAAUGAGGUUACACUGAGUAUUUUUUUUGUAUGAUGAAAUUUGGAAUAAGAAAUAAGGCUACAUGUGCACGGAUCUUCUAAGACUGCUCUGCGGCAAUGAACUGCACUUGUUGAAAGUCAGAGAAGAAACCAACGCCAGUCACCACAAAACUAUGGGGGUGAUAAUGGAAGCCACCCCCCAACCAAAUCUUUGGAAUGUAAUCCAGCCUAACAGCAUCAUCAUGAAAGUUGCAAGUCCAGUUGUGGUAGAGAAAUCACCCAUGAAAGAUGAGUGCUCGUUUGGACUGGGGAACUGCCAAAAUGAAUAAGGAACCAUGAAAAGGUUAAAGGAGUACAAGGAAAGAAGAAAAACAAAAGCCGGAAAAAAUUACCUGUGCCUUGAGCUUCGAUUUCCAUGUGACUUACACAAAAUUGAUUAUAAUGCCAUAUGCAACAACUAAGGUAGCAAGGCCCCUCACAUAUUUUGAAGAGAUCAGAACUUUCAUACUCUCUUUCAUGCUAAGCUUAGGUUUGUUCUGUUGAAAAAAUGGCUAUAUUCACAACUGUGGUGAUCUGAAAAUGAUUUAAUCAAAUCAACUUGAGAAAAAAGGGCUAUCAUUUGAUAAGAAAGCUGACCAAAGAUAAACUCAAAAUUCCAUAUGGCAGGCACAAUAAUGACAUGGACAAAUAAAGGCAUCACAAAGGUACCUCAAGGAAUUAGAACUGAAAGGUAAGGCUUGCGGCCAGUGACCGGAAGUAGAAUAUGCUUAACUUGGGACAGAGCAUUAAUCACUAAAGCACUUCCAGAUUCAUUCACUUCAGCCCUCACUGGUUACAAAGCAAAGGCAAACAAAUAUCAAACAGUGGUCUCAGCUCAACCAUCCAUCGUACCUCUUCAAACAUAAUCAGAAGUAAGGAUGUUCUUUGCAAGUUUGAUUAUGAAUCACCACAAAUUUCCCUGCUAAGAACAAAGUCAAGCAUGGUGAACAAUUCACUAACUUCGGUGCAGCAAAAGAAGGCCAAUACAUUGUCAGAAGCGCAACUACGCUUGGUCAGACACACAAUCAUUCAAACAUCACAUGAAAAUAUCAGCAUCAGCAACCUGAAACCACUGCACCUCGCUCCAAGUCAAAGCGAAGUAACUAAUCUUCAGUACACGUAGUGACAGCACAAAGAGACGACCAAGCAAUCGACGUACAAAUCUCAAGAAGACUUCAAGUCAGAGGCCGCCACCCACGCGCCUCCGCAGGGAGCCCGGCCGGGGCCAGUGGACCAUGGCCAUAGGCACCACCGUCUGGGAGGAGCAGCGCUGGUGGCCGGUAGCACUGCCCCCGCGGUGCGUUCCGAAGGCCACGGCUGCGCCGUGGGCGCCGCCUCAAUUGCGGGCUGGUGCGCUUAAGGACGAGCCUUGCCGGCCAUGUGCCAUCGCCUCGCGGAGCGUCUUGGCCAAAAAUAUGAAACCUAAUGCUAUGCCCUGUUUAAAACUUUUUAUAAAGUAAAAAUUUUUCAAAAAAAAUAGACAUCACAAUUUUCCAUAUGUAUCACACACUAAUCGUUUAGACUUUGUAGUUUCUCUACAAAGAUUGACCACAUAUUCAAUACCAGUUGGUGAAAUAGGAACAUAUAGUUCUGCAUUUCCACUCUACACAAUGUUAUUUCUCCAAAAACGAAUCCAUUUUUAGAUAUUUGUCAUAUUUCUGAACUUCAAAUUGCUCAUUGUUUGAAGUAUUCAACAUCUAUACACAGUCAGGGCAAGAUUGGACAGAUGAUGCUAAAAUUGCAAGGGUAAGAAGAUGGACCAGACACCAGAUUAGUGGACAACCAUGGGAUGACCUCAUAAUUCAGAAGGGAGUCAGACUAAUACAUGAUCAGUCAGCCUUAAAUUCAGCAUUCAAGGCAGUAACAAUACCCUGAUACUACAGAUACGCUGAUAGCAGAGCAUGGUGUCCGUACCAAGUGGAACCAAACUUGUAGGCAAGUAAACCUAACACCAUAUCAUAAUAUGAGCACGGUGUCUUUUACACUGUUAUAUUGUUCUGUCUACUUGGGCUGGCCCAACAGAUGCUUACAAAGAUGUUGGAUAAAAUAAAUAAAAAAUGCUGGAUGAAAGCUAGAUGCAAAUGAGGUUAUACAUCAUCAACAAUUCACUGCUAUAGUUUAUUUAGAUUCACGGACAUGCUGUUUUUAUAUGUUCACUGGCAGAAUCUACGGGACUGUAUAUGCUAAUAUCUGUGCAACUGUCUCUUCAAAUUGCUAGCCUGCAGGUUGACAUGAUCAGCAAAACAUUCCUAGAGGUACGGAUCAGCAAUGUAGUAGCAAUCUAAUCAAGUUUGUGUCUAGCCCGUGGCGCCAACGACACCUCCCGUGCCACUGCCGGCCUUAGAAAUACCAAAGAAUUAUCACCCAACAACUAUUGUAUGCUUGAUUUUUAUUGCUUAUAGAAAAAUAAGGCCAAAUUUAAAUAACACUAAUUUUACUAUUUUCUAUGUUCUUUGACGACUCUUGGUGAUGAUCUAGAUUGUGUCUAACAAAUCAAAGUAAUUUACUUCACUCUGUUUUGCAAGUUUCAGUUUCUAUAGCAUGGCUUGCAUGCGUCAAGGCAACAUAGAGUAGUCAUGAAUGUAUUACCAAUCAUAUCAUUAUUAGUAAUGAUCUUUGUAUGAAUUAAUAUAGGCAUCUACCUUACUGAUACACUCAACAUAAGCAACUUGGUCCAAUGUUAUUUGGUUGAUCAUCCCAUUUUACAUAAUCCAAUCGAAGAACUGAAUUUUAUGGGCANNNNNNNNNNNNNNNNNNNNNNNNNNNNNNNNNNNNNNNNNNNNNNNNNNNNNNNNNNNNNNNNNNNNNNNNNNNNNNNNNNNNNNNNNNNNNNNNNNNNNNNNNNNNNNNNNNNNNNNNNNNNNNNNNNNNNNNNNNNNNNNNNNNNNNNNNNNNNNNNNNNNNNNNNNNNNNNNNNNNNNNNNNNNNNNNNNNNNNNNNNNNNNNNNNNNNNNNNNNNNNNNNNNNNNNNNNNNNNNNNNNNNNNNNNNNNNNNNNNNNNNNNNNNNNNNNNNNNNNNNNNNNNNNNNNNNNNNNNNNNNNNNNNNNNNNNNNNNNNNNNNNNNNNNNNNNNNNNNNNNNNNNNNNNNNNNNNNNNNNNNNNNNNNNNNNNNNNNNNNNNNNNNNNNNNNNNNNNNNNNNNNNNNNNNNNNNNNNNNNNNNNNNNNNNNNNNNNNNNNNNNNNNNNNNNNNNNNNNNNNNNNNNNNNNNNNNNNNNNNNNNNNNNNNNNNNNNNNNNNNNNNNNNNNNNNNNNNNNNNNNNNNNNNNNNNNNNNNNNNNNNNNNNNNNNNNNNNNNNNNNNNNNNNNNNNNNNNNNNNNNNNNNNNNNNNNNNNNNNNNNNNNNNNNNNNNNNNNNNNNNNNNNNNNNNNNNNNNNNNNNNNNNNNNNNNNNNNNNNNNNNNNNNNNNNNNNNNNNNNNNNNNNNNNNNNNNNNNNNNNNNNNNNNNNNNNNNNNNNNNNNNNNNNNNNNNNNNNNNNNNNNNNNNNNNNNNNNNNNNNNNNNNNNNNNNNNNNNNNNNNNNNNNNNNNNNNNNNNNNNNNNNNNNNNNNNNNNNNNNNNNNNNNNNNNNNNNNNNNNNNNNNNNNNNNNNNNNNNNNNNNNNNNNNNNNNNNNNNNNNNNNNNNNNNNNNNNNNNNNNNNNNNNNNNNNNNNNNNNNNNNNNNNNNNNNNNNNNNNNNNNNNNNNNNNNNNNNNNNNNNNNNNNNNNNNNNNNNNNNNNNNNNNNNNNNNNNNNNNNNNNNNNNNNNNNNNNNNNNNNNNNNNNNNNNNNNNNNNNNNNNNNNNNNNNNNNNNNNNNNNNNNNNNNNNNNNNNNNNNNNNNNNNNNNNNNNNNNNNNNNNNNNNNNNNNNNNNNNNNNNGCAUCUGAAGAUGGUGGUGGCGUCGGGGCUGAUCUCAAGGUGGGCAAUGAUGGAGCGGCAGAAGAUGUGGCUUGGGCUGGGCCUUGGCUUGAUGCCGGGACGGCUGGGGCGGCGGCCCAUGCGAUUGCUGCAAGCGAGCGGGACGAGCGUCGUCCUCGUGCAGACGCGGGCAGGGACAGACAGCGCCGACGCUGUUGGUCGAGCGGGGCGGUGCUCCAGUGACGAGGAUGGCGGGGCCCGGUCGGAUCCGGCCGGAUCUGGACGGGACGGAUCCAUUUCCGGCGGAUUUGGCGUGCAGGCGGCCGGAUCCGGCGAGAUUAAGGGCUGGUGGCGCCAUGGCCCUUCUGGAGGUCCCUGUUCAGCGAGAAAGAGAGAAAGAGGUGAGAGGAGAUCGAGAGGAAGGAGGAGAGGGGCGAGGCGGCGGAGCGGACGGAGCUCCGGCGGUGAGGCGCGGCGGAGGUGUGGGGUCGCCGGCGAGGUGGCUUGCGGGGGCGAGGGGAGCUCGGGCAGGAUGGAGCUGCGGGAGGCAGAGCGGUCUGGUUCGGGCUGGGUUUCCAGCGUUAUUUUUGUAAAAGUGAAAUGUUAUAUAGAGACCCAGUAAAACAGGGACUGCGGGUUAAUAUCUUACAAACUGAGGGACUUUUAUGCAAAAUUUCUAACGACGACGGACGAGAGAAACCCAAUUUUCUAAAGUAUGACGCCCCACAUAUUCUUAUUCUUUUGUCUCAAAAAAAAAAACAUAUUCUUAUUCUUUUGUUUGUACCUUUUAUUUUUAUUUUUUUUNNNNNNNNNNGCAUCUGAAGAUGGUGGUGGCGUCGGGGCUGAUCUCAAGGUGGGCAAUGAUGGAGCGGCAGAAGAUGUGGCUUGGGCUGGGCCUUGGCUUGAUGCCGGGACGGCUGGGGCGGCGGCCCAUGCGAUUGCUGCAAGCGAGCGGGACGAGCGUCGUCCUCGUGCAGACGCGGGCAGGGACAGACAGCGCCGACGCUGUUGGUCGAGCGGGGCGGUGCUCCAGUGACGAGGAUGGCGGGGCCCGGUCGGAUCCGGCCGGAUCUGGACGGGACGGAUCCAUUUCCGGCGGAUUUGGCGUGCAGGCGGCCGGAUCCGGCGAGAUUAAGGGCUGGUGGCGCCAUGGCCCUUCUGGAGGUCCCUGUUCAGCGAGAAAGAGAGAAAGAGGUGAGAGGAGAUCGAGAGGAAGGAGGAGAGGGGCGAGGCGGCGGAGCGGACGGAGCUCCGGCGGUGAGGCGCGGCGGAGGUGUGGGGUCGCCGGCGAGGCGGCUUGCGGGGGCGAGGGGAGCUCGGGCAGGAUGGAGCUGCGGGAGGCAGAGCGGUCUGGUUCGGGCUGGGUUUCCAGCGUUAUUUUUGUAAAAGUGAAAUGUUAUAUAGAGACCCAGUAAAACAGGGACUGCGGAUUAAUUUCUUACAAACUGAGGGACUUUUAUGCAAAAUUGCUAACGACGACGGACGAGAGAAACCCAAUUUUCGAAAGUAUGACGCCCCACAUAUUCUUAUUCUUUUGUCUCAAAAAAAACAUAUUCUUAUUCUUUUGUUUGUACCUUUUAUUUUUAUUUAUUUUCUCUUAUGUUUUUUUUAGUUUCCUUUUUCCUAUUUAGGUUUGUAAAGUAUUCAUCGCACUUUAAAAAAAAUAAAUCAUGUAUUUAAAAAAUGUUAAACAUGUAUAAAAAAAUAUUUUUGAUGUAUAAGAAAAAUGUACAGUGUGUAUGAAAAAAUAGUGAUCAAAACAUGUAUUUGAAGAAAAUGUUAAUCAUCUAUUAAAAUAAUAUUAAACACAAAUAAAUAGGUUUCACAUGUAUAUGAAAAUUGUACAAUAUGUAUGAAAAAAAAGGUCAUCAAAAUAUAUAUUUCACGAAAUUUUAACCAUGUAUUUAAAACAAACCUGUGUAAUCAAUAUUUCAUAUGUAUGCAAAAGAUAUACAAUAUGUAGAAAAAACUAGACAUCAAAACGUAUAUAUGAAAAGAUGUUAAUCAUAUAUUAUAAAAAUGUUAAACAUGUAUAAAAGUAUGUACAAUGUGUAUCACAAAAUGUAGACAUGUGUUGAAAGAAAGUAGGCAUGAAAGAUUUAUUUCAAAAUAAUGUAAUUAUUUAUUUGAAAAAUGUUAAACAUGUAUAAAGAAAUGUUCCUAAUAUAUACAAACAAAUGUAUAAUGUGUAAGAAAAAACAUAGACAGUAAAGCCUAUAUUAAAAUAAUGUUAACCAUGUAUUUAAAAAAGGAUAAACAUAUGCAAUAAAAAUGUCCCUUAUGUAUAAGAGAAAUGUACAUUAUGCGUAAAAAAAGUAGACAAGUGUUGAAAAAAAAAUGAAAAAAAUGGGGAAAACCAACUCUACCCCAAGGGUUCAUGGAGCACAUGUUGAACCUCAAUCAUCCAUCUCUGAUCUGUCCUUGCCCCCAUGAAUCGCAUCGUCGCGGACAUCUUAUAUGCGUGCAGUGUGAUCAGACACCACCCUUACCGAAUUGAUUGCUAAUUGGUACAGGCAAUCACAACAUCUCGGCCUACCAUCAAUAUUAAUACUACUGUGUACCUCAUGCUAGAUGUCCAAAUACAAGCAGAUACGCUAAUUAUGGUGACAAUUUUCAUUUUUCAAUGAAAGUUCUCAUUGAUAACCUAGACAUAUAAAAUCGUUCAUGAGUCAUGUCCAAGGCGGUAGCAUUAGAUAGGCAGGUGUGAACAUGUACAAGGUGCACGCAUGCACACGCAUGGCAUCAUAUAUUCACCAACUACCGCGUCAACGAGCCGACUCCCGCACCGAUGCAUUUCUGCCUUAGGCGCCAUCGGGAAGAAGCCCACCUCAUUUGUCCCACUACCAUCCCUGGGUGGCAUUGUCCAGAGGCUGGUGUGUCGCGCUAGUGAAUGUUGUAAAGGACACGAUAAUUUUCUCUCCCGUUGUAACGCACGGGUAUACACUACUAGAAAAAGGCCUGCUAGUGGCUGUAGUGCACCAUUAGUAUGCCUAGAGGUGCGCCAUUACUAUCUCACUUAGUAAUGGCGCACCACAUAGGAGUGCGUCAUUAGUAACAAUUUUUUUUCAAAUUUUUUUCAAAUUUUUUUAUUUUCGUUUUUUUUUCUUAAUCUCGGAUCACUAUGGCUUAAUCUCGGGUCAAUAUGCUUAAUCUCAGGUCAAAUCACAGUCCGUGGUCAAACCUCCCGAAAGGUCACCCAUCCUCACACUAGCACCAGCUCACUUCACAAGCACUUGUUGAUAUAUCUAGCAUAUCAAUCCUAUUAAACCUUGUUGAUAUUUAGGACUUUGUUCAUGUUCAUGAGUGUGAUGAAAUUUUGAAAAAUUAUUUCAAACUUCCGUUCAUAUUACGUAUCAUAUUUUGAAAAAAAAAUCCCGAAAAAAAAUUUAAAACUAAUUUUUUUUUCUGUUACUAGUGGCGCACCUCGGUGCGCCACUAGUAAGUUUGAAAUUUUUUGAGUUUUUUUGCCUCCAAACCUUAAAAGCCCCGUAACUUUUUUUCUAAUAGGUUUUUGAGGAUCUUGAAGAUGUUUAACAGGGUUCCCCUCGUUAAAUUUGGAUGUGACUUUUCGAGUAGAUGAUUUUUCAUAUAAAAAACUUUUUCAUCCGAGUUAGUAUGCAAAAGUUAUGCCCAUUUUACGAAUUCUCGAGAGAUUUUGCAAAUAAAGUCGAAAUUUGUUUGCAAAUUUUCCCAACAACUAGAUCACAUAUCACAUGGGAAACUUAUUUUCUUUUAUUUUUUUGACAUUUUCAUCAUUUUCUUUUAUUUUUUUAAAAUGAAAAGGCGGUGGGGGGGGGGGUUGCAUUCGCGGGAAUUUUGGGUCAAAAUUACUAAUGGCGCACCGUAGGUGUGGUGCGCCAUUACUAGUUUACUAGUUUAACUAGUAAUGGCGCACCACACCCACGGUGCGCCAUUACUAAAUUUUAAAAAAAAGUUUGAAAAAAAUUUGAAAAAAAAUUACUAGUGAUGCACCAAUACUAGUUAAACUAGUAAUGACGCACUAUCCCCUGGUGCGCCAUUACUAGUUUUGAAAAAAAAAUUGUUACUAAUGACGCACCGUGGAUGUGGUGCGCCAUUAGUAUUUGGAUACUAAUGAUGCACCAACACAUGGUAGUAUAUACUAAUGACGCACCACAUAUCUGGUGCGCCAUUAGUGUCCAUAUCAUCUAUAGCCCUUUUUCCUAGUAAUGAUAUGUGCUAGUAUAUAAAAAGAAUCUAUAAACAACGAGCGGGCGUGGUUCGAACCUGCGAAAAGCCGCGAGAAGCUUCAUGCACUAAACAACUACGCCAUGGCAGGGUUCGCUUUCUAGUUCAGUCGUAAGUCAUUUUAUACUACUAGUAAGCUUGCACGAUGCAACGCACGUCUAGACUAAUACUGUAUCAAAUAUUUAUAGUUCUAAAAAGCAAUCUAUGCAUUGUUUGACCAUUUAUACAAAAAUGAAGAGAUGAUUUGAUGAGUGGGCAAAAAGGGAUCUUCAAACAUCAAACAAGGUUUCCGAGUCAACCAAAACAAAAAUUCAGAAACUAAGAUAACAUCAUCCAUUAGCUGCCAUAAACAUCUCAUCACUUAUCCGCUUUCUCCGCGUCUGCAGCCUUCUUCAUCUGGGCUCCCAACAGGUGCUGGUUCAUCAUCUUAACACGGAGCUUGCCGUAUGCAUGUGCUUCUCGCCGCCACCGUGAGUGAUGGGCAUGUGGUCGCCCUAGACCUCUGGAUGGUUGUAGCAAGGCGGUGCUAGGAUCAAAUCACCAUCCUUGAAGCAACAGAGGUGUAAACACGGAGAAAAAGAAACAUAUCCCAUAGUUGCAAGCACACCUUAGGAAAAUAAAGCUUGCCAGGUUGGCCUUGUAUCUCGAGCCUGUGGACAUUAGAUUGCAUAACCUCGAGUUACAUGUUCUUCUGGUGGUGGUCCAUGAAAAUGCCAAUGGUCGGAACAAGUUUCUUUGGGAUGCCCAUGACCUACAUUUACAGUAUGUAAACAUCAACAAAUAAUAAAAGAAAUCUGUAUAAUAAGCCGGUGUCUCUACAUAUAAUCUCAUGUGGCAUCCUAACCAAAAGUCUGAAAUCUGCCAUUCUGCAAACUGAAGUUUUUGCAUAUUAUCUAGACAUACCAAGUUCAGUGUUGUAAGUUUAGAAAGACACUGCAGAAAAAUUUCAGAACUACUGUCAGUUAUUUUCAUCGAGGCUAUUUUUUUGGCUUUAUCAUUUACCACGUUCCCAUGGGCUAGAAAUAUUCAAAAGGAUACAAUUUUACAAGAACAUCAACGGAUAAUCAGAUAAAUCAUUCUCUGAAGUUCGCAUGACAGAAAUGCCAAUUUCUAACCUAGUUGGAAAAAACUGUGUAUGGUGCAUGAAACGCCCACCUAAAUAUAAUAGAUCAGCAUCGUUAUGUCUAAUAUUUCUGUGCUUUUAUAUAUUAGUUUUUCAAAUUGAACUUUUAAGAGGACAAAUAUUUCAUGGACAGUUAAAAUCCCGUGGCAUUAGAACUGCAUUUGCUCGAUCCUUGAGUGGAUAUCUUCGUUUUUACCUCUUUACCAUCCUAGCUAAAUACAAAUAUUUAGUGGGGGUACUUAGAGAAACAUGCAGAAAAUAGGAAGUAAAUUAUACUCGCAACAAAAGAAAAAGAGAAGAUAAGAGUAAUCUGGACGUGGCAUCAAUAGCAUACCUGGAAAGUAGAGCUGCAGCUAUUUGAGACUGACUAACCAUUUUGCAUUGAGGUUUGCAAAUACAUCACCUCGAUAUUUGAGAAAGGGAACUUAUAAACCUCUGAACCAGGAACAGAUGUUUCAUUAAGAUUUAACAAUAACAGCAGAAACCCUGCACCAAAGAAACAAUUCCAAUGCAAUGAGAUAAACAAUUCUGAUGCACCUGUUCAUAUAGUAAACAUGCACGUGCAACGCACGUAUCAUAAUCUAUUUACCGAGUCAUAUAAAUGUUUCUCAUGCCAACCAUGUGAGCAUAUCAUAAUCUAUUUACCGAGUCCUAUAAAUGUUUCUCAUGCUAACCAUGUGAGCACGCAUAUAACACACGAUCCACACACGUCUUAAAUGUAUGACCAACGGGAGUAACACAUCCUUGCAUGCCUCAAGCAACCCAUCCGUGUUGCCACCAAUGGUAUAAAAAUAGUUAUUCUGCUUCCGUUCAAUAGAUUUUCAAAGACGAUCUGAUGAUUGGCAAGCACAAACUAUAGUUUUCACUGCGAAUAAGAAUGAACAAGAAACGUGCAAUAUUUUCGCAUGAUGAUGAAGCGCUAAGGGCUAGAAGUUCUGGCCACCAUGGUUUCCUUAUUUGAUGUACCAUGUUAUAAAACAUAUAAAUUUGAUACUCCUUAAUAUAAGAACGCUUUUCAAUCUAUGGGACGAAGGGAGUAAUAUAUAUAGUAAAAUAAUGCAUAACACAAAUCGUUGUAAUGCAAAGAGAUAUGAUAAGUUCAUUCUGUUUUUGGACAGCUUUUCUCAUAGCUCCUCUGCACCUUGCUCUCUUACUUUGAACAAAAAUGCAAUUCGGACACAUGAAACAUCAUGCAGUCUAUUCACAAAUUUUAAUUUAGAAAUUAUUUUCAAAUAAAAUAGUGCCUUAGGUCAUCUGAAAAAUGAAAUAUCUAGAAAUAUAUCUUCAAUUUAUUUUCAGUUUUGGUAUGCCCGAAGUUACAAAACCAACUCUUUAUCCAAGUACAAUUCCAGCAAAAAUAUCGGCAUAGCAACCUGGACAUCCAACCAUGUGCCAUUGACGAUAUAGGGCAUGGAGCACGACAGCCAUAGGGCGAGGCACUAUUAACCAAGCAUGUUAGAAGAUUAGGCCGAAACCCAAAAUGCACUACAAUAGACAACACUUGUAAGUUUACAUACGAGCUUUUGUUUGGUGAACACAGAAACACUUAACACGUCUAUUCCCGGGCAAAAUACUUUGUUCCAUGCUCUCAACCGCUCAUAGCAAAAUCACAGCAACUUAAAGCCUUGGUGUAAAUGCAACACACUGAUAACCACCGACAAUAUUAUCAGCUAGAUCAACGGAAGAUAUUUACAAACAGUAUAGCAUGAACAGAGAACAUCCAGAGCAAAGGGGAAGAAAUGAGAGGGGGGAGAAGAGGCUUACAACCAAGUUUCGUCUCCGGCGAUGGCAGCGAGGGUGGCGGCAACAACUACUGAGGGACAGAUCGAAGCAUGCGUCUCCUCCGCCCACAAGAGCUGCAGGCUUACCUACACCUCUGAAAUUGUUAACAGGGCUUAAUUUGUAAAGCCUUUGCCAAUCGCCCAAGAAUCAAAACACCAGGGCUCAAGAAAACAACAUGAAAAAUAGAUUGAAGCACACGUACAAAUGAGGCUGCAGCAGAAUUUUUCAGAGAUGAAGGGGACCUUCAGUGCACAAUAGACCGAUGAAGGACCUGAAAAUUACAAAACAUAUAAGACUUUAUUAUUGAUAAUCGUUGCAAUUAUGGCGUUCUCAGUACUCUGAAUGUGUAGCAAACCUCUGAAUUAUGUAUCGUAGUACAGUCGUACAUAUUUUUCAAGACAAAUAGCACUUCUCAAGUAUUAAAAAGUGAAACUCAGGCUUUUGGCAUGUAUACAUACCAAUUUCAAGAAAAGGAGCGGUACAGCAAGUACGAAAAAGUGAUAUGCAAAUGCCAACUGUAAGCAUCAGAGUAGGUUUUCAGAAUUGCUUUGAUUAGUUAGGCUCAAAACAGCAGUUCUGAUAAUUAAUUUCUAUGGUUUACAGAAGUAAAUGCUAGGGCGCUAUUCCUCCACUGUUUCUCGGGCAAGUACAGUCGAAACUGAACGGAGGUGUAACAUAAACUGCGCCAUCUGAGUGCAGAACUUUGUUUCUGGAGUCCAUGCCGAAGCAUUCACUUGUCUCUUGCAAAACAACAAGGCCGGGCAAAAUACCUUCAGAUGAGUCAAAUACCCCAUGAACAUCCAUCUUUUGUCGUUCGUAAGUGGGAUUUGUGUGCGGCCAAUCAAUAUGACCAUCUGUCUGCAUAGAUGACGCACUGCAUGGCAUAUGGCUGACAACAGAUUGUGCUGUUUGAAGAUAAGCAAUACCUACAGAAAGACAGUGCAUCAUAUGGCUUUCAUAUGGUUGAAGAUGAGCAAUACGUACAGAAAUAUGGUGCAUCAUAUGGUGCUAGAAAAUAUUUGUUGAAAUUACCAGGUGAUACUUGGACGCUAGUGGUAGCAGCUUUCUUUUCUAGUCGAGCGAAGUGCUCUGCUCUCUCCUCGUCGGAUAGACGUGAAUACCACGUUUCAGAGCUUCGUUUUUUGCGCCCAAGAGCGACAUCUUCAGAUGGAUGGUCGGUAUAAGCCGAGGUUGCAGCUGCAUCUAUGAUACGUAUGAUAGGUUAGUCUCUCAAUAUAGUAGUGUAGCAUAGAAUAUUGAAAUAGUAGUCAGAAUAUUAAAAUUGCAGCAUGUAAAGAUAAAGAACGAACCGGUUGUGUUUGAGUUGGCUAUGUUGCUCAAAGGGGUUCGUGGCACAUCCGGUGAUGAAGAAGCAUGUGUUUGAGAGACCUCCUUAGGGUUAAUACUAAUGACAGAUGUAGCCUUCUUGUGUGCUUGGGCCAUACGCCGCUUCUGGUUGUACUCCACUCUCUUCUCAUCGGACAUUUGUGCAUACCAAUUUUUACCACUUUUUGGUUUUUCAACAUCUUGAUUUACAACUGAGUUGGUUAUGUUGCUCAAAGGGGUUCGUGGCACAUGCAGUGACGAAGAAGAAUCUGCUUGAUUUGCAGUCUCCUGAGUAGGUGUAUUCGUCGGAUCUUUACAUGGGGAACGAUCCCCUGAUUGUAACGCAUGCGGACAAUGAUUCCUCAUCUGUGGCAUGAAUGGGAAACAUCGUACAUCAUUAGAAAUAUUCAUGCAAUAUUGAGAAGCUCAAUUCUUAAAUGUUGCAAACAAAGUAAGCAGAAUCUCAAGUAAAUAUGAAUAUGUGAUGAAAAGGAUAUGUGGCUUGAAUGGGAAACAUCGUACAUCAUUGAAAUAUUCAUGCAAUAUUGAGAAGCUCAAUUCUUAAAUGUUGCAAACAAAGUAAGCAAAAUCUCAAGUAUAUAUGAAUAUGUGACAUAAAGGACCUUAGAUGCAGCACAUGCUGAUGAGUGGCAAUAUUCUGUACCUGUAGAAAUAUGUGACAAAAAGGACCUUAGAAUCUUGAAACAUAUUAGCUUGCACAAAUGUUAGAAAAAAAGAACUAAAAUUCAAGAAAGCGACUGGUUAAGAGUAGAGGCUUCAGAAGAUGUUGCGGAGGUGUGGAAGAAGGUAAUACUCAAAAAUAGAAUUUUUUAGGUCAAAUCAAGUUGCAUAUCUAACUGGAGAUGAAAGGUUUAAUGUCACGAGUGUACCACGCAGAGCGCAUCUAUUUUGCAAGCAGAGAGGCUGCAGGGUGCCUUUUAUGCAUUCAACAGAAGGACUAUGUAGAUGCAUCAUUUUUCACGUCCUAUAUUCACCAUCCGCCUCUUCCAUUUUGUCUCUCCACUGCCUCCUCUCAACCCAUCCCGGUAAGCCCCACCUUCGCCUCACGGUGCGCAAACCUUCGUGAUCUACCAUUCAUUUGAAAAUAGAUCUACCUUUCAUGUCAACAUAUAAUGCUUGCUCACAGCCCAUGACUCAAUCUCUUGAAACAACAAAACACGUGGUUUUUUUUAUUUGAGUAGUUGUCACAAAACAAAACAUCGCUGCCGAUACUAUUGUGGAUAACCCAAUAUAGCAAAACUUAGGCAACUUCAGGAGCAUAGCAACACAAUGGGAUGGGAAGGUAAGCAACAAAACUUCAAAAUAUGAGUUGCUUGGACUACAAAUUUCCGAAAUCCUCACUAAUUCAAUAUGUCCUCAUAAAUUUCAGGAAUCCUGAUGGCAGAAUAUGAAAUUGGUUUUGGUCUUUUGAGUAUAGAAACUUACUUGCGACUCCGGCGGAGUGGCGGCGUGGCGGUGUGGCGGCGUGGCGGAGGCGGCGACCCGCGGCNNNNNNNNNNNNNNNNNNNNNNNNNNNNNNNNNNNNNNNNNNNNNNNNNNNNNNNNNNNNNNNNNNNNNNNNNNNNNNNNNNNNNNNNNNNNNNNNNNNNNNNNNNNNNNNNNNNNNNNNNNNNNNNNNNNNNNNNNNNNNNNNNNNNNNNNNNNNNNNNNNNNNNNNNNNNNNNNNNNNNNNNNNNNNNNNNNNNNNNNNNNNNNNNNNNNNNNNNNNNNNNNNNNNNNNNNNNNNNNNNNNNNNNNNNNNNNNNNNNNNNNNNNNNNNNNNNNNNNNNNNNNNNNNNNNNNNNNNNNNNNNNNNNNNNNNNNNNNNNNNNNNNNNNNNNNNNNNNNNNNNNNNNNNNNNNNNNNNNNNNNNNNNNNNNNNNNNNNNNNNNNNNNNNNNNNNNNNNNNNNNNNNNNNNNNNNNNNNNNNNNNNNNNNNNNNNNNNNNNNNNNNNNNNNNNNNNNNNNNNNNNNNNNNNNNNNNNNNNNNNNNNNNNNNNNNNNNNNNNNNNNNNGGAGGAGGUCGUGCGGGGGGCGGGUUUUUUUUGACUGCGGGACGAUUUUUAGUGCGGGGCGAUUAGCGAUCGAUUGUGGCUUGUUGCGUGGUUGGUAGCGUUAAACACAGAAUGAUUAAGGGCCAUUAGAUUUUGAUGAUGGAAGGGUGGGAUUGUUUGGAUCUGCCCUUCUAUUUUUUUUAUAGCGGUAGUAGAUACGUCAAAUGCUGGGCCGGCGGUUGGGCUGAGCGAGGCCUGCAAUUUUUUUUGUUUCGUGUUUUCUGGCCCUCGUUCGUUUCCCAGGUUUCUUUUCGUUUCUUCAUCUUUUUUCGUUCAAUGAAAUUGAUCAUUUUUGUAAUAUAUGUUAAUUUUUUUUCUUAAUAUAUGUUACAAUUUUUUUCAACAUACAUUAAGAAUUGUUUUUCAACUUACAUUGAUCAUUUUUGUAAUAAAUGCAAAUUGAUAAUUUUUGUAUUAUAUGUUGAACAAAUUUCUUAUUAUAUCCACCAUAAAUUUCAAAAGUUCACCGUGCAUUAUGUAAAAUUUUGUUCAACAUAUAUUUAUCAUUUUUUAAUAGAUGCAAAAUGAUCAUUUUUUCUUACUUUUACACAGGCCAUAUUAAAUAGAAUUAUCUUUGAGAAAAAUAUCAGUUUGGUAAACAUGCAGAUUACUACAUGUGUUAUUUUUUGUCAAAUAGAAAUAUGAACCCAAGUAUGAAACUUUCAGUGUUUUAAAACAGUUCAAUAUAUAGACGACAAACAGUUUUAUAAUACAAAAAAAGUUCAUUGUAUAUUUAUAUAAAAUCAUUGUGUAUAAAAAAUGUUCAAUGUUCAGUGUGUAUUUACAAAAAAUAUUGCAGAAUAAAAAGUUCAUUAUAAAUUUAAAAAAUGUUAUGAUCAUUUUGCAUCUAUUAAAAAAUGAUAAAUAUAUGUUGAAUAAAUUUUACAUAAUGCAUGGUGAAUAUUUAUUACAGAAAUGUUCAAUAUAAGUUAAAAAAAUUCUUAAUAUAUGUUGAACAAUUUGAGUAACAUAUAUUAAGAAAAAAAAAUGAAGAAACGAAAAGAAACCUGGGCAACGAACGAGCCCCAGCAAAAUGCUAAACGAAAAAAUUAUUACAGGCCUCGGUUCGCCCAAUCACAGGUCCAGCGUUUGGUUAUUGGUAUAAAGAAAAUCCUGCCUGCAUUCAAAUGCGAGCAUCCGUGUGGCCUGGUGGCUAGCGCGCUCGGCUUGCGUGUUGCUGGUCGCGGGUUUGAAACCCGCUGACGCGCGGUUUUUUGUUUAUUUUAUUUACUAGCAACAAUGCUCGUGCGUUGCAACGGGAGAAAAACAAUAUCAUAGGACAUACUGCAAUAAACAUGACCCAAUAAUAUGUGCAUGCCCUAAUAUUUGAACAUAGGUACCCAUAUGUAUCGUUCACUUCAGAAAAAACGUGUUAUGGCACUGCUAAUAGAACGUUAUAGCAUUCUGAGUAAUGUCUCACUAAUAGCACGCUAUUGUUGCUUAUCCUCCUUGUCUCGCCGACCAGUGGUCAUGGUAUACACUUGCAAAUAUAACAAAUGUACCUCACUACAUCUACGGUGAAUCAAGGAACUUCUAUAAUUGACAUGAGCAGAUGAACAAUAUAUGCUCACCUAAAGGAACAAAGUUAGGUCCAUUUAGAUGCUACCUCCAAGUUAAUAUGCCAUAGCGUCACACCUUGUGAAAGGAACAUUGCGUUAAACCGUGAGCCACAAACAGUCUAGUUUAUUGACAUAAUUAAAGUAAUUAAUUAUUUUAUUUGUUCCAGAACCUAUGCAAGGUAGCCAACCGUUGCAGACCUCUCUUCCCUAUAAAUAAUUCAAAGUAGACAGAAUUUUUGAGCAAAAAGUCUAGUUUAUUAACAUAAUUAGAGUAAAUUAAUUAUUUACUUGAUCCAGAACCUAUGCAAGGUAGCCAUUCAUCGCAAACCGUUCCUAUAAAUAAUCCGAAGAAGACAAAUUACCAAGUUUUGGGAAAGCAAAUUACCCUUGAAACGGUGCCAUUAUAAAUAAUUCUCGAGUGGUUGCUUGUUUAUUUUUGAUGAAAUGCAACGGGCACCACUUUUCAUUCGUUAAGAGGGAAACAGACAAGUUACAGAGUAUAUAGGCCAUUGUAAAGUGACCGAAACAGAAGAGAAAAGGCAAACACUAUUAGUUACAAGCUAGAAGGUUCACUGCAGACCAUAAGACGACUACCCCAUCCAUUUCACUCCUUUCAUUCCCUACAUGAAGGAAGGCUCAGAGCUCUUCCGAGAUUGAGGUGAAUCAUUAACCCACAUGCCACUGCUAUCUAAAAUAAAGAUCAAUGGAACCAAUGUUUUGUUGGGUUUGACACUAAUUAUAAAAAUUAUUAACGUGCAUGAUAAUAGCAUAUUUAGAAUCUACACAUUUUUCUAAUGGAUUUUCAUAUAUGACAUGUUAGAUUCGGAGUUAGGAUUUAAAAGGUAUGAAUAUUUUUAAAAGUAUUUGAUCUUUUAAAAAAAGAAAAGAAAAAGGUUUAAAGCGGGUUCGAACCAGCGAUCUCCAAUGUGGUAGCCAAAGGCCCCAACCACUGGGCUACAUGCAUAGCUGUUCUACUAGAUGGGAUUCCAACCUAUUGACCUAAGCUGACCGCGGCAAAAUAAAUAUAAGAAACAAAACGUAUUUUUCUACUUACCAGUGGCAUGGUGGGUAAUUAUUCACAACUUCAGGGGUAAUUUAGAUGACGGACGACUAGAAACACUAUUUGCUUUAUUAUUAAAAAAAUAGAGAUCUGUGCAGUUCGAGGAAAACUUUCAAAUAAGUCCGAACGAAAAAAAUCUCUCAUUGAAACCUUUUUCCCACAAAAAUAAUGGGUUUUUAUGUGAUUACGUAUAAAACAAGGAGUUUUCUGCAAAAAAUAUGCCACCUCGGCACCUGACAGACGGCCCCAACUGUCAGAUACAAUGUUAAUACACGUUUAUACGCAGUUUAGACCUAUUUACAACGGCCUGGCACAAUGUUUUUUUUGAUAGAAACACUGUAAGGGAACCCCUACAGUAUAAUUGGUGCAACAAACCCAAAUUGCAAGUACCAUGCCUUGAACCUGGGUGGGUGGGAAGGCAUCAACCCCUUCCCACCACUAGGCUAUGCCUUAGUCUGCGGCCUGGCAUAAUGUUGGGACUGACAUGUAAAAAUUAGCAAAUUUUGGUACAAUCUGCAUGUGAUGCCCCAAUUAUGAUACUUUUAUGCAAUUAACUUUGUGGUUGUCCGUCACCGCAUGCAUGUGGGGAUGUAGGAUUCUCACCUCGUUUCUCGUCGCCGUGAGAGCAACUCCAGUGGGGUGACCCAAACGGACACAGAUUUUGUCUAGUUGGGUCGCCCGUCCGCCUAGCGGACAUGGGACGGACACGCACGGUUCGUGGAUGUAACCAACGCGCCGCUAGUGGAUGACCCAAAGCGGACAAGCGAGAUGCACUGGGAUCGUAGGAUAUUGAGAUGGGCCGGCAGAGUCGACGGCCAGCUCGGCGCCGCGGAAAGGGCAGGCGCAACGCGAUAGGCCCGAGCACGCUGAGGAGCUCGCCGCACGGCAACCUCGCCCCGCCCGCGUCCGCUGCGCCGCGCAGAAGGGGCAGCGCCCUUCGCCGGGGGGAGCGACUGCAGCGUGGCGUGGUCGGGACAGACGCGAGCGUGGCGAGCUCGCCCCGCCGGCGUGGCGAAGUAGGCGACCUCCCACCCCUGCUUCCACGCGUCACCGUCCACGUCGUCGAACUAGAUCCGGUAGAGGUCGUGGCCGGUCCUAGCGGCGACGACGGACGCGGGGGCGGGCGGGGGACGACGCGGGGGCGGACGAGGGACGGCGCCGCGGACCAGGAGGAGGGGAAGCCAGGGANNNNNNNNNNNNNNNNNNNNNNNNNNNNNNNNNNNNNNNNNNNNNNNNNNNNNNNNNNNNNNNNNNNNNNNNNNNNNNNNNNNNNNNNNNNNNNNNNNNNNNNNNNNNNNNNNNNNNNNNNNNNNNNNNNNNNNNNNNNNNNNNNNNNNNNNNNNNNNNNNNNNNNNNNNNNNNNNNNNNNNNNNNNNNNNNNNNNNNNNNNNNNNNNNNNNNNNNNNNNNNNNNNNNNNNNNNNNNNNNNNNNNNNNNNNNNNNNNNNNNNNNNNNNNNNNNNNNNNNNNNNNNNNNNNNNNNNNNNNNNNNNNNNNNNNNNNNNNNNNNNNNNNNNNNNNNNNNNNNNNNNNNNNNNNNNNNNNNNNNNNNNNNNNNNNNCGUGUCGCCCCCUUAAUUGGGCUUGUUGUUCGCUAAUUUUUUCUGUUAGACAAGUGACCGUGGGUUGUUUCGCCCCCCUGUCCCUGUGUCGUUUGUUAACGUGAAGCCAUACAGGUACAUGGCCCAAAACAGUGAGUAGCAUUGCAGCCCAUCACAAAAGAUAAAGGGCUAGUAGCAGGCUAGCAGCAGUCGUUCUCUCAAAAAUAAAAAGUGACCUGUGUACACAUAAAUGAGGCACGUACACACAGGCCGCUAUAAUCGCUAGUUUCCAAACUGCCUCCUUCAAUCUAGCGUCACACCUGUACCUUGCCUUGCCUGCUAUCGAUCUUUUCGUGAUUCCGUCGCAUCGCCGUCAAGAGAAGCGAAGAAGGGAAGGGGACGACCGCGGGUGAGCACCGAUCCGGUCCGGAUGAGCCAUGAGUGGCAACAAUCCGAAGGAAAAAGGUUAUUGUUUAAUACCCUACGAGAAUUAGAUCAGUUCUUGUUUUGUCCUUUCCAAACUGUAAUCUUUCUCCGAGUGCCACUAUUCUUUGAUUGCUUCCAUAAAUUGCUUGAUUUUUGGUGUUCUGGCUUUGUAAUUAGGUCGAAUCUGUGAGGCGAUCCCAUCAAUUACAGGGAAAUUAAUGAGAUUUUGUAAUGUGUUAUCUACCACAUUGUAUUAUUGGUAAUUAUUAGUUUGUAAGAUUAUCUUGUGUUUCUAGAGUUGUGAAUUUGUUUUUGCCAUUAAAAAAGAAUUUGUAAUGUCUUUGUAGAAUUUUUUUUGUCAUGUGAAUGGAAUUAAGAAAUAAAAUUGGGCAUGGUUGCACACGGCGUUUCCUUUAGACCAGACCCUAAAAUUUUCUACCAAAACAUAGUAGUUGCCCAUGAACUUAGUGUGAAACCUCCUCCCCCCCCAUGCCGAAAUCUGGCUCCGUCCCUGGGGGAAGCCUAGGCGGAGGAAGACGAGGAGGGAGAGAAAGAAGAAGAAGGCGGCGGCGAGCUGGAGGACGCGGCGGGAGGAGGAGGAGGAGGCGGAGGCGGGGUGGGGCCCGGUGAUAUUCCUGGGCGCGUAUCCUCGCUCACUGAUAUGUGGGUUCGGGGCCGGACACGAGAAGGCAGGAAUGGAUGAGAGCGGACGACCACACGCCGGCUUUUGUCCGCCACAGACCCAUUUGUGGCCCAAUUUUGGGUUUAGUUUGGGUCGGGAUGAAUGACAAACGGACAACAGGUGGACAUGCGUGUUCGAUUGGGUCGUCCCAUUGGGCCAAGUAUUGUGCCCGGAUGACCUAAAUGGACAAAAUGGGUCGCCCUUUCUGAGUUGGGCCAUCUUACACUAUCCCCCAUAAGAAAGGUUUUUUAUUUUUUUCGAUUGAUUAGAAGGAGGGCAAAGAAGCCGGUUACAGGUUGCAAGCUAGCGCAAAAGCCAGCGAGCAGGGCCAAACAACACGAACGAAAAAACAAAACGAGCCAAGAGGCUAGAGAGCCAGACACCAAAUCCUAUUCUUGCAGCAACAAGUGCCGGCUACCGACCAGCGCCCAAUCGCGUGCCUCCUCUAGGAGGAGGUGCAGCACCUGCCUUGUCGAACGUUCGACGCCGCCAUCGAAGAUGCGAGCAUUACGCUCCUUCAAGGUCCACUACAAUGUCAACAGGGCCACCGACCGUGCCAAUCUUGUCGAAGUCGGGCCGCCACUCAACUCGCUGAACGUUCGAGAGGGGGGGAGUUACUCCAUGCAGCUGGCUGGAUCUCUGGGAUGCCAAAUCGGUCGGCCACCUGCACCCAUAGAUGCCACGCCCAUGGGCACUCCAUGGCCAAGUGCACUGCCGUCUCCAGGCUGCGAUAGCAUAGCGGGCAAAAAUAGGAGUUUGGCCAUUGUCGAGCCAGCAGCCGGUCAGCCGUCAGGAUCCGCCUCUGGGUGAGCAGCCAGGCAAAGAGGCGGCACUUUACCGGCACCCAUGCCUCCCAGAUUUCCUUCUCGAGUGGGAAGAAAGUUGAGCCUAUGAAGAACAGCCGAUACGCCGUUAUCUCUAUACGUACACUAUUAAUGUAUUAUAUUGAUGUCACCGGCAUGUUGUCAGUCCAGCUACCGUAUCGCAUCGCAUAGCUGAACGUACCUGGCUUGAUUGUACUCCCUCCGGUCCUUUUUACUCUGUAUAUUAGGUUUGUCUGAAGUCAAUCUCAUCCAACUUUGACCAAGUUUAUAUAAAAAAUUAUAGACAUUCACAUAACAACACCAAUAUCAUUAGAUUCAUCUUGGAAUAUAUUUUCAUAUUAUAUUUAUUAAAUAUUAUAGAUGCUAAUAAUUUUUAAUAAAAAUUUGGUCAAACUUAGCAAAGUUUGACUUUCGGCAAAACCAAUGUGCAGAGUAAAAAGGACCGGUGUUGGUUGGCCUAAGGUCUUAUGCCGCGCGCUUGCAGCUGAGUCGUAUGUGUUUAAGUUCUGUUUUCUUAUUUAAAGGGCAUGAAGCCUGAAUCAUGAAGGUCUAACUUUUGUCCUUGUUUGGUGUGUUUUUUUGGUGUUGAGUUUGCUCAUUUUGGGUUCUUUUUUGUGUUGGCAGGAUGUUUGCCGUGAGUUGUUCUUAUGUGCACAUGUUAGAUGUCGUUGCCUCACGGUGUCGUUUGCCCUUUCAUUCGUACUUACGAGAGGUCAUGGUUGAUUGGGUCGUAAUCGGAGGGGUGGAAACAGAGGUCCAUGUCCCUGGAAGCGAUGCCUUCACUGUGAGGAGGUUUUUCUGGACCCAGGACGGUGUGGGGUAUCUUUCUCUUUACAAUGAUGUCGCUUUCUAGGCCAUUUGUUUUUUACAGGCUUUGUAUGGGUUCGUUGUCUUGGAUUACAACUACCAUAGUAUGAUGACCUAUCGAGAGCUUGCACGCUCCGCGGUUGUUUUAGCAGCCUCGCUUGUUCGAUCUUCGGGUUCUGUUGUUGGUGGUGAUGUAUCUGCUGCUUUGGGUGAUGUCGAUGCUGCUUCACGGCGGCAGAUGCUACAUGCUGGGUUGAUGUCUACAGCCUGCAGCUUCUAGAUAUACUUCAUGGAUAGGUUGUGUUAUCUUUGGGGUUGUUAGCUGGUAGUUGUUUCUUUACUGAGUCUGGUUGGUCUACAUUCAGAUCGUUGUGUAUGUACACUAUGAUACAUGCCUGUUUGUAACGACGUGUGGAUGGUAGUUGUUCCUUUAUUCAAUAUAAUUCCUAUCCUUUGCCUGAUUAUGUUGCUGGUGCAUGUGUAUGAUGUAGUAUACUUUCUAUACUUGAGUGCCUGACGUUAUGCUGUGUACAGUUACAUGGGUCCAGCUUCUUAUUGAAAGGAUCGAGAAGAGGUGUCCAGAGGGGGGUGAUUAGACACUAAGUAAGAAAAGGUGCAGUUUUUAAUUUCUUUAAGUUGAAGUGGAGUUUUGGCACAAGUUUAACAAUCACAAUACAUAUCAAGCAAGCAUGCAAAGAGUAUAUGAGUAGCGGAAAGUAAAGCAUGCAACUUGCAAGAAUGUAAAGGGAUGGGAUUGGAGUGUGCAAACGCAAUUUGGAGACACGGAAAUUUUUGAGACGUGGUUCCGAUAGGUGGUGCUAUCGUACAUCCACGUUGAUGGAGACUUCAACCCACGAAGGGUAACGGCUACGCGAGUCCACGGAGGGCUCCACCCAGGAAGGGUCCACGAAGAAGCAACCUUGUCUAUCCCACCAUGGCCGUCGCCCACGAAGGACUUGCCUCACUAGGGUAGAUCUUCACGAAGUAGGCGAUCUCCUUGCCCUUACAAACUCCUUGGUUCAACUCCACAAUCUUGUCGGAGGCUCCCAAGUGACACCUAGCCAAUUUAGGAGACACCACUCUCCAAGAAUUAACAAAUGGUGUGUUGAUGAUAAACUCUUUCUCUUGUGCUUUAAAUGAUAGUCUCCCCAACACUCAACUCUCUCUCACAGGAUUUGGAUUUGGUGGAAAGAAGAUUUGAGUGGAAAGCAACUUGGGGAAGGCUAGAGAUCAAGAUUCAUAUGGUUGGAAUGGAAUACCUUGGCAUUAACACAAGUGUAGGUGGUUCUCUCUCAGAAAAUGUAUGCUGGAAGUGUAGGCACGUUCAGAUGGCUCUCUCUUCGAAUGAAGAGUGGGUGGAGGGGUAUAUAUAGCCUCCACACAAAAUCUAACCGUUACACACAACUUACCAAUCUCGGUGGGUCCGAAUUGAGAAACUCGGUCGGACCGAUUCAGCAAAUGAUGUGACCGUUAGGAUUCUCAGUGGGACCGACAUGCAACUCGGUAGGACCAAUAUGGUUAGGGUUAGGACAUAAUGUAAUCUCGGUGAGACCGAUUACACAACCUCGGUGGGACCAAUUUUGGUGAUCAGCUAACUAGAGAGUUGGUCAGGCAAACUCGGUGGGACCGAUUCGCUCACCUCGGUUGGACCGAAAUGUUACGAAGAGGAACAAAGAGUUUGCAUUGUAAUCUCGGUAGGACCGAUUACACAAACUAGGUAGGACCGAUUUUGGUAAUAGACAUACACAGAGAGAUUACAAUCCCAUCUCGCUAAGACCGAGAUCCCUAUCGGUGAGACCGAUUUGCCUAGGGUUUGUGGCAGUGGCUAUGACAUCUGAACUCGGUGGCGCCGGAUAGGAAGAAUCGGUGGGGCCGAAUUGGACUUUUGGUUUGGGUCAAAUGUGGAUGUGAGAAGGUAGUUGAGGGCUUUGGAGCAUAUCACUAAGCAUUUUGAGCAAGCAAGCCAUUAAGCAACACCUCAUCCCUUCUUGAUAAUAUUGGCUUUUCCUAUAGACUCAAUGUGAUCUUGGAUCACUAAAAUAGAAAAUGUAGAGUCUUGUUGUUGGAGCUUGAGCCAAUCCUUUGUCCUUAGCAUCUUGAAGGGGUUCCACAUCCUCUAGUCCAUGCCACUUCAUUGUUGAACUUAUCUUAAACAUACUAGGUAAAAGUGUUAGUCCAACAAGAGAUAUGUUGACAUUAAUUACCAAAACCACCCAGGGAGCACUUGUGCUUUUAAUCUCCCCCUUUUUGGUAAUUGAUGGCAACAUACAUCAAAGCUUUAGAUAAAGAUAUAGAGAAUAACCAGUAAAGCUUUGGAAGGACAUGUAACAUGCAUAGGCUCCCCCUACAUGUAUGCAAUCAUGUAAAUAUGAAAUAUACACUAGUAGAAAAAGGGUCAAAUCUGAGACAUAUUAGUCCCGGUUUGCAUUUGAGCCGGCACUAAUGUGUCCAUUAGUGCCGGUUCCAACGGCUAGCCGGCCGCUCUCAUUAGUACCGGUUCGUGGCGAGCCUUUAGCACCGGUUCGUGCCACGAACCGGUACUAAAGAGUGUGGUGGCAGGAUGUUGUCAGUCUGGGGCCCCUCCAGCACCUUUAGUACCGGUUCGUGGCACAGACCGGUACUAAAGGUCGUCGUACAUAAACCCUUCGUCCACCCGAGCUCACUCUGUUCUUCCCCUUUCCCCUCUCCUCCUCUGUUCUUCCCCUCUCUUCCUCGAGCUCAUCACACAUUUUGCCUAAAAUUAGUCAAGAUUUGAAGGCCCCCAUCCAUUCAAAUGAUCACAAAGGUUAGCAACUUUGUCCUUUCAUCUCCCAUUGCUAGAUUAGCUCUUGCAAUGCUUUGUAUAGUGAUUAAUUUGUGAGUUUAGUAAUUUUGGAGGAAUUAUAUGUGCUGGUAUUUUAUUUAUAUGGAAUUUGAGGUCAAAAAUAACACUUAGUUUGCAUAUGUAGGUGUGGUUUACUUAGUGCCUUCUAAAUCUCCGUCGUAACCACCGUCGAUCGCCCGCACUGUCCCGUCGCUCGCACCACCUUGUGGUGGGGCUCUUGUUCAUGAAUGUUUUACAUACCAAAUUGAUGUUUGUGUGAUUUGGAUAUAUAUAGUUACUCAUAUAAUUAUCUUACCCGUACGUUGUUUGUUAUACAUAGUGCCAUGGUUUUGAUAUCCGUCCCUGUCGGCCUUCGUCCUUGUUAUGAUUCGGAUGUGGUAUAUUCUCUUUUAGAACUAGCUGUUGCAUUUCGUAUUUAUGACAAAUUAUGCCCAUCAAGUUGAGAUAGAUAUUUUUAUCUAGGAGGUAUGUGAACCGGAAAUUCCAACUGACCCUAUUGUCUAGAGGUUAAAUUUAGUUGAAAGAGAAAACGAGUAUUUGAAAGAAAAAUUGAAAAGAAUUGAGGGGGAGAAGAUGGAAUUGGAGUUGCAUGUUGCCGAUGUCGUCGAUGAUCACAAGAUCAAGAUGGAGAAAAUGCGGUUGAAGAUUAGAAAGAUUAGAAAAUAUGCCAUUGAUAGUGUGUCUUGGUAUCAUUAUGCUGUUGGAUCAAUUGUUACCUUAGUUGCGAUCUUGAUAGCAUUUGUUGUUGCAUUUAAAUUAUUUAGCUAGAGAGUUAUUUGUAUGUUGCAUUUAAUUAAGUGUUGUAUAUGAACUUUAUGUAUGAACUUGUAUUAAUUUGGUCUAUUCGGUGUUGUGUAAUGAAGAUGAGCCGACAAUGGAUGUAUGAUGACCGAUGCUCUCCCGAGUUCAUUAAGGGCGUGCAUACUUUUCUGCUUGCCGCUGAGGCAAACAAGCAGGCGGAUGGUUUUAUGCCUUGUCCAUGUGCUGGCUGUAAGAAUGGUCACACUUAGUCUACGUCAAGAAUCAUUCACGUCCACCUAUUUGAGUCCGGUUUCAUGCCCCACUAUAAUGUUUGGACCAAGCACGGAUAAAGAGGGGUUAUGAUGGAAGACAAUGAAGAAGAAGAGGACGACGACAUCUAUCCUGGCCAUGGGUUCCCUGAAUGCGAUGAUACAACAAUGGGGAAGAAGCUGAGCCGGCAAUGCGGGAAGAAGCUGAAGAAGAGGCAUCAGAUGAGCCCGCUGAUGAUCUAGGUCGGGCCAUUGCCGAUGCAAAGAGAAACUGCGCAAGUGAUUUGGAGAAGAAGAAGUUGCAGCGCAUGUUAGAGGAUCACAAGAAAUUGUUGUACCCGAAUUGCGAAGCUGACAAAAAAAAGUUGGGCACCACACUGGAAUUGCUGCAAUGGAAGGCAAAGAAUGGUGUAUCUGACAAGGGAUUUGGAAAGUUGCUGGUAAUGAUAAAGAAUAUGCUUCCAAAGGACAACGAAUUGCCCGAGAGUACGUAUGAAGCAAAGAAGGCUGUCUGCCCUCUAGGGUUAGAGGUGCAGAAGAUACAUGCAUGCCCUAAUGACUGCAUCCUCUACCGCGGUGAGUACGAGGAUUUGAACGCUUGCCCGGUAUGCGGUGCAUUGCGUUAUAAGAUCAGUCACGAUGACCCUGGUGAUGUCGAGGGCGAGCGCCCCAGGAAGAAAAUUCCUGCCAAGGUGGUGGUAUGCUCCUAUAAUACCACGGUUGAAAUGUUUGUUCCAAAACAAAGAGCAUGCGAAGGCGAUGCAGUGGCACGGAGAAGACCGUAAGAAAGACGGAAAGUUGAGAGUACCGCUGACGGUUCGCAGUGGAGAAAAAUCGAGAGAAAGUAUAGGGAGGAGUUUGCAGGUGACCCAAGGAACGUAUGGUUUGGUCUAAGCGCAGAUGGCAUUAAUCCUUUUGGGGAGCAGUGCAGCAACCAUAGCACCUGGCCUGUGACUCUAUGUUUGUAUAACGUUCCUCCUUGGUUGUGCAUGAAGCAGAAGUUCAUUAUGAUGCCAGUGCUCAUCCAAGGCCCAAAGCAACCCGGCAUCGACAUUGAUGUGUAUCUAAGGCCAUUAGUUGAAGAACUAUUACAUCCGUGGAAUGGAACAGGUGUACGUGUGUGGGAUGAGCACGGACAGGAAGAAUUUGACCUAAAGGCGUUGCUGUUCGUGACCAUCAAUGAUUGGUCUGCUCUCAGUAACCUUUCAGGACAGACAAACAAGAGAUACCGUGGAUACACACACUGUUUGGAUGAUACCGAUAGUAUAUAUUUGGAUAGUUGUAGGAAGAUUGUGUACCUGGGACAUCGUCGAUUUCUUCCGAGCAGGCAUCACGUAAGAAAGAAAGGCAAGCAUUUCAAAGGUGAGGCGGAUCACUGGACGAAGCCUCGCCACCGUACUAGUGCUGAUGUACAUGAUAUGGUCAAGGAUUUGAAGGUAAUCUUUGGAAAGGGUCCUGGCGGACAACCUGUUCCGAAGGACACUGACGGACACGCACCCAUGUGGAAUAAGAAAUCUAUAUUUUGGGACCUGCCAUAUUGGAAAGACCUAGAGGUCCGCUCCGCAAUCGACGUGAUGCACGUGACGAAGAAUCUUUGCGUGACCCUACUUGGUUUCUUGGGCGUGUAUGGGAAGACAAAAGGUACACCAGAGGCAUGGGAGGACCAACAACGUAUGCACGGAAAAGACGGCAUACAUCAGGGUCAGGCCAGCUACGCUCUUACCAAAGAAGAGAACGAAAUCUUCUUUGAAUGCCUGCUCAGCAUGAAGGUACCGUCUGGCUUCUCAUCGAAUAUAAAGGGAGUAAUAAAUAUGGCAGAGAAAAAGUUCCAGAACCUAAAGUCUCAUGACUGCCACGUGAUUAUGACGCAAGUGCUUCCGGUUGCAUUGAGUGGGCUUCUACCGGAAAACGUUCGACUAGCCAUUGUGAAGCUAUGUGCAUUCCUCAAUGCAAUCUCUUAGAAGGUAAUCGAUCCAGAAAUCAUACCAAGGUUACACAAUGAUUUCGUGCAAUGUCUUGUCAGUUUCGAGUUGGUGUUCCCACCAUCCUUUUUCAACAUCAUGACGCACGUCCUAGUUCACCUUUGCGAAGAGAUUAAUGCUUUGGGUCCUGUAUUUCUACACAAUAUGUUCCCCUUUGAGAGGUUCAUCGGAGUCUUGAAGAAAUAUGUUCAUAACCGUGCUAGGCCAGAAGGAAGCAUCUCGAAGGGCCAUGAAAAUGAGGAGGUCAUUGAGUUUUGUAUUGACUUUAUUCCUGACCUUAAGCCGAUUGGUGUUCCUGAAUCGCGGCAUAAGGGUAGACUCGAUGGAAAAGGCACACUAGGAGGGGAUCAAAUAAUAUGUAUGGACGGACAUUCUCUCACUGAAGCACACUACACAGUUCUACAGAAUUCCGCCUUGGUGGCUAUGUAUAUGGAGGAACACAAGAAUUUUCUACACUCCAAACACCCGGAGAAGUCUGACGACUGGAUUACACGUGAACAAACAAGGACUUUUGCCGGUUGGUUGCAGAAACGUGCCAUGCAUGAUGGCGAUAUUAAAGAUGACCUGUACUCGCUAUCCCAGUUACCAUUUCGAAUAUAAUGACUUUCAAAGGGUACCAGAUAAAUGGGAAUACAUUUUACACGAUCGCCCAAGAUAAGAAGAGCACCAACCAAAACAGUGGUGUCCGCUUUGAUGCAAUAACAAACACGGGAAAGGAAACAUAUUAUGGUUACAUAGAGGACAUAUGGGAACUUAACUAUGGAGGUGGUUUGAAGGUCCCUUUGUUUCGGUGCAAAUGGGUCAAUAUGACACAAGGCGGGGUAACGGAAGACCCGCAGUACGGAAUGACAACAAUGGAUAUCAACAAUCUUGCGUAUGCAGACGAACCAUUCGUCCUAGUCAAUGAUGUGGCGCAGGUUUUUUAUGUGAAAGACAUGUCUAGCAGGCCGAGAAAAACAAAACAUAAGGAAGCGAAUGGGAGUGGAUGAGCCAAAGCGCCACAUAGUUCUUUCAGGGAAAAGAAACAUCGUGGGAGUGGAUGACAAGACAGACAUGUCAGAAGAUUAUGAAAAGUUUGAUGAAAUUGCUCCAUUCAUAGUGAAUAUUGACCCGAGCAUCCAGUUAAAUGAUGAAGAUUUUCCAUGGCUACGACGCAAAGGGACACACGCGAAGAAAAAGUUUCACACCCAAAGAUCUGGGAUGUGAUCGGCUUCACUAUCAUCACUUUCUUCUAUGUUUCACACCCAGGAGGGAAUCUCUGUAAUAGUUAGGGUAGUUAUGUGUUUUGGCAUUUGAAACGCAAAUAAAUUUUAUUUGCAAACAAAUUCUUUCAUGCAUUUACUAAUUUUUUCAGCUAAAUGACCCUGAAAUUGAAAAGCAUUUCAAAUGAACUCAAAAGGUUGAAAGUUGGCAUGGUAUCAUAAUUUCACCCACAUAGCAUGUGCAAAAAAGUAGAGAGGGUUAUGGCAAAAACUGGAUGCACUUCGUGUACAAAAUGGACAAUCUCUUUCGAAGUAUUAGGGUUUCGAACGAAAACUCAUCUGUUACAAAGGCAUUUCAUUUUUUAAAUAACCUAAGCAUUACCAAAUUGAAUAUAAUGAUAAAACACACUAAUAUUAAACAUAAGAAAAAGAGUCACUGAAAAAUCUAUUUUCAAAGUUAAGUUAUUCACAAACUAGUGAUUCACACAAAUUUCAAAUAAUUCAAAAUUUAAACUAUUCAAAUUUGAAAACUACCGGCACUAACAGAAACUAUCGGCACUAACCUAAAGCAAAAAUAUUCACAAAGAAACUCUAAAUACAGAAAAAAAACAACUAAAAAAUAAAUAAAACAAAAAUAAAUAAAGCAAAAAAAAACUUAAAGCAAUUUUUUUAAGAAAAUAAAAAAGCCCGCCUACUGGGCCAGAGCGGCCUGCAUACGACUAGAAACAUAACGUUUUGUUGGGCCAGGAUGCAGGCCCGCAAAGGCCCAGUAGACCCACAGGGCAGCAGAGAACAGGUAGGCCCAGUAGGCAUGCUUUCGAGAGGAGCUCGAGAGAGCUACCGCACUGGGGCUUAUAAACCAGUGCGGACGCCCCUCGUCUAGCGAGGUGGGACUAAACUUGCCGCACCGCACCUGUGCCAGCGCACCCCCUUUAGUACCGGGUGGUGGCUGCAACCGGUACUAAAGAGGGGGACUUUAGUACCGGUUGGUGCCACGACCCGGUACUAAAGGGGGUGGGGGGGCGCUUCCCGCUGCUUGGUCUGUCCAAAACAGACCUUUAUUACCAGUUGGUGCCACCAACCGGUAUUAAAGGUCCAUCCUAUAUAUGCAACACUUGAAAAAAAAUUUAGUUUCACUCUGUUUCUUCCUCUCCGUCGAUGACACGCCGCCUGCCCUGGUCGACAUCGUCGCCUCACCCGAUGCGUCGCCGCCCCGGCCGCCCCCGCCCGUCGUUGCCGCCCCCAUCGUCAUCGCCGCCCCGGCCGUCCUCGUCCCCGUCAUCCCCGUCGCCGCGCCCCNNNNNNNNNNNNNNNNNNNNNNNNNNNNNNNNNNNNNNNNNNNNNNNNNNNNNNNNNNNNNNNNNNNNNNNNNNNNNNNNNNNNNNNNNNNNNNNNNNNNNNNNNNNNNNNNNNNNNNNNNNNNNNNNNNNNNNNNNNNNNNNNNNNNNNNNNNNNNNNNNNNNNNNNNNNNNNNNNNNNNNNNNNNNNNNNNNNNNNNNNNNNNNNNNNNNNNNNNNNNNNNNNNNNNNNNNNNNNNNNNNNNNNNNNNNNNNNNNNNNNNNNNNNNNNNNNNNNNNNNNNNNNNNNNNNNNNNNNNNNNNNNNNNNNNNNNNNNNNNNNNNNNNNNNNNNNNNNNNNNNNNNNNNNNNNNNNNNNNNNGUCGCCGCCCCGCCCCGUCGUCGCCGCCCCGUCCCGUCGCCCCAUCGUCGCCACCCUGCCGUCGCCUCGCCGGUGAGCUCAUGCCCCGGCCACCAUGUCCACACACACACACACAUUAGUUUUCUUGUUAUAAAUUUUAGUUAUAGAAAUUUUUCUGUUUUUUAGUUAUAGAAAUAUCUAUUGAAAUGUUAGAAAUUUUCAUGUUUUUUAGUUAUAGAAAUAUUAGAAAUGUUAUAAUUUUUUUCAUUUAUUUAGUUAUAGAAAUAUUUAUAGAAAUGUUAGCAAUUUUUUUGUUUUUUAGUUAUAGAAAUAUUAGAAAUGUUAUAGAAAUGUUAGUUAUAUAAUCAGAAAUGUUAGAAAUUUUAGAAUUAGUUUUAGUUAGAUGAAUUAGAUUAAUGUCAAAUUGUUAGAAUUUGCAUAUAGAAUUUUAGUUAUCACAAUCCUAUCAUUUAAAAAAUGUUACUUUUUGCGGGCAUGUAGUAUUUGUUCUCGAUGAUAUGCCCAGCCCGCAUCCUUGCCGUCGACCCGUUCGCGACCACGUCCUGCUUUAGAGGACCCAUGUCCGGGACUGGGCUCCGCCGGGCUGGCACUGGGAGGUGCUACCUGGAGGGGCGCGCCGCUUGGUGAGGAACCUGGCCUCGGGUCCCAUCAUCAACCCUGAUCUCAUUUGGUGGCGUUCGCGUGGGCCACAUUCGAUGCAGAGCGAGCCGGCCCCGCCGGAGGUGGUGCGUCACCGUGUCAGGGAGGAGGACGAGCACAUCCAUCGCUACAUGGCUGCUAUGGACGUCAGGUUCUCCAAUACUUGGCAGGUUCUUUGGGCAGAUGACCAGAGAUAUGAUCCUGUGAUGGUUCCUUCUCUUUGGGUGUCCACCGCCCGCGCCCCAGGAACAGCGAGUGGCCUAGAUUCUUCUGUAGUACUCGAUAUUUAUUAGGUACCUAGCCAGUGAUGUAUUUUAUAUAUAAUAUUCGAGACGAUGUAUUCGAGAUUGUAUAUAUUAUUUGAGAAGAUGAUGUAUUCGAGAUUAUAUAUUAAUCGAGACGAUGCAUAUAUUAUGUACUAUAUGAUUCAGUUUUUCCUUAUUAAUUGCAUCCAUGCAUUGUAAUUUGAAUACUAAAUUGUUUUAUAUUUCUUUUGUAUUAGUUAAGUAAAAGCUAUGGCGGACAAUACCUGCAGAGAGAGAGAAGAGGAAUUGUUCGACAUCCUACGCAACCCUCGCAGGCUAGAUGAUUUGAAUGAAGCAGAUGAUGGCUCCCAAUAUCUGAACAAUACCGGUGAGGGUGAUGAAAAGAUAUUCGAUCUCGAUGACCGAGCUGAUGAAGUCAUGAACUAUGAUUAUGAUUAUGAUGACACAGACAAUGCUGAUCUUCAAAUAACAAAGACUACCGGCGAGGUAUAUUUAUAUAAGCAGGCAUCUGGUGAUCACCACAUGUUUUUUUAUUUGAAGAUAUAUUAACGAAUCGAUCUUUCUUCUUUCAGCCCUCAGGAUCGAGCAAAUCUGCUUCUACAGACAGCAGGACAAAGCGAGGCCUGGACAAAAAGUUGAAGGAGGGUGUAAAGUACAACAUCGACUCCGUCAAACCUAGUGGCGAACCCCUCACGCCUAAGAACAUUGCGAACAAGUGGACUCGUUAGUGCGGAGUUCUUGUGAAGGACAAACUCCCGAUCUCCAUUCAAGAAUGGAAAGAGCCAAAAACUAAACGUCCAGGUGUUACUUGGGUCGACGACAGAGCAAAAAAAAACCCUUUGGGAAUCUCUGAUGGAACAUUUCACCCUACCAGAUUAUUUCACUGAAGCAGAUGUAGAGAAAGUCAAGGGUACUGCACUUAAGAAGAUGGCAAUUGCAUUCAACACCCACAAGAAAACUGUAUGGGCAAGUACCUCGCUGCAGAAAGGAAGACUCCAGAAUUCACGGGAACACCGGAGAAGCAAAGAGAACACUAGGCCGAUUUCGUGAAAUUCAAGGAAUCAAAAUUAUUUAAGGAACGGUCGAUAAAAAACAAGGCCAAUGCCGCAAAAAAGAUGCAGUUCCAUAGGCUGGGUCCAGGUGGCUACCCGGUGGGAAUGCCUAAGUGGGAUAAGUCUGAGCAAGAGAUGGAGGAUGCAGGGGUCACUCCGGUUACUAGGAGCUGUCCCCCCCAGGUGCAGAACUUGGUUCUAUGCGCAUGGGGGGGGGGGUGUUGGACCCGAAGACAGGCCUAGUUUCGUAGAAGGCAAGUCUAAAAGGAGCCGGACAAAAGAUACUUGACGCAAUUGAAGAAGCUCGAACGGGGGUGUUCACGCCCAACAGAGAGAACGACGAGCUUAUGCGCGCCCUGGGAAAUCCUGAACACCCGGGAAGAACACGAGGCAAGGGCGUUAUUCCCUGGUAUGAGGGCUUUUCGGAAUGGAACGAUGACUACAGGUCCUGUGCAAGAAAGAAGAUGGACGAGGAGAAGAAGAGGAAGCUGGAGGAGGAGCAGAGGAAGCAGGACGCAGAACGCCUUCAAGGCCUAGAAGCAAGGCACGCGGACUUGGCACUCAAAUUCCAGCAGCAGCAGCAGCAGCAGAUCGACUCACUUAGCCAGGAAAGGGGGUCUCAGCAGCGGCAGCGGCAAGCGGAUGAUCGUCCAACAUUGGAUAGCACCAUCCCAUCCAUGCCGAGAAGUAGCAUUGGUUCUGCCCCGGGCGACACACUGCUGGAUACAUACCCUGUGGAUGACAUCAUAGAGAACACUAACUGUGAGCUACACUCCAAAAUGAAGAACAUAUCCAUGAAGGUGGCGGACGGCCUUGCUUUUACAAUUACCCCUGAAGCAACCUUCCAUUGCACCCCGAUUCCAGAGAGCUAUGCUCGUGUCUUGGUUGAUGAAGUGGUGGACCCAUAUUCGGGGCUAUAGCUUGACAUUCCUAGAGGUGAAGACGGGCGCACACUGGGAGAGGCCAUACAUCGUAUCAUCCUGUGGAGAAAGGAUUGCAUCAUCUUUCGAAGUCCACCGACACCGCGUCAUCUUCCGACUCCUCCUCGAAGUCCGCCACCGAGUCAGCAGACUCCCGCUCCUCCAAGUCCAUGAACGCGUCAGGCGACUCCUCCUUGAAGUCCGCCACCUCCUCCAAGUCCCCGAACGCGUGAGCCGACUCCUGCUUCAAGUCCAGCACAACGUCAGGCCACUCCUCUGGUUUCAAGUCUGACACAGCGUCAGGCAACUCCUCCUGCUUCAAGUCCGGCACAACGUCAGCCACGUCAGCCGUCUCCGUCGUCUUAGCAAUCGCAGAAGAGAUAUGCUGCAGCUAUGGGCCGUAGCGGUACGAGUCGAGGUAGUACAGGAAAUACAGGUGGAGACAAGCGAUAUAAAUAUGGUCCAAGCCUUGCUCCUCUUCCUCAGAGGCCUUACGACAUGACCGAGGAGCAAAACACAUCCAUAGUGCAGGCACAAGUGGACGCCCAUUCUGGACCGAAACCAGUACCGCCGCCAAGGGAGAAAGUGCCUGAGGAAAAGAUUAACCACUUCAUUCAUAUGGCUAGAGCACCAGCUCCCAAGCUUGUUGACUUAGACUAUGAGCGCCAAAUCAGGAAGCUACAUUGAGCACGGCUACAGAAGGAAGCGAGCUCGAGCUCGAGCCAACAAGUAGCUGGCAAAAAAUGAGGGAAAACCGUUCCCGAGCUGGGAGAAUAGGCGGCGCAAUCAAUCCCCCCGCUUGUUGUGCCUGUUGGAAAUAUGCCCUAGAGGCAAUAAUAAAAGGAUUAUUAUUAUAUUUUCUUGUUCAUGAUAAUUGUCUUUUAUUCAUGCUAUAAUUUUAUUAUCAGGAAAUCGUAAUACACGUGUGAAUACAUAGACCACAAUAUGUCCCUAGUGAGCCUCUAGUUGACUAGCUCGUUGAUCAACAGAUAGUCAUGGUUUCCUGACUAUGGACAUUGGAUGUCAUAGAUAACGGGAUAUCAUCAUUAGGAGAAUGAUGUGAUGGACAAGACCCAAUCCUAAGCAUAGCACAAGAUCGAGUAGUUCGUUUUGCUAGAGCUUUUCCAAUGUCAAGUAUUUUUUCCUUAGACCAUGAGAUCGUGUAACUCCCGAAUACCGUAGGAGUGCUUUGGGUGUACCAAACGUCACAACGUAACUGGGUGACUAUAAAGGUGCACUACAGGUAUCUCCGAAAGUGUCUGUUGGGUUGACACGGAUCGAGACUGGGAUUUGUCACUCCGUAUGACUGAGAGGUAUCUCUGGGCCCACUCGGUAAUGCAUCAUCAUAAUGAGCUCAAAGUGACCAAGUGUCUGGUCAUGGGAUCAUGCAUUACGGUACGAGUAAAGUGACUUGCCGGUAACGAGAUUGAACAAGGUAUUGGGAUACCGACGAUCGAAUCUCGGGCAAGUAACGUAACGAUUGACAAAGGGAAUUGUAUACGGGGUUGCUUGAAUCCUCGACAUCGUGGUUCAUCCGAUGAGAUCAUCGAGGAGCAUGUGGGAGCCAACAUGGGUAUCCAGAUCCCAUUGUUUGUUAUUGACCGGAGAGCAGUCUCGGUCAUGUCUGCGCGUCUCCCGAACCCGUAGGGUCUACACACUUAAGGUUCAGUGACGCUAGGGUUGUAAAGAUAUUAGUAUGCAGCAAACCGAAAGUUGUUCGGAGUCCCGGAUGAGAUUCCAGACGUCACGAGGAGUUCCGGAAUGGUCCGGAGGUAAAGAAUUAUAUAUGGGAAGUCGAGUUUCGGCCAUCGGGAAAGUUUCGGGGUUCACCGGUAUUGUACCGGGACCACAGGAAGGGUCCCGGGGGUCCACCGGGUCGGGCCACCCAUCCCGGAGGGCCCCGUGGGCUGAAGUGGGAGGGGAACCAGCCCCUGGUGGGCUGGUGUGCCCCCCUGGGCCCCACUCUGCGCCUAGGGUUGGGAACCCUAGGGGAGGGGGCGCCUCCACUUGCCUUGGGGGGCAAGUCUCCCCCCUUGGCCGCCGCCCCCCUAGGAGAUUCCAUCUCCUAGGGACGGCGCAACCCCUAGGCUCCGUAUAUAAAGAGGGGGGUGGGAGGGCAGCCGCACCCUGACACCUGGCGCCUCCGUCCCCCCUUGCUACACCUCCUCCUCCCACAAACGCUUGGCAAAGCCCUGCCGGAACCCUGCUGCAUCCACCACCACACCGUCGUGCUAGUGGAUCUUCAUCAACCUCUCCUUCCCCCUUGCUUGAUCAAGAAGGAGGAGACGUCAUGAUGACCGUACGUGUGUUGAACGCGGAGGUGCCGUCCGUUCGGCGCUAGGAUCUCCGGUGAUUUGGAUCACGACGAGUACGACUCCCUCAACCCCGUUCUCUUGAACGCUUCCGCUCGCGAUCUACAAGGGUAUGUAGAUGCACUCCCUUCUCUCGUUGCUAGAUGAACUCAUAGAUUGAUCUUGGUGAACGUAGAUUUUUUUUAUUUUAUGCAACGUUCCCCAGCAGUGGCAUCAUGAGCUAGGUCUAUGCGUAGUUCUCUAUUGCAUGAGUAGAACACAAAUCUAUUGUGGGCAUAGAUGUUGUCGACUUUCUUGCCACUACUAGUCUUAUUUUGCUUCAGCGGUAUUGUGGGAUGAAGCGGCCCGGACCGACCUUACACGUACGCUUACGUGAGAUAGGUUCCAUCGACUGACAUGCACUAGUUGCAUAAGGUGGCUGGCAGGUGUCUGUCUCUCCCACUUUAGUUGGAGCGGAUUCGAUGAAAAGGGUCCUUAUGAAGGGUAAAUAGAAGUUGACAAAUCACGUUGUGGUUAUUCGUAGGUAAGAAAACGUUCUUGCUAGAACCCUAUUGCAGCCACGUAAAAGAUGCAAACAACAAUUAGAGGACGUCUAACUUGUUUUUGCAGCAAUUGCUUUGUGAUGUGAUAUGGCCAAAAGUUGUGAUGAAUGAUGAAUGAUAUAUUGUGAUGUAUGAGAUCAUGUUCUUGUAAUAGGAAUCACGACCUGCAUGUCGAUGAGUAUGACAACCGGCAGGAGCCAUAUGAGUUGUCUUAAUUAUUGUAUGACCUGCGUGUUAAAGUUUUAAUGCCAUGUAAUUACUUUACUUUAUUGCUAAACCGUUAGCCGUAGUAGUAGAAGUAAUAGUUGGCGAGCAACUUCAUGGAGACACGAUGAUGGAGAUCAUGAUGAUGGAGAUCAUGGUGUCAUGCCGGUGACGAAGAUAAUCAUGGAUCCCCGAAGAUGGAGAUCAAAGGAGCUAUAUGAUAUUGGCCAUAUCAUGUCACUACUAUAUAAUUGCAUGUGAUGUUUAUUAUGUUUGUGCAUCUUGUUUACUUAGAACAACGGUAGUAAAUAAGAUGAUCCCUUAUAAUAAUUUCAAGAAAGUGUUCCCCCUAACUGUGCGCCGUUGCUAAAGUUCGUCGUUUCGAAGCACCACGCGAUGAUCGGGUGUGAUAGAUUCCUACGUUCACAUACAACGGGUGUAAGACAGUUUUACACAUGCAAAUCACUUAGGUUAACUUGACGAGCCUAGCAUGUACAAACAUGGCCUCGGAACACAGAGACCGAAAGGUCGAACAUGAGUCGUAUGGAAGAUACAAUCAACAUGGAGAUGUUCACCGAUGAUGACUAGUCCGUCUCACGUGAUGAUCGGACACGGUCUAGUCAACUCGGAUCAUGUAACACUUAGAUGACUAGAGGGAUGUCAAAUCUGAGUGGGAGUUCAUUAAAUAAUUUGAUUAGAUGAACUUAAUUAUCAUGAACUUAGUCUAAAAUCUUUGCAAAAUAUGUCUUGUAGAUCAAAUGGCCAACGCUCAUGUCAACAUGAACUUCAACGCGUUCCUAGAUUAAACCAAGCUGAAAGAUGAUGGCAGCAACUAUACGGACUGGGUCCGGAACCUGAGGAUCAUCCUCAUAGCUGCCAAGAAAGCAUAUGUCCUAGAAGGACCGCUAGGUGAAGCACCCAUCCCAUAGAACCAAGACGUUAUGAACGCUUGGCAGUCACGUGCUGAUGAUUACUCCCUCGUUCAGUGCAGCAUGCUUUACAGCUUAGAACCGGGGCUCCAAAAGCAUUUUGAGCAACACGGAGCAUAUGAGAUGUUCGAGGAGCUGAAAAUGGUUUUCCAAGCUCAUGCCCGGGUCGAGAGAUAUGAAGUCUCUGACAAGUUCUAUAGUUGUAAGAUGGAGGAAAAUAGUUCCGUCAGUGAGCACAUACUCAAAAUGUCUGGGUUGCACAACCACCUAUCCUAGCUGGACAUUAACCUCCCGGACGAGGCGGUCAUUGAUAAAAUCCUUCAGUCGCUCCCACCGAGCUACAAGAGCUUUGUGAUGAACUACAAUAUGCAGGGAAUGGUGAAAACUAUUCCUGAAGUAUUUUCAAUGCUGAAGUCGGCAGAGGUAGAAAUCAAGAAAGAACAUCAAGUGUUGAUGGUCAAUAAAACCACCAAGUUCAAGAAGGGCAAGGGUAAGAAGAACUUCAAGAAGGACGGCAAAGAUGUUACCGCGCCCGGUAAGCCAGUUGCCGGGAAGAAGUCAAGGAAUGGACCCAAGCCUGAGACUGAGUGCUUUUAUUGCAAAGGAAAGGGUCACUGGAAGCGGAACUGCCCAAAUACUUAGCGGACAAGAAGGCCAGCAACACUAAAGGUAUAUUUGAUAUACAUGUAAUUGAUGUGUACCUUACCAGUACUCGUAGUAACUCCUAGGUAUUUGAUACCGGUGCCGUUGCUCAUAUUUGUAACUCACAGCAGGAGCUGCGGAAUAAGCGGAGACUGGAAAAGGACGAGGUGACGAUGCGCGUCGGGAAUGGUUCCAAGGUCGAUGUGAUCGCCGUCGGCACACUACCUUUACAUUUACCCACGGGAUGAGUUUUAAACCUCAAUAAUUGUUAUUUAGUGCCAAGUUUGAGCAUGAACAUUGUAUCUGGAUCUCAUUUAAUGCGAGAUGGCUACUCAUUUAAAUCCGAUAAUAAUGGUUGUUCUAUUUAUAUGAGAGAUAUGUUUUAUGGUCAUGCCCCGAUGGUCAAUGGUUUAUUCUUAAUGAAUCUCGAACAUAAUAUUACACAUAUUCAUAGUGUGAAUACCAAAAGAUGUAAAGUUGAUGACGAUAGUCCCACAUACUUGUGGCACUGCUGCCUUGGUCACAUUGGUGUCAAGCGCAUGAAGAAGCUCUAUGCUGAUAGACUUUUAGAGUCUCUCGAUUAUGAAUCAUUUGACACAUGCGAACCAUGCCUCAUGGGCAAAAUGACCAAGACUCCGUUCUCCGGAACAAUGAAGCGAGCAACCAACUUAUUGGAAAUCAUACAUACUGAUGUGUGUGGUCCAAUGAGCGUUGAGGCUCGCGGAGGAUAUCAUUAUGUUCUCACUCUCACUGAUGACUUAAGUAGAUAUGGGUAUGUCUACUUGAUGAAACACAAGUCUAAGACCUUUAAAAAGUUCAAGGAAUUUCAGAAUGAAGUAGAGAAUCAACAUGACCGAAAGAUAAAAUUCUUACGAUCAGAUCGUGGAGGAGAAUAUUUAAGUCACGAAUUUGGUAUGCACCUAAGGAAAUGUGUAAUCAUUUCACAACUCACGCCGCCUGGAACACCUCAGCGUAACGGUGUGUACGAACAUCGUAAUCGCACUCUAUUGGAUAUGGUGCGAUCUAUGAUGUCUCUUACCGAUUUACCGCUAUCAUUUUGGGGAUACGCUCUAGAGAUAGCUACAUUCACUUUUAAUAGGGCUCCGUCUAAAUCCGUUGAGACGACACCGUAUGAAUUAUGGUUUGGGAAGAAACCUAAGCUGUCGUUUCUAAAAGUUUGGGGAUGCGAUGCUUAUUGCAAGAAAGUCCAACCUGAAAAGCUCGAACCCAAGUCGGAAAAAUGCGUCUUCAUAGGAUACCCUAAGGAAACCAUUGGGUAUACCUUCUACCUUAGAUCCGAAGGCAAGAUCUUUGUUGCCAAGAACGGAUCCUUUCUGGAAAAAGAGUUUCUCUCGAAAGGAGUAAGUGGGAAGAAAGUAGAACUCGAUGAAGUACGACCUCUUGAAACGGAAAGUAGUGCAGCUCAGGAAAAUGUUCCUAUGGUGCCUACACCGACUGGAGAGGAAAUUAAUGAUGAUCAAGGUACUUCGGAUCAAGUUGCUACUGAACUUCGUAGGUCCACAAGGACACGUUCCACACCAGAGUGGUAUGGCAACCCUGUCCUGGAAAUCAUGUUGUUAGACAACGGUGAACCUUCGAACUACGAAGAAGCGAUGGCGGGCCCAGAUUCCAACAAAUGGCUUGAAGCCAUGCAAUCCGAGAUAGAAUCCAUGUAUGAAAACAAAGUUUGGACUUUGACAGACUUGCCCGAUGAUCAGCGAGCGAUAGAAAACAAAUGGAUCUUUAAGAAGAAGAUGGACGCGGAUGGUAAUGUUACCAUCUAUAAAGCUCGACUUGUCGCUAAGGGUUAUCGGCAAGUUCAAGGGGUUGAAUACAAUGAGACUUUCUCUCCCGUAACGAAGCUGAAGUCCGUCCGAAUCAUGUUAGCAAUUGCCGCAUACUAUGACUAUGAGAUAUGGCAGAUGGACGUCAAAACAGCAUUCCUUAAUGGCUAUCUUAGGGAAGAACUGUAUAUGAUGCAGCCGGAGGGUUUUGUCGAUCCUAAGAAUGCUAACAAGGUAUGCAAGCUCCAGCGAUCCACUUAUGGGCUGGUGCAAGCAUCUCGGAGUUGGAAAAUUCGCUUUGAUGAGAUGAUUAAAGCGUUUGGGUUUAUGCAGACUUAUGGAGAAGCCUGCGUUUACAAGAAAGUGAGUGGGAGCUCUGUAGCAUUUCUCAUAUUAUAUGUAGAUGACAUACUUUUGAUGGGAAAUGAUAUAGAACUUUUGGACAGCAUUAAGGCCUACUUGAAUAAGUGUUUUUCAAUGAAGGACCUUGGAGAAGCUGCUUACAUACUAGGCAUCAAGAUCUAUAGGGAUAGAUCGAGACGCCUCAUAGGUCUUUCACAAAGCACAUACCUUGAUAAGAUAUUGAAGAAGUUCAAAAUGGAUCAGUCCAAGAAAGGGUUCUUGCCUGUAUUGCAAGGUGUGAGAUUGAGCUCGGCUCAAUGCCCGACCAUGGCAGAAGAUAAAAAAGAGAUGAGUGUCAUCCCCUAUGCCUCAGCCAUAGGAUCUAUUAUGUAUGCCAUGCUGUGUACCAGACCUGAUGUAAACCUUGCCGUAAGUUUGGUAGGAAGGUACCAAAGUAAUCCCGGCAAGGAACACUGGACAGCGGUCAAUAAUAUCCUUAAGUACCUGAAAUGGACAAAGGACAUGUUUCUCGUCUAUGGAGGUGACGAAGAUCUCGUCGUAAAGGGUUACGUCGACGCUAGCUUCGACACAGAUCUGGAUGACUCUAAGUCACAAACCGGAUACGUGUAUAUGUUGAACCGUGGAGCAGUAAGCUGGUGCAGUUGCAAGCAGAGCGUCGUGGCGGGAUCUACAUGUGAAGCGGAGUACAUGGCAGCCUCGGAGGCAACACAUGAAGCAAUAUGGAUGAAGGAGUUCAUCACCAACCUAGGAGUCAUACCCAAUGCGUCGCGGCCAAUCACUCUCUUCUGUGACAACACUGGAGCUAUUGCACUUGCCAAGGAUCCCGGGUUUCACAAGAAGACCAGGCACAUCAAGCGCCGUUUCAACUCCAUCGAUGAAAAUUUUCAAGAUGGAGAUAUAGAUAUUUGCAAAGUACAUACGGAUCUGAAUGUCGCAGAUCCGUUGACUAAACCUCUUCCGCGAGCAAAACAUGAUCAACACCAGAACUCUAUGGGUGUUCGAUUCAUCACAAUGUAACUAGAUUAUUGACUCUAGUGCAAGUGGGAGACUGUUGGAAAUAUGCCCUAGAGGCAAUAAUAAAAGGAUUAUUAUUAUAUUUCCUUGUUCAUGAUAAUUGUCUUUUAUUCAUGUUAUAAUUGUAUUAUCCGGAAAUCGUAAUACACGUGUGAAUACAUAGACCACAAUAUGUCCCUAGUGAGCCUCUAGUUGACUAGCUUGUCGAUCAACAUAUAGUCAUGGUUUCCUGACUAUGGACAUUGGAUGUCAUUGAUAACGUGAUCAUAUCAUUAGGAGAAUGAUGUGAUGGACAAGACCCAAUCCUAAGCAUAGCACAAGAUCGUGUAGUUUGUUUUGCUAAAGCUUUUCCAAUGUCAAGUAUUUUUUCCUUAGACCAUGAGAUCGUGUAACUCCCGGAUACCGUAGGAGUGCUUUGGGUGUGCCAAACGUCACAACGUAACUGGGUGACUAUAAAGGUGCACUACAGGUAUCUCCGAAAGUGUCUGUUGGGUUGACAAGGAUCGAGACUGGGACUUGUCACUCCGUAUGACGGAGAGGUAUCUCUGGGCCCACUCGGUAAUGCAUCAUCAUAAUGAGCUCAAAGUGACCAAGUGUCUGGUCACGGGAUCAUGCAUUACGGUACGAGUAAAGCGACUUGCCGGUAACGAGAUUGAAAAAGGUAUUGAGAUACCGACGAUCGAAUCUCGGGCAAGUAACGUACCGAUUGACAAAGGGAAUUGUAUACGGGGUUGCAUGAAUCCUCGACAUCGUGGUUCAUCCGAUGAGAUCAUAGAGGAGCAUGUGGGAGCCAACAUGGGUAUCUAGAUCCCGCUGUUGGUUAUUGAUCGGAGAGCAGUCUCGGUCAUGUCUGCGUGUCUCCCGAACCCGUAGGGUCUACACACUUAAGGUUCAGUGAUGCUAGGGUUGUAAAGAUAUUAGUAUGCAGCAAACCUAAAGUUGUUCGGGGUCUCGGAUGAGAUCUCGGACGCCACGAGGAGUUCCGGAAUGGUCUGGAGGUAAAGAAUUAUAUAUGGGAAGUCGAGUUUCGGCCAUCGGGAGAGUUUCGAGGUUCACUGGUAUUGUAUCGGUACCACCGGAAGGGUCCCGGGGGUCCACCGGGUGGGGCCACCCAUCCCGGAGGGCCUCAUGGGAUGAAGUGGGAGGGGAACCAGCCCCUAGUGGGCUGGUGCGCCCCCCUGGCCCCCCCUCUGUGCCUAGGGUUGGGAACCCCAGGGGAGGGGGCGCCUCCACUUGCCUUGGGGGGCAAGUCUCCCACCUUGGCCGCCGCCCCCCCUAGUAGAUCCCAUCUCCUAGGGCCGGCACACCCCCUAGGAUCCCUAUAUAAAGAGGGGGGUGGGAGGGCAGCCGCACCCUGACACCUAGCGCCUCCCUCCCCCCUUGCUACACCUCGUCCUCCCGCAAACGCUUGGCGAAGCCCUGCCGGAACCCUGCUGCAUCCACCACCACGCCGUCGUGCUGCUGGAUCUUCAUCAACCUCUCCUUCCCCCUUGCUGGAUCAAGAAGGAGGAGACGUCAUGGUGACUGUAUGUGUGUUGAACGCGGAGGUGCCGUCCGUUCGGCGCUAGGAUCUCCGGUGAUUUGGAUCACGACGAGUACGACUCCCUCAACCCCGUUCUCUUGAACGCUUCCGCUCGCGAUCUACAAGGGUAUGUAGAUGCACUCCCCUCUCUCGUUGCUAGAUGAACUCAUAGAUUGAUCUUGGUGAACGUAGAAUUUUUUAUUUUAUGCAACGUUCCCCAACAGUGCCAACAACACAUGAGAGUACGCGCGCCCAAUAUUAUUGUGGGCAAACCAUUAACGUUCCCUAGCUGGGCGAUGUGGUAAUAACCGAGGAGCAUAUAAUGCAGGCUGAAAUGCUCAAGAUCACUGUUGGACAACUCCUCGAAAUCGAGCCCAUGCCUCCGCUUAGAGAGGAGGAAAUAAAACAAAAAUAUGUCCGGGGCCAACCUUUGGUCGAGCCAGACAAUUUCAAGAACCUCCCAACAAGAAUGUAUGAAUUGCAUCAAUGGUACAUGAACAUUACCAAGAUUUCCAAUCAAGUGUCCCUCAUGGUGAAUGUCAAGGAGGAGCAUUACUUCCAUGAGAAAGCUCUGUCCGUUGAGUAUUCAGAACUAUUUCAGUUAUACAAUCAAGACGCACUCGACAAAUCUAUCGUCAGUUGCUAUUGUCUGUAAGUGAUUUCUUUUUGUAAUUUAAGUCUCAAGCUAGCUGUAGUGAUCAUUUUGAUCAAUCAUUACAUGUAAUUAUGCUCACUAUAUUCUUUUCUGUGGUAUUAUAUGGAGGAUGAAGAUGUAUGAAAUGAAAAAAUCUGGACGCUAUGGCAUUGGGUUCAUUGACCCAAAUACCAUUAAUGAGUACACAUGGAAUCUUCCAGCUUAUCAAGCAAGUGUAGAGGAAAGCAUGCUUGAGUUCUUGAAGCGCCUCAAUACCAAUGAAGAUAUACUACUUCCUUACAACUUCUUGUGAGUCACACUGUCUUGUACUACAAAAUCUGUUUUUGCUUACUAGCUAGCUAGAUGUUAAUAAUUAAGUGUAUAGGGUUUACGGUAGUUGAUUAGUGUUAUGCACAUGCCCGCUUAAUUAAGACAUGCAAACGUGUGCGCAUGCAGUUUCCGCUGGAUCUUGUUAGACAUUAAAGUUGACAAAGGAACAAUUGAAGUACUGGACUCACUACUUAAAGAAGAAAAAGACUACACCAUCGUGAAGGGGAUAGUCAACAGGUAAUUUCAAUCAUUAUUAACUAUAUCUCGGCCUAUUUAUUUCGUCAUUUCCUGAUAUGAACUAUUUAAUAACCCCUUUAUUAAUUUUUUUUGCCGGCGGGCAGGGCUUGGGCAAAGUUCAUCAAGGUGACUCGAGGCAAAUGGGCAAAAAAGUUGUUUUGGUAUCGACCAAAGGUAAGUAAUUAAGUAGUACUAGCUAGCUAGCUAGCUACCAUCUCUUUAAUUCUUCUUUGAAUACCAUUAAUUAAUUAUCAUGCUUGAUUAAUCAUUAUAUGAUUCAAUUCCAUUCUCGUAAAGGCCCUGAAGCAGGCGUAGGGGAAUGAUCUGUGUGCAUUCUAUGUUUACGAGAACAUUCACAUGAUGGCGUUCGAAAGGAGCAGAUCUCAAAGACAGGACUGGGUACGUUUGUUAGAACACUAUUCACACCAUUAUCGAUAUCUAGUCACACAACUAAUACACAUGCAUAUUGAUCGCCUUCUUAACAGUUCAGAGAGGUGCGGGAGCAGCUCCUACCAGCGGACCGCAUACUAGCACUUCAAGAGGAAAUAGCGGGAUUUUUGCUUGACCAUGUCAUAGACCCCAAAGGAGAAUACUAUUACCCGCUACCGCCCCCAUGAACCACUUGUCAUCGUGCUCCGAAGGCACCAAGGAAACAUGUAGGAGAAAUUGUAUAUGUAUAUACAUGUGUAUGUGUGAAUAAUUAAUGGUGUUGGUUGUGAGAUACUCGAUGAUAUAUAUAUANNNNNNNNNNNNNNNNNNNNNNNNNNNNNNNNNNNNNNNNNNNNNNNNNNNNNNNNNNNNNNNNNNNNNNNNNNNNNNNNNNNNNNNNNNNNNNNNNNNNNNNNNNNNNNNNNNNNNNNNNNNNNNNNNNNNNNNNNNNNNNNNNNNNNNNNNNNNNNNNNNNNNNNNNNNNNNNNNNNNNNNNNNNNNNNNNNNNNNNNNNNNNNNNNNNNNNNNNNNNNNNNNNNNNNNNNNNNNNNNNNNNNNNNNNNNNNNNNNNNNNNNNNNNNNNNNNNNNNNNNNNNNNNNNNNNNNNNNNNNNNNNNNNNNNNNNNNNNNNNNNNNNNNNNNNNNNNNNNNNNNNNNNNNNNNNNNNNNNNNNNNNNNNNNNNNNNNNNNNNNNNNNNNNNNNNNUACCAGUAAACAAAAAAGAAUUAAAUGGAAAAUAAAACCAACCCCCCCCCCCCAAACAUUUAGUACCGGUUGGUGUUACCAACCGGUACUAAUGUCCUACACGCACCCGGGCUUGGAUCAUGCCACGUGGUGGCACUUUAGCGCCGGUUCGUGACAAACCGGUACUAAAGGGGGACCUUUAGUCACCACUCUUUAGUGUCGGUUGCCGAACCGGCACUAAAGGCCGUUAUGAACUGGCGCUAAAGCCCGGUUCUGCACUAGUGAUAGAAGCAUGUGAAUGCAUAAGCAUGACAGAGUAAGCAAUGUGUUACAUGUAUCUUGGCUAUAUGCAUCAGAGUAAAUGAUGUAAAUAUGGGAAAUGUACCUUCAUGCUCAUGAGUCCUUCUUGCAAACAGUAUGUACAUCAGCAAGAAUUCCUCAUACACAUGACUGUGAUGCAUACACUUACCUUGUGGUCUUGAGUUGGCUUAGGAAGAAAUGAACUUGCGUAAACAAGGUUAGACAACACAGAUACACCUACUGGCCAGAGCAAACAAAAGAAACCACAAGAGUACCAAGACUAGGAUGACAUGUAGAGUGAGUACCAAGUACCACGUUGAGUGUAGACGUGUCCCCAAAGGUAAAGAUGUGCAAUGAAUUUAAGGGUUUCCUUCCCUUAGAUGUCUUGCUCCCCCUGAAUCUAGCAUGGGAUACUAGGAGAAGAUAGGGAACAGAAAAUCAAAGCUCAAAGAAAAUAAACAGAGCUAAUGCAAAACAAACAAAUAUGAACAUGUCUUUCCCCUCUUGAAGACAUGUGACUUCUCUCCUCUUGAACACCAAGCAUCUGGGGUCCUUGAUGAUUACUCUCUCUCCCCUUGAGUAUUCUCUCCCCCUAUAGAUAUGAUUAAGCUUUGAUGUGAUCUCUCUCCCCCCUUUGACAUCAAUUUCCAAGAAGAGUUCUUCUGGAUUUUUGUCACGAAUGGGUUUGGUCCUUGAGUCACAAACAAAGCAGCAAGUUGAAUGUGAUGCUGGUAGAGGACAAGAUUCAUUGAGUGGAGCUGGUUCAAAAGGAAUGCAGAAACAAGUGGCAAGGUGUCUUUUCUGUAGUGAAAUCGGUGGCACCGAGUUUUAUGCUUCGGUUGCACCGAGAGGUUCGGUUGGACUGAAGGCAAUGGACCGAUGUGACCGAAUUCAUUACAGAGAGAACACUUGUCACCUUUGCUCACUAGCCAAGUAGGAUCUCACAAGGAUUUGCAAGGAAUUAACUGAAAGAUUUGCAAUGAAUUGGAUGUAGGGAAUGCAUAACAGAAAAUAAAAGAGAAGAAACAUAAAAGAAAUCUAGAUGAAGUUUUUUUUGAAAGGGGAAACAAAUAUGCAAGAGACAAAUGCAAGAGCACAGAAAAGAAACACGAGAGAACUUCAUCUAGAAUUGGUCGGCGACAAAGUCACCUAUGUUAGAGUAUAUUGACUUAGGAGUCAAGUGGGAUCACUUGAUCAUAGGUCAUACUCAUCGUUUAAGCUCAAAAUGGGGUUGCCAUUUUUCCUUUAAGCAUUUUGAUGUAUUCACAUCUUGUUGAGUUGCUUUGACUCAUGACUUGGAGUAAAGCUUCUCUAAGAUGGAAUAACAUACCUUGAGUGGUGGUGUUGAUCGUGAUCAUGUAGUUGAACUUAUGUGGGUUGCUCAAGAUUGAUGUAGUCCAUAAAGAGUUGGGAGCACCACUUUGGAAUUUGAGUUCGUCUACCUACAUGGGUUAGCUUUGCAAGGAAGGGCACUUGUGUAUCCAAAAUGACAAUCAUGAAUCUUUAAAACAUUUGUCAAAGGAUAUGUUUGAAUGGUUCCGUGCUUCCUUGACUUCAACCACCAUUGUGUAGAGACUUGGUGAUGUAGAGAUCGCUCAAGAUGUGAGUGAGUUGCAAUCUCAUAGAUUUAGUUUCAUCCAAGUUCCUACAUGGGUUAGAUAACAUGCAAGGUGCAAAUAUAUCCAAGACAUAAGAUUAUCAUCAUAAGAGAAAUAUCAAGGAUUAGUCAUAAACUUAUGUCUUGCAUGUAUCAAAUUGAGUUCCUACUCCAAGUUUGAAGCAUCAAUGAUGUUAAAUUCACCUCUUAACCUGCAAAACACUUUCUCAUCAAGUGGUUUAGUGAAUAUAUCUGCCAAUUGCUUAUCGGUGCGAACAUGCUUAAGAUUAAUAACCCCUUUGGCAACAUGAUCUCGAAUGAAAUGAUGACAAACUUCAAUAUGCUUAGUUCGAGAAUGUUGCACAGGAUUGUGAGCAAUCUUGAUAGCACUUUCAUUGUAACAAAGUAAUGGAACAUGUUUCACAUAUAUCCCAUAAUCUUUAAGAGUUUGGGUCAUCCAAAGUAAUUGAGCACUACAUGAACUAGCGGCAAUGUAUUCCGCUUCGGCGGGUGAUAAGGAUACCGAGUUUUGUUUCUUGGAAUACCAAGAUACAAGAGAUCUACCAAGAAAUUGACAAGUACCCGAAGUGGACUUUCAAUCAACCUUGCACCAGCAUAGUCCGAGUCGGAGUAGCCAACAAGAUUAAAAGAGGCACUCUUUGGAUACCAAAUGCCAAAAUUUGGUGUAUGAAUUAAGUAUCUCACUAUCCUUUUCAUGGACUUAAGAUGACAUUCUUUAGGAGCGGCUUGAUAUCGUGCACACAUGCACACACUUAGCAUAAAAUCGGGAUGUGAAGCACAUAGAUAUAACAAUGAACCAAUCAUGGAGCGAUAAACCUUUUGAUCAACCGGUUCACCAUCUUUGGUCAAAUCAAGAUGUCCACUAGUAGGCAUGGGUGUAGUCAUAACUUUGCAUUCUUGCAUAUUGAACUUCUUGAAUAAGUCCUUGAUGUACUUUGUUUGAGAGACAAAUGUACCUUCCUUAGUUUGCUUGAUUUGCAAACCAAGAAAGAAUUUGAGUUCUCUCAUCAUCGACAUCUCAAACUUCUCCGACAUUAAUUAGCUUUCCAAAUUUUUCACUAAAGUGAGGGUUAGUCAAACCAAAUAUAAUAUCAUCAACAUGGAUUUGGCACACAAAUAGUUCUCCAUUAACCCUUUUAGUAAAAAGAGUAGAAUCAAUUUUUCCAAUUUCAAAGCCUUUUUCAAUAAGGAACUUGGUCAAGCAUUUAUACCAUGCUCUAGGAGCUUGUUUAAGUCCAUAAAGAGCUUUGUGAAGUUUCUAAACAUGAUUAGGUUUCUUAGAAUUGACAAAGCCAGGAGUUUUCUUAACAUAAACUUCCUCCUCUAUUUCACCAUUUAGAAAAGCCCUUUUAAUGUCCAUUUGGUACAAGGUGAUAUCAUGGUGAUUUGCAUAGGCAAGUAAGAUGUGAAUGGACUCAAGUCUAGCAACGGGAGCAUAAGUCUCAUCAUAGUCCAUACCUUCGACUUGAGUGUAGCCUUGGGCGACGAGACAUGCUUUGUUGCAGACUACUUGUCCAUCUUCAUCUUGCUUGUCACGAAACCCCCAUUUUGUACCGAUGAUGUUGUGGUUUUUAUCGAGCUUCUCAACCAAUGUCCAAACUUGAUUUCUCUCAAAGUUGUGUAGCUCUUCAUGCAUGGCGUUUAUCCAAUGCGCAUCUUCCAAAGCUUCUUCAACCUUCAUAGGUUCAAUACUAGAUAUGAAAGAAUAGUGUUCACAAAAGUUAGCUAAACGAAUUUUAGAGCGAGUGAUUCUCCCGUUUUGGAUAUAAUUGUUGAUUUGCUCGACUGGAUGGUCUUUAGCAAUUCUUGGUCGAACUUGUGAAAGCUUUUGCUUGGAUCUUGGUUGAACAUCUUCUUCAUCUUAUUCUUCUGCUUGGCCUUCUUCAUUGUUGGUGUUGUCGUUCUCUUGUCGUGGUGGAGAAGGAGGUUAUUGACGUUCAUCUUGGUGUACUUCCUUGUUUUCUUCAUCUUGGUGUGUCCCACUUGUGGAUGCUUCCGUAUCAACUCUUGGUUCACCUUGUCAUGAGGUAGAAGCUUCCACUUGGACGGACGAGGUACUCUCCUUCACCUCCGUUGGACGAAUCUUGCCAAUAGAUAAGUCUUGGAUUGAUUCUGAGGGGUCUUUGUCUCCUACAUCAAUCGGCAAUUGCUCUACUUGCGAGCCGUUAGAUUCAUCAAUCUUCACAUCUACCGUCUCUUCAACCUUUCGGGGGAAAUUGUUGUAGACACGGUAGGUGUGAGUGUUUGAGCCAUAACCAAGUAGGAAACCCUCAUGAGACUUAGGAGCAAAUUUAGAACGACAAUGCUUAUCAAGAAUGUAGCACUUUGAGCCGAAUACUCAAAAGUAUCCAACUUGGGGUUUGUUACCGGUGAGGAGAUCGUAUGCCGUCUUACCGAGUAGCUUGUGAAGAUACAAGCGAUUUGUUGCAUGACAAAAUGUCUCAACCGCUUCCGCCCAAAAGUGCUUCGGCAUCUUGUACUCAUCAAGCAUCGUUCGCGCCAUUUCAAUGAGUGUCCGGUUCUUCCUCUCAACAACUCCAUUUUGUUGAGAUGUGUACAUAGCCGAGAACUCAUGUGAAAUCCCUUCUUCGUCAAGAAAGGUGUCCACAUUUGCAUUCUUGAACUCCGUUCCAUUGUCGCUGUGAACCUUCUUGAUCUUCACUUCAAAUUUAUUUUGGGCCUUCCUAGCAAAGUUUUUGAAGGUUUUUUGGACCUGCGAUUUAUCAACGAGAAAGAACACCCACGUAAGUCUUGAAAAAUCAUCAACUAUAACUAGACCAAAAGAAUUUCCACCGAGACUUUUGUAGGCAUUGGGACCAAAAAGAUCUAUGUGAAGUAGCUCGAGUGGCCUCCUUGUGGUCAUGAUGUUCUUCACGGGAUGUCUUCCUCCCACCUGUUUACCUACUUGACAAGCGCUGCAUAGUCUAUCCUUAUCAAAUAUGACACCGUUAACGCCAAGGAUAUGAUUUCCUUUAAUAAGCUUGUCAAGAUUUCGCAUGCCAACAUGACCUAAUCGUCUAUGCCAUAACCAACCUUUAGAGGAUUUAGCGAUGAAGCAAGUUCUAGGUUGAGCCUUUUUAGUGAAAUCAACAAUGUAUAGAUCACCUCUACGUAUACCAGUAAAGACCAUUUUAUGAUUAUCCCUACGAAACACUUGGCAAUCUACUUUAGUAAAUAGGACAUUGAAACCGAAAUCAGCAAGCCUAGAUACUGAAAGUAAAUUGUAUCCAAGAGAUUCAACCAGCAUGAAAUUUUGUAUGGAGCUAUCAUGUGAUAUGGCCACCUUACCAAGGCCAACCACCUUCCCCUUUGAGUUGUCACCGAAAGUGACAUACUUUCGAGGACCGUCGUUUUCAGCAAGCUCACGAAACAUAUCUUUAUCUCUGGUCAUGUGAUCGGUACAUCCACUAUCAAGAACCCAUUCCUUUCCUCCUGCCAUAUAUCCCCGAAGAUUUGCCAUAAGACCAAAGUGUCUCAUUGCAUCAUCAAGAUCAAAGUCACUAUCAUCAUCUUCAUCAGAGUAUCGAUGUUCAACAUUGUCAUGUGGUGGAUUAAUUCCUAAAGAGGGUGAUUCAUUAGAGUGAGUUUGACAAUGAUCUCCUUUAUGAAUUCUAGUAGCUUCGGAGAUAAUAUCACUAAUGAUUCCAACACCUCCUUUGGCACGCAUAAGGUUGAUACGUCUCCAACGUAUCUACUUUUCCAAACACUUUUGCCCUUGUUGUGGACUCUAACUUGCAUGAUUUGAAUGAAACUAACCCGGACUAACGCUGUUUUCAGCAGAACUGCCAUGAUGUUGAUUUAUGUGUAGAAAAGAAAAGUUCUCGGAAUGUCCUGAAAAUCCACGGAGGCACUUUUUGGAAUUAAUAAGAAUUUCUGGGCGAAACAAAUACACCAGGGGCCCCACACCCUGUCCACGAGACAGGGGGGCGCCCCCCCUAUAGGGCGCACCCCCUUAUCUCGUGGGCCCCCUGGAUCUCCACCGACCUCAACUCCAACUCCAUAUCUUCCGUCUCGGGGACAAAAAAAUCAGAGAGAAAGUUUCAUCGCGUUUUACGACAUAGAGCCGCCGCCAAGCCCUAAUCUCUCUCGGGAGGGCUGAUCUGGAGUCUGUUCGGGGCUCCGGAGAGGGGGAUUCGUCGACAUCGUCAUCAUCAACCAUCCUCCAUCACCAAUUUCAUGAUGCUCACCGCCGUGCGUGAGUAAUUCCAUCAUAGGCUUGCUGGACGGUGAUGGGUUGGAUGAGAUUUACCAUGUAAUCAAGUUAGUUUUGUUAGGGUUUGAUCCCUAGUAUCCACUAUGUUCUGAUAUUGAUGUUGCUAUGACUUUGCUAUGCUUAAUGCUUGUCACUAGGGCCCGAGUGCCAUGAUUUCAGAUCUGAACCUAUUAUGUUUUCGUGAAUAUAUGUGUGUUCUUGAUCCUAUCUUGCAUGUCUGUAGUCACCUAUUAUGUGUUAUGAUCCGACAACCCCGAAGUGACAAUAAUCGGGAUACUUCUCGGUGAUGACCGUACUUUGAGGAGUUCAUGUAUUCACUACGUGUGAAUGCUUUGGUCCGGUUCUCUAUUAAAAGGAGGCCUUAAUAUCUCUUAGUUUCCACUAGGACCCCGCUGCCACGGGAGGGUAGGACAAAAGAUGUCAUGCAAGUUCUUUUCCAUAAGCACGCAUGACUAUUUAUGGAAUACAUACCUACAUUACAUUGAUGAAUUGGAGCUAGUUCUGUGUCACACUAUGUUAUAGCUAUUACAUGAGGAAUCGCAUCUGGCAUAAUUAUCCAUCACUGAUCCAUUGCCUACGAGCUUUUCACAUAUUGUUCUUCGCUUAUUUACUUUUCCGUUGCUACUGUUACAACUACUAUAAAAAAACCCAAAACUAUUAUCUUUACUUUUGCCCCCGUUACCAUUACUAUCAUACUACUUUGCUACUAAAUACUUUGCUGCAGAUAUUAAGCUAUCCAGGUGUGGUUGAAUUGACAACUCAACUGCUAAUACUCAAGAAUAUUCUUUGGCUCCCCUUGUGUCGAAUCAAUAAAUUUGGGUUGUACUUCACCCUCGAAAGCUGUUGCGAUCCCCUACACUUGUGGGUUAUCAAGACUAAUUUCUGGCGCCGUUGCCGGGGAGCAUAGCUCUAUUCUCUGAGUCACUUGGGAUUUAUAUAUGUUGAUCACUAUAAAGAACUUUAAAGACGCUAAAACUAAGAUUUAUCCCUCAACUACGAGGGGAGGUAAGGAACUGCCAUCUAGCUCUACACUAGAUUCUCCUUUUGUUAUGAGUAAGCUUGCGACACCUAAACCUGCUACUGCUAUGAAUUCUGAUAUGUCGCAUGUUAUUGAUGAUGCCACUUCUGCUAUGCAUGAUGAAACUACUUUUGUGCGUGAUACUACUUUUCCAUUAGGUGAAUUUCUUGAUGAACAACUUUCUAGAGUUAGGGGGAAUGAAAUUACUAAAGAUGUUAUUAUUGAUAAUAGUGAUGAUGAAAGUUCUCCCAAUGAUUAUGUAUUGCCAGUUGUUCCUGAGGUUUAUGUUAUGAAUGAAGAAGCUGCUAGAGCUAUCAUUGCUUGCAAUGAUAGAUAUGAUCUUAAGAAAUUAUUAGCUAAAUGGAAGCAACAGUCUCUUAAUGCUAGAAUGAAACAUGACCCUGCUUUUCCUACUUCACCUAUCUGUGUUACUGAUAAGGAUUAUGAAUUCUCUGUUGAUCCUGAGAUUAUUACUCAAGUUGAAUCUGAUCCAUUUCAUGGCCUUGAAUCUGAAACUGUUGUGGCACAUCUUACCAAGUUGAAUGAUAUAGCUCCCCUGUUCACGCAUGAUGAAAGAUCUCGCUAUUUUUAUAUCCUUAAGAUAUUUCCGUUCUCGCUAAAGGGUGAUGCUAAGACUUGGUAUAAUUCUCUUGCUCCUGGUUGUGUGCGUAGUCCCCAGGAUAUGAUUUAUUACUUCUCUGCUAAAUAAUUCCCUUCUCAUAAGAAACAAGCUGCCUUGCCGGAAAUAUAUAAUUUUGUGCAAAUUAAAGAAGAGAGUCUCCCACAAGCUUGGGGGAGGCUUCUCCGGUUACUUAAUGCUUUGCCUGAUCAUCCUCUCAAGAAAAAUGAAAUACUUGAUAUCUUUUAUAAUUGACUAACUGAUGCUUCCAAGGACUACUUGGAUAGUUGUGUUGGUUGUGUUUUCAGGGAAAGAACAGUCGACGAAGCUGAAUUACUAUUGAAUAAUAUGUUGACUAAUGAAAAUAAUUGGACUCUUCCUGAGCCAAUUCCUGAGGCAAUUUCUGAACCAAUUGAGCCAAAUCCUGAGUGUGACGCCCCCGAUUCAAUCGUACACUAAUCAUGCAUGCAAACAUGUACGAUCAAGAUCAGGGACUCACGGGAAGAUAUCACAACACAACUCUGAAAGCAUAAAUAAGUCAUACAAGCAUCAUAAUACAAGCCAGGGGCCUCGAGGGCUCAAAUACAAGUGCUUGAUCAUAGACGAGUCAGCGGAAGCAACAAUAUCUGAGUACAGACAUAAGUUAAACAAGUUUGCCAUAAGAUGGCUAACACAAACUGGGAUACAAUCGAAAGAGGCGCAGGCCUCCUGCCUGGGAUCCUCCUAACUACUCCUGGUCGUCGUCAGCGGGCUGCACGUAGUAGUAGGCACCUCCAGUGUAGUAGGAGUCGUCGUCGAAUGUGGCGUCUGGCUCCUGGACUCCAGCAUCGGGUUGCGGCAACUAGGUAGAAGGUAAAGGGGGAAAAGGGGGAGAAAAGCAACCGUGAGUACUCAUCCAAAGUACUCGCAAGCAAGGAGCUACACUACAUAUGCAUGGGUAUAUGUGUAAAGGGCCAUAUCAGUGGACUGAACUACAGAAUGCCAGAAUAAGAGGGGGAUAACUAAUCAUGUCGAAGACUACGCUUCUGGCAGCCUCCGUCUUGCAGCAUGUAGAAGAGAGUAGACUGAAGUCCUCCAAGUAGCAUCGCAUAGCAUAAUCCUACCCGGCGAUCCUCUCCUUGUCGCCCUGUUAGAGAGCGAUCACCGGGUUGUAUCUGGCACUUGGAAGGGUGUGUUUUAUUAAGUAUCCGGUUCUAGUUGUCAUAAUGUCAAGGUACAACUCCAAGUCGUCCUGUUACCGAAGAUCACGGCUAUUCAAAUAGAUUAACUUCCCUGCAGGGGUGCACCACAUAACCCAACAUGCUCGAUCCCAUUUGGCCGGACACACUUUCCUGGGUCAUGCCCGGCCUCGGAAGAUCAACACGUCGCAGCCCCACCUAGGCACAAUAGAGAGGUCAGCACACCGGUCUAAACCUAAGCGCACAGGGGUCUGGGCCCAUCGCCCUUAGCACACCUGCACGUUGCGUACGCGGCCGAAAGUAGAACUAGCCCCCUUAAUACAAGAGCAGGCUUACGUUCCAAUCCGGCGCGCGCCGCUCAGUUGCUGACGUCACGAAGGCUUCGGCUGAUACCACGACACCGAGUGCCCAUAACUGUUCCCGCGUAGUUGGUUAGUGCGUAUAGGCCAGUCGCCAGACUCAGAUCAAAUACCAAGGAUCUCGUUAAGCGUGUUAUUAUGAAGUAACCGCGAACGCCAACCAGGGCCAGGCCCACCUCUCGCCUAGGUGGUCUCAACCUGCCCUGUCGCUCCGCCACAAAGUAUCAGUCGGGGGCCGUCGGGAGCCCAGGCCCACCUCUACCGGGAUGGAGCCACCUGUCCUUCCAGCCCCCACAUCAGAAUCACCUGCGGGUACUCAACGAGCUGACCCGACUUUAGUCACCAUCUGUAAAGCAUGUACGUAUGUAUAGUAUAUACCCGUGAUCACCUUCCAAGUGAUCACGACCCGAUAGUAUAGCAAGGCAGACUAACAAGAAUGUAGGGCCAAUGAUGAUAAACUAGCAUCCUAUACUAAACAAUUAGGAUUGCGGGUAAGGUAUCAAUGACUGUAGCAACAAUGACAGGCUAUGCAUUAGAAUAGGAUUAAUCAAAACAGUAACAUGGUACACUACUCUAAUGCAAGCAGUAGAGAGUAGAAUAGGCGAUAUCUGGUGAUCAAAGGGGGGGCUUGCCUGGUUGCUCUGGCAAGGAGGGGUCGUCAACUCCGUAGUCGAACUGGGGGUCGCCGGUAGUCUCGGGGUCUACCGGAAAGAAGUAACGGAGGGGGAACACAAUAAAUAACAGAGCAGUCAAAGCAUCACAAAGCGUAACAAGAUAAUACGCGGUGUUCGGUGUGCCCUAACGCGGUAGUAGGUGAUAUCGGUGAAGGGGGAAAACAUCCUUGAAAGUAUCCCCAGUGAUUCGCAUUUUCGGACAGAUGAACCGGAGGGGGAAAGUUGCGACUUUGCUAUGCUAGGGAUAUGUGGCGGAUGAACGGGUUGUGUAUCUGAAUUCGUCUCGUCGUUCUAAGAAACUUUCAUGUAGAAAACAUUUUCAUCUAAGCUACGGUUUAUUUUCUAUUAAUUUUUAAAGUUUUAAAUCAUUUUCUAGAAUUAACAGAUUAUUUUAAUUCAAAAUUGCAUUUAUGAUGUCAGCAUGACAUCAGCGGUCAGCUUUGACCUUUGACGAGUCAAGCUGACGGGUGGGUCCCGCUUAUCAUUGAUUGAGACUAAGUAAUCAGGAUUAACUAGAUUAGUUAGAUGAUUAGGUUAAUUAAUUGCAAUUAAUUAAGUUAAUUAACUUAGUUAACUAAUUAAUUCAUGAAUUAGUUAAUUAAUUAAAUUAUAUUUUUAUUAUUAUUACUAUUAUUAUUAUUACUUAAUUUUAAUCUCUUUUAAAAAAAAUUGUUCUGUGGUGGACCCCACAUGUCAAUGGCCCUAGGGGCCUUAGCGGGCACAGGGCAGUGCGGGCGCAGGGGCACGUCCACGAGCGCCCGAUAGGGAGCCUGGGCGCUGGCCUCUGGCGAGACCAACGGCGCGGUCACCGGCGCCCACGAUGCCGGCCAGGGAAGGCGACGGAGGUGCGGGACUAAGGUGAGGGGAGCAGGGCGGGGUCAGAGCGCCGGAGUUGGCCGCAGGCAUGGCGGCGUCACCGGCGCAGGGUGUGCAGGAGCGGGGCGUCAGGCGCGUUCACGAGGAGGGGCGAGCAAAGGCGGGAGCGCCGUCGCGCGCGCGCAGUCGACGCGGGCGGCGGGCAACGCAUAGGGACGGCAAAGGCGAGGGCCGGUGCGGGGGCCGCGGUGAGCGCGUGCUACGUAGAGCGUGAGCUCCGGCACACGGGCAAGUGCGCGAAGGCGAGGCCGUGGGUGCGGCGCCCGAGGGCAGAGGGGAAGAGGCCGGGGGCCUCACCGCGGGGCGUAGGGACCAAGGCAGCGGGUGUCGAGCAGGAGGUCGGAGACGGCGUGACAGAGAGGAAGCAGGCCGUUGAGGUGGAGGAGGCAGUCCGACGGGGUAGUGUGGUGGCGCGGGGGCGCCAACGUUCGGCGGCGAUGAGCGGUGGGGGANNNNNNNNNNNNNNNNNNNNNNNNNNNNNNNNNNNNNNNNNNNNNNNNNNNNNNNNNNNNNNNNNNNNNNNNNNNNNNNNNNNNNNNNNNNNNNNNNNNNNNNNNNNNNNNNNNNNNNNNNNNNNNNNNNNNNNNNNNNNNNNNNNNNNNNNNNNNNNNNNNNNNNNNNNNNNNNNNNNNNNNNNNNNNNNNNNNNNNNNNNNNNNNNNNNNNNNNNNNNNNNNNNNNNNNNNNNNNNNNNNNNNNNNNNNNNNNNNNNNNNNNNNNNNNNNNNNNNNNNNNNNNNNNNNNNNNNNNNNNNNNNNNNNNNNNNNNNNNNNNNNNNNNNNNNNNNNNNNNNNNNNNNNNNNNNNNNNNGGGGGCGAAUGGGUGUCGGUGGGGCUAGGGUUUCGUGAGUGGGGGGAUAUGGGGAGUGAGGGGUGGCUGGUUGGGCCGGCCUGGUGGGUCGUGGCCCAGUUGGGCCAGUGGCCUGCUGGGCCAGAGCCCCGGGGGGGUGAGUGCUUUCUCUUUUAUUUAUUUUUGUUUUAUUUUAUAUUUCUGUUUUACUGUUUUUAUUUUAGUUUCCUUUUGAAUUUGGUUUUAUAAACUACACCACUGGUUCCUAAUUUAGUUUUAAUAAGUAUGCCACUGCCCCAUAAGUUUUUGCCAAUAAAACAAUUAGUUUAAUAUUUUAUCAAAUUGAAAAGUGUAGUCAGUUAAAUGUUUUGCUGCUGUUUUAAAUAUUAUAGUGCACUUAAACCUUUUAUAAAAUUGUGGUUUCUCCAUAGUAAUUACCUAUGCAUUAUUUGGCAACACCCCAAUAUUUUAGUUUUAAUAUUUGAAAGUAUUUUAUUGUUUGCUUGAUUUUGAAUUUGAAUUCGAAUAGGUUUUGAACUAACGCGAGAUUAGUCACAAUAAUCGAGGUGACAUGGCAUCAUUAGAGAAGGGUUACUGUAGCUUAAUUAUCCGGACGUCACAAUUCUCCUCCACUACAAGAAAUCUCGUCCCGAGAUUUAAGAGGUGGAUGACGGGGAAAGGUCUGGUUACGAAAUUCUAACGAAUCUUCUCGGCCUUGGUUGCUCUUCUCGAAGAGGCUGGUCCAAUACAUUGAUGUCUUGAUUUCUCUGCUUCAGGUCAUCAUGAUGAAGUCGGCGUGUUUUCUUCAAGAACUCCAUCGUACUUACGAAAGAAUAAAGGGUGGGCAUACCGGGAGAAUAGAACUCUGCAAGGUCAACUAUGUGGUCGAUAACAUCGAGGAAGGUGGCGAAAGUAACUCUCGAGUUGAAACUUACAAAAAUAUCGACAACAAAGUAAGGAGGUAUCAUGGGAAGUUUCGAGCGGGCAGGUAAUCGUUCGAUGCCUGAAACAGGGCUCGAAUGGGGCUCAAAGCAAUCGGGAAUAAGUAUUGUGUCCGGUAACAGAUUGGAUGAUCUCUCGGAAGGUGGCUCCUGAAUUACAUACGAGGCCACGUGCGAGGAAGAACCUUGGGAACAGGGGGUGCAGGAGAGUCAAGUUUCGAUCCUGUGAAACUGUGGGUUAUGGGCCCACCAUGUGGAUUAAAAGUAGGAGGAACGGUGACAUCUUGCACGGUCAUGACAGCAAGGCAUGUCCAAGGGUAGCAUGCCAGUUAUGUCGGCAACAACGUCGGUACCAAGGGCGAGGGACGAAGAGAACCAUUUUCCUGCUCGUUGAAUGAGGCGGACCAAUAGGCAAGGUUCUCGUCCAUCGGUGGCUACCGGAAUGUCAUCAACAGUAGUAACAGGGUCUUACUGACAGAGUGGUGCAACAAGGUGCUUACCUAAGCAAGGAAAUGUCACUGCUCAGUAAAGUUAGACUACUGGAAAGGUUAAACAAUACAAUGGAAAGGAUAGUAUGAUUAUCAGAUUAAACAGAACAAUGGAAAGGAAAAUGUGUUUAAACACAUAUUUUGGGGGUAUAUCCUUCCCAAGGACAAGAAGAGCAUGAUAACCAUGAUAGGAUAUUAUGUAGAAAACCCUCUAGGUGAGGGGAGAGAAAUUUCAUGACAUUACCCAUACAACGGUGUUUGGAUAAUUGAGCAAGAAACAUUUAGCAUUGGGCUUCAAAUGUUCUUAAUGAUGUUCGAAGUACCACAGUCAUGCUUCGGGAUAGCCUGGACAUGGUCGGCAAGCAAAGGCCGGACUUUGGAUAAAGGGAGGAUCCAUCAGGAACAACUUGUAGAAUAAGUCUUACAAUUUCCUCAUUUAAGAAUGGAUAACCUUGCAGAAAAGGAAUCUAUAACAAUAGGGCCUCCAGCCAGGUGUGCUAGGCAUGACAUCACCUUACCGGGUCAUGUAAAGAUGUUUAUAACUCCUGGAAAUAUGUUCCAACCAUCAUACCUGACCGAGAUUCAGAUCUGAUUGGUGUCAGGAUACCUCAGACUAAGGAUGUCCGAGAAGAAAAGGUGUGACACGAAUUGGCGAAAUGACAUUGCAAGAUUCUCGGGAAAUGAACUAUGGGAGCGGGUUCCUGAAACAAUAGUUCAUCAUUAAACCAAGGAGGGAAUGAGGAGGUGGCUGAUGGGCUCAGCGACAAUUCAUUGAGAAUUCCAAACGGAUGGAUUUCCACAAUAAUGUGAUCAAGAAGAUGACACUUGUCAAUUCAAAUGAUUUAAUGUUGUCUGCUCGAGGGAAAACAUACACCAUCAAUCAUUAGUUGAAAGGUGUACCCGAAAUAUGGCCAUAGGCAGCAAGAUCAACAUUAGAAUGAUGAUUUAGUAACCAACAGUCUAAGAACGAACUGUCGAUCAUUAACUUCAAAGCAAUAGGGUUGCUAGAAGUACAUAACUCAAGCAACAUCAUUAUCAUAUUGGUAUGCCGGUUAAAAACAACACGGAGACCAAGGAAGAAUGGUGAUGGUGAAAAGUAUCAUCAUACCGAGAAUUUCUAAGAGGUGGAGCAAUCCCCACAACAUUCUCGACCUAAAAGACAGUAAUACUUUAAGGCAGAACACAACACUAGCUGGAUAGCAAGGAUCUCAAGGUACAACACAAAACAUGAACAAGUUUGUGUUGAAGGGAAAGCAAGAAUGUUGCCGAUGAUGACACCAAUUAUCAAGGGGCAAGGAUGGUAUUUCUCAUCAUGAAUACAAUUGAUAUCUUGGAGGAACUCAGAAUGUUGAUGAUGAUCAUGAUAAAUUUUGACGAGAGGUUUCAUGGAGAUGUAAUCGGUCGGCUAUGACAUCAAGUCAAAGGAAUGAUGGAGCAAAAUGUUCUUGGGACCAUGAGUACGACACAAACUCAAAUUAAAGCUUGUCGUUCAAGGUGGAACGAUAAGAUGAGCAAAUCGGCAUAAGCUUAGCUCAUCAUCGAAAGUUGCGCUCCGGAAUUAAGGGCCCGGUAGCACAGUUAAAAUUAGCACAAUAAUGAUGUAGCCGAUCAGGCUAGGAAUGACUUGAAGGAUUAAUAAACUCAUAAACAACAAAGAUUAUUUAGAGUUAUUGAAUCGGAGUGCAGAAGUGAUUCACUUAUCAGUGUUCUCGGUGGACGACAACCCAGAACCCAGGAAAAGUAGAAUCGGUGAGAAAUAACAGUUGAUGAAGAACCCAUAAGAAGUUAUGCAGUAGAUAAAAGUAAAGAUUGGGCAGGUGCAAUGAUCUGCAGAAGACAAGUACUUCACAUUGUUCGAGAAAUGGUAUUUAAAAGGAGAACAUGGCCAGAACCACGAUUGCAAAAUGCCAGAUCCCAGAUAUAAGAUAAACUUAUACCAAGGGAAUAUUUAAUUGAAGAGAAGUUUUAAUGAUACAAUCUACAUCAUGCCCAUGGGCAUGAACACAAAGUUCAAGGUCGACUCCCACUUCUCCAAUGCAUAACGUUUCAUUCACUUCUCAUUUUCGAAUAAGUUGUAGUGCUGAAAUUUUAUCUGGCGAAGCACCAGAAGAGUAUGGCUCGUGAAAACUUUCGAGUUCACACUUUUUAAGGAAGGCAUAGGUUCAACCCAUCAGGGUAUCAUGGAAACAUACCACAAGUUUCAAAAGUAAAUACACAAGCUCGAAAGAAGAGCAUGGUUGGCCAAGCAAAGGAUACAAUUUACCAAAGGCACUAUGUAUCAGGGGAAGAACUCACAAGGUGAUUGAAUAUGAAGGAUGUUGUCAGAUAAAAAUCCAACAAUGGAUCCGGCGAUCCACAAUGGAGCUGAUGUGAGUAUUGAUACUCACUCAAAGGAAGAAAUAAUGCAGAGGCAUCAAAUUCAAGAAUCACCUGAUUAGUCUAAUGAUUAAAUAGAAAGAAAUUAUGGUUUCCAAAACGAAGGACCAGAAGCAGACGCUCUGAUGAAGGAUUGAUAAGUUGAAAACACUUAGCUGGACAAUCAAUAAGGUUUGAAUUGCCGAGAACCAACUCAUGUCCGGAAUGACGUCUGAGUCAGAAAGAUAAUUUUUUAAAAAGGAUAACUCAUUAUCGAGGACUACUAGUCAUAUGGAAUUAACCAUAAUGCAAGCAGGCAAGAAUUUCAAAAAUAACAGGUUGUAGAGGAUUUUCGAAAGAUCAAAAAGUAUUCCGAAGAAUUUUGUGUGACACAUUAAUCAUCUGGGGAUGAGCGGAUACUCAAUAAGUGCGAGAAAUUAUCUAUAGGGGUAUUCAGGUGGCAAGAACUGCAAGGUAGUAGGCACAAAAUAUUCUCGGAACAAUAGAGAGGAUUUCAGGGUAUCUUGUAAUAACAAGAUCAACUAGGAAUAAAAGUAAGAACGACAAGUGUGUAUAUUUAUCUAUAGGGAUAUUUCGGUGGUAGGGAAUUGCAAAAGCAACGGGAACAAAGUCUCAAAAGAGUAUCGGAGAGUAACUUCGAAAUCUUCUGGUGCAGUCGACGAUCAUCUGGACUGAAGGGGCUCUCCGGGAGAAAGUGUUUUCGAGAACCUAAAGUUAGAUUUUUAGAAAAUCAUUUAACCCGAAUAGAGGAGAGAUUAGAGUCCCAGAGUGCAGGUCGGGGAAUAAAAGAUCCUAAUACCACCCAGUUGGCGACGUGGGCCCAUGGGCCACACAGCCAAGUUAGUAAAACAAUUUUCAUCGACUAGACUCAACUUCGGCCAAGGAGUUGGAAAGGGGGAUUCCUACAGGCAGGUGGCUCUGAUACCAACUUGUGACGCCCCCGAUUCAAUCGUACAGUAAUCAUGCACGCAAACGUGUAUGAUCAAGAUCAGGGACUCACGGGAAGAUAUCACAACACAACUCUAAAAACAUAAAUAAGUCAUACAAGCAUCAUAAUACAAGCCUAGGGCCUCGAGGGCUCGAAUACAAGUGCUCGAUCAUAGACGAGUUAGCGGAAGCAACAAUAUCCGAGUAUAGACAUAAGUUAGACAAGUUUGCCAUAAGAUGGCUAGCACAAACUGGGAUACAAUCGAAAGAGGCACAUGCCUCCUGCCUGGGAUCCUCCUAACUACUCCUGGUCAUCGUUAGCGGGCUGCACGUAGUAGUAGGCACCUCCAGUGUAGUAGGAGUCGUCAUCGAAUGUGGCGUCUGGCUCCUGGACUCCAGCAUCUGGUUGCAGCAACCAGGUAGAAGGGAAAGGGGGAAAAGGGGGGAGAAAAGCAACCAUGAGUACUCAUCCAAAGUACUCGCAAGCAAGGAGCUACACUACAUAUGCAUGGGUAUAUGUGUAAAGGGCCAUAUCAGUGGACUGAACUGCAGAAUGCCAGAAUAAGAGGGGGACAACUAAUCCUGUCGAAGACUACGCUUCUGGCAGCCUCCAUCUUGCAGCAUGUAGAAGAGAGUAGACUGAAGUCCUCCAAGUAGCAUCGCAUAGCAUAAUCCUACCCAGCGAUCCUCUCCUCGUCGCCCUGUUAGAGAGCAAUCACCGGGUUGUAUCUGGCACUUGGAAGGGUGUUUUUUAUUAAGUAUCCAGUUCUAGUUGUCAUAAGGUCAAGGUACAACUCCAAAUCGUCCUAUUACCGAAGAUCACGACUAUUCGAAUAGAUUAACUUCCCUGCAGGGGUGCACCACAUAACCCAACACGCUCGAUCCCAUUUGGCCGGACACACUUUCCUGGGUCAUGCCCGGCCUCGGAAGAUCAACACGUCGCAGCCCCACCUAGGCACAAUAGAGAGGUCAGCACGCCGGUCUAAACCUAAGCGCACAGGGGUCUGGGCCCAUCGCCCUUAGCACACCUGCACGUUGCGUACGCGGCCGGAAGCAGAACUAGCCCCCUUAAUACAAGAGCAGGCUUACGUUCCAAUCCGGUGCGCGCCGCUUAGUUGCUGACGUCACGAAGGCUUCGACUGAUACCACGACGCCGAGUGCCCAUAACUGUUCCCGCAUAGUUGGUUAGUGCGUAUAGGCCAGUGGCCAGACUCAGAUCAAAUACCAAGAUCUCGUUAAGCGUGUUAUUAUGAAGUAACCGCGGACGCCGACCAGGGCCAGGCCCACCUCUCGCCUAGGUGGUCUCAACCUGCCCUGUCGCUCCGCCACAAAGUAUCAGUCGGGGCCGUCGGGAGCCCGGGCCCACCUCUACCAGGAUGGAGCCACCUGUCCUUCCAGCCCCCACAUCGGAAUCACCUGCGGGUACUCAACGAGCUGACCCGACUUUAGUCACCAUCUGUAAAGCAUGCAUGUAUGUAUAGUAUAUACCCGUGAUCACCUCCCAAGUGAUCACGGCCCGAUAGUAUGGCAAGGCAGACUGACAAGAAUGUAGGGCCAAUGAUGAUAAACUAGCAUCCUAUACUAAACAAUUAGGAUUGCGGGUAAGGUAUCAAUGACUGUAGCAACAAUGACAGACUAUGCAUCAGAAUAGGAUUAAUCGAAACAGUAACAUGCUACACUACUCUAAUGCUAGCAGUAGAGAGUAGAAUAGGCGAUAUCUAGUGAUCAAAGGGGGGGCUUGCCUGGUUGCUCUGGCAAGGAGGGGUCGUCAACUCCGUAGUCGAACUGGGGGUCGCCGGCAGUCUCGGGGUCUACCGGAAAGAAGUAACGGAGGGGGAACACAAUAAAUAACAGAGCAAUCAAAGCAUCACAAAGCGUAACAAGACAAUACACGGUGUUCGGUGUGCCCUAACGCGGUAGUAGGUGAUACCGGUGAAGGGGGAAAACAUCCGGGAAAGUAUCCCCGGUGAUUCGCAUUUUCGGAUAGAUGAACCGGAGGGGGAAAGUUGCGAGUUUGCUAUGUUAGGGAUAUGUGGCAGAUGAACGGGCUGUGUACCUGAAUUCGUCUCGUCGUUCUAAGCAACUUUCAUGUAGAAAACAUUUUCAUCUGAGCUACGGUUUAUUUUCUUUUAAUUUUUAAAGUUUUAAAUCAUUUUCUAGAAUUAAUAGAUUAUUUUAAUUCGAAAUUGCAUUUAUGAUGUCAGCAUGACAUCAGUGGUCAGCUUUGACCUUUGACCCGUUAAGCUGACGGGUGGGUCCCGCUUAUCAUUGAUUGAGACUAACUAAUCAGGAUUAACUAGAUUAGUUAGAUGAUUAGGUUAAUUAAUCACAAUUAAUUAAGUUAAUUAACUUAAUUAAUUAGUUAAUUAAUUAAUUAGUUAAUUAAUUAAAUUAUAUUUUUAUUAUUAUUACUAUUAUUAUUACUUAAUUUAAUCUCUUUUAAAAAAAACUGUUUUGGGCCGGGCCCCACAUGUCAAUGGCCCUAGGGGCCUUAGCGGGCACAGGGCGGUGCGGGCGCAGGGGCACGUCCACGAGCGCCCGAUAGGGAGCCCGGGCGCUGGCCUCUGGCGAGACCAACGGCGCGGUCACCGGCGCCCACGACGCCGGCCAGGGAAGGCGACGGAGGUGCGGGACUAAGGCGAGGGGAGCAAGGCGGGGUCAGAGUGUCGGAGUUGGCCGCAGGCAUGGCGGCGUCGCCGGCGCAGGGUGUGCAGGAGCGAGGCGUCGGGCACGUUCACGAGGAGGGGCGAGCAAAGGCGGGAGCGCCGUCGCGCGCGCGCAGUCGACGCAGGCGGCGGGUGAUGCACAAGGACGACAGAGGCGAGGGCCGGUGCGAGGGCCGCGGUGAGCGCGUGCUGCCCAGAGCGUGAGCUCCGGCAUGUGGGCAAGUGCGCGAAGGCGCGGCCGUGGGUGCGGCGCGCGAGGGCAGAGGGGAAGAGGCCGGGGGCCUCACCGCGGGGCGUAGGGACCAAGGCAGCGGGUGUCGAGGAGGAGGUCGGAGACGGCGUGACGGAGAGGAAGCAGACCGUUGAGGUGGAGGAGGCAGUCCGAUGGGGUANNNNNNNNNNNNNNNNNNNNNNNNNNNNNNNNNNNNNNNNNNNNNNNNNNNNNNNNNNNNNNNNNNNNNNNNNNNNNNNNNNNNNNNNNNNNNNNNNNNNNNNNNNNNNNNNNNNNNNNNNNNNNNNNNNNNNNNNNNNNNNNNNNNNNNNNNNNNNNNNNNNNNNNNNNNNNNNNNNNNNNNNNNNNNNNNNNNNNNNNNNNNNNNNNNNNNNNNNNNNNNNNNNNNNNNNNNNNNNNNNNNNNNNNNNNNNNNGUAUCCCAAUCCAGAUCCAGAACGACGAGGGGGAGUGGGGGGGGUGAAUGGGUGUCGGUGGGGCUAGGGUUUCGUGAGUGGGGGGAUAUGGGGAGUGAGGGGUGGCCGGUUGGGCCGGUCUGGUGGGUCGUGGCCCAGUUGGGCCGGUGGCCUGCUGGGCCGGAGCCCCGGGGGGUGAGUGCUUUCUCUUUUAUUUAUUUUUGUUUUAUUUUAUAUUUCUAUUUUAUUGUUUUUAUUUUCGUUUCCUUUUGAAUUUUGUUUUAUAAACUACACCACUGGUUCCUAAUUUAGUUUUAAUAAGUAUGCCACUUCCCCAUAAGUUUUUGGCAAUAAAACAAAUAGUUUAAUAUUUUAUCAAAUUGAAAAGUGUAUUUAUUUAAAUGUUUUGCUGCUGUUUUAAAUAUUAUAGUGCACUUAAACCUUUUAUAAAAUUGUGGUUUCUCCAAAAUAAUUACCUAUGCAUUAUUUGGCAACAACCCAGUAUUUUAGUUUUAAUAUUUGAAAAUAUUUUAUUGUUUGCUUGAUUUUGAAUUUGAAUUCGAAUAGGUUUCGAACUAACGCGAGAUUAGUCACAAUAAUCGAGGUGACGUGGCAUCAUUAGCGAAGGGUUACUGUAGUUUAAUUAUCUGGGUGUCACACUGAGCCUAUUCCUAAACCUACUCCGAAGAAGAGAGGUGUUUUAUUUCUCAGCCCUGAAGAUAUGCAAGAGGCAAAGAAAUCAAUGAAACAAAAAGGUAUUAAAGCUGAAGAUGUUAAGAAUUUACCACCUAUUGAAGAAAUACAUGGUCUUAAUAUACCGCGUGUUGAAGAACCACAUUGUCUUGAUAACCCGACACAGGCAGUAAAGGUAAAUUCUCUCUAUAGAUAUGAUAAAGUUGAAAUCCCCUCUACUAAAUUUCAUAGCCCUUGCUUAGAUGGAUUUGAUGACUUUAUGGCUAGACAAGAAAGUUUUAAUGCUUAUGUUGGUAGAGAGUUAAAGAAUAAUGCUUUCGAGAUAGGACGUGUGAGCGAUAACUUGGCUAGAGUUAAAGGUGAACUUCAACUCAUUAGCAAAUAUGCGUCUAUGGUUGCUACUCAAGCUUAGCAAGUACUUAAAGCUCAAAAUGAUUUGCUUGAGGAAUUAAAUAAUAAAAAUGACUUUGCUGUUAGAGUGGCUACUAGAACUGGUAGAAUGACUCAGGAACCUUUGUAUUCUAAAGGCCACCCUAAGGGAAUCGAACAAGAUUCUCAGAGAGAUAAUUUAGAGGCACCUAGUUCUUCCAAAAAGAAGAAAAAGAAAAAUGAUAGGACUUUGCAUGCUUCUAGUGAACCUACUGUAGACACACCUGAGAAUCCCAAUGAUAUUUCUAUCUCUGAUGCUGAAACACAAUCAGGUGAUAAACAUGAACCUAGUGAUAAUGUUAAUGAUAAUGUUCAUGUUGAUGCUCAACCCAGCAAAAACAAUGAAGUAGAGGUUGAACCUGCUGUUGAUCGUGAUAACCCACAAUCAAAGAAUCAAUGUUAUGAUAAGAGAGAUUUUGUUGCUAGGAAGCACGGUAGAGAAAGAGAACCAUGGGUUCAGAAAACCGUGCCCUUUCCUCCUAAACCAUCCAAGACAAAGGAUGAUGAGGAUUUUGAGCGCUUUGCUGAAAUGAUUAGACCUAUUUUCUUACGUAUGCCCUUAACUGAUAUGCUUAAAGUAAAUCCUUAUGCUAAGUAUAUGAAGGAUAUCAUUACAAAUAAAAGAAAGAUACCGGAAGCUGAAAUUUCCACCAUGCUUGCUAAUUACACCUUUAAGGGUGGAAUACCAAAGAAACUUGGAGAUCCAGGGGUACCGACUAUACCAUGCUCCAUUAAACGAAACUAUGUUAGAACUGCUUUAUGUGAUCUUGGAGCCGGUGUUAGUGUGAUGCCUCUCACUUUAUAUCAUAGACUUGAAUUGAAUAAGUUGACACCUACUGGAAUAUCUUUGCAAAUGGCGGAUAAAUCAACUGCUAUACAUGUCGGUAUUUGUGAGGAUGUGCCUAUUGUGGUUGCAAAUGUCACUAUCUUAACGGACUUUGUUAUUCUUGAUAUUCCCGAGGACGAUAGUAUGUCUAUUAUCCUUUGUAGACCUUUUCUGAAUACUGCAAGGGCUGUUAUUGAUUGCAACAAAGGCAAUGUCACUUUUCAUGUUAAUGGUAAUGAGCAUACGGUAGACUUUCCGAGGAAACAAUCUCAAGUUCAUAGCAUUAAUUCUAUUGGAAAAGUUCCAACUAUCAUUAUUGGAGGUUUUGAAUUUCCACUCCCUACUAUCAAGAAAAAGUAUGAUAUUCUUAUUGUUGGGGAUUUUCAUAUCCCCGUUGAGGUAACUUAGUGUUAUUCGAAAUUUCUCCGGUUUCGUAUUAUUCGGAAUGAGUUUGUUAACAAGACUUGAUCAACCUUGUUAGUGGAUUCAUUUUGGUGAUCAUGAGAUGGAUGAAACUAGAAGGCACAACCUUCUAUACCCUCUUUUUACUUUCUGUUAUUUAAAAUAAAUAAAGCAAAAAUAGUAUUAUCUGCCUAUUUUCUGAUUUUUCUGUGCAAUAAAAAAAUAUCCCGAAAAUAAAAGUGCUCCAAAUGCCCUGCAAAUUUAGUAUGACUUUUUAUGGAAUAUUUGAGGAUUUUAGGCGCCGAAAUCACUACAGGAGGGGCAAGCACCAGGCCACGAGAGUGGAGGGCAUGCCCCCUGUCUCAUGGGCCCCUGGUGGCCCCCCCUCCACUUAUGCCAGCACCCACACAGUUCUUCUUCUACCCAAAAAAAUUCCCAUCCAGCUCAAGCACGAGUUCUAGCUCAUUUUGCUGCGAUUUUCGAUCUUCUUGCUCAAAGCUCCAUUCACAAAACUACUUUGGGAGAUUGUUGCUUGGUAUGUGACUCCUCCAUUAGUCCAAUUAGUUUUUGUUCUAGUGCUUUAUUCAUUGCAAAUUCUUCCUGCUUAGGUGACCCUGUUCUUGAGCUUGCAUGUUAAAUUUAUGAGGUUCCAAGUAAUUCUGAUGCAUGACAUAGGCUCUAGGCACUUUUAGGAGUAGUUGCUACCAUUCUUGUUAAGUUUUAUUCACUUUUAUUUUGAAGUUACUAAAAUUUCAGAAAUUUUCAGAGAAUGUUAAGGAAAUUUUUGAGGGGCUCUUCUAGCCAAGGCUCUCAGGAAAAACAAGCCAAAGAGAAGGAAAAAGCCAAGUAUAAUCUUCCUCACUUAGCGGAAGUGCGGUCGUGUGAAUGGCCAUGCAAUGAUUUCUUGAAAGAAGCCGGAAUUCAUGAAGAUUUUUAUUCUUUGAUCGAUAUUGCAGGCCUCACCGGUUUCAUCAACGACCGGAUUGAUCAGUAUCUCUUACUCACUAAUACUUUCGUGCAAAACUUUUAUUAUUAUCCUAAGAAGUCACCGCCUACAGUAUCAUUUCAUUUAUAUGAUGAAUUCAGAGAAAUGUCUUUACGUAAUUUUUGCACGGUGUGUAGGAUACCUUAUGAGGGAGAAUUAGAGGAACCCCAUCGUAAAGAUGUGGAUGGCUUUGUUAACACCAUAGCUGUAGAGGAGCCAAAGAAGGGUUCCGAGGCAAAAGUCUCUAGCAUACACUUCCCUGUUUUACACUAUUUUUCCAUAUUUGCUAGUAGAUGCUUGAUUGGUCAUGGAAAUAGUGGAAGCUUAAGUGUUCCUGAUAUUAUCAUUCUUUAACAUGCCUUGCUUGGAGACAAUACUUUUAGUAUGGUCGCCGUCGUUGCUAAACGGGUAGCCCUGAAUCGUACAAAUGGCCCCAUAUUUGGAGGUAUCUAUAUUUUACGCCUUGCUAGGAAUUUUCAGAUACCCAUUAGGCAUCUUGAGAAAGAGGAGACAAUAUUGCCUCCUCACAUUUUAGAUUACAAGAGCAUGGUAGAACACAAGCUUAUUGUCGACAACGAAGAGAGGAUGCUCUUGUAUAAUCUUAGAUUCAAUAAGAAACACAUUGAGAUUUUUAUUUUGCCUGCACCUCUGUUGUUUGAUUUGCUUGUAGAAAAUUAUCUCGUCACAUCGGAAGCGGUGAACAUUCAUCGAGCUCAAGCUUUUACUCCAGAACCUAAACCUAAGCCGAAACCUGAACUGGACCCUUAUUGUGCAUCAUCUGUCCAAUGGGAUCCGGAGAUGACCAGCCAGUGGUAUCCUGAUUACACCUCACACUACACCGGGGAGAGUAGCAGCGGUCCCUGGUAUUAGACCAACUUAGGCCAAAAGCCUAAGCUUGGGGGAGUAUGUAUUUCUCACCGACUUUAAAUCCAUGUUCACACACUAGUUGUCGGUGCUCAUACUAUUUCAUUGUAUUAUCCAUGUUAGUUUUAAAUUCCUUUUUCUAGUUUUCUUCUUGUGUGUUUGAUAAACCUUGAGAAAAACCAAAAAAUUAAUUAGUUUCAUUUCCAUGCUUGUAGUAAAAAUUAAAAUGAAAACCCAAAAAGAUUUUUAGUUCUUCUUCUUUCUUGUUGGGAGCUUUCCCGUGUAAAUAGUUUUAUUUUCUUCUUUCCUUUGAAGGUCGAGAAGACCAUAUUGAAAAUGUUUAGUGGCUCUCAUAUGCAUGAUUAUUUAUUUAUCUUAGAGCCCAUAUUACUUGUCUUCUCUUUUGAGUUGAAUGCUUGCAGAUUCCAGCUUAGUCCAAUGCACGUGCACUCUUAUUAUUUUACGCAUCGUUCGGUCGUGCAAGUGAAAGGCAAUAAUGACAACAUAUGAUGGACUUAUUGGGAUGAGAGGAGUUGGUAUGAACUCGACCUCUCUUGUUUUUGUAAAAGUGAUGAGUUCAUCGUUCCUGAGUCAGCUUAUUAUGAAGUAAACAUAUUUGCAAUAACAUUUAGAGAUUAUAGUUCCUUGUGCCAUGCUUGAUUAGCUUUGAGUUAUAAUGGUUUACCUUGCGUGCCAACAUGCUAUUAGAAUGAUUAUGAUGUGGUAUGAUGGGAUGGUAUCCUCCUUUGAAUGAAUUGAGUGACUCGACUUGGCACAUGUUCACGCAUGUAGUUGAAUCAAAUCAACAUAGCCUUCACGAUAUUUAUGUUCAUGGUGGAUUAUAUCCUACUCCUGUUUGUAUUCGGUGUGAAUUAGUUUUAAUGCAUGUUUAUGACUGUUGUCGCUCUCUCAGUUGGUCGCUUCCCAGUCUUUUGCUAGGCUUCACCUGUACUAAGCGGGAAUACUGCCUGUGCAUCCAAACUCCUUAAACCCCAAAGUUGUUCCAUAUGAGUCCACUGUACCUUCCUAUAUGCUGUAUUUACCUGCCCUUUCAAGUAAAUUUGUAUGUGCCAAACUCCAAACCUUCAAAUGAAAUUCUGUUCUAUAUGCUCGAGCAGCUCAUGUUACAACUAGGGCUGCCUAUAUCUUCCAUGCUAGGUGGGUUGUUCUCAAGAGGAGUGGACUCCGCUCCUCAUUCACGAGAAAGGGUUGGUAACCGGGAUGCCCAGUCCCAUGAUCCAAAAAGAUCAAAGCAAAUCAAAAUAAUUAAACAAAACUCCCCCAGGGCUGUUGUUAGUUGGAGGCACUCGUCGUUUCGAGCAAGCCAUGGAUUGAUGCUUGUUGGUGGUUGGGGGAGUAUAAACCUUUACCAUUCUGUUUGGGAACUGCCUAUAAUGCAUGUAGUAUGGAAGAUACAACCAUCUCAUAGUUGUUGCGUUGACAGCGAAAGUAUGCCGCUGAAAAUGUUGUUCAAUCUCUGCUUUAAAAUCGAGCUCUGGCACCUCUACAAAUCCCUGCUUCCCUCUGCGAAGGGCCUAUCUAUUUACUUUUAUGUUGAGUCAUCACCCUUCUUAUUAAAAAGCACCCGCUGGAGAGCGCACUGUCAUUUGCAUUCAUUACUAUUGGUUUAUAUUGGAUAUGACUUGACUGGAUCUCUUUUACCAUGAAUUACAAUGUUUAGUCAGUCCUUGAUCAUUAAAGGUGCUCUGCAUUUAUGUUUUGCGGUCUCAGAAAGGGCUAGCGAGAUACCAUUUUGUUAUAUCUUGUUAUGAUUGUUUUGAGAAAGUGUUGUCAUCCGAGUUUUAUUAUUAUUGCUCGCUAGCUGAUUAUGUUAUUGAUAUGAGUAAUUGUGAGACCUAAGUGCUAUUGUGAGUAUGGUUAGUUCAUAAUAUUGUUGAAACCUGAAUGAUGGCUUUGCAUUUUUACAACAAGAGCAAACAGAGUUUGUAAAAGUUUUUCUUUAUCACUUUCAGUCUAUCAACUGAAUUGCUUGAGGACAAGCACGUCUCCAACAUAUCUACUUUUCCAAACACUUUUGCCCUUGUUUUGGACUCUAACUUGCAUGAUUUGAAUGAAACUAACCCAGACUAACGCUACUUUCAGCAGAACUGCCAUGAUGUUGUUUUACGUGUAGAAAAGAAAAGUUCUCAAAAUGUCCUGAAAAUCCACGGAGGCACUUUUCGGAAUUGAUAAGAAUUUCUAGGCGAAAGAAAUACACCAGGGGGCCCACACCCUGUCCACGAGACAGGGGGCGCCCCCCUAUAGGGCGCGCCCCUAUCUCGUGGGCCCCCUGGACCUCCACCGACCUCAACUCCAACUCCAUAUCUUCCGUCUCGGGGAGAAAAGAAUCAGAGAGAAAGUUUCAUCGCAUUUUACGACACGGAGCUGCCGCCAAGCCCUAAUCUCUCUCGAGAGUGCUGAUCUGGAGUCCGUUCGGGGCUCCGGAGAGGGGGAUUAGUUGCCGUCGUCAUCAUCAACCAUCCUCCAUCACCAAUUUCAUGAUGCUCACCGCCGUGCGUGAGUAAUUCCAUCGUAGGCUUGCUGGACGGUGAUGGGUUGGAUGAGAUUUACCAUGUAAUCAAGUUAGUUUUGUUAGGGUUUGAUCCCUAGUAUCCACUAUGUUCUAAGAUUGAUGUCGCUAUGCUUAAUGCUUGUCACUAGGGCCCGAGUGCCAUGAUUUCAGAUCUUAACCUAUUAUGUUUUCAUGAAUAUAUGUGUGUUCUUGAUCCUAUAUUUCAAGUCUAUAGUCACCUAUUAUGUGUUAUGAUCCGACAACCCCGAAGUGACAAUAAUCAGGAUACUUCUCGGUGAUGACCGUAGUUUGAGGAGUUCAUGUAUUCACUAUGUGUUAAUGCUUUGGUCCGGUUCUCUAUUAAAAGGAGGCCUUAAUAUCCCUUAGUUUCCACUAGGACCCCGCUGCGUCGGGAGGGUAGGACAAAAGAUGUCAUGCAAGUUCUUUUCCAUAAGCACGUAUGACUAUUUACGGAAUACAUGCCUACACUACAUUGAUGAAUUGGAGCUAGUUCUCUGUCACCCUAUGUUAUAGCUAUUACAUGAGGAAUCGCAUCCGGAAUAAUUAUCCAUCACUUAUCCAUUGCCUACGAGCUUUUCACAUAUUGUUCUUGCUUAUUUACUUUUCCGUUCAUACUGUUACAACUACUACAAAAAAACCCAAAAACUAUUAUCUUUACCUUUGCAACCGUUACCAUUACUAUCAUACUACUUUGCUACUAAAUACUUUGCUGCAGAUAUUAAGUUAUCCAGGUAUGGUUGAAUUGACAACUCAACUGCUAAUACUCAAGAAUAUUCUUUGGCUCCCCUUGUGUCGAAUCAAUAAAUUCGGGUUGUACUUUACCCUCGAAAGCUAUUGCGAUCCCCUACACUUGUGGGUUAUCAAAGGUUCGUAAGCUCAAAUAGACAAUCACCAAACAUAGGAUCAUUGGAAUUCAUCUUACUCAAGGCAAUAGCCUUUUGGAGAAUUUCAUCUAGAUUUUUCAAGGAAUAAUUCGGAAAUUGUUUAUCAAGAAAUUUCCAUAUAGUGUAGUCACACUCAAGAGUAGGCAAAUUUCCAAUCAAGUUUCUAGGCAAGCCUCUAGUGAUAAGAUUAACAGUUCGAAGAUUGUGAAUCAUGUCAAUUGACUCAUCAAGGGUAGGAUGCUUAGGAUCAACAUGAGGUGCACAAGGGCUAGCAAUGUAAUUGUUCAAAUGAUAUUCAUUGAAAAUCACAAGCAUCUCAUUUUUCACUCAUGAAAAUACUCUCCGUCAAGUAUAGGCACUCUAUGUCUAAGACUCCUGAAAGUAGACUCAUCCAUCUUCCUCCAAUGGUGUUUAAACCAAAGCAAUGGAGAGCAAAGCUCUGAUACCAAUUGAAAGGAUCAAGAAGAGGUGUCUAGAGGGGAGGGGGUGAGUAGACACUAAGUGAGAAAAGGUGCAGUUUUUAAUUUCUUUAAGUUGAAGUGGAGUUUUGGCACAAGUUUAACAAUCACAAUACAUAUCAAGCAAGCAUGCAAAGAAUAUAUGAGCAGCGGAAAGUAAAGCAUGCAACUUGUAAGAAUGUAAAGGGAUGGGAUUGGAGUGUGCAAACGCAAUUUGGAGACACGGAGAGUUUUGAGACAUGGUUCCGAUAGGUAGUGCUAUCGUACAUCCACGUCGAUGGAGACUUCAACCCACGAAGGGUAACGACUGCGCGAGUCCAUGGAGGGAUCCACCCAUGAAGGGUCCAUGAAGAAGCAACCUUGUCUAUCCCACCAUGGCCGUCGCCCAUGAAUGACUUGCCUCACUAGGGUAGAUCUUCAUGAAGUAGGCGAUCUCCUUGCCCUUACAAACUCCUUGGUUCAACUCCACAAUCUUGUCGGAGGCUCCCAAGUGACACCUAGCCAAUCUAGGAGACACCACUCUCCAAGAAGUAACAAAUGGUGUGUUGAUGAUGAACUCCUUGCUCUUGUGCUUCAAAUGAUAGUCUCCCCAACACUCAACUCUUUCUCACGGGAUUUGGAUUUGGUGGAAAGAAGAUUUGAGUGGAAAGCAACUUGGGAAAGGCUGGAGAUCAAGAUUCAUAUGGUAGGAAUGGAAUAUCUUUGCCUCAACACAAGUGUAGGUAGUUCUUUCUAAGAAAAUGUAUGCUGGAAGUGUAGGCACGUUCUGAUGGCUCUCUCUUCGAAUGAAGAGUGGGCGGAGGGGUAUAUAUAGACUCCACACAAAAUAUAACCGUUACACACAACUUACCAAUCUCGGUGGGACCGAAUUGAGAAACUCGGUCGGACCAAUUCAGCAAAUGAUGUGACCGUUAGGAUUUUCGGUGGGACCGACAUGCAACUCGCUAGGACCGAUAUGGUUAGGGUUAGGGCAUAACGUAAUCUCGGUGAGACCGAUUACACAAACUCGGUGGGACCAACUUUGGUGAUCAGCUAACCAGAGAGUUGGCCAGGCAAACUCGGUGGGACCGAUUCGCUCACCUCGGUUGGACCGAAAUGUUACGAAGAGAAACAGAGAGUUUGCAUUGUAAUCUCGGUAUGACCAAUUACACAAACUCGAUAGGAUCGAUUUUGGUAAUGGACAUACACAGAGAGAUUACAAUCCCAUCUCGGUGAGACCGAGAUCCCUAUCGGUGAGACCGAUUUGCCUAGGGUUUGUGGCAGUGGCUAUGACACCUGAACUCGGUGGCGCCGUAUAGGAAGAAUCGAUGGGGCCGAGUUGGACUAUUGGUUUGGGUCAAAUGUGGAUGUGAGAAGGUAGUUGAGGGCUUUGGAGUAUAUCACUAAGCAUAUUGAGCAAGCAAGCCAUAAGCAACACCUCAUCCCUUCUUGAUAGUAUUGGCUUUUCAUAUAGACUCAAUGUGAUCUUGGAUCACUAAAAUAGAAAAUGUAGAGUCUUGUUCUUGGAGCUUGAGCCAAUCCUUUGUCCUUAGCAUGUUGAAGGGGUUCCACAUCCUCUAGUUCAUGCCACUUCAUUGUUGAACUUAUCUGAAAAAUACUAGGUAAAAGUGUUAGUCCACCAAGAGAUAUGUUGACAUUAAUUACCAAAACCACCCAGGUAGCACUUGUGCUUUCACUUAUUUGUCCAGUGUUUGGGACGAUGUUGUUUGGUUGUUGACAUGGCUCGUGCUCCGGUUGUGUCUCGGGGUCAAGGCGUGUUUGAGGCUGGUACUGGGUUGAUAGGUGGUCGUGGUCUUGGGCUGUGGGCAGGCUGUUGCUGGUCGUGGACGGGGCAUCGACCGUGGAUGUUUCUGAUACAGGACACGCCCCUGUUUCUGGUCGUGUCUCUGGCCGUACGGGUGCUGCUCGGGGGGUGCCUGGCGCUGGAGCCCAGCCAGUUGCCGGGCGUGGGGGUGCUGCUCGGUGGGUGCUUGGUGCUGGAUCCUAGCAAGUAGCCCAGCAUGGGGGUGCUGCUCGGCGGGUCCCUGCCGCUGGUGCCCAGCCAGUAGCCGGGCGUAGGGGUGCUACUCGGCAGGUCCCUACUGCUGGUGCACCUGGACCUGCCAUCCCUGCCGCAUGUCCGUUGGUCCCUGGGAUUGCUCAACGUUAUGUGCCUCGCCGCCUCGUUGGGUUUCCUUCUUCUGGACGAGUAUGUACGUCCCUAUCCAUUGGCAUUUUUCGUUUUGUUUCUUAGGUUGCUAUGACAAUUGCUUCGAUCCUGUGCUAUUUGUGACAUGGUUAGGUGAUAGUUGGUUUCCUUUCGUGAGCUCUGCCACGGCAGCGGUAAUUCGCAGAAAACGGAAGAUGUGCAUUCAGUUUUGGCGUGCUUGCUAUGAAGGUGCAUGUGAAUUAUUAGUUUUCUUUUUUCCUGUUUUCUAUUGCUGGGCAUGUGGUACCUUAACUGGUUCUGGAUUUCCUCUUAGAGCGUGUUGUCAUUUCCUCUUAGAGUGUGUUGUCGUUGUUGUAAAGGUGCAAAGGUCUAUAUCCCUCCCUUUAAGGACCCCCGGCCUAUCUCCGGGAGCUCCUUCGAUUCGAUGGAACUUCUCGUGCUAAAAAAUUCAUCCGGGCUAUACGUGAGUAUAAUUGUAUGUUCGCUUUUACUUCAAUGGGUGAUACCAUUGAACGUUCGUUUGGUGGCAGCCGUGGACCUAAGGUAUUCAAGAUCAGUGGUCAGGUAUCUUAUCGUAUUGGUUCGUUGGUGCCGAGGGGUAAUAAUAAUCCUAAGUUUGCUGAGUUGUACAUACAUGACCCUGCUAAUGAGAUUAGACAUCUAUCUAUCUAUCUAUCUAUCUAUCUAUCUAUCUAUCUAUACCUACACUAAUUACAGACUUCCAAUAAAUUACCACGUUAAUCAGAAAUUACGAGCCGUUUAUCUCUUGUGGGACCGAGUUAUUACGGUGUAGAUCUUCCGAAAUUUUCCCAGGCUAAUUAGACAGACUCUCAAUAAAUUACCACAUUAAUCAGAAAUUACGAGCCGUUUAUCUCUUGUGGGACCGAAUUAUUACAGUGUAGAUCUUCCGAAAUUUUCCCAGGCUAAUUAGAAAAGGAAACAAAAUUGUGAGCCAUUUAUCUUGCGGGCCUGAAUUAUUGCGGCCUAGAUCUUCUGUAUUUUUUUCAUGCAGAACAAGAUACAAAAUUAUGAGCCGCUCACGAGUUAUUACGUUUGUGUCCGUAUUCGCCGUGGACUAUAGUACAAUAGGGCUUGACCUAGCUAUUUCCAUCCGGGAAACCUGUACUCUCACGUAGGUUGCUGCAUCUAUAUGGAAAAGCCACGACAUAAGCCUCUUGGUCACCCCUUCCGAUCCAACCAUGGAUUCUCCUCCACACAAGAACGAAAAUAGAAUCGCCCUGGAUUUGCCCCCUUCCUCUCCUCCGAUGCUUGCCCCGCGUGCGGCGCCUCCGCUGCAUCAUCAUGAGUACGAGGUGUUCUUCUCCUUGCCAGGUAUCCAUGGCCUCCUUAAAUUGAUAAGAGCAGCCCAGUCGAGGUAGAUGGGAAACUGGUCAUAGCUGACCUUGAACUCUCGCUGGGAUCACGGUCCCAACUACGCAUCCUUCAAACCAUCUCAUCCUUGACUCUACUCUUCUGCAGCGUUGGUCUCCGCCAAGUAAACCAUGGGAUAAUUAAUUCAAUCAGAUGAAGGUGCCGCUUCUUGUGUGAUUUAUUUGUGUGGCGUUCAUGCAUGAUGAUGAUGGUCUUUAGCUUGGACUGAAGUUGGUUGGCGCCUUGCAGCUGCGAAGAUCUGUUUAUACUGAAUUUUCUUAUUUCUGUUCUUUUGUUCCCUUUUUUCUGAUUUAUUCAUGUGGGGUUCAUGCAUGAUGAUGAUGGUCUUGAGCUUGGACUGAACUUGGUUGACGCCUUAGAGCUGAGAAAGAUUCAUUUGUGCUGAUUUUUCUUACUUAUGUUGUUUGUGCAACUGAGUAUGUGGUUACAGAGGUCCACUUUCAGCCAGAGCAUUGAAUUUUUUUACUGGUAGUAGGAGGGCGCCGAGACUAUAGGUUGGUAAAGUUUAGGAUUUGUGCCUUUUUUCAGGUAUAUGUGUCAUUUGUUUAUUAUAUGAUUAGUUGAUAUCGAAGGACUACAGGUUGGUUAAGUUUAUGAUUUGUGCCUUUUUCUGGUAUAUGUGUCAUUAGUUUGUUAUAUGAUUAGUUUAUAUCUGUGGAUGCAUUACUAAAAAGAUUGAAGUUUCCUUCUGGUAUUGUACCUCUCAGUUUGUUUCUAUACUGAGUUAUUUCUUCUACUAGGUAUAUUGGUAUAUUAGGUGACUACGAUGCCGAUGUUAGUCGUUGUGUCAAUUUCACCAUGUUUAAAUCAAGCUGGGAAGGUACAUCCGUACAGUUCAAGCUUCAUAUAAUAAUUUCUGAGAAAGACAUUACUAUGUUUUUAUACCCUAAUUUAUAAUUUUCCUUCAAAUAUCAUUAUGAAGUUUUUCUCAUUUUAUUCUAAAUUAUGAGCAGCGCACGGUAUGACUGCCAUCGUCAAAAACUAGCUCAGACUCCUCCCAGCCAGUCUCACAUCAAGGGUCGUGCUAAGAAAUACAGGAAUGCUAAGUGAAAGUCCAGCGGAUGGCAACACAAGUCAAAGCUGACGGAAACAUCUCAGCAUUACGUACAGUGCAAGUAAUGACACAUAUGUGAGUUGUCACAUCAUCUUUAUUUUUCGUCAAAGUGGUUUCAUGUUGGAAAAUCAGUAGUAAUCUCCCCACGUACAGAUACAGUUGGAGGGAGCUUCCAUUUAUGUCAGGACUAUUCUCCUGUAAUGUUUUCUAAUGCUCCAUAUCUGUCAGUGUAGGGAGCGUGUAGGGAGCUUCCAGUUUGUGGGUAUUGCCCUUAUUUUUGUCAUCUUGCAUAGUUUUGUAUAGUUUCCCCGUACAUGUAAUUAGUCACGGAUGAGAUUUAUAAUACUGGAAGGAUGAAGUAAUAAAACUUAGAUUUACACUACUGUAAGUACUAUAUCUACUUUGUGUCAUGUUACUGGCUUGCUCCUAAUUCGGUUCUUAGCAGGGGUCCUUGGUGAUCACUUCGUUGUUCUACAAAAGUAAUAAUUUAGAAUUCAUAAUUGGAAGUGCUCAGUUCUCUCUCAUGUUGAUUAUGGAAACUAAUGGUUUACACCAACUGGUAUCCGCUUUGAAAAAAGCCUCCUACUGAUACAGUUGUCAUAGAUGCUUGAUGUCAGCUGCUACUUUAGUAGUCAGUGCAAUAAAAAGCUUCAAACUGAUACAAUCGUUUCAAGGACUUAUAUUUUGAAUAGUGAAUUUUAAAAGCGCACAUGUUCAAGUGGAGGUAAAUCCGAAGCCAUUAUAGUUUACCAGCUAUAUGAAAUUAAACUAGCCCGUAUUGCUAACUGCACUUAUAGGAUAAAUAUAUAUCUUCAAUAUGAAGCAAAAGAAUUGCUUGCAGAUAGGCUGCCACAUUUGUAAGAACAUGAAUGAUGUGAUUCUGUUGUAAGUGUUCAUCAUUACUGAUUAGAACACAGUUUUACUAACAUAUUUGCUUGAUUUUGCAAUCAUUAAAAGUAGAGGAAUCGGACGAAUGUUGAAGUCAGGUUAUGCAUUAAAAGGAAUUAUACAAUGAGAUUACAUGACGUAGCAAGCAGAACAUACAAGGAGAUGUCCAAUAUCUUUUAAACUGCAGAGCUAAAGAAAUAGAAUUGCUUCAUAUAAAUGAAAUUACACAAUUAAGUUCUUCAUGACUGUGUACCUGAUCAACAUUUUCUGUAAGUUAGUUAUCUGCAAGACCUUUUGUCUAACUAAAAAAAGGAUAACUGACUAUAACAUCAAAUUCAGUAAACUAAGUCGCACAUUCAUGUAUUAGGUUUCAGAAGCUCAAUAAUUAACCAGUGCUUAAUACAUUUUUAUCACGGAACAACAUGAGUCCAUUGUACAUCUUGAAUCUUCUUUUCUUUUCAAGGAAAAACCAUCAGAAUGGUGCAGCAGUACUGGAAAGUUCAAGUCUAUAUGCAACAUGACUGACAUAUUUAAGUUUUUAGUAUUACAGUGCAGUAUCGUGUGUUCUAGAGCCUGCAUGGUGUAGGUUUAUUUUUUGUUUCUUCCAGUCAUCCUGCAUUAUUGCUCGGGGAGAAGUGAGCUGAUUCAAGUGUAUGAGCUGCACAAAUCUCCAAACCAUGUACGUCUCUAAAAAGUACAGCAAUUAGAUCUCCCUGUAGCAAUAAAUUUUAUUGUAAUCCUCACAUGAUUUUAUUAUUUUAUUUACAGAUAAAAUCAAUUCCUUUCAUGUACUUCAGGAAUAUUUGAGAUUUUCGUGUAAUCUCUACCUCAGAAAGGUGGAAAUGUACUGCGUGUCAAAUGCUCUAAUCUAUUUUAAUAUAUUCUUAUUUUAGAAUUACGGAGUUCUUAUAAUUAGUUAAUCUGGCAAUAAAAUAAUGUAGAACAAUCUUCUAUCUAUUGUAUCUAUUGUUAACUAUAUUUCAUCAGCUGCCCUCACUGCAUGCAAAUACAACAAUAUUGAAGCUUGGUGUGAAUAUUUUGACUUAAUGUUAACAGAGUAGCUAUGUUCCGAAACUAUGUAUUUCUGAAAAUUUGUCUAUGGAUGAUUGCUCAUAUCUACUUGCUUAUUUGUAAACCUUAUUUCUGUUUGUAGAAACUAGAGAAAUUUUUUGCACAUUACUUGACACAUAACAUAAUUGGUUGUUGUUGGUUCACCUCAAUGACCUGUCUUUUCCAUUUAUGGCGUUGCUUGAAUACAAGUACACUUUUAGAAUGACAACUCCCACCAAUUUAUUUUUAAUAUAACCCAGGUUUAGGUCACUUUGAAAAUCAAAUUUACCAUUUAAAUGUGCACGUUGGUGAGUCUGUCACAUUACUUUAUCUAUACUUCUUUAUACAUGCUUUAUUGCGCACAGACAAGCUUAUGGCAAUAAAAAUAUGAUCUAUUACUAAACUCAACAUGCUUCAUUUGUUUAUUUUAGUGUUUGUUCGACCCACUCCCUUCAUACUCUUCACUGUUAGUUUUGCACGAUAAUAAAAUAACCACAUCAUCACAAUUUAUCAUCGUAAAUCGAGACUUAUAGAACACCACAAUGUCAGAAAUUCUUUGCGCGAAAUAACGAAGGGUUGAAUGAAUAGCAUUUAUGUUUGCUAUCUAUGAAGAGACCUAUUACACGAUAUUAAGAAUUUUUUGUAUACUUGAUUUGUAUAUAAUGCUAGCUCGUGCAAAUGCACGGGUUGACGACUAGUAGGAUGAAUGCCUUAAAUCCAGAUGAUAAGACCACCGGGGGUGUGGAUGAGAGCAUUGUGGUUGGUCUUAGAGAUAUGCUUAAUGAGUCUAAUCCAUUGGUUCAGACUUUUAGGGAGGCAAGUAGGAUGAUAGAGGGACGUGGUGAUGAACCCAUCGAGGAUAUCUCGAUUCGUAUUAUUGGGCCUUCGAAGGGUGAUAGUCCACAGUUUAGCAUGCCUACAACCACCGGGCUUGCUGCUUUAGUCGUCGGUGGUGACUUUACGUUAGAGGCGUCUUCUCGAGAUAUUGUUGUUUGCAGUUGUUCCGAUGGUUUGCGACAGAUAUCUUCUCUGAAUACUGUGUUCAUGCCCCUACAGUGCCCGUUGCUUUUCCCUUAUGGUGAGCGAGGGUUCCAAAUAGAUGUUCCCCACUUAGCUGUUCCUGAAGAUGGUGAUGAUGAUGGGAAUGUAGGUUCUAAUCUUCCACCUGGGAGUCCAUCUGUUGAGGCAUCCUCUUCGCACCCUUCUGGGGGUGGCGACUCGGAUACAAAUAAUCGGAAUAAGAUGACCGUGCAGGAUUACUAUCUUUUUAUGUGCCAUUACAAGGGUGAUCAACCCAAUCCAUAUAUAUGUUAUGGUCUCCUCUCCUCUCAGUUGGUUGUCGAUGCGCGUGCGUCCAUUGAUGAGAAUAGACUAUGGUAUAUCAUAAUAAACUAGGACCUGUUUAGAUCAGAGCACAUCCAGGGUAUUGCCGAUUUGGUAGGUGAUGGGUGUGUCGAUGGUGAUGCUGUUUGGAAGAGGACCAUCGUGCCUUCUAGUGACAUGGGUGGUCAUCGUUACUUUAAUGAAAACUUCCAUGAUGGCCUUGCCAUUUGUCGAGUGCAUGGUGCACCAGAUGUAUUUACCACUUUUACUUGCAAUCCUAAAUGGCCCGAGAUUACAGCUGCGCUGGAGCCAAGGCUGAUGCCACCUGAUAGGGCAGAUGUUAUUGUAAGGGUCUACCACAUGAAGCUUGUUGAGUACUUAGACGAGAUCAAGUUAGGCCGGGCUUUUGGCCCCAUUAAGGCUUGUACUAUAUAUGUUGCUAUCCUUUGUGCAUGGUCGUUGUUUCCUAUCAGUUCUUUGCUACUUCUACUUGGUUGUUUGUCUAAUUUAUCUUUCCUGUUUUCCUUCCAGUGAUGUACACCGUUGAGUUCCAGAAGCGGGGGCUACCUUACGCGCAUAUACUUGUCUGGAGGAGAGGGGGCAGCGGCGAGGUUGGUGUUGAAAAUAUUAAUUCAUUAAUAUCCCCUGAAAUACCUGAUGCAUUGCUUGAUCCUUUAUGAUAUGCUUUAGUUUCCGAGUUUAUGAUGCAUUGUCCCUCUGGGGAAAUGAAUGAUAAAUGCGUCUGCAUAAAAAACAGCGUAUGUUCUAAAUUUUUCCCAAAGGAUUUUAGAGAUACUACUGUGGUUGAUGACAAUGGGUUUGUCUUAUAUCGAUGUCACGAUGACGGUCGAAGGGUAUACAAAAAUGGUCACUACCUUGACAAUAGGCAUGUUCUUCCUUACAAUAUGGUAAUGCUCAAGAAAUUUCAAGGCCAUAUAAAUGUAGAGUGGUGUAAUAAAACUCAGGUUAUGAAAUACCUCUUCAAGUAUGUCACUAAAGGUGCUGAUUAUUCCAAGGUGAUGUUAGAAAGGUUAAAAAAAUAGACUAAAAUUGGGUGUCGUACGGUAGAUGAGGUUCAGGAGUAUUUGAUAUGUUGGUACAUAUGUGAGUAUAAUGCACUGUGGCGCAUAUUUGUGUUUGAGAUACACUUUAAAAUGCCGUCGGUUCAAAGGUUGACUGUUCAUAUGCCUGUAUGAAUAAUAUCUUCUAACGUGCUGGUACUGACCUCACGAAAAUUGUUGGUUCUGACUUCUUGCAAAAGACUAUGCUUACCGAAUGGUUUGUUGUGAAUGAUUUGUUCGAAGAUGCCUGGUCAUUGACUAACUGUGAUUUUCCAUCUGCUUGGACCUGGGAUGCUAAAAGUAGAUCAUGGCAUCCAAGGGGUAGGGGUGAAAAGAUUGGUCGCAUAUAUUGUGUGCAUCCUUUGAGUGGUGAGUUGUAUUACUUACGCAUGCUUUUGAUGAUUGUUAAGGGGGCUAGGUCUUUCAAAGGUCUCCGUACAUAUGCUGGUCGUCUUUAUCAUACCUUUAAAGAGGCUUGUGCCGCACGUGGUUUGCUAGGGGAUGAUAGUGAGUGGUACACAGCGUUUGAUGAGUCGGUUGUUUGGGGGUUUGGGCAUCACCUUAGGGAGCUGUUUGUGAUUAUGGUCAUGCACUAUUCUAUUAGUGAUGAGCUUGUUUUUUUUAGCAGUACUGCAGUAGCAUGUACGAUGAUAUCCAACAUGAGCUUGUCUCUUCCGACGGCCUCCUCCCCUAAGGCCGCGGACAACACCGAGGUGUUGUCUCAAAGGACACCAGGCCAAGGGGAGACCAUUUCGGAGACGGUGGAGGGUGAAUCCCCGGUUGCCGAGCACAUGGGGGGAAAGACCCCCAUGGACACCGAUAAUGGGGGCCGCAGCCAGUUUGGCCCCUAGCCGAAUAUGGCUCCGGAAACCUGAGUGGUUCCGGAUUCAGGUGGGCAGCCUCUGCCGAACAAGGGGGGUGAGCCACCUGUACCGAUGACCUCUGUCCAUCUAGAGGCACUAGACAGCUUGCUGGAAGCGCUUCGUGGCGCUUCCAUUGAUGAAGAACAUCGUACUCUUAUGAGUAUGGUGAUCGAGAAGAUCUAGUCCGCCAAGAGGGGACUGACCGAAGCCUGCACUAGCCUUCUAGCAGGCUUUGAGGUAAGUAAUAAAAUUGUGAGAGAAUAUCACAGUGUAGACAGUAGCCCCUGAUGCUUUGUUUGGUGUUCGAAAAGAAAAGCCGAACAAAUGAUCAAAUAAUAUUUGCAAGAGUCUAAUAUAAGAUGUCUAUGUGAAUAAGCAGGCGUCGCUGCUGGCCGCUGCCGCUCGUACUACGGAGGUCUCUCGACUAAAGCAGAACCUGGAGCGGACCGAGGGAGAGCUCGGCCUCAUGAAGAGGCAGCUGGAGGAAAGCCAAGGUAUUUAAUACCCUGCCUAUAUACUUAUGAAGGAUAAAUGGUUCGUGCUGAUUAAAGCAUCAUGAACUUUUGCAGGGGCCACGACCGAGGUGGCGGCCCUUAAGAAGGCGUUAGCCGAGGCCGAAGACAAAGCGGCCAAGGAACGCGCCGUGUGCGAGAAGCAGGAGGCCCGGGUCAGCGAGGUCCAGCAAGAGCUCCAGGAUGUCGUAAAGAAGUAUGAGUCCUUGGAGCGUGACUCUAAGACUCAAGAGUGCGAGCUUGCUAAGGCCCUCCAGAGCAUGCAAGACGCCAGAGCCGAAGCCCAGAGGGCCCUCUAGGAGGUCCAGGUGGCCAAGAAGAUUGCGGCGGGUAAGGCCUUUGUUAUGCAAAGCAAGCAUGUGAAGGAGACAUUCCUUUUACUUACCCGAAUUUGGAGUUCUCCAGGAGCGUUUGCGGAUCAGCCGCGCAACAUAUCCGAUGCCGCAGAGUUCUACCGAGCCGAAGAAGGGAGCUCGACAGAGAAGUUGUUCUGGUCUCAAUACCUUGGGCCAAAACAUCCGAUGCCCUUGAGAGACCAGCUGAAACAGCUAGUCGAGCUGCACAAGGCAGCCGAACUGGCGAUUGAGGACUUCAUAAUCCGGUUAUGGCAUGCCGAGCCCAUGCCCAGUAGCUACUUCGGACUCGUGAAGUGGCUUGUGAGUGCCUGCCCACGACUUGAAGUCAUAAAGCAGUCGGUUUGCAUUGAAGGUGCGCGGAUGGCCUUUCCCCGUGCAAAGAUGCAUUGGGCGAAGAUGGACGCCACGACGCUGAUGACCGAGGGGCUGCCGAAGGGCAAGGAGCACCGCCGACCCAAACUAUACUAUGACAGUGUCCUGGAGGGAUCCCGCCUUUUGGCGGAGCAAUGUACAAAGGAUGUAAUCUUUGAAUGAAUGCAUUCAUUUUAUCCUGUAAUAUGAAACAAGUUCGUUGUGCAAUAUAAUGCUUGUUGAUUUAAAAUUUUACCUCCUGUGCGGCCGUUUAUAAAAUCAGAGAGUUGGCCAGUCAUCGGCGUCUGCCCCCACAUAACUAGUACAGGGGUGUUCGGGAUAAAUCUAAACACUCUUUAUCCAAGUUUUUGGUCCUUUAAGGAGGUGUUUAGCGUAAUGAACAAGGCAAUCGUACUAUACGACUUUAUCACCCUCACUUAGCCAUAGGAGUUCUAUAAUUUUAAAUUUUGGCGUAGCCCCUGAUAUUCGGAAGGCCGAACUUGGGGUUCUAUACACGCCUAAAUCGGACAAAAACCAGUUCCUCGCAUAAAGCAGAAAAAAUCUUUAAGGAUUUGAAACCUCUCGAACAGCGACCAACUCUCGCCGCAUCAUGAUAGUCAGUUUUCGGCUUUCUCUACUGAGGUGCUCGUCCAGAAGAACCGGGACACAAUCGCAAUAGUUCUCCCUUUACUACCCUCGCCGAUAUAGCGGAACGUAGGGUAGCAAGCACAAGAGCCAGGCAACCCAACUAUUGACCCAAGACAUGAUUCAGAGCCGAUGCAUAUAAUGUUAUAAGUUCGGGGUGGCGAACUGUACUAUAAAAGUGUUCGGACUUUCUUGUCGUGUUAUGGGGUACACUGAAGCCCCUGGCGAACUAAUUGUACCAGAAUGUACGGGUGCGAUUGAUAAUAAAUAAACAGACAAGGAAAAAAAAUUAAGUAAUAAGCUUAUGCUGCAAAUUAUUUUCCAUUGUUAUUUGAUUAAUACGUCAAGGCGUAUGUAUACAACUAGUGCGAUAAGCAAAUAGGGCUAUUUGACAUGCCAUGACCAAGAGCGAGAUGCGUGCGGGUAUGUAAAACAGGUAUAGCGAUCGUUAGUAGAGACCACCUGGGGAUUCCCUUGUACGUCAAAGCCUCUUGCCUUCUUGGUGUAUCCGUCCCGCUAUGGGUCCGAUGAUCAGGUUAUCAGAAAAGCCUCAAGAAGAGAAAAACUUGAAAGGAGAAGAAAGAGUGAAAGUGUGCGGAUCCAGGGCAGUUUAGCCGCAUUCUGGAUCAUAGUCUAGCUGUGCCUCCAUUCAUGCCCAUGGUAUUUUAAGUGUGUAAUUAUGUACGCGCGGCACAAAUUUCACCGCUUGAUUGGGACUAGGACGGAGGCCGAAUUGCUAGGUGAGCUCUCGACGAGCCGGAGAGUCCUGUUGCAUAGUAGUUCGGACUUGUUUGGCGAUGUCCGGGGGCUUUAUAGCUGAAUUCAGGGUCUGCCUAAGAAGGCUGCUCUGUACUUCUGUUGCAAGGGCUGCAGUGUGCUCCUCUGUAUGGAGGGAGCACUCCAUAUUCCCAUUGACUGCUAUAACACCGCGAGGUUCGGGCAUCUUGAGCUUGACAUAAGCAUAGUGUGGCACCGCAUUGAAUCGAGCGAAUGCGGUUGGUCCAAGCAGUGCAUGAUAACCACUGCGGAAGGGGACGUUGUCAAAGAUUAACUCUUCGCUUCAGAAAUUAUCCGGGGAUCCGAAGACCACUUCCAGUGUGAUUGAGCCUGUACAACAGGCCUCUACACCCGGUAUGACACCUUUAAAGGUGGUUUUUGUGGGCUUGAUCCUUGAGGGAUCGAUGCCCAUUUUGCGCACUGUAUCCUGAUAAAGCAGGUUUAGGCUGCUGCCACCAUCCAUGUGGACUCGUGUGAGGUGGAAUCCAUUGAUAAUGGGGUCAAGGAAAAGUGCGGCUGAACCGCCAUGACGAAUACUGGUCAGAUGGUCCCUACGAUCGAAGGUGAUCGGAUAGGAGGACCAUGGGUUGAAUUUUGGGGUGACUGGCUCCAUCGUGUAGACGUCCCUUAGUGCGUGCUUCCGCUCCCGCUUGGGAAUAUGGGUGGCGUAUAUCAUAUUCAUCGUUUUAGCUUGGGGCAGAAAUUUCUUCUGUCCCCCUGUGUUCGGUGCCCGGGGCUCCUCGUCGUCAUCACUAUGCGACCCCUUUUCCUUGUUUUCAACAUUUAACUUGCCGGCCUGUUUAAAUACCCAACAUUCUCUGUUGGUAUGGUCGGCUGGAUUAUCGGGGGUGCCGUGGAUUUGACAUGGACGAUCGAGUAUGUGGUCCAGACUGGACGGGCUCGGAUUAUUUCUUUUAAAUGGCUUUUUCCGCUAACCGGACUUGGAGCCACUGAAUCCGGCAUUGACGGCCGUGUCUUUGAUGUUAUCGCCAUUAUUUCGACGCUUGUGUCUGUUGCGUCGGGGCUUGCCGUUGCUAUCUCUGGCAUCUGAAGUGCCAGGUUUUCUUGAUGUGUUGUUGCUACGAGCUAACCAACUACCCUUGCCCGCGCAAAAGCGGGUCCUGAGUGUCGUAAGGGCUGCCAUGGACUUCGGCUUCUCUUGGCCGAGGUGUCGGGCGAGCCACUCGUCAUAGAUGUUAUGCUUAAAGGCCGCUAGGGCUUCGGCAUCCGGACAGUCGACGAUUUGGUUCUUUUUAGUUAAGAACCGAGUCCAGAAUUUCCUAGCUGACUCUCCGGGCUGUUGGGUUAUAUGAAUUAAGUCAUCAGCGUCCGGUGGUCGUACAUAAGUGCCCUCAAAGUUGUCAAUGAAUGCGUCUUCCAGGUUCUCCCAACUACCAAUGGAGUUUUCGGGCAGACUAUUUAACUAGUGUCAAGUUGGUCCCUUGAGUUUUAGCGGGAGAUACUUGAUGGCAUGGAGAUCAUCGCCGCGGGCCAUGUGAAUGUGGAGAAGGAAGUCUUCAAUCCAUACCGCGGGAUCUGUUGUCCCAUCAUAUGGUUCGAUGUUUAUGGGUUUAAACCCUUCUGGGAAUUCAUGUUCCAUUACUUCGUCAGGGAAGCAUAGGGGGUGUGCGGUGCCUCUAUGCUCGGCUACUUCGCAACGUAGUUCGGAUGGAGCUGGUCUGCUGUAUUCGGCUCGGACGGAUUGUAUUUAGAAUAUCCGGUAUGACGGUCAUCAUCGCGCAUUGGGGCACGCCCCCGCAAUCCGUAGAUUGAUCUGGGAUGUCCUGCUUUGUUGUCCAAUUCAUAUCGCAGGUCACGUGUGUAUCCCAGAGCCUUUGUGUUUCUAUUUAUUCGGUGACGGGGUGUGGGCUGGUGUUCAGACUGAUACACCGCUUUAUCUCGGCCACGCGGUGGUCAGUCAGCCGCAUCAUGCGCUGGUAGUAUGGGCUCUAGUGCCUCGUCUUCUAAUUGAGGUAACAACCUGUGCCUCGGGUAACUUUUGGGUGGGUGCUCGAGUCCGUAUUCCUCGGCUGCCAGGACCUCAGUCCAUCUAUCAGUGAGCAGAUCUUGAUCAGCUUGAAGCUGCUGUUGUUUUUUCUUCAGGCUCUUUGCAGUGGCUAUAAGCCGGCGCUUGAAGCGCUCCUGCUCAACGGGAUCCUCAGGCACUGUAAAUUCUUCGUAGCCGAGGCUCAGCUCAUCUUCGGAGAGAGGCAUGUAAUUAUUGUCCUCCGAGUCUUCAUUCAUGGCCUGUUCAUCGGGGUUGGCCUGCCCGUCCUCCCGUCCGGCAUGUUCAAAGCUUGGCUGGGCAGGGUCGUUUUCGUCUUCGGCAUCAUCCGGAGUGACAUUGUCUCUUGUGCCCGUAUCACUAUUUUUACCAUGGCGUGAUUUAGAGCGGCGCCUCUAACGUCGGUGCUUCGGCUGCUUCUUAGGAGGAUUAUCCUCCACUGCAUCCUUUUGGUCCUCGGCAUUGUUUUCUUUAGGUGUGUCCACCACAUAUAUGUCAUACGAUGAGGUGGCUGUCCAGCGCCCUGUGGGCGGUGGUUCCUGUUCUUCUCUGGCAUCGUCGUCCAUACCGUCGAUCUCUUCGGAGACGAAAUUAAGCAUGUCGGUUAGGUCAUCGACAGUGGCUAUUAUGUGGGUGGUGGGUGGGUAACGAAUUUCCUUGUCAUCCCCUUCCCACUCAAGCCGGACACAGUUCGGUGAAGAGUCUCCUGACAAGGAGAGAGAUUUUAAUGAGUUUAACACAUCGCCCGAGGGCGAGUGUUGAAAGAUGUCCGCGGAGCUGAACUCCAAGAUCGGCGAGAUCCCAUCUUGGAGCGUUCAUCGGUGCUCCGCCGGAGGGGGAAUCGACCGUGGAGGGCUUCUACAUCAACACCAUAGCCUCUCCGAUGAGUUGUGAGUUGUUUACCAUAGACCUUCGGGUCCAUAGUUAUUAGCUAGAUGGCUUCUUCUCUCUCUUUGGAUCUCAAUACCAAGUUCUCCUUGAUCUUCUUGGAGAUCUAUUCGAUUUAACUCUUUUUGCGGUGUGUUUGUCGAGAUCUGUUGAAUUGUGGGUUUAUGAUCAAGUUUAUCUAUGAGAAAUAUUUGAAUCUCCUCUGAAUUCUUUUAUGUGUGAUUAAGUUAUCUUUGCAAGUCUCCUCGAAUUAUCAGUUUGGUUUGGCCUACUAGAUUGAUCUUUCUUGCAAUGGGAGAAGUGCUUAGCUUUGGGUUCAGUCUUACGGUGUCCUUUCCCAGUGACAGGAGGGGCAGCAAGGUGAUACGUCUCCAAUGUAUCUACUUUUCCAAACACUUUUGCCCUUGUUUUGGACUCUAACUUGCAUGAUUUGAAUGAAACUAACCCGGACCGACGCUGUUUUCAGCAGAACUACCAUGAUGUUGUUUUAUGUGUAGAAAAGAAAAGUUCUCGGAAUGACCUGCAAAUCCACGGAGGCACUUUUUGGAAUUAAUAAGAAUUUAUAGGCAAAAGAAAUACACCAGGGGGCCCAGGUCCUGUCCACGAGAGAGGGGGGCGCGCGCCCCUAUCUCGUGGGCCCCCUUGACCUCCACCGACUUCAACUCCAACUCUAUAUCUUCCGUCCCGCGGAGAAAAAAAUCAAAGAGAAAGUUUCAUCGCGUUCUAUGACACGGAGCCGCCGCUAAGCCCUAAUCUCUCUCGGGAGGGCUGAUCUAGAGUCCGUUCGGGGCUCCGGAGAGGGGGAUUCAUCGCCGUCAUCAUCAUCAACCAUCAUCCAUCACCAAUUUCACGAUGCUCACCGCCGUGCGUGAGUAAUUCCAUCGUAGGCUUGCUGGACGGUGAUGGGUUGGAUGAAAUUUACCAUGUAAUCAAGUUAGUUUUGUUAGGGUUUGAUCCUUAGUAUCCACUAUGUUCUGAGAUUGAUGUUGCUAUGACUUUGCUAUGCUUAAUGCUUGUCACUAGGGCCCGAGUGCCAUGAUUUUAGAUCUGAACCUAUUAUGUUUUCAUGAAUAUAUGUGUGUUCUUGAUCCUAUCUUGCAAGUCUAUAGUCACCUAUUAUGUGUUAUGAUUCGACAACCCCGAAGUGACAAUAAUCGGGACACUUCUCGGUGAUGACCGUAGUUUGAGGAGUUCAUGUAUUUACCAUGUGUUAAUGCUUUGGUCCGGUUCUCUAUUAAAAGGAGGCCUUAAUAUCCCUUAGUUUCCACUAGGACCCCGUUGCCAUGGGAGGGUAGGACAAAAGAUGUCAUGCAAGUUCUUUUCCAUAAGCACGUAUGACUAUUUACGGAAUACAUGCCUACAUUACAUUGAUGAACUGGAGCUAGUUCUAUAUCACCCUAUGUUAUAACUAUUGCAUGAGGAAUCGCAUCCGACAUAAUUAUCCAUCACCGAUCCAUUGCCUACGAGCUUUUCAUAUAUUGUUCUUCGCUUAUUUACUUUUCCGUUGCUACUGUUACAACUACUACAAAAACCCAAAAACAUUUAUCUUUACUGUUGCUACUGUUACCAUUACUAUCAUACCACUUUUGCUACUAAAUACUUUGCUGCAUGUACUAAGUUAUCCAGGUGUGGUUGCAUUGACAACUCAACUGCUAAUACUCAAGAAUAUUCUUUGGCUCCCCUUGUGUCGAAUCAAUAAAUUUGGGUUGAAUACUCAAUUUGGGUUGAAUACUCAAUAAAGCUGUUACGAUCCCCUAUACUUGUGGGUUAUCAAGACUAAUUUCUGGCGCUGUUGCCCGGGAGCAUAGCUCUAUUCUCCGAGUCACUUGAGAUUUAUAUCUGUUGAUCACUAUGAAGAACUUGAAAGACGCUAAGACCAAGAUUUUGCCCUCAACUACGAGGGGAGGUAAGGAACUACCAUCUAGCUCUGCACUAGAUUCUCCUUACAUUAUUAGUAGGCUUGCGACACCUAAACCUGCUACUGCUAUGAAUUCUGAUAUGUCGCAUGUUAUUGAUGAUGCCACUUCUGCUAUGCAUGAUGAAACUACAUCUGUGCAUGAUACUACUUUGCCAUUAGGUGAAUUUCUAAAUGAACAACUUGCUAGAGUUAGGGGGAAUGAAAAUAUUGAAGAACCUAUUAUUGAUGAUAGUGAUGAUGAACAUUCCCCCAAUGAUUAUGUUUUACCUGUUGUUCCUAAGGGUUAUGUUAUGCAUGAAGCAGCUGCUAUGGAAAUUCUUGCUUGCAAUGAUAGAAAUGAUCUUAGGAAAUUAUUAGCUAAAUGGAAGCAGCAGUCUCUUAAUGCUAGAAUGAAACCCGAUCCUACUUUUGCUACUUCACCUAUAUGUAUUACUGAUAAGGAUUAUGAAUUCUUUGUUGAUCCUGAUAUUAUUACUUUAGUUUAAUCUGAUCCUUUUUAUGGCCUUGAAUCUGAAACUGUUGUGGCACAUCUUACCAAGUUGAAUGAUAUAGCCACCCUAUUUACUCAUGACAAGAAGUCUCGCAAUUUAUAUAUCCUUAAGAUAUUCCCGUUCUAAUUAAAGGGUGAUGCUAAGACUUGGUAUAAUUCUCUUGCUCCUGGUUGUGUGCGUAGUCCCCAUGAUAUGAUUUAUUACUUCUCUGCUAAAUAUUUCCCUGCUCAUAAGAAACAAGCUGCCUUGUGGGAAAUAUAUAAUUUUGUGCAAAUCAAAGAAGAGAGUCUCCCACAAGCUAGGGGGAGGCUUCUCCGGUUACUUAAUGCUUUUCCUGAUCAUCCUCUUAAGAAAAAGGAAAUACUUGAUAUCUUUUAUAAUGGACUAACCGAUGCUUCCAAGGACCACUUGGAUAGUUGUGCUGGUUGUGUUUUCAGGGGAAGAACAGUCGACGAAGCUGGAAUAUUAUUGAAUAAUAUGUUGACUAAUGAAAAUAAUUGGACUCUUCCCGAGCCAGUUCCUGAAGUAAUUCCUGAACCAAUUGAACCAACUCCUGAGCCUAUUCCUAAACCCACUCCGAAGAAGAGAGGUGUUUUAUUUCUCAGUCCUGAAGAUAUGCAAGAGGCAAAGAAAUCAAUGAAAGAAAAAGGUAUUAAAGCUGAAGAAGUUAAGAAUUUACCACCUAUUGAAGAAAUACAUGGUCUUAAUUUACCGCCUGAAGAACCACAUUGUCUUGAUAACCCGACGUAGGUAGUAAAGGUAAAUUCUCUCUAUAGAUACGACAAAGUUGAAAUACAGUCUACUAAAUUUCAUAGCCCAUGCUUGGAUGAAUUUGAUGACUUUAUGGCUAGACAAGAAAGUUUUAAUGCUUAUGUUGGUAGAGAGUUAAAGAAUAAUGCUUUCGAGAUAGGACGCGUAGGUGAUAAUCUGGCUAGAGUUAAAGAUGAACUUCACCGCGUUAGCAAAUAUGCUUCUAUGGUUGCUACUCAAGCUGAGCAAGUACUCAAGGCUCAAAAUGAUUUGCUUGAUGAGUUGAAUAAUAAAAAUGACUUUGCCGUUAGAGUGGCUACUAGAACUGGUAGAAUGACUCAGGAACCUUUGUAUCCUGAAGGCCACCCUAAAAGAAUUGAACAAGAUUCUCAGAAUAAUAAUCUAGAUGUUCUUCGUUCUUCUAAAAAGAAGAAAAAGAAGAAUGAUAGAACUUUGCAAACUUCUAGUGAACCUAAUGUAGAAACACUUGAGAAUCCCAAUGAUACUUCCAUCUCUGAUGCUGAAACACAAUCCGGAGAUGAACAUGAACUUGAUGAUAAUGCUAAUAAUGAUGUUCAUGUAGAUGCUCAACCUAGUAAUAACAAUGAUGUAGAGAUUGAACCUGCUGUUGAUCUUGAUAACCCACAAUCAAAGAAUCAACGUUUUGAUAAGAGAGAUUCUGUUGCUAGGAAGCACAGUAAAGAAAGAGAACCAUUUGUUCAGAAACCCAUGCCCUUUCCUCCUAAACCAUACAAGUCAAAGGAUGAUGAGGAUUUUGAGCGCUUUGUUGAAAUGAUUAGACCUAUUUUCUUACGUAUGCGCUUAACUGAUAUGCUUAAAGUAAAUCCUUAUGCUAAGUAUUUGAAGGAUAUCAUCACAAAUAAAAGAAAGAUACCGGAAGCUGAAAUUUCCACCAUGCUUGCUAAUUACACUUUCAAGGGUGGAAUACCAAAGAAACUAGGAGAGAUCCGGUUGUGCCAACUAUACCAUGCUCCAUUAAAAGAAAUUAUGUUAGAACUGCUUUAUGUGAUCUUGGAGCCGGUGUUAGUGUUAUGCCUCUCUCUUUAUAUCGUAGACUUGAAUUGAAUAAGUUGACACCUAAUGAAAUAUCUUUGCAAAUGGCUGAUAAAUCAACUGCUAUACCUGUCGGUAUUUGUGAGGAUGUGCCUGUUGUGGUUGCAAAUGUCACUAUCUUAACGGACUUUGUUAUUCUUGAUAUUCCUGAGGACGAUAGUAUGUCUAUUAUCCUUGGUAGACCUUUUCUUAAUACUGCAGCAGUUGUUAUUGAUUGCAACAAAGGCAAUGUCACUUUUCAUGUUAAUGGUAAUGAGCAUACGGUACACUUUCCGAGGAAACAAUCUCAAGUUCAUAGCAUUAAUUCUAUUGAAAAAGUUCCAACUAUCAUUUUUGGAGUUUUUGAAUUUCCUCUCCCUACUGUCAAGAAAAAGUAUGAUAUUCUUAUUGUUGGGAAUUUUCAUAUCCCCGUUGAGGUAACUUAGUGUUAUUCGAAAUUUCUCCGCUUCCGUGUUAUUCGGAAUGAGUUUGUUAACAAGACUUGAUCAACCUUGUUAGCGGGUUCAUUUUGAUGACCACGAGAUGGACGAACCUAGAAGGCACAACCUUCUGUACCCUCCUUUUACUUUCUGUUAUUUAGAAUAAAUAAAGCAAAAAUAGUAUUAUCCGUCUGUUUUCUGAAUUAUCCGUGCAUUAAAAAAAUAGUCCGAAAAUAAAAGUGCUCCAAAUGCCCUGCAAAUUUAGUAUGAUUUUUUCUGGAAUAUUUGAGGAUUUUAGGCACUGAAAACACUGCAGGAGGGGCAAGCACCAGGCCACGAGAGAGGAGGGCGCGCCCCCCUGUCUCGUGGCCCCCUGGUGGCUCCCCUCCACUUAUGCCAGCACCCACACACUCUAUCUUCUACCCAAAAAAUCCCCAUACAGCUUAAGCACGAGUUCUAGGUCAUUUUGCUAUGAUUUUCGAUCUCUUAGCUCAAAGCUCCAUUCACAAAACUGCUUUGGGAGAUUGUUGCUUGGUAUGUGACUCCUCCUUUGGUCCAAUUAGUUUUUUUUCUAGUGCUUUAUUAUUUGCAAAUUUUUGCUGCUUAGGUGACCAUGUUCUUGAGCUUGCAUGUUAAAAUUUUGAGGUUCCAAGUAAUUCUAAGGCAUGAUAUGGGCUGUAGGCACUUGUAGGAGUAGUUGCUAUCAAUCUUGUUUAGUUUUAUGCACUUUUAUUUUGAAGUUACUAAAAAUUUCAGAAAUUUUCAGAAAAAGAAAUAUGCUUAGGAGAAUCUACCAAGGUGGUUCCUCGUCAAAGAAAGAGCCAAGGAUUGCUAUACGUGAGCAAGACGUUGAAUUGCCAAGGAAUGCAUAUGUACGGGCUUGUGAGUGGCCAUCCGAUGAUUUUAUGGUCGAAGCAGGCUUCAAGGAGGAUUUUGACGUGUAUGUGCGUAAUGCUGAGCUGGAGGACUUCUUACAAGAUAAGUGUCCUUAGUACUAUCAAUUGACUGAUUCCUUUGUGCGGAGGUUUAAGUAUAACUGUACGCGUAAUUCUCCUAGUGUCCUAUUUGAUAUUUAUGAUACAUCUUACACCAUGGACUUAGAGGAUUUUACAACUGCUUGCAAACUCCCGCAGUGGGGUAGUAUUAAUGAUCCUCACAAAUCUGAAUUUAGAGAUUUUCUUGCUAGUAUGACUGUGGGAGAAUCUAGGGACAUAGCACAAGCUACCUUAUGGAGUAUUCAUUUUCCCGCUAUACAUUAUUUUUCUCUCUUUAUUGGUAGAUGUAUUAACGGUAAGGAUGAAUCAUGUCACAUGUGUGCACCUGAUCUGAGUAUCCUCAAGAGUGCGGUGUUUGGUUUUAAAGGUUAUAACGUGGGGGCAAUAGUUGAUUUCUUUGGAGGAAUUUAUGCAACCCGUGUGGCUAAUUUUCUUGGUAUAGCCCCACGAGAAGGAGAUAUGAUAAUACCUCCUGUUUAUUUGGAUAAAGAAGCUAUGUUUACUCAUCAUUUUCUUGAGAGGAAUGAACAAUUCCUCCAUUAUCGACUAAUCUAUGACAGAUGCAACGUCGUCCCUGUUACUCUUCCUGCUCCCUACCUUUUUGAUUAUCAGGCAAAAGGAAGAUAUGUUGUCACCAGAGAGGAAGCAGCUGAAUACGAGAGGGGAGUGGAGGCAGCUCGCCAACACGCUGUAGCUCAGGAGGCGGUUGCCGCUGCAUCUCAGUACAACCCCGGUUUCACUUAUGGAUAUCAGCCAGGCGAUCCUUGGUAUUAAAUCAACUUAGGCCAAAAGCCUAAGCUUGGGGGAGUACGUAUUUCUCACUGACUUUACAUUUAUGUUCACACACUAGUCGUCGGUGCUCAUACUCUUUCAUUGUACUAUCCAUGCUAGUUUAAGUUCCUUUUUCUAGUUUUCUUCUUGUGUGUUUGAUAAACCUUGAGAAAAACCAAAAAUUAGUUAGUUUAAUUUCCAUGCCUUUAGUAGAAAUUAAAAUGAAAACCCAAAAAAAUUUCUAGUUCUUCUUUUUACUUGUUGGGAGCUUUCCCGUGUAAAUAGUUUUAUUUUCUUUUCUUUCCUUUGGGGGUCGAGAAGACCAUAUUGAAAAUGUUUAGUGGCUCUCAUAUGCAUAAUUAUUUAUUUAACUUAGAGCCCAUAUUACUUGUCUUCUCUUUUGAGUUGAAUGCUUGCAGAUUCCAGCUUAGUCCAAUGCACGUACACUCUUAUUAUUAUACACAUCGUUCGGUCGUGUGAGUGAAAGGUAAUAAUGACAAUAUAUGAUGGACUUAUUGGGAUGAGAAAAGCUGGUAUGAACUCGACCUCGCUUAUUUUUGUAAAUAUGAUGAGUUCAUCGUUCCUAAGUCAACUAUUAUGAAGUAAACAUAUUUGCAAUGACAUUUAGAGAUUAUAGUUACUUGUGCCAUGCUUGAUUAGCUAUGAGUUAUAAUGGUUUACCUUGCGUGCCAACAUGCUAUUAGAAUGAUUAUGAUGUGGUAUGACGGGAUGGUAUCCUCCUUUGAAUGAAUUGAGUGACUCGACUGGGCACAUAUUCACGCAUGUAGUUGAAUCAAAUCAACACAACCUUCACGAUAUUUAUGUUCAUGGUGGAUUAUAUCCUACUCAUGCUUAUGCUCGGUGUGAAUUAAAUUUAAUGCAUGCUUACGACUGUUGUCGCUCUCUCAGUUGGUCGCUUCCCAGUCUUUUUCUAGCCUUCACCUGUACUAAGCAGGAAUACUGCUUGUGCAUCCAAACUCCUUAAACCCCAAAGUUGUUCCAUAUGAGUCCACUAUACCUACCUAUAUGCGGUAUCUACCUGCCGUUCCAAGUAAAUUUGUAUGUGCCAAACUCCAGACCUUCAAAUUAAAUUUUGUUUUGUAUGCUCGAGUAGCUCAUGUUACAACUAGGGCUGCCUUUAUCUUCCAUGCUAGGUGGGUUAUUCUCAAGAGGAGUGGACUCCGCUCCUCAUUCAUGAGAAAGGACCGGUAACCGGGAUGCCCAGUCCCAUGACCCACAAAGAUCAAAGCAAAUCAAAAUAAUUAAACAAAACUCCCCCAGGGCUGUUGUAUGUUGGAGGCACUCGUUGUUUCGAGCAAGCCAUGGAUUGAUGCUUGUUGGUGGUUGGGGGAGUAUAAACCUUUACCAUUCUGUUUGGGAACUGCCUAUAAUGCAUUUAGUAUGGAAGAUACAGCCAUCUCAUAGGUGUUGCGUUGACAGCGAAAGUAUGCCGCUUAAAAUGUUAUUCAAUCUCUAUUUUAAAAUCGAGCUCUGGCACCUCUAAAAAUCCCUGCUUCCCUCUGCGAAGGUCCUAUCUAUUUACUUUUAUGUUGAGUCAUCACCUUCUUAUUUAAAGCACCCGCUCUAGAGCGCACUGUCAUUUGCAUUCAUUAUUAUUGAUUUUUAUUGUGUAUGACUUGACUGGAUCUCUUUUACCAUGAAUUACAAUGUUUAGUCAGUCCUUGAUCUUUAAAGGUGCUCUGCAUUUAUGUUUUGCGGUCUCAGAAAGGGCUUGCAGAUUCCAGCUUAGUCCAAUGCACGUGCACUCUUAUUAUUUUACGCAUCGUUCGGUCGUGCAAGUGAAAGGCAAUAAUGACGACAUAUGUUGGACUUAUUGGGAUGAGAGGAGCUGGUAUGAACUCGACCUCUCUUGUUUUUGUAAAAGUGAUGAGUUCAUCGUUCCUGAGUCAGCUUAUUAUGAAGUAAACAUAUUUGCAAUAACAUUUAGAGAUUAUAGUUCCUUGUGCCAUGCUUGAUUAGCUUUGAGUUAUAAUGGUUUACCUUGCGUGCCAACAUGCUAUUAGAAUGAUUAUGAUGUGGUAUGAUGGGAUGGUAUCCUCCUUUGAAUGAAUUGAGUGACUCGACUUGGCACAUGUUCACGCAUGUAGUUGAAUCAAAUCAACAUAGCCUUCACGAUAUUUAUGUUCAUGGUGGAUUAUAUCCUACUCCUGUUUAUAUUCGGUGUGAAUUAGUUUUAAUGCAUAUUUAUGACUGUUGUCGCUCUCUCAGUUGGUCGCUUCCCAGUCUUUUGCUAGGCUUCACCUGUACUAAGCGGGAAUACUGCUUGUGCAUCCAAACUCCUUAAACCCCAAAGUUGUUCCAUAUGAGUCCACUGUACCUUCCUAUAUGCGGUAUCUACCUGCCGUUCCAAGUAAAUUUGUAUGUGCCAAACUCCAGACCUUCAAAUUAAAUUCUGUUUUGUAUGCUCGAGUAGCUCAUGUUACAACUAGGGCUGCCUUUAUCUUCCAUGCUAGGUGGGUUAUUCUCAAGAGGAGUGGACUCCGCUCCUCAUUCACGAGAAAGGACCGGUAACCGGGAUGCCCAGUCCCAUGACCCAAAAAGAUCAAAGCAAAUCGAAAUAAUUAAACAAAACUCCCCCAGGGCUGUUGUAUGUUGGAGGCACUCGUUGUUUCGAGCAAGCCAUGGAUUGAUGCUUGUUGGUGGUUGGGGGAGUAUAAACCUUUAUCAUUCUGUUUGGGAACUGCCUAUAAUGCAUUUAGUAUGGAAGAUACAGCCAUCUCAUAGGUGUUGCGUUGACAGCGAAAGUAUGCCGCUUAAAAUGUUAUUCAAUCUCUAUUUUAAAAUCGAGCUCUGGCACCUCUAAAAAUCCCUGCUUCCCUCUGCGAAGGUCCUAUCUAUUUACUUUUAUGUUGAGUCAUCACCUUCUUAUUUAAAGCACCCGCUGUAGAGCGCACUGUCAUUUGCAUUCAUUAUUAUUGAUUUUUAUUGUGUAUGAUUUGACUGGAUCUCUUUUACCAUGAAUUACAAUGUUUAGUCAGUCCUUGAUCUUUAAAGGUGCUCUGCAUUUAUGUUUUGCGGUCUCAGAAAGGGCUUGCAGAUUCCAGCUUAGUCCAAUGCACGUACACUCUUAUUAUUUUACGCAUCGUUCGGUCGUGCAAGUGAAAGGCAAUAAUGACGACAUAUGUUGGACUUAUUGGGAUGAGAGGAGCUGGUAUGAACUCGACCUCUCUUGUUUUUGUAAAAGUGAUAAGUUCAUCGUUCGUGAGUCAGCUUAUUAUGAAGUAAACAUAUUUGCAAUAACAUUUAGAGAUUAUAGUUCCUUGUGCCAUGCUUGAUUAGCUUUGAGUUAUAAUGGUUUACCUUGCGUGCCAACAUGCUAUUAGAAUGAUUAUGAUGUGGUAUGAUGGGAUGGUAUCCUCCUUUGAAUGAAUUGAGUGACUCGACUUGGCACAUGUUCAUGCAUGUAGUUGAAUCAAAUCAACAUAGCCUUCACGAUAUUUAUGUUCAUGGUGGAUUAUAUCCUACUCCUGUUUGUAUUCGGUGUGAAUUAGUUUUAAUGCAUAUUUAUGACUGUUGUCACUCUCUCAGUUGGUCGCUUCCCAGUCUUUUGCUAGGCUUCACCUUUACUAAGCGGGAAUACUGCUUGUGCAUCCAAACUCCUUAAACCCCAAAGUUGUUCCAUAUGAGUCCACUGUACCUUCCUAUAUGCGGUAUUUACCUGCCCUUCCAAGUAAAUUUGUAUGUGCCAAACUCCAAACCUUCAAAUGAAAUUCUGUUCUGUAUGCUCGAGCAGCUCAUGUUACAACUAGGGCUGCCUAUAUCUUCCAUGCUAGGUGGGUUGUUCUCAAGAGGAGUGGACUCCGCUCCUCAUUCACGAGAAAGGGCUGGUAACCGGGAUGCCCAGUCCCAUGAUCCAAAAAGAUCAAAGCAAAUCAAAAUAAUUAAACAAAACUCCCCCAGGGCUGUUGUUAGUUGGAGGCACUCGUCGUUUCGAGCAAGCCAUGGAUUGAUGCUUGUUGGUGGUUGGGGGAGUAUAAACCUUUACCAUUCUGUUUGGGAACUGCCUAUAAUGCAUGUAGUAUGGAAGAUACAACCAUCUCAUAGUUUUUGCAUUGACAGCGAAAGUAUGCCGCUCAAAAUGUUAUUCAAUCUCUGUUUUAAAAUCGAGCUCUGGCACCUCUACAAAUCCCUGCUUCCCUCUGCGAAGGGCCUAUCUAUUUACUUUUAUGUUGAGUCAUCACCCUUCUUAUUAAAAAGCACCUGCUGGAGAGUGCACUGUCAUUUGCAUUCAUUACUAUUGGUUUAUAUUGGAUAUGACUUGACUGGAUCUCUUUUACCAUGAAUUACAAUGUUUAGUCAGUCCUUGAUCUUUAAAGGUGCUCUGCAUUUAUGUUUUGCGGUCUCAGAAAGGGCUAGCAAGAUACCAUUUUGUUAUAUCAUGUUAUGAUUGUUUUGAGAAAGUGUUGUCAUCUGAGUUCUAUUAUUAUUGCUCGCUAGCUGAUUAUGCUAUUGAUAUGAGUAAUUGUGAGACCCAGCUGUUAUUGUUAGUAUGGUUAGUUCAUAAUAUUUGCUGAAACUUGAAUGCUGGCUUUUCAUGUUUACAACAACAAGAGCAAACAGAGUUUGUAAAAGUUUUUCUUUAUCACUUUUAGUUUAUCAACUGAAUUGCUUGAGGACAAGCAAAGGUUUAAGCUUGGGGGAGUUGAUACAUCUCCAACAUAUCUACUUUUCCAAACACUUUUGCCCUUGUUUGGGACUCUAACUCGCAUGAUUUGAAUGAAACUAACCCGAACUGAUGCUGUUUUCAGUACAACUACCAUGAUGUUGUGUUAUGUGUAGAAAAGAAAAGUUCUCGGAAUGACCUGCAAAUCCACGGAGGCACUUUUUGGAAUUAAUAAGAAUUUCUGGGCGAAAGAAAUACACCAGGGGGCCCAGGGCCUGUCCACGAGACAGGGAGGCGCCCCCCUGUGGGGCGCGCCCCCUAUCUCGUGGGCCCCCUGGACCUCCACCGACCUCAACUCCAACUGUAUAUCUUCCGUCUUGCGGAGAAAAAAAUCAGAGAGAAAGUUUCAUUGCCUUUUACGACACGGAGCCGCCGCCAAGCCCUAAUCUCUCUCGGGAGGGCUGAUCUGGAGUCCGUUCGGGGCUUCGGAGAGGGGGAUUCGUUGCCAUCAUCAUCAUCAACCAUCCUCCCUCACCGAUUUCAUGAUGCUCACCGCCGUGCGUGAGUAAUUCCAUCAUAGGCUUGCUGGACGGUGAUGGGUUGGAUGAGAUUUACCAUGUAAUCAAGUUAGUUUUGUUAGGGUUUGAUCCCUAGUAUCCACUAUGUUCUGAGAUUGAUGUUGCUAUGACUUUGCUAUGCUUAAUGCUUGUCACUAGGGCCCGAGUGCCAUGAUUUCAGAUCUGAACCUAUUAUGUUUUCAUGAAUAUAUGUGUGUUCUUGAUCCUAUCUUGCAAGUCUAUAGUCACCUAUUAUUGUUUAUGAUCCGACAACCCCGAAGUGACAAUAAUCGGGACAGUUCUCGGUCAUGACCGUAGUUUGAGGAGUUCAUGUAUUCACCAUGUGUUAAUGCUUUGGUCCGGUUCUCUAUUAAAAGGAGGCCUUAAUAUCCCUUAAUUUCCACUAGGACCCCGCUGCCACGGGAGGGUAGGACAAAAGAUGUCAUGCAAGUUCUUUUCCAUAAGCACGUAUGACUAUUUAUGGAAUACAUGCCUACAUUACAUUGAUGAACUGGAGCUAGUUCUAUAUCACCCUAUGUUAUAACUAUUGCAUGAGGAAUCGCAUCCGGCAUAAUUAUCCAUCACCGAUCCAUUGCCUACGAGCUUUUCAUAUAUUGUUCUCCGCUUAUUUAAUUUUCCGUUGCUACUGUUACAACUACUACAAAAACCCAAAAACAUUUAUCUCUACUGUUGCUACUGUUACCAUUACUAUCAUACCACUUUUGCUACUUAAUACUUUGCUGCAGAUACUAAGUUAUCCAGGUGUAGUUGAAUUGACAACUCAACUGCUAGUACUCAAGAAUAGUCUACCCUCAAAAGUUGUUGCGAUCCCCUAUACUUGUGGGUUAUCACAAGGCACAUAUUGUAUUGUUGCCAUCGAGGAUAAAAAGAUGGGGUUUAUAUCAUAUUGCAUCAGUGUAUCCCUCUACACCAUGUAAUGUUUCUUAAUGCGUUACUCUGUUCUUUGUGAACUUAAUACUCUAGAUGCAUGCUGGAUAGCGGUCGAUGUGUGGAGUAAUAGUAGUAGAUGCAGGCAGGAGUCAGUCUACUUGUCACGGACGUGAUGCCUAUAUACAUGAUCAUCCCUAGAUAAUCUCAUAAUUAUUCACUUUUCUAUCAAUUGCUCGACAAUAAUUUGUUCACCCACCGUAAUAAUUAUGCUAUCUUGAGAGAAGCCACUAGUGAAACCUAUGCCCCCGGGUCUAUCUCUUAUCAUAUAAGCUUGCUAUUUACUUUUAUUUGCAUCUUUACUUUUCCAAUCUAUAUUAUAAAAUACCAAAAAUAUAUUUAUCUUAUCAUAUUAUCUAUAUCAGAUCUCACUUUCGCAAGUGACCGUGAAGGGAUUGACAACCCCUUUAUUGCGUUGGUUACGAGUUCUUGUUUGUUUGUGUAGGUGCGUGGGACUUGUGAGGAGUCUCCUACUGGAUUGAUACCUUGGUUCUCAAAAACUAAGGGAAAAUACUUACACUACUAUUGCUGCAUCACCCUUUCCUCUUCAAGGAAAACCAACGCAAGCUCAAACGUAGCAAGAAGGAUUUCUGGCGCCGUUGCUGGGGAGGUCUUCGCUCAUGUCAAGGCAUACCAAGUACCCAUCACAAACUCAUCUCCCUCGCAUUUACAUUAUUAGUCAUUUGCCUCUCGUUUUCCUCUCCCCCACUUAACCCUUGCCGUUUUAUUCGCCCUCCCUUUCCCAAUCUCCUCUCUCUUUCACUUGCCUUUCUGUUAGCUUGUAUGUUGGAUUGCUUGUCACUAUGGCUAGUCCUCCUAUCUUUGUUAUUACUCCCGAACAUGAAGUUCUUAAUUUUUAGCAAAGGGAGAGAGAAAAUCUAAAAGAUGAUUGGCAUAGAAUUUGCAAUGCCCAAAAUAGAUCUACUAGGAAGCCUUCUACUUCCGUUCUUCUUUGCAAUUUUUAUGUGGGCAUUACCCCUUGGAAUAGAUGCAUCCUUGAUACCAUUACCAGAGGGAAUUUCUUGGAUAGUCAUACUUUUGAUGCUUAUUAUGCUAUGUUAGAUUUUUUUGGUCCACCCCCUCUUUUGGUUAAUGGAACUAUUUUAACUUUAGAACAUGUGAUGCAAAGGCUUGAAAUUAUUGAAAAUAAAAUUUCCACUGUUGAGUUAAUUGAAAAUUUGGAUAAAAAGAUCCACAACCAAAUUACCCAAUAUGGAUCUAAGGCUGGGACUACUCUGAAAAAUCUUAAAGAAAAGGAACCUAUAGUUAAUGAAAGAAUAGAAAAAGAUUCUACAAUAAUUGGUAAACUUGAGGAUAUAAUUACUAACUUAGGGUCUUCCUUUUCAUCUAUGAAAAAUACUCCAACUCCUCCUAUUAAAUUUGGCAAAUUAAUGUAUGUUCCUAAAAAUAAGGGUGAAUCUUCUAGUAAGGAAAAUGCAGAUCUCAAAUCCAUAAGUGUUCACCCUAGUUUUUCCACUAUCAUAAAGGAACCUUUUGCUUCAAAUGAAUGUCUUGAUUUCUUGCCUAGGAGCUUAAUCAUUUCUAAAAAUAAAGAAACUCCUAAAAAUUAUAAGUGCUCUAUUGAAGAAUUAAGUGCCAAAGACGGCACUACUUAGAUCUAUCCUCGCUUUUAUGCCUAGUUAGGGGCGUUAAACGAUAGCGCUAGUUGGGAGGCAACCCAAUUUUAUUUAUGUUUUUGUUCUUGUUUCUGUUUAGUAAUAAAUCUUGCAUCUACCUUAUUUUUAGAUGUGUUUCCAUGUUUUAUUUAAUUAGUGUUUGUGCCAAGUAGAACCUAUAGGAUAACCUAUGGUGAUAGUUAAUUUGAUUCUGCUGAAAAACAGAAACUUUGCGCUCACGAGAAAAAGUUCAAUAAACCACAGAAACGUGGUUUUGCGUUGAUUCUUUUUGCUGUAGAUCAAUAGAUAAAUUGCCUAAGAAUUACUAUUUGGGUAGGAUUUUUAGAAUUCCAGAAGUAUUCGAAAGUUACAGAUUGCUACAGACUGUUCAGUUUUUGACAUAUUCUGCCUUUCGUGUGUUGUUUGCUUAUUUUGAUGCAUCUAUGGCUAGUAUGUAAGAGUAUGAACCAUAGAGAACUUGGAAUACAGUAGGUUUAACACCAAUAUAAAUAAAGAAUUAUUUCAUUACCGUACCUUAUGUGGUGGUUUUUCUUUCUUUCACUAACGGAGCUUAUGAGAUUUCCUGUUGAGUUUUGUGUUGUGAAGUUUUCAUGUUUUGGGUAAAGAUUUGAUGGACUAUGGAAUAAGGAGUGGAAAGAGCCUAAGCUUGGGGAUGCUCAUGGGACCCCAAGAUAUUCAAGAAUAGCCAAAAGCCUAAGCUUGGGGAUGCCUCGGAAGGCAUCCCCUCUUUCGUCUUCGUUUAUCGGUAACUAUACUUGGAGCUAUAUUUUUAUUCGCCACAUGAUAUGUGUUUUUAUUGGAGCGUCUUGUAUGAUAUUAGUCUUUGCUUUUUAGUUUAGCACAAUCAUCCUUGCUGUACACACCUUUUGGGAGAAGCCCACUUGAUUAGAAUUUAUUAGAAUACUCUAUGUGCUUCACUUAUAUCUUUUGAGCUAGAUAGUUUUUGCUCUAGUGCUUCACUUGUAUCUUUUAGAGCACGGCGGUGGCUUAAUUUUGAAGAAAUUGUUUAUCUCUCACACUUCACUUAUAUUAUUUUGACAGUAUUUUAGAACAUCAUGGUAUUUUCUAUGGUUAUAAAGUUGGUCCUAGAAUGAUGAGCAUCCAAGUUGGGUAUAAGAAAAACUAUCAUAGAAAGUGCAUUAAACACUAGGAUCAAUUUGAUGCUUGAUAAUUGUUUUGAGUUAUAAAGGUGGUAAUGUUAGAGUCAUGCUAGUGGGUGAUUAUGAAAUUGGGAAAUACUUGUGUUGAAGUUGCCAAGUCCCGUAGCAUGCACAUAUGGUAAAAGUUGUGUGACAAAUUUGUUACAUGAGGUACUCUUUUGAUUGUCUUCCUUAUGAGUGGUAGUCGGGGACGAGCGAUGGUCUUUUCCUACCAAUCUAUCCCUCUAGGGGCAUGCGUAGUAGUACUUUGCUUCUAGGGAUAAGUAGACUUUUGCAAUAAGUAUAUGAGUUCUUUAUGACUAAUGUGAGUCCAUGGAUAUACGCACACUCAACCUUCCACUUUGCUAGCCUCUAUUGUGCCAUGCAAAUUUCGUCGGUAUCAUGCACCCAUUAUUUACCUUCCUCAAAACAGCCACCAUACCUACCUAUGAUGGCAUUUCCAUAGCCAUUCCGAGAUAUAUUUCCAUGCAACUUUCCACCGUUCCGUUAUUAUGACACGCUCCAUCAUUGUCAUAUUGCUCUUUGCAUGAUCAUGUAGUUGAUGUUGUAUUUGUGGCAAGGCCACCCUCAUAAUUUUCAUACAUGUCACUCUUGAUUAAUUGCAUAUCCCGGUACACCGCCGGAGGCAUUCAUACAGAGUCAUAUUUUGUUCUAAGUAUUGAGUUGUAAUUCUCGAGUUGUAAAUUAAUAAAAGUGUGAUGAUCUUCAUUAUUAGAGAAUUGUCCCAAGUGAGGAAAGGAUGGUCAAGACUAUGAUUCCCCCACAAGUCGGGAUGAGACUUCAGACUUUAUAAAAAUAAAAGAGGCCAAAGAAGCCCAUAAAAAAAGAGGUCAAAGAAGCCCACCAAAUAAAAAAAGGAGGAAGAAAAAAGAAGAAGAAAAAAAAGAGAAAAGAAAAGAAAGAAAAAAAAUGAGAAGAGAGGAAAGAGAGAAGGGACAAUGCUACUAUCUCUUUUCCACACUUGUGCUUCAAAAUAGCACCAUGAUCUUCAUGAUAGAGAGUCUCUUGUGUUGUUACUUUCAUAUACUAGUGGGAAUUUUACAUUAUAGAACUUGGCUUGUAUAUUCCAAUGAUGGGCUUCCUCAAAAUGCCCUAGGUCUUCGUGAGCAAGCAAGUUGGAUGCACACCCACUUAGUUUCUUUUGUUGAGCUUUCAUACAUUUAUAGCUCUAGUGCAUCCAUUGGAUGGCAAUCCCUACUCACUCAUAUUGAUAUCUAUUGACGGGCAUCUCCAUAGCCCGUUGAUACGCAUAGUUGAUGUGAGACUAUCUUCUCCCUUUUUGUCCUCACAACCACCGCCAUAUACCACUAUAGUGCUAUGUCCAUGGCUUACGCUCAUGUAUUGUGUAAGAGUUGAAAAAGCUGAAGCGCGUUAAAAUUAUGAACCAAUUGCUUGGCUCAUCAUCGGGGUUGUGCAUGAUGGGAGUAUUUUGUAGGGAUAAUCUUUCUUUGGCUAUGCUAUUCUGAUAGGACAUGAUUAUUUGUUAGUAUGCUUUGAGUAUUACUAUUUUUAUGUUUUAUAAGCUUUUAUAUUGAAUCAUUUGGAUCUGAACAAUCAUGCCACAAUAAAUAAAAUUACAUUGAGAAUUAUGCUAGGUAGCAUUCCACAUCAAGAAUUCUAUUUUUAUCAUUUACCUACUCGAGGACGAGGAGGAAUUAAGCUUGGGGAUGCUUGAUACGUCUCCAACGUAUCUAUAAUUUUUUAUUGUUCCAUGCUAUUAUAUUACCUGUUUUGGAUGUUUAUGGGCUUUACUUUACACUUUUAUAUCAUUUCUGGGACUAACCUACUAACCGGAUGCCCAGCCCGUAUUGCUAUUAUUUUGCCUAUUCAGUGUUUCAAAGAAAAGGAAUAUCAAACGGAGUCCAAACGGAAUGAAACCUUCUGGAGCAAUCGUUUUGGAACAAACGUAAUCCAGAGGACUUGGAGUGCAAGUCAAGAAGCAAUCGAGGAGGCCACGAGGGUGGAGGGCGCCCCCCCUACUGGGUGAACCCUCCUGUCUCGUGGGCCCCUCGGGCAUCCACCGACGUACUUCUUCCUCCUAUAUAUACCCACGAACCCCGAGAACAUCUGUGGCGACCAUGAAAAACUAUUUCCACCACCGUAACCUUCUGUAUCCGCGAGAUCCCAUCUUGGAGCCUUCGCCGACGCUCCGCCGGAGGGGGAAUUGUCCAUGGAGGGCUUCUACAUCAACACCAUAGCCUCUCCGAUGAGUUGUGGGUAGUUUACCACAGACCUUCAGGUCCAUAGUUAUUAGCUAGAUGGCUUCUUCUCUCUCUUUGGAUCUCAAUACCAUGUUCUCCUUGAUCUUCCUGGAGAUCUAUUCGAUGUAACUCUUUUUGCGGUGUGUUUGUCGAGAUCCGAUGAAUUGUGGGUUUGUGCUCAAGUUUAUCUAUGAGAAAUAUUUGAAUCUCCUAUGAAUUCUUUUUUGUGUGAUUAAGUUAUCUUUGCAAGUCUCUUCGAAUUAUCAGUUUGGUUUGGCCUACUAGAUUGGUCUUUCUUGAAAUGGGAGAAGUGCUUAGCUUUGGGUUCAAUCUUACGGUGUCCUUUCCCAGUGACAGCAGGGGCAGCAAGGCACUGAUACGUCUCCAAUGUAUCUAUAAUUUUUGAUUGUUCCAUGCUAUUAUAUUACCCCUUUUGGAUGUUUAUGGGCUCUAUUUUACACAUUUAUAUCAUUUUUGGGACUAACCUACUAACCGGAGGCCCAGCCCGUAUUGCUGUUUUUUUGCCUAUUUCUGUAUUUCGAAGAAAAGGAAUAUCAAAUGGAUUCCAAACGGAAUAAAACCUCCGGGAGCGUGAUUUUGGAACGAACGUGAUCCAGAGGACUUGGAGUGCAAGUCAAGAACCAGCGGAAGCUUCCACGAGAUAGGAGGGCGCCCCCCCAUAGGGCGCGCCCCCUGUCUCGUAGGCCCAUCGGGCGUCCACCGACGUACUUCUUCCUCCUAUAUAAUCCUACGUACCCCGAAAACAUCUAGGGAGCACCCGAAACACAAUUUCCACCGUCGUAACCUUCUGUAUCCACGAGAUCUCAUCUUGGAGCCUUCGCCGGCACUCUACCGGAGGGGGAAUUGACCACGGAGGGCUUCUACAUCAACACCAUAGCCCUUCCGAUGAGUUGUGAGUAGUUUACCACAGACCUACGGGUCCAUCGUUAUUAUCUAGAUGGCUUCUUCUCUCUUUUUGGAUCUCAAUACAAUGUUCUCCCCCUCUCUUGUGGAGAUCUAUUUUGAUGUAAUCUCUUUUUGCGGUGUGUUUGUCAAGAUCCGAUGAAUUGUGGGUUUAUGAUCAAGUUUAUCUAUGAAUAAUAUUUGAAUCUUCUCUGAAUUCUUAUAUGUAUCAUUGAGUUAUCUUUGCAAGUCUCUUUGAAUUAGCGGUUUGGUUUGGCCUACUAGAUUGAUCUUUCUUGCCAUGGGAGAAGUGCUUAGCUUUGGGUUCAAUCUUGCGUUUUCCUUACCCAGUGACAGAAAGGGUUGCAAGGCACGUAUUGUAUUGUUGCCAUCGAGGAUAAAAAGAUGAAGUUAAUAUCAUAUUGCUUGAGUUUAUCCCUGUACAUCAUGUCAUCUUGCUUAAUGCGUUACUCUGUUCUUUGUGAACUUAAUACUCUAGAUGCAGGCAGGAGUCGGUCGAUGUGUGGAGUAAUAGUAGUAGAUGCAGGCAGGAGUCGGUCUACUUGUUGCGGACGUGAUGCCUAUAUACAUGAUCAUGCCUAGAUAAUAUGAUAAUUAUUCUCUUUUCUAUCAAUUGCUCGACAGUAAUUUGUUCACCCACCGUAAUACUUAUGCUAUCUCGAGAGAAGCCUCUAGUGAAACCUAUGGCCCCCGGGUCUAUCUCUUAUCAUAUUUGCUUCCAAUCUACUUUUAUUUGCAUCUUUACUUUUUGCAUCUAUAUUAUAAAAUACCAAAAAUAUAUUUAUCUUAUCAUACUAUCUCUAUCAGAUCUCACUAUCGCAAGUGGCCGUGAAGGGAUUAACAACACCUUUAUUGCGUUGGUUGCGAGUUCUUUGUUUGUUUGACUUGUUGAGGAGCCUCCUACUGGAUUGAUACCUUGGUUCUCAAAAACUGAGGGAAAUACUUACGCUACUCUGCUGCAUCACCCUUUCCUCUUCAAGGAAAACUAACACAAGCUCAAGACGUAGCAAUAAGGAUUUCUGGCGCCGUUGCCGGGGAGGUCUUCGCUCAAGUCAAGACAUACCAAGUACCCAUCACAAACUCAUCACCCUCGCAUUUACAUUAUUUGCCAUUUGUCUCUUGUUUUCCUCUCCCCCACCUCACCCUUGCCAUUUUAUUCGCCCUCUCUUUCCCAAUCUCCUCUCUUUUCGCUUGCCGUUUUCCGUUACCCGUGUGUUUUCUCGUUUAUCUCGUCGUUAUGGCUAGUCCUCCUAUCCUUAUUAUCACUCCCGAACAAGAAAUUCUUAGUUUUAAGCAAAUGGAGGGUGAAUAUUUAAAAAAUGCUUGGCAUAGAAUUUGCAAUGCCCAAUAUAAAUCUUCUAGGAAGCUUUCCACUUCCGUUCUUCUCCGCAAUUUUUAUGUAGGCAUUACUCCUUGGAAUAGAUGUGUUCUUGAUAUUGCUACCAGAGGUGAUUUCAUGAGUAGCCAUACGUUUGAUGCUUAUAAUGCCAUGUUGGAUUUGUUUGGCCCACCACCUCUUUUGGUCAAUGGAACUGUUUUAACUUUAGAACAUGUUAUGCAACGGCUUGACAUUAUUGAAAAUAAAUUUUCCACUGUUGAGUUGAUUGAAAAUUUGGAUAAAAAGAUUCAUAAUCACAUCACCCAAUAUGGAUCUAGGGUUGGAGUUACUUCGAAAAAUCUUAAAGAAAAAGAACCUUUAGUAAAUGAGAAAAUAGAUCUAGACUCUGCUAGAAUCGGUAAACUUGAGGAUAUCAUUACAAACUUAGGUUCCACUUUUUCCUCUAUGAAAAAUACUCCAAAACCCUAUACUAAAACUGCCAAGUUUGUUUAUGUUCCUAAAAAUAAGGGUGAAUCUUCUAGUAAGGGAGACGCAGAUCUCAAAUCCAUAAGUGUUUAUCCCAAUUGUCUUUCUAUCAUUAAGGAACCUUUUGCUACAGUUGAAUUUCUUCAUUUUUUGCCUAAAGGUUUAGCCAUUGCUAAAAGGGGAGAAAUCUCUAGAGAUCACAAGUGCUCUAUUGAUGAAUCAAGUGUCAAAGAUGGCACUACUUAGAUCUAUCUUCGCUUUUAUGCCUAGCUAGGGGCGUUAAACGAUAGCGCUAGUUGGGAGGCAACCCAAUUUUCUUUGUGUUUUUGUUUUUGUUCCUGUUUAGUAUUAAGUUUUUGCUUCUACUUUCUGUUUAGAUGUGUUUUUAGCUUCUAAUUAGUGUUUGUGCCAAGUAGAACCUGUAGGAUAAACUAUGAUGACUAGUCGUCAACCCGUGCAUGCGCACGGGCUAGCCUAUUUUAGGUAGACGUAUAUACAUUGUACUUCUAUUAACAUUUUGCCGCAUGCAAUAUUUUUUAGAAGUUAGGUACUUGUACAUGAAGGGGGGAUAAAAGAGGAAUGUAAAUAUAACUUUCAAAAUUACUCUCCAAAAUAAAUUAUAGCUCACGUAAUUCAUAGAGUAUAUAAUUUAAUAUAUAAAUAUGAGGUGAAGAAUUACGCCUUGGUGCAAUGAAGUCAUGAUCAAUGAUCCAGUGCCAACUACCAAACCUAUAGCAAGCAUAAAUUUUUUUUGUGAUGUAAGUUGUUGAUGCUGCAGUAAAGUGUGAAGCUUCAUUAAAUAUUUAAAUUAAUAUAUGUGGAAGGAAUACACACAUGUAGAGUAUAGUACAUGACUCAUCUCUGCUUUUAUUACUCGUGACAAUUUUAAUGAAAGGAAAUAUCGUAUACAUGAAUGCAUGUUACUACGAAAGUGGCAAAAACAAUAUUUCUCUCCCUUUCCUAGAACUCAAACUUAUUCUUUGUAACAUACCUUAUACUCUGAAAAAGGGAAAAUAAGUUUUCAUUACGAAAGGUUACUAUCGUUUCCUCUCAUAAAAAGGCGAGUCAAAAUCUUGCGUGCUUGCAAAAUUCACUGUAUAAACAUAAAUGGAAACAAAUGUCAUGAUAUUGCAUGUAAACUGCAAAUGUAGAUGUUUAAAUUCUAAGUUUCAGAAAAAUAUAUUAAUGUAGUUGGCUGAAAUAAUAAAACUUUGUAGUUAAUAUUUUUGUGUGUAUGUUAACAAAAAUACAAAGGAGUGUGUAUUUCAUUUAUUGUCUCAUAAUUAUGACCCACACAUUAGUAUUGUUUGUGUAACGUGCAAAUAAAUGUAUUCCAUAUUUAAAUGAUAGCAUAAACAUUUACAUGUGAGGAAAAAAGUCAGGAAUUUCUCAUAUUUAAAGAGGGAUUUGAUUGGUAUUAUUUUGUUGAAUUUUUUGUCUAAAAGAAGGCUGUGAGAAAAAUGUUUGCACUUGAUAUGGUCUUAUUAGUAUAUUUUUAAGGAAGAUAAUGAAAACAGAAUAAUAAAUGUAUAGGUAGAUAAGUUUGAUUUUUCUUAUAACAAAUAUGUCCUCCAUGUGUUUCCUAUGCCUUAAUAACAUCAUGUCAUAUUUUUGCAUACACCUAAUUAAAUUGUAAAUAUGGAAAAACAGCUGCUCAAGCCUAACUUAAUUAUAUGCAGUACAAAUUAUAGGACAAAACUGUAGGCAUUUAGAAAAUAUUAAUAACGUAAAAUUCCCAAUCGCAGGCUUGUUCAAAUUAAUGCCUAGCACAAUAUGCUCUUUAAAGAACAGAGGGUGACAAAAUUUCGAUAUACUUUUAGACAUAGCAGAACAAUAAAUAUUGCAGAUUGAUCUGAAAGAGCUCCAUGUGCUCAUAUAUAAAACUGGAAGUUGCUAGUGUCUGUAGAUUUAAAUUCCUCUUUUUUUAUCGUCUCUUCCCUGGAAGAUAACAUGUAUAAUUUAGCAUGUUUACGUGCAGACAUAGCAAUCGGCCACCUACAGAAUGUUGAUCUGACAUACAAUUGGAAACUUAGAUCGCAAGACAUACUAUACUUCUAAUCAAUUAUUCAUGCCUUCAAAUACUUUAGUCUAGAAACCAACCAAAUCAAUUAUUAGAAGGGAAAGAAACUAAGAAAUAAAAGGACUGAUGGAUAAUGUCUUUUCAACAAAAUAGCAGUGCAACACACCAUCUGUACAUAAAAACUGUACGUAGUUAUCAUGCAUGCAUAGGAUACAUGAUCCCCAAUUUCAUCAUAAACCAGCUAAAGUGAGAAAAACAUACAUCUAUACUAUCUGCCCAUGCCGUCCAGACACGCCGUCGCCAGCUGCUGCACCACGGCCUAACACCUGGGCACCUCAAGAUACCACAUGACAAUGAUUGGAGGUGGAGUCCCGUAGCAAACUGUUGUUCUGGGUCUCUACCGGCCUGCUUGCAGUAGCCAUAUUGAUGUCCUGGCCGGACAAAAAACAGUGCUGCUAUUGCCAGCUAAUAAUGUUAUGUGGCUGUCUUCCAAAUUGAACUACAAAGGUAUGACCACAUUACCUAUAAACAGUGUGAUAAAUAAAUGGAAUAUGUUUAAGUAUGAUUUUUGAAAGACAUGGUUGAACUCUAAUAAACCAAAUUCCUAGAUGAGGUUAGAGAGGACGGCUAGGUUACAUAGCUAUUGUCUCUAGGAAACAACAGAAUCAAAGUAGUAACAUGCAGGCUAUUGAUCUGUUGCUACAGUCUCUGCAGGGAAUAAGUUCAGAAAUAAUGACAAUCACUUGCCGGUGUAUUAAACUAAGCAUUAUUUUGCAUGCUUGAACAUUAGUAAAGCAAUCUAAAUUUUAUCAUAGUGCAACUACAGAUAAUGUAUAAAAGUUAUUGAAAAUCCCAGUCACGGAAUUAGCACUUAUGUGAAGCUCCUGAUGCCCAGAGACAUGGACGCAGCGCAAACCUGUUGAUACUCCCGGCAAGGCCCGAUGACGACGUUGACGGCAGCAGUUCCUCUGUGAUAAAAUCUGUAUUAAUUGAAGAAGUUUGCAUCAACGUAAAGGUUGCUAGCUAGCUAACAUAGAGUGCUUGAUUCUAGCAAGAUGCACACACAAUACACGCACGCAGAAUCACUGGGUUGAUUACAGACUUAGACUACUACUUGGACAUAUACAUGUACAAAAUACGCCCAAUUGACGCCACUAUUCACAUAUGCAUGUGCAUCCAUAACGUGAUGAUGUUUAUGCUAUGGAUAUGAAUCUGACCUUCUCCUGUGUCAUGGAAUCUACUUCUUGGCUGCAACACAUCUUAUGCUGCCGGCAAUGGGGUUGUGCCUGCGGACGAUGGAUGGCACUGGCGGCGGCGGGCUUUGUGGUACGUCGCCGCGUAUAGGUCGAGCACAUAAUCAGGAGAGACGGUCUCGCAAGACUAUUACGUGGUUAGUUAGCAUUCUUUUUUUUGUUAGCCUAGGUAUAGAAUAGAUAGAUAGAUUUGGUUGUGGGAGAGAGAUAGGUACGUCAGUUUUUUUACACCUAAGAGAUUUCAAUCGUGGGGGAGAUAACCAUGAGAUUUUUUUUCUUUUUGGGAGAGGUUCAAGAGAGAUCUACACCAUAAUAAUUUGGUCCCACCAGAUUAACGGCUCCUAAUUACUGAUUAACAUGGUAAUUUCUAGGGAGUCACAAAUUAGUAUAGGUAUAGAUAGUUGAUUUGAUUCUGCUGAAAAACAGAAACUUUGCGCUCACGAGAAAACUUCCAAUAAAUCACAGAAACGUGAUUUUGCAUUGCUUCUUUUUGCUGAUGAUCAAUAAACAAAUUUUCCAGUACGUCCUAUUUUGGUAGGAUUUUUAGAGUUCCAUAAGUUUGCGGUAGUUACAGAUUGUUACAGACUGUUCUGUUUUUGACAGAUUCUGUUUUUCGUGUGUUGUUUGCUUAUUUUGAUGCAUCUAUGGCUAGUAAAAUAGUUUAUAAACCAUAGAGAAGUUGGAAUACGGUAGGUUUAACACCAAAAUAAAUAAAUAAUGAGUUCAUUACAGUAACUUAUGUGGUGGUUUUGUUUUCUUUCACUAACGGAGCUUGUAAGAUUUCCUGUUGAGUUUUGUGUUGUGAAGUUUUCAAGUUUUGGGUAAAGCUUUUAUGGACUAUGGAAUAAAGGGUGGCAAAAGCCUAAGCUUGGGGAUGCCCAUGGAACCCCAAGAUAUUCAAGGAUGGCCAAAAGCCUAAGCUUGGGGAUGCCCCGGGAAGGCAUCCCCUCUUUCAUCUUCGUUCAUUGGUAACUUUACUUGGAGCUAUAUUUUUAUUCGCCACAUGAUAUGUGUUUUGCUUGGAGCGUCAAGUAUUAUAUUAGUCUUCGAUUUUUAGUCUACCACAAUCAUCCUUGCUGUACACACAUUUUGGGAGAAGCCUAUUUUAUUAGAAUUUGCUCGAAUACUCUAUGUGCUUCACUUAUAUCUUUUGAGCUUGAUAGUUUUUGCUCUAGUGCUUCACUUAUACUUUUUAGAGCACGGUGGUGAAUUAUUUUGUAGAAAUUGCUAUUCUCUCAUGCUUCACUUAUAUCUAUUUUAGAGUCUUUUAGAAUAGCAUGGUAUUUGCUAUGGUUAUAAAUUUGUCCUAGAAUGAUGAGCAUCCAAGUUGGGUAUAAUAAAAACUAUCAUAGGAAGUGAAUUGGAUGCUAUGAUCAAUUUGAUACUUGAUAAUUGUUUUGAGAUAUGGAGGUAGUGAUAUUAAAGUCAUGCUAGUUGGGUGAUUAUGAAUUUAAAGAAUGCUUGUGUUGAAGUUAGCAAGUCCCGUAGCAUGCACGUAUGGUUAAAGUUGUGUAACAAAUUUGAAACAUGAAGUGUACCUGGCUUGUGCAUCCUUAUGAGUGGUGGUCGGGGACGAGCGAUGGUCUUUUCCUACCAAUCUAUCCCCCUAGGAGCAUGCGCGUAGUGCUUGAUUUUUGAUGGCUUCUAAAUUUUUGCAAUAAGUAUAUGAGUUCUUUUGACUAAUGUUGAGUCCAUGGAUUAUACACACUUUUACCUUUGCACCAUCGCUAGCCUCUUCGGUAUCGUGCAUUGCCCUUUCUCACCUUGAGAGUUGGUGCAAACUUCACCGGUACAUCCAAACCCCAUGAUAUGAUACGCUCUAUCACACAUAAAUCUCCUUAUAUCUUCCUCAAAACAACCACCAUACCUACCUAUUAUGGCAUUUCCGUAGCCAUUCCGAGAUAUAUUGCCAUGCAACUUUCCACCGUUCCGUUUAUCAUCAUCAUGACAUACAUUACUUUUGUCAUAUUGCCAUUGCAUGAUCAUGUAGUUGACAUCGUAUUUGUGGCAAGGCCACCAUGCAUUAUUUUUCACACAUGUCACGCUUGAUUCGUUGCACCAUCCCGGUACACCUUCGGAGGCAUUCAUAUAGAGUCAUAUAUUGUUCUAGUUUUGAGUUGUAAUUCUUAUGUUGUAAUCAAUAGAAGUGUGAUGAUCAUCAUUUUUAGAGCAUUGCCCAAAAGAAGGAAGAAAAAAAGAAGAAAGGCCCAAAAGAGAAAAAAAAGAAAAAAAGAAAAUAAAUAAAAAGGGCAAUGCUACUAUCUCUUUUUCCACACUUGUGCUUCAAAGUAGCACUUUGUUCUUUAUGUAGUGAGUCUCAUAUAUUGUGCUUCAAAGUAGCACCAUGUUUUUCAUGUAGAGAGUCUCAAAAGUUGUAUUUUUCAUACUAGUGGGAAUUUUUCAUUAUAGAACUUGGCUUGUAUAUUCCUACGAUGGGCUUCCUCAAAUGCCCUAGGUCUUCGUGAGCAAGCAAGUUGGAUGCACACCCACUAGUCUUCUUUUGUUGAGCAUCUAUUUAUAGCUCUAGUGCAUCCGUUGCAUGGCAAUCCCUACUCCUCAUGUUGACAUCAAUUGAUGGCAUCUCCAUAGCCCGUUGAUUAUCCUCGUCAAUGUGAGACUUUUUUUUGUCUUCUCCACACAAUCCCCAUCAUUAUAUUCUAUUCCACCCAUAGUGCUAUAUCCAUGGCUCACGCUCAUGUAUUGCAUGAAGGUUGAAAAAGUUUGAAAUUAUUUAAGUAUGAAACAAUUGCUUGGCUUGUCAUCGGGGGUAUAGAAGUUGGGAACAUCUUUGUGUGACGAAAAUGAAGCAUAGCCUAACUAUAUGAUUUUGUAGGGAUGAACUUUCUUUUGCCAUGUUAUUUUGAGAAGACAUGAUUGCUUUGAUUAGUAUGCUUGAAGUGUUACUAUUUCUUUUAUCAAUAUGAACUUUUAUUUUGAAUCAUUCGGAUCUGAACAUUCAUGCCACAAUGAAGAAAAUUACAUUAAGAAUUAUGCUAGGUAGCAUUCCACAUCAAAAAUUCUCUUUUUAUCAUUUACCUACUCGAGGACGAGCAGGAAUUAAGCUUGGGGAUGCUUGAUACGUCUCCAACGUAUCUAUAAUUUUUUAUUGUUCCAUGCUAUUAUGUUACCCCUUUUGGAUGUUUAUGGGCUUUAUUUUACACAUUUAUAUCAUUGUUGGGACUAACCUACUAAUCGGAGGCCCAACCUGUAUUGCUGUUUUUUUGCCUAUUUCAGUAUUUCGAAGAAAAAAGAAAUAUCAAACGGAGUCCAAACGGAAUGAAACCUUCGGGAGCGUGAUUUUUUGAACGAAUGUGAUCCAGAGGAGUUGGAGUGCAAGUCAAGAAGUAGCCGAAGCUUCCACGAGAUAGGAGGGCGUCCACCGACGUACUUCUUCCUCCUAUAUAAGCCUAUGUACCCCGAAAACAUCCAGGGAGCACCCGAAACACAAUUUCCACCACCGUAACCUUAUGUAUCCACGAGACCUCAUCUUGGAGCCUUCACCGGCACUCUGCCGGAGGGGGAAUUGACCACGGAGGGCUUCUACAUCAACACCAUAGCCCUUCCGAUGAGUUGUGAGUAGUUUACCACAGACCUACGGGUCCAUAGUUAUUAGCUAGAUGGCUUCUUCUCUCUUUUUGGAUCUCAAUACAAUGUUCUCCCCCUCUCUUGUGGAGAUCUAUUUUGAUGUAAUCUCUUUUUGCGGUGUGUUUGUCGAGAUCCGAUGAAUUGUGGGUUUAUGAUCAAGUUUAUCUAUGAAUAAUAUUUGAAUCUUCUCUGAAUUCUUUUAUGUAUGACUGAGUUAUCUUUGCAAGUCUCUUUGAAUUAUCAGUUUGGUUUGGCCUACUAGAUUGAUCUUUCUUGCCAUGGGAGAAGUGCUUAGCUUUGGGUUCAAUCUUGCGGUGUCCUUACCCAGUGACAGAAAGGGUUGCAAGUCACGUAUUGUAUUGUUGCCGUCGAGGAUAAAAAGGUGGGGUUUAUAUCAUAUUGCUUGAGUUUAUCCCUCUACAUUAUGUCAUCUUGCUUAAUGCGUUACUCUGUUCUUUGUGAACUUAAUACUCUAGAUGCAGGCAGGAGUCGGUCGAUGUGUGGAGUAAUAGUAGUAGAUGCAGGCAGGAGUCGGUCUACUUGUUGCGGACGUGAUGCCUAUAUACAUGAUCAUGCCUAGAUAAUCUGAUAAUUAUUCGCUUGUCUAUCAAUUACUCGACAGUAAUUUGUUCACCCACAGUAAUACUUAUGCUAUCUCGAGAGAAGCCUCUAGUGAAACCUAUGGCCCCCGGGUCUAUCUCUUAUCAUAUUUUCUUCCAAUCUACUUUUAUUUGCAUCUUUACUUUCUGCAUCUAUAUCAUAAAAUAUCAAAAAUAUAUUUAUCUUAUCAUACUAUCUCUAUCAGAUCUCACUAUCGCGAGUGGCCGUGAAGGGAUUGACAACCCCUUUAUUGCGUUGGUAGCGAGUUCUUUGUUUGUUUGUGUAGGUUCGUGGGACUUGUUGAGGAGCCUCCUACUGGAUUGAUACCUUGAUUCUCAAAAACUAAGGGAAAUACUUACGCUACUCUGCUGCAUCACCCUUUCCUCUUCAAGGAAAACCAACGCAAGCUCAAGAUGUAGCAAGCACGUAUUGUAUUGUGGCCAUCGAGGAUAACAAGAUGGGGUUUAUAUCAUAUUGCAUGAGUUUAUCCCGCUACAUCAUGUCAUCUUUCUUAAUGCAUUACUCCGUUCUUUAUGAACUUAAUACUCUAGAUGCAUGCUGGAUAGCGGUUGAUAUGUGGAGUAAUAGUAGUAGAUGCAGGCAGGAGUAGGUCUACUUGUCACGGACGUGAUGCCUAUAUACAUGAUCAUGCCUAGAUAAUCUCAUAAUUAUUCGCUUUUCUAUCAAUUGCUCGACAGUAAUUUGUUCACCCAUCGUAAUAAUUAUGCUAUCUUGAGAGUAGCCACUAGUGAAACCUAUGGCCCCUGGGUCUAUCUCUUAUCAUAUAAGCUUGCUAUUUACUUCUAUUUGCAUCUUUACUUUUCCAAUCUAUAUUAUAAAUUACCAAAAAUAUACUUAUCUUAACAUAUUAUCUAUAUCAUAUCUCACUUUCGCAAGUGGCCGUGAAGGGAUUGACAACCCCUUUAUUGCGUUGGUUGUGAGUUCUUGUUUGUUUUUGUAGGUGCGUGGGACUUGUGAGGAGUCUCCUACUGGAUUGAUACCUUGGUUCUAAAAAACUGAGGGAAAUAAUUACGCUACUAUUGCUGCAUCACCCUUUCCUCUUCAAGGAAAACCAACGCAAGCUCAAGACAUAGAAUUGAUGUCAUGUGCAAAGUGCCACAAAUCUGCCCAGCCAUAUGGUACUAUCCACAAGUGUGCUGGUGUAGAUUGUUCCUGCACCGAUGCAGUACCGAGGUAUCUAUCUUGCAUGAGUGUGUAUUUGUUUUCAUGUGAUAUGUUCAUUAGGUGUUUACCUGAUGCAUGAUGUGAUGCAGGUAUCGGAUCUGUGUCGUAGGUGCUGACGACACAGGGGAAGCUGAGUUCGUCCUGUUUGAUAGGGCGGGAAAAGAUCUUGUUGGAAAAUCUUUGAUUACUAUGAUCCAUGAAGGAAAAUCCAACCGUGUUCCACUUGAUAAGAUAGUUCGGAUGGCACGUGGGAAUGACAUUGUGCCCCGAGAAAUUACUGCACUCAUUGGACAGAGAUAUGCAUUUGUGGUGUUUAUCUCCUCAAAGAGCUUCUUACCUCACACUAAAAUGACCUCAUUCCAAGUCAACAGGCUAGAUGUGCCCAAUGAAACAGCCGUGAAAAAUGCGGUUGUGUAUCGCAAGGCAAACUCACCCAGGCAAUCUGAGAGUGAUACUGGUUCACUCACUUGUGCUGGGUUAUCAACUGGUGCGCCGCUCACUGGGUCCAUUCCACCAUUAUCACUCACAAAUAGCGAGAAUGCUGACAAGAUUGUUCAUGAGGGAUUAUACUCAAAGGUAUUACUCCUAUGUCAAAAUGUACCAUUCAUGUUGAUUUGCAUUUAUCCCCUAUGUGUUCUUUUGCUCAAUUGCCAUGUGUCUUCUUUUUUAUAGGAGCUUGCCACUCCUGAAGCCAAUAAGAAUUGUUCUUCACCAGCUUCUGUCAACAAAAGGUAUGAGAAUUCUUCUAGCAAAAGUGAUCCAGGACGCCGUACAUUAACACUUUUAGAUCGAUGAUAUGACUUUGUAAAAUUUGUGACCUGCAGUGCCACUACACAUAUGGUGGCAGCAAGUGGUGUGCCUAAGUCUGGGCUGCGUAAACCUCUGUUUUCGGAUGGCCGUGCUCAGGUACAUUCUUUCAUUUGCUUGGCAGAACUUCAUUUAGAUCUCUUGACGUACUUGCUUGGUAGUCGGUUGACAUGAUGUAUCUAUUUAUGCCUUCUAGGGGCCUGCAAAGAUGAUUGGCGGCUCCGCUGUUCUCGGUGAUGAGAUUGCUGCUGCCUCAGGGUAUAUAUCUGGUCUGAAACAAUUGCUUAGCAAUAUAUGCAUAAUUCUUGCCUUCUUUUACAUACUGGCUAUUUGUCAUUGAAACAGAUCAACCGAAGGCCUGGUGGAAGAUGAAGACGAGGCUUCUGCGGCCAAAAGGGCCAAGCUGUAGAUCAGCCGCCCUUAGGCAGAAAGUUCUUUUGGUGUGCUCGCUAGGCACCAUCUUUAUCAUUGGCUACCUCUUGUUCUGUACGUGGUUUGGUUCUUACCCGAACUUGUGUUUCUUACAAGAGCAUAGAGCGGUGGUUAGGUGUCCGCUCGAAAUGAUGGCCCAGCAGAUGGAUGACUCGAUAUGUGGGUUAGAUGGUGAAGCUUCUCUUUAGGUCUAUCGCCCCUUUUGUCGUGCCGUGUUGUUUAUGAUGUGAUGUUUCGGUCUGUCAGUCUCAAAAAACUUCAGUCUGCUGCUUGUGGGUGAACAUUCGCUGUCAGUAUUAGGAUCAGCGUUGGCCUUUGCUAUUGUGUGGUGUUUGCUUAGCUUUUGGUUGCUGGUGAAUGUAAAGAGAAGCUUGCCUAUCUUAUUUAGUAUGCCCGUUGUCCAUGCUAUGGUCUAUGUUGAUGUAUGCGGUCUAUGUGAGUUUGGGUUAUACCUGUUGCCCAUUGUGAACUAAUCGUGCUAUUCGAAUUGGUUUUGCUGCUGGAUAGAUUGCUUAAUCAAAUUUAACUGGCAGUUGUGGUGCCCCUCGAUGUUUUUUAUGGUUUGUAUUUGUGUUUUACAAGUCUUUACAAACUUCUACUCGCUUGUUAUGGUCCUUUCUUAAUCUAUUUAUUUUCCUGUUAUAGUUGUCUCUCCAAUCUAAGUGAUUUGGGAUUUCGGUAUCUGCCUCUAAUUUGUGGAGUUAGAAUUUUGUGGUCCAUCACUGUUGGUGUAUGCGCCUCUUACAGAUUUUAGCAUAUAUCUAUUCUACUAGAUCGUUUGUUUAAAGAUUUGCUCUCUACUUUUAUUAUUUGUAAAUAUGUCAAAUCUUGGGUGUAUAAUUUUAGUAUACACAGUCUGAGGUGCUAUUCAUUGUGUUCUUGCAGCCACCACGGCAUGUAUAUUUGCCUUCCAGUAUGGUUUGGUUCAGACACUGCCUGCCAUGAAAUAGCAGCUAUUUGCCAGUUAUUUUUCUUUUGUGAGAAUCUUCUAUUUCCCAGUUGGGUUAUACCUGUGGAUCUGUAGACUGGACAGUGUUUGUUCUUGCGUGUAUGGGCCUGUAUGUGCGCGUGCCCAAUAACUGUUGCAAUGGGUCUCGUUGGUCAUAUUAUAUAUCAUAGAGGGGGCACGGCUCUAUCCGUGUUGACCUAAACCCUAACUCAGUUGAGGCUGGUCUCUGUUUCCCUUUGCCGACGGCGAACUCUAUCGAUAAGACAAAUGGAUCGACGGGGUUUCUUCUCACUGGUCGGUGUGCUCGAGACGUGGUUGGUGCAACCGCCUUGCAGGUCGUACGGAACAAUCAGCCCGAUGAUGAGCCAAUUAAGAACCUGUACCACGCUGCUACUCGGACGAGGUUUCCACCAGCUGAAUUUAAGGCCCUUAUCUCCAAGAAGUUCAAAUUUGUUGUCCGGGUUAGCCAGGAUAGCUUCAGGUCAAGGCGCCCGAUGUUUCAUGUUAUGGCAAUUGAAUCUUGUGUUGUUCUGAUGCCGCACCAAUCAUCGCUUGAUGUCGCCGUGCCCCUUGGUGGUUGAUCGGGUGCUUCUUGGUGGUUGAUCAGGAGUUAUAUCUGCUUCUGCUGUUGGCAGAUUAUAUACGUGACGUUUGCUUACGAGCGUUUGUAAUAUAUUCCGUGUACUCUAUAUUCUGUAUGUACUUGAAGUAUGUAUUUUGUGAUCCUCCUUAUGUUGCUUUCUGAUACUCUGUUGGCCGAUCAUCUGAAGGCUUGUGUUCCUACCUGAAAAUCUUAGUGACUGUUUUAUUCAUCUACCCUUGCAAUCAGUUUGUUAAUUUGAUUGGUGGUUCGUUCUGCCUCGGCAGUUUAUCGAUUCUUUUGGAGACUAUACUGACGCUGCUAACAUAUAUGCUUCAUACAUUUUCCAAUUGAGUGGACUACUUGAUGUGUGUACUUUUUGAAGGGUAACAUGGGCCGACAAAUGCAACAAAAACGAAUGUUUUAACGCCUUGAAAUUAUUUGUCACAAAAAUAUGAAAAACGUGAAAAGAACAUCUCUUGCUCAUCACCUUGUUUCAUUGGUUGUGAUGUGAUUGUCUCAUGUAUCAAGACAUUGAGCCAUGCUUUGAACUGACGAGCAGCAAACAAGCUGGGAAAUGUGUCGUCUACAAUGCUCGCAAGGAUUUAUUUGGCAGACGCAAGCGUGGCCGCGAAGAGUAAAAAGGUAUUUAAAAAACCAAAAUGAAUCUUCGAUGCUUUUAUAUGUUCUAAUCAAAGACUUGUCUUUGGCACUUACAGUGGCUAAGUUUGAUUGGAUCAAGCAGUGCAAUGCAGUGACCGUUUGAUGCCACGUCUAAGAUUAUAGUUAGCUAUGUACCAUUCUUACAUAUGGCUUGUAUUAUGCACUUUAAUAUUACGAUGUGCACCAAUCGUUUGCUGUACCGUUCUUAGGUAUGGUUUGUAUCAGACACUACGAAGUCGCUGUGUGAAGCGAACAUUCGCCGUUUUGUGUAGUAGCUACAUGAACCAUUGUACUGGUCAUGUAAAUGGCAUGCUGCCUGUGCUUUGCACAUGUCCUAUGAACAACUAUAGUCUAUGAUAUAUGCUUCGCGGUUCUUUGACAAUUUGUCCGACUUGUAUGACUAUGGUCACCUGACGACGCCUCUGUGAAUAGUUGGUCCUUUUGAUAGCAGACAAAAUAUGUUCUCCUUCUCUCUGCAAACUGAAGGUACCUGAAAAAGCCGACUGGCAGACACUUCUUUGUGAGACGGCCAAAGUACCUGAAACUCGGAUAAUCUGAGCAUAUAUCAUGUUAUUCUUCUGUUGGUCUGUGAUUGCAACAUGGUAUUUAUGUUUCAAAAUAAUAAGCUGUAUAUCUAUGUGAAGAAAACGAAUCGGACACAGAUCCGUGAUAAACUUAUUUGUUCUCCUAAACAGAUACAACUCCUUAUCAAAAAGCAAAUCGUCAUUAAUUAUUCACUCUGUCAUGCUUCUCUUCAGAAGAAAAUAACUCACAUAUAAAUACAUUUUUACUAAUUAGUAAGCCAACUAAAAACUAUUUAUUUGUUUUAGAUAAUUAUAGGACCGAACCGCAUAUGAGCUAUCAGUGGCCUUCUCAAUUGUAGAACCAGGCCAAAAAACAAGCCCAUCAUAGCCAAUUUUAGAGGCCCAUACGACUAAAGCCCGUACCCAUCUAAUUCAGGCCACACACCCUAUAUAAACAGUAGGACGCUAGGGUUUGACCUAAAUCCCCAAUCACUCCUAGCUCCUCUCUCUGCUCGUCGACGCCCGGCGACACCUACGCCGUCGGCUUCGACAGUCAAUCCUCAACGCCUGUCACAACAGAGGUUAGUUAACGGCUUGGUUCCUCUAUCCCUCUUUCUCUGCUUUAUCCACACUCAAAUCUCACUCUUGUGGCUCAGAUCCAGCACACAUCGCAUGUAGGACGGGGACAUUAGAGCUGUUUGCAAGAAGGGAUCCCCAGGCUCGGCAUCAUCGAGGACAGGACUCUCUGAACCAAAGGUAACAACGAACUGACUUCACAUUGUUAUCAUGUUCUCCGGUUGAUUUAGAGGACUAGACCACGUAUCACUUGUUUUCAUGGUAAAUCUUGGCACAAGUAUGUCUUUUCCAGUGUAUUUAGUCCAUCAGCGUGUUUCUUUCCGAGCACCUCUAAGAAAACGUGUUUUGAGCAGAUUUCAGUGCAAGUGAAAUGCUCGGGAGAGUAUUUUUUAUUAUGCUCAGGGCAUCUUUUAUUCAAAGACAACAAAUGCAAGGGAUUAUUAAAGGAAAACGCAAGAUUGCAGUCCCAUGUCCAAACAAAUCUACAUGACUGAAUAUGUUACCCGUUUUUGUUAUCAUAACGGAAAGCAGAGGAUAUUUUAGAGGUUUGAACAAGUGCAGAAUUUCUUUUCAAACAUAACCAGGAAAAAAAAUCAUAUAGGACUGUAUCAAUGCAAAUGUGAAAACCUCUUUUUUUGCACAUUCCACCAGCUCCAUGGCUAACCCAAAGCAAUGACUUUCCUGUCCGCCAUGAACUAGAAAAUAUUGAUAUAGGAACGUCUUUCAAAUGUUAGGAUAUAAAGUGCAGGUUUUCUUAUGCUUUAUACACAACAUGGUUCUCUUCCUUUUAUGCAUAAUUUCCUGAGUUCAAUAAAAUUAUCCAAAAACUCCAAAGCCGAGUUUGUUUCUCACUUCCUUUUGGUAGUUAGGAUGUGAAGUUGGAAUAAGAGAGGAAAAGGGAACUAUGUUAAUUGAAUAAUUUCAUCCUGGUGAACGGUUGUUCGCCUUGCUAUCCAGGCACAGAUCACAUAGCUGCUGGCUUCAAAGCAUCACCAUUUCCAACUGCUACCUGGUUUGUAUUCGUUCAGUCCCGUAUUACUAGCUUUGAAACGAAAAGAGGCCUUAUUUAUUUCUGUUGCAAAAGUCAUGGUUCUGGAACAGAACUUCUAUUCAUUCCUGCAAAAUUACAAGAGAAAAUAAUGUUGACAAAUGAUUAUGACUGCUUAUUUAUUUCUUGGUGUUAGAUUACUAAUACAACAACAAACAACAACAACAAAGCCUUUAGUCCCAAACAAGUUGGGAUAGGCUAGAGGUGAAACCCAUAAGAUCUCACAACCAACUUAUGGCUCUGGCACAUGGAUAGCAAGCUUCCACGCACCCCUGUCCAUAGCUAGCUCUUUGUCGAUACUCCAAUCCUUCAGGUCUCUCUUAACGGACUCCUCCCAUGUCAAAUUCGGUCGACCCCGCCCUCUCUUGACAUUCUCCGCACGCUUUAGCCGUCCUCUAUGCACUGGAGCUUCUGGAGGCCUGCACUGAAUAUGCCCAAACCAUCUCAAACGAUGUUGGACAAGCUUCUCCUCAAUUGGUGCUACCCCAACUCUAUCUCGUAUAUCAUCAUUCCGGACUCGAUCCUUCCUCGUGUGGCCACACAUCCAUCUCAACAUACGCAUCUUGGCCACACCUAACGUAUUUCUUGGUGUUAGAUUACUAAUGUGGAGAACUAUAAUCUUUAUUGAUGGUCGCUUGAUGGCGCUGAGCAUCAUGUAAGGUCGUUAGAAUUCAUAUAUGAAUCAACAUAUUCUACCGCUGCUAAUUAGCAUGUUUGGUCUAGGUAAAACAGGGCAUCAUGCAUCAUAAACUAAAAUACUGCUGUGGCACCAAACCGUUAGUUCGCAAGUCAUUUUGUUUCAGCGCAGGGCGAAUUUACUCAGUGUAGCAACAUGUUUUUAAAUAUACUUCUUUCCUGAGUUCAGUUCGUUUUUCAUCUUAGAGUAACACUAAGUACAAAGUGUUUGAUGAUACACCUAACCUUGAUUUAGUUUGAUCAACAGAACUUAAACUCCUUAUUCCCUGCUUUACAAAUGAAUACACUGGCUUGUGAGACUAUCCUUUGUAAAUCAAUCAUUUGAUCAUUUUCUUUCCUCUGCAGAAAGAUGACUAUGUAAUAAUGAUUCCCAAUUCCCACAUCUUUGCCCUUAUGCUUCAAGCUCUCAAGUUGCCCCCUGCAACUUACCAUCACAAGACAUGUCCGGGCAACCAGUCCCGUGUGAUGGUUACUUUCAAUUCAUCGUUGCAGUUAGUCAAUGGUUUGCUUGUUCCAACCUCGAUAUCUGGUGUGAUCUCAAAGAACUAUGAUGAAGCAAAAGACAUUGCUGCUAUGGCAUCCAUUAUGUUUAUGGAGGAUGCAUGUGGCAAGGAAAUCAGGGAUUAUCACUACAUCCACGUUAAAAGGCUGGAAAAUAAAGUCACACACCUGGUAAGGUUGCUGUGUGCAGCAAAAAAGACAAUAAAGAAGGUACGCAGAGGAUGGUACUAUGCUGUCAGAUACAUGAGCUCGUAUUCUACCCAGAUACAGAAUACCACAGCUGCUCGGUGCCGAAGAGGGCAUGACAACACCAAAGGGGCUAUGAAAACAACACUCGCAAGCACAGGAAUUGGCAAAAAGACUACGUUAUAUUGGCAUGAAAUCGGAGCAGCGCCUAGAGACCACAGAUAGUAUCUAGUGAGCUGCGGUCAGCACAUCAUACACAGCAUGUUUACAAAGCAUUGCCUUUGCCCUUUUAAUGCUCUUCUAUAUCCUAUUAUAUUUGUAAUGGAAGGUGCCACCUGGUAGUAUGUUACUGUUCUCACUUUGCUUUGAACAAGGAAUGCACAGACUUUAUGUUUUAGUUCCUAUCUCUGUCCUAAACACUAUCCCUGAUCGUACGAAAGCACCGAGCUUGAUUCUGUCUUAUAUUCUGAUUGUCAGCUUCUGUUCAAUGAUGUCAUUUUCUAACACAAAUAAUUGCUCGUACAUCUGGUUCUCUACAUACAAUUUGCUACAUGCUCUGUCAAAACGUUGUGACCGGCACCCCCGCGCCAAGGCGCGAACCCGAUCUAGUAGUGAAGAGUAACUUACACUAGUAACAUGCAUAUGGUACUAGUCUAUGUUACUACCUUCAUAAUGUGUAGUAACAUAUGGAUGGUAACAUGCAAGCUUUCAUUAAUUGAGAUAUAGACUCAUUUUAUCUCGGGAUGUGUUAUGUUAGAGUAACACAUUACGUUACCACAAACAUAUCUCUCCUCAUUAACUUCAUGCCACAUAAGCAAAUUUGUCUUGGGAUGUGUUAUGUUACUACUUAAGUUACUCCCACUAUGACUAGCCUUAAUGUUGUUUGGCCCAAUAUGAGCCUAUGUAGAUGUGCUAUAUUAAUUGUACUACCCCCUCCAUUCCAAAAUAGAUGACUCAACUUUAUACUAACUUUAGGUCUAUUUUGGAAUGGAGGGAGUACUAAUUAGUUCAUUUGGAGAGUUGGAAACGGUGACUCCAUUGAUAUAUGGCGAGACACAUGGGUCCCUACAAGCCCGGACAGGAAGGUAAUGACGCCAAGAGGAAAUAUUGUUAUUACAAGGGUGUCCGAAUUAAUUGAUCCACGGUUGGGACAAUGGGAUGAAGAUCUGGUUCGGUCUUUGUUUACUCUCGUCGACGCAGCUAAAAUUUUGAGUAUCCCGUUAAGCUUGAAUGGAUUUGAUGAAUUUGUUGCUUGGCAUUAUAAUUGAAACGGAAUGUUCUCGGUGAGGUCGGCCUACCAUGUUCAAUGGAGACACCAAUUCAGGAAUUCCUACCAAUAUAUGGCUUCGUCUUCAAGAGGAUCAAACCCAUAUGGAAGAAAGUAUGGAAAUUAUUUGUUCCGGGGAAAGUUAAAACUUUUGUGUGGAUGGUACUACAUGGAGCUAUCCCGGCUAAAUCAGUUCUGGUGAAUCGACACAUAGGGACGGACAGCUUGUGCCCAAUUUGUCAUACGUAUGCAGAAGACUUGAAGCACCUUCUGUUUGAUUGUUCCACGGCGCAGGAGCUCUGGAAAAUGUUACAGCUAAAUAAACUAAUUGCGGAUGCAUGUGUUUUUGAUCGUGCGGGGUCUGCGAUACUGGAACAACUGUUGGACUCAUUAACAGGCCUCUAUCCCGGAUUACCCCAAGUAGGAAUCGUGGAAGUUGUGGCGAUCGCUACCUGGUACCUAUGGUGGAUCAAAAGAUCAGUCACGCAUAAGGAGAGAACUCCGCCAGCAGCAAGUUGGAAGCUUUCUAUAUUGGCUUUGUGCACAAAGUUUACAAAAUCAAGCCAGCGAGAUGAGGACAGAAGCAUAACUAAAUGGACCAAGCCGGAUUCUAGUCAUAUUAAACUAAAUGUGGAUGGAUCUUAUCACAAUGAUGAAGGAGUUGGCUCGACGGGUGCAAUCCUGAGAGAUAUGUACGGGAACUUCCUUGGUGGCUCUUGCUCUUUUUUCCCAAACGCCUCGUCAGCUUCUAUGAUGGAAGCCCAGGCUAUGAAAGAAGGUCUAAAGCUAGCAGUAUCAUUAGGCUACAAUAGAAUUGUGGCAGAAUCUUAUUGUUUGGAAGUCAUUGAAGCUUGUGGAGGAGGUAAUACUUGGUGGCAUGAAGGAGCUGCGAUCUUUGCAGAUUGUGUUGAUCUAGUUGUGGAGAUAGGUUCCGUUCAGUUUACUCAUUGUCUUCGGGAAGCCAAUGGUGUCGCGCAUGAGAUUGCUAAGUAUAGCUAUGAGAAUCAUUUAUCUUGUAAUUGGAUAGAUGACUGCCCCUCUUUCAUUCAUGAAUCUCUUGUGAAUGAUGUAAGUGUGUUAAUUUAAUCAAUAAAGCAAGCGAUGAUGGCAUUCCCUAAGAAAAUGCAUUUGCUCUGGGGGGACGCGUCCACAAAGUACGGGACCAUCUGCAUUGGUGGUUCUGUGUUAGCUCGGAUUUUACAGCGAAAGCGAUUGGCUUAUUUUCUUGCAUCCCUACCUUGCUCCUAUGCAUCAGCAGAGCGUUCAUGUGACGCCCCCGAUUCAAUCAUACACUAAUCAUACACGCAAAUGUGUACGAUCAAGAUCAGGGACUCAUGGGAAGAUAUCACAACACAACUCUAAACACAGAUAAAAGAAUGAAAGCUUUAUAUUACAAGCCAAGGGCCUCGAGGGCUCGAAUAGAAGCUCGAUACACAAGAGUCAGCGAAAGCAAAAAUAUCUGAGUAGAGACAUAAGUUAAACAAGGAUGCCUUAAGAAAGCUAGCACAAAAGCAACACGAUCGAAGAGGCAAGGCCUCCUACCUGGGACCUCCUAACUACUCCUGGUCGUCGGCGGCCUCCAUGUAGUAGCAUCAAUCGGCGGUAGCAUCAGGAUCUAGGGAUCCAUCAACUGGUUGCAUCAACCAGAAAGAAGAAAGAAUGGGGAAAGGGGUAGCAAAGCAACCGUGAGUACUCAUCCAAAGUACUCGCAAGCAUCAGAUCUAUACUAAGUAUGCAUUGCUAUCAAAAGGAAGGUUUGUAUUUGUGGACUGAAGUGCAGAAUGCCAGAAUAGAGGGGAAGGCCUAUCCUAUCCAAGACUAGCAUCUUCAAGCAUCUCCAAGCAUCUUGCAGCAUGUAGAAGUGUAAAGAAUAGCAUGUUAAUAUUAAACAAGCAUGUUGUAACAUCAACGCCCAGAGAUCCUUCCUCGACCCCCCGCGAGAAAGCAAUCUCGGAGCCACAUAUCCAUCACAUAUCUCAGGUAUCCAUUUCUAGUUAUAUAAGAUCAGGAUAUAAGUCUGAACGUCCAUUACUGCGGACACGUUAUUCGAAUAUAAAUCUUCCCUACAGGGGUGCACCACGUUACCCAACACGCUUGAUUAGUUUGGCCGGACACACUUUUCUAGGUCAAUGCCCAGGCUCGGAAGAUAAACACACCGCAUCCCUACCUAGGCUCAGCACAAAGGUCCCCGUUGGUCUACAUCCUAAGCACUUUGGGUUCUUGGGCCCAUUGCCCGCAACACUCCGGGUCGUUGCGAGCAGGGUGGAUACCAGCACCGCCUGGGAUGGCCAGCAUGAUCCGACCGUGCCGCACUGCUGAACUGGAUGUCUGACAAAGCUUCGGCUGAUACUGCAAUGUCGAGGCCCAUAUUAUUCUCGCGUGGUGGUUAGUGCAUAAAGGCCAGAGGCCAACUCAGAACAAAUACCCAAACCUGUUAGUGCAUUGGGGGCUCGUGGAGACGAGCAGAGACUCACGAUAAUGUGACCUCGUCGCCCCGUCUCGUGGUCUUACGUCCCGAGUUUUAAGGGGUGGAAUAAGGGGGGAAAACUCGAGAAGGACGAAGCUCAACACAUGAUAGGUACUUGGGGGCUAUCUCAGUGAACAUGGCAUAGAGGCAUCUCUCGAGUUGAAAUUUAAGAAAGUUAUAGUGAGCCAGGUAAGAAGGUACAAUAAGAUGCUUCAACAGGGUAGGAAAUCAUUUGUUGCCUGAAACAGAGGGGGAAAGGGGUUCAGAGAAACGGGAAUAUGUAUUGCGUAUGAUACCAGAAUAGAUCACUAGGAAGGUGGCUCAUGAUUUACAUACGAAGCCAAGUGCGAGGAACAAUUUUGGAAAACAGGGAUGUACAAGAGAGUCAAGUUUCGAUCCUGGGACCUGUGGGUUAUGGGCCCACCAUGUGGGUUAAAAGAAGGAAGGCGCUAACAUUUUGCACGAUCAUGAAAGCAAUGCAGCUUAGAGGAUAGCCUGUCAAUUAUGUUGGCAACAACUCGGUACCAAGGGCGAGGGACGAAGAGAACCAUUUUCCUGCUCGUUAAGAUGAGGCGGACCAAUAGGCAAAGUUCUCGUCCAUCGGUGGCUACCGAAAUGUCAUUAACAAUAGUAACCAGGUCUUACUGACUGAGUUUGUACAUAGAGGUGUUUACAUAGGUAGGGAAUUAUCAUUUGUCCGAUAUGUUAGGUUACAAUAAAGGUUAAACAAAAUAAUGGAAGGAGAAGUGUAGACUCGAACCCGUUAUCACUGUUCUCGAGUGUCUAAUAACUCAGAACCCGGAGAAAAUUGGAAUCGGCAAGAAAUAAUAGUUGAUGAAGAACUCAUAAGAAGUUAUGUAGUUCCAUGAUAUUCUCGAGAUAAAAGAGGGUAAUACUCAAGGCUAGAGUAGAAUAGAGGUUGGACAAGUGAAGUGGUCUGCAGAAGACAGGUACUUCAACUUGUCCGAAAAAUGGGAUCAAAGAAUAAAAUAUGGCCGAAACCACGGUUAGAAAGGACCAAAGAUAGAUAAAAGAUGAACUUAUCACAAGGGGAUUAUUAUUAUAACAAGAAGCUUCCAUGAUAAGUUCCACAUCGGGUCCAUGGGCAUGAACACAAAGGUUCAAGGUCGACUCCCACUUCUCUAAUGCACAACUUUCCAUUCACUUCUCACUUUCGAAGAGGUUGUAGCAUUGAAAUUUUACCUGACGAAAAGCCAGUAGAGUUUAACCUGCAUAACUUUUGAGAUCACGCUGAUUUAGGGAAGGAAUAGGUUCAACCCAUCGGGGUAUCUUAGGAACGUAUACCACAAACUUCACGAGUAAAUAACUCAAGCCCGAAAGCAGAGUAUGGUUGAGAAAGUAGAAGAUACAAUUUACCAAAGGAAUUAUGUAUCGAAGGAAAGGCUCACAAGGUUACUGAAUAUGAUGGACGAUGUCGGAUAAAAGCCAGCAAAGGAUCUGGUUGUCCACAAGGGAUCUGAUGUGAGCAACGGUACUCAACCAGAAGAAGAAAGGAAGCAAGGAGGCCCGGUUAUAGAAACAACUGACUAAUUGAAAGCUAAAAUGUAAGGAAUUACUUUUCCCAAAUCAGGGGAUCAGAAGGAGAGGUUCUAAUCGAAGACAAGUUGAAUAGACGUAGAUUGACAAUCAAUCAAGGUUUGAUUUAUCGAACACCAGCUCAUGUCCGGGGUGACAUCUGAGUUGAAGGGAAGAAUUCUAGUUGUGAUUGAAGAUUGCAAGCAUUCACUAAUAUAUCGAAUCAAAUGUUCAAAAUGAUGAUUACAAAGGAUAAUAAUGAAUAUUGCCAGACAUAUGGAAAGUAUCCAUAAUGCAAGCAGACAAGUACUUGCAGAGCAAUAGUUGGAGAGGAUUAUCGGAAGAUCGGAUAGUAUUUCAAGGCAUCUUGUAAUAACAAGAGCAACUUGGGAUGAAGGUAUGAAUGACAAUAUAGGUAGUUACGCAUAAGGAUUUCUCGGUGGUAGGGACCGCAACGGCUAAGGGUACAAUGGUCUCGGGGAAAACAUCGGAGAGUAUCUUCAGAAUCUUCUGGUGCACCAAGCAACCAUCUGGAGUGAGGGGAUCUUCGGGAGAAAGUAUUUACGAGAACCUAGAGUUAGAGUUAACAAAAUCAUUUAACCCGAAUAGAAGAGAGAUCAGAGUCCUAGAGUAUAGACGAGGAGUAAAAGAUACUAAUACCACCCCUUGGUGACGUGGGCUCGUAAGCCACACAUCCUUGUUAGUAAAUCGGUUUUUCAAAGACUAGACUUAACUUCGUCCAAGGAGUUGGAAAGGGGGAUCCUACAGGCAGUCGGCUCUGAUACCAACUUGUAACGCCCCCGAUUCAAUCGUACACUAAUCAUACACGCAAAUGUGUACGAUCAAGAUCAGGGAGUCACGGGAAGAUAUCACAACACAACUCUAAACACAAACAAAAGAAUACAAGCUUUAUAUUACAAGCCGGGCCUCAAGGGCUCGAAUACAAGCUCGAUACACAAGAGUCAGCGGAAGCAACAAUAUCUGAGUACAGACAUAAGUUAAACAAGGAUGCCUUAAGAAAGCUAGCCCAAAAGCAACACGAUCUAAGAGGCAAGGCCUCCUGCCUGGGACCUCCUAUCUACUCCUGUUCGUCGGCAGCCUCCACGUAGUAGCAUCAAUCGGCGGUGGCAUCUGGCUCCAGUGAUCCAUCAUCUGGUUGCAUCAACCGGAAAGAAGAAAUAAGGGGGGAAAAGGGGUAGCAAAGCAAUCAUGAGUACUCGUCCAAAGUACUCGCAAGCAUCAGAUCUAUACUAAGUAUGCAUUGGUAUCAAAAGGAAGGUUUGUAUUUGUGGACUGAAGUGCAGAAUGCCAGAAUAGAGGGGAAGGCCUAGCCUAUCCAAGACUAGCAUCUUCAAGCAUCUUGCAGCAUGUAGAAGAGUAAAGAAUAGCAUCUUAAUAUUAAACAAACAUGUUGUAACAUCAACGCCCAGAGAUCCUUCCCCGACCCCCUGCGAGAAAGCAAUCUCGGAGCCACAUAUCCAUCACAUAUCUCAAGUAUCCAUUUCUAGUUAUAUAAGAUCAGGAUAUAAGUCUGAACAUCCAUUACCGCGGGCACGGUAUUUGAGUAUAAAUCUUCCCUACAGGGGUGAACCACGUUACCCAACACGCUUGAUUACUCUGGUCGGACACACUUUUCUGGGUCAAUGCCCAACCUCGGAAGAUCAACACAUCGCAGCCCUACCUAGGCUCAGCAAAGAGGUCCCCGUCGGUUUACAUCCUAAGCACUGUGGGGUCUUGGGCCCAUCGCCCGCAGCACUCCGGGUCGUUGCGAGUAGGGUGGAUACGAGCACCGCCUCGGAUGGCUAGCACGAUUUGACCAUGCCGCACUGCUGAACUGGAUGUCUGACAAAGCUUCGGCUAAUACUGCAAUGUCGAGGCCCAUAACUAUUCUUGCAUGGUGGUUAGUGCGUGAAGGCCAGAGGCCAACUCAGAACAAUACCCAAACCUGUUAGUGCAUUGGGGGCUCGCGGAGACGAGCAAACAUGAUAAUGUGACCCCGUCGCCCCGUCUCGUGGACUUACAUCCCGAGUUUUAAGUGGUGGAAUAAGGGGGGAAAACUCGAGAAGGACGAAGAUCAACACAUGAUAGGUACUUGGGGGCUAUCUCAGUGAACGUGGCAUAGAGGCAUCUCUCGAGUUGAAAUUUGAGAAAGUUAUAGUGAGCCAGGUAAGAAGGUACAAUAAGAAGCUUCAAUAGGGUAGGCAAUCGUUUGUUGCCUGAAAUAGAGGGGGAAAGGGGUUCAGAGAAACAGGAAUAAGUAUUCCGUCUGAUACCAGAAUAGAUCACUAGGAAGGUGGCUCAUGAUUUACAUAUGAAGCCAAGUGCGAGGAUCAAUUUUGGAAAACAGGGAUGUACAAGAGAGUCAGGUUUCGAUCCUGGGACCAGUGGGUUAUGGGCCCACCAUGUGGGUUAACAGCAGGAAGGCGCUAACAUUUUCCACGAUCAUGAAAGCAAGGCAGUUCAGAGGAUAGCAUGUCAAUUAUGUUGGCAACAACGUCGGUACCAAGGGCGAGGGACGAAGAGAACCAUUUUCUCGCUCGUUAAUAUGAGUCGGACCAAUAGGCAAAGUUCUCAUCCAUCGGUGGCUACCAAAAUGUCAUUAACAAUAGUAACAAGGUCUUACUGACUGAGUUUGUACAUAGAGGUGUUUACAUAAGCAGGGAAUUAUCAUUGCUCCGAUAUGUUAGGUUACAAUAAAGGUUAAACAAAAUAAUGGAAAGGGAAGUGUAGAUUCGAACCCAUUAUCAGUGUUCUCGAGUGUCUAAUAACUCAGAACCCGGAGAAAAUUGGAAUCGGCGAGAAAUAAUAGUUAAUGAAGAACUCAUAAGAAGUUAUGUAGUUCCAUGAUAUUCUCGAGAUACAAGAGGGUAAUACUCAAAGAUAGAGCAGAAUAGAUGUUGGACAGGUGAAGUGGUCUGCAGAAGACAAGUGCUUCAACUUGUCCGAGAAAUGGGAUCAAAGAAGAAAAUAUGGCCGGAACCAUGGUUGGAUAGGACCAAAGAUAGAUACAAGAUGAACUUAUCACAAGGGGAUUAUUAUUAUAACAAGAAGCUUCCAUGAUAAGUUCCACAUUGGGUCCAUGGGCAUGAGCACAAAGGUUCAAGGUCGACUCCCACUUCUCUAAUGAACAAGUUUCCAUUCACUUCUCACUUUCGAAGAGGUUGUAGCAUUGGAAUUUUACCUGACGAAAAGCCAGUAGAGUUUAACCUGGAUAACUUUCGAGAUCACGCGGAUUUAGGAAGGCAUAGGUUCAACCCAUUGGGGUAUCUUAGGAACGUAUACCACAAACUUCACGAGUAAAUAACUCAAGCCCGAAAGCAGAGUAUGGUUGAGAAAGCAGAAGAUACAAUUUACGAAAGGAAUUAUGUAUCCAAGGAAAGGCUCACAAGGUUACUGAAUAUGAUGGACGAUGUCGGAUAAAAGCCAGCAAACGAUCUGGUUGCCCACAAGGGAUCUGAUGUGAGAAACGAUACUCAACCAAAAGAAGAAAGGAUGCAAGGAGGGUGGGUUAUAGAAACAACUGACUAAUUCAAAGCUAAAAUGUAAGGAAUUACAAUUCCCAAAUCAGGGGAUCAGAAGUAGAGGUUCUACUCGAAGACAAGUUGAAUAGACAUAGAUUGACAAUCAAUCAAGGUUUGAUUUAUCGAACACCAACUCAUGUCCGGGGUGACAUCUGAGUAGAAGGGAAGAAUUCUAGUUGUGAUUGAAGAUUGCAAGCAUUCACUAAUAUAUCGAAUCAAAUGUUCAAAAUGACGAUUACAAAGGAUACUACUGAAUAUUGCCAGACAUAUGGAAAGUAUCCAUAAUGCAAGCAGACAAGUACUUGCAGAGCAAUAGUUGGAGAGGAUUAUCGGAAGAUCGAAUAGUAUUUCAAGGCAUCUUGUAAUAACACGGGCAACUGGGGAUGAAGGUAUGAACGACAAUAUAGGUAGUUACGCAUAAGGAUUUCUCGGUGGUAGGGAUCGCAACGGCUAAGGGUACAAUGGUCUCGGGGAAAACAUCGGAGAGUAUCUUCAGAAUCUUCUGGUGCACCAAGCAAUCAAAUGGAGUGAGGGGCUCUUCGGGAGAAAGUAUUUACGAGAACCUAGAGUUAGAGUUAAAAAAAUCAUUUAACCCGAAUAGAAGAGAGAUCAGAGUCCCAGAGUAUAGACGAGGAGUAAAAGAUCCUAAUACCACCCCUUGGCGACAUGGGCUCAUAAGCCACACAUCCUUGUUAGUAAAUCGGUUUUUCAAAGACUAGACUCAACUUCGUCCAAGGAGUUGGAAAGGGGGAUCCUACAAGCAGUCGGCUCUGAUACCAACUUGUAACGCCCCCGAUUCAAUCGUACACUAAUCAUACACACAAAUGUGUACGAUCAAGAUCAGGGACUCACGGGAAGAUAUCACAACACAACUCUAAAUACAAAUAAAAGAAUACAAGCUUUAUAUUACAAGCCGGGUCUCGAGGGCUCGAACACAAGCUCGAUACACAAGAGUCAGCGGAAGCAAAAAUAUCUGAGUACAGACAUAAGUUAAACAAGGAUGCCUUAAGAAGGUUAGCACAAAAGCAACACGAUCGAAGAGGCAAGGCCUCCUGCCUGGGACCUCCUAUCUACUCCUGGUCAUCGGCGGCCUCCACAUAGUAGCAUCGGCGGUGGCAUCUGGAUCCAGGGAUCCAUCAUCUGGUUGCAUCAACCGGAAAGAAGAAAGAAGGGGGAAAAGGGGUAGCAAAGCUGUAGCGACCAGACCUCAAACAGUGUGAUCUCUGUGCAUCGGUGUCACCCCUGGAUCAGUAAUGCUGACACACACAGUACUUGAAGGAUUUAUAAUAGAGUAGCAAUCACACACUUAUUACAUCGAAAGUCUCGAAGGAGAACUUAUUACAAUAAAUAUGGCUUAAGGCCAUCUAACAACGAUAACAGCGGAAGGCUUGGAAGAUAUGUGAGUUCAUCAACUCCAACGGCAUCACUGAGUAUAGAACCACGACCUAAAAGCACCUUACUCGUCGUCUGAAAAAUCUGCAACAAGAACGUUGCAACCCGAAACGGGCCAGCACAUGGAAUAUGCUGGCAAUGUAACACAUAGAGAGUAAUGAAAGAAUAAAGUUAUACUACAUGCAUAUAUAGCUGGUGGAAAGCUCUAUGGUUACAGUUUUUGCGUAAAGACAAUUUUUUCGUACUGCAAAGGAAUAAAUUUUAUUUAACUAUCAUGGUGGUUGUUAAACAUUGAGAGUGUAGACACCCUCUCAAUCCCGAUUAAACAUCUUCAUUAAAACCCAACAAUAUUAAUUAAAAGUAACAUGAUGAGAUUCACAUGAUAAUCCAAGUACUAGAUACUCAAAACGUCCAUAACCGGGGACACGGCUAACCAUGAUUAGUUUAUACACUCUGCAGAGGUUUGCGCACUUUUCCCCACAAGACUCGAUCUCCUCCGUUAGAUUUCUCGCACUUCAUGGUGUUUGAGAAACGGAUGACCGAUAGAAAGUCUUUCAGAAGCUCUAGCACCUUAUGAUGGGUAGACCGUUACACCUACUUUCCCCUACAUCUGCUAGUCUACCACUUUAAGAAUUCGCACGAUUUAAUCAACUAUGCUAGAGCCCAUAGUAGCUUGUGGCUGCACACGGAAGUUUCUAGCAGGAAUAAUCUCAUGAUCCCUUUGAGCCUGGAUGGCGGUUCAUAAAAAACAUGCAAUCCUGGAAUACCCAGGUACCUCAAUCCACCUAGAUGUGUAUUAAAGUUGCCACCUUAAAUAAACCAUUAAUUAUCAAUCUCACAUCUGUCAUGGAUUCACUCACCCAAUCCACGUCUACUAGCAUAGCAUGGCAUAAUAAGCAAACAUAGAGUAACUCCCAAAGGUUUGAUAAUAAAACAGGUAAUAGGUACUACCUCAUCUACUUCCCAAAAUCCACAUAUUAAUCAGAUCCUAAUCAUGCAAUUGUUUGAGGAUUUAUCUAAUGCAAUAAAACUGGGUAGUAAGGAGGUAUGAUCAAAGUGUUACUUGCCUUGGCGAUGAUCCGCGAAACCUAGUGAUUCGAAGUAGCAAGCGGCGCACUCCGGGUACUCUAUCGCAAACAAACAAGCAUACAAUAAGCACUCAUCUAAUGCACAUGUAGAACUCAAAUAAAAGAUCUAACCAGAAAGUUUAACUUAAGAACUCCAGUUUGCAAAAAGAAUCAAAACAAACGAAGCAACGAAAGUCAAACGGCGAAACAAACAAACUUCAUUUACUAAUCUAGACUUAAGUCAAAUUUUACAGUAGCAAAAACUUGUUUGAGUUGAUUAAUCGGAAAGAGGGUUUUGAGACAAAACUCUAGGUGCUUGAAUCGCCUGAUUCCGAUAAACGAGCGAAAAGUUAAACUAGAACGAAAAACAGAACGGAAAUAGCGAUCAGAAAUAAUCGCGAAAAAUCCGAGAAAAAGAAAAACUGACGAACAGGCUAACAAACGAACGUUCUUUGUCUACGGCUAAACAACGAAAACCGUUCGUUAAAACGAACGCACGAACGAACAUCCGCUAAAUAAACUAAACCGGAAAAAAACUAAUCUAGGGUUUUAAAAAAAACAAACAAAAAACCGGCGGAAAAACCAAAUGGUUUUCACGAGAAAAACCGCCGACGGCGAGGCGGCGGCUUACUCCGGCGAGGGGCAGCGGGGUCGGCGGCGGGGUCGGCCCGGGCGGCGGCGAGGUCGGGCGGGGCGGCGGCGGGGUCGAGCGGGGCGGUGGCGUCCGAGGCGGUGGCGGCGUGCAGCGUCGGCGGCAGUGUGCGGCGUCGAUGUCGGCAGGCGGCGGCGGCGCGGGAUCCGAGGCGGCGGCGGUGGCUGUGGCGGUGGCGGCUUAGGGUUAGGGUUUCUGGGUGGGGGCGGGCUGGCGGCUAGUGGGUUCGGGCAGGCAUUAUAAAGGCCCCAGCCAGGCGGAGUCCUGGUCGAAUACGGCCCAAAGUUGGUUUAUUUUUUUUAAACAUUAUGUGCAGAAAAACAAAUAAAGGAAAUACUAAACGCACUCCAAAAAUCCCGAAAUAAAUUUUCCCUGACUUCUAAAAUCAAGCCGGUUAAGACGAACAUUUAUUUGGGGCUAAAUGCAAUUUUGAAAAACGCGCAUUUUCCUAAAUUCAAAUAAAAUAGCAAUAAACUCCAAAAUAAAAUCUUAUUUGAUUUUAUUAUCAAAUCCUCAAUAUUUCUUUAUUUUGGGAAAGUCAUUUUGUUCCCUCUCUCAUAGUUUCAUAGUAGAAAUAACUGAAGAUAAAAUAAAUAAAAUCAAAUGAUCCUAUUUUCAAAAUUUGAGAAAACCCAAAUAUGAAAAUAACGAAAUUCCCAACUCUCUCCGUGGGUCCUUGAGUUGCGUGAAAUUUCUCGGAUCAAGCCAAAAUGCAAUAAAAAUAUGAUAUACAAUGAUGAUCUAUGUAUAACAUUCCAAAUUGAAAAUUUGGGAUGUUACAAACCUACCCCCCUUAAGAUGAAUCUCCUCCUCGAGAUUCGGGUUGGCUAGAAAAUAUGUGAGGGUGGUCCUUCAGCAGAUCUUUCUCUCGCUCCCAGGUGGCUUCAUCUUCGGUGUGGUGGCUCCACUGAACUUUGCAAAACUUGAUAACCUUGCUGCGGGUGACUCGAUUGGCAUACUCAAGAAUCUUGAUUGGUUUCUCCUCGUAGGCCAAAUCACUAUCCAGCUGAAUCGCUUCCAGCGGCACUGUAUCUCUUAGCUGUAUAUCAGCCAUCUCUGCGUGGCACUUCUUCAACUGGGAAACAUGGAACACAUCGUGAACUCCUGACAAUCCUUCGGGCAAUUCCAAUUUGUAAGCAACUUCUCCCAUUCGCUCCAGAACUUUGUAAGGUCCCAUAAAACGUGGCGCUAACUUUCCCUUAACUCCAAAGCGCUUAACUCCCCGAAGUGGAGAUACACUAAGAUAAACUCUAUCUCCGACUUCGUAUACUGUCUCCUUGCAUUUAGAAUCUGCGUAGCUCUUCUACCUGGACUGGGCUACUUUGAGCCUAUCGCGAAUCAACUUCACCUUCUGUUCAGACUCCUUAAUCAAGUCCGGUCCAAACAACUGGCGGUCUCCAACUUCAUCCCAUGAUAAUGGGGUUCUGCACCUCCUUCCGUACAAAGCUUCGAAAGGGGCCAUCUUUAGACUGGAUUGAUAACUGUUGUUGUAGGAGAAUUCUGCAUACUGCAAAUUAUCUUCCCAACUAGAUCCAUAAUCUAGCGCACAAGCUCUCAGCAUAUCCUUCAAAAUCUGAUUGACUCUCUCGGUUUGUCCAUCUGUCUGCGGGUGAAAAGUUGUACUGAACUCUAACCUGGUACCCAAAGUUUCGUGCAAUUGAUUCCAGAACUUUGAGGUAAACUGGGUUCCUCUAUCUGAUACAAUGCUCCUCGGAACUCCAUGCAAACGUACGAUCCUGGUCAUGUACAUCUUUGCAAACUUAGCACUGGUGUAGGUAGUCUUCACUGGGAUGAAAUGAGUUACCUUCGUCAAAUGAUCGACUACAACCCAAAUCGAGUCGUAGCCUGAACGAGUCCUAGGCAAUCCUGUGAUAAAAUCCAAGCCUAGCUUAUCCCACUUCCAUUCGGUUACUGGCAAUGGCUGUAACAAUCCUGCUGGCUUCUGAUGCUCUACCUUCACUCUCUGACAUACAUCACAACCUGUUACAUACUCCACAAUAUCCUUCUUCAUUCCGGUCCACCAGAAAGUACCCUUCAAAUCCAAAUACAUCUUGGUAUUUCCUGGGUGAAUUGAGUAUGGCGAAUCAUGGGCCUCUUGUAGAAUCAACUUCCUGAUCUCCGGAUCAUUGGGCACAUAAACGCGGUCCUCAAACUAUAAGGUAUCGUGCUCAUCCGCACGAAAUCCUUUAGCUUUUCCUUUGCUCAUCUUCUCCUUUAUAGAGGCAAUCUCCUGGUCAGCCUUCUGAGCUUCUCUGAUUUUAUCCAUCAGAGUUGACUGAAUCUCCAAUGCUGCUACAUAGCCUCUCGGAACUAUCUCCAAACAUAGUUCGCGAAGGUCCUCGGCUAACUCCUUUGGUAAUCCUCCGGUCAUGAGUGUGUUUACAUGGCUCUUACGGCUCAACGCAUCGCCUACUACGUUAGCCUUCCCGAGGUGAUAAUGUAAUCUCAUGUCAUAAUCAUUGAUGAGUUCCAACCAUCUCCUUUGCAUGAGAUUCAACUCCUUCUGUGUGAAAAUGUACUUCGAACACUUGUGAUCCGUGUACACCUCACAAUGGUUUCCGAUGAGAAAGUGUCCAUGUCUUCAAUGCAUGCACUACCGCUGCUAACUCCAAAUCAUGUGUGGCGUAAUUCAGCUCAUGAGGUUUAAGCUGUCUUGAAGGAUAAGAAACAACUCUUCCCUCCUGCAUAAGCACUGCUCCAAGUCCUCGAUGUGAAGCGUCGCAAUACACCUCAUAAUCCUUGCGUUGAUCUCGCAAAAUCAACACUAGCGAUGUAACCAAACGUUUCUUCAACUCCUGGAAACUGACCUCACAUUCCUCAAUCCAUUUGAACUUGGUAUCCUUCUUUAACAACUCCGUCAUGGGCUUCGCAAUCUUCGAGAAAUUCUCAAUGAAUCUCCGGUAGUAUCCUGCCAGCCCAAGGAAACUCCGGAUCUCUCCAACUGUUUUUGGUGCUACCCAAUUUGUUAAAGUGACAACCUUGGUGGGAUCUACUGCUAUUCCUUCUCUGGAUAUAACAUGCCCGAGGAAUCCAACUUCUUUCAACCAAAACUCACAUUUGCCGAACUUGGCAUACAAUUGAUGUUCUCUGAGCUUCUCCAGUACCAAACGUAAAUGCUCCUUAUGCUCUUACUCAUCCUUCGAGUAAACCAAAAUAUGAUCUAUGAACACCAUGACGAACUUAACCAAAAACUCCAUAAACACCUUGUUCAUCAUGUUCAUGAAAUACACAGGUGCGUUAGUCAGACCAAAUGACAUAACGGUAUACUCAUAUAGCCCAUACCUAGUGGUAAAAGCCGUCUUAGGUAUAUCUUGCUCUCAAAUCUUCAACUGCUGGUAUCCUGAUCGCAGAUCGAUCUUGGAAAAUACCUUAGCUCCUUGCAAUUGGUCAAACAAAUCAUUGAUCAUCGGCAGUGGGUACUUGUGUUGUCGGCAGUGGGUACUUGUUCUUGAUAGUCACUUCAUUGAAUCCUCUAUAAUCAACAACCAUCCUCAAUGAUCCAUCCUUCUUCUCCACUAGAAGCACCGGUGAUCCCCAAGGUGAAGAACUUGGGGGAAUAUAUCCUUUAUCCAAUAACUCCUUAAUUUGCUUCUUAAUCUCCUCCAAAUCUUGCGCGGGCAUUCGGCACGGUCUUUUAGAUAUCGGCCAUGUGCCUGGCAAAAGCUCAAUCAAAAACUCAAUGUCUCUAUCUGGUGGCAUGCCUGGCAACUCAUUCGGGAAAAACACCAGGGAAAUCCUUCAUCAUUGGUACUUCCUCCUGCAAAACUCCUGAUAAUGAAUUUACUUGUGUCCUCUUCGGCUCAUGCCAUGAUACAUACUUAAUCCUUCUUUCUUCUGGGGUGGUAAGCAAAAUCGACCUCCUGGCGCAAUCGAUGUUUCCUCCAUACAUCGAUAGCCAAUCAAUACCCAGAAUUACAUCCAAGCCUUGUGAUUCCAAAAUGAUUAAAUCCGAGGGGAAAACAUUCCUACCUAUACUCAAUGGCACUUGGAAAUAUCCUCGACUGGCCAUAUACUCUGCUCCUGGUGAGCUUACUAACAUAGGCGUUCGAAGAACCUUGGUGGGCAGUUUAUACUUAUCCACAAAUCCCCUUGAUAUGUAUGAAUGCGAUGCACCAGUAUAAAAAAGAACGAUUGCAGUAAAUGACUUAACCAAAAACUUACCUAUUACUGCAUCUGGCUGGGCUUCAACCUCCUCCACAUUAACGUGGUUCACCUGUCCUCUAUUGAAACGGGUUGGCUUCUUCCCUGAGCUUCCAUUGCCAUUUCCAUUCUGGGCUUCAGGACAUUCAUUGGCAUAAUGUCCAGUCUUCUGGCACUUAAAGCAAGUGACUUGGCUCGGGUCUCUCUUCGCUGGGGUUGACGGGUUGGUACGGUUCUGGCCGUUGCUUCCUCCAUUUCCGUUUCCAUUCUUGGGGCCAUUAUGGUUGUGUGAGCUACCUCCUCCAUGGGUACACUACUAGGGUAAAGGCUAGCAGCAGCGCGGGUUUUAGAUGUAUCAGUAGCGCGGGGAUAGGCGCUACUAAUAAGGCACUACAGCUAACAGAUAGCAGUAGCGCGUGCUCACCCGCGCUACUGCUACACAAGUGUAGCAGCAGCGCUGUUAGCGGAAGCUCGGUACUGCUAGUAGCUCUAGCGCGCUUUACCUUGACGCGCUACUGCUAUCGCGGCACUGCUGCUAACUUUUAUACACUCGCUACUGCUAAUUUAAGUAGGUUUUUUUGUUUUUUUGGCAUAUUUGUUUUGUAUUUGAACAGGCUUUAUAGAAUAAUCUUUAGCACAUAGAAAUGUCAUCAUGAUACACAUACAAAUGCCUGCGAGACCACAAAUGUAAUCAUAGCAUGUACAUACAAAUAGUCUCAUCAUAAUCAUCAUCCAACAGAAAGUGAUAUCUUGUCAUCAUCUCGAAAAUAGCGAUACAUGCAAGUCUCAAAUACUUGCAACUACAACAACGUCAUCCAUCUAAACAAAGGUAUACGCAAGAAGUGCUAUCACUAUGAGUGAGAGCGGAACUAUGCAGUACAUGAGGUGGCGGUUACGAGUCCUCUCUCGCGCUAGUGUGAACCUCAAGUAACUAGCUUCUCCUUCUUGUCUGCUUUUGAAGCCUUUAUGGCUGGCGCCCGUGAACCCAUUCACUUGCCCCUGACACUCAUGCCACUCAUUGUACACCCCCGGAACCUUCCCUUUGUACACGACAUAGCAAUUCCAUCUCGCCAUCAAGAAAUUAGGUACCUGUUAGAGAUGCAUGUUCAUGAAGAGGAUGUACAAUCAUAUAUAUGCAACAAAAUAUACUAGAGCAACACCGAAAAAGAAAGGGUUAGCAACUAGAUGCAACAUACAGUACGCAAAUUAAUUAACUAGAGGUACGCAGGUCAUCGUACACAAACUAACAAAGUAGCAUUACGCAAGUUCGGCAGGGACCGUGGACAUCACAAAGUUUCAUCGCUACAAAAACUAUACAAGUUCAACCGACACAUAUCAUCAUCAUCGGCAUCAUAAAUCACUAGAAGUUCCAUCCUUCCAUAUCAUCGAGGACGAACCCUAGCUUCUUGAACGGCGUGAGGUCUAGACGUUGCAUGCCUAUGCGAGUUCGGACGUCAGCUCGCGAUAUAGGGCCGUGGUGGAACAUCCCCUUCUCAUCGACGACUUCUUUCAUGAUGAUCGUUGCAAUGUCGCUUUGGAUGCGAAAGAAGUCAUCUCUAAGUUUGUAAUCCGCUUCUCCAUGAGAUUCUAGCCACUUGUGGAUACAAUCAUCAUUUCUGCUGUUAAUGCGAAGCUUUUGGUGAUCUGUGUUGAACUGAAUCAUGAGAUGGACGAUGUAGAAUCCAUCCUUCUUGCUUGAUUUUGGGACAUGGAUGCAGGAGAAGUUAGUUUUAUGCGCGAAACCCAUCUUCUUGUUCCUUUGUUUCUUGAUCUGUACGUGGCCACCUCUAAAGCUGAAUCCUUGGAGAGCAUCAUCUAGAAUAUUCAUUAUGUGGGUGUAGUCUUCUUUCUCGUAGUCUCUGGAAGGGUCAAAAUACACGGCGUGGGAGACUUGCGGGUAAAGAAUGAUAAGGACGGCGCGCCCGUUGCUGCGGGGAAAAGACACCUCAAAUUAUUCCCCAUAUGAGAGAGAAGAAAUGAUUGAAAUGUACGAAAGGGUUGUCCGGAACUGACUUACUUUGGAUGAUAAGGCACGAGGACAAUUUCCCGGUCCUUAUUCUGUACCAUGAAGUUUUGGAGGUACUCCCUAGCAGUUUCACGCUCAAAGUCGCCGAGACUCAAGAAAGACUCGUGCAUGUAGUAUGGAUCCACCACACAGAUUUGCAAGACUUCUUCACUCUUCAUGACGGAGCUCAUAUGUAGCGCAAAAAGGCGGACGAUAGUAAAAUCAAGCCGCCUUGUUAGAAACAUCUCAAAGAUAUGGUCAAACCGUAGGAAGAACACCUCCGCGGGCCGUGUGUCGACAUAGCACUUCCCCUCAGGCACACGAGCCGCGUAUGUCGGAUAUCCUGGAUCCUUUGAGGCUAGUAGGCUUUUCUCAGUCGACAGCACAUGGUCAUGCAGUCUCUUGAGAUCCCCUGAUAGUGCCUCCAGCGGUUUCGGCGGUAGCAUCGGCUCGCCCGUGAGAUGGAACAUGACCGCACUUUUCACGGGUACACGCUCUUCAGAAUGCAUUGUCUGGCUGCUAUGUGCUCUGGCUUGUUUGGAGGUAGUUACCUUCCCCGAUCUCUUCCUCUCCUUUUUCUUGGGCACACCUUCCAGACCCUUCCUUAACCCCUGCCCCAGUGUUCCCGGGCUAAGUACUGUACGACCCUCGCGCCCGGCUAGUUGAGCCUGUGUUGAGGCGGCAUCUUCAGGCGUGUCCUGUGAGGAUUUCAUGAAGAGAGACUUUUUGCAAUCCAUGGUACGACCCUACCCGGGCAUAUUAUCCAUAUCCUCAUUAGCAAGCUGAUAGCCCGAUUCGUCAUAUGGUUGACUCAUCAUAUCUAUGUCACAGUCAUACGCGUUUGUAUUGAGGUAAUCCAUAGGGUCGACCUCCGUCUCAUCAUCCAUUCUCUGUUCUAUAGGAGAAAUUACAUCAGCCAGUACUAUUGCACCCCCUUCAUCAUGUCGUCCGCCGCUCUCACUCGGCAGUACAGGAGCUGGUAAUUGCGUAGGCGGGGUGGUGGUCUUCGCACAUGCUUGUUGAUGUGUGGUAGUUAUUGGUGUGCUCUCGGCUGGCUCCAGACGAAUAAGAUUCUUCGGCCAUAGCAGCACCCAAUUCUUGCAGCUUCCAAUCCGCAGCGGGGUCUUGUCGUUCGCUCCCACAUGCUGUACUGGAGGAGGCAAAUCCUCGUGUCCCGAUUUCUCACUGGUCAAGCUAACCCUGAAGUGCCCAGUGGGGAUCGGCUAGUUGUGGAACGUGCGUUGAGAGGGGUCCAUUAUCAUCCCCUUUCCCACGUCCACCCUCUGGCCUUUGAUCAAGUAGAGUAUGGUGCACGGGGUUUCUUUCGCCUGCAAACACAUAGGUCUGUGGCGUAAAACAAACGAAAGGCAACAAAAAUGUAAUUACCGUGACGGCGUCGAGCUCAGCCAAAGACGAAGGCCCACCUAUCGCGCCUGAGACUGAGGACGGGCUGCUAUGAGCGGGAGCGGCUACAAGAGGAGGCCCGGUUGCGUGAGCAAGUGAUGGUGCGAUGGUGUUGUUGUUCAUGGAGUUGCUCCCGACGAAACUGGGCAUCGGGAAAUCAUGUACCGUCUUGUCUGGAUUUUCCUUCGCCCAGUUGAUGAUAACUGGAACCAAGUUAGUAGCAAAAUCAUUUCUGCAGGCAGUUACAGCUGCAUUGACUGCCUGCUGUGGCAACUCAUAUUUGUCCUCGGCUGCUUUUUUCGCGUCCUCAGCUGCUUUUUUCUCGAUCGCAAGCUUCACCUUCGUGUCGAUGUCCGCCUGACUAAACUUAUUUUUCAGCUUCUUGGCCUUCGGGCCCUCAUUGUAAAACACCUUCCAUGUGGCUCCGUCUCCAGCGCCGUGCACACAACCAUAUUGCGCCCGCUGAUCCAAAGGGAGUCCCUUAAGUUCGUUCAAGGCCCGGUUGAGAGGGUGUCCCACUUGGGCCUCAUCGGAGAAGUAGGGCUUUCGGCUGCAAGCUGGUGUUGCUUCUCCAGUAGUCUAAUCAAUUUCCUCGUGAUCUUGUCCGUGUAAAAAACCUUUUUCUGCUUGUCCCACUUGUAGCGGGCCCUGAUGAAGUCAUGCUCCAAGGGGUUGGUGAACUUCGCGAAGGGGUCUGGGAGACCCGCGGCUUCAUGUUCCGCGUCCUCCUUAUCCCAUAUGGGCCUUUUACCGAGGUAGCCACGGCUUCCGAGGCGAUGCUUCCCCGUGUUCCUUUGUUGAAGGCUCUUGAAUUUCGCAGCCUUAGCCUUGGCUGCCUCGGUAGCGCAAGUGUCCUUGAACUUUUCGAACUCCUCUUCCGUAAGUGUCGGAUUUUCCUCCAAAAUCUUGGACAGGGGUUCAUCAGCCUCUAUAGCUCGUUUCACCCUCCCUUUCCAAGAGGCCAAAUCAUUGCUGAACAUGCCCAUGGCGUGAUUGUUAAUCUUUUUCAUCUUCGGAUCAUUCCACGGUUGUUCUAUGUUGUCAUCCCGGUCGGGGAACUUUAAUCUCUUGUGCAACUUUGUUAGGAGCAACUGCAUCAAAUGUUCUUUACUCCUUAAGUCAUCAUCGUUGAGGCUCGCACAUUCCCGCAGGAUGCAUCCUACUUGGUUCCCAUAGCACUUGCGAGGUUCUUCCGGCUCUAACGGCUCUAACUUGCUAGGUGCCAUCUUUGUGAUUGCAAGUCGUCCAAUCCCUAGUUUGUUAGGUUUUCGUAUCCUCUGCUUCUUAUGCUUCCUCUUUUCGGUAGCGGCAUCGGGGCCGGUACCUUCCCCGCCGGUACCUUCCCCAUCGGUCUCGGUGCCGCCAUUGGUGCCGGCGUUGUCGGUGUCGAUGUCGGCGUCAGUACCAUCAUCGAGGCCGACCUCCAAACCUUGCUUAGCAGUCAAAUAGUCAAGGUACUCUUGUUCACCCUCAUAAUCCAUCUCGUCUGCAUCUUGGUCAGAAGGCGCAGUUUCUUCAUUAUUCGACAUGUUUCCUAUGAUUAAGUGUCCUCAUUUAUUUCUAAAAGUAUGAAUAAAUGAGAAAUGACAUAAAAAAUCUAUGUGCCAGCAGUCGAUAUGCCAACUAUGUAGCACAAAAUCAUGCCUUUACUCACGGGAAAUUUCGGCACGAUCUUUGCUAAAAAAAAUGGACAUAUCGAGCGCCUGAAAUUCACCGGAACGGAAAUGAAUCAAAAUUCCAGCGUAACAUAGGCCACUCGGAUCAUUUUCCGAACAUGACAUGUCCAAAACAUGACAUAUGCACAUAUCACAUGUCCAGUUCAAAUUUGCACAUAUCACAUGUCCAGUUCAAAUUUUGAAACCUAGCUAAAUUCAUAACUAAAUAGAUAACCUAAUUAACAUACUUCCCUAACUAAAACCUAAGUAAAUUAACCGAAGAACCCUAGCAGAGAGAGAGAGAGAGGGGGGGGGUUACAGAGGGUGCAGGGGCGAGGNNNNNNNNNNNNNNNNNNNNNNNNNNNNNNNNNNNNNNNNNNNNNNNNNNNNNNNNNNNNNNNNNNNNNNNNNNNNNNNNNNNNNNNNNNNNNNNNNNNNNNNNNNNNNNNNNNNNNNNNNNNNNNNNNNNNNNNNNNNNNNNNNNNNNNNNNNNNNNNNNNNNNNNNNNNNNNNNNNNNNNNNNNNNNNNNNNNNNNNNNNNNNNNNNNNNNNNNNNNNNNNNNNNNNNNNNNNNNNNNNNNNNNNNNNNNNNNNNNNNNNNNNNNNNNNNNNNNNNNNNNNNNNNNNNNNNNNNNNNNNNNNNNNNNNNNNNNNNNNNNNNNNNNNNNNNNNNNNNNNNNNNNNNNNNNNNNNNNNNNNNNNNNNNNNNNNNNNNNNNNNNNNNNNNNNNNNNNNNNNNNNGGGCGAGGGCCGGGUCGGGGGCGAGCGCCGGGGUCGGGGGCGAGCACCGGAGUCGGGGGCGAGCGUCGGGGCCGGGUCAGGCGCGGCGGUGCGACGGGGGAGAGUGGGGAUUUCGGGGGGGGAGGCGGGAUGAAGCAGGGCGGGUGAGAAUUUUGGGUUAAGUGGACGUAGCAGUAGCACAUUUGGACAAAACGCGCUGCUACUACCUUCAGUAGCUAUAGCGCUUUAUACGAAAUUCGCUUCUACUAACUUCAGUAUCUGUGGCGGUUUAGGCAAAACACGCUGCUACUACCUUCGCUACUACCAGUUUUCCUUUUUCUUUUCCUUUAUUUUAUCCCACUUUUAUUUCCCGAGGGCAGUGAACGAAGGGAGGGCGAUAUAUAUUGCAUCAUUUGACGGUUAAAUAUGUAUGCAAAAUAGGAACAUAUAUAUUACACAUCAUUGGAUCCAUACAUAAUAAUGGCUAAGUGUGUAUACAAAAUAGGAACAUAUAUAUAUUACAUCAUUUGACCGAUAACAUAAGUUUCCUCAGUGCUGACAUUUUCGUUUUUGAGUCAGCUUCUUUCCCUUCUUGUUCGUCGAAGAAUAAUUGAGCCCCUCAUUGUGACUUUGCCUUUUCCAUGGAGUACAAUUUUUCUUAGGUAAUGUAGUAUUGAUUCUUCUUUUGACGUAUACUUCAUCAUCAUCGUCAUCUUCCCUCAUCGGGUUGCCGUAGUGAUCAUAGUCUUCCUCGUUGGCGACUCCAUCCAUUCCAAUGAUGUUCCUUUUGCCUCUCCUCAGGACAACACGGCUGGGAUUGCGCGGGUCAGUUAUGAAGAAGCAUUGUGUCACGUGCUUAGCGUGUACCCAUGGCUCGUUUUUUGCGAUAGCGUUCACGGUAGCGCUCUUGGCGUCGGGUAUAGUCAUGGUAGUGAAAAUCUGGCUUUCUCUUUCGACAUUCUUAGCCCAUCUGACACGGAACAUCGUCGUGUUGUGCAGUCCAGAGUAGUCAAGCUCCCAGAUCUCCUCGACCCUUCCAUAAAAUCGUUCAGUUGCGCCGUUGUCGCUGCCGGUCAUGCAUUCCAUCGUCACCCCUGAGUUCUGAUCAUCACUGUCCAUAUCUUUGGCCUCCGUGUAGAACGUGUAUCCGUUGAUAUCAUAUGCCUGAUAGGUUACGAGGUUGGGCGAGGGGCCAUGUGCUAAGGCGUAUAUGAGCAAUCCGUCCUUAGAGCCCUCCUCCGGAGAAUUAGCAAUAAUAUGCUCUUUGAACGAAUGAAGGAAAGUGGAGUUGUGCUCUCUAGUAACUUCGGCGUGCGUCCUGCAUACCCCCCGGUCACGAUACUUGUUUGCGAUAAUUUCUUUGUGCAGUGCCACGAAAGGAUCUACCUCGUCUAGGUGUUGUAGCACUACCAAGUUUGCUCUGUCGAAGUCGGUGCAUCGAUCAGAGUAUGCCACGUGCAGUUCCCUGCGACUGUUGCAGUGACCAUCUCCUUCGAGCCUCCCAUCGUGCUUGUUAACGGGCAAACCAACACUAACACCAAGCGGCUGGUCUGCGCCAUAUAGAAAAUUCUCACAGAAAGAGAUGCACUCUUGUGCCAAAUAGCCCUGGACGAUGCUUCCAUCCAGACGGGACAUGUUACGAACGAAUCCUUUGAUGAUCCCAUUCAUCCUCUCAAACGGCAUCAUGUUGUGCAGGAAUGACGACCCCAGGUCUAUUAUGUCAUCCACAAUAUGGACACACAGAUGCACCAUCACGUCAAAGAACGCGGGCGGGAAGUACAUCUCAAGCUCAUUCAGUAUCACAACGUUCUCUUCCUGUAGCCUUUGGAGCUGCUUCACACUGAUCGACUUUCGAGAGAUGACGUCGAAAAAGUUGCAGAGACCAAUAAGCGUGUCACGGACAUGCUUGUCCAUUAUCCCUCUAAGGGCAAUAGGUAGUAUCUGCGUCAUCAUCACAUGACAGUCAUGAGACUUCAUCCCGCUGAACCUUUUCUUGUCCGUGUCUAGAUAUCUGCUUAUCUUGCCACAGUAACCGGAACUAACUUUGACUCCGGUAAGGCACUUAAAGAAGGCAUUGAUCUCAGCCUGACUUAAGGUGCAGCAAGAAGGGGGGCAAUAAUCCUCUUUCUUUGUUUUCUUGCCCUUCUUCUCCCGUGCCUCUGUCUCCGUCUCUGUCUCGUCCGACAUUUUACGGGGCGGCAUGUGCAGAUCUUCCCUGAUUUUCAAAUCUUGCAAGUGUUUUCUUGCCUUCGGCCCAUCCUUGGUCUUAUCCGGCAUGUUCAUCAGUGUUGCGAGCAAGCUCUCCAGGAUAUUCUUACAGAUAUGCAUUUGAUCAAGGCAAUGAGGUGUAUCGAGUUUGUGCCAGUAUUCCAAGUCCAAGAACACAGACCUCGUCUUCCAUACCUUCAGCAGCGGCUCCGGCGCCUUUCUCAUCGUCUUUUCCGGCGCGGGGCACUCCUUCCAGUUUUUCAACAUCACAUUGAUUUCGGCACCCCUCCGCUUACGUGGAGGUCCUCGAUGCUCAGCAUGACCAUUGAAUAGAUCUCCACGGUUUCUCCACGGGUCGUCCUGUUCAAGCCAUCUUCAAUGCCCUAUGUACACGAUUUUCCUAGACCCGCCAUCUUUCCUUGAUGUUAGCUGCUGAGACGUCGUAUCAUCCAUGCACCGCGUGCAUCCGCAAUAUCCAUGGCACACCUGGCCUGCCACAUAUCCGUAACCGAGAUAGUCCUGCACUGUCGUGAUCAGCGUGGCUCACAUGUUGAAAUACUCACCUUUGCUGGCGUCCCAUGUCUUGGCCGGUGUUUUCCAUAACGUGUCUAACUCCUCUUGAAGUAGCCCCAGAUACAAAUUAAUAUUAUUUCCUGAUUGUUUCGGCCCUUGAAUAAGCAUGCUCAUGUGAAUGUACUUUGAUUUCAUGCACAACCAGGGGGAGGUUGUACAUUCAUACAAACACGGGCCAUGUGCUAUGGUUGGUGUUCUGGUUGCCAAACGGAUUCAUGCCAUCGGUACACACGCCGAGCACGAUGUUCCUUGCAUCACAUUCAAAAUACCGAUAGAAGCUGUUCAACGCUCUCCACUGGCUUCCAUCCUUCACGUGUCUCAGCUUCGAUCAUCUCCAUCGUCGGGCUUCUUCCUCUCCGCGUGCCAGCGCAUUAGCUUUCCUUCCUUGGGAUCUACAAAAUACCUCUGGAGACGGGGAGUGAUUGGUAAGUACCACACAACUUUCUGGGGACAUUUCUUCCCGGCCUUCUUGUAUCGAGAAGCAUUGCACACCGGACAACUUGUUUUUUCCGCGUGCUCAUUCCGAUAAAUUAUGCAAUCGUUGAUGCAUGCAUGGUAUCUAACGUGUGGCAGAUCAAGAGGGCACACGAUCUUCUUGGCCUCAUCAACACUAGUAGGACAUAGAUUACCCGCGGGAAGAACAUCCUUUAGGUACUUGAGAUGCUCAUCGAGGCUAGUGUCGGUCCAUUUGUUUUUAGCCUUCAUCUUCAGGAGUUGGAGCGUGAAACUCAAGCGGGUCACCUCAGGAUUGCAACCAUCAUACAAUGGAGUGUUCGAGUCUACCACCAGUUGCUCCAGCUUAGCCUCCUCUCUAGAAGCAGCUCUCUCAGUACUCGUCUCCUUGCGAAGCAAUGCUUGAUCAUGAGAGUCCCGCAUGAUUGAACUUAGUACCGACGAACUCUGCUGCGCGGAGUCCAUGUCGUUCUCUCCGCCGCCAUGUCCGGCCCCUUCUCCUCCGCCAUGUCCGGCCCCUUCUCCGCCGCCAUGUCCGGCCUCUUCCCCGCCACCAUUAUCGAUCAUCUCUUCGUCUUGCCCCAUGUCAUCAUUGCCUGCCCCGUCGGCAUCCUCAACAUCGUUAUCCUCAUCUUCAAUUAUCCAUUGAGUAUAGCCAUCCAUGAAACCAGUCAUGAGCAGGUGCGCUUCAACACGACCAUCGUCAUGGGGGUCGAGCCAAAUUAUUCCUUUGCAUUUUCGACACGGACAUAAAACCUCUGUCCGGUUAUUUUCUCUCAUGUCCUGCUCCGACGACUGGAACCACCUGUCCACCAUCGUUCCACUGACCAUCGUCAACUCUGCACGGUAAUAAUAAACAAAUUGAUUAUAAAAAUGCAUGCAUGCAUCAAAGUCAUACAAAAAUCUGGCAUGACCUUCCCUAAAAAUAGGACAUAUAUGGAUCUAGAGUUUGCUCGGAAUUCGCCAAAACGGAAAUAAAUCGACAUUUCGGCAAAACAUAGGCAACUCAAAAGCACAAUUUGGCGUGCCACACACACAAUUUCCACAAACAUAUCACACACACAUAAACAUAUUUCCAUUUUGCAAAAGCAUGAAAUUUUCAUCACCUCUAUCUCGAUCGAGAUCGAGCACACGGUGGAGAUGAUGUUGUAGGGAGAUCAAAAGUGCAGAAAGCCCUUCUUGACAAAGAUAGAUCUAGUUAGGGGGCAAAUAGGUCACUUAACUAAAUCCUACAUCUACCUAGCUACCUAAUUUGGGAGGAGACAACUUCAACUAGUGGAGGGGAAAGGAAAAAGAGAAAGGAGAUGCAUUAAUGAAGGUGGUGUGGUUAGGUAGGAGUAAUGAAGAGAGAGAAAGGUGGAUAGAAGAGAAAGAGUAAUGGGGGAGAAGUAUUGAGGAAGAAGAAGAGUGAGAGUCAGAGCAUGUGGGGGAGGUAGGUGGAAGGGAAGAGAGGAGGGGGAGGGGAGGCACGGGUGGGGAAAGGUGGUGGGUUGGUGCGGGUUAGCAGUAGCGCGGGAGCAGAAACGUGCCGAUGAUAAGGAAUUAGCAGCAGCGCGCUUUGGGACACAACGCUACUGCUAACAGUGACAAAAAAGUGUGCCAAUUUGAAAUUUAGCAGCAGCAAUCUCAAUAAAAGCCCGCUACUACUACAUCCGUAGCACUAGCGCGCUUCGGGCCACGGCGCUACUGCUAAAUGGAGUUAGGUGAACACCGUCGGUCGAUAUUUGUAGCAGCACGGUUUACACAGAGCGCGCUACUGCUAAAAACUUAUCAGCAGCGGGUUUCCCGCACACGCGCUACUACUAAUUAGCAGCAGCGCUCCUUUUUGAGCCGCGUUGCUGCUAAGAUUCUGUGUAUAGGCUUUUCCCUAGUAGUGGUAUGCUGGAAAUGUCCUCCCGAUUUCGAGGUAAAAUGUGGUUUCUACUGAGCUCCAAAAUUGUUCUUCCCUUGUCUAUACUUCCUCUUGCGGUUCUCAAUCUGAUGAUGCUUCCCUUCAAUCAUAAGAGCACAAUCUACCAACUCCUGGUAGUUGUUGAAGGUUGCUACCAUCAACCGCAUUCUCAACUCAUCAUUUAGUCCUUCCAGAAACUUCUCCUGCUUAGCUGCAUCCGUAGCAACGUCAUUUGGGGCAUAACGUGCUAGCUUACUAAAGUCAUCCACAUACUGGCCAACUAUUCGUCCUCCUUGGUGCAAGUUGCGAAACUCACGCUUCUUCAUGGCCAUAGCUCCUGCUGAAACAUGGGCAGUACGGAAAGCCUGCUGAAACUGAUCCAAUGUGACAGUGUCGAUAGGAUAAGUGGCUGUGAAAUUUUCCCACCAUGAUGCUGCGGGUCCUUCCAGCUGAUGUGCGGCAAAACGCACCCUCUCCGCAUCUGUGCAUCCUCCAGUGGUCAACUCCCUUGCUGUCUUGCGGAUCCAAUCAUCUGCAAAAAUCAGUUCGGUGCUACUGGAGAACACCGGCGGCUUUAUCCUAAGAAAACGGGUUAAGUGAUCAAUAGGUGGUGGUGAUGGUGGGUUGUUGUUGUUGUUGUUGUUGUUGUUGUUCCCCUGAUUCUGAUUCUGGACUAGCAACUGCAUCAAUGCAUUCUGUUGCUGGAUCAAAUGAGUGAGCUCCGGUGGGAAAGCGAAUCCAUUGUCACGUCUCGGAGGCAUUUGAGGGUUUUUAGAAAAGAUGAGAAUAUAGAAUAGAAUGAGAUCUAGAGGGAAAUCACUACCCAUAUGCACAUGAGACAAAAGCAAACAAUAUCACUUCAAUCAAUCAAACAAGGGCAUACAACGGUCCAACUAAAGUUACAAAAGUGCUCGGACUAUACUAGAUACAUGGGGGAAUACUAGUAUUGUUAUGGUGGUCGACUAGAAAAACUCCUCCGAUGAAGACUCCAUGAUAUCUGCUCCAGCUUCAUCAACAUAGUAAUCAUCGCUAUCGUCUGGGUCCGAGUCGGUGUCGUCGAUGAUGAUGUAGUUCUCUAGACAAGUGCAAUCAUCUUCUCCUCCAGUUGCGGGAAAUCCCAUGAACACUCUUAGCUUCUUCUUUAGAUUGUCAUUCUUCUCCACUAGUGUUGCUAUUUCCUCCUCAUAUCCAUCGCGUGCAGACUUGAGUUCUUCCUCCAGCUAUGUGAUCUUGGUCAUGGCCUUCUUCAAGUCUAACAUGCCUGCGCACAUCUGGUUCUCCUGGCGUCGAAUGUGCUGGUUUAACUCCUGGAUGAAAGCUGCAAUUGAUCUAUCCUGCCUAGUGCUGAUCAUCUCCCAUUGCUCAUCUCGACGCCCACAAAUCUGGUAGAUUGUAUCCUUGAGAUCCUGGCGGUAAACUUCUCCAAUACGUCCCAUUGUGAUGUGGGCUGCCAUGCUCUUUCCUAGACUCCAUGUUGGUGCAUCAAAAGAAGACUCUAUGGGCUCAGUGAUUGGCAUGAACAUUCUUCCUAGAACUUGAACUUGAAUCAUCCAGCGCUCCUCUUCAGGUAAAGUGAUGUUGUAGGUCCCGGUGAAGCUUGGUACUCCGAUGUUCAGGUAUCUAGUGACUUCCUUCAAGUGGCGCCCAAAGGGUGUAUCUUCAUCCAGUUGCACGAACUUGUUCCUUGCAUCCGCCAUCCUAAAAGAGUAGAAAAGAUGAGGAGUCAAAAAUGAGAAGAGAGUAGUGAUCUAGGGCUUUAUCUUAGUGGUCGUGUCCUACAGUCAGCGUGUGCUCGGAUACCAUCUUGUAGCGACGAGACCUCAAACAGUCUGAUCUCUAUGCAUCAGUGUCAUCCCUGGAUCAGUAAUGCUGACACGCACAGUACUUGAAGGAUUUAUAACAGAGUAGCAAUCACACACUUAUUACAUCAAAAGUCUCAAAGGAGAACUUAUUACAAUAAAUAUGGCUUAAGGCCAUCUAAUGACGAUAACAGCGGAAGGCUUGGAAUAUAUGUGAGUCCAUCAACUCCAACGACAUCACUGAGUAUAGAACCACGACCUAAAAGCACCUUACUCGUCGUCUGAAAAGUCCGCAACAUGAACGUUGCAACCCGAAACGGGUAAGCACAUUGAAUAUGCUGGCAAUGUCACACAUAGAGAGUAAUGAAAGAAUAAAGCCAUACUACAUGCAUAUAUGGCUGGUGGAAAGCUCUAUGUUACAGUUUUUGCAUAAAGCCAUUUUUUUCCUACUGCAAAGGAAUAAAUUUUAUUUAACUAUCAUGGUGGUUGUUAAACAUUGAGAGUGUAGACACCCUCUCAAUCCCCAUUAAACAUCUUCAUUAAAACCCAACAAUAUUAAUUAACAGUAACAUGAGGAGAUUCACAUGAUAAUCCAAGUACUAGAUACUCAAAACAUCCAUAACCGGGGACAUGGCUAACCAUGAUUAGUUUAUACACUCUGCAGAGGUUUGUGCACUUUUCCCCACAAGACUCGAUCUCCUCCGUUAGAUUUCUCGCACUUCAUGGUGUUUGAGAAACGGAUGACCGAGACAUAGUAUUUCAGAAGCGCUAGCACCUUACGAUGGGUAGACCGUUACACCUACUUUCCCCUACAUCUGCUAGUCUACCACUAUAAGAGUUCACACGACUUAAUCAACUAUGCUAGAGCCCAUAGUAGCUUGUGGCUGCACAUGGAAGUUUCUAGCAAGAAUAAUCUCAUGAUCCCUUUGAGCCUGGGUGGCGGUUCAUAAAAAAUAGGCAAUCCUGGAAUACCCAGGUACCUCAAUCCACCCAGAUGUGUAUUAAAGUUGCCACCUUAAAUAAACCAUUAAUUAUCAAUCUCAAAUCUGUCAUGGAUUCACUCACCCAAUCCACGUCUACUAGCAUAGCAUGGCAUAAUAAGCAAAUGUAGAGUAACUCCCAAAGGUUUGAUAAUAAAAUAGGUAAUAGGUACUACCUCAUCUACUUCCCAAAACCCACAUAUUAAUCAGAUCGUAAUCACGCAAUUGUUUGGGGAUUGAUCUAAUGCAAUAAAACUGGGUAGUAAGGAGGUAUGAUCAAAGUGUUACUUGCCUUGCUGAUGAUCCGCGAAACCUAGCGAUUCGAAGUAGCAAGCGGCACACUCCGGGUACUCUAUCGCAAACAAACAAGCAUACAAUAAGCACUCAUCUAAUGCAUAGGUAAAACUCAAAUAAAAUAUCUAACCAGAAAAUUCAACUUAAGAACUCCGGUUUGCAAAAAGUAUCAAAACAAACGAAGCAACGAAAGUCAAACGGCGAAAGAAAUAAACUUUGUUUACUAAUCUGGAGUUAAGUCAAAUUUUACAGUAGCAAAAACUUUUUUGAGUUGAUUAAUCGGAAAGAGGGUUUCGAGACGAAACUCUAGGCGCUUGAAUCGCCUGAUUCCGAUAAACGAGCGAAAAGUUAAACUAGAACGAAAAAUAUCACGGAAAUCGCGAUCAGAAAUAAUCGUGGAAAAUCCAAGAAAAAGAAAAACUGACGAAGAUGCUAACGAAUGAACGUUCGCAGUCUGCGGCUAAACGACGAAAACCGUUUGUUAAAACGAACACACGGACGAACCUCCUCUAAAUAAACUAAACCAGAAAAAAACGGAUCUAGGGUUUUUUUUAAAAACCGAAUGAAAAACUGGCAGAAAAACCAAACGGUUUUCACGAGAAAAACCGCCGGCGGCGAGGCGGCGGCUUACUCCGGCGAGGGGCGGCGGGGUCGGGCGGGGCGGCGGCCUCCGAGGAGGCGGCGGCGUGCGGCGUCGGUGNNNNNNNNNNNNNNNNNNNNNNNNNNNNNNNNNNNNNNNNNNNNNNNNNNNNNNNNNNNNNNNNNNNNNNNNNNNNNNNNNNNNNNNNNNNNNNNNNNNNNNNNNNNNNNNNNNNNNNNNNNNNNNNNNNNNNNNNNNNNNNNNNNNNNNNNNNNNNNNNNNNNNNNNNNNNNNNNNNNNNNNNNNNNNNNNNNNNNNNNNNNNNNNNNNNNNNNNNNNNNNNNNNNNNNNNNNNNNNNNNNNNNNNNNNNNNNNNNNNNNNNNNNNNNNNNNNNNNNNNNNNNNNNNNNNNNNNNNNNNNNNNNNNNNNNNNNNNNNNNNNNNNNNNNNNNNNNNNNNNNNNNNNNNNNNNNNNNNNNNNNNNNNNNNNNNNNNNNNNNNNNNNNNNNNNNNNNNNNNNNNNNNCGUCGGUGGCGGCAGGCGACGGCGACGCGAGAUCCGGGGAGGCGGCGCGCGGCAGCGGCGGAGGCGGCGGCUUAGGGUUAGGGUUUCAGGGUGGGGGCGGGCUGGCGGCUAGUGGGUUCGGGCGGCGCAUUAUAAAGGCCCCGGCCAGGGGGAGUCCUGGCCGAACACGGCCCAAAGUCGGUUUCGUUUUUUUUGAACCUUACACAUAGAAAAACAAAUAAAAGAAAUACUAAUCGGACUCCAAAAAUCCCGAAAUAAAUUUUCCCCGACUUCUAAAAUCAAGCCGGUUAAGAUGAACAUUUAUUUGGGUCCUAAAUGCAAUUUUGGAAAACACGCAUUUUUCCUAAAUUCAAAUAAAAUAGCAAUAAACUACAAAAUACAAUCUUAUUUGAUUUUAUUAUCAAAUCCUCAAUUUUUUUGGGAAAGUCAUUUUAUUCCCUCUCUCAUAUUUUCAUAGUAGAAAUAAUUGAAGGUAAAAUAAAUAAAAUCAAAUGAUCCUAUUUUCAAAAUUUGAGAAAACCCAAGUAUGAAAAUAACAAAAUUCCCAACUCUCUCCGUGGGUCCUUGAGUUGCGUGAAAUUUCUCGGAUCAAGCCAAAAUGCAAUAAAAUAUGAUAUGCACUGAUGAUCUAUGUAUAACAUUCCAAAUUGAAAAUUUGGGAUGUUACAAAAGCGACCGUGAGUACUCGUCCAAAGUACUCGCAAGCAUCAGAUCUAUACUAAGUAUGCAUUGGUAUCAGAAGGAAGGUUUUUAUUUGUGGACUGAACUGCAGAAUGCUAGAAUAGAGGGGAAGGCCUAGCCUAUCGAAGACUAGCAUCUUCAAGCAGCUCUAAGCAUCUUGCAGCAUGUAGAAGAGUAAAGAAUAACAUCUUAAUAUUACACAAGCAUGUUGUAACAUCAACGCCAAGAGAUUCCCCGACUCCCUGCGAGAAAGCAAUCUUGGAGCGACAUAUCCUUCACAUAUCUCAAGUAUCCAUUUCUAGUUAUAUAAGAUCAGGAUAUAAGUCUGAACGCCCAUUACCGUAGACACGGUAUUACAAUAUAUAUCUUCCCUGCAGGGGUGCACCACGUUACCCAACACGCUUGAUUACUCUGGCCGGACACACUUUUCUGGGUCAAUGCCUAGCCUCAGAAAAUCAAGACGUCGCAACCCUACCUAGGCUCAGUAGAGAGGUCCCCGCAACUCUACAUCAUAAGCACUCGGUGUCUUGGGCCCAUCACCCGCGGCACUCCGGGUCGUUGCGAGCAGGGUGGAUACCAGCACCGCCUCGGAUGGCCAGCAUGAUCCGACCGUGCCGCACUGCUUAACUGGAGGUCUGACAAAGCUUCAGCUGAUACUGCGACGAUGGAGGCCCAUAAUUAUUCUUGCGUGGUGGUUAGUGCGUAAAGGCCAGAGGCCAACUCAGAAAAAAUACCCAGACCUGUUAGUGCAUUGGGGGCUCGCGGAGACAAGCAAAGACUCGCGAUAAUGUGACCCCGUCGCCCCGUCUCGUGGACUUACGGCAAGGUCCCAGACUGCCCGGCCGUGCCACGUGGAAAACUCGUGGGUGCUCUACAGGCUCGCCCGACUUUCACAUCAACUCGCGGGUACCCCUCAGGGCCGACUGUCGGUGACAAAACCGGCGGAUCUCAGGUAGGGGGUCCCGAUCUAUGCGUCUUAGGCUGAUGGUAACAAGAAGCAAGGGACACAAUGUUUACCCAGGUUCGGGCCCUCUCGAUGGAGGUAAAACCCUACUUCUGCUUGAUUAAUGUUGAAGAUAUGAGUAGUACAAGAGUAGAAUUACCACGAGAUCAUAGAGGCUAAACCCUAGAAGCUAGCCUAUGAUGGUAUAAUUGUAAUUGUGAUCGGCCUUCUAAGGACCAACCUCUACGGUUUAUAUAGACACCGGAGAGGGCUAGGGUUUACAUGGAGUCGGUUAAGAGGAAGGAAAUAUAAUAUCCGGAUCGCCAAGCUUGUCUUCCACCCAAAGGACAGUCCCAUCCGGACACGGGCCGGAGUCUUGAGUCUUGUAUCUUCACGAUCCAAUAGUCCCGACGAUGUAUAUAGUCCGGCUGUCCGGAUACCCCCCAAUCCAGGACUCCCUCAGUAGCCCCUGAACCAGUCUUCAAUGACGAUGAGUCGGGCGCGCAGUCUUGUCUUCGGCAUUGCAAGGCGGGUUCCUUCUAUGAAUACUCCAAGGUAAUUAUCGAACUCGUAAAUCGUGUCCGGAUCUGCAAAAUGAUCUUCACAUACGGCUUUAGAGAGAACGAUAUUUCACAAAUGUACUCUGCUGACAACUUUUUAGACGUGACAUGUCAUUACGGUCGGGUCAUUAUUCGAACCGUUUUCCUUCAACCAGCCACAGCGCAUAUUGCGAGGUGGUUUCCUUGACACGUCAUGUCAAAGUAGAGAUCGUGUCCACUUAUUACGAGAUUCUCAUCAAUACGGGUAUGGGUAAUCCAACCGCACUGCUAAUCGCGGUGAGUGGGAGGUGAGCGGGUUCCACCAGGCGAGUGGGGAGGCGCAAAAAGCUUUUACCAUCUCUUGUAAAGAGAUAAGGUCUCUUCCUCUUUACCCACACCUUCUCCUUCCGCUAACCCAUUCCCCUUUGUUCGAGCCCUAACACCCAAGCACUCUUCUUUUCCAUCAAAGAGACGUUUUCCAAAGAUGUCCAGAUCCAGAGCAGGAGGCAAAUGGAUGGCCUCUACCGUCCGGGAGAAGGAUAUUAAGAAGCUCCGGGAAGCCGGGUAUCUAGUCAAGAAGAUUGGCAAACGUCUUCCACAGGCGGGACUGGUUGUCCCUACUCCGAAGCCUUACGAGAGAGUCGUGUUCCUUCCCCAUUUUCUCCGCGGGAUCGGGUUUCCCCUUCACCCAUUCGUUCGCGGAGUCAUGUAUUACUAUGGGAUUGAUUUUCAUGAUCUUUCCCCCAAUUCUUCCCCCAAUAUCUCGACGUUCAUCGUCGUGUGCGAGGCCUUUCUCCGUAUUUCGCCUCACUUCGGCCUGUGGCUGAAGAUUUUCCAUGUGAAGCCCAAGGUGGUGAGUGGCGAACACGCCGAGUGCGGCGGCACCAUGGUGAGCAAGAUGACCAAGGCCAUUUGGCCGAAGGGCACCUUCAACGACUCCAUCAAGGAAUGGCAGCAGUAGUGGUUCUAUAUCACCGAACCACGCGGCAAAAAGUGGGCUGCAACUCCUGAAUUCAGAUCCGAAGCCCCAGUCCGACUCACGUCCUGGCCCAAGAAGGGCCCGAACUGGUCCUCGUCCGAUGAGCUGUCACUGCUCCAGACGCGUGUUCAGAGCGUGGUCGACAAGGACGUCAAACUCGUCGACUAGUCCAGGUGAUGCUAGUUCGCCUGGUUCUCCCUUGCCAGCGCCGAGCCUGCAUUUUGUGGGAGUUCGACCCAACCGAGCACUCGACCCUUCGGGAGCUCUAUGAUUUCUCCCACAAGGAUAUCUGGAAGGUGCUCUUCAAGUUCGGUAAAUCGUGGCCGGGCCCCGCCGAGGACCAUGGGUAUCAAUUAUCCCAUACUGCAAGCCCGGUAAGUUACAGCCACACUCUGUCCAUCCAUGCUUCAGUUGGCGCGUCAUGAGGGAGACAUUUUAAUCGUGUUUCAUGACCUCAGGGAUGGAUAAAAAAGGUGGAGCGGACACAUUGUCCGGCCCCGCUGCCGGAGGAACCGACUGGACCUCAUCUGACAAAGAUGCUGGUCCCCGCGCCUUACGAGGCACCGAAAAAGGAGGCCUCCAAGAAGGUCAAGAAGACCCGGAGUGGCCUCCGUCGCCGCGAGGCUUCGGACGCAAAAUCCGGAGACUCCAGUGAUGCUCCUUCUUCCGAAGACGAAGAGGAGGAAGCAGAGGAGGACGAGCCUCACUUUCACGGUGGGAAGAAGCGCGUGGCUUCCCCGUCCCUGGAGGCUGAAUAGCCCAAGAUGGGGAGAGGUUCCCUUCUAGAGGCAUCCACCACGGCUGCCGAUAACAGCCCGGAGUGGAAUCCCAGGGCCCAGCCCCUGCAAAAAUCAUAAGUAACCAAAAUCCGAAUGCGCCUAUGCAUCCAGGGUCAUCCGGGUAUAGUAGUUUUAACUGUUGCCAUAUCUCGUACAACCCGACGAGGUCUCCUGCUGGACAGUCCUCAUCGGAGGAUUCACUAAGCUCGGAUGAUGUAGCGAGCGAGACGCCUCUGGAGGCUCCUUCUCUGAAGUCCAGGUGCGACACCGAGGUGUCGUCUCAAAGUGACCCGGGGGGCAUGCCUUUGGAGCCGGACACAUGGGGGCAGCGGCCCCACGGCAUGUUGACGAUGGGGGCGAUCUCUGCUUCGGCCCAUAGCCGGAUAAGGUCCUAGAGACCUCUAAGACUCCAGUAUUGGGCGAGCGGCCGCCUUCGAUGGAGGGAGACUUUCCUACUCCACUGGUAACCUGUAUCCAUGUAGAGCUGGCGGGCUCUAUCGACAGCGUUGAAGAACGCCUCUAUCGUCGAUGAACAUCAGACCCUGAUGGGUACGGUGGUUGGGAAGAUUCAGUCUACCGAAAGCGGGUUGAAUGAGUCCUGCCUUGGCCUUAUAAAGGCUUUUGAGGUAUAGUUUCUAAGGAACCUUUGAGGAAUCAUCAUAAUAUGAGUAGUAGCCCCUGAUACAUUGUCCGGUGAAAGAGAGAGAGCCGGGCAGUGGAUCAAACCCUCUUUUUUCGUGGGAACCCUUGUUAAUGGCGUGUACCCCUUUGUUUGAAAACAGGCGUCUGUGGAGAAGAUGGCCUGAAUUGAAGCAGAGCCUGGAACGAGCCGAGGAAGAACUUGGCCGUGUGAAGAAGCAAUUAGAGGAUAGGCAAGGUAUGUUGAAACAUUGUCUUGCAUUAGGCACAAAUGAGUAAUUGUAUCUAUUGAAAAGUAUUUGUGUUGUACGCCCUAAAAGCGAGUGCCGAAUAUGAGGCACUAAAGAAGGUUGUGGCUGAUGCCAACAAGAAGGCUGCCGCUGAACAGACGCUUCAUGGAAAACACGAGGCCAGGGUCCUCACAGCUGAGCGGGAGCUCCAUGAGGCUGUGAAGAAAAGCAAGGGCUCGGAGCAGAGUCUAGUAGGGAAAGAAUCCGAACUCGCCCAAGCUCUCCACGCCGUGGAAGAUGCUCGGGAAGAUGCCCGAGGUGCUGUACGGGAUAUUCAGGAGGCCCGAAAAGUUGCGGCUGGUAAGGCCUGUUGUAUUCAUGGCCAUUUUUAUAUGAUAGUGGGGACAACUCUAAGCGACAAGUUGAAUUCUUUAUUUUACAAGGGCGUUUGUGGAUCUGCCUCGUAGCAUAUCGGAUGCCGCCUAUUUCUACCGGACCGAGGAGAAGAAGUCUGCGGAGAGGAACUUCUGGUCACAGUAUUUGGCGCCGAACUAUCUGGUGCCUUCUAUCGAUGAGCUGAAGCAGCUGGUCGGACUGCACCAGGCGGCCGAACUAGCCAUCAAAGACUUGGUUGUCCGGCUAUGGCCCGUGGAGCCAAUUCCAAGCAGUUACUUCGGACUUGUGAAGCGGAUUGUGGGCUCCUGUCAUCGGCUUGAUGCUAUCAAGCGAUCAGUCUGUAUAGAAGGUGCGUGCAUGUGUUCGCCCGUGCAAAAGUGCAUUGGGGGAAGCCUGAUGCGGAGAAGCUGAUGACUGAGGGGCCACCAGAGGGUAAGGAGCAUCGCAAGCCCGAACUGUACUAUGAAGGUGUACUGAAGGGGGCCCGCCUUGCGGCGGAUAAGUGCACCAAAGACAUUAUAUUUCCCUGAGGGCAUUCAUGCCGCUCUUUGUAAUAUGGGAUAAUGGCACUUUUAUUAUAUAUUGUUUUGUCUGAACAUAUGUUCUUCCUGUGCGGUUGUUUAUUGUAUGUAAAUCCUGAGAGUUGGCCAGUCGUCGGCUUCUGCCCCCACGUAAAGAAUACGGGGGUAUUCGGGAUAUAUCUGAACACUCUUUAUCCCGUGGUUGGGUCCUUUUAAGGAGGUGUUUCUCACCACGAACUAGGCAAUCGGACUAUGGGGCUUUACUACUCUCACUUAGCCAUAGGAAUUCGAGUAUGGUCGGCGCAGCCCCUUGUAUUCGGAAGGCUGAACUAGGGGCUCUAUUGGUGCCUGAUCGGAAGACCGAUCCGUCGCAAUCUGCAUUUAUGAUGGCGUUAUGCAGAAUAAAUCUUUAAGGAUUUUACAACCUCUCGAACAGCCAACCAACUCUCGCUGCAUCAUGACAGUCAGUUUUCGGCUUUCUCUACUGAGGUGCUCAUCCGGCAGAACCGGGAUACAAUCGCAGUAGUUCUCCCAGCGCUACCUUAGCAGACGGAACGGAACAUAAGGUACCACAACAUUGGAGCCGGGCAAACCCAACCAAUGACCCAAGACAUGAUUUGGAGCUGAUGCAUAUAGUGUUAUAAGUUCGGGGUCCCGAGCGACCGAAAAGGUGGUCGGACUUUGUUGUCGUACUGUGAAGCCCCUGGCAUAACCAGGCGUAACACACAGCGUAGCUGCCGUUUUGUGGCAAAGAGGCGUCGAUGAUAAACGACGGCCGGUACAUGUGAUUUAAGUCUACGCAUUGUAGUAGGAUGAUAUUUCUAUGCAUAUGAGUGCGAUUUAUGAUUAUGAAAAAGAGAUGGUUUUUGGCGAAACCUGUGAUGGCCGGACUAGAGGGCGCUGUGAGUGGAUCGAAAGUGAAUCCGAACUGCCUUCUACCUGCAUGGUCCUGUCCUUGUGUGUCCGGGCCGAUUCCACGCUGCCAAUCAUGUUCUGCAUCAAAGUUAGUUUGUGAAGGCAAAUGCUUGGAGGCAGCCGAACGUCCUCUUGUGGUUGGUCUAAGGGUUCCUGAUCGGACCCUGGUGAACCCAGGCGCUAUACCGUGAAGCAGCGCAAACUCCUCAGUUGGUGUCCGGAUAGUUGGCUGUCAUAUCAAAUUUUUGACAGGCAUGCACGGUUUGCUACUCCAGCAGCUGUAUGAUUUCCGCUCUAAGGGCGGGGUUCAGCCUUGCACGUAGGCGUGAGCAUAUCACCGGUGUUGGCCUAAUGGUUUACCACGUGGAAUCUAGUCAACGUGGUUCAUCACGUUAGCGUAUCGUGGGUUACCGUAUGAGGGGUAUGCGCCGAUGGCGUGUCAUUUUUUGGUUAUCUGAAAACAACCAUUAGAACGGUGGGCCAAUGAACUUGGCCUUUGCACCUGACAUCUUGUAGAAGGUGUUAUUUGUGGAUUCAUACCCGCGGGGGCUUUAUGUGUUAUGGAGACCCCGGACUACUAGUUCUAGGGGUACAACAAUUGAAUUGCUGUGGUUUGUGUGAUAGGGGGUGAUCGGCCAUACUGUUGUGCUCUGGGGGGGUCUCUUGACUAGACACCUCCCUUCAUUGUUUUCGGCACACGGCCGGUCGCUUUGUUUUGAGGAUCCGGCAUUCUCUAUUGGUAUGCUUUGUCGUCCUUCUAGGAGUACCGUGAAUUUCACAUGGUUGAUCAAGUAUGUGGCUCGGGCCGGAUAGGCUUGAGCUGCUCUUCGUCCGUUGACCAGACUGGGAGUUGCUGGGCUUGACACCAGCUUCCUUGACUUGACGUUUAUGACCGCUGCGCCGAGGCUUUAGGAUGCCUCUUCGUGUAUCCUUCAUACUGUCUUGGACCGUAGUGAUAUGUGGACGUCGGGGUGUGUGCCUUGGGUUAUCCUGCUCGGGUUGAGGUGGCCAGUUGUGCCACGCGUGCCCUUUGUCAGGGCGGUCGAGUCCAUAUUUUCGGUGGCCAGGAUCUUGGUCCACUUAUCCACGAGCAAAUCUUGGUCAGCUUUAAGCUGUUCUUGCUUCCUUUGCAGGCUCUUUGCCGUGGCCAUGAGCCGUCGCUUGAAGCGAACUUGUUCCAUUGGAUCUUCAGGCACACCGAAUUCGUUAUUGCCGAGGCUUACCUCGUCUUCGGAGGGGGGUGUAUAGUUGUCCCUCUCCAAGUAUCCCAUUGUGGCCAGUCCGGCCAACUUGAAUGUAGGCUGAUCAGGGUUGUAUUCAUCUUUAGCGCCAUUUGUAUUGAGUUCGUCUCCUGGGCCGGUAUUGCUGUGGCGGGGCUUGGAGCGGCGCCGACAACACCCCUGCUUUGUUUUUCUCCCUGAGGGUUAUCCUCCGUUGCCUCAUCGCCAUUGGUUCCUUUCGGAGUGUCCACCAUAUAUAUAUCGUAUGAGGAGGUGGCUGUCCACCGCCCUGUGGGUGGCGGUUCGUGUACUCCUUCUACAUCAUCAUCCAUACCGUCGAUGUCUUUCGAGUCGAAGUCAAGCACGUUGGUUAAAUCAUCGACCAUGGCGAUGAAGUAGGUGGUGGGUGGGCAGCGAAUUCCUUCGUCGCCUGCUUCCCACUCAAGCCGGACAUAGUUCGGCCCCGAGCCUCCUGCCAAAGAGAGAGACUUUAAUGAGUUCAGCAUGUCGCCAAAGGGCGAGUGCUAGAAGAUAUCCGCAGCGGUAAACUCCUUUACCGGAGCCCAACCUGGCUCGACUGGCUCGAGGGUGUGCGGACCGGAACCAACAGCCGGAUACGAGUCCGGAGGUUCGGAGUUACAGGCUUCCUCAGAAGUGAGGCCUGUGUUCGGCUCUACCGCCGAUGAGUGUGCAGUCUGCGGGGCGGGGCCCAUCCCUCCGUCCUUAGGCGACGCAGCCUGCUCCGGAUUUAGGUCCGGGGCCAUUGCAGGGGUGAUAUUCCGAAUAUUGUCCGACAGCAGGUCUAUGCCGUGCUCAUCGCGACCGUCCGGUGUUCCUGGCACAGGUCUGAAUCCGUCGAAGAUCAAGUCUCCGCAAAUAUCCGCCGUGUAGUUCAAGUUUCCGAACCUGACCUGGUGGCCAGGGGCGUAGCUGUCGAUCUGCUCCAGAUGGCCAAGCGAAUUGGCCCACAGUGCGAAGCCGCCGAACACGAAGAUCUGUCCGGGGAGAAGAGUCUCGCCCUGCACCGUGUUGUUGACGAUUGAAGGUGCCAUCAAGCCCUGCAGCGACAACACAGAUGAACUCUCAAUGAAAGCACCAAUGUCGGUGUAAAAACCGGCGGAUCUCGGGUAGGGGGUCCCGAUAUGUGCGUCUUAGGCUGAUGGUAACAGGAAGCAAGGGACACAAUGUUUACCCAGGUUCGGGCCCUCUCGAUGGAGGUAAACCCUACUUCCUGCUUGAUUAAUAUUGAAGAUAUGAGUAGUACAAGAGUAGAUCUACCACGAGAUCGUAGAGGCUAAAUCCUAUAAGCUAGCCUAUGAUGGUAUGAUUGUAAUUGUGAUCGGCCUUUUAAGGACCAACCUCUCCGGUUUAUAUAGACACAGGAGAGGGCUAGGGUUUACAUGGGUCGGUUACAAGGAAGGAAAUAUAAUAUCCGAAUCACCAAGCUUCUCUUCCACACAAAAGAGAGUCCCAUCCAGACACGGGCCGGAGUCUUGAGUCUUGUAUCUUCACGCUCCAAUAGUCCGGACGAUGUAUAUAGUCUGGCUGUCCGGAUACCCCCCAAUCCAGGACACCCUCAGUAGCCCCUGAACCAUGCUUCAAUGAUGAUGAGUCCGGAGCGCAGUCUUGUCUUCGGCAUUGCAAGGUGGGUUCCUUCUCUGAAUACUCCAAAGUAAUUAUCGAACUCGUAAACUGUGUCUGGAUCUGUAAAAUGAUCUUCACAUGCCGCUGUAGAGAGAAAAAUAUUUCACAAAUGUACUCUUCUGACUACUUUUUAGACGUGACAUGUCAUUACGGUCGGUUCAUUAUUCGAACCGUUUUCCUUCAACCAGCCACAACGCAUAUUGCGAGGCGGUUUCCUUGACACAUCAUGUCAAAGUAGAGAUCGUGUCCCCUUAUUAAGGGAAUUCUUGUCAAUACGGGUAUGUGUAAUCCAACCGGACCACUAAUCGUGGUGAGUGGGAGGUGAGCGGGUUCCACCAGGCGAGUGGGGAGGUGCAAAAAGCUUUUACCAUCUCUUGUAAAGAGAUAAGGUCUCUUCCUAUUUACCCACGCCUUCUCCUUCCGCUAACCCAUUCCCCUCUGUUCGAGCCCUAACGCCCAAGCACUCUUCUUUUCCUAGGUUCGGGCCCUCUCGAUGGAGCUAAAACCCUACUUCCUGCUUGAUUAAUAUUGAAGAUAUGAGUAGUACAAGAGUAGAUCUACCAUGCGAUCCUAGAGGCUAAACCCUAGAAGCUAGCCUAUGAUGGUAUGAUUGUAAUUGUGAUCGGCCUUCUAAGGACCAACCUCUCCGGUUUAUAUAGACACCAGAGAGGGCUAGGGUUUACAUGGAGUCGGUUACAAGGAAGGAAAUAUAAUAUCCGGAAUGCCAAGCUUGUCUUCCACGCAAAGGAGAGUCCCAUCCGGACACGGGCCGGAGUCUUGAGUCGUGUAUCCUCACGCUCCAAUAGUUUGGAGGAUGUAUAUAGUCCGGCUGUCCGGAUACCCCCCAAUCCAGGAGUCCCUCACCGACCCGACUUCAACAAUGGUCUCAUGAAAAGUUAAGGUAACCUUUUGUCCAAACAUCAAGGGGAAAACAUGAGGAAUCACCCUCGGUGGAUUCCACUCGAUGUAAUCAUCAAGGUGAACCUAAGAGGAACCACCUCGAGGUUCACACUUGAGGGGUUGCACAACAGAGUCCUAUCGGAAGUGGUUAAGGAGGAAUCACCCUCGAUGACCACGACCGAAUAGCUAACCUACAGAGGUCUCAUCAGGAGUGAUGUAUGAGGUACCACCCUCAGCACUCGAUAGUAGCUCUGCAGAGUCGAACAACAAAAGGGGCGUGAUGUGAUGUGAGGUGUCGGGCUCUAGUCGUCAAUCACGUUGAUCGAGUCGUCGGUGAUGAAGCAGGGGCAACACGGACAAGGUGGGGGUCACUGAUGGAUCACUAGCCAACCUAUACUAAGCAGUUUAGGAUAAGCUGGUAAGGUACAACAACAGGUACAAAAGCAGGCUAUGUAUCAGAAUAGGAGCAAUCAAUUAGAGUAGCAAAAUCUAAUGCAAGCAUGAGAUAAUGGAAUGGGUGAUAUUGGGAUGAUCAAAGGGGGGCUUGCUUGGAAGCUGCGCUGAAAGGGAAGAAGUGUCGUCAUCGACGUAGUCGAUCACAGUGGCAUCAGCAGCGGUCUCGGGGUCUACCCAAGAGAAGAGGGGGAAGAAACAGUAAAUACACGCAAACAUAUGCACAACAUGAUUAUAAGGAGGGCUAGAGGUGUUCUACCGCAGAGCUAGGUGAUACUGGCAAGGGGGAAACAUCCGAGAAAGUUUUCCCGGUUCCGGAUGUUUGUUAGACAGAUGAACCGGAGGGGAAAGGUUGCAUGUUCGCUACGCUAGGGACGUGUGGCGGGCAAAUGGACCACGAAUCUGGAUUCAUCUCGCCGUUCUGAGCAACUUUCAUGUAUAAAACUUUUUCAUGUGAGCUACGGAUAAUCUCCUAUGAUUUUCUAAAGUUUUAAACAAUACUCUAGAAUUAUCUUUAAUAAAAAAAUAGAAUUAUGACGUCAGCCUGACGUCAUCAUGAUGUCAGCGGUCAACACAGACCGUUGACUGGAUAAACAGAGCAGUGGGACCCAUCUGUCAUUGACCAAACUAAACUAACAAUUUUAAUAAACUAAAUUAAGUAAUUAGGCUAAUUAAGUUAAGUUAAUUUAGCUAAUUAACUAUAUUAGUAAUUAAUUAACUAUUUUUAAUUCUCUUAUUUUCUGUUUAAACCAUUUCACAUGGGCGGGGCCCACUCAUCAGUGGCCCGAGGCCAUCCACAUCGGGGGGGGGGGGUUAAUGGGUGCGGGCGUCGAAGCUAGGCGCCGAACCCGGUCGGCGGCCAGCCAGGGCCACGGCCACAGGUGAUGNNNNNNNNNNNNNNNNNNNNNNNNNNNNNNNNNNNNNNNNNNNNNNNNNNNNNNNNNNNNNNNNNNNNNNNNNNNNNNNNNNNNNNNNNNNNNNNNNNNNNNNNNNNNNNNNNNNNNNNNNNNNNNNNNNNNNNNNNNNNNNNNNNNNNNNNNNNNNNNNNNNNNNNNNNNNNNNNNNNNNNNNNNNNNNNNNNNNNNNNNNNNNNNNNNNNNNNNNNNNNNNNNNNNNNNNNNACAGGUGAUGGCGACGAAGUGCGGUGUAGCAGGGGCGGAUGCUGGCGGGCCGGCGAGCGGAAGGGCGUCGACGGGAGCGGGAGGACUGCACGUGCGAUGGCGGCGCGGGUGGAGCAGAGCCGCGUCGCCGGGCUAAGCGGAGUAGAAGGGGUACGGCUGUGUGUGGGUGUGUGUGUGUGUCUGGGGGGUGGCGGGUGGCCUGCAGUACACUACGAGUUGUCAGCCACCAUGUGGGUUGGCCUUUUUGUUAGGCAGGUGCCACAUCAGAGUCGUGAAUUCCUUAUUUAAAACAUUGCACAACCCUUUCAUACAUACUCCCUUCGUUCCAAAUUACUCGUCGCAGAAAUGGAUGUACCUAGAACUAAAAUACAUCUAGAUACAUCCAUACCUGCCACAAGUAAUUCAGAACAGAAGGAGUACAUGUUUUGGCCACAUGAAUUCGAUAGUUUUCCUACACGACACUCGAUACUCGCGUGUGACGCUUUUUGUGGGCCCGUGAGGUCAUCGUCCAUCACUUUGACGAACAGCCGACAGUGAGGUUAAUUUGACCAGCAAGGUAGAAUCAUUUUGUUUGUGUUAUGGUGGUAUAUAGUACGCGUCGAAGAGGUGGGAGGGGACUAGCAUAUAUACUAUACGCACGCGUCUGUGAACAAGUACACCUCACUCAGUGUCGGGACAUUUCGGUUUCCGAGGCACGUGCCACAUCAAAGUUGUGAAAUUGGCUAUUCAAACAUAACACAACACCUCUUUGGGCCACAUGCAUGGAAGCAAUGGUUAUCCUAGCUAGGACACUCACGUGUCAUGCUUCCAUCUGUGGUCCCACAAGGCCAUCGUCGAUGCAUGCAUCACUUUGACCUACAUAUCGGGAGAGGUUAAUUAAUUUCACCAUCGAUGAUGAUUCUUUUUGGGUUGUAUUACGGUAGGAGCAUAUAGUAUGCGUCGAAGAGGGGGAAGGGGACCAUCAUAUGUAGUACACUUCACGAGCCUCGCUCUAUGUGGGUGGUUUACAAUUUUUGAGGCAUGUGGCACAUCAAAGUUGUGCAUUUUGGGUAUUCAACAUAUGUUUGUCCCACAUGCAAAGCGAUGGUGGUUGUCCUCCCACACCCACUUAAGCGGUUAUCAGCGAUAUCGAUGCUUUCCCUCUGUGGGCCCACUUGGUCCAUCACUACUUUUUGCCUGACAACAAGAGAGGUUAAUUUGACUUAGGAGGGGAUUAUUUUUUGCUUGUAAUAUGGUAUAUAUAUAGGUCAUGGUCUGGGAUGACAUGAUACAGUUUGAGCACACACACAUGCAUGGGUAUGCAUGAAUCCCUCCCAUUGAGUUGAAGUGGCCGGUACAAUGAUGCGUCAUGAACCGAUCUCGCUCUGUGUGGCGACUGUAUGAUUUUUGAUGCAUGCGCCACAUCACUGUUGUGAAAUGGUAUUCAAACAUGCAUGCACACAUCACCUCCAUACAUAUGCAUGUAGUGGUUGUCUUCGAACGGUACACUUCCUCGCGUGGUUAUCGGCGACAAGCCUAUAUAUUCAUCCUCCCGCGUGGACAUCCCUGAUGACCUUGAACGACAACAAGAUAGGUUACCAUGGCGGAUUCUUCCUUUGGUUCGUGUUAUCAUAGUAUAGGUCAUGGUGAGAUUCAGACCUAAUUAAGUUGAGUGCAUAUACUAUGCACACAUGCAUGCAUGAAUCCCCGUUGUCGGCUUGAAGUGUGGUGUAACAUACAUAUGCAUCGUCAACCUAACCCUCACUCAGUGUGGGGAUUUCUAGUUCGAAAGCAUGGUGCCACAUCAAAGUUGUUCCAUUCUACAUUCAAAAACACCGGGAUUUCUAGUUCGAAAUCAUGGUGCCACAUCAAAGUUGUUCCAUUGUGUAUUCAAAAACACACCUCUCCAUACAUAUGUUUAGGCCACACACAUACAGUGGUUGUCUUAGGGGACUAGCAACUUGCGUGAUUAUUGGCGAGCUAGCCCAUCUCCGGGGUUGCAUGGACGGCAAUCACUUUUACCAACAACAAGAGAGAGAUUGUACGACCAAGGUGGAUUAUUCUUGGUCCGUUUUACGAUCCAUCUUGGUGAGAUGCCUCUCUGGCCUGCCGACUGAAAGUGUGUGUGUGUNNNNNNNNNNNNNNNNNNNNNNNNNNNNNNNNNNNNNNNNNNNNNNNNNNNNNNNNNNNNNNNNNNNNNNNNNNNNNNNNNNNNNNNNNNNNNNNNNNNNNNNNNNNNNNNNNNNNNNNNNNNNNNNNNNNNNNNNNNNNNNNNNNNNNNNNNNNNNNNNNNNNNNNNNNNNNNNNNNNNNNNNNNNNNNNNNNNNNNNNNNNNNNNNNNNNNNNNNNNNNNNNNNGGGGGGGCUGCUACUUUGCACUUUACUAGGUGAACCUCGGUUGGGGGGGCAUGCAUUCAUAGCUUAGGAUUCCCUUCGUGCCGACACGAGGGGGGGUUGCAAGCUACUUCACACUUUGCUAGGUGAACUUCGGUUGGGGGAGCAUGCAUUCAUACCUUAGGAUUCCCUUCAUGCCAACACGAGAUGGGUGGGGCAAGCAAUACCAUGCACUUUGCGAGACAGGUGCCACGUCGAAGUUGCAUUUGGUAUUUUAACAUCAAACCACCCUUUAAUAAAUAAAUUUGGUCCACAUUCAAGUGUGUUCGUGUUCUGACCCUCUCCCGUUUCAUUUUUCACCAAAUUUAUGAACAUUAGACAAGUUGGAUGACGCAACCGACAUGGUUCACUCAAACUAACCAUGUGCCACGCCGGUGCCCCUGUCACGCACACAUCCGCACAGUACAUUGGACUCCACGAGGCCUCCCCUCUCAAAAAUAUCUACCCGCCUGCAGCUUUUUUUGUUUGAUAACACACAGUUAUUGUGUUUCGACUGUGUGUGAUGUUUCUUGUUCCCAAUCCCGCCUACAUCCCUUGAAAAUAUUUGCCUGCCUCGCGAUUGUUAUCUCCGCAACCUAUGCGAUGCACCAUCAUCAAAAUUUUCAAUAGUCCUGGCAUUUCACUCCUGCGUUUGACUCCCACAGAGUAAAAUUUUCAGUACCCGCUUCAUUUCCUCAAACACACCAGAGGGAGUCCUGGAUAAGGGGUACUCGAAAGGAUCUGCCGAUUUUAGACCCAAUUAUAGACGGAUUUCACCUCACAAGAGUCCUUAUGGACAGAGGCAGCAGCUUGAACCUGCUUUAUCAGGACACAGUGGGCAAAAUGGGCAUCAAUCCUUCAAGGAUUAAGCCCACCAAAACCACCUGUAAGGGUGUCAUUCCUGGAGUAGAGGCCCGCUGUACGGGCUCUAUAACAUUGGAAGUGGUCUUCGGAUCUCCAGAUAACUUCUGAAGCGAAGAGCUAAUCUUCGAUAUUGUCCCCUUUCGCAGUGGUUACCACGCACUGCUCGGACGAACCGCAUUCGCCAGAUUCAAUGCGGUACCACACUAUGCAUACCUCAAGCUCAAGAUGCCAGGCCCGCGCAGGGUCAUAACAGUCAACGGAAAUAUGGACCGCUCUCUACGUACAGAAGAGCACACUGCGGCCCUUGCGGCCGAAGUACAAUGCGACCUCCUCCGGCAAACCACCAGUCCGGCGACAACGAUCUCAAGCUCCGCCAAGCGAGGGCGGAACACCCCGCGACAGGAUCAGCAGGCACGCCAAGAGCACGACUAGCAGUCUGGCCUCCGCUCAAAUCCCAUCAAAGCUGCAUCCGUGUCACGCGUACACAAUUACGCACUCAAAAUACCAUGGGCACAGGCGGAGGCGUAGCAGUGGCUUAGUCAAUAGUACGGUAUCGUUUCGUAACCCUUUCUUUUACCUUUAAGGUUAUUGCUUUAGUGCAGCUUCUCCAGAAGAGCCAGAUUGUCGGACUUACAUAGGAGAGGAAACCCAGGAGGCAACAGGCUUUGGGCACAACAGGAAACACCCAGGUGGAAUCUAUUUACGAUUGUUGUUCCUGCUUUAUCUAUCUGUACGUAGCCUGCCCCUGGAUAGGAUAUGUCAAAUAAUCGAAUUUAUCUCUGCUUAAUGCAUUCAUUGUAAACAUACGCUUAAACGUAUUAUUUAUCAAUGGGAGACAAUAUACAACGUCAUCUUAUUAUUUUUAUUUGAGCAUUUUUUACAAAUGUCUAUUUGAUUUUGCAUCCGUACACUUUGGUACGCUUAGUUCGCCAGGGGCUUCUUAUGGCGCCCCACAAUACGGCAAGCCAAGUCUGAACACUUUCAACAGUGCGGCACCCCAAACUUAUAGCAUUAUAUGCAUCAGCUCCGAAUCAUGUCUUGGGUUACAGUUGGGAUAGCCUGGCUCCCUUGUUUUGGUGCCUUACGUUCCAUUAAUUCGGCUAAGGUAGCGCAGGGAGAACUACUGCGAUUGUGCCCUAGUUUUUCCGGACGAGCACCUCAGUAGAGAAAGCACAAAGCUGUCCGACAUGAUGUGGCGAGAGCUGGUCGCUGUUCGAGAGGUCUUAACAUCCUUAAAGAUUUUUCCGCUUUAGGCGAUAAUUCGGCUUUGUCCGAUAUAGGCGUGUAUAGCACCCCAAUUCGGCCUUCCGGAUUCUAGGGGCUUCACCGAAAUUUAAAAUUAUAGACUUCUAUGGCUAAGUGAAGGUUAUAAAGCCGUCUAGUCCAAUUGCCUUGUUCGCUGCACUGGACACCUCCUUAAGGGACCAAACAUUUGGAUAAAGAGUGUCCGAGUUUUCCACGAACACCCCAGUACUAGUUACACGGGGGCAGAAGCCAACGACUGGCCUACUUUCAGAAUUUGAUAAACAGCCGCACAGAAGGUAAUAUUUUAAAUAACGAAAGUGCUGCAUAGCGGAAGUAACUUCGUCUUUAAAUUACAAACAUGAUAGAGGUGAAUUCAUUCAAAAAUUAUGUCUUUAGUACAUUCAUCGGCCACGAGGCAAGCACCCUUCAUCACGCCAUCAUAAUACUUCUUGGGAACACGAUGCGGCUUGCCCUCCAGCGGCCCGUCGUUCACCAGCUUCUCCGCAUCCAGCUUGCCCCAAUGCACCUUUGCACAGGCAAGGGCCCGGCGGGCACCCUCAAUGCAAACCGAUCGCUUGAUAACUUCCAGUCGCGGACAGGCAUCCACCACCCGCUUGAUCAGGCCGAAGUAGCUGGUGGGCAGAAGCUCACCAGGCCAUAUCCAGACUAUGAGAUCCUUCAUAGCCACUUCGGCUGCCGUUUGGAGUUCAACCAACUGCUUCAGUUGGUCACUCAGAGGCGUUGAAUGUUCGGCCCCACUAUACUGAGACCAGAACAACUUCUCUGUUGAGCUCCCCUCCUGGGCACGGUAUAACUCUGCGGCAUCUGAGACGCUGCGUGGCAGAUCUGCGAAUGCCCCUGGAGAGCUCCGGACUCGGGUAAGUAAAAGAAACGCCUCCUCCACAUGCUUGCUUUGCAUAAAGAAUUUCUUACCCGCCGUUAUCUUUUUGGCCUCCUGGAUCUUCUGCUGUGCCCUCUGAGCUUCGGCCUUGGCGUCUUUUAUACUUGCAAGGGCCUUCGCAAGCUCAGCCUCUUUUGCUUUAAGCUCAUGCUCCGCGGACUCGAGCUUCUUGCCGAGCUCCUGGAGCUCUUCUUGUACCUCGCCCAUUCAGGCCUCUAGCUUUUUGCGCUCCUUGAGUUCCAAGGCCGCUUUGUGUUCGGCCUCGGAUAGCGCCUUCUUGAGAGACGCCACUUCGGUGGUGGCCUUUGUUACCAUAUCAUGAUGUUUUGUCAUUAGCAUAAUCAAAUUUUAUUUACUAUUCAUUAUAUGAGAGAGGCGAAUCAUUCACCUUUGCUCUCUUCGAGCUGCCUCCUCGUGAGGCCAAGCUCUCCCUGUGCCCGCUCUAAGUCCUGCGUUAGGCCGGCGAUUUCGGCCGUGCGAGCAACAGCGGCCAACAGCAUAGCCUGUUUAUUUACAUUCAAACUUAUUGUUAGAACCCUGCGGAUUAUAAUUGACCCUCCGUUUGGUUUUUCUUUCCGAACACCAAAUAGAGUAUCAGGGGCUACUACCUAUCGGGUGGUAAUUUCACACAUUUUUACUUACCUCAAAGCCCGUUAGGAGGCUGGUGCAGGCUUCGGUUAGUCCGCUCUUGGCGGACGAGACCUUCUGAAUCACCGCACUCAUAAGAGUACGGUGCUCUUCAUAUAAGGAAGCGCAGCGAAGCGCUUCCAGCAGACAAUCCGGUGCCUCGGGCGCAACGGAAGUCCUUGAUACAGACGGCCCUCCCUCCAUAACGAGGGGCUUCCCGCCUAAGUUCGGAACCACUGAAGGCUCUGGAAUAGUGUUUGGCUGAGAGCCCGGCUUACCAUGGCUCUCAUCAAUACGAUCCGCGGGGACCUUGAACCCCACGAGUCCGACGUCUGGGACGCUGCCUUGAGGCACCUCCAGGGCCACUUCCGCCAUCGCUGGGAGCCUUCGGGACAACACCUCCGUGUCGUCCGCAGGCCGAGGAGACGUGGCCGUCGGGAGUGAGUUCAUUGCUGACUCACUCAAGGACCCGUCCGAAGACGACACUUCUGGAUGGGCCCUGGCCGGACUGCAUACAAGUUCGGCGUUAUAACAAAACUUUGAAGCAAAAUUACGAUUGAGUGCGGAUACUUACAAUCACACUAGGGCCUUCUUCCUGGGCAGCCACCCUUCCUCGCUAUCGGCGGCGGUGGCGAAGUAGUCCGGAAGGGACACGUUUCCCUUUUUGCACGUCCUAGUCUCCCCCACUGGGGCGGCCUUCCUCUUCUUCCCUCCCCCGACACGGGAGGUGGUGUUUCUUCUUGUUCCUCCCCGCCUCCGUGGGAGGAAUCUGUCUCGUCGUCAUCAGACGAUAAGGGUAUGACGGCCUUGCGCCGGGGGCCUCUCCUGGUCCCCUGGUCCGCCGUCUCAGGCCCCCCAUCUUGUCCGGAUAGGGCAGCCUCUUCUUCUUCCCCUUCGGGGGAGGAGUCUUCCUCGUCCUCUUCGGAUGAGGCUUCUGGCGCAGCCUUACGCCAGAGACUCUUUCAGGUCCCCGGGGCCUUCUUGUUGGCCUUCUUCUCCGGCCCCUUAUAGGGCGCCAGGACCAGCAUCUUCGUCAGAAGAUCAUUGGCUGGGCUUUCUGGCAACGGAGCCGGACUGUCAAUCCACUCCACCGUCUCCACAUACUCUUGAACAGAUAUACACGAUCACUUAAGGAUUCACCAUGAGUACAUUGGGAAGAACCGAACCCGGUGGCAGCCUGAGAACUCACCUGGGUAGGGUGCCGUGCGGCGUGGAGCCCACGGUCCUCGGAUAUGAGAGGAGGUACUUCGGAGGCCUUGAACAACGCCUUCCACGGGUUCUUGUGCUUCAGGCGUAGAGCCUCUGGAGCGUCUGGCGUUCGGACGGGAUGAACUCCCACAAAUUGAAUGUCCUCCUUUGGCACGGCAGAAUCCAGCGAAUGAGCAUGACUUGGAUCACAUUGACAAGCUUGAUGUUCUUGCCCUUCAUGCCCUUGAUGUAGUUUAUGAGUCCGGUCAACUCUGUAGAUCCGUCCCAUAGCAGGCCCUUCUGUUCCCAGGAGGUGAGCCGCAUAGGGGUUCCAGAUCGGAACUUGGGGGCCGCCGCCCAAUUGGCAUUGCGUGGCUCGGUGAUGUAGAACCACCCCGAUUGCCACCCCUUCACGGUUUCUGCAAAGGAGCCGUCAGGCCAGGUGACGUUAGGCAUUUUGACCACCAUGGCUCCUCCGCACUCCGCUUGCUGGUCGCUCACGAUCUUCGGCUUCACGCAGAAGAUUUGCAGCCACAAGCCGAAAUGAGGCUUGAUGCGGAGGAAAGCCUCGCAUACGACGAUGAACGCCGAGAUGUUGAGGACGAAGUUCGGAGCUAGAUCAUGGAAGUCUAGCCUAUAGUAGAACAUGAGCCUGCGGACGAAGGGGUGGAGUGGAAACCUCAGUCCACGGACUAAGUGGGCAAGGAACACGACCCUCUCGUGGGGUCCUGGAGUUGGAAUUACCUGCCCCUUGUCUCCCACUUGCCUCCUGCUCCGGACAUGACUAACUAUGCGGAGAAGACCUGGACUAGGGCGCUGGAGCUCGAGGGGGCAAGAGUAUGCGAGGGAGGAAGAAGGCGUGGGUAAAAAUGAGGAACUCUUAUCCCUUUAAAGAGGCGACGGAAGUGGUGCGCCUCCCCACUAACCUGUUGAGAAUAGCUUACUUCCCAAGCGCCACGAUUGAUGGCAUGGGGGGAUUACCCGUACCCGUAUUGAUGAGAAUCCCGUGAUAAGGGGACAUGAUCUCUGCUUUGACAAGACGUGUCAAGGAAACCGCCUCGGAAUACACGCUCUGGCUGGUUGUGAAAAUAAAAACGGUUUGAUCUGAUCGUAAUGACAUGUCACGUCGUCUAAAAAUUGUCAGCUGAAGUAUCAUUCUCUCUACGGUGGUAUGUGAAGAUCAUUUUGCAUAUCUGGACACAGCCUACGUGUUCGAUAAUAACCUUGGAGUAUUCGGAGGAGGUAUCCGCCUUGCAAUGCCGAAGACAAGACUGUGCGCCGGACUCAUCGUCAUUUAAGCCUGGUUCAGGGGCUACUAAGGGAGUCCUGGAUAAGGGGGUAUCCGAACAGCCGGACUAUAUACAUCAUCCGGACUAUAGAAGCGUCAAGAUACAAGACUCAAGACUUCGGCUAGUGUCCGGAUGGGACUCUCCUUUGCGUGGAAGACAAGCUUGGCGAUCCGGAUAUUAUGUUUCCCUCCUUGUAACCGACUCCAUGUAAACCCUUGCUCUCCGGUGUCUAUAUAAACCAGAGAGCAUGGUCCUUAGAAGGCCGAUCACAAUUACAAUCAUACCAUCAUAGGCUAGCUCUUAGGAUUUAGCCUCUAUGAUCUCGUGGUAGAUCUACUCUUGUACUACUCAUAUCUUCAAUAUUAAUCAAGCGGGAAGUAGGUUUUUACCUCCAUCGAGAGGGCCCGAACCUGGGUACACAUUGUGUCCCUUGCUUCCUGUUACCAUCAGCCUAAGACGCACAGAUCGGGACCCCCUACCCGAGAUCCGCCGGUUUUGACACCGACAACACCCCGGCCCCCCUUCACACACACACACACACACACCAAAACCUCCUCAGGUGCACGCACACACACCCCCUCCCUCGCUCUAAACCCUAGAAAUGCCCUCCCGCUGCCACCGCAAGGCCUCCAUUGUCAACAUCUAUCGGUUUGCCCAUGCAUCUUACCCACCAAUCUCCAUACCCAGGCCGCCAUGAGUUUAUGAGAUGACACCUGCCAAACGCCCCCUUUCCCACAGAUCCCCAUCCCCAACCCCGUCACCACACCCUCGUGCUGCCAGAACUUCGCCGUCUUGCUGGGUCAAGAAGGCAUGGAUGUUAUAUCAUUCUGGACGUGGAGGUGUCGUACAUUCGGUACUUGAUCGGUUGGAUCGUGAAGAAGUUCGACUACAUCAACCGCGUUACUAAAUGCUUCUGCUUAUGGUCUACGAGGGUACGUAGACACAUUAUUCCCUCUCAUUGCUAUUCUUCUCCUUGAUAGAUCUUGCGUGUGCGUAGAUUUUUUUUUGUUUUCCAUGCAACGUUUCCCGUCACUUCAAAACCGAUGUCUGGCGUAAGAUUAACAAGGAAUUUAUGAAGGCCGAAGACUUGAAGGGUCCUCGGAUGCUCGACAUGUGAACUCUUUGAAUGUAGCUCGGCAAUCCUCAAGAUCGAAGAUGGGAAGAUUUUGUGAACCAGUUCUCAAGACCGAUGGCCAAAGACGUAGAACAGUUCGGAAGGACCGAGGAGCAUCCCCGACUUGAAGACUGGUUCAAGGGGGCUACUGACGGUGUCCUGUACUAGGGGGUACUCACCACGUCAUCUCCUGGCAAGGUGGAUCGGGCCAAGGGCCCCAUGGUGGUUCACUCAUGGGCCACUUCGGGCAGCCGAUCACAUACACGAGGAAUAUUCCACAAGACUUGGUGAUCAAGACAAGGACUCCUCUCCAUCGAUGUAUUUGACUAGAACUAUUGUUAUCCUAGGCCUAUGGUACAUUAUAUAAGCCGAGGCUAGGCUAGUAGAUAGGUCAUUAUGACAUCUCAUAUGCAUUAGAACAAUCUCGUAUUAGAUACAUGUACUCUAUACUACACCCCAUAUGAAUGCAACCAAAAGCAUUAAGUAGGGUAUUAUCUCUUCGAGAGAGCCCGAACCUGGGUAAUAUCAUGUGUCCAUGUUACGAUCGCUCCAAGAUGCCUAGCUUAGGACCCCUAAUACGAGAUAUGCCGGAUAUAUAACCGACAGCAGGCAUCACUUGGUCAUAUACGAAAUGAAGUGGCACUUCCUGCCCAUCCGGCCCUACCGUUCCAACUCAAAGCCAAAUGAUCUGUGUCGAGUUUGGUAAACCGGGUCUUUAGCAUUUCCCAUGCGUCUCGUGCUCCUUCUGGACAAGUAGAUAUCUUCCGUAGAGCAACGAUGAGCUCCUUUAAAUCGAUUGGCCAAUUCGGCCAUCCCUUCUGGAGGUGUCCCGGUCGGCCAUAAGGCCUUGACCAAGCUCUUCAUAGAUUUCCGUGCUCGUUCGUGCACAAUGGACAUCUCCUUUAACAAGUGCCCUCCAAACGAACUAGCCUCUUCUUCGGGACGCCCGGCCAGGAGACCUGCCAAGAGACGCGACAUGUUUCUUAUAUUCAUAUUAUAUGGAUACUCCACAUGAUCACAAGCAGAAAUAUCACUUACCGAACAUGCCAUCUUUCAAUCACUGGUUCUCCAUGAGGGCUUGUGCUAAUUGAGCUUUUAAUCUCUCACUUUCUUCGGCUUGCUACUGGUUUUCCGCUUUGAGUUUGUUCUUUUCCUCAUGAGCUUGGGUUUGUACCCGGUGGCCAGCUUCGUGCUAGGAUUCGGCGUACCUUUGAGACUCUGUGGCCGCGGCCAGGUCCUUUUGCAGUUGACUUAUGGACUCAGCUGCCACAAAGCCCCCUUUCCCUAAAAAAUGGUUCCCUAAACAAUUUAUGCAUGUUAAAAACAUUUUUCUCACUAUGUGCAUCCCUGGUGAACUUUUUCACCUCCAAUUCGGCCCUCGCGGCCGCCAGCUGUCUUCGGCUCAGCUAAAUAUCCUCAGCCAGUUUCUUGUUUUUUCCCUUGAGGCCUACAUCAUGUUGCAAAUAUACGCAUAUUAAGAUCCUUAACUUGGCCCUCCCACCAAAGUUAAGGCUCAGGGGCUACUGGGUUAGGUUUUAUGUUCGGUUGUCCAAAGCUAGUCGCGUACCUGCAUAUUGUUUGACAAAAGGUUGGCAACUCCCUCAAGUCCGGUUUGGGCAGCUCCAAGGUAUGCGUCCACCAAACUGAGUGCAUUAAACUCCUCUUCGGAAAACACAAAAUGGCACAGUGACUCCUUCCCCCGAGAUGGUGAUUCAUCACACUUUCAACUUUAGAGUUCGUAACCGAGACAUCCUCGGGAUCUUCAGAAGGCUGGUCCGUAGCAGGGGCCUCGGCGUUGACCCUAGACUUUGCCGAAAACCUUGGUUCGGGAUUAUUCCCUGGCACCUCUUAGGCAUCUUCAGAAAGCAAAGGCGGUACAUGUUUUCUGCAGGACUCGGCAAAAGUUAAGAGCAUUCGCAGCGGCCAUCGUAAUAACCGAACUAUAAACCCAACUGUAUUACCUUUUGGUUGGGAGCUCGGCCGAUGUGGCUCCCGUGACCGCGGUUCGCUUGGGAGCUCUACCACUGGUUGGCGCCGACGUGGUUGGCAUUGCUCUUGCUGGUGUUCGGCGCGUGGUUCGACGGCCCUUGGGAGUAGAAGUCAGCAUACUCGGAAUGACGUGAGGUGAAUUCCCUUUUGGCGAAGAGGCCUUCUUUCCACUUACAGCAGAAGAAGAAAGGGGUCAAGAGUGAUCGGCCAAAAGGCCACCUUGGAGCCGUCAAUACUCUCCUAGUGAAAGACCCCAUCCUCAAAAUCGAUUGAUGUCUCCGGGUCGUCAUGGAAUCCUCGGUCAUCAUCGCGGGAAUAGCUCUCUCGCUGUGGAGGGGGCAGCAGACCGUUUCGGUCAAGUGCCUCUAGUUCUGUUUGGAAAGAUAGCGAUCACCAAAUGCAGGUGUAACAUCCGGAGUAUGAAAAUGGAGUUUAACUUACCCAAUCGAUGGGAUUAUGUUGGGGAACAGAGCAUGCAAUUUCAAAAAUUCCUACUCUCACGCAAGAUCUAUCUAGGAGAUGCAUAGCAACGAGACGGGGAGAGUAUGUCCGUGAUCUCAUCCGGGGCUCCGAACAACCUUCGGUCACCAAAACACAUAACUCAUAUAAUACAUAUAGUCAUCAAACAUGAAGCGUGCGGACCCUAUGGGUUCGGGAACUAUGUAGACAUGACCGAGACACCUUUCCAUUCAAUAACCGAUAGCGGAACCUGGCUGCUCAUAUUGGUUCCCACAUAUUCUACGAAGAUCUUUAUUGGUCGAACCGCAAUGUCAACAUACGUUAUUCCCUUUGUCAUCGGUAUGUUACUUGCCGAAGAUUCGAUCGUCGGUAUCUCCAUACCUAGUUCAAUCUUGUUCCCGGCAAGUCUCUUUACUCAUUUCGUAAUGCAUCAUCCUGCAACUAACACAUUAGUCACAUUCCUUGCAAGGCUUCAUAUGAUGUGCAUUACCGAGAGGGCCCAGAGAUACCUCUCCGAUACUCAGAGUGACAAAUCCUAAUCUUGGUCUAUGCCAACCGAACAAACACCUUCGAAUAUACCUGUAGAGCAUCUUUAUAAUCACCCAGUUACAUUGUGACGUUUGAUAGCACACAAGGCAUUCCUCCAGUGUCAGGUAGUUGCAUAAUCUCAUAGUCGGAGGAAUAUAUAUAUGAGAUGAAGAGAGCAGUAGCAAUAAAACUGAACGAUCAUUAUGCUAAGCUAAUGGAUGGGUCUUUUCCAUCACAUCAUUCUCCUAAUGAUGUGAUCUCAUUCAUCAAAUGACAACACAUGUCCAUGGAUAGGAAACUUAACCAUCUUUGAUCAAUGACCUAUUCAAGUAGAGGCAUACUAGGGACACGGUGUUUUGUCUAUGUAUUCACACAUGUAUCAAGUUUCCGGUUAAUACAAUUCUAGCAUGAAUAAUGAACAUUUAUCAUGAUAUAAGGAAAUAUAAAAUAACAACUUUAUUAUUGCCUCUAGGGAAUAUUUCCUUCAGUCUCCCACUUGCACUAGAGUCAAUAAUCUAGUUCACAUCGCCAUGUGAUUUAACACCAAUAAUUCACAUCGCUAUGUGAUUAAUACCCAUAGUUCACAUCUCCAUGUGACCAACACCCAAUGGGUUUACUAGAGUCAAUAAUCUAGUUCACAUUGCCAUGUGAUUAACAACCAAAGAGUACUGAGGUGUGAGCAAGUUUUUCUAGUGAGAGAAGCUUAGUCAACGGGUCUAUCACAUACAGAUCCGUAUGUAUUUUGCAAAUUUCUACGUCUACAAUGCUCUGCAUAGUGCUACACUAGCUAAUUGGUACCACUUUCAAUAUGUAUCCAGACUGAUACUCAGAGUCAUCUAGAUUAGUGUUUAAAGCUUGCAUCAUUGUAACCCGUUAUGAUGAACCCUUUAUCACCUCCAUAAACGAGAAACAUUUUCUUUGUCCUCUAAGGAUAAUUUUGACCGUUGUCUAGUGAUCCACUAAUGGAUCACUAUCGUACCCCCUUGCCAAACUCGUGGUAAGUUACACAAUAGGUCUGGUACACAUCAUAUCAUACUUUAUAGAACCUAUGGCUGAGGCAUAGGGAAUGACUUUGAUUCUCUUUCUAUUUUCUGUUGUGGUUGGGUUUUGAGUCUUACUCAACUUUACACCUUGCAACACAAGCAAGAACUCCUUCUUUGACUGUUCCAUUUUGAAGUACUUCAAAAUCUUGUCAAGGUAUGUACUCAUUGAAAAAUCUUAUCAUGUGUCUUGAUCUAUCUCUAUAGAUCUUGAUGCCCAAUAUGUAAGCAGCUUUACCGAGGUCUUUCUUUGAAAAACUCCUUUCAAAUUCUCCUUUAUGAUUUCCAGAAAAUUCUACAUCAUUUACGAUCAACAAUAUGUCAUUCACAUAUACUUAUCAGAAAGGCUGUAGUGCUCCCACUCACUUUCUUGUAAAUACAGGGUUCACCGCAAGUCUGUAUAAAACUAUAUGUUUUGAUCAACUCACCAAAGCAUAUAUUCCAACUCUGAGAUGCUUGCACAAGUCCAUAGAUGGAUCGCUGGGGCUUGCACAUCUUGGUAGCGCCUUUAGGAGUGGCAAAACCUUCUGGUUGCAUCAUAUACAACUCCUUAAUAAAUCCAUUAAGGAAUGCAGUUUUUAUAUCCAUUUUCCAUAUUUCAUAAAAUGCGGCAAUUGCUAACAUGAUUAAGACAGACUUAAGCAUCAAUACGAAUGAGAAAAUCUCAUCGUAGUCAACAUCUUGAACUUGUCGCAAACCUUUUGCGACAAUUCGAGCUUUCUAGAUAGUAACACUACCAUCAAUGUCCGUCUUCCUCUUGAAGAUCCAUUUAUUUUCUAUGGCUCGCUGAUCAUCGAGCAAGUCAACCAAAGUCCACACUUUGUUCUCAUACAUGGAUCCUAUCUUAGAGUUCAUGGCCUCAAGCCAUUUGUCAAAAUCUGGGCUCAUCAAAGAUUCUUCAUAGUUCGUAGGUUCAUCAUGGUCAAGUAACAUGGCUUCCAGAACAAUAUUAUCAUACCACUCUGGUGCGGAUCAUGCUCUGGUUGACCUACGAGGUUCUAUAGGAACUUGAUGUGAAGUUUCAAGAUCAUUAUCGUUAGCUUCUUCUCCAGUUGGUGUAGACAUCACAGGAACGGAUUUCUCGGAUGAGCUACUUUAAAAUUUCAGAGUAGGUACAUUUCCCUCAUCAAGUUCUACUUUCCUCCCACUCACUUCUUUCGAGAGAAACUCCUUCUCUAGAAAGGUUCCGUUCUUAGAAACAAAAAUCUUGCCUUCGGACUUGUGGUAGAAGGUGUACCCAAUUGUUUCCUUAGGGUAUCCUAUGAAGAUGCACUUAUCCGAUUUGGGUUCGAGCUUAUCUAGCUGGAGCCUUUUGACAUAAGCAUUGCAUCCCCAAACUUUAAGAAAUGACAGCUUAGGUUUAUUGCCAAACCACAAUUCAUACCGUGUCAUCUCAAUGGAUUUUGACGGUGCCCUAUUUAAUGUGAAUGCAGUUGUCUGUAAUGCAUAACCCCAAAACAAUAGUGGUAAAUCGGUAAGAGACAUCAUAGAUCGCACCAUAUCUAAUAAAGUGUGGUUACGACGUUCGGACACACCAUUACACGGUGGUGUUCCAGGUAGCGUGAGCUGUGAAAUAAUUCCACAUUGUUUUAAAUGAAGGACCAAAUCGUAACUCAAAUAUUCACCUCCACGAUCACAUAGUAGAAACUUUAAUUUCUUGUUAUGAUGAUUCUCCUACUUCACUCUGAAAUUCUUUGAAGUUUUCAAAUGUUUCAGACUUGUGUUUUAUUAAGUAGAUAUAACCAUAUCUGCUCAAAUCAUCUGUGAUGGUCAGAAAACAAUAAUACCCGCCAUGAGCCUCAACACUCAUCGGACCGCAUACAUUGGUAUGUAUUAUUUCCAAUAAGUCAUUAGCUCGUUCCAUUGUUCCGGAGAACGGAGUUUUAGUCAUCUUUCCCAUGAGGCAUGGUUUGCAAGUAUCAAAUGACUCAUAAUUAAGUGAUUCCAAAAGACCAUUAGCAUGGAGUUUCUUCAUGCCCUUUACACCAAUAUGAAAAUGGCAGUGCCACAAGUAUGUUGCAUUAUCAUGAUCAACUUUGCGUCUUUUGGCAUCAAUAUUAUGAAUAUGUGUAUCACUACGGUCGAGAUUCAAUAAACCAUUACCAUUGGGUGUAUGACCAUAGAAGGUUUUAUUCAUGUAAACAGAAUAACAAUUAUUCUCUGUCUUGAAUGAAUAAUCGUAUUGCAAUAAACAUGAUCUAAUCAUAUUCAUGCUCAAUGCAAACACCAAAUAACAUUUAUUUAGGUUCAACACUAAUCCCGAAAGUAUAGUGAAUGUGGGAUGAUGAUCAUAUCAAUCUUGGAACCACUUCCAACACACAUCAUCACUUCACCCUCAACUAGUCUCUACUUAUUCUACAACUCCUUUUUCGAGUUACUAAUCUUAGCAACUGAACAAGUAUCAAAUACCCAAAGGUUACUACGAGCACUAGUAAGGUACAUAUCAAUAUCAUGUAUAUCAGCUAUACCUUUGUUAACUUUGCCAUCCUUCUUAUCCACAAAAUAUUUGGGGUACUUCCGCUUCUAGUGACCAUUUCCUUUGAAGUAGAAGCACUCAGUUUCAGGAUUAGGUCCAGCUUCGGGCAUCUUCAAGGGAGUGACAACUUGCUUGCCUUUCUUCUUGAAAUUCCCAUUCUUUCUCUUUGCUCUUUUCUUGAAACUAGAGGUCUUGAUUAAUCAUCAACACUUGAUGCUUUUUCUUGAUUUCUACCUUCGUCGAUUUCAGCAUCACGAAGAGCUUCGGAAUCACUCUCGUCAUCUCUUGCAUAUUAUAGUUCAUCACGAAGUUCCAGUAACUUGGUGAUGGUGAGUAGAGAACUUUGUCAAUCACUAUCUUAUCUGGAAGAUUAACUCCCACUAGAUUCAAGCGAUUGUAGUACCCAGACAUUCUGAGCACCUACUCACUAGCUGAGCUAUUAUCCUCCAUCUUUUAGGAAAAGUACUUGUCAGAGGUCUCAUACCUCUCGACACAGGCAUGAGUCUCAAAUACCAAUUUCAACUCGUGAAACAUCUCAUAUGCUCCAUGGUAUUUAAAGCAUUUUUAAGUCAUGGUUCUAAGCCGUAAAGCAUGGUGCACUAAACUAUCAAGUAGUCAUCAUAUUGAGCUAGACAAACAUUCAUAACGUCUGCAUUCGCUCCUGUAAUAGGUCUGUCACCUAGCAGUGCAUCUAGGACAUAAUUCUUCUGUGCAGCAAUGAGGAUAAACCUCAUAUCACAGACCGAGUCCGCAUCAUUGCUACUAUCAACUUUCAACUUAGUUUUCUCUAAGAACAUAUCAUAAAACAUAGGGGAGCUACAAGGCGAGCUAUUGAUCUACAACAUAAUUUGCAAAUACUAUCAGGACUAAGUUCAUGAUAAAUUAAAGUUAAAUUAAUCAUAUUACUUAAGAACUCCCACUUAGAUAGACGUCCCUCAAGUCAUCUAAAUGAUACGCGAUCCAAAUCAACUAAAUCAUGUCCCUUCAUCACAUGAGAUGGAGUAGUCAUCAAUGGUGAACAUCUCUAUGUUGAUCAUAUCCACUAUAUAAUUCACGUUCGACCUUUCGGUCUCGAGUGUUCCGAGGCCAUAUUUGUAUAUGCUAGGCUCGUCAAGUUUAACCCGAGUAUUCCGCAUGUGCAAAACUGGCUUGCAUCCGUUGUAUUUUAACAUAGAGCUUAUCACACCCGAUCAUCAUGUGGUGUCUCAGCACGAAGAACUUUCGCAACAGUGCAUACUCGGGGAGAACACUUAUACCUUGAAAUUUUAGUAAGGGAUCAUCUUGUAAUGCUACCGCCAUACUAAGCAAAAUAAGAUGCAUAAAAUAUAAACGUCACAUGCAAUCCAAAUAUGUGACAUGAUAUGGCCAUCACCAUCAGCAAAGCAAUGUCAUAAUAUCCAUCGUCACUGGCUUGACACCUUGAUCUCUAUUGUAGCGUCGUGGUCAUCUCACCAACCAUUGCUUCUACGACUGUCGCUACCGCUUAGUGAUAAAGUAAAGCAAUUACAUAGUGUUUGUAUUUCAUACAAUAAAGCGACAACAAUAUGGCUCCUACCAGUUGCCGAUAACUUCUACAAAACAUGAUCAUCUCAUACAACAUCUUUAUAUCACAUCAUAUCUUGACCACAUCACAUCACAGUAUGCCCUGCAAAACAAGUUAGACGUCCUCUACUUUGUUGUUGCAAGUUUUACGUGGCUGCUACGAGCUUCUAGCAUGAACUGUACAUACCUACUGCACAAAAACCACAACCGUGAUUUAUCAAAUUUGUUGUUUUAACCUCCACAAGGACCGGCCGCAGUCAAAUUCAAUUGAACUAAAGUUGGAGAAACAGACACCGGCCGGCCACCUUUAUGCAAAACUACUUGCAUGUAUGUUAGUGGAACCGGUCUCAUGAACAUGGUCAUGUAAGGUUGGUCCGGGCCACUUCAUCCAACAAUACCACCGAAUCAAAAUAAGGCAUUGGUGGUAAGUAGUGUGACAAUGACCGCCCACAACUCUUUGUGAUCUACUCGUGCAUAUCAUCUACGCAUAGACCUGGCUCGGAUGCCACUAUUGGGGAAUGUAGCAUGCAAUUUCAAAAAAUUCCUACGCUCACGCAAGAUCUAUCUAGGAGAUGCACAACAAUGAGAGGGGGAGAGUGUGUCCACAUACACUCGUAGAACGAAAGCGGAUGUGUUAAUUAACAUGGUUGAUGUAGUCGAACGUCUUCACAAAUCAACUGAUCAAGUACCGAAUGUAUGACACCUCCGAGUUCUGGACACGUUCAGCUCGAUGACGUCCCUCAAACUCUUGAUCCAGCAGAGUGUCGAUGGAGUAGACGAAUUUCGUCAGCACGAUGGUAUGGUGACAGUGAUGGUGAUGUGAUCCGUGCAGGGCUUCGCCUAAGCACUACGACAAUAUGACCGGAGGAGUAAAUGGUGGAGGGGGGCACCACACACGGCUAAGAAAACAACUAUUGUUCUUUUGGGUGCCCCCUGCCCCCGUAUAUAAAGGUGGGAGAGGGCUGGUCCAGGGCGCGCCCAAGUAGGGGGAGUCCAACUUGGACUCCUAGUCCUAUUCGGCCCCCUUUUUCCUUUUACCGGAGGGGGAAACGGGGAAGGAGAGGGAGUAGGAGAAGGAAAGGGGGCUGGCACCCCCUUCCCUAGUCCAAUUCGACCUCCUCCCUUGUGGCAGGCACCAGCCCCUUGUGGGCUGGUUAGCCUCCCUACUACGGCCCAUAUGGCCCAUAUCUUCCACCGGGGGGUUCCGGUAACCCCUCCGGUACUCCGGUUUGUACCCGAUACACUCUGAACCCUUCGGUGUCCGAAUACCACCUUCCAAUAUAUCAAUCUUUACCUCUCGACUAUUUCGAGACUCCUCGUCAUGUCCGUGAUCUGAUCCGAGAUUCUGAACAACCGUCGGUCACCAAAACACAUAACUCAUAUAAUAUAUAUCAUCAUUGAACGUUAAGAAUGCGGACUCUAUGGGUUCGAGAACUAUGUAGCCAUGACCGAUACACCUUUUUGGUCAAUAACCAAUAGGCGGAACCUGGAUGCUCAUAUUGUUUCCCACGUAUUCUACCAAGAUUUGUUAGGUCUCCAACAUAUCUACUUUUUCUCAUGCUUUUCCUCUUGUUUUACACUCUAACUUGCAUGAUUUGAAUGAAAGUAACCCCGGACUGACGCUAUUUUCAGUAGAACAACCAUGGUGUUGUUUUUGUGUAGAAAUAAAAGUUCUUGGAAUGGAACGAAACUUUGUGAGGAUUUUUUAUAUCAAAAAUAAGAAUUUUUGGAGCCAAGACCUGCAGGAGAGGGGCACCUAGGUGGGCACAACCCACCAGGGCGCCCACCUCUCCUGGCGCGCCCAGGUGGGUUGUACCCACCUGGUGGCCCCGCAGACGACCCCCCUGAUACUACAAAAUCACAUAUUUCCAGAAAAAAAUCUGGGGAAAUAAUUAUCGCGAUCCAUAAGACAGAGCCGCCGCCAAGCCAUGUUCUUCCUUGGGUGGGCAGAUCUGGAGUCCGUUUGGGGCUCUGGCGAGGGGGAUCUUCGUUCUUCAUCAUCACCAACCCAUCUCCAUCACCAAUUCCAUGAUGCUUCCCACAGGGAGUGAGUAAUUCCUUCGUAGGCUCGCUGCUCGGUGAGGAGUUGGAUGAGAUUCAUCAUGUAAUUGAGUUAGUUCUGUUAGUGCAUGAUCCCUAGUAUCCACUAUGUUCUUAGAUUGAUGUUGCUAUGAGUUUGCUAUGCUUAAUGCUUGUCACUUUGGGCCCGGGUGCCAUGACUUCAGAUCUGAACCGUUUAUGUUAUCAUUAUUAUUUCCGUGUUCUAGAUCCAAUGUUGCAAGUUAUAGUCACCUACUACGUGUUAUGAUCCGGCAAGCCCGGAGUGACAGAAAUCGGGACCACUUCCGAUGAUGACCGUAGUUUGAGGAGUUCAUGUAUUCACUAUGUAUUAAUGCUUUGUUCUGGCUCUCUAUUAAAAGGAGGCAUUAAUAUCCCUUAGUUUCCAAUAUGUACCCCGCUGCCACGGGAAGGUAGGACAAAAGAUGUCAUGGAAGUUCUUUUAAUAAAGCACGUAUGACUAUUUACGAAAUACAUGCCUACAUUAUAUCGAUGACUGGAGCUAGUGACGUAUCGCACCCUAGGUUAUAACUGUCACAUGAUGAAUAUCAUCCAAUAAGUCACUGAUCCAAUGCCUACGAAUUUAUCAUAUAUUGUUCCUGCUAAGUUACUACUGUUGCUACUACUAUCGUUACUACUACAAUAUCACUGCUAUCACUGUUACUGUUACUGUUGCUGCUGCUACUAUCAUCAAAACUAUCAUACUAGUAUGCUACUAAUAUAUUUUCUGUAGAUAAUUAGUCUCCAGGUGUGGUUGAAUUGACAACUCAGCUGCUAAUACAUUGAAAUAUUCUUUGGUUCCCCUUGUGUCGAAUCUGUAAAUUUGGGCUAAAUAAUUACCCUUGAAAACUAUUGCGAUCCCCUAUACUUGUGGGUUAUCCAGACCAUUUUCUGGGGCCAUUGCCGGGGAGCAUAGCUAUAUUUGUUGAGUCACUUGGGAUUAUUAUCAUAUUACCACUAUGAAGAAUAUGAAGGAUGCUAAGACUAAGAUAUUUCCCUCAAAGACGAGGGAAGGUAAGGAACUGUCAUCCAGUUCUACUUUAGAUUCACCUUCUGUUAUGAGUAAACUUGCAACACCACCACCACAUGCUAUUAAUUCUGAUAUGUCGCAAGUUAUUGAUAAUGCUACUUCUAUUAUGAAUUAUGCUUAUGAUGAUGCUAGUACCAUGCUCGAUAAUGAUGAUGUGCCACUUGGUGAAUUUCUUGAUGAACAAAUUGCUAGAGUAAUACAACAUGAUGUUGUUGAAUCUGAUGAUGAGCUUGAAACUGAAAUUCCUGAAACACUUGCUAGAGCUAGCCUUCCUAGAUAUGAAUUGCCUAAGGUACCGGAGGGCUAUGUUAUGAGUGAAGAGGCAACUAGAGAUAUUCUUGCUUGUAAGGAUAGAGAUGAUCUAGAGAUAUUAUUACACAAGUAUAAAGAAAAAUCUUUGAAUUCUAGAAUGAAAUGUGAUCCUGAGUUUGCUACUUCACCUAUUGUUAUUGCUGAUAAGGAUUAUGAAUUCUCUGUCGACCCAGAGUUAAUUACUUUGUUGAAUCUGAUCCUUUCCAUGGUUAUGAAACUGAAACUAUUGUGGCAUGUCUUACUAAGUUGAAUGACAUAGCCACUCUUUUUACUCAUGAUGAGAAAACUCGAUACUACUUUAUUCCCAAAUUAUUUCCUUUCUCAUUAAAGGGUGAUGCUAAAGCUUGGUACAAUACUCUUGCUCCUGGUUGUGUGCGUAGUCCCCAGCAUAUGAUCUACUACUUCUCCGAAAAAUAUUUCCCUUCUCAUAAGAAACAAGCUGCCUUGCAGGAAAUAUUUAACUUUGUGCAAAUUGAAGAAGAGAGUCUCCCACAAGCUUGGGGGAGGCUUCUCCAAUUGCUUAAUGCUUUGCCUAAUCAUCCUCUUAAGAACAAUGAAAUACUCUAUAAUGGACUAACCGAUGCUUCUAGGGACUUCCUAGAUAGUUGUGUUGGUUGUGUUUUCAGGGAACGAACUAUUGCUCAAGCUGAAGAAUUAUUGAAUAACAUAUUGAAAAAUUAUGAUGAUUGGAUUAUUCCCGAACCACCGCCUAAACCCACUCCGAAGAAGAGGGGUAUAUUAUAUCUCAGUCCUGAAGAUAUGCAAGAGGCAAAGAAAUCUAUGAAGGAAAAAGGUAUUAAAGAUGAGGAUGUUAAAAAUUUACCUCCUAUUGAAGAAAUACAUGGACUUGAUACAACACCACUGCCUAAGGUGGUAGAGGUAAAUUCUCUUAUGAAGUUCAAUGAAAAUGAUAAUCCUUACAAUAUGCAUCCUAGCCAAUGCCUUUAUGAGUUUGAUAAUUACAUUAGGAAGCAAGAUCACUUAAAUGUAAAUGUUAUGAAACAAUUGAAAUAUAAUUCUGAUAUGAUUGCUCGUUUGAGUGACUUGUUAUUUAGAAUCUCAAAUGAUGUUAGAGGUGUUGGAAAAGAUGCCUGUAUGGUUCAAACUCAAUUAGAACAAGUUGUUAAAUCUCAAUGAGAGUUACUUGAUGAAAUGAACGAUAAUAUAAGUGACUUUGCUGUUAGAGUUGCAACUAGAGGAGGUAAAAUGACUCAGGAACCACUUUAUCCUGAGGGACACCCAAGAAGAAUUGAACAAGAUUAGCAAAGAAAUAACACUAGUGCACCUAGUCCUACUAAAAGGAAAAAGAAAAAGAAAAAGAAAAAUGAUAGGACUUCGCAUGCUUCUAGUGAACCUGAAAUAGAUAAACCUCCUAUUAAUGAAAAUGAAACUUCUAUCUCUGUUGCUGAAACUCAAUCUGGUAAUGAACAUCCACCUAGUGAUAAUGAAAAAGACAAUGAUGAGGUUCAUGAAGACACUCAACCAAAUAAUGAUAAAGAACCAGAUAAUGAUGUUGAGAUAGAAUUACCUGUUGAUCUUGAUAAGCCACAUCCUAAGAAUAAAAUAUAUGAUAAAAGAGACUUUGUUGCUAGAAAACACGGUAAAGAAAGAGAACCGUGGGUUCAAAAACCUGUGCCUUUUCCACCCAAGUCAACUAAAAAGAAAGAUGAUGAAGAAUUUGAAUGCUUUGCUGAAAUGCUGAGGCCAGUCCUUUUGCGUACUCGCUUGACUGAUAUCCUUAAAACGCAUCCUUAUGCAAAGUAUAUGAAAGAUAUCAUCACAAAUAACAGAAAAAUACCAGAAGCUGAAAUCUCCAGUAUACUUGCUAAUUAUACUUUCAAAGAUGGAGUACCUAAAAAACUUGGAGAUCCGGGAAUACCAACUAUACCUUGCUCUAUCAAAAAGAAUUAUGUGAAAACUGCUUUGUGUGAUUUAGGAGCCGGUGUUAGUGUUAUGCCUUCUCUUUAUAUAAAAGACUUGACUUGAAUAAACUCACACCUACUAAAAUAUCUUUGCAAAUGGAUGAUAAAAUAACUGCCACACCUAUCAGUAUCUGUGAGGAUGUGCCCGUUGUUGUUGCUAAUGUUACUAUUUUGACUGACUUUGUUAUACUUGAGAUGCCCGAGGACGACAACAUGUCGAUUAUCCUUGGUAGACCCUUCUUGAAUACUGUAGGGGAUGUUAUUGAUUGCAAUAAAAGCACAGUCACUUUUCAUAUUAAUGGUAAUGAGCAUACGGUGCACUUUUCGAAGAAACAAUUCCAAGUUAAUGAUAUUAAUGUUAUUGAAAAAUCUCCGACAAUCACUAUUGGAGGUUUUCAAAUACCUCUACCUACUGUCAAAAAGAAAUAUGAAAUGCUUAUUUUUGGGGUAAUGCAUAUCCCCAUUGAGGUAACUUAGUGAUUUACCAAAGUUCUUCGGUUUCAUGCAAAUCGAAAGUGGUUGUUAGUAAGACCUGAUCAACCUUAUUAAUGAAUCAUUUUUGAACGGUAUGAAGUUGAUGCAUUUAGUAAGCACUGCCUUCUAUCCCUACUUUUUGUUCUCUAUUUUUAUUAGUUAAAUGAAAUAAAAUGCCAUGUUUUGUCUGUUUUCCGAAUUUCCCGUGCAAUAAAAAAUGACUCAAAAAUAAAAGUUCUCAAAAUGCCCUGAAAAUUGAACAUGAAUUUUUUCUGAAUAUUUCUGAAUUUCUAGUGCAAAUAAUACCAGAGGGAGGUCCACCAGGUGGGCCCAACCCACCUGGGCGCGCCCUGGUGAGUUGUUGUCCCCACGUGGGUGUGGCACCCCGAUCCGCAUGGAGCAGGGGGCCUUCGCACGUCAGCCCAGGAUAACACCUAACGCACGACAGGUCCAUGAUACAGCAUUCCAAGUACAAGAAUAUUCAUCAAAUACAUGUGUAUAUGAUUACAUCAGUGAUGAAUAUAAUCUUCUGGCAUAGCCCUAAGGCUAUUUACAUGGCAACGGAAGUCUAUUAUAAUGGCGGUGGAAGUCUUGGCAGCAUAACACUCUAGCUGGGCUCCACAACUCACAGGACUGGCAAGAUUACGACCUAGCAUGACGGACAAGUGAACGACCUACAAAACUGGCAUGACACGCUAGGUCAGUACAUUGAAUGUACUUGUAAGACAACCAAAUACAUAGCAUCCAAACAAGCAGAAGACAAAGCAGGAACCAAGUGUCUGCAACAAUCUAGCUCAUAUCAGAAACUAAGCAUGGCAUAAUAUCAACUGAAGACAUAAAACAAACUAGCAUCUUGGCAUCCACUAGCAUGGCAACAACAUGGCAAAGCAACUUUACUUCUAACAUGGCAACAGCAAAACAUAGCCUAUCAUCUUAAUCAUAUGCAUCAAAGCAUGGCAUGGCAUCAUGAAACUUUGCUGAAAAUAAACUGCCAAUCAUAUCAAAAUGCAGACAUAGCAUGUUAACUGUAUGCAACCGUGUCAUGUUCUACCAUGGUUCUUUAAAUGCAAACAUGUUACUCAUGCAAUGCCACCAAACUUGUGCACUGACUCCCUCGGACUCUCUUACCAAUAGUGAUCACCUCAUUUCCUGAUCACCAACAGAGACAAACUCGUGAUCCUUACAGCAAUCACAACCCGACCAACAAAUGGCCCGUGAUCCUUACGGCGACCACAACCUGACCAACAACUCGCCCGUGAUCCUUACGGCGAUCACAACCACAUUAAUCAACUUAAUUAUUUCAGGUUUAUCCUCCAUUUGGACCAAGACCCGUUAGUGUACCCUACUACGAACUUAUGCCCAUGACCGAGGACGCGACUAUCGAUAGUUUAAAUACACUCUGCAGAGGUAGCACACUGUACCCACACCACGGAACCCAUGGCCUCGUCAUCCCAUUCGGGUGGACCAACGGCAUUCCGACGAAACCGAUCUACUAUCAUGACACUCUCUCGGCCACUCCGAAUCACUCCCCACGGGGCUAGUCCUCAGUGGCCCCGUGUCUACCUCCAGACACCUCGACCACCAUCAUGGCCACGAUCCACACUGGGACCCGGUACCAAAACUCAACUUAACAACGGGCUCACAAGGCUUAUGUCCUCCUACCUGAUCAGGGUAGCACACACCCAUAACCUUCCCUAGUUGGAGGCACCGACAAGAGGCACGACAAUAGACCACAUUAAGGCCGUCCCAUACCGACAAAUGUGGUUGCACUGGAAAAAGUUAGAUUUGGUGGCACUAUUACUCGAUCCCAUUGAUGAAGCAGGAGGUUUGUUAUUAUUAAGUCAUUUUAAUUCCUUCUACAUCAUCAUGAACAUGAAUGCAACAAUGAGCAUACAUCAUAUAAAUGCUUUAACAAAACAUCAAGGUUCUCAAGUGAACACUUACAACAUAAAGAAUAUGACAAUACCAAGUACUAGCAUAUCCAUGGUGCAUUACCAUCAUCAUAGCAUUUUAUAACGAUGACAAGAAAAUAAAUUAGAGUAGUGACAUGGCAUCAUCAACAACAACAUUCUAACUAGCCUCGCAAAAGAUAUCAUGAACACACAAGCAUGCAUGGUAAGCAUAAUAAAAUAACUGCAGACGAAAACGAUAAAAAACAACUGCAACUACACACACACAAGGUGCAAGCAAAGUCAACAUGAAAGUUCGGGGCUUAUGAUAAGAGGUUGGCUUGCCUGGGGGUUGACAAAUACUCCGGGAAGAAGUGAGAAACGACCGCGGAAAAAAUUGCCGGAAACAGAUCUCUAUCAGAGGGGUUGUUCAUGGACAAGGGCAAAAUGGUCAUUUUUAAUAUGUCAAACCAUAGUGGAAAUGACGGGAACGGAUGGGCUCGACGAGUCGAAGACAUGGGCGUUGGAUUUACCUCAAUCGGAGUUACGGUUGUCGAGAUACGAAGGGUUGAAGUUCAGGGACCUAUGGGUGAAAAUAUUUCAGCAAACAGGCCCCUGGAGGAAAAAUCUGAACGCGCAUUUGCUGACAUACGUCUUCGAAUUAGGAAAACGGCUUCGCGGCGGGGCGCCUCCACUGAUCUGACGUGGCGACGACCGGGUCAAAGGGCAGAGGAGGGGCCGGCGUCAGGGUCGCUGCCAGGUGGGGUCGCGGGGCCCGCCUGGCCAGGUCAACGCCCACCUGGCCGGCUCCUUCUUCUCCGCUCGAUGCACGCCGGGCCGAGGGGAGACGCCCGCCCCGACAGCCCUCGCCAGCACGUCCGGCCACAGCAGGCAACGGGCGACCUACCCACGGGAUCAGGAGGAGGAGGCGUACCCGGGGUAGUCUCCGUUGCUGGCGACGAGCACUGGAAAGGGAACCGCAGGGGCCGCGGUGGAGAGGAGCUUCGGCCUCCAGUGAGGAUGGAGCUACGGUGGGGGAACGGAAAGGCUGAGGUCACGGGGAGACUCGCCGGAGUAGAGGGGAUGCGGUAGUGGAGGAGGAACGGCGAGGGGAUGCNNNNNNNNNNNNNNNNNNNNNNNNNNNNNNNNNNNNNNNNNNNNNNNNNNNNNNNNNNNNNNNNNNNNNNNNNNNNNNNNNNNNNNNNNNNNNNNNNNNNNNNNNNNNNNNNNNNNNNNNNNNNNNNNNNNNNNNNNNNNNNNNNNNNNNNNNNNNNNNNNNNNNNNNNNNNNNNNNNNNNNNNNNNNNNNNNNNNNNNNNNNNNNNNNNNNNNNNNNNNNNNNNNNNNNNNNNNNNNNNNNNNNNNNNNNNNNNNNNNNNNNNNNNNNNNNNNNNNNNNNNNNNNNNNNNNNNNNNNNNNNNNNNNNNNNNNNNNNNNNNNNNNNNNNNNNNNNNNNNNNNNNNNNNNNNNNNNNNNNNNNNNNNNNNNNNNNNNNNNNNNNNNNNNNNNNNNNNNNNNNNNNNNNNNNNNNNNNNNNNNNNNNNNNUGGGAACUGCGAGGGAGGCUCGAGGCUUGCUACUUAUAGCCGCGGGGGAGCUCGAGGGGGAGGGGCGAGGUGGCGCGCGGCGGGCGACGUGUCCAUGCGUCGGCGACGGUGCAGUCGUCGGCAGUCGUGGCCACGGCUCACGGGAGGCAGCGGGAAGGCGACGAGGAGGGUGUAGACGGGCAGCAGGGGCUGACGGGGCAACACAACACCAAGGAGGCUCAGGGAGGAAGAAGACAAAGGAGGAAGACGACGGGCUCAUGGGCACGCACUGCUCGACCCUUCGCACGGCUCGUCGGAGAAGAAAAUGGAGGGGGAGAGGGGUCCAGGCGAACGGAGACGACGAGGGGAAGCUAUAGGACAUUAAUGGAGGUUAGGGACGGUCGGAGCAGCGCUGCCGACGAGAACAGUGCUAGACCACCGUUUUGGAUAGCGUCCCUCGUCACCACUGGCAUAGCGCACUCUGGAGUUUUUACUGAGAUUAAAUCAUGUCUACCGCGUAGUGCUUUGAAGAUAGAUUGUUACUACGGUAAAAAUACAUGCAGAGACAAAAGGAGAUGAGUAAACCAAGCUCCACAAGUUUACUGCAGCAAACUUGGCCACAUGCUAGAGGUAAAACCAGGGAGGUUAAAUGGUAAACUUGAUGUAUGGUAGGCUUAGGGUAGCAAGGACUACGGUCCUGGGAGUUUUGAGGGCAUUAGGACAAAUAUUUAGCAUAGUUGCUUAACAACUGCAAAAAUAUGUCCAGAAACCAAAUGAUGAUGAAGCACUCACUAGGGGUGUUGGAUUGAGCUAUAACUUGGCAAAUCCUUAUGAUUACGUCAUAUGUUGAUGCUGCAAAAAGAUCAUACCAAAUGGGCUUGCCGAAUUGGUACUUGCUUCACAAGCAUCAGCUUUGACCAACAACUUGAGAAACUUCUAGGAAAACAUUGGCUAAAUUAAAUUAGCCAAACUCUUGGGUAGGUGGGUUAUAUGGAUACGAGAAGGCUUGGGAAUAUUUUUAGCCAUAAGGGAGCAAGUCAAAAUAUACUUGCUUCACAAACUGAAAAUUUGGACAGAAAACAAGAAUUGCUCCUAUGCUCACAUAGCUCAAUGAAAUGAUCUGGAUUUGGGUGAAGGCUAAUGAUUUAGGAUACUUGAGAAGAUUGAAAAGUUUCAUCCCAUUUGGAAACUCUAUGAAGGUACUUCCUUCACAAAAUUUUAAUCUGGUCAGAAACUUUGGAAACUUGCACAGGGAGCUAGGAUGAUUGGAAUGAUCUCAUCUUCGGUCUCCUUUUGUUAUUUAUCAAUAUUAAUCACCCUGCCAAAUUGCAACUCAAAUGGAAUUAGGAAUAAAGCACUUGAAGGCAGAAACUUGCAUUGGAUCAUGUGCCAAAUUUUUUAUCUGAGGAACAUGAGAUGAGGGUGGAACUAGUGAAUAUAUAACAAGGACAAGCUCCACAAUUUAUGUGAGAAUUUUCCCUGCUAUAAAAAUAAUAGUUCCUUUAGAAAAUGGCAGAAUUGGAAUAUUGGCAUAAAAUAAGAAAUGGGCAAUUUUCCAUAUUUAAUUAUGGCCAAUAUAAUUGCCAGAGUUUGGAUUAGGCAUAAUUAUCAACUCCACCAAUUCACAUGAAUUUAGGAGAUGGCUAGCUAUGCCUUUUGAUUUUAUUCCUCGGAAAGGCAAGAAAAGGAAUAAAUCAUAAUUCAAAAAUAUUGCGUGGGACUUGGCAAUAUUUUUGCAUCUCUGAGGUUGAAAAGGAUAGGAGGGUCUCUAGGAACAGAUGGGAUGAUCAAAAGAUCAAGGAAAAUGUUAGCCCCUUUGAAAUCACAAAGGGCAUAUUCAAAUCCCCAAAAAUUUGGAAUUAGGGUUUGAGAGGGUUUAAGAUGAUGCAACUGAGGUCUUGCCCACUGAAAAAGACAUGAGCAAGUUUUGAAAGAUUGGAAAUGACAAGAAUUCUCAGGGUCAUUAGCAAAACUUAGGAGAAAGAUUUUGAAAAUGAGUGCUAGGAAGGAAUAACAGCACAAAAAUUUAUAACCCAAUUUUGGGGCUAUUAGAAACCUUCCCCCCGUAAAAGAAUCUCGUCCUCCAGCGGGGGAAAAUCCACGGCUAGGGGCACUCCGGGCGAAAAUCUCUGGGUUAAAAUUUUAACCCUUUGGUCAAAUUCGAACGAGCUGGGGCACCGAUAAUUGGUACACCCAGGAAGAGAUAUGGGAAAACACGGUUAAAUCCACGGCUAGGGGCACUCGAGAUCAAACUCUCGAAAAAUCGGUAGAUGCACCCAGUUAACAGUGGACUCACCUGCUGACACGUGGGUACAGGGCCCACUGGCAGCCUCCUUCUUCUACCUCCGGCUAGCUGCUUCUCCCAUGCUGUUGCUUCGCGCGCGGCUUGGCGUAGCGUGCAUCUAGCUCCUAGGGCGAUGAGGACCCUAGUGCCGUAGUGCGUGGCGUGCACGGUACCAGUGCAGCGAGCACUCACGUCGCGUGCCAGCACCUUGUCGGCACUGCUCACGGAUUCACCUCCUGCACGCCGGUGAUCGGGCGACGAGCAAUUUUCCUGGACUCUGCUCACCGUACACCGGGUUUGGGCUAUAAAAACGGCAGCACGACUUGCUUCCAACACACAAACACAAUGCCACUCUACUACCUCUUUGGUUUGAGUGAGAUCGAGCCGAGCUCCUUCGGCGAGGAGGUGUUCUUGGUGGCGUUACGGUUGUUCCUCGCGGCACUGCAGGGCACGCUGGUCGGCUCCUCGAUCCUCCUGAUGAUUCGAGGUGUGGAAGAAGAUGGUGCACGGGGUGGUCCUCUGCCACGCUUGGUUCUCCGUCGCUUUGCGCCGGCGGAGUAAUCGCGUGCUGCGGUGGAGCUGUGGUGGUGAUGAGGGAGUCCUAAAUUAGGGGGUAUCCGGACAGCCGAACUAUAUACAUCGUCCGGACUAUUCAAGCGUGAAGAUACAAGACUCAAGUCUUUGGCCCGUGUCCGGAUGGGACUCUCCUUUGCGUGGAAGACAAGCUUGGCGAUUCGGAUAUUAUAUUUCCUUCCUUGUAACCGACUCCAUGUAAAGCCUAGCCCUCCCCGGUGUCUAUAUAAACCGGAGAGGAUAGUCCUUAGAAGGCCGAUCACAAUUACAAUCAUACCAUCAUAGGCUAACUUCUAGGGUUUAGCCUCUACGAUCUCCUGGUAGAUCUACUCUUGUACUACUCAUAUCUUCAAUAUCAAUCAAGCAGGAAGUAGGGUUUUACCUCCAUCGAGAGGGCCCGAACCUGGGUAAACAUUGUGUCCUUGCUUCCUGUUACACAUCAGCCUAAGACGCACAGAUCGGGACCCCCUACCCGAGAUCCACCGGUUUUGACACCGACAUUGGUGCUUUCAUUGAGAGUUCCUCUGUGUCGUCGCUUUGAGGCUUGAUGGCGUCUUCAACCGCCAACAACACCGUCCAGGGCAAGACUUUUCUCCCCAGACAGAUCUUUCUGUUCGACGGCUUCGCACUGCGGGCCAAUUCGCUUGGUCAUCUGGAGCAGAUCGACAGCUACGCCCCUGGCCACCAGGUCAGGUUCAGAAACGUGAACUAGACGGCGGAUAUUUGUGGAGACUUGAUCUUCGACGGAUUCGGGCCUGUGCCAGGAGCGCCGGAUAGUCACGACAAGCACGGCCUAGACCUGCUGUCGUACAAUGGUCGGGAUAUCAUCCCCGCAGUAGCCCCGGAUUUAAAUCCGGAGCAGGUCACGUUGCCUAAGGACGGAGGGGUGGACCCCGCCCAGCAGGCCGCAUACUCAUCGACGGUGGAUACGGGUCUCACCUUUGUUGAGGCCUGUAACCCCGGGCCACCAGACUCGUAUCCGAUUGUUGGUUCCGGUCCGCACACCCUCAAGCCAGCCAAGCCAGGUUGGGCUCCGGUAAUGGAGUUUAGCGCUGCGGACAUCUUUCAGCACUCACCCUUUGGCUACAUGCUGAACUCAUUAAAGUCUCUCUAUUUGUCAGGAGGCUCUAGGCCGAACUAUGUCCGGCUUGAGUGGGAAGCAGGCGACGAAGGAAUUCGCUGCCCAUCCACCACCCACUUCAUUACCACGGUCAAUGAUUUUACCGACGUGCUUGACUUCGACUCCGAAGACAUCGACGGUAUGGACGACGAUGCAGGAGACACACAAGAGCCACCGCCCACAGGGCAGUGGAUGGCCACCUCUUCAUACGAUAUAUAUAUGGUGGACACUCCGAAAGAAACAAAUGGCGAUGAGGCAAUGGAGGAUAACCCCUCCAAGAAGAAAGCAAAACAUGGGCAUCGCCGGCGCCGCUCCAAGCCCCGCCAUGGCAAUACCGGCACCGGAGACGAAAACAAUCCGGACGGUGCCGAAGAUGAAUACAACCCCGAUCAGCCCGCCUUUGAGCAGGCCGAACAGGAAGAUGGGCAGAACAGCCCAUAUGAACAGGCGAUGGACAGGUAUCCGCAGGAGGACAACUACAUGCCCCCCUCCGAAGACGAGAUUAGCCUCGGCAACGACGAGUUCGGCAUGCCUGAGGACCCCGCGGAGCAGUAGCACUUCAAGCGCCGGCUUAUUGCCACCGCGAGGAGCCUGAAGAAGAAGCAGCAGCAGCUUCAAGCUGAUCAAGACCUGCUCACAGACAGAUGGACAGAAGUCCUGGCAGCCGAGGAAUAUGGACUCAAGCGCCACAUGGCUGACCGGCCGCCUCGAGGUUGGGAUAAAACGGCAUAUCAGCCCGAAUACCAGCCUGCACCCCCACGCCAGUUUACUACGGCCCGGGGCAAUACUCAGGACCUGCGUGAUAGAUUGGAUAACACCGCAGGACAACCAAGAUCGAUCUAUGGAUCACGAGGGAGCGCCGCAGCACAUGGCUAUGACCGUCAUACCAGAUACACUAAUAGUAAAUCCGGCUGCCCCAAACACAACCAGCCUGAUUUGGCCGGACUGCGUCGUGACAUAGCCCGGCACAGAGGCGCUGCACACCCCCUCUGCUUCACUGACGAAGUGAUGGAUCAUGAAUUCCCAGAAGGGUUCAAACCCGUAAUCAUCAAAUCAUACGAUGGCACAACAGACCCCGCGGUAUGGAUUGAAGACUUCGUUCUCCACAUCCACAUGGCCCACGGAGAUGAUCUACAUGCCAUCAAGUAUCUUCCCCUUCAGCUCAAAGGACCCGCCAGGCACUAGCUUAACAGCCUGCCUGCACAUUCCAUUGGCAGUUGGGAAAACUUGGAAGACACAUUCCUUGACAACUUCCAAGGCACAUACAUGCGACCUCCGGACGCCGAUGACCUGAGCCACAUCACUCAAUAGCCCGGAGAAUCAGCCAGGAAAUUCUGGACUCGGUUCCUAACUAGAAAGAACCAAAUAGUGGACUGUCCGGACGCCGAAGCCCGGGCGGCCUUCAAGCACAAUAUCAGUGACGAGUGGCUCGCCCAACACCUCGGCCAGGAGAAACCCAAGUCCAUGGCAGCUCUCACAACACUAAUGACCCUCUUUUGCACGGGCGAGGACAGCUGGUUGGCUCGCAGUAGCACUACACCACAUUCUGGCACGUCAGAUGUCCAUGACAAUAAUGGCAAGCUAUGACGACAACACCGAAGACACGAUAGUCAAUGCCGGAUUCAGCGGAUCCAAACCCGGUCAGCGGAAGAAGCCAUUCAAAAGAAACAAUUAGGGACCGUCCAGUCUAGACCGUAUACUGGAGCGCUCGUGCCAAAUUCAUGGCACCCCGGACAAGCCAGCCAACCACACCAAUAGAGACUGCUAGGUAUUUAAACAGGCCGGCAAAAUAAACGUCGAAAACAAGGACAAGGGGCUGCACAGCGAUGACGACAAUGAGCCCCGGCGUCCGAACAUGGGGGGACAGAAGAAAUUCCCGCCCCCCCCCAGGUGAAAACAGUCAACAUGAUCUAUGCCACUCACAUCCCCAAGAGGGAACGGAAGAGAGCACUACGGGACGUCUACGCGAUGGAGCCAGUCGUCCCCAAAUGCAACCCAUGGUCAGCUUGUUCGAUCACCUUUGAUCGUAGGGAUCAUCCUACUAGUAUCCGUCACGGUGGCUCGGCCGCAUUGGUUCUAGACCCAAUCAUAGAGGGAUUCCACCUCACAAGAGUCCUUAUGGACGGAGGCAGCAGCCUGAACCUGCUUUAUCAGGACACAGUGCGCAAAAUGGGCAUCGACCCUUCAAGGACUAAGCCUACCAAAACCACCUUUAAAAGUAAUUCCUGGAGUAGAGGCCCACUGUACGGGCUCUAUAACAUUGGAAGUGGUCUUCGGAUCUCCGGAUAACUUCCGAAGAGAGGAGUUAAUCUUCGAUAUUGUCCCUUUCCGCAGUGGUUACCAUGCACUACUCGGACGAACCGCAUUCGCUAGAUUCAAUGUGGUACCACACUAUGCAUACCUCAAGCUCAAGAUGCCAGGCCCGCGCGGGGUCAUAACAGUCAACGGAAACAUGGAACACUCUCUUCGUACAGAAGAGCACACUGCAGCCCUCGCGGCAGAAGUACAAUGCGGCCUCCUCCGGCAAACCACCAAUUCGGCGACGACAACCUCAAGCACCGUCAAGCGAGUUAGGAACACCCCGCAACAGGAUCACCAGGCACGCCAAGAGCGUGACUAGCAGUCCGGCCUCCGCUCGAAUCCCAUCAAAGCAGCAUUCAUGCCACGCGUACACAAUUACGCACUCAAAAUACCAUGGUCACAGGCGGAGGCGAAGCAGUGGCUGAGUCAACAGCAUGGUAUCACCGCCUCAUACCUUCAUAACCUUUCCUUUUACCUUUCAGGACAUUGCUUUAGUGCAGCCUCUUUAUAAGAGCUGGAUCGACGGACUUCCAUAGGAGAUAAACCCAAGGAGGCAACUGGCUUUGCCCACAGAAGGAAAUACCCAGGUGGAAUCUAUUUACGAUCGUUAUACCUGCUUCAUCUAUCUGUACAUAGCCUGCCCCCGGAUAGGGUAUGUCAAAUAAUCCUAUUUAUCUCCGCUUAAUGCAUUCAUUGUAAACAUACGCUUAAAUGUAUUAUUCAUCAAUGGGAGAUCAUAUAUAGCGUCAUCUUAUUAUUCUUAUUUGAGCAUUUUUAUUACAAAUGUCUAUUUGAUAUUGCAUCCUUACACCUUGGUACGUUCAGUUUGCCAGGGGCUUCUUAUGGCGCCCCAUAAUACGGCAAGACAAGUCCGAACACUUUCAACAGUGCGGCACCCCGAACUUAUAGCAUUAUAUGCAUAUGCUCCGAAUCAUAUCUUGGGUGUACCGUUGGGAUAGCCCAGCUCCCUUGUUUUGGUGCCUUACGUUCCGUUAUAUCGGCUAAGGUAGCGCAGGGAGAACUACUGUGAUUGUGCCCCGGUUCUUCCGGACGAGCACCUAAGUAGAGAAAGCCGAAAACUGACUGGCAUGAUGUGGCGAGAGCUGGUCACUGUUCGAGAGGUCUUAAAAUCCUUAAAGAUUUUUCCUCUUUAGGCGAUAAUUCGGCUUUGUCCGAUCUAGGCGUAUAUAGCGCCCCAAUUCGGACUUCCGAAUUCUAGGGGCUUCAUCGAAAUUUAAAAUUGUAGACUUCUAUGGCUAAGUGAAGGUUAUAAAGCUGCAUAGUCUGAUUGCCUUGUUCGGUGCGCCGGACACCUCCUUAAGGGACCAAACAUUUGGAUAAAGAGUGUCCGCGUUUUCCACGAACACCCCGGUACUAGUUCCAUGGGGGCAGAAGCCGACGACUGGCCUACUUUCAGAAUUUUAUAAUCAGCCGCACAGAAGGUAAUAUUUUAAAUAACAAAAGUGCUACAUAGAGCAAGUAACUUCGUCCUUAAUUUACAAAUAUGACAGAAGUGAAUUCAUUCUAAAAUUAUGUCCUUGGUACAUUCAUCGGCCACGAGGCGAGCGCCCUUCAUAACGUCAUCAUAAUACUUCUCCGGAUAGCGAUGCGGCUUGCCCUCUGGCGGCCCGUCCUUCACCAGCUUCUCCGCGUCCAUUUUGCCACAAUGCACCUUCGCACGGGCAAAGGCCUGGCGGGCACCCUCAAUGCAAACGGAUCGCUUGAUGACGUCCAGUCACGAACAAGCAUUCACCAUCCGCUUGAUCAAGCCGAAGUAGCUGGUGGGAAGGGGCUCACCAGGCCACAUCCGGACUAUGAAAUCCUUCAUAGCCACUUCGGCCGCCCUGUGGAGUUUGACCAACUGCUUCAGUUGGUCACUCAGAGACGUUGGAUGUUCGGCCGCAGCAUACUGGGACCAGAACAGCUUCUCCGUUGAGCUCCCCUCUUGAGCACGGUAGAACUCUGCGGCAUAUGAUAUGCUACGUGGCAGAUCCGCAAAUGCCCCUGGAGAGCUCCGGACUCGGGUAAGUAAAAGAAACGCCUCCUCCACAUGUUUGCUUUGCAUAAAGAAUUUCUUACCCUCCGCUACCUUCUUGGCCUCCUGGAUUUCCUGCUGUGCCUUUUCGGCUUCGGCCUUGGCGUCUUUUAUACUUGCAAGGGCCUUUGCAAGCUCGGCCUCUUUCGCCUUAAGCUCACGCUCCACGGACUCGAACUUUUUGCCGAGCUCCUGGAGCUCUUGUUGUACCUCGCCCACUCGGGCAUCUUGCUUUUCGCGCUCAUUGCGCUGCAAGGCCGCCUUGUGUUCGUCCUCGGACAUCGCUUUCUUUAGAGACGCCACUUUGGUGGUGGCUUCUGUUAUCAAAUCAUGACACUCCGUCGUUAGAAUAACCAACUUUAUCUAUCCUUCAUUAUAUGAGAAAGGGGAAUCAUUCACCUUUGCUCUCUUCGAGCUGACUCCUCGUGAGGUCGAGCUCUCCCUGCGCCUGCUCCAGGUCUUGUUUUAGUCCGGCGAUCUCGGCCGUACGGACCGCGGCGGCAAGUAGCACAACCUGCUUAUUCACAUUCAAACUUAUUAUUAGACUCCUGCGGAUUAUAAUUGACCCUCCGUUUGGUUUUUCCUUCCAAACACCAAACAGAGUAUCAGGGGCUACUACCUAUCAGGUGGUAAUUUCACACAUUUUCUACUUACCUCAAAGCCUGUCAGGAGGCUGGUGCAGGCUUCGGUUAGUCCGCUCUUGGCGGACGAAACCUUCUGAAUCACCGCACUCAUAAGAGUACGGUGCUCUUCAUCUAUGGAAGCGCCACGAAGCGCUUCCAACAGACAAUCCGGCACCUCGGGCGCAACGGAAGUCCUCGACACAGACGGUCCUCCCUCCCUAACGAGGGGCUGCCCGCCUGAGUCCGGAACCAUUGAAGGCUCCGGAACAGUGUUCGGCUGAGAGUCCGGCUUACCGCGGCUCUCAUCGACACGAUCCGCAGGGAUCUUGAACCCCGCGUGUCUGACCUCUGGAGUGCCGCCUUGGGGCGCCUCCAGGGACACCUCCUCCCGCUCUGGGAGCCUUUGGGAUAACACCUCCGUGUCAUCUGCAGGCUGAGGAGUAGUGGCCGUCGGGAGCGAGUUCAUCGCCGAAUCACUCAAGGACCCAUCUGAAGACGAUGCUUCGGGAUGGACCCUGGCCGUACUACAUACAAGUUCGGCGUUAUAACAAAACUAUGAAGCAAAUUUAUGAUAGAGUGCGGAUACUAACGAUCGCACUGCGGGCUACUUCCCGGGCAGCCACCCCUCCUCGCUAUUGGUGGCGGUGGCAGAGUAGUCCGGAAGGGACGCCUUUCCCUUCUUGGACGUCCCAGCCUCCCCCUCCGGGGCGGCCUUUCUCUUUUUCUCCCCCCAAGAUGGGGAGGUGGAGUUUCUUCUUGUUUCCCCCCGCCUCCGCGGGAGGAAUCUGCCUCGUCAUCAUCCGACGACGAGGAUAUGACGGCCUUGCGCUGGGGGCCUAUCCUGGUCCCCUGGUCCGCCCUCUUAGGCCCCUCGUCCUUUCUGGAUGGGGCGGCCUCCUCUUCUUCUUCUUCUUCCCCAUCGGGGGAGGAGUGUGCCUCGUCGUCUUCGGACGAGGCUUGCGCAACCUUACGUCGGAGACCCUUUCGGAUCCCUGGGGCCUUCUUCUCCGGCCCCUUGCAGGGCGCCGGGACCAGCAUCUUCGUCAGGAGAGCAUUAGCUGGGCUUUCCGGCAGCGGAACCGGACAGUGAAUCUGCUCCGCUGUCUCCACAUAAUCCUGAAUAAAUAUACACAAUUACUUAAGGCUCCCCCAUGAAUAUACUGGGAAGAACCAAAUCCGGUGGCAGCCUAAGAACUCACCUGAUUAGGAGGCCGUGCGGCGUGGAGCCCACGGUCCUCGGAUAUGGGAGGAGGUACUUUGGAGGCCUUGAACAAUACCUUCCACGCGUUUUUGUGCUUCAUGCCAUAUAGCCUCUGAAGUGUCUGGUGUUCGGCCGGGACGAACUCCCAAAGAGUGAAUGCCCUCCUUUGGCACGGCAGAAUCCGACGAAUGAGCAUGACCUGGAUCACGUUGACAAGCUUGAUGUUCUUGUCCUUCAUGCCCUUGAUGCAGUUUAUGAGUCCGGUCAGCUCUAUAGAUUCGCCCCAGGACAGGCCCUUCUGUUCCUAGGAGGUGAGCCGCAUGGGGGUUCCGGAUUGGAACUCGGGGCCACCGCCCAAUUGGCGUUACGCGGCUCGGUGAUGUAGAACCACCCCGAUUGCCACCCCUUCACGGUUUCCGCAAAGGAUCCGUCAAGCCAGGUGACGUUGUGCAUCUUGCCCACCAUGGCUCCUCCGCACUCCGCUUGCUGGCCGCUCACGAUCUUCGGCUUCACGCAGAAGAUUUGCAGCCACAAGCCAAAAUGAGGCUUGAUGCGGAGGAAAGCCUCGCAUACGACGAUGAACGCCGAGAUGUUGAGGACAAAGUUCGGGGUUAGAUCAUGGAAAUCUAGCCCGUAGUAGAACAUGAGCCCGCGGACGAAGGGGUGGAGUGUAAACCCCAGUUCGCAGACGAAGUGGGCGAGAAACACGACCCUCUCGUGGGGUCCUGGAGUUGGAGUGUGAUAACCCACAAGUAUAGGGGAUCGCAACAGUUUUCGAGGGUAGAGUAUUCAACCCAAAUUUAUUGAUUCGACACAAGGGGAGCCAAAGAAUAUUCUCAAGUAUUAGCAGCUGAGUUGUCAAUUCAACCACACCUGGAAACUUAGUAUCUGAAGCAAAGUGUUUAGUAGCGAAGUAAUAUGAUAGUGGUGGUAAUGGUAACAAAAGUAAAGACAGCAAAAGUAAUCAAUGUAAUGUAGGCAUGUAUUCCGAAUAUAGUCAUACGUGCUUAUGGAAAAGAACUUGCAUGACAUCUUUUGUCCUACCCUCCCGUGGCAGCGGGGUCCUAUUGGAAACUAAGGAAUAUUAAAGCCUCCUUUUAAUAGAGAACCGGAACAAAGCAUUAGCACAUAGUGAAUACACGAACUCCUCAAACUAUGGUCAUCACCGGGAGUGGUUCUGAUUAUUGUCACUUCGGGGUUGCCGGAUCAUAACACAUAGUAGGUUACUAUAGACUUGCAAGAUAGGAUCAAGAACUCACAUAUAUUCAUGAAAACAUAAUAGGUUCAGAUCUGAAAUCAUGGCACUCGGGCCCUAGUGACAAGCAUUAAGCAUAGCAAAGUCAUAGCAACAUCAAUCUCAGAACAUAGUGGAUACUAGGGAUCAAACCCUAACAAAACUGACUCGAUUACAUGAUAAAUCUCAUCCAACCCAUCACCAUCCAGCAAGCCUAUGAUGGAAUUACUCACGCACGGCGGUGAGCAUCUUGAAAUUGGUGAUGGAGGAUGGUUGAUGAUGACGACGGCGACGAAUCCCCCUCUCCGGAGCCCCGAACGGACUCCAGAUCAGCCCUCCCGAGAGAGAUUAGGGCUUGGCGGCGGCUCUGUAUCGUAAAACGCGAUGAUUUCUUCUCUCUGGUUUUUUUCUCCCCGAAAGACAAUAUAUGGAGUUGGAGUUGGCGUCGGAGGGCCACCAGGGGGCCCACGAGGUAGGGGGCGCGCCCUAGGGGGGGCGCCUCCACCCUCAUGGACAGGGUGUGGGCCCCCUGGUAUUCAUCUUUGGCGAGGAUUUUUUAUUAUUUAUUAUAAGAUAUUCCAUGGAGUUUCAGGUCAUUCCGAGAACUUUUAUUUUGUGCACAUAAAACCACAUCAUGGCAAUUCUGCUGAAAACAGCGUCAGUCCGGGUUAGUUCCAUUCAAAUCAUACAAGUUAGAGUCCAAAACAAGGGCAAAAGUGUUUGGAAAAGUAGAUACGAUGGAGACAUAUCAACUCCCCCAAGCUUAAACCCUUGCUUGUCCUCAAGCAAUUCAGUUGACAAACUUAAAGAGAAAAAGAAAAACUUUUACAAACUCUGUUUGCUCUUGUUGUUGUAACAUGAAAAGCCAGCAUUCAAGUUUCAGCAAAUAUUAUGACUAACCAUACUAACAAUAACACAAAGGUCUCACAAUUACUCAUAUCAAUAGCAUAAUAAGCUAGCGAGCUAUAAUAACAAAACUCGGAUGACAACACUUUCUCAAAAUAAUCAUAACAUGAUAUAACAAAAUGGUAUCUCGCUAGCCCUUUCUGAGACCGCAAAACAUAAAUGCAGAGCACCUUUGAAGAUCAAGGACUGACUAAACAUUGUAAUUCAUGGUAAAAGAGAUCCAAUCAAGUCAUACCCGAUGUAAACCAAUAUAAUGAAUGCAAACGACAGUGUGCUCUCCAGCGGGUGCUUUUUAAUAAGAAGGAUGAUGACUCAACAUAAAAGUAAAUAGAUAGGCCCUUCGCAGAGGGAAGCAGGGAUUUGUAGAGGUGCCAGAGCUCGAUUUUAAAAUGGAGAUUGAGUAACAUUUUGAGCGGCAUACUUUUGUUGUCAACGCAACAACUAUGAGAUGACGAUAUCUUCCAUGCUAAACAAAUUAUAGGCGGUUCCCAAACAGAAUGGUAAAGUUUAUACUCCCCCUCCUCCACAGGCAUCAAUCCAUGGCUUGCUCGAAACAACGAGUGCCUCCAACAUUCAACGGGUCCCAGGUGGAGUUUUGUUUGCAAUUAUUUUGAUUUAGUUUGCAUUAAGCAUGGGACUGGGCAUCCCGGUGACCAGCUAUUUUCUCGUGAAUGAGGAGCGGAGUCCACUCCUCUUGAGAAUAACCGCCUAACAUGGAAGAUAAGGGAAGCCCUAGUUGAAACAUGAGCUGCUUGAGCAUACAAAACAGAAUUUCAUUUUUUGGAGUUUUGCACAUACAAAUUUACUUCGAACGGCAGGUAAAUACCGCAUAUAGGUAGGUAUAGUGGACUCAUAUGGAACAACUUUGGGGUUUAAGGAGUUUGGAUGCACAAGCAGUACUCCCGCUUAGUACAGGUGAAGGCUAGCAAAAGACUGGGAAGCGACCAACUGGGAGAGCGACAAUAGUCAUAAACAUGCAUUAAAAUUAAUAUACACCGAAUACAAGCAUGAAUGGGAUAUAAUCUACCAUGAACAUAAAUAUCAUGAAGGCUAUGUUGAUUUGAUUCAACUACAUGCGUGAACAUGUGCCAAGUCUAGUCACUCAAUUCAUUUAAAGGUGGAUACCAUCCCAUCAUACCACAUCGUAAUCAUUCUAAUAGCAUCUUGGCACGCAAGGUAAACCAUUAUAACUCAUAGCUAAUCAAGCAUGGCACAAGUAACUAUAAUCUCUAAUUGUCAUUGCAAAUAUGUUUACUUCAUAAUAGCUAACUCAGGAACGAUGAAUCAUCAUAUUUACAAAAACAAGAGAGGUCGAGUUCAUACCAGCUUUUCUCAUCCCAAUAAGUCCAUCAUAUAUCAUCAUUAUUGCCUUUCACUUGCACGACCGAACGAUGUGAAUAAUAAUAAGAGUGCACGUGCAUUGGACUAAGCUGGAAUCUGCAAGCAUUCAAUAAACAGAAGAAGACAAGUAUUAUGAGCUCUAAAUUAGAUAAACAAUCAUGCAUAUAAGAGCCACUUCAACAUUUUAAUCAUGGUCUUCUCCUACUGACCCCUUAAGAAAAGAAAAGAAAUAAAACUAUUUACACGGGAAAGCUCCAAACAAGCAAAAGAAGAACGGGAAAUAUUUUUGGGUUUUCUUUUUAGUCACUACAGCAAAGAAAUAAACUACUACUAAUUUUUUUUCUUAAGGUUUAUUAAACACACAAGAAGAAAGCAGGAAAAAGAAAAUAAACAAGUAUGGAUAUUACAGUGAAAGAGUAUGAACACCGACAUCUAGCAAUGAGUGUGUGUGAACAUGAAUGUAAUGUCGGUGGGAAAUGCGUACUCCCCCAAGCUUAGGCUUUUGGCCUAAGUUGGUCUAUUGCCAGAGAUGGCCUGGCGGAUACCCGUAGGUGCAGCUGGGGUCAUACUGCGAUGCAGCGGCUAUCGCCUCCUCAGCUGCAGCGUAGCGUCGAGCUGCCUCAGCUCUUCUCUCGUACUCAUGUGCUUGCUCUCUGGUAAUAAUGUAUCUUCCUUUUGUCUGAGAAUCAAAGAAAGCAGGAGUAGGAAGAGUAAUAUGGACUACAUGACGUUUGUUAAAGAUUAGUCGAUACUGGAGAGGUGGUUCAGUCCUCUCCACAAACUGGUGGGAAACCAUAGAAUCAAAAUCCAAAUAAGUAGAGAGUAACUCCAUAUCACCCUCUCGAAUGUCUAUCUCAAGAAAAUUAGCUAAGCGGGUUGCAUAAAUCCCUCCAUAUGAUAAGAUUGGUGCAACCUGCGAGCUACAAUGGCUUCCAUAUGAUAAGAUUGGUCCCCUAACACAGCACUUCUGAGAAUACUGAGAUCAGGUGCACACAUGUGACAUGCUUCAUCUUUGGCAUUAAUGCUUCUACCUAUAAAGAGAGCAAAAUAAUGUAUAGCAGGGAAGUGAAUGCUCCCUAAAGUGGCUUGCGUUAUAUCUCUAGAUUCCCCCAUAGUUAUUCUAGCAAGAAAGUCUCUAUAUUCAUAUUUAGGGGGAUCCCUGACACUACCCCAAGAUGGAAGUUUGCAAGCAAAAGUGAAAUCCUCUAAGUCCAUGGUAUAAGAUUUGUCAUAAAGGUCAAACAUGACUGGAGGAGAAUUACACGAAGAUGAAAACUCAAACCUCCUCACAAAUGAAGUUGUGAGAUCAUGAUACUGGGGGCAUUUGUCAGCUUCAAAGUCCUCAAGACCGGCGGUACGCAAAUAUGUGCUAAACUCUUCUUUGAUUCCCACUUGAUUCACAGGGCCUCACAGGAGCAUCUCUUGGUGGUUCCUCGUCAGCAUCACGCAUUGCAAGACUGGGACCUUGUUUCCUUGAAGAUCCACCUUGGAACAUCCUCCUAAACAUAAUGUCUCCUCUGGAAAAUUUCUGAAGUUUUUAGUAACUUCAAAUAAAAGUGAACCAACUUCAAUAAAAUUGAUAGCAACUACUCCCAGGAGUGCCUAGAACCUAUAUCAAGCAUCAAAACUACUUGGAACCAUAUAAAUUUGACAUGCAAGCUCAAGAACAUGGUCACCUAUGAAGCAUGAAUUUGCAAUGAAUAAAGCACUAGAACAAAAACUAAUUGGACCAACUAGUCGUCAACCCGUGCGUCCGCGCGGGCUAGCUUCCUUUUACAUCUAUGAAAAAAAUUAAAGGAAUAUUUGUUAGCUCCUUGGACAGGAAAUUAUUCGGUAUCAAACCCUACUACAUAAAAGGUAAAUAAAUUUCCAUGCAUAUAAUUUAUUUUAUUUAUAGUGCGAGUCGAAACCUGCUAUGCUUGCCAAAUCCACUCUCAAACUUACUAGCGUUAUAUACCAUGACAUUGUGCGGAAACCUUGAAUGACUCCUAUAAGAUCGGUUAAAACAACAAAGAAAAUGCAUUUGAAGAUUCAGAAAGAAUGUAUAAAAGUUUAAAAAAUGGUUUAUAUUAAAAAUGUGUGCAUUACUUUUAUCUACAGUGUGAUCUUUUAGAUCCACACGUUACUAAUUUUUGUCUAACCCAGAAAUAAAAAUAUUUUUAAAUAUAUAGUGGACUUUAAUAUUUACAAUAUAUAAGGUUUAUUUUACAUGACACUUCAUAGGAGCAUUUCUAAGAAAUCCUGUCCGGUACAAACUAUUCAUUGUUUUUAUACGCUUCAAAGAAACAUAGUUUUAUGUGAUUUUAAUAAUACAUGUGUUUUCUCUUCCAUGUGUUUUUGACUACUACAAAUAAAAGAGGUCCUAUAUUUUGUUAACAUAGUAAGGUUACUUGAAUGGAGACUUCAAGCUAGGUAUAAUCGCCUAAAAAUGAGCUCCAUGGCUCAGCCUAACCAUUGAAUUAUGACAUGUCCAAAUAACUGAUAUGAUGUGCAUUAACUGGGUGACGUGUAGAGAACCAAAAAUCAGUAAAUAUAUAAGACAUGGAUUAGAAGGAAGAAAAAGAAUAAGGUCUAAUUACACAAUAUUUAUGAAUUGCGACAAUGUAAAACAAUAAUAACAGAAACAGAUGCAUUGUUACGGAACAUAUCUGAGUGAACAUAACAAUCAAGCACAACUUGUAGGUAGCGAGUGUGCAUAUGCAAAACAAUAAUGGAAAGGCAAUGACAUUCGACAUCCAAACAAACAUUGCAAUCAAUAAAUAAUUUUAUGCACAUUUGUAAUGAAAGUGCAUGCCGGUGAGAUCUGGACAAAAGGAUCACACGCAUUGCAUAGGGAGCAUUGGACCUGACAUGAAGUAGAAACCAACAUUUAGUUAAGCCUUAUAUGAACAUAAUUCCAUCGGUUACUUCCAGAAAUUUCAAUGGUGACCUAACCACCUUUGUUAUUAGUGUCAAUCAAAUCAUUAUAAAUUGUGAUUUCCUCCCAAUAUUUAUUAUUUUCACGCUACCAUAGCUGAUGAGCCUAAAACUAAAUCACGUCAUAAAGUCCAAAUCCCUGGCAAGUUCGAAUGAAUGCCCUUCAGUAUACUCGUUAAGGGAUAAACAUACACAAAUUUCCAUAAGAUUUACCCGCAAAAAAAAUUCCUUCAGAUUUUACAGGCAGCAAUGCAAAACAACAUUAUAUCACUCAAUACGUCAAAGAAGUAUAAGUGUACCUAUAAGCUCAAAUAUAAAUAUGGAAGCAGUUGUUAGUGUAUGAAAAUUUAUACUUUGCUUAUGUUGCCUGGAAGGUAUAUACCAUGCACAAUCUAGGAUGUAUAUGUGCAGAUGUAGCAAGUGGCAGCCACAGAAUAGCAAUUUGAAUAAUAAUUGGAAACUUAUUAUUACGCUUUUAUAAAUCUAUUCAUGGCUUUAAAUUCUUUAGUGAGGCAGUUGAUUACAUCGAUUAUCUUGGAAAGAAAGAACGAAGAGCAAUAACCUUUUUUAUAGAAUAAUAAAAGAGAAAGAGUUUAUACACGGACAAUAAUACCAACUUUAACAAAAAAACAGUCCCAGUUCAACACGUAUUGUCAUUAUAGAAAUAUACAUAACCAUGAGGCAUGCAUACGUGACCCCCAGUUUCAUCCAUAAAUGAACUACAGUCGAUAAAAUCAUACAUAUAUUGAGGAGUACCUGCCGCAGUGUCAAAUUUCAAUCACAUCAGUGGACACAGAUGGUGUCAUACAUGGACAAACAGGGUUGUUGUUGCUAUGUUUCUCUUGCAAUAGGGGAUCAACCAUAGCAGCACUGUAGCAGUCACAAAAAAUAAUUCUGGUCUCCGGCAGCCAAUUGUAUUACCGACCAUGCGGUCACCUUGUGCUCCCAGCCUCGAUCAUUUUUCCAGAUCAAUGAAGGAAACAGAUCAAAUGCAAAAGAAUAUAACAUAAUGUAAUUGUACGUAGGUCCGACGACUGGGAACUGGCUGCCAUAUUACUUGAUGGAAUUAAGCGCUGGACGCUCUGGCAGGACGCCAGGACCCUGGCAGCCCUACGGCUGAUGGAAGCACCUAAAUCUGCUCGCUCGUGUGCACAAUCUGCAAUGGAGUUAGUCACGUACACAAAGAUAGGGGAUAGAAAAACAUGAAGUAGCCGAGGUCAGGGAGGAGAACUGAAGGACAAACGCAUCGGUGUCGGUUCCAUGCAGGGUUGUGGCGCCAUGAUGACUUGAGCUACUUGAUUCUUUCCUGAUGAGAUCCUUCAUGAAGCUAGCAGAUAGUUUGUCCAGCGAGAUGUCUAUGUAGAAGGCUGCUCGAUUGACCGAAACAUGGCAACACGCAUGUACACAACCUCCAUGAUCGAACAUGCACAGCUAGAAAUACAAUGGAGGUCAAUCCAACCGAAUAUCAUAUUAGAUCAUGGGAGAGAAAAGAGGUGGGGGGAUGAUGUGCUACCUGUGGUGGCAGCAUCUCAAGCGAAGAGCGAAUUUGAUAGAACUCGAGAGGACAGCCCCGGUCUGCCAUGGCGUUGGAGGGAGGAUAUCUAUUACUUUGGUAACAUUAGGCCCAUCAGCUCCUUACUGCAGGUACAUAUCGAGCCCUCACCUCAUCUCCAUCUGCUUAGCCAUACUGCUCCUUGCAGGAACUCAGACAAGAAGACCGUUGGGAGGGGCAUCAUCUGGACUAAGAAGCGGCAGCGCUGAUGGGUCAUAACGUGGAGAGGAAACGUCGCAAUAGUUGCCGGAUGAGGAGAUGGCUGGAACGGAAUUGAUGGAAAAGUGGAGGAGAAGGCUUGAGCGAUACAGUAUCCAUUGGAUUCUAAUGGACUAUCACGAUGGCAAAAGUAGAGGCGCCAUAGGGAGAUGGUCUUCCUAUUCCUACACAUUUGGGAGAGAUAAGAGACGGCCACCAAUAAAUUAUAGGGAUCUUGGAGAGUAGAUAGAGAUUGUUUUCUUUUAACCAAAGAGAUAGAGAAUGCUUUAAUUAGAGAAGGAAUAAACGACGGAGAAAUAUUAGGGGUCGUAUCUUUGUUGGUUCUAUGUUACAGCCGAUUGUGGGCCUUCAAGUUUUUGAUUGAGCCAGGAAUUAUAUCGGUGGGUCUACACCGUAAUAACUCGGCCCCAUCAGAUUAAUGGCUCCUAAUUACUGAUUAACGUGAUAAUUUCUUGGGAGUCUGUAAUUAGUAUAGGUAUAGAUGGAGGAGUCACAUACCAAGGAACAAUCUCCCCGAGCAGUUUUGCGAGAAGUGCUUUGAGCAAGGAGAUCGAAAAUCACAGCAACAGGGGAUGGAACUCGUGUUUGUUUUGGUUUUUCGUGUUUGUGUGAGGCAGAGGAAGAAGAUGGGUGCAGGGAUAAGUGGAGGAGGGCCACCAUGGGCCCACGAAGCAGGGGGGCGCGCCCAGGGGGUAGGGCGCGCCCUCCACCCUUGUGGCCAGGUGGCAGCUCCCCCCGCGGUGAUUUUUGCACGGUAAAUUCUCAAAUAUUCUUGAAAAAAUCAUAUUAAAUUGGCAUGGCAUUCUGAGGACUUUUAUUUUCGGGAUAUUUUUAUAUUGAGCGGAUAAGUCAGGAGACAGACAGAAAAAUACUAUUUUACUUUAUUUCUACUAAAUAACAGAAAAUAUAAAGAGGAUAGAGAAGGUUGUGCUUCUAGUUUCAUCCAUCUCAUGUUCAUCAAAAAGAAUCCACUAAAAAGGUUGAUCAAGUCUUGUUAACAAACUCAUUCCGCUCAACAUGGAAGCGGAGAAAUUUCGAAUAACACGAAGUUACCUCAACGGGGAUAUGAAAAUCCCCAACAAUAAGAAUAUCAUACUUUUUCUUGACAGUAGGGAGAGGAAAUUCAAAACCUCCAAAUAUAAUUGAUGGAAUCUUCCCAAUAGAGUUGAUACUAUAAACUUGAGGUUGUUUCCUCGGAAAGUGUACCGUGUGCUCAUUACCAUUAACAUGAAAAGUGACAUUGCCUUUGUUGCAAUCAAUAACAGCCCCUGCAGUAUUAAGAAAAGGCCUUCCAAGAAUAAUAGACAUACUAUCAUCCUCGGGAAUAUCAAGAAUAACAAAGUCCAUUAAAAUAGUGACGUUUGCAACCACAACAGGCACAUCCUCACAAAUACCGACAGUUAUAGCAGUUGAUUUAUCAGUCAUUUGCAAAGAUAUUUCAGUAGGUGUCAACUUAUUGAAGUCAAGUCUACGAUAUAAAGAGAGAGGCAUAACACUAACACCGGCUCCAAGAUCACAUAAAGCAGUUUUAACAUAAUUUCUCUUAAUGGAGCAUGGUAUAGUAGGUACUCCGAGAUCUCCAAGUUUCUUUGAUAUUCCACCCUUCAAAGUAUAAUUACCAAGCAUGGUGGAAAUUUCAGCUUCAGGUAUCUUUCUUUUAUUAGUAAUAAUAUCCUUCAUAUACUUAGCAUAAGGAUUUGUUUUGAGCACAUCAGUUAAUCGCAUACGCAAAAAGAUGGGAUCUAAUCAUUUCAGCAAAGCGCUCAAAAUCCUCAUCAUCCUUUUUCUUGGAUGGUUUCGGAGGAAAAGGCAUGGGUUUCUGAACCCAUGGUUCCCUUUCUUUAACAUGUUUCCUAGCAACGAAGUCUCUUUUAUCAUAACGUUGAUUCUUUGAUUGUGGGUUAUCAAGACCAACAACAGAUUCAACUUCUACAUCAUUAUCAUUACUAGGUUCAGCAUUAUCAUGAACAUCAUCAUUAACAUUUUCACUAGGUUCAUGUUCAUUACCAGAUUGUGUUUCAGCAUCACACAUGGAAAUAUCAUUUGGAUUCUCAGGUGGUUCAGCAAUAGGUUCACUAGAAGUUUGCAAAGUCCUAUCAUUUUUCUUUUUCUUCUUUCUUGAAGAACUAGGUACAUCAAUAUCAUUUCUCUGAGAAUCUUGCUCGAUUCUCUUAGGGUGGCCUUCAGGAUACAAAGGUUUCUGAGUCAUUCUACCAGUUCUAGUAGCCACUCUAACAGCAUAAUCAUUUUUCUUACUAUUCAUUUCAUCAAGCACUUCUUUUUGAGCUUUAAGUAAUUUUUCUACUUGAGUGGUAACCAUAGAAGCAUGUUUGCUAACAAGUUUAAGUUCACCUCUAAUAUCAGCCAUAUAAUCACCCAAGCGUUUAAUCAUAUAAGGAUCUUGUUUUAAUUGUCUACCACAAUAGGCAUUAAAGUCAUCUUUCUUAAACAUAAAGUUAUCAAACUCAUCCAAGCACUGACUAGCAAUUUUAGUAGGAGGGACUUCAGCUUUAUCAUAUCUAUAGAGAGAAUUUACCUUUACUACCUGUGUCGGGAUAUUGGGAUCAAGAGGUUCUUCAGUGAAUAAAGUAUUGAGAUAAUAUGCUUCUUCAACAGGCGGUAAAUUAAGACCGUGUAUUUCUUCAAUAGGAGGUAAAUUCUUAACAUCUUCGGCUUUAAUACCUUUUUCUUUCAUAGAUUUCUUUGCUUCUUGCAUAUCUUCGGGGCUGAGAAAUAGAACACCUCUCUUCUUCGGAGUUGGUUUAGGAAUAUGCUCAAUAAUUGGCUCUGGAGCUGGCUUAGGAGGUGCCCAAUUAUUUUCAUUUGUCAACAUAUUAUUCAAUAGAAUUGUAGCUUCAUCCGGUGUUCUUUCCCUGAAAAGAGAGCCAGCACAACUAUCCAGGUAAUCUCUGGAAGCAUCGGUAAGUCCAUUAUAAAAGAUAUCAAGUAUUUCAGGUUUCUUAAGAGGAUGAUCAGGCAAGGCAUUAAGUAACUUGAGAAGCCUCCCCCAAGCUUGUGGGAGACUCUCUUCUUCCAUUUUCACGAAGUUGUAUAUUUUCCUCAAAGUAGCUUGUUUCUUAUGAGCAGGGAAAUAUUUAGCAGAAAAGUAAUAGAUCAUAUCCUGGGGACUAUGCACACAACCAAGAUCAAGAGAAUUAAACCAUAUCUUAGCAUCACCCUUUAAUGAGAACGGAAAUAUUUUGAGUAAAUAAAGGUAGCGCGAUCUCUCAUUAUUAGUAAACAGGGCGGCUAUAUCAUUUAACUUAGUAAGAUGUGCCACAACGGUUUCAGAUUCAUAGCCAUAGAAAGGAUUAGAUUCAACCAAAGUGAUUAUAUCUGGAUCAACAGAAAAUUCAUAAUAAUCCUUAUCAGGAACACAAAUAGGUGAAGUAGCAAAAGCAGGGUCGGGUCUCAUUAUAUCUCUAAAAGAUUCUUUACUCCAUUUAACUAGCAACCUCUUAAGUUCGUAUCUAUCCUGGCAAGCAAAAAUAGCUGCAGAAGAUUCCACAUCAAAAAGAUAACCCUCAGGAAUAGCAGGCAUAUUUUCAUCAUCACUCUCAUCAUUGUAUUCAGAUUUAAUAAUUUCUCUUUCUUUAGACCUAGAAAUUUGCUCAUAUAGAAAUCCAACAAGGGGCAUAGUAGUAUCAAGCAUAGGAGUAGUUUCAUCAUAAGUAUCAUGCAGAGCAGAAGUGGCAUCAUCAAUAACAUGCGACAUAUCAGAGUUCGUACAAGAAGCAGGUUUAGGUGUCGCUAGCUUACUCAUAAUAGAAGGUGAAUCAAGUGCACAGCUAGAUGGCAGUUCCUUACCUCCCCUCGUAGUUGAGGGAUAAAUUGUUGUCUUAGCGUCUUUCAAGUUCUUCAUAGUGUCCAGCAGAUAUAAAUCCCAAGUGACUCAAAGAAUAGAGCUAUGCUCCCCGGCAACGAUGCCAGAAAAAGGUCUUGAUAACCCACAAGUAUAGGGGAUCACAACAGUUUUCGAGGGUAGAGUAUUCAACCAAAAUUUAUUGAUUCGACACAAGGGGAGCCAAAGAAUAUUCUCAAGUAUUAGCAGCUGAGUUGUCAAUUCAACAGAACCUGGAAAAUUAGUAUCUGCAGCAAAGUGUUUAGUAGCAAAGUAAUAUGAUAGUGGUGGUAACGAUAACAAAAGUAAAGACAGCAAAAGUAAUGUUUUUGGUAUUUUUGUAGUGAUUGUAACUGUAGAAACGGAAAAGUAAAUAAGCGAGAACCGGUAUAUGGAAAACUCGUAGGCACCGGAUCAGUAAUGGAUAAUUGUGUCGGAUGUGGUUCGUCAUGUAAUAGUCAUAACAUAGGGUGACACAGAACUAGCUCUAGUUCAUCCAUGUACUGUAGGCAUGUAUUCCGAAUAUAGUCAUACGUGCUUAUGGCAAAGAACUUGCAUGACAUCUUUUAUCCUACCCUCCCGUGGCAGCGGGGUCCUAUUGGAAACUAUGGGAUAUUAAGGCCUCCUUUCAAUAGAGAACUGGAACAAAGCAUUAGUACAUAGUGAAUACACGAACUCCUCAAACUAUGGUCAUCAUCGGGAGUGGUUGCAAUUAUUGUCACUUCGGGGUUGCCGGAUCAUAACACAUAGUAGGUGACUAUCGACUUGCAAGAUAGGAUCAAGAACUCACAUAUAUUCAUGAAAACAUAAUAGGUUCAGAUCUGAAAUCAUGGAACUCGGGCCCUAGUGACAAGCAUUAAGCAUAGCAAAGUCAUAGCAACAUCAAUCUCAGAACAUAGUGGAUACUAGGGAUCAAACCCUAACAAAACUGACUUGAUUACAUGACAAAUAUCAUCCAACCCAUCACCAUCCAGCAAGCCUACGAUGGAAUUACUCACGCACGGCGGUGAGCAUCAUGAAAUUGGUGAUGGAGGAUGGUUGAUGAUGACGACGGCGACGAAUCCCCCUCUCCGGAGCCCCGAACGGACUCCAGAUCAGCCCUCCCGAGAGAGAUUAGGGCUUGGCGGUGGCUCCAUUUCGUAAAACGCGAUGAUUUCUUCUCUCUAGUUUUUUCUCCCCGAAAGCGAAUAUAUGGAGUUGGAGUUGGCGUCGGAGGGCCACCAGGGGGCCCACGGGGUAGGGGGCGCGCCCUAGGGGGGGCGCCCCCCACCCUCAUGGACAGGGUGUGGGCCCCCUGGUCUUCAUCUUUGGCGAGGAUUUUUUAUUAUUUAUUCUAAGAUAUUCUGUGGAGUUUCAGGUCAUUCGAAGAACUUUUAUUUUCUGCACAUAAAACAACAUCAUGGCAAUUCUGCUGAAAAUAGCGUCAGUUCGGGUUAGUUCCAUUCAAAUCAUACAAGUUAGAGUCCAAAACAAGGGCAAAAGUGUUUGGAAAAGUAGAUAUGAUGGAGACGUAUCAGAGUGACCUGCCCGUCGUCCGGUAGCUGGUGCGCUAUGUCUGCGGCCAAGUAUCCGGCCGCCCGAAGAUUCGCGAUGUGCUUCUCCUUUACGGUGGAAGCCACCCACUUGCCUCCUGCUCUAGACAAGUUUGGCUGUCUGGAGAAGACUUGGACUAGGGCGCUGGAGUUCGAGGGGGCAAGAGUGGGCAAAGGAGGAAGAAGGCGUGGGUAAAAAUGGGGAACUGUUAUCACUUUAUAGAGGCGAAGGAAGCGGUGCGCCUCCCCACUAGCCCGUUGAGAAUCGCUUACUUCCCAAGCGCCACGAUUGAUGGCACGGUGGGAUUAGCCAUACCCGUAUUGAUGAGAAUCCCGUGAUAAGGGGACACGAUCUCUGCUUUGACAAGACAUGUCAAGGAAACCGCCUCGUAAUACGUGCUCUGGUUGGUUGUGGAAAAACAGUUCGAAUAAUGACCUGACCGUAAUGGCAUAAUCACGUCGUCUAAAAAGUUGUCAGCUGAAGUAUCAUUCUCUCUACUGUGGUAUGUGAAGAUCAUUUUGCAAAUCCGGACACGGUCUACGUGUUCGAAAAAUAGCCUUGGAGUGUUCGGAAGGAGGAACCUGCCUUGCAAUGCCGAAGACAAGACUGCGCGCCGGACUCAUCGUCAUUGAAGCCUGGUUCAGGGGCUAUUGAGGGAGUCCCGGAUUAGGGGUAUCCAAACAGCCGGACUAUAUACAUCGUCCGGACUAUUGAAGCAUGAAGAUACAAGACUCAAGACUUCGGCCCAUGUCCGGAUGGGACUCUCCUUUGCGUGGAAGACAAGCUUGGUGAUCCGGAUAUUAUAUCUCCGUCCUUGUAACCGACUCCAUGUAAACUCUAGCCCUCCCCGGUGUCUAUAUAAACCGGAGAGGAUAGUCCUUAGAAGGCCGAUCACAAUUACAAUCAUACCAUCAUAGGCUAACUUCUAGGGUUUAGCCUCUACGAUCUCGUGGUAGAUCUACUCUUUUACUACUCAUAUCUUCAAUAUUAAUCAAGCAGGAAGUAGGGUUUUACCUCCAUCGAGAGGUCCCGAACCUGGGUAAACAUUUUGUCCCUUGCUUCCUGUUACCAUCAGCCUAAGACGCACAGAUCGGGAUCCCCUACCCGAGAUCCGCCGGUUUUGACACCGACAGGCAACUUGCGGCGCCACGCAAGGCAGUGAUGCUGGUGGUGAUGGGUUCGGAUGCGAGUGAGGUGGCUACGCCAGCUCAAGAAUCAGACUAGGGCAUCGGAAAAAUUGCACGGGUUGCUCCACGAAGUGUAGGUGUCGAGGUAGAAUCGGAGUUGAAAAUCUCUAUCGGGGAGUUGUAAUGGAUCGCGAGAAAUAAAUCUGGCAGUGUUUCUCUAGAAACACCAUUGGGUUCACGAAAAAGAAUCAGGGAGGAGAAAUGGCCAGAUGAAAAUGGCCCCUUGGAAAAUCUUGCACACGGGGUAUGCACAGAUAGAGAGGGAUAUGUGACUUUGCAUUCCCCCGAGUACUGCUCAAAUGUACUCGUGGGUGAACCGGGUAUGCGUGCAGUAUGCAAUAAAAUCCAAACAAACAGACAGAUGCAAUAAACAGGUAACGGAUAAACACACCACACAAAGCACACCAAGGUGUUUUAAUGCUAGUGGGUAUAUGUACUCCUGGUAUACAUAUACCUACACCAGCGCGCAUUUUAUUAGAGACUCGGAACGAGUCAAUGUUGUUUUUAGUGUAUGUGUUCUACUGAUUAAAAUCUUGUUAGCACACAUUGCCAAUCCUUUCAAACAUUUCUGUUUGACAGAGAGACAAACAAAAACAAACAAACAAAAGCAAGCAAGCAAAUAACACAGCAUACAGGUUACAACAGUACCAGCAUACAUCAAAGCACAAACGCACUACGCGCUAAUCGAAACUACUCACUCCGGAAUACAUGGUUCCAUCCUCAUAUCGGGGAUGAACCGACAGACCGAUCAACUAGCAGGAACCACUGACUGCGUGACUGAAGUCAGGCAGAAGACUGGCCUUGCUGGGGCUCUCUUGGAGGACAAAGACUGAGCCAAUCUCCAUCUUCAUCGUCUGACACUUCUAUGGGUUGGGGAGGUGGGGCUGGAAUUGCUCCAGGAAAAUGCUGCUGAUGGAUCCGGAGAAGAGACUUGUCGAGGGUGAUGAUGUUUGUUUUGGGCCAUAGCACAUGUUGAGAGGAUAGCACUGGUUCGUAUGGUGUUGGGCAAAUAGCUUGAGAUGCGAAUUUACGAGCCUCACGGUAAGCUUCCUUGACGACUCGUACCACAUUAUUGUCCAUGGCUCUAAACUUGGCAAGCAGCAUUGAAAUCAACAUCCCCUGGGCAGUGAUGUAUUGCACCAGGCGAGCGAUUGCAGGAUCAUCUCCUUGGCUAACGGAAGAAGGUUGCAUUACUGCGUUUGACACAGUGGGGAAAAGCAGAACUCCCUCCUUGUUGUGACAUGCGGGAUGUUGGUUCAGAGGUGUAGCAUAGCCUCCACAGCAGCGGCUUGAAUGGCUAAACCAGAGGUAGGCAUGGCUCUACCCAAAGGCUGGACAUCUGCUGCAGGGCCUAGGCUGAUGUGCACUCUUGCAACAAAGCGAUGAAGGUGAGGGACGGGUGUCGAUUGGAACACUAGGUAAUCGGGGCUAGUCUUACCGCCAAAUGCUUUGGUAAGCAUCUCGGCAAGAAGGGGUGGAAAGCCAGGGUGGUUGACGGCAUAGGUGCGUGUGUAAUACGUGGGAGUUUUGGAUUUGCUAGCCAUGACUGGGGUGCUACUAGCUAAGCUUUUCCGCAGGGACAUGGUGGACUGAGGAUGGAGCGAUACGGCUAGCGGAAAGGGCAUUUAUAGGCAGCUACGUGGGGCAGGCCCGCAUGGCAUGGCCCCUUUCCCUUAAUGGCGAAGGGAAAGCGGUGCAGCCGACCAGAAAGGAUAGGAUUUCUGCACGUUUCAUGGAUAACUAGGCGGGGACAGUGGGGUGAGGAGAUGUCGGUCCCGACUGCGCCACCUGUUGAUUAACAAUGGCCAUGCCGGAUGCCAGGGAUGGGUCAAAUCCCUUAGGGUUAUUACGGGUUGAUGGUGGCGGUGAUCUAAUGCUAGGAUAAUCUAUGCCAGCCUGGCUGCUCUGAUACCAAGCCCUGUGGCACCCCGAUCCGCAUGGAGCAGGGGGGCUUCACACGUCAACCCAGGAUAACACCUAACGCACGACAGGUCCAUGAUACAACAUUCUAGGUACAAGAAUAUUCAUCAAAUACAUGUGUAUAUGAUUACAUUAGUGACGAAUAUAAUCUUCUGGCAUAGCGCUAAGGCUAUUUACAUGGCAGCGGAAGUCUAUUAUAAUGGCGGCAAAAGUCUUGGCAGCAUAACACUCUGGCUGGGCUCCACAACUCACAUGACUGGCAAGAUUACGGCCUAGCACGACGGAACAAGUGAACGACCUACAAAACUGGCAUGACACGCCAGGUCAGUACAUUGAAUGUACUUGUAAGACAACCAAAUACAUAGCAUCCAAACAAGCACAAGACAAAGCAGGAAGCAAGCGUCUGCAAUAAUCUAGCUCAUAUCAGAAACUAAGCAUGGCAUAAUAUCAACCGAAGACAUAAAACAAACUAGCAUCUUGGCAUCCACUAGCAUGGCAACAACAUGGCAAAGCAAAUUUACUUCUAACAUGGCAACAGCAAAACAUAGCCUAUCAUCUUAAUCAUAUCCAUCAAAGAUGGCAUGGCAUCAUGAAACUUCGCUGAAAAUAAACUACCAAUCAUAUCAAAAUGCAGACAUAGCAUGUUAACUGUAUGCAACCAUCUCAUGUUCUACCAUGGUUCUUUAAAUGCAAACAUGUUACUCAUGCAAUGCCACCAAACUUGUGCACUGAGUCCCUCGGACUCUCUUACCAACGGUGAUCACCUCAUUUCCUGAUCACCAACAGAGACAAACUUGUGAUCCUUACGGCGAUCACAACCCGACCAACAAAUGGCCCAUGAUCCUUACGGCGAUCACAACCAGACCAACAACUGGCCCGUGAUCCUUACGGCGAUCACAACCACAUUAAUCAACUUAAUUAUUUCAGGUUUAUCCUCCAUUUCGACCAAUACCCGAGUGUACCCUACUACGAACUUAUGCCCAUGACCGAGGACGCGGCUAUCGAUAGUUUAAAUACACUCUGUAGAGGUAGCGCACUGUACCCACACCACGGAACCCAUGGCCUCGUCAUCCCAUUCGAGUGGACCAACGGCAUUCCAACGAAACCGAUCUACUGUCAUGACACUCUCCCGGCCACUCCGACUCACUCCCCACAGGGCUAGUCCUGGGUGGCCCCGUGUCUACCUCCAGACACCUCGACCACCAUCGUGGCCACGAUCCACACUGGGACCCGGUACCAAAACUCAACUUAACAACGGGCUCACAAGGCUUAUGUCCGCCUACCUUAUCAGGGUAGCGCGCGCCCAUAACCUUCCCUAGUUGGAGGCACCGACUAGAGGCAUGACAAUAGACCGCAUUAAGGCCGUCCCAUACCGGCAAAUGUGGUUGCACUAGAAAAAGUUUGAUUUGGCGGCACUAUGACUCGAUCCCAUCAAUAAAGGAGGAGGUUUGUUAUUAUUAAGUCAUUUUAAUUCCUUCUCCAUCAUCAUGAACAUGAAUGCAACAAUGAGCAUACAUCAUACAAAUGCUUUAACAAAACAUCGAGGUUCUCAAGUGAACACUUCCAACAUAAAGAACAUGACAAUACCAAGUACUAACAUAUCCAUGGUGCAUUACCAUCAUCAUCGCAUUUUAUAACGAUGAGAUGAAAAUAAAUUAGAGUAGUGACAUGGCAUCAUCAAUAACAACAUUCUAACUAGCCUGGCAAAAGAUAUCAUGAACACACAAGCAUGCAUGGUAAGCACAAUAAAAUAACUGCAGACAAAAACAAUAACAAACAACUGCAACUACACACACACACAAGGUGCAAGCAAAGUCAACAUGCAAGUUCGGGGCUUAUGAUACGAGGUUGGCUUGCCUGGGGGUUGACAAAUACUCCGGGAAGAAGUGAGAAACGACCGCGGAAAAAUUUGCCGGAAACAGUUCUCUCUCAGAGUGGCUGUUUACGAACAAGGGUAAAAUGGUCAUUUUCAAUAUGUCAAACCAUAGUGAAAAUAAUGGGAACGGAACGGGCUCGACGAGAAAAAGACGUGGGUGUUGGAUUUACCUCAAUCGGAGUUACGGUUGUCGAGAUACGAAGGGUUGAAGUUCAGGGACCUAUGGGUGAAAAUAUUUCAGCAAACAGGCCCCUAGAGGAAAAAUCUGAACGCGCAUUUUCUGAAAUAUGUCUUCGAAUCCGGAAAAUGGCUUCGUGGUGGGGCACCUCCACUAAUCUGAUGUGGCGACGACCGGGUCAAAGGGCAGAGGCGGGGCCGGUGUCUGGGUCGCUGCCAGGUGGGGUCGCGGGGCCCGCCUGGCCAGGUCAACACCCACCUGGCCGGCUCCUUCUUCUCCGCUCGAUGCGUGCUGGGCCGAGGGAAGACACCCGCCCCGACGGUGCUCGCCGGCGCGUGCGGCCACGGUAGGCGAUGGGCGACCUACCCACGGGAUCAGGAGGAGGAGGUGAUCCUGGGGUAGUCUCCAUUGCAGGCGACGGGCACUUGAGAGGGAGCAGCAGGGGCCGCGGCGGAGAGGAGCUUCGGCCCCCAUGAGGAUGGAGCUACGGUGGGGGAACAGAGAGGCUGAGGUCACGGGGAGACUCGCCGGAGUAUGGGGGAUGCGGUGGUGGAGGAGGAACGGUGAGGGGAUGCCCUGGUCGCCGGAACGAGAGAAGACCGAGGCGGCAGCCAUGGCGAUGGGGAGGGGGACAGAGAAGCUUCGAGUACGUGGAAGAGCUGCGGGGGAUCUUGCGGACUGCGAGGGAGGCUCGGGCUUGCUACUUAUAGCCGCAAGGGAGCUCGAGGGGGAGGGGCAAGGUGGCACGCGACGGGCGACGUGUCCGUGUGUCGGCGACGGCGCAGUCGUCGGCAGUCGCGGCCAGGGCUCACGGGAGGCAACGGGAAGGCGACGAGGAAGGUGCAGACGGGCAGCAAGGGCUUACGGGGCAACACAACACCAAGGAGGCUCAGGGAGGAAGAAGACAGAGGAGGAAGACGAUGGGUUCACGGGCACGCACUGCUCGACCUUUGGCACGGCUUGUCGGAGAAGAAAACGGAGUGGGAGAGGGGUCCAGGCGAACGGAGAUGACGAGGGGGACCUGUAGGACAUUAAUGGCGAGCUCAGGGAUGGUUGGAGCAGCGCUGUCGACGAGAACAGUGGCUAGAUCACGUUUUGGCCGGUGUCCCUCGUGGUCACCACUGGCAUAGCGCACUCUGGAGUUUUUACUGAGAUUAAAUCAUGUCUACCGCGUAGUCCUUCAAAGAUAGAUUGUUACUAUAGUAAAGAUUCAUGCAGAGACAAAGGGAGAUGAGUAAACCAAGCUCCACAAGUUUACUGCAGCAAACUUGGCCACAUCCUAGAGGUAAAACCAGGGAGGUUAAAUGGUAAACUUGAUGUCUGGUAGGCUUAGGGUAGCAAGGACUAUGGUCCUGGGAGUUUUGAGGGCAUUAAGACAAAUAUUUAGCAUAGUUGCUUAACAACUGCAAAAAUAUGUCCAGAAACAAAAUGAUGAUGAAGCACUCACUAGGGGAGUUGGAUUGAGCUAUAACUUGGCAAAUCCUGAUGAUUUGGUCAUAUGUUGAUGCUGCAAAAAGAUCAUACCAAAUGGGCUUGCGAAAUUGGUACUUGCUUCACAAGCAUCAGCUUUGACCAAAAACUUGGGAAAAUUCUAGGAACAUAUUGGCUAAAUGAAAUUAGAAAAACUCUUGGGUAGGUGGGUUAUAUGGAUAGGAGAAGGCUUGGGAAUAUUUUCAGCCAUAAGUGAGCAAGUUAAAAUAUACUUGCUUCACAAACUGAAAAUUUGGACAGGAAACAAGAAUUGCUGCUGUGCUCACAUAGCUCCAUAUGAUUUCGGAUACUUGAGAAGAUGGCAAAGUUUCAUCCCAUUUGGAAACUCUAUAAGGUACUUCCUUCACAAAAUUUUAAUCUGGUCAGAAACUUUGCAAAACUGCACAGGGAGCUAGGAUGAUUGGAUUGAGCUCAUCUUUGGUCUCCUUUGGUUAUUUAUCAAUAUUAAUCACCCUGCCAAAUUGCAUCUCAAAUGGAGUUAGGAAUAAAGCACUUCCUUUGCAAAAUUUCAGAGAAGGCAGAAACUUACAUUGGGAGCCACCACCUCGGAAGCCGUGGUUACGGCGGAAAGAGGUCCAAAUGGGCCAAGGAGCACGGGAAAGCCGCGAGUCUGGGCAUCCCAGACCCCUUGAAGGAUUUCACCGUCCCGCAGGAGCGUGAUGUCCUGAGGGCCCGACACCGUUGGGACCCAGUGAAGAAGGUUUACGAGACAACACCGGUCAUUACGGAGUUCAUGAGACUGCUGGUAAUUUUAGUUUCUGAUCAAUUCAACUGCACACGUUAGUCAUAUUCGUAGACGAUCCUUGUACCUUUUGCAGAGAGAGUAGCACCGGAUUGCGGCCGAAAGCGACUCGCCGUCUGAGGCAUUGGCGAGUCCCAGGUGGGACACUCCAUUCAACCGGGCGUUGAACAUAUUGAAACGACAACCGGUGGAUACUCGACCUUCGUAUGGACGCGUGCACGGUGUCAGAGACGGCGCCACGUGGAAGAAGUACUACCGUGAGAUCACGGAGGAGAGAAAGGAAAGACGGAGGUUAGCUGAAGAAAACAUCGACAAGAAGGUUGAGAUUGCGGUUGAGAAGAAAUCAUCUCAGACAGUCACAACAGCGGUAGCUGCCGCAAAACAGGUGGUUGCAGAUUUGUCUACUUCCUUGGUGACGGGCGUUUUCACUUGGACAAGGCAAAAUCCAGAAAAAAAAUGCAGAGGACUUUCCCCUUGCUGACUUCUUGGGAGCACCUGCUCCCGCACCGUCUCCCGCACCUGCUCCCCCACCGGCUCCCGCACCGGACGUGCUCGGCGGUGCUUCAUCUUUGGCUGAGCUCGACGCCCUGAUAGUAUCAUUCACACCGCCCCCUUCAAUAUAAAUGUAUAAUCUCCCGUUUUCGUUGCCUUUCGGAUGUCUCAUGUAGCAGACUUUUCUUUGUAGGCUGACGAAACCCCGUGCAACAUAUUGUACACCAUCGGCGACCAGAAGGUGGACAUGGGGAAGGCGAUGAUAAUGGAGCCAAAGGAACCAUUGUUCCACAGCCGGCCGAUCCCCCCGAACGCCUUCAAGGUUUCCGUGGCCAGUGUCGAACCGGGCCACGAGAAUUUGCCUCCUCCAAUACUACUGGUGGAUCACAAGGAGACACCACGGCGGCAUCGUGAUUGUUGCAAUGGGUGGGUCGUGUUGUGGCCAAAGAGUCUGUUUCAUCUGGAGGCGGUCGGGAGCACACCCACGAGCACGCAGCCUCAGCAAGGUAUGAACAUCAACACCCCACCUACCCAAUUAGCGUCGGGUUUCGGGUUGGGUGAUAGUGGACGGGGUAAGGAGGAGGCUCCAUUAGUCGCUGAUGACAUCGCCAUGGAUGAGGAUGAGGACAACGGUGGCGCUGAACAGUAUGUCUAUACUGGCGCCUCCUCAAGGUUUGAGCGUCAUGAGUCGGUGCCUGAAUUACCAUCUCAACGUAUUAUGGACGACCUUCCAGUAGUAAAUAAGUCUAGGAAGAGAGCGAGGAAAGGCAAAAAAGCUGAUUCUAUGAUCCAGCCGCCUCAGCAGCCUCGGCUUCAGGACCGUAAAGAUAUCUCCGAUGCGGAUAAAUGGCAUAUCGCGGGUCAACCAAUCCUACCUGCAACAGCACUACAGGCCAGAUUCGGCGAUCUAAGGAGACUUCAUGACGAUGUGCUGCGGGUAGAGAAAGGCCUCAUCGCCUCGACAGAUCCAGGAUACCCACUCUAUGUGGUUAACGUUCCGCGGCAAAUGUCAUACGUCGACAGCUUCCCCGUGGAUAAGUUCUUCCUCCAAUUCGAUUACAUAUUCGACAUGUUUCACAUGAAGAAGCUGGAUUUUACGUUUGUCCACCUUUAUGCCUUGCACAUGAACUACAUCAUCGGGUUUGAGCAGAUAUCUCAUAUCUGUGUCGCUGACCCGUACUACAUGCACGAGGGCUUCUUGGUAGUCUGCGCAGAGCACCGUGUAUACGCGAGGGAAUACAUCGUCAAUUUCAUGCUCGCCAAUAAGGACAAGGGGGCGAUUCUCGUGCCUUUUCAUCCCGUGUAAGUCAUCCACUCUGCUAUCCUUCCUUCGAUUUCAAUCAUUCAUUUGCACGGUGGAGGCUAAGUAAUUUAAGGUGUACUCAUUUUGCGCAGCGGCGGGCGUGCCGUCCUCAUCAUCCUAUACCCCCGAUUCUCCCACGCUCUUUACUUGGACUCGUCGAAGAACAUUCACAAAAAGGAUUACACCCACAUCAAGGAUGUUCUCGACAGUGCUAUGUUUUACUACCAAGCAAGGGGUGGAGAGGUCAGGGACAAGUAGAGAAGGGGCGACAGGGUCGCCUUCGGCCAUAAGACCGACUUCUGCUGCAUCCAGCAACCAAACAAUUCUCUUAAUGAUGGAUUCUAUGUCCUACACCACAUGCUGGAGUACAGACGGGAUCACCAGAACCUUCACAUGUCACCUAGAUCCGGCGAUGCCCAUAUUCUGCAAUGGGCAAAGAACGUAGGAGAUAUCGAGGAUCAUCGACUUCGAGCUGAGUUCUAUCACAUCUAGUGCGAACUUGCCCAAAUCAUCAUGAAGGAGGUCGUCCAAAAAACAGGGAUGUUCUACGAAGAAGGACAAAUGUCGCGGGAAGACGUACGAACAUGGAUAGCCUCUCAGCGUCUCGACAUGAAGCCUUUCACUAAGCUCGGGGACUAGGUCCCUGACAUGGAUGGAUGGCACGACAUGGUGGAGUGAUUGUCGAUAUAUGACAUGUGUCUGUUUAAUCCAUACUUUCUAUAUGACAAAACUUUGAGUUAUGCACCGUGAAACUUUAUUUGUGAUGUAAUUAAACCGUCCUCCUCCUCCACUAGCGAAGAUCGCUCUAGUUACGGAAUUUUGGGUACGAUGAACUUUGUUAUUUAUGCUUAUGAUAUGUUGUUUCUAUUUUUGCCAAGUCUGUCUCUUUCUGUUGCUCAACUAUAUAUGUUGCAUAUCAUCGACUCAUGUGAUGAUGUAGGUGCAUAGAUCAUCGAUGGCGAAGAAGUGCUACGCCAGGAGUAUAUAUACGACGAGGGGCCGGAGUGUCAGGCCCAGGUGUACCGGUUUCUAGUUUCCGAGCAACAUGCAGUAGUUAGUUUAGGUUCACGCUAAUGUGAGAGAGGGAUACGAACUCAUGUACUCAAAGUGAUAGCUCUUCUCGUGUAUACCAUUGUUUAGAUGUAUGAUGAUGUAUUUGCAAGUAAUCGAGGACUUGUAUCGCUAUUUUCGAGCUGAUGACGAGAGACCACUUUGUGUUGGAUGAUGAUUAUGAUGAUGACAUGAUUUGAUGAGACUAAUUGUAUGUAUAUGAUAUGAUUACAUUUGUAUGUGUAUGAUAUGCUAAAGAUUAUUGUAUAAAGCCUAUUCAAAUACAAAACAAAUACAAAAACAAAUAUGCAGGAAAAAAACUAAUAAAAUUAGUAGUAGUGAGGGGGGAAAUUUAGCAGUAGCGCCGCAUUACCAGUAGCGCUUCCCGGUAAACAUCGCUGCAGAUAAUAUCAGCAGCGCCCUUUUCUAAACAACGCUACAGCUAUUCAUGUAUAGCAGUAGCAUGGGACAACAGGCACUACUGCUAUACGUUAGCUGUAGCGCCUUAUUAGUAGCGCCUGUCCCCGCGCUACUGAGAGGCCCAAAACCCACGCUGCUGCUAGGCUUUUCCCUAGUACUGGAUGAUCAACAGAUCAAGGAAAAUGAUAGCCCCUUUGAAAUCACAAAGGGCAUAUUCAAAUACCCAAAAAUUUGGAAUUAGGGUUUGAGAGGGUUUAAGAUGAUGCAAUUGAGGUCUUGCCCAUUGAAAAAGACAUGAGCAAGUUUUGAAAGAUUGGAAAUGACAAGAAUUCUCAGGGUCAUCAGCAAAACUCAGGAGAAAGAUUUUGAAAAUGAGUGCCAGGAAGGAAUAACAGCACAAAAAUUGAUAACCCAAUUUUGGGGUUGUUACAGUGGGCACCCUCACUUAUCUCUUUAGCCCACAUCAUCACUUACCUCCAGAAAAAAAUCUCCAUUGCUCUCUCUCCCGUGUUCUUGAGCUCAAACCCACGGAUUUCGAUCUCUUUGCUCGAAGCUCCGUUUCUGAAACUGUUUCGGGGGAUUAUUGCUUGGUACGUGACUCCACCGUUUGUCCAAUUAGUUUUUGUUUUAGUGGGUUAUACUUUGAAUAAUUAGCUACCGUUGGUGGUGCUGUAGAUGAGCUUGCAUGUUGAAUUAUUAGUGUUAUAAGUAGUUUGAAUGCUUGCUAUGGCCUCUAUGUAUCCCUAUGAGUAGUUGCUAUCAAUUUUGUGAAGUUUUAUUGGGAAACUUUUGUGAACUAAAAAUUCAGAAUUUUGUUCAUAGGAAAAACUGUAUGCGGACAUGAAUAUCUUCAAGAAGUUCGGCUCUAAGAAGAACUCCAAGGGUGUUAUUGGGGAGUCUUCUGAUAGUGAUCUCCACCCUUGGAGGUUGGCAGAAGUACGGUCAUGCGAAUGACCGCAAACCCCGUUCCUACAAGAGUCUGGAAUUCUUGAGGACUUCAUGCAAUAUAUUGCUAAUGCCGGCGUCACCGACUUCAUCACAGAUGAGUGUGACCAGCACCAAAUCCUCACAAACAUCUUUGUUCAAAGUUUUACUUUCCUGCCUAAGAAUAAUCCUCCUGAAGUGAGCUUUGAUUUAUAUGCUGAAAACCAUCAGAUGCCACUUAUCGAAUUUUGUAACAUUUGCAUGAUACCUUCUGAUGGGAGCUUGGCCGGGCCUAGGACGACCGAGUUUUAGGCCUUUUAUCGCACUUUGACGGCGGGUGAUGAGAGAGGAGUGUCAGCCAUCACUACUGCUGGCUUACAUUUUCCUGUUGUUCGUUACUUUGCACUUUUCAUUACUAAAUGCUUGCUCGCUAGGGAGAAGGUGGGUGCACUUAGUUCACCAGACCUUGAUGUUUUAUGUCGUGCACUUGAGGGCAACAACAUGCAUAGCUUGGGAGCUAUCGUGGCUCAUCGCCUGCAUCUUAAUAAAUCCCAAGGUAAAAUACAUGGUGGGAUUUUUUGCUACUCGUUUGGCGGCUCGCUUCACUGUUGGGAUACACCCUCAUGAUUACCUUCUGACUAAGGUUUAACUAGAUCGUGCAGCCAUGGAACACCAUCACUUUCUUGCACAUGAUCAUCCUGACAUCGCCAUUCCUUACAACCUGGUCUAUAGCGUUCAAACUCGUGAUGUUAUUCCAUUGCCUGCGCCUGCUUUGUUUGAUUAUACUGCCAGGGGCAGAUACCGGAUUAUGCCUGCGGACAUCAUCGCCUACUGGAACGCUCACGCUGCUGCGGAGGCAGCACAUGAGGAGCCUCAGCAGUGGGAAGAGUGGAUGCCCGCUCCUCAACACCCCUACUACCCUCCAGGCUACUGAUCAAUUACCAACUUAGGCCAAAAGCCUAAGCUUGGGGGAGUAUGUGUUUCUCACUGACCUUACAUUCAUGUCCACAUAUUUCACUAGUCGGUGUUCACACAUUUUCAUUGUAUCAUCCAUGCUUAGAUUUAUUUUCUUGCUUUCUUCUUGUGUGUUUGAAAAACAUUAGAAAAACCAAAAAAAAUAGUUGUAGUAGUUUACUUUCUUUGCAUGCUUAGUAGUAGUAUUAAAAAGAAAAUCCAAAAAGAUUUCCUUAUUCUUCUUUUUCUUGUUGGGAUGUUUCCCAUGUAAAUAGUUUUUCUCGUUUUUGCUUUUCUCUUUUCGUUUGCUUGUUUGUGGAAAACCAAAAACUCCAAAAAUAUUUCAGUGAGUUUCUUUGAAUUUCUUUUCUUUUUAUUGAGUCUUACCGAGGAGAAGACCAUGAUGAAAAUGUUGAGUGGCUCUCAUUUGCAUUAUUGUUGAUUUGACAUAGAGCCCAUAUUACCUUGUCUCCUCCUCUUGAAUAAAAUGUUUGCAGAUUCCAGCUUAGUCCACGACAUUCUUUCGCUAUUAUUAUUUUCAUAUCAUUCGGUCGUGCAAGUGAAAGUCAAUAAUGACGACAUCCGAUGAACUGGCCGUGGUAGGGAGAAACUGGUAUGAACUCGACUUGUUCUGUUUGUGUAAAUAUGUUUAACCUAGUAUCCUUGAUUCAGCCCAUUAUGAUUAAACAUGUUUGCAAUGACAAUUAGAUAUUAUAGUUUCUCAUGCCAUGCAUAAGUAGCUGGGAGUUGAUAAUGAUUUAACUUGGAUAUCAACAUAGCAUUAAAAUGAUUGUUAUGUAGUAUGAUGAUAUGGUAUCCUCCUCUGAAUGUUCGAGUGGCUUGACUUGGCACAUGUUCAUGCAUGUAGUUGAAACAAAACCAACAUAGCCUCUAUGAUAUUUAUGUUCAUGGUGUCCAUAUCCUACUCAUGCUAGUGUCCAAUGUUACUUACGCAUAAUGCAUGGUUAUGAUCGUUGUUGCUCUCUUGCUGGCCUCUUCUCAAUCUAAAUUGCUAGCCUUCGCCUAUACUAAGUGGGAAUUCUGCUUGUACAUCAAAAACCUUGAACCCAAAGUUAUUCCAGAUGAGUCCACCAUACCUAUCUAUAUGCAGUAUUACCCUUCCGUCCUAAGUAAAUUUUCAUGUGCCACCUCUAAAAACUUCUAAAAAUUAUCCUUUUAUGUGCAUGGAUCGUUCGUGGAAUGAUAGAAGGUGGUCAGUAUCUUCCAUGUUAUUCUCAGGUCGAGUGUUUAUUCACUCGCAAUCGCACGAGAAAAGGGCAGUAAUAGGGAAGCCCAGUUCCAAACUGCAAACAUGAAAAAGAGUUCAUCUCUGAAAUAAUUAAACAAAAACUCCCAAUGGAGUCAAAACAUUUACUUUUAUUGCUUGAGAACCGCCACUAGCGUGCUUAGCAUGGAAGAUAUUGAUAACAAAUGGUCGUGAAGGGAAUAAGAAGGAUGCAUGUCUCAAAAUAUCAUUUAUCCCAGUUUUAAAAAUUGAGCUCUGGCACCUCUGCAAAUCACUGCUUCCCUCUGCGAAGGGGCUAUCUAUUUACUUUUAUAUUGUGUCACCACCUUCUAAAACAUGCGCCAGAAACUGAGUAGAGCACAGCCUUCAUGAUUUAUGCAUUAUGUGUAGCUAAUGUUGGGUGCAUCACGACUGGAUCUUUUCUACCAUGAAUUACAAUGUUUAGUCGCUGCUUGAACUUUGGAGGUGCUCUGCAUUUAUGUUUUGCAGUCUCAGAAAGGGCUAGCGAGAUACCCCUAUUGUCAUAUUAUAUCAUGGUUGUUUUGACAACGUGUUGCUGUUUGAGAUAUUUUAUUAUUGCCCGCUAUAUGAUUAUGUCAUUAAUAUGAGUCAUUAUAAUCUUUAAAUGUUAUUGUUGACAUGGUUAGUUAUAAUGUUGGCUGAAAACCUGGGUGCUGUUUAAGCUUAUUUAUGCAAACAAGAGCAAAAGAGUUCGUAAAAGUUUUUCUUUUUCACUUUCAGUUUAUCAACUAGAUUGCUUGAGGACAAGCAAAGGCUUAAGCUUGGGGGAGUUGAUACAUCUCCAACGUAUCUACUUUUUCCCAUGCUUUUCCUCUUAUUUUGGACUCUAAUUUGCAUGAUUUGAAUGAAACUAACCCCGGACUGACGCUGUUUUCAACAGAACUACCAUGGUGUUGUUUUUGUGCAGAAAUAGAAGUUCUCAGAAUCGAACAAAACUUUGUGAGGAUUUUUUAUAUCAAAAAUAAGAAUUUCUAGAGCCAAGACCUGAAGGAGAGGGGCACCUGGGUGGGCACAACCCACCAGGGCGCGCCCCCCUCUCCUGGCGUGCCCAGGUGGGUUGUACCCACCUGGUGGCCCCGCAGACGACCCCCCUGAUAAUAUAAAAUCACAUAUUUCCAGAAAAAAUCAAGGAGAAAGAAUUAUCGCGAUCCACAAGAUGGAGCCGCCGGCAAGCCCUGUUCUUCCUCGGGAGGGCAGAUCUGGAGUUCGUUUGGGGCUCCAGAGAGGGGGCCUUCGUUCUUCGUCAUCACCAACCCAUCUCCAUCGCCAAUUCCAUGAUGCUCCCCACCGGGAUUGAGUAAUUCCUUCAUAGGCUCGCUGGUCGGUGAGGAGUUGGAUGAGAUUCAUCAUGUAAUCGAGUUAAUUUUGUUAGGGCCUCGUCCCUAGUAUCCACUAUGUUCUUAGAUUGAUGUUGCCAUGACUUUGCUAUGCUUAAUGCUUGUCACUUUGGGCCCGGGUGCCAUGAUUUCAGAUAUGAACCGUUUAUAUUAUCAUCAUUAUAUCCAUGUUCUAGAUCCCAUCUUGCAAGUUAUACUCACCUACUACGUGUUAUGAUCUAGCAACCCCGGAGUGAUAGAAAUCGGGACCACUCCCGGUGAUGACCGUAGUUUGAGGAGUUCAUGUAUUCACUAUGUGGUAAUGCUUUGUUCCGGUUCUCUAUUAAAAGGAGGCCUUAAUAUCCUUGAGUUUCCAAUAUGGACCCCUCUGCCACGGGAGGGUAGGACAAAAGAUGUCAUGCAAGUUCUUUUAAUAAAGCAAGUAUGACUAUUUACGGAAUACAUGCCUACAUUAUAUCGAUGAACCGGAGCUAGCGUCGUACCGCCCUAGGUUAUAUCUGUCACAUGAUGAAUAUCAUCCAACGAGUCACCGAUCCAAUGCCUACGGAUUUAUCAUAUAUUGUUCUUGCUAAGUUACUACUAUUGCUACUUCUAUCGUUACUGCUACAAUAUCACUGCUAUCGCUAUUACUGUUACAAUAUCACUACUAUCGCUGUUACUGUUACUGUUGCUGCUGCUACUAUCAUCAAAACUAUCAUACUACUAUGCUACUAAUCACUUUGCUGCAGAUAAUUAAUCUUCGAGUGUGUUUGAAUUGACAACCCAACUGCUAAUACCUUCAAAUAUUCUUUGGCUCCCCUUGUAUCGAAUCUAUAAAUUUGGGUUAAAUACUUACCCUCGAAAACUGUUGCGAUUCCCUGUACUUGUGGGUUAUCAAGAUCUUUGUUGGUCGAAGCACAAUGUCAACAUACAUUAUUCCCUUUGUCAUCGGUAUGUUACUUGCCAGAGAUUCGAUCGUCGGUAUCUCCAUACCUAGUUCAAUCUCAUUACCGGCAAGUCUCUUUACUCGUUUCGUAAUGCAUCAUCCCGCAACUAACUCAUUAGUCACAUUGCUUGCAAGGCUUCAUGUGAUGUGCAUUACCAAGAGGGCCCAAAGAUACCUCUCCGAUACUCGGAGUGACAAAUCCUAAUCUCGAUCUAUGCCAACCCAACAAACACCUUCGGAGAUACCUAUAGAGCAUCUUUAUAAUCACCCAUUUAUGUUGUUACGUUUGAUAGCACACGAGGCAUUCCUCCGGUGUAUGGGAGUUGCAUAAUCUCAUAGUCGGAGGAAUAUAUAUAUAUAUGACAUGAAGAAAGCAGUAGCAAUAAAGUUGAACAAUCAUUAUGCUAAGCUAAUGGAUGGGUCUUGUUCAUCACAUCAUUCUCCUAAUGACGUGAUCCCGUCCAUCAAAUGACAACACAUGUCCAUGGCUUGGAAACUUAACCAUCUUUGAUCAACGAGCUAGUCAAGUAGAGGCAUACUUGGGACAUGGUGUUUUGUCUAUGUAUUCACACAUGUACCAAGUUUCCGGCUAAUAUAAUUCUAGCAUGAAUAAUAAACAUUUAUCCUGAUAUAAGGAAAUAUAAAAUAAUAACUUUAGUAUUGCCUCUAGAGAAUAUUUCCUUCAUAUUAUAGCUCGAAUAUCCAUCCAUGUUCCUUAAGCGGGCGAACUCUUCUUCCUCUCUUUUGAAGAGGUCGGACAGUAUGACUGUAAUCUCUGCCUAGUUAUCAGUCCCCUUACGUUUAUAACGGGGAUGCAUCCUUUGUUGAAGUCCUUGAACGCAUCGAAUAAUGGCAGUGGCCAUCACAUCAAUAAUUGUUAACUUAUUGUGAGGUAGCAACCUCGCCUUAGCGGCAGACGCUGUACUUCGGCAAUUUCCUUUUGAGAAGUGCGUUUUGCCCGCCAGUUGAAAUGCUUCUUUAAAGGAGCAUCUGAAUAUUCGGGCAGACCCCGCUGAGCUGGCUCGAAUAGGGGGACGUCUUCAAUGUAAAACCACUCCGAGGUCCAUUCUUCGGAGUCCUUUUUUGGGGUCCCAAUAGGGUAUCCCGUCCCGGCUAUGCGCCAUAUCUCGACUCUGCCUACUUAAAAGAUUGAGUCUCCACGAGUGCUGGAGACAAGGCAGAAGUACUUUCUCCAUAAUUCAAAGUGGGCCUCGGAGCCCAGAAACAUCUCACAAAAGGGUAAUGUAGAUCGAGAUAUGCAGAAUAGAUCUGGGGGUGAGGUGGUGGAGCUGGAUUCCGUAAAACUCUAGCAAUCCCCUUAGAAAAGGGUGGAUGGGAAAGCCCAAGCCUCGAAAGAGGAAGGGUACAAAGGAUACUCCUCCUUACGCUGAGCAUGAAAAUUUUCUAUGAAGGCCUCGCCGUUCAAGGAAGUCAAUCCGGGGCAAAUGGAUGCGAGAUAUGAGGCAGGGACAUAUCCUUGCGUCUCGAGUUUGCUUAGCUGUAGACGGGAAACCGUGCAGGUUGCCUAGUCGCCCGAGAGGGAGCCAUGAGGGCGUGAGGAGCUUGGGACACUUGCCAUUUUUCCAGAGUCUUUGGUUUCUCGGUUUUCUCGAUUUGGGGAUGGAACGUGCUACCUUUUGUGCUCCUGGCCUGGUUAAUAAAUACUUCCUCCCUGGCCCGUAAGGGUGGAUUUUGUAAAAGAACUAAUGGUCUGUCCGCCUCCUUCUGGCACACUAAAAUCGAGGGGUAUCAUUGACCCUAUAUGAAAAUUAAUCCUAUGGGCCCCGCGACGCUUCGACGAACUAGGAGUCACUAGUGUCCUAACUAUGGUGGGCCGGACAUUGAAGGGGGGAGGAACUCGCCUUGCAAGCCGGAUACUUCAGGCGUGAGAGGUAUCCAAGGUUAUCGGAUAUCGGUGUUGGAGGCUAGUUCGGGGGCUACUGGAGGAAUCCGGGACUAAGGGGUCCUCGGGCCGCCGGCCUAUCUCUUGUGGGCCGGAUAAGUCGGCCGUUCUGUGACUACCAUUUGAAGGCCGAUAUAUAGGACGACUCCGUGUUCGGAGGAAAACCUUUGAAGCCUUUGUGUGUGCACCAAGUCAAGAUAGAAGAAUCGACAUGUUUAUCCCCCGACUAUUUGUAACCCUAGGUACCCCUAGUGUCUAUAUAAAUAAGAGGGUUUAGUUCGUGGAGGCUAGAAGAAUCAUCAUCCUACUCACCUAGGGUUUUAUUCAUCUGAUCUCGUGGUAGUUCGACUCUGUAACCAUCAUAUACACAUCAAUACAAUCAAGCAUGAUGUAGGAUUUUACCUCUUUGAGAGGGCCCAAACUAGGGAAAACAUUGUCCCCUUCCUCUCAUGUUCCCCAUCGAUCCAAGAUCCACAGCUCGUACCCCCUACACGAGAUCCGUCGGUUUUGACACCAACAGGGAGGACUCCUCCUUCCCCCCUUGAUGGGCGCAAGGGGAGGGGAGUCCUUCCCCUCCUCUUUGCAGCCCCUCCACCCCUCAAACUUGUAUAUACUAGAGGCUUUUUCACCUUUUGUACACACAAGUUUUGGAGCCACCUCUAGUUGUACUUGGUCCCAGUUGAUCAAUAAGAGCUAGAUAUAGAUCCUCUAAUCCUCAUAAUUAGAAGCCCGGUGUGGUCCAAUCUCCUCCCUCUAAUUCUUCGGCGACAAUUAGCUCUUGACGGUGAAGCGCUGUCAGAUCGUGAAGCCAUACGCUUGUAACUCGUAGAGAGUCGUGCUUUCGGUCUUCUUUCGAGUGACUGUUCGUGGGCGGUUCACGGGAUCAUUCAUCUAUAGUUCGAGGGACUCCGAGUACGAUCUACACCGACUCGUCUUCUUCCGCUUCAAUUCGGAGUCGGUAACGAUCAAAUCCAAACCAACAAUGCUUCUUAUUGUCCCUAGGCGAUCAUAGGUCAAUUUUUUUUGUUUUCCACUACGUUUCCCAACAUGACCCAUGUGCCGGAUCUAUCGUACAUGUAAUUCCAGAUCCUAAGGCUGAAAUAGCUAGAGAAGAAGAGAUGAAGUCAGUAACACAUUACACAUUGUUAUUGCUCAAAGGAGCAGUGAACAAAGAGAACAUGCCUCCAAUGGAUACUAAUUUUCCUACCAUCAUUAUUGUAGAUUUAUGGAUGGUUGAGCCUUUGAAGGCAGAAUCCAACAACAAAUAAUACAAGUUUUCCCUUGACAUUAGCUUUUGCCCCUCUUUUUUUUUGAAAAAGGAGGAUUGCCCCCGGCCUCUGCAUCAGAAUGAUGUAUAUAAAUACAUCAUCUAUACUAAUUCAACAUUAGAAAACAAGCACACGACCUCACUUUAUAUAGAUAAAUCGACGAGUUCCACAAGAACACGAUUAUCGAAUACAAAGGUUCAGCAAGCAAAAGGGAAAUAGUUCGGGCAGGGGCGGCAGCAUAGGUAAGCCCGAUAUAAAGAAGAAGAAAACAAGCUACGGAGCCGGCCGGAGCAGGAAACAGGUGAGCCACCCUCCGGAGGCCAAGAAGGAGCCCAUCCAACCCGCCGCGAUCCCGACGACAUGCAAACAUCCGCCAUGGCUACUAGUUCAACAUCCCUGAACUGAAACGGCCACAUCCCUUCAUUUUAUUGCAUCCAUCCGAUUAUUAAUUUCUUCAAACUGCAUGCCAUGCAUCCAGCCUUGGAUUAUUUGUUCGAACAUAGCACCACUUCGUUCUCCAUCAUACGGAAACGGAAGUAACUGUCACCGUUGCGUUGUUAUUGGUAGUCUUAAGCAAGCGUUUUGGGACGGAGUUGAACUUGGCGAACCACUUGGCCGACUUCUUGAGCUUGCGCUUGUUGCCGUCCUUCUUGUCGAUGUAGACGAGGCCGAAUCGUGAGCUGUAGCCCAGGCUCCAUUCAAAGUUGUCGAUCAGACCCCACGUGAAGUGGCCCCGCACGUCCGCGCCCUGGCUGAAAACACAGAUACAUAAAUGAAAGCGCGCUUAGCAAGAAUUCAACAAUGUGUCUGUGUGUAUGUAUACAUGUGCAUGCAUGGUAACGUACAUACAUUUGAGUAAUCAGUGUGCCAUUAGGGUAUGUAUGUAUGUAUGUAUGUAUGUGGGUAAGAGUACAAAAUAAGUGAAAAAAAGAGGUAGGGUUUUAGCAUCUGUAGUUACUCUAUUGCGUCCUUGACGGCUGAGAUGUGGCGCUGGAGGUAGUCUAGCCUCUUCCAGUCAUCCAAAGGAUCUGUCAUGGUUGGGUCGCUGUCCACAUCAGCAAUUCCUGCACACACACAAGUUAAGAAGUAAUCUAUCACACUUCCUCCAAAAAAAACCUCCCAUGAACCGUUACAUCAUAUCCAUGGAUUAGGUUCUUGUCUGAUUUAAGGGAACUAGUACCAAGAUUGCUUACACAUUAGUGUGUGUUAAUCUUCAUGAGGAUUAGUGUAAUGAGGAUCAUGGAAAUUUAACUAGUUACUUUUGAUGUCAGAUUUUCAACCUUUUUAUUAACUAGAAACUACCUAAGCAACCCCUUGACAAAAGGUUUACAGAUUUGCUGUAGGUCAACUAAAGUUUGAUAUGAACCGAUGAUUGAUCAUUGGAUUACUACAAAAUCCAAUGCUACACACACACACACACACACACACACACACACACACACAUAUCACUACUUACCGUUCUCAGUGAUGAAGAUGGGUGGGUUUCCGUAUUUCUCCUUCAUGAUCAGAAGGAGGUCCGUUAGGCCUUUUGGGUACAUGUAAAUCCAAUAAGUCCCGGUCUGCAAAUGGAUGUCCAAACUUUUAAUUAGUAUUUAGUAAUGAGAAAAAACUAAAGAUUUGUUUAAGCUUUAUUGCAGAAAUAAAGCAUUAUCAUGUCUAUGCCACUUAACCUUUUUGUUCGAAAGUUUAACUAAAGUCCUGGCUGACUAGUUCUACCAUAAGAUUUUGGUGAAAAUAAUCUACAUUAUCACCAUCAUCAUAUAUGUAAUGUUGUAUGCAAAAUUAACCAGGUAGCUAGUAGGAAGAUACAUACAAUAGGACCGAUGUCAUUCCCGUCACUCCCUUUAGCUGCUCGAACAGAAGAAAAAAGGCGCAGGAUUAGCAUGAGAACAUCAAAUUUCUCAAAGGAUCUGUAAAGUACUAAGGUUUGUCCUCAACCAUAUUUUCUUACUUUCUGAACUGGCGUAAGCGUCGUCGGUGUUCAGCUUCGGCGUAAAGUCUGAUGAAAUAUCAAUAUGCUUGGAGAAUCUGGAGGUGUAAUAGUUGAGCCCCAUGAUGUCACAUGAGGACGCUAGCUUCUCUUGCUCCUCCUUAGUGAACUUGGGUAGACGAUCUCCGAUCAGCGAUCUCAUGGAGAAGGGGUAGUCACCACGAACCACUGGCUCCAGGAACCAUCCGAGGUUGUAGUCGAUGGAUCUUUCCCGGGCCUGGUCGUCGAGGAAGGAGUCUUGGAAUGGCUCGUAACCCAUUACAUCAAAGGCCAUCCCUAUCUUGGAAUCCCCAUGCUGCAGUUGGUCCAUCAAUAUAACUAAAUUAAAUACACAAAUACAUACGACUAGUUGUUGCUUGUUUAUUAGAUAAUGUAGAUGUCUCUCUUUGUGUAUGUACCUUGUUGUAACAAGCUUUGAACAGCUCAACAGCCUCAGCAUGAGCUAAGAGGAUGUGGUGACCAGCAGUGUAUGGCUCUCUGAGCGAGUCUCCUUUUGGGACGGCACAAUCCAUCCCUGGCGAGCACCUCCCAGGAGCAUGAAUCCCCUCACCAUAGGAGAAACAACAAUAUGUAUGUGGCUCGUUAAAGGUGAACCAGUUCUUCACCCUGUCGCCGAAGUUCUUAAAGCACACCUCGGCGAAUUGUUUGUAAUCAUCUCUGAAAAAAAAACCAAACCCGAACGAUGUUCAACAAAAUUGUUUCUUAGCUUAACAAUAAGUAGUUAUGUUAGUUUACUGAUGCAUCAUUGAAUGACAGUACAACAUUGUUUGUGUUCUGAAAAGAAACGUUUUUCUACUCAUGGUCCAAUAAUGGCCUUCCUCCAAUCGAAUUUAACAAUAUUAUAGUUCGUAGUUUUUAUACAUAUUGUAAUUGCAAUUACUGAUCUUUCUUUAGAACCAUUUUCUUACAAAUCAAUUUUCUUUUGUUUGCUGCAUACUUACACAAUCUUCCUAUUUAAGAAGCCGCCGUACUUGUCCUCCAGUGCUUGAGGAGUGUCCCAGUGCCAAAUUGUAACAUAUGGCACUAUGUCUGAGUUUCAAAAAACAAAUAAUUAUUUGUGCGAGCCCUUGCGAGUCUGACUCAUUAAGCACUAAUCAAACAAAGAAGAAAAUGGUUUUCACCGUUAUCUAUCAGCGAGUUGAUCAGCUUAUUGUAGUAGUCGAUGCCUGCCUGGUUUACUUUUCCCGUCCCAUCUGAAAGCCAUAGUAAACAUGUGCUGAAAUUAGGACCCAAAUAUUAUAACAAGUCUUAUCGGCUGCGUCUAAUUUGUAGAGGACAUCUUUAUUGUUCCUAACGUAUUCACCAUACAAAAUAUACAUGGUUAUUUUGUAUUUACCUGGCAGUAUUCUGGACCAAGCGAUGGAAAACCUAUACACUUUCAUGCCCAUGUCCUUCAGCGCUUUGACAUCCUCCUGUCAGCCAUAAACGAUGACAUGAAUAAUGAUGACAACAUAUUGUCAUGCAUAUUUUUAUUUUUAUUAGAAGUGCAUAUUCCAAAUGGUUUUUCCAAAAAAAAUGCAACGACAUAAAAUCAAUCCUGUCAUAAGAUUUGUUAGAUUUUUGUUUGGAAAAACCAUUGGUCCCGUCGGAGUACUUACUUCAUAUAGAUGGUAGGAGUUUGCCGCAACGUCCCCAUUGGUCCUGUCGGAUAUGCGCUCUGUUCAUAUAUACACAUGAAAUUAAGGAGAAGGGCGCACGAAAGAAUAAUAUGAGUAUGUUUGUAACACUGAAAAGGUAUAUGUUACCAGGAUAUGUGUGGCAGAAGUGGUCCCAAGUGCUUGGCCCCUUGCCAUCUUCAUUCCAAGCACCUUCAAUCUACACGGAUGACGACAUAUAUAACAUUUUGUGCAAUCGAACAAACCACUAAACAUGCAUUUUGACAUCAUGUUUUCCCUUAGGUAUUUGUUAUCAUUGAAACAGUUAACAUCAUUAUUUCUUUUAAAUUAACAGAUAUACGGUUGUGCAAGAAAAUAAUUAAUACCUGGUAUGCUGAAGUGGAGGCACCAAAUAGGAAGUCCUUGUCGAACCAGUCCCUUUUAGGGAUUUGCCACGGCUUGAGCUUAGUGAACACAGGCCCAAUGGGCUCUGCUGGCUUUGACGGUGUGCCUGCCCUGAUGGUGAGGUUACAGAACCUUCCCUUGCUCUUCUGUGAUGAAGCAGCAGACCGGAGCCAUAGGUUCUCACUGUUGCGUCCUGCACGGCUUCUAAGGCUAAGGUGGGUGGUGGGAUUCAGGGUAGCAGCAGCAAGUAGAGCCAUCUCUUGCUAGCAGCUGGCUGGAGUGUUGUGAGCAGCUUGAGGAGUGAGUUCCCUUGCAGGCUUAUGCAUCUAUUUAUAGAUGAGGAUGGAGAAUCUGUCAAGUGGUGCUGGUGGUGGGAUGAGAAUGAAGCUACGGCUAGAACCCUAAGAAACAAGGCAGGGAUGCCACUCAGUUGGCUAACUGGUGGGAGCUCUU
rnacentral:lncRNA from 1 species